ACCACAACAACUAACUUCCAAGUAUUAGAAGAACCGAACAUGCAUGUUAUGCUAGUUCUGUUCAUACGUACCAUCACUCCAAGUCCAUUUUGCAUCAUGAAACAUGUGUGAAAUGUGGGAACGACUCAUUUCAGCUCCCUUUCAACAACAACACAUCAUCCUUGUGACAGGUAUUAAACAAUGUAUUUCGGAGCCAUUAUCUUGUCUUUAUCAUGUGAGUACAAUUUAUCAUAUGAAGACCAGUAAUUCAGUACAUACAAGUGGAAACAUUCUUUCACGAUGUAAAGUUCCAGGAUGAGUAGUUGAGCAACGGCAAUGGCCUGAUGAAGACUAAAUGUAGUCAUGGUAAGAACAUCUGAACUUGGACAAGUUAUGGCAAGAACAUCUUAACCUGUACAAGUUGAUUACGUGCAUCAAAUGGAACCGUCAAUGUCUUCUGUCAUUUUCCUUGGCAAAAGAGAUUAUCUAUUCUACAAUGGCGUUAGUAUACAGCCCCUGCAAAAAAACAAGGCAGGUAGUAUACAUAUAAUAAAGAUCCUCAUUGAUGGCAUAAGCAAUUUUAAAGCAUUAUCCACGCGUUGGCCACAAGGAUAAGAAAAUAAUGGAUGUACCCAUGCCUUGAUGUAGGAACGUUGUUAAAAAACAUGUAUAAAUAGGUGCUACAAAACAACUCAAACUAAUGCAGUAUUUGAUCCUAACAAAAACUAAUGCAGUAUUUUAUUAAUUAAUAUUUGAACAAUAAAACACAUGGCACGUGUAACAAAAUCGUCUACAUCUAUUUAUCUAUCUACGAUUAUACACAAUACCCUACUUAAAAAGACAUAUAAUGAAGUUUAAAAAAAGACAUAUAAUUGAAUAACAAUCCAUUACUCUUGGAAACACAAAGGCACCCAAACCGCAAGACGGGUUUGAACGGACAAGCAUGUCUCACGUCUCAAGAGACUACGGGGAACCCCACGCGCCCCUGUCAGGAGGCCACCUCGUCGACCACAUCUCCGCCAUUGCUGCUGACCUUACUGCAUUUGCGGCGGCCCUUGUCACCGAAGGUGGUAGGGCAGAGCUAACUGUGGACGCGGGAGAUUGGCGGGGCUCGUGCAGCUACUGUCGCCGGUCCCGUGUUUCUCCAGGCAAGUGCCCUUGUUGCGUGCAUCGGCCGAGGUGUGAAUGACCAUUGGAACCACAGCUAGGUGCUAGGCUAGGUGGUCCACACGAUGAAGUUGCGAGCGUGUGGGCCCAACUUGGGCCCAUGCAGGGCCGAAGAAGGGUAGCUCAGCGGGCAUGCCGGUGUCCAGAUCUGGCGCGUGGACAUGCAACAAUGUUAUUGGUGGGCUUCGACGAUAGCUUUGGUUGUGAGUGCGCAUGUGAGAGGUGCAGGUUGUGAGGUGAGCCUUGGGCGGUACACAAUUGUGUGUCACUCUUUGUGGUGUGGCACGUUCGCGUGCGGUGGUGAUUGCGGCGUGGUCGGUGUGGGGUGGCCAUGGCGAGGGCAGCGGCCUCGUGGCAUGGCUUCCGCUAGAAGGGGUACAUCUGGCAGCCUGUACGGUGUUAGGUAGACUGCAUGAGAAAUGAAUCUUUUCCUUUGCACGGUGUUUGCUUGCUUGGCCUGCAUCAGAUUUCUGCAUCACAUGAUUUUUAAAGUACUGUCGGGCCUGGCUAAGGAGGAACGGCCGAACCGCCCAUUUCCAUUCAUGCAGGCUCAUGCGGCCGAACGAUUUUCCUUCUUUUCCAUGUCAUGUUGCAUCCUCUUCUCCCAACACAUGCAGGAAGCCAUCACAAACAAACACACAGCAUGUAUGCCACCAAACCCCACCAACCACCAUGUUGGUGACCAGACUACAUGCACACCUGGUUUUUUGCACUGUUUUUCUCAACUAGGCCCUGGUCAGCCUGGCUCGUUUGCCUCAUGUAGCCUAGCCGAAUUGCUAUGCUACCAAAUUGUUGAAAGUAAGGCAAUAAUAUUGUAUUAUUAUAUUUUCAUGUUCAUAAUUAAGAGUUUAUAUUCUAUGCUAUAACUACUCCUAGGAUAUUUGAUUUAGUGAAAAACUCAUAUGCACGUGUAGAACAAUAAACAGUAAAAUAUGAUUCCUAGUCUCACCUCUAGGACUGGCUCAAAUGUUGUUAGUGAUCACGCUUUCUGGAUCUUAGAAUAUCGUUAAGUGUAAUGAUAGUCCUAAAACAACAUUGAGAGUAUGAUGUUAGAAGAAUGAUCAUAUUGAAUCAACCCAAACUUGUUUGUUAUACUUUGAGGCAGUGGCGUAGCCAGGAUUGUGUGAAGCCCUGGGCCAAAUAAUAGCUACAAUGCUAAAUAGUGUUCAAAUCGCUACAUUAAAUAAAGUGAUAUAUCUUUACGACCAGGCCAUGGCCCUUAGUGUCUUGGGCUUGUCUACGCCCUUGCUUUGAGAUGAUAUCAUCACAAGUCAAUUGUUAUAACACGGAGUGUGUUAACAUGUCUUUUAGUUCCUUAGACGAUGAGAGUAUCGUAGUCACUUCUUACCAUGGCUCAAACGUCAUCUGUAACACGGUGAUCAUAACAAUGAGACGAUGAGAGGAUGAGCUUAGGGGUUGCUCAAACGUCAUUUGUAACACGGUGAUCAUAACCACAACGUACAUGUUCAUCGAAAAGAUUGACAAGGGACUCGAUAGCUCAAGAGUGGAAUUUGCUGCUCCGACGAUGAAGAGAUAUUCGUAGGGCUUUCUCGGUGUGACGGCAUCCAUCAGAUGACUAUGUCACGGGGAUGUCGAAACACGUCAACGAAAACGAAGAACAAAAUUUGUUACUGUAUAUAUCACAAAUGAUGUCAGAUUAAUAAACUCAAUGUGAAAUCUUAUAUCCCAUGGCCAAAAAAAAAGGAAGAACAAUCUUGUACACACGGACAGCGCAAAGUUUCAACUAUUACAGCUAAUUGUUUGGUAUAAACAAUCUUCUAUAUGGUCUCAUAAAAAUCCAAUAUUAAAAUUAUGUGCCUGCACGUCCGAUAGAAUCUACACAUAUGGAUUGAAUUGAUUGCUCUUUGUGCCCAUGUCUCGAUAUGGUUGUUAUUACCACGGGAAUAUAUCAUUUUUGGUACAAAUUCAAUGUGCUAUAUAUGGACAUAAAAAACCAUUGGACCACCGCGCCAUCUGCAUGGCCAUGGCAGUCGCCUCCACCUAGAACCCCAUGGGCCGCUGCCCACGUUCAAAGAUUCUGCUGCCCGGAGGACCUGUCACCGCGGUAGAGGCCGACGGCCAUGGCAGUACUGCGUGGGGAUGCGAUCACCGCGGUGCCACACGACCUGACCCAGGCUACAAAGCACGGAGACCCGCACACAAGCUCUGUGUCCCCGCCAUACAGCCGCAUCUCGCGCUAUGUGUGCCCGUCGAGGAGGGAAGAAGAGGCCCUGCCGUUGGCGCAGCUAGCUCUUGCCCUAGCUCGCCGGUGUCUACCCCAGCUCUCCCUCUAGUCUACCUCUCUCUCAGCUCACUUCACUCUGGCUCUAACCGAAGAGGAAGAAGGAGAUCGGAAGAAGAAGACUCGAUGGAGUCAGUGGUUUUCCAGGCGCACGCCCAGCCGCAACGACGGCCGAGUUUUUGUCUCAAGGAACAAACUCGAGCUACACCAUGCCAGCUACAACGACCACCACACGGGUUUUAUACCCAGGCCAGCGCUGGACACGAUAUGGUCCGCUCUGGUUGCGUCCACCACGCGCGCCCGUACGCACGUGCCGCGGCGAGCCCACCCUGGUCGCCUCGCUCUCCCGGACCAAGUCGCCAACUGACUACGCCUACUACGAUGCGUCCCGUGUACAUGCACACGCGCGCCCAAAACGCUACCCACACACGCACACAUGCAACCCAGACCUGCCCCGUACACACAGGUUGGACAAUGGCCGGACAUUGGCCAGACACCCACACACGCCACGGACCUGACGCGUCCCGCGCACGCACACACGCGCACCCGACGCGCUCGCUAUGGCUUAUUGGCCAACAGUGCCACCGUCGACAUUGAUCGGGCUUUGCUCGGCAGCGCCCUCCAGUCCGACAACGAGAAGAGGUGGGGAAAGGUGGUGGGCCUGGCGGCACUAGAGUUCGCUCCAUCGCGCGCCUGAGCUAACAAAAGGGAAAUGAUAUGUUGUUGAUUUAUUUGCGAGAAAGUGUCAUGCUUUGAUGGAGUGAUCUUGCACUACAAAAAUUGCAAACCGACAAGUAGUUGAUCGGCUAAUACAGUUGCAAACAUGUUAAUCUUGAAUGAUCCAUUUGAGAUUUGACCAACUUUUAGGUAGUAACUGUAGUGGUGACGGUGAUCUUGGUAGUCGUAGUUAUAUAUGGUAGUGGCAGUGGUAGCAGUGGGAGGGAGUGAUAGUGGUAGUGGUGGUAUCUUUUUUUUCAAUACGCAUAGCAUGCGUAUUAUCUACAUAAGGAGGAAAAAGGCAAAGAAAACCCUCCACAGGUACAGUUACAGCUUACAUCUUACGUGUUACACCGUAAUCAUACUCCACUCCGCGCCAACCUAAUGGCCUAGCUCAUGCACCCAACUACUCACUCAAACUCCACGUGCUUAGCCUACCAAACAGACCGUGUACAUCACCUUUCAUGAGACCUGCACUCCACCAGGCUCUUCCCUCCUGCUCCACCUGUCACAUGACCAUGGCUACACUUGGGGCGGCGUUAUCAAAGACUACUGUGUUUCGGUGUUUCCACAACUGCCAAAGGCCAAGUAGGAUGAUCGCCCUAGACGUCUUGAUACCAAGGCCAUGCUUAGCUCGAUCUUGGCACCAAGUAGAGAGCACCUCCGCCUCACCAGGAGCCCAAGUAGGCUCCUCCAGGGCAUGACAGAUGUGCGUCCAAACUUCUCGUGAGAAAACACAUGUUAGGAGAAUAUGAUUGAUGGUCUCCUCCUCCUGGUUGCAGAACAGGCAGGAUCCUGGUGCGGCAGCCCCCUCCUGGCAAGCCUGUCGGACGUCCAGCACCUAUUGCGGAGGGCCAACCAUGAGAACAUCCGACAUUGCAAGGGUGCCCUAGAUUUCCACGAGAAGUCGGCCGUGGGAGCGACCUCGCGCCCAGCAAACUUAGCAGCAUAGGCCAAUCGUACUGAGAACACUCCACCCCUCUCCCAGGACCACAGAGCCACAUCCGGGAUGCCCUCGUGUAGCUCAACGCCGCUGAUCCUAGUCCAUAACCGAAGGUACUCUCUGAUAGUUUCAAUCUGCAGGUCCGGCCCAAUAUCUCUUGCCCAAGCGUUGCUUUCCAGGGCGUCGGCCACCAUCCGGGUACGCCGCAGCCUGGGUGGCACAACAUCGUAAACUGCCAGGGCCAGCUCCUGAACGCGGAAACCAUCCAACCAUCUAUCCUCCCAGAAGAGUGUGCGGCAUCCAUCGCCCAGUUUCAUACGGGUGGCCGCCAAGUAUAGUUGCAUGGACUCCUUUGGCACGGAGAUCUUGAACUCCUGCCAACACCUAUCCCGUCCUGAGCGCUUCAACCAUGGCCAGCGCGCCUGCAUGGCGACAUUCAUCCACCUGAGAUCUGGCACGCCGAGUCCACCAGCCCAGUUGGGCGUGCACACCGUCGUCCAUGCAACGGAGCAGUUGCCACCCCUUGCCUCCUUCUUCCCGCACCACAGAAAAGCACGGAUGAUUUUGUUGAUGGUGUUAACAAUUUUGGCGGGUAGCUCCAUGGCCAUCAUGGCAUGAAUCGGCAUUGCGCUGAGGACCGAAAGCACGAGGAGUAGGCGUCCACUCUUGGGCAAAGAAGAUGCCCGCCAGGUCGGAAGGCAUGUUCCGAUCCGAUCUAACAGGUACUGCAUCUGCGAGGCUGACUGUUUCCGAAGCGAUAGAGGCAGGCCCAAGUACUUGCACGGAAAGCCUCCCACCGAGCAACCAAGCAUGUCUCCGGCCUCCUGUAUCUGCUGCUGCGAGCAUCGAAUUGGGAUAACGGCGCUCUUCCUCAUGUUUGUCUGCAAACCCGAUGCCAUCCCAAAAACAUGUAGUAUUGUACGGCACCCCACGACGUCAGCUGCAUGCGGCUUCAGAAAGAUCAUCACAUUGUCCGCAAAUAUGGCACCUUCUGCUCCAGCCCCUGCGCAGCGAGAGGUGCUAAAAUUCCAUCCGUCCCAGCCUUCUCAAAGAGUUUUUGAAGCAGUUCCAUGAUGAGGAUGAACAACAUUGGUGACAGCGGUCCCCCUUGCCGAAAACCAUGACAGCUGAAAAUUGGCUUCCCGGGUAUGCCAUUGACCAUGAUCCUGGUGGACCAAGUUGCCAGAAAGCCACUAACCCAGGAUAGCCAGCGCCGGCCAAAUCCCAUGUGCUCCAGAACCUCAAGCAGAAACGGCCACUGGACUGAAUCGAAAGCUUUAGAAAUAUCCAACUUGAGCAUGAGUGUGGGCUCCCGUAAUGCGUGCAGUCUCCUGGCCAUGCAUUGCACUAGCAUGAAAUUGUCAUGUAAUAGUCGCCCCUUGACAAACGCACUUUGAUGCUUGCCCACCAGGAACGGCAGUUCCUCCGCAAGCCGGACUGCCAUUGCCUUAUCGAAGAUCUUGACUGCAUUGUGCACAAGGCUGACAGGGCGAAAGUCUUGCAAUUCCUCGGCACCAUCCACCUUUGGCAACAGAACGAUUAAGGCUUUGUUUAUGCACCCCAAGCCACGCAUAUGUCCACGGCUGAACGCCUCCAAAGCUCGCAUGAAAUCAACCUUUAUGAUUUGCCAGCAACUUGCGUAGAAGCGGCCAGUAAAACCGUCAGGUCCAGGUGCCUUGUCCAGGGGCAUGGAUUUGAUGACUCCCUCCACCUCCUCCUCAGUAAAGGGCCUCUCCAAGUGCAACAGAUCACGACGCGGUGGUUUAGGGCUUGGAGGUUGAUUGCAAAUUCCCUCUCCGGCGCGGUCCCAAAAAUACACUUGUAGUACUCAUCCUCCGCAGCCGCGAUUGACUCUUGGCCAGUCAGGAGCUUCCCAUCCUUGUUGAUGGUCGUGAUGAGAUUACGCCUCUGGCGUUGUCUGGCAUGACGAUGGAAGAAUUUCGUGUUGCAUCGCCCUCCUUUAAGUAGAGCAUCCUCGAUCUGAACCUUGCAAUUGUCCUUUCUAGCGAGCAUAAGCCCAACAGCUUGCGUUUCAACACUUUCCUAAGGUCAAACUCUGCGCGCGACAGCGGCCUGGAGUCCGAUGCCAUAUCCAGCCGCAGGAUCAGCUCCAUCGAAUGGAGAUCUUGAGUUUGACGUUGUCGAUCCACCUGUCGCUCCACGCCUGCGGCCGCUUAGCCGUUGCCCACAGCUCGCUCUCCAGCACCACAAACGGGUUCCCCGAGGAGGGCACCGAGUGCCACGCCAAGGAGACCGUGUCCAUAAACCCCUCUGCCUUCGUCCAGAAGGACUCGAACUUAAAACGCCUCCCCAUGUGAAAAUCCGCGUGCAAAUCCACCAACAAAGGGCAAUGGUCCGAAAUCGCCGAACCAAUCGCGGAGAGGAAGGAUGUAGGGUACAGGUCCUCCCAAUCGCACGUAGUGAAAACGUGGUCGAUCUUCUCCAGGGUCACGUUCUCCCGCUCAUUCGACCAAGUAAAGCACCUCCCGUUCAGAUACAUCUCCUUGAGCUCGAGACGGUUGAGCUUUGAUCUAAAGCGCGCCAACAUCCUCCUGUUAAUGGCGUCAUUGCUCUUGUUCUCUGGGUUAACUAUAAGGUUGAAGUCCCCAAGGGCUACCCAAGGCCCGGCAUGAAGAUCACGAAUUUCCACCAAUUCCUCCAAGAACUCAAUUUUCUCCACGUCCAAUUGGGGCCCAUACACCCCGGUGAUCCACCAUUCCGGUGCUGCUACCGGUUUCACACAUGCCGUCAACGUGUUCCUGGUCCGAUGCGGGUUAGGUCAGUAAUGGACUAAGCAAUGAGGAUGUAUUCCUUACCAGAACAAGCUCAAGCGCCCUGGUCUUCGGAUCCGUGGUAAGCUCCUUUGUUACCGGGUCCUGACAAAGUUCCUGGUCUGCUUGUCACGUAAUUUCUCGAAGCGGGGCGGUAGGCCUUGCUUGGCACGCUUCGCGUCCUCCUUGUCCCAUAUAGGCUCCGCCACUCUGUAACCGCCGGGACCGAAUUGGUGGACCCCUAAGUUCAACUCCCGCAUUUCUUUCCCCCACUGACUUGAUUCGGAGGUUGCGCUGCUCUCGCACUUGAUCUUGAACUCCUUGUAGUCAUCUUCGCUCAUCAAAGGAUAUUUCGCCUUGAUCUUCUCAUAACUAUCACCUUUUUCAAUCAUUGCCUUCACCGUGCUUCUCCAUGUAGACAGGGCCGUGCUCAUCCUCGUGAGGGCGGCACAGUUCACUUUAUUCCCUGAGAGGCAUGUGUUUGCAAACUCAGCGGGGAACUUGUAUCGUUCGUGCAGCUUCGUGAAGAGGAGGCUGCGCAAAUUCCCUCGGUCCUUAUGCCUUAGGUUCUCGGUGUUGAUCGAGACGGUGCUCCAGAGAAUGCACCCGAGCUGAACCGAGUACCCCUUGACUACUUGUUUGGGCGCCGUUGGAUGCCCGUCGGAGUUCACUUCAGUAAAUUCCUCCUUGACGGUGUCGAGCACGUUCGGGCGCCGGUCCUUCCGUUGCCUCUUCGGUUGGCUGCCAUCUGUGCAUGCGCCGCCAUCAUCAGUGGUGGCAUCCUCGGCGGCACCAUCAGUGGUGUCAUCCCUGACGCCACUAGGGGUUGUGUAGUCAGGAUCGGUGUCUUCCGCGGCGGCGUCCUCAUAGCGGUGAGGUUCUUCCUCCAUCUCCUGGGACAGCUCCCAGAAUUGCUUGCCGCCCGAACCGCCGGCCUCAUCGUUGUGGGCCAUGUUUCGCUCUAAAUAGGAAAAAAGUUUGGUCAAAAAGUUGGUUAUUGUCAAGGAACAAGAUCAUGGUCUCAUCAUUUAGGGUUUGUCGACACCGAGGCAUCCUAAAAGCUAAGCUUUUAUCAUUUAGGGUUUGUCGACGCCGAGGCACCCUAAAAGCCUAAGCGUACAUCAUUUAGGUUCUCAUCGACACCGAGGCACCCUAAAAGCUAAGCUCGGAAGGAGAAUUCUAAGUUGGGCCUAAUCACUUGGCUCUAUUGCCACCUAUGGUUUAAUGCAGCAAGAAUAAAGGGGCAGUUGAUCCUACUUAAUUAAGUACUAAGACCCCGGCCCAUGCAUUAGUCACAAGUACCCCAUAUGUCCUAUUUUUAGCAAAGUCAUGCUAACAUUCACGGAAAAUUUCAGCAUGACCUUUGCUGAAAAUAGGACAUAUGGAGUACCCGAAUUUGCCGGAACGGAAGUUAAUCGACAUUCCAGCAAACUCAAGGGCCUCUCGGUGUUUACAGAAAUUGUUUUCUGUAAAAGAUGAUCAUCAUAUUUACAAGUCUUUCUCAAUGGGAUCACAAGUAAUUCAGAGGCAUCACAAGUAAUUCAGAGCAUCACAAGGCAUUAGUAGUUCAGUACAUGAACAAGUUUUACAAAGCACAUCAAUAUGUAAUGUAUUUCAUUGUGGAGUGAUAUACAGUAUGUUACAGCAAAGAAACAACUUAAUCCAUGCCUCAGCUUAUCAACAGUCAUUACUUGUCAAAUACAGAAGAAGGAACAAUUUAUUUGUGACAUAGUUACAAAUGAUGAUAGAAUAAAGCAACACCCUGCACUAGCCUAAAAACAAGUGAAGUUUCACCCAUAUAAGAACAAGUGAAUUCUAGUCACAUUGACACUCCUGGUUUUCUACAAACACCAAGUACUAGGGCACACAAAAGUUCUGAAAUUUGUGUGCCUAACUGAAUUAACUGAAUUUUCAGUAACCGAAUAAACUGAAUUUUCAAAACUGCAAGAAGCCAUUUAAAAAAAAUCCUUUCAUCUCAUAUGAGGAGUGCUAAUCCUAAGAUUAAUAGUUUGUUGUGCAGUACAUCUACAGUGAUGCCCCGUCCAUUUGUCCCUCCCCAACUAGAUACUAGAGUAGCACUGUUGAUGCCCUGUUCUUGCUACACUUUAUGACAGUAUAUACAACAACUUAUCCUCUUAAGCCAAAACAACUUUGUAAAAGCCAGAUGCAACUUGUUGAGCUAAUUUUUUUAGAUGACCCAUAAGACAAACUGAAAAUAGUUGUUGUUGCUGAACUAAUCUGAACACUAUAACCUGUUCAUCAUUCAGCCAUAGUUGUUGUUGCUGCUACAAUUUCAGCAAGCAACAUGCCUAAAUCCAGUGCUUGUUUGACUUUACUGAAUUACCAACGCAUGGCACACAACACAUUUAUAUUUUGUCAGGUCACACAACACAUGCCUGAGGAGGAAGAUUGAAUUUUCUACAGAAGCAUCAUCAAGUACACUUCAACAUGUGCUAGCAGCAACAAAUGGUCAAUAUUCAUUCUUAUUUAUGGUCAAUAUUUAUAACAUAUCAACAAAUGGCAAGAAUAUUGAGUAAUCUACUGCAGUUUGAUCUACUGCAAAUAAUCUGUUGCAAUUUGAUCUACUCCAGAAAACUUUCAGUAAUAAGUGAGAAGCAUCUGCAUUUUCUUAGUGAACUUUUGAGUGCAUUUAUCACUUGUUGGAGUAUGCUACAGCUUCUGCAAAUCACAAACUCCUUUAGUUUACAUCUUAGUUUUAGCUAACACUACAGUUUCAGUGAAGGAGUCAUAGCUGAAUAACAGGCACUAUAAAUGAAUUUGAUGGCAUCAAACUGAAUUUUCACUAUAAUAUGUUCAUCAUUUAGCAGCAGUGUACAACCUUUGUCCUGGAUUAUUUCUCUACCUUCGUAUCCACUGACUGAAUUUCCUCUACAGCUUGACAACCAGUGUAAACUACUGUACUGAGAACAGCAAAUUCAAACUCACAGCAACAAAUUGAACAGUGAGUAAGCCUGAAGAUUCUUCUCUUGCAAACCCCCAACCCUAGCUACUUAAUUCUCCAACCCCCUUUCCUUAUCCAAAAUUCUCCAACCCCCAACCCUAGAACACAUCAGAAGGAAAUCAAGAGGGGGAAGAGGGGGAAGCGGCUCGGGUGCUCACUGGGGAGGUCGAGGGCGACUCGGGGUAACCGGAGCUAGUCGAGGCGGCGCGAAUUCGGCGUCGAGCGGUGGCGAUGGUGGCCGAGGCAGAGGAAAUCGGCGAGCGUCGAAGGGAUGGCUCGAGGGCGUCCGAGCUCGUCCGGGUCCUCGUAGUUGAAGAGGAAGACCUCCUCCUCGUCCUCCUCCUGGUCCUCCUCCUCCGGCUCGGGGCGCGGGGGCGGCGNNNNNNNNNNNNNNNNNNNNNNNNNNNNNNNNNNNNNNNNNNNNNNNNNNNNNNNNNNNNNNNNNNNNNNNNNNNNNNNNNNNNNNNNNNNNNNNNNNNNNNNNNNNNNNNNNNNNNNNNNNNNNNNNNNNNNNNNNNNNNNNNGGGGGAGCUGUAGUGGUGGGGGGCGGCGGGGGUGGAGUCCGGCGGGGGUCGGGGCGGCGGCGUCGUGGGUCGGGGCAGCGCGCGGGUGGAUCUUGGCGAGGGAGAGGGACGAAGGGGAACUGGCGAGGGAGAGGGAGGAAUUAGCUAUAGGGGGGAAACUUACUAAUGGCGCACUGUUUUUUUUAUAUAGCAAUGGCGCACCCACGGUCGGUGCGCCAUUAGUAAACUUUUUUUAUAUAGCAAUGGCGCACCAGCCAGAGGUGCGCCAUUAGUAAUCUUUUUUUAUUAUUAUUUUUUGUUGCAUCUAAUAAUUUUUUAGAAAAUGAAUAUGAAUAUGAAACAGUAAUAAUUUUUUAUAAAAACAGUAAUAGUAUUUAUGAAUAUGAAAAAAAUCAUCAAAUUUAUUGUUUGAAAAUAUAAUCAAAUUUGUUUUUUUUGCAAUUUUAGUUGCAUUCAUUUGUGACGGUGGAGCGGGCCGGGGAGGGUGUGGGGGGUCGUCGNNNNNNNNNNNNNNNNNNNNNNNNNNNNNNNNNNNNNNNNNNNNNNNNNNNNNNNNNNNNNNNNNNNNNNNNNNNNNNNNNNNNNNNNNNNNNNNNNNNNNNNNNNNNNNNNNNNNNNNNNNNNNNNNNNNNNNNNNNNNNNNNNNNNNNNNNNNNNNNNNNNNNNNNNNNNNNNNNNNNNNNNNNNNNNNNNNNNNNNNNNNNNNNNNNNNNNNNNNNNNNNNNNNNNNNNNNNNNNNNNNNNNNNNNNNNNNNNNNNNNNNNNNNNNNNNNNNNNNNNNNNNNNNNNNNNNNNNNNNNNNNNNNNNNNNNNNNNNNNNNNNNNNNNNNNNNNNNNNNNNNNNNNNNNNNNNNNNNNNNNNNNNNNNNNNNNNNNNNNNNNNNNNNNNNNNNNNNNNNNNNNNNNNNNNNNNNNNNNNNNNNNNNNNNNNNNNNNNNNNNNNNNNNNNNNNNNNNNNNNNNNNNNNNNNNNNNNNNNNNNNNNNNNNNNAGCGGGGGAGGGUGCGGGGGGUCGGCGACGGCGGCCGGUGGAGCGGGGUAGAGGGUGCGGGGGGUUCUCGGCGCCGAGGGGGACCGGAUCUGGCGAGGUGGGAUAGCGAUCGAGAUGGAGGGGGAUCGAGAUCGAGUGUCCAUGAAAUUUAAAAAUAUUCAUGAGUUCAAAAAGUGCCCAUGAAAUACAAUCAAGAAAUGAAGGCUACAAUUUAAAUACAAUCGAUCUUAGCUAGCUAUCUGUUCACAAUCUUAUUGCCCUUAUUUUUCGUAAACAGAGUUCUUCUCUUGAACGGACGUCCUUUAGGUAGGGUGGUCCUGCUUCUUCUUGUGGUGUAUGCUGAUACUUCAUCGUUGUCGUCAUGUUCCAUCUUCGGGUCGCCGUACUUGUCGAAGUCUUGCUCAUUGGCAGCUCCAUCCAUUCCGAUGAUCUUCCUUUUGCCUCUCCUCACGACAACACGACUGGGCUUUGAUGGGUCGGUAAUGAAGAAGCAUUGGUCCACUUGGGAAGCCAGUACCCAUGGCUCAUUUUUCGCGGUGACGUUCGCGCCUGCGGUCUUGGAUUUUGCUUCGGGUAUAACCAUGGUGGUGAAAUACCGGUCUUCUUUUAUGACGCUCUUGGCCCAUCUGACACGGAACAUCGGGACCUUCUCUCCAGCGUAGCUCAGCUCCCAGAUCUCCUCGAUCCUUCCGUAGUAUCUGUCCUUGUCGUUACCGGUGUAGGAUUCCAUCGUUACCCCGGAGUUCUGAUAACCAUCGCUCUUCAUGUCCUUGUCCUUGGUGUAGAAUGUGUAGCCGUUGAUAUCGUACGCCUCAUACGUCAUCAGGUUGUGCUCGGCGCCCUGUGACAAGGCGAAUAUGAGUUGUUCUUCCGCGGAAGAAUCCUCAUGUAAAGGGUACGAUAGAAGCUUAUGCUUGAACCAACGCGUGAAACAUGAGUUGUGCUCUUUGAUUAUAUCUCCGUCCGUCCUCUGUUGGCCUCGGUCAUUGUACGUCUUCUCAAUAAAGGUUUUGUGCUCUACCACCCAAGGAUCGGCCACGUCUAUGUGUUGUAGCGCGACUAGGUUUGCUCUUUGAAAGUCGGUGAGUCGACCAUCGAACUCGACAUGCAUUUCGCGGCGACCCUCACGGUGACCCCGUCCAGCGAGCCUGCCAAGGUGCCUGUUGACGGGCAGACCAACGGGGUUCUCGAUGCCUAGAUAAUUCGUGCAGUAGGAGAUGCACUCUUCGGUCAGAAAGCCCCUGGCUAUGCUUCCCUCUGGACGUGACAUGUUGCGAACGUAUCCUUUGAUGACACCAUUCAUCCUUUCGAACGGCAUCAUGCUGUGCAGGAACGUCGGCCCGAGUUGGAUGAUAUCCUCCACGAUAUGGACCAGCAGAUGCACCAUAACGUCGAAGAAUGCGGGCGGGAAGUACAUCUCAAGCUCGCAUAGUAUUACCACGAUCUCUUCCUGUAGCCUUCUGAGUUGCCUCACGCCAACCGACUUCCGAGAGAUGACGUCAAAAAAGUUGCAUAGGCCAAAUAGCGUUUCACGGACGUGCGCGUCCAUGAUCCCACGGAUUGCAACUUGAAGUAUCUGCGUCAUCAGCACGUGACAGUCGUGAGACUUCAUCCCGCUGAACUUCUGCUUCGCUGAGUCUAGAUAUCUGCUUAUCUUCCCCGCGUAACCUAAGAAAGUUUUACUCCUACGAGGCAGGUGAAAAACUGAUCGAUCUCCUCCUGACUUAGAGUGAAGCACGUGGGAGGGAAGUCAUUUCCAGUCUUCUUAGCCUUUUUGCCUUUGUGACGACUUUCCGUGUCCUGCUUCGCCUCAUCAUCAUCAUCAUCAUCAUUAGCGUGAAGCUCCUCCCUGAUGCCCAUUGAUUUCAAGUCUGCCCUUGCUUUCGGCCCAUCUUUGGUCCUCUCUGGCAUGUUGAGCAGGGUACCAAGCAGACUCGCGCACACGUUCUUCGUGAUAUGCAUGACAUCAAGGCUGUGAGGCACACGGUGGAUCUUCCAGUACGGCAAGUCCGAGAAAACAGACCUCGUUUUCCAUACCUUCAGCAGUGGCUCUGGCACCUUUCGCUUCUUUCCCGGCUCUGGCACCUUUUGCUUCUUUCCCGGCAGUGGGCAAUCUUUCCAAUUUUUCAACAGCUCGUCUAUUUCCUCGCCGCUCCUCGUACGUGGGCGUCUUCGGGGUUCGGUUUCACCAUCGAACAGAUCCUUGCAUUUCCUCCACGGGUCAUCGUCGCGAAGUCACCUUCGAUGUCCCAUGAACACGGUUUUCAAAGACCCGGGAUCUCUAUCUAGCUGGCGAUACGUUGUGUCAGCCAUGCACCUGACGCAUCCAGAAAAUCCGUGGACCACCUGCCCCGCGAGAUAUCCGUAACCGAGAUAGUCGUGCACCGUUGUGAGCAGUGCGGCUCUCAUAGGAAAAUAUUCUUUCUCUGCGGCGUCCCACGUAUUGGCUGGCGUUUUCCACAGCGUGUCUAGCUCCUCUUUCAGCAGCCCCAGAUACAGAUUGUUGUCGUUCCCUGGUUGUUUGGGCCCUUCAAUUAGCAUACUCAUGUGAAUGUACUUCGUCUUCAUGCACAACCAGGGGGGAAGGUUGUACAUCCACACAAACACAGGCCAGGUGCUAUGUGUGCUUCUCUAGCUGCCAAACGGAUUGACUCCAUCGGUGCUCGCGCCCAGCACGAUGUUCCUUGGAUCCUUCCCAAAUUCUCGGUGUUCGAAGUUCAACGCUUGCCACUGGCUCCCAUCCUUAGGGUUACUCAGCAUCUUGUCUUUUUAUUUAUCUCCGGAUCAUUUGCGUCAUCUUCUCGCUUCUUCUCCUCCCUAUCCGCGUGCCAACGCAGGAGCUUUGCUACCUUAGGGUCCGCGAAAUACCGCUGCAGACGAGGAGUCAUCGGAAAGUACCACACAACUUUUCGAGGAGCUUUCUUACUCUUCUUGUAUCGAGUGACGCCGCACACCGGACAUAUGGUAGACUCUGCGUGCUCGUCCCGAUAAAUGAUGCAAUUGUUCAUGCACACAUGGUAUUUCACGUGCGGUAAAUCCAGAGGACACACGAUUUUCUUCGCCUCCUCGAAACUGGUUGGGCACUUGUUCCCCUUGGGAAGACGUUCGUGCCAGAAUGACAUGUUCUCGUCGAAGCAUGCGCCGGUCAUUUUGUGUUUUACCUUCAUCUCCAGAGCCAUGAGCGUUACUUACAGGCGGGUAUCCUCGGGCCUGCAUCUUUCAUAUAAUGGAGUAACCGCGUCUAUCUACAGUUGAUCCAGCUUGGCUUUCUCUCGGGCGGCAGCUCUUGCGUUAUCCGUCUGCUUGAGAAGAAGCUCUUGAAUAUGAGGGUCCUGCACCCAGCCCAUCGAUGGUCCAUCGUCGUCUGCUCCGCCGGCAUCUUCUUCUUCAUGAUCAUGCCCUUCGUCUGCUCCCGCAUCUUCCUCAUCAUCAUGUCCGGCAUCUUCUACAUGAUGACUGUGUACAGUAUCACUGUCGUGAUCAUGUCCUGGAGAUUCUUCGUCUUCUCGCCCGCCCGAGCCGCGGUGGUUGUCUUGCUGCCCAGCCUCAUUUCUUGCCCGACCCCCAUGGACGACUUCAUAGUCAUCUUCAUCACCUUGCCAUCGUUAGCCAUCCAUGAAACCACGCAAGAGCAGGUGGUCCCGCACCUGCCCGGAAUCCGGGUCCGCAAUAAGGCUCUUCAGCUUUCAUCUUCGACACGGACAUCUUAUCUCCGUCUCGUUCUUUUCAAGCAUCUCGGCCUUCGCGGAGCUCAAAAACCUAUUCACGAUGCCUUCGGUCAUCGUGCGGACCAUGGUCGCCUGCGGGGUAGAGCAAAACGUUAUUUUAGAACCAAGAAAAAAUUUGGCAUGACUUUCCCUAAAAAUAGGACCAAAAAGAAUGCAUAGUGCCAAAAUUCUCGCCGAAACGGAAAUGAAUCAACAUUCCGGCAAAAUAUUGGCAACUAUCGCAUUUCAAAUACCGGUACCUGCAAACACAAACAUAUAUGCAACACCACAAAUAUAUACAACACCACAAACAUACAUAGAUCUAGCUAGGCCAUGAAAAGUGCAUGUGCACGUUGUUCGAGAGGGAGAACAACAUAAAGAUAGCUUCCCCCUUACUUACCUAUCAAAAAAGGUAAUUUAACCACUUAAUUUGGAUGAAUUUAUGGUGCAAAUGAGGUGAGGAGGAGGAGGCAGCCGAGACAAGCUUGGAGGAGGAGGUGGAGAGAAUGAAGUGGGGAAAGUGAGUGGGUAGGUGUGGCUGUCCAAAAUAUCUAGCUCGUCCCAGGUUACUAAUGGCGCACCACCACCUAAUGCGCCAUUAGUAACCCUGGUUACUAAUGGCGCACCUGCUGGUGGUGCGCCAUUAGUACUUUUGCAAAAAAACACUAUUGGCGCACCAGGGAACAGUGCGCCAUUACUAGUUUAAACUAGUAAUGGCGCACCAGGUACAGUGCGCCAUUAGUAGUUUUGCAAAAAAAUAAAAAGUAAAAAAAUAUAGUAGUGGCGCACUAUGUGGCUGGUGCGCCAUUAGUAUGUUUGGAAAAAAUAAAAAAAAUUGUUACUAAUGGCGCACCGUUUGUCUGGUGCGCCAUUAGUGUCUUUCAUACUAAUGGCGCACCAGCACAUGGUGCGCCACUGCUAUAUAGUAGUGACGCACCACAUGUCUGGUGGCCAUUCCAUCUAUUGCCCUUUUCCUAGUAGUGCCAGUGGGCCUGCCAGACCUAGGGUUUGCAAAUACACGCCCAGAAAGGCCAGCAGGCUCACAGGGCAGCGCGCCGAAGUUAGGCCCAGAAGCCUGCUAUAGAGAGGAAUUCGAGACAGCAGGCGCGCCGGGGCUUUUAAACUGGUGCUGGCGCCCCUCGGAUAGCGAGGUGGGACUAAACUUGCCCGCACCGCUCCUGCGCCAGCGCACCCCUUUAGUACCGGGUCGUGGCUCCAACCGGUACUAAAUGGGGAGCCUUUAGUACCGGUUGGAGCCACCAACCGGUACUAAAGGGGCAGUUUCCCGCAACUUGGCCUGGCAAAAAUUGGCCUUUAGUACCGGUUGGUGGCUCCAACCGGUACUAAAGGCCCCUCCUAUAUAUAUGGCACUGACGAAAAAUUCAGUUUCAUCGACAACCACUUCUUUUCCAACUACUUCGCGCGACAUCACCGCCGCCGCCGCGCCGUCACCCAUCGCGCGCCGCCCUCGCAGGCCCCGCCGCCCAUCGUCGUCGCCGCCGUCGCCCCCGCCGCCCGUCGUCGCCGUCACCGCCGUCGCCCCCGCCGCCCGUCGCCGCCGCCGCGUACUACGUCANNNNNNNNNNNNNNNNNNNNNNNNNNNNNNNNNNNNNNNNNNNNNNNNNNNNNNNNNNNNNNNNNNNNNNNNNNNNNNNNNNNNNNNNNNNNNNNNNNNNNNNNNNNNNNNNNNNNNNNNNNNNNNNNNNNNNNNNNNNNNNNNNNNNNNNNNNNNNNNNNNNNNNNNNNNNNNNNNNNNNNNNNNNNNNNNNNNNNNNNNNNNNNNNNNNNNNNNNNNNNNNNNNNNNNNNNNNNNNNNNNNNNNNNNNNNNNNNNNNNNNNNNNNNNNNNNNNNNNNNNNNNNNNNNNNNNNNNNNNNNNNNNNNNNNNNNNNNNNNNNNNNNNNNNNNNNNNNNNNNNNNNNNNNNNNNNNNNNNNNNNNNNNNNNNNNNNNNNNNNNNNNNNNNNNNNNNNNNNNNNNNNNNNNNNNNNNNNNNNNNNNNNNNNNNNNNNNNNNNNNNNNNNNNNNNNNNNNNNNNNNNNNNNNNNNNNNNNNNNNNNNNNNNNNNNNNNNNNNNNNNNNNNNNNNNNNNNNNNNNNNNNNNNNNNNNNNNNNNNNNNNNNNNNNNNNNNNNNNNNNNNNNNNNNNNNNNNNNNNNNNNNNNNNNNNNNNNNNNNNNNNNNNNNNNNNNNNNNNNNNNNNNNNNNNNNNNNNNNNNNNNNNNNNNNNNNNNNNNNNNNNNNNNNNNNNNNNNNNNNNNNNNNNNNNNNNNNNNNNNNNNNNNNNNNNNNNNNNNNNNNNNNNNNNNNNNNNNNNNNNNNNNNNNNNNNNNNNNNNNNNNNNNNNNNNNNNNNNNNNNNNNNNNNNNNNNNNNNNNNNNNNNNNNNNNNNNNNNNNNNNNNNNNNNNNNNNNNNNNNNNNNNNNNNNNNNNNNNNNNNNNNNNNNNNNNNNNNNNNNNNNNNNNNNNNNNNNNNNNNNNNNNNNNNNAGCUACUUUAUAUAUAUUUUUUAGUAAGAAAAUUAAUAGAACUAGUUUAUUUUUAGUAAAUUCUUAGUUGAAUUAAUAGAACUAGUUUAUUUUUAGUAAGAAAAUUUAGUUAUCUGAGAUUUGAUGAUCUAAUUAAAAUAUUACUAUAUAGAACUAGAUACUUUAUUUUAGUAAGAAAAUUAAUAGAACAAGUUUAUUUUUAUUAAAUGCUUAGUUGAAUUAGUUGAAUUAAUAGAACUAGUUGAACUAAUAGAAGUAGUUGAAUUAGUUGAAUUAAUAAAACUAGUAAGUGUUUAAUGUUUCACCUAUAUGAACAUAGGAAAUGUCGUCUGAUGACGAAAAAGAUUUCAUUAAGUGUGAAUUCUGUGAAGACCAGCGCGGCCUGUGCGACAGAAAUUUCCUUGUUGAUGAUAGGCGCUUCAGCAUCAAGCUGGAUGAGACCUUCGAAGUGGAUACAGUAAGUCACAACGACAAAUCUUUUUUCGUAAUUAAGCAUGACUUAUAUAUGCUUCAUUUGCUUCAACUUAUAAUUUUAAAUUUUCACUAUUAUACUAGCGCAUCCCCUGCCAUGCAAGAAUUUUUGUCUUGGAUAAGAUAGGUUUCAGUGCUAUGGAAACUAUGGAGGUAAAGAGAGUUUACCUGAAGACCGAGCAUGCUGGUUAUACUUUCAACGUCAAAUUAUACAAUGCAGACAUGUACACCUAUUUUGAAUGCAAAACUUGGCAAGCACUAUGCAAGGCUUAUGCAUUUGAGCCUGAUAUGGUUAUCACCUUUGAUAUUCGUCCGAAAGAUGAUAUUGAAGGUAAUAGAGACAUCUGUGUCGAUGUGCAGACGCCUCCAGUUCUACCAUUAUGUGAGUUUCUCAACCAUAUUUAUGCCUUUGAUAUUGUUUAUUCAAAAAUAGUUGACAACUAAUUUCUAUUGACAGCUUAUUUCCAUUCAAGCAAACAUGUCCGGCGCUUGGUAGACAGGACCUACUACUGUCCCGGAGCUGAACUAAACUGCGAGGAGAUAAGUCAUUAUGUUUCAUGGCUUGAGGAUCUUGAUGCUGUUAAGAGAAAUCAUUUUCCUGAAUUUGAAAAUCUUAGUACUCAAAACGUGCGACCAAUAGUGAUCGUAUUGAACUACGGCCACAUGUAUUUAGGAAAGAUGGUAAGAUUUUUACUAUUAGUCCUCAGUGCAUCUUUUGCAUACAUUAUUUUUCAAGCUAAACUUUCAUUGCUAAGUAUAUUAAUUACUAUACGAUGUUCUUCAACAGGGACUCUCAAUGACAGUUGUGCCUCAGUGGAUCGAGACUAAAGGUCGCAUGUCAAUUGGUAGCUUACGGCCAAGAUAUCCUACAGUGCACAUGAGUGCAUUCAGGAUUUCUGAAAGCGAUAAAUGUUUAAUAGUGAAAGAUUGGAGCAAAAUUGUUAACGAUCGCAGAGAAGUACUAGGCGGCAGCAAUCAGAAGCGCAGCCCACGAUUAGGAGACAGGUUCAUCUGCAUGCUCCAAUAUGAUGAAUCAGGAGAGCUAUACAUGUUCUAUGCUAUUUUACCUGAGAGAGAGCAGCAGGAGUGAUUUAGCUAGUUAUCAUGCUCUUAGUACUUGUUGUCCUCUCAUGCGUGUCCAUGUUCUUCGUCCUGAACUUAAUCUCAAAGAGUGAUUUGCUUUGGUGGUGUUAUGAACGCUUAUAAUAUCAUGACCAUGUUGAACUCGAUGAUAUCUUUGCUAGCUAGUAUAUACUGUUGUUGGUGAUGAUAUGAUGCAAGAGUUUUUAUAUUAAUAUGAUGAUGAUGAGUUAUUAUAUCAUUUAUGAAAGAAACCGCAUCUUAGUUUCAACUGGAUGGAUCCUAGCUAAGUGAUCAAGUAUAUGCCAUAUCCAUAUUACUUAGAUCACUAAGUGAUCUAAGUAAUAUGGAUAUGGCAUAUACUUGAUCACUUACCUAGGAUCCACAUGCAUCAAUUCGAAACGAAUCUGCGAUACUUUCACCUAAUGAUUUAACAACUCAUUAUAAUGUAAAACAAUCACUAAAUUAAAUUGAAAACACAAAACUAAAGGAAAAAUAAAAAUUAAAACCAAAACACACCCAAACAUUUAGUACCGGUUGGUGUUACCAACCAGUACUAAUGUCCUACACGCACCCGGGCCUGGCUCGUGCCACGUGGUGGCACGUCAGCGCCGGUUCGUGCCGAACCGGUACUAAAGGGGAAGGGGGGGCUUUAGUCUCCAUUCUUUAGUGCCGGUUGCAGAACCGGCACUAAAGGCCCUUGCAAACCGGCGCUAAAGCCCGGUUCUGCACUAGUGACCCCUCGACUUCCGUAACCUCGCCCAUUGAGUAUGAGGUUGCCUCAGUUGCAGCUUGUCCCCUGCACCCUUCUCUGGUCCUAGAUAAAACUGUCAUCUUGCUUCAGAUUCAAGUGGUUCUUUCCGGUUGACCAAUGAGUGGUGGGUAUAUGUUGUAUGUUAUCCCGUUUUGUCUUUCCCCCGUUUUUGCAUUUUUAGAAGAUUGCAUACAUGGUAUUGAUGUGUCGGUAAACUGCUUUUAGAUGAAAAUAAAGUGCCCUUUUUUAUAUAGUUGACCUGUCAAUUGUUAUGUUCAUGAAUGUUUUAAAAACACAAAUAUUGAUUAUUUUAACAAGUGAACAUUUCCAAAAACAAAAUAAAACAAUGAUUCAGAAAAAUUGAAGUCUUUUCAAAUAUUGUGUGAAGUUUCUUUGGAACGUUUUUACAACGACGAAAUUUUUGAAAUAAAAUACAGCUAUAAGAGGAAAUAGAAAAAAAGUCCAGAAAAGUAAACAACAGAAAAAGGCAAAAACAACAGAUAGGAACCUUCAAGAAGCUUCCUAAAACUAGGAAAAUAUGACUUUGAACUUUCCCAAAAUUGGAAACAGUGUCAGUAUGCAAUUGGGCCGGCCUUCCCUAUGCCAUUGCCCGACAUUUGCCCACAAUGAGCAGCAGCUAGGAUUUGCUCGGUUUAUGGUCCGGUGCAUCGACUUGUUGCCCAGGUAGUGACUUGGUGGGGAGCUCGAAUUCCACCGCCGAGACUAUAUCUCGCUUCCCGUGAGUGUUUCUUUUGUCUUGCUAAAGGGAUUCCCUCCCACAUAUAGCUACUGGACCGACUCAUAUUCGAUGUUAUUUCGUUUGAUGACUUUCAAUUGUCUUCGCUGGGUUGGUUUCCUUCGUUUUUUUGUUUUUAUCUUUCAUUUUUUUUCUUCUGCAGUUUCCUCUGUUUAUUUCGUUUUCCCUUUGUUUUUUCACCAGCUUCCUUUGGUUUUUAUUUUUGUUGUUGUUUUCUUUUCGGGUUUCUUUUCUUUCUUUCUUUCUUUGCUUUUUCCUUGGUUUUCAUAUGUAUUUUUUGUUUUUAUUUGUUUCUUUCUCCGGUUUCUUGGUUUCAUUCUUCUGCAUUAGUUUCCUUGGCUUUCCAAUACAUGUUCAACAAUUUUCAUCAAUUUCUUUUUUGUUUAAGACAUGUUAAUUGUUUUACUACAUAUUUCAACCUUUUUCUUAUACAUCAGAUUUUUUUAAUAUACACGUUUAAAUUUUAGCUAUCUACUUUUUUUUGGUUAAAACUGUACAUUUUUGGUAUAUAUCUAAUACAAUUUUCUAAUUCAUGUUUAAUAUUUUUAAAUACAUGUUCAACAUUGUUUGAAUAUAUGGGAAAUUGUUUUUCUAUACCCCUAAUUAAAAAAAGCUUAACCCCGAGAAAAAAAUGUUCAGAAACUCAUAGAAAAAAGGUACUUUUAUCACACGGAUAACUCAGAUUAUGAAUAGCUGCUAUGUAAUGCCGAGCAUUUACACACAUAGGCACCACAUUAGUGCCGGCGCAUUUGGCGCUCGAGUGUAGCUGACUGUAGCAAGCGAUCCUCUGAUCUUUUGCGGGUGGUUUUGUUUUUUGGGAUAAUUAGAUUUAUGCCCCUAGUUGUGUCCCACUCGUCUGUUUUACCCCUAAUUCCCAAAAGUCACCGGUUCUGUCCAAGUCACUUUGCUCCUCUUAUGCUUUUGCCCUUUGACCGUUUGACCGUCAGUUUGAAAACUUCAUAACUAAUUCAUACUAAAUCGGAAAAAUGCAAAUAAGAUACCAAAAUGUUCAGAAAACAUCACCUAUAUGUCAGUGUCAUUUGCAUUCAUGAAAAAAGUGUUGGAAAGUGCUCAUCCGAGUUUUAGCUCUUAUGCUACCACCAUGAAUAGUAAAAUCUAAAAAAGUUCAAAAAAAUUCAAAAAAAUAUUGGUGGCAAAGAAUGACAAAUGUUUUAAGUGCCUGCCAAGUUUCAUCAAGGAAUAACAUUCGUGGGUGCCGCGGCAAAAAAACCAAUCAGCACUCCAAAAUAGAUUAUUUUUUUGCCACGACUUCCACGAAUGUCGUUCCCUAAUGAAACUUGGCAAUCACUUAGAACAUUUGUCGUUCUUUGCCACCAUAUUUUUUUUUGAUUUUUUUGAAUUUUUUUAGAGUUUACUAUUCAUGGUGGUAUCAAAAGAGCUAAAACUCGGAUGUGCACUUUCCAACACUUUUUCAUAAAUGCAAAUGACACUGACAUAUAGGUGAUGUUUUUCUGAACAUUUUGGUAUCUUAUUUGCAUUUUUCUUAUUUAGUAUGAAUAAGUUAUGAAGUUUUCAAACUGACGGUCAAACGGUCAAAGGGCAAAAGCAUAAGAGGAGCAAAGUGACUUGGACAGAACCGGUGACUUUUGAGAAUUAGGGGUAAAACAGAUGAGGGGGACACAACUAGGGGCAUAAAUCUAAUUAUCCCUUAUUUUUUCCGUAUGAUUAGUUUCCAGUAAGUUUUUUAUUUUCAGUUCAAAGAUACAAACUAUCAUUUAUUUAACAAAGUGAACAUUUUAAAAGAAAAUAUAAUAAUGAUUCAAGUAUUCUAAACAUUUGCCGAUGUCUGUAUAAAAUUAAAAAUAUUUUUAAAGAUUAUUUAUUUUUUGGAUUUUACUCUUCACUAGCAAAUAUGUCCGUGCGUCGCAACGGGAGAAAAACACAUGCCCCUAAACCCAAUAUGCAUGCCGACAUGGAUGUGUGCGCUGAGGAAUAACAUGAAGGAGAAUUUUGAUUUCAGCCAACUAAUUUGUACAAAUGGCUAAUAAAGUUCUGCAUUGUACAAUUUGCGGGUUUGAUUAAAGACAGUCAUCUCCAACUGUGAUGAAAAAAAAUAAACUCAAGCAUAAGAAUAAAAAGACAUACAAAAGAUAACAAAAUAUGCAUCUGUUGUUAAUUGAAAAAGAAACUGAAUAGAUUUUGCAUUAUCAAUUGGUGGAUGUGUUGAUAGUCCAUUUUUUGCUUGCAUUGAAGCAAGAGGCACACAUUUUCUGUCCAACUUAAAUUGUAUCGGAUGUCAAUGCAAUGAAUCACAAUAAUUUGUUGAACUAGUUUUACCGUCUUUUUCUUGGGUACUCACAUCUCUUUUGCUUCCUUAUAUUUCUGACCACAACUCACGAGCCUCUCCUUUCCAUUCUUAGCGCCCCUGACGCAACAUGAAUCACGUCUAUUUUCUCUUUGCUUCCCUCCCUCCUUAGCCCCUCUCUCUUUCCUUCCUUACUUAGCCCUCUUGAGGAACGUGAAUCACAUCUGUUUCUCCUUGUUUCAUUAUUUCUGAAAUCAGCCUCUCUUCCUUUCUUUAGCCCUCUCUCUUUCCUUCCUCAACAUCUCUCUCUUUCUCUCUUUUUCCCAAGAGGGCUUCUUAACUCCCAGGGAAGUCAAUGACAUAUAUAAAUUGGGUGGAUCACAUGUAAGGGGGCGAUGUGGUAUUAUUUGACAGGCGAGUUGUUCUUCCUUGUAACACAUAACAUAACCUGGAUCGGUUGGUUGUGGUGUUAUGUGCACAACAGGAGGGUUUUUUUUAGCGGUAAACCAAACUUUAUUACUCAAUUGUCAGGUUUACAUGAAUUAGAAAAGGGUCGUGGGGUGUCCCCUGCCACACAUGACGUCCUUCUUCUAAGGAUGUAGAGAACUUCACUAAAUUAUGGGCAUCAACAUUAAUUGCCCGGCCUUCAAAAACAAACUUACAGCUAGUAAGUUCCCCUGCCCUUGCAACAAUCUCCUUAAUGACCAUACCAUAUUUCCCAUCCGAACCUUUCUCUAUCUCAUCCACCAGUGUUUUACAGUCACAUGCGAUAGCAACUCGAUCCAAAGAUAAAUCGAGUGCAAGAGACAAAUCUUCUCUACAAGCAAGCGCUUCCAGCGUAGGAGGGUCCGUAAUUAGAUCGAAGACCAUAGCCAACGAACCAAGGUAUUUGCCAGUAUGAUCCCGACAAAUCGAGGCUGCCGCCCCCCGUCUCCCAUUCCUUGCGAGUCCUCUGUUCACAUGGAUCUUUGCGAUGCCUUCGGCUGGCGCGUUCCAUCCUCUCCUGCCUCCCGUUCUUGUGACAGUUUCUUCCCGAUGCCUGUCGCCGGAUGGCACAGGCGCCCUCAAAAUUUCAAGCUCCGAGAUGAAGCUCUUAACAAAAGAGAAAAUGGCAUGUGGGCUCUGAAAGAUUGCUUCAUGGAUAGCCUUCCGACGUGCUGUCCAAAUUGCCCAUAAAGUAACAACACAGUUUAUUAUCUGGGCAUGUGGCAGAUUAUCAAACAAAGUGAAUAACCAUUGCUUCGCACUCGGCUCGCUUGUUGCAUGUAGAUGAUCAGCGAGAUCGCCAUCAACGAGGGCCCAAACGCAACGAGCCAUUGAACAAUCCAGGAGGGAAUGCCUCCAUGAAUCUUGUGCUCCGCACAGCUGACUACAAUCAACAUCAGACAUAUUUCUUACAUGGCGCACAUCCUCAGUCGGGAGAGAAUGUUUGGCAAGUCGCCAUAGAAAGUUUUUUACCUUGCCCGGGACCUAAACCGACCAUAGAGAAGUCCAAGAUUUCCCUUCGGCUGCCAAGUCAGAUGAUCCUGCAAUUCCUUCGAGCCAAUCCUCUCUUCGUCUUUUUGUAUCUAUCAGCAUCCUGUACGCCGAUCGUACUGUAAAAAUCCCAUUCUUCUAAUGAGACCAAGCCCAUUGAUCGUUCAUAUGCCGUGUGCAGAGUGGGAUACCAUAGAUCACAUUCGAGUCUGCUGCUACAAAGACUUGCUCAACAUUUUUUUUCGCCAGGUUGCGGAUGUAUGAUCAAUUAACUCACUCACAAACUCUGGCGGAUUGGAUGACAAACAUGCAAUAGGUCUCAUAGUAGCACUCCUAGGAAUCCAAUUAUGUUCCCAGAUUUUGGUUGAAGACCCGUCUCCAAUUCUUCUUAUCAAGCCUUGACAAAGUACAUCACGUCCCUCCAAAAUAGGAGGUUGCAUGUUUGAUUCUACGCUCAAGCACUUUUUGCUUGGGUUUGGCUCGUCAGGAUAAGUGGGCCCGAUUCCUUGGGCCAUCGGCCGCAUCACACGGGCGGGUUAAUUUGGCCUGCUCGUGUGGAUGUUGGGUCUCGUUUUUCUCUCAGACCAGAGUAGACGCACGUAGUUUUUUAGAGACCUCGAGGAAGAAUUGUUGAGAGGUAAGGGAAACGGACGUACGACGGUUUUUGAGACGGACGGUUUUGAGACAGACGAAAUUAUGAUGGUAAGAAGUAAUAUAUAUAUAGGGCUCCUGUCUGAUAUAAAUCAAAUCCUAUGUAUGCAACGCACGUCCCUGCUGCCUUGUACUCUUGUAAGCAGAUUUGUUGAAGAGGAAAAACGACCCAUAGGCCACGUACAACCGAUUUGACAGUUUCUUUCCUUGUCCACGCCUUAAUUAAAAUCGAGGGACUGUAGGUCACCAGAAGUUCCAAAACCAACACAAAUCCAAUCCUAGUUGGAGCCGAAUUCAACUACUCCUAUAUAUGAGCGCCUAUAAAAAUACAAGAGCAAGCACGUCCAUCCAUAGGAAAACCAUCGAGUCCUCCCGGCCACAUCGACAUCCGCAGAAACUUCCACGCCCUAGUUGGACCGCUGUCUCAUCGUGAUGGCGAGCGCAGCAACACCUUCGGCCGUCGCCAUGGAGGAUAGCCAGAGCAUCGAGACGUCGUCGGAGAUAUCCGUGGCCGACGUCAUGACGUCGUUGGAAAAACUAUCGGCCGGCCUGGAGAGAGCUACAAGGUACUUCUGCGUGCUCAACAAGGUCGACACAUGGGCCGCUGCGUGCUUGGGACCGGAGCCGGUGGACGCCACGGCAUGCACCACAGCGCAGGCGGCACUGCUCAAGUGCAUAACAGAUCCAUCCACCUGCGACUCGGAGGAACCGCAGACGAACGAGAACUCCAGCUGAUUGAUUCAUCCACGCCGCCCGACCUCAUUAUAUAGCUUCCUUAAUUAGUGCGCUUUGUCUAGUUUCAGUAUGGAUAUUAUCUUAGGUAGAUUAGUUUCGAGCUUUCAUGAUGUACUACGUGUAACUACUUUCGGAUUCGUGUUAUUUGUAUCGGUACUGUUGUAAGCAGUUUCACAGUACAAUAAAUGUUCAGACUCUUUAUAUCAAAUUUUCAAAAAUAUAAUUGGAAUAUCUUCCCACGGUGUAUAUUUUAAAUAGCGAGUGGAGUAGAGUUAGCAGUGAAAUUCCUGUUGCCUCAGGUAUUCAGAAGACUUUGUACUUGAUUGGUGAAAAAACCCUUUGCCCCGUGUCGCUCCCUCCGGGGCGACUUGCAGAGUUCAACCUAGCGUAGACGCCCGCGCCUCCAAUCCAGACCACCCGAGAGGCCGGCGGUGCACUACAUGGUAGCCGAUGAAGUUGGCGGUGAGGAUCUGGUUGCCUCGUGCUUGGACGGGGCCCUUGAUCCGUGGUGGUAACCUUGGCUGGUGGAUCGACGUCGGCUCUGCAGCGGUCGGCGCUUGUUUGGUGCUGGCGGUCCUCCUCGGCCAGGAGCGGCGAGGUGGUGAUAGGUGCCUCCUUUGCAGCGGGUCUCCUCAGUGGAGUAGUUUCGCUAUGGAUAGUUUCUAUGAUGUACUAUGCAGCAACUAUUUUCAUAUUAGUGUUAUUUGUUCCGAACAUUUGCCUUGCACUUGUAAGCAGUUGCAGUAACUAAACCAUACAAUAAUUGUUCAGACUUUUCUUAUGAAAUUUUCUAAAAUAUACUUGGAAUUUCUUCCUGCAGUGUAUUUUUAAAUAGUGAGUGGAGUAGAGUUAGCAGUUAAAUUCCUGUUGCUUCGCCUAAGAAAAGUCCACAUGAAUUCAAAAGAUUUUGUAGGUGUUUGGUGAGAACCCUAGCGCUGCCCCCUGUGCCCCCAAUCCCGGCUCUCCUCCCUAUUGCUACCCAAGGGACUACCAGUGCACCGCAUGGUAGCCGAGGAAGUUGGAUGUGAGGAUCUGGCAGCCUUGUUUUUCGACGCCCCUGGAUCCGUGGCGGCGGCCUCGGCUGAUGGAUCGACCAGAAGGCACUAGUAGAAAAAAGGGCUUCCGUUCGGGCCUGGCCAGCCCAUUAGUCCCGGUUCUGCCAUGAACCGGGACCAAUGGAGGCAUUUGUCCCGGUUCGUGAGCCCAGGGGGCCGGCCCGAGCCUCGUGGGCAUUGGUCCCGGUUCGUCUGGGCCCAUUUGUCCCGGCUCUUGGCACGGACCGGGACCAAUGGGCCUCGCUCCUGGCCCACAACCAUUGGUCCCACUUCAUGGCAGGAACUGGGACAGAAGGAUGGCCUUUAGUCCCGGUUCCAGCCACGAACCGGGAGAAAUGAGUUGCCUAUAUAUACCCCAUCGCCGGCGAGCAGAGCACUCCACAGUGCUCUAUUUUUUGCUGGCCGCCGAGGAAGGGCAUUUGGGUUCUCUAGCUCACCUUUUAUGCAUGUGAGGUGUUCGAUGAAAUGCCCGAGCCACACUAGUUAAGCUUUCUCCUCUCGAAGCUCGACCUCCGAGCUCCAUUUUUUCCGAGAUUUGUCUAGGUUUAGCGGUCCGUCACGCCCCGUCCUCGUCUUCACCACCGUCGAUCGCCCGCGCCGAUCUCGUCGUCGGCACCACCGUGGUGAGCCUCUUGUUCUUAUCUUCUUUCUGAAAGAAAAAAAAUCUUACUUUAGAUAGAUACUUGUCUAGUUUUCUUACUUUUGACACACAUAAUUAUAAAAAUGCACGCAGAUGAACCGACAAUGAAUGUACGGUGACAGACACACCUCACAGUACAUUAAGGGCGUGCAUAAUUUUCUUGAAGUGGCUGAGGCAAACAAGCAGAAUGGUUUUAUGUGUUGUCCAUGCCCUAAUUAUGGGAAUACGAGGUCUUACUCUGACAAGAAAAUCCUUCACACCCACCUGCUUUAUAAGGGUUUGAUGCCACACUAUAAUGUUUGGACGAAGCACGGAGAAAUAGGGGUUAUGAUGGAAGACAGCUAAGAAGAAAAGGACGGUGACAACUAUGUGCCCCCUGAAUACGGUGAUGCUGCGACGGAGGAAGCUGAAGAUCAAGAGGAAGCUGAAGAUCCAGAGGAAACAGACGAUGUGCCCGAUGAUGAUCUCCGCCGGGUCAUUGUUGAUGCAAGGGAAAAGUGCGAAAGUGAAAAGGAGAAGUUGAAUAUCAAUCGCAUGUUAGAGGAUCACAAAAAAGGUUGUACCCCCAUUGCGAAGAUGGCAAGACAAAGUUCGGUACCGUACUAGAAUUGCUGCAGUGGAAGACAGACAAUGCUGUGCCUGACAAAGGAUUUGAGAAGCUACUAAAAAUAUUGAACACUUUAUAUAGGUAACUAAUUAGCGCACUAUGUCUAGUUUCAUUAUGGAUAUCUUGAUAGAUUAAUUUCUAGUGCUUAUCAUUUACGUAGUUUAAUUGUUCAGACUACUUUCAGAUUCGUGUUAUUUGUUUUCGGUACGCUUAUUUUUUACUAUUGUAAGCAGUUUAAUUGUUCAGACUUUUUAUAUGAAUUUUUCAAUAAUAUAUUAGUACGUAUUCUUCGCACGGUGUAUUUUUUUAAUAGUGAGUGGAGUGAGUUAGCAGUUAAAUUUCUGCUGCUGCGCCUAAAAAAAGUGUACAUGUAUUCAAAGGACUUUGCAGGUGAAUACAGAAAUUCCUUCCGCCACCCGCGUCGCUGCCUCCGGGACGACUCGCGCAGCUCAACCCUAGCGCCACCGCCUGCGCUCCCAAUCCUGACUCUCCCCAUUGUCGCCACAUUACGGAUCGCGGUGCAUCACAAGCUAGCCGAGGAGGCUGGUGGUGAGGAUCUGGCUGCCUUGUGCUUGGACGGGGUCUAGAUUCGUGGCGGCGGUCUCAGCUAGUGGAUCAGCACUACUAGGGAAAAGCCUAUACACAGAAUCUUACUAGAAGCGCGCUUUAAAAUAAGGCGCUGCUGCUAGCUAGCAGUAGCGCGCACGCACAAAACUCGCUGCUGAUAUAAAUGUAUCAGUAGCGUGCCCUCUCUAAGAUGCGCUACUGCUAUAAUUGCCACGACGCCGCCGCGAGGCUAGUUCUAGCAGCAGCGCACUAAUACGAAGAGCGCUACUGCUACGGACCAUAGCAGUAGCGCAUUUACACAAUAACCGCUGCUGCUAAGUUUACUAAAAAAAAUUGUCCCACCUCGCUCCGUGAAGAGAGUUUGUACCACCUUAAAUAUGUUACUUCUCAAACUUUCACAACCACUUGGUCUUCAUUGAACUCUAUGUGUAGAAUUUGUGGCCGUAAUAUGAGUCUUCACCAGUUACUAAACUGGUGAGGACUCAUAUUGACAAAUCAGAUUAUACACAAAAAGAUCAUUGAUGAUCAAUGUAUUUUUGAUGUCUAUUUUUACAUGCUGGCACAUAGCAGUAGCGCGCUCUUUGUGAAAGGCGCUACUGCUAGGUCGUUUAGCAGUAGCGCCUUCUGCUAUAGCGCGCUACUGCUAAGCCAUUCCAUCUCCCCCUCCGAUCUAUCCGAUCCACUCACACUCACACUCACUCUAUCUCCCCCUCAACCCCCACGCCGUUCCUCCCCCGUCGCCCCUCCUUCGAUCUACGCCGCCGCCACCUCCUCCUCCUCGCUGGACUCAGUACCGGCCUCCUCCUCCGUCCUCCCUCUAGUCGCCGCUGGCCGGCCCCUCCUCGCUCCGCCUUCCUCCUCCGUCCUCCCUCCACUCGCCGCCGGCUGGCCCCUCCUCACUCCGUCUUCCUCCUCCGUCCUACUCUCUUCUCCAUCCUCGAUUCGCCCCUCCUUCUCCCUCCUCCCUCCUCCAUCCACAACCCCUCCUCCCUGCUACAUUUUGAUUUAGUAGGCUAGUUGAUUUAGUAGGCUAGUUGAUUUAGUUGAUUUAGAACAUUUUGAUUUAGUUGAUUUAGUAUGCUAGUUGAUUUAGUUGAUUUAGAACAUUUUGAUUUAGUUGAUUUAGUAGGCUAGUUGAUUUCGUUGAUUUAGUAGGCUAGUUGAUUUAGUUGAUUUAGAACAUUUUGAUUUACUUGAUUUAGUAUGCUAGUGGAUUUAGUAGGCUAGUUGAUUUACUUGAUUUAGUAUGCACCAUUUUAUUGUUAUUUGUUCUCUACAUGGAUAGGUAUAUGCUUUUGUUUUUUUGUAAUAAGUUAUUUUUUGGCAAAAUGUAGGUGCCAAUUUAGUUAAAUUUGCCACUUGUUUUUUAAAUCAAUUAUCUUAGGCCAUAGGGGCCAAAUGAGAUGAAAUGUCUUGGUAGGUGGUACCCUUAUUUGGUAGAUAUUUGUGAAAAGUUUUUUCGGCAACAGGUGCCACCGAAAUGCUUUGUCCAUAAAAUUGCUUCUCGCGGAAGAACCAAAAAUAUCACAUGCUACUGUUUUUCUUUCCUGUGAAGUGAAUCGUUAAUCCUUUGCUCAUAUUGCUUUAGGAAAAUGGCGCCACUGAAGGAAAUAUGCCCUAGAGGCAAUAAUAAAGUUAUUAUUUAUUUCCUUAUAUCAUGAUAAAUGUUUAUUAUUCAUGCUAGAAUUGUAUUAACAGGAAACAUAAUACAUGUGUGAAUACAUAGACAAACAUAGUGUCACUAGUAUGCCUCUACUUGACUAGCUCGUUGAUCAAAGAUGGUUAUGUUUCCUAGCCAUAGACAUGAGUUGUCAUUUGAUUAACGGGAUCACAUCAUUAGGAGAAUGAUGUGAUUGACUUGACCCAUUUUGUUAGCUUAGCACACGAUCGUUUAGUAUUCUGCUAUUGAUUUCUUCAUGACUUAUACAUGUUCCUAUGACUAUGAGAAUAUGCAACUCCCGUUUACCAGAGGAAUACUUUGUGUGCUACCAAACAUCACAACGUAACUGGGUGAUUAUAAAGGUGCUCUACAGGUGUCUCCGAAGGUACUUAUUGGGUUGGCGUAUUUCGAGAUUAGGAUUUGUCACUCCGAUUGUCGGAGAGGUAUCUAUGGGCCCACUCGGUAAUGCACAUCACUUAAGCCUUGCAAGCAUUGCAACUAAUGAGGUAGUUGUGGGAUGAUGUAUUACGGAACGAGUAAAGAGACUUGCCGAUAACGAGAUUGAACUAGGUAUUGAGAUACUGAUGAUCGAAUCUCGGGCAAGUAACAUACCGAUGACAAAGCGAACAACGUAUGUUGUUAUGCGGUCUGACCGAUAAAGAUCUUCGUAGAAUAUGUGGGAGCCAAUAUGAGCAUUCAGGUUCCGCUAUUGGUUAUUGACCGGAGACGUGUCUCGGUCAUGUCUACAUAGUUCUCGAACCCGUAGGGUCCGCACGCUUAAAGUUCGAUGACGGUUAUAUUAUGAGUUUAUGUGUUUUGAUGUACCGAAGGUAUUUCGGAGUCCCGGAUGAGAUCUGGGACAUGACGAGGAGUCUCGAAAUGGUCGAGACGUAAAGAUCGAUAUAUUGGACGACUAUAUUCGGACAUCGGAAAGGUUCCGAGUGAUUCGGGUAUUUUUCGGAGUACCGGAGAGUUACGGGAAUUCGCCGGGGAGUAUAUGGGCCUUAUUGGGCUUUAGGGGAAAGGGAGAGGAGAGGCUGGGCGCCCCCCAAGGCCAGUCCGAAUUGGACUAGGGGGAGGGGCUGCGCCCCCUCCUUCCUUCUCUUCUCUCUCCCCUUUCCUUGACUCCUACUCCUACUACUUGGAAGGGAUGGAAUCCUACUCCCGUUGGGAGUAGGACUCCUCCUGGCGCGCCUCCACCUGGUCGUCCGCACCUCCCCCUCCUUGAUCCUUUAUAUACGGAGGCAGAGGGGCAUCCCAAAGACACAACAAUUGAUCGUUUGAUCUUUUAGCCGUGUGCGGUGCCCCCGUCCACCAUAGUCCACCUCGAUAAUACUGUAGCAGUGGUUAGGCAAAGCCCUGCGGUAGAACAUCAUCAUCGUCACCACGCUGUCGUGCUGACGAAACUCUCCCUCAACACUCGGCUGGAUCGGACUUCGAGGGACGUCAUCGGGCUGAACGUGUGCUGAACUCGGAGGUGCCGUGCGUUCGGUACUUGAUCGGUCGGAUCGUGAAGACGUACGACUACAUCAACCGCGUUGUGCUAAUGCUUCCGCUUUCGGUCUACGAGGGUACGUGGACAACACUCUCCCCUCUCGUUGCUAUGCAUCGCCAUGAUCUUGCGUGUGCGUAGGAAAAUUUUGAAAUUACUACGUUCCCCAACAGUGGCAUCUGAGCCAGGUUUUAUGCGUAGAUGUCAUAUGCACGAGUAGAACACAAGUGAGUUGUGGGCGAUACAAGUCAUACUGCUUAACAGCAUGUCACACUUUCGUUCGGCGGUAUUGUUGGAUGAAGCGGCCCGGACCGACAUUACGUGUACGCUUACGCGAGACUGGUUUACCGCCGUGGUUUGCACACAGGUGACUAGCGGGUGUCAGUUUCUCCAACUUUAGUUGAACCGAGUGUGGCUACGCCCGGUCCUUGAGAAGGUUAAAACAGCACUAACUUGACGAACUAUCGUUGUGGUUUUGAUGCGUAGGUAAGAACGGUUCUUGCUCAGCCCGUAGCAGCCACGUAAAACUUGCAACAACAAAGUAGAUGACAUCUAACUUGUUUUUGCAGGGCAUGUUGUGAUGUGAUAUGGUCAAGACGUGAUGAGAUAUAAGUUGUUGUAUGAGUUGAUCAUGUUUUGUUGAAUUUAUCGGCAACUGGCAAAAGUUUUAUGGUUGUCUCUUUAUUGCAUAAGAUGCAAGCGCCAAAUAAUUGCUUUACUUUAUCGCUAUGCGAUAGCAAUAGUUGCAAGAGCAAUAGUUGGCGAGACGACCAUGUGACGACACAUUGAUAUAGAUCAAGAUGAUGGAGAUCAUGGUGUCAUGCCGGUGACGAUGGAGAUCAUGACGAUGCUUUGGAGAUGGAGAUCAAAGGCACAAGAUGAUGAUGGCAAUAUCAUGUCACAUAUUAUGAUUGCAUGUGAUGUUUAUCUUUUAUACAUCUUAUCUUGCUUUGAUUGACGGUAGCAUUAUAAGAUGAUCUCUCACGAAAUUAUCAAGGUAUAAGUGUUCUCCCUGAGUAUGCACCGUUGCGAAAGUUCUUCGUGCUGAGACACCACGUGAUGAUCGGGUGUGAAGGAAAUAUUCCCUAGAGGCAAUAAUAAAGUAUUAUAUAUUUCCUUAUAUCAUGAUAAAUGUUUAUUAUUCAUGCUAGAAUUGUAUUAACCGGAAACAUAAUACAUGUGUGAAUACAUAGACAAACAGAGUGUCACUAGUAUGCCUCUACUUGACUAGCUCGUUAAUCAAAGAUGGUUAUGUUUCCUAGCCAUAGACAUGAGUUGUCAUUUGAUUAACGGGAUCACCUCAUUAGGAGAAUGACGUGAUUGACUUGACCCAUUCCGUUAGCUUAGCACCCGAUCGUUUAGUAUGUUGCUAUUGCUUUCUUCAUGACUUAUACAUGUUCCUAUGACUAUGAGAUUAUGCAACUCCCGUUUAUCGCAGGAGCACUUUGUGUGCUACCAAACGUCACAACGUAAAAGGGUGAUUAUAAAGGUGCUCUACAGGUGUCUCCAAAGGUACUUGUUGGGUUGGCGUAUUUCGAGAUUAGGAUUUGUCACUCCGAUUGUCGGAGAGGUAUCUCUGGGCCCACUCGGUAAUGCACAUCACUAUAAGCCUUGCAAGCAUUGUGACUAAUGAGUUAGUUGCAGGAUGAUGUAUUACGGAACGAGUAAAGAGACUUGCCAGUAACGAGAUUGAACUAGGUAUCGAGAUACCGACGAUCGAAUCUCGGGCAAGUAACAUACCGAUGACAAAGGGAACAACGUAUGUUGUUAUGCGGUCUGACCGAUAAAGAUCUUCGUAGAAUAUGUGGGAGCCAAUAUGGGCAUCCAGGUCCCGCUAUUGGUUAUUGACCGGAGAGGUGUCUCGGUCAUGUCUACAUAGUUCUCGAACCCGAAGGGUCCACACUCUUAAAGUUACGAUGACAGUUAUAUCUAGAGUUUAUAUGUUUUGAUGUACCGAAGGUUGUUUGGAGUCCCAGAUGAGAUCACGGACAUGACGAGGAGUCUCGAAAUGGUCGAGACAUAAAGAUUGAUAUAUUGGACGACUAUAUUCGGACACCGGAAGUGUUCCGGAGAAGUUUCGGAUUAAACCAGAGUGCCGGAGGGUUACCGGAACCCCCCGGGGAAGUAUUGGGCCUUAGUGGGCCUUGAGGGGAGAGAGAGGGUAGCAGCCAGGAGGUGGCGCGCCCCCUCCCAGGAGGAGUCCUAGUUGGACUAGGAGAGGGGGGCGCAGCCCCCUUUCCCUCUCCCUCUCCCUCUCUUUCCUUCCCCCCCUCUUUUCCUAGUAGGACUAGGAAAGGGGAGUCCUACUCCUACUAGCAGGAGGACUCCCCCUAUCCUUGGCGCGCCUAGGGAAGCCGGCCUCCCCCUUGCUCCUUUAUAUACGGGGGUAGGGGGCACCUCUAUACACACUUGAAAUACGAUAUAGUAGCCGUGUGCGGUGCCCCCCUCCAACAUAUUACACCUCGAUAAUACCGUUGCGGAGCUUUGGCGAAGCCCUGCGUCGGUGGAACAUCAUCAUCGUCACCACGCCGUCGUGCUGACGAAACUCUCCCUCAACACUCGACUGGAUCGGAGUUCGAGGGACGUCAUCGAGCUGAACGUGUGUAGAACUCGGAGGUGCCGUGUGUUCGGUACUUGAUCGGCCGGAUCGUGAAGACGUACAACUACAUCAACCGCGUUGUGAUAACGCUUCCGCUGUCGGUCUAUGAGGGUACGUGGACAACACUCUCCCUCUCGUUGCUAUGCAUCACCAUGAUCUUGCGUGUGCAUAGGAAUUUUUUUGAAAUUACUACGUUCCCCAACAGAGGCAUCCGAGCCAGGUUUUAUGCGUUGAUGCAAUGCACGAGUAGAACACAAGUGAGUUGUGGGCGAUAUAAGUCAUACUGCUUACCAGCAUGUCAUACUUUGGUUCAUUGGUAUUGUGAGAUGAAGCGGCCCGGACCGACAUUACGCGUACGCUUACGCGAGACUGGUUUCACCGUUGCGAGCACUCGUUGCUUAAAGGUGACCGGCGGAUGUCUGUCUUUCUCACUUUAGUUGAACCGAGUGUGGCUACGCCCGGUCCUUGCGAAGGUUAAAAAAGCACCAACUUGACAAACUAUCGUUGUGGUUUUGAUGCGUAGGUAAGAACGGUUCUUGCUAAGCCCGUAGCAGCCACGUAAAACUUGCAACAACAAAGUAGAGGACGUCUAACUUGUUUUUGCAGGGCAUGUUGUGAUGUGAUAUGGUCAAGAAAUGAUGUGAUAUAUUUUGUUGUAUGAGAUGAUCAUGUUUUGUAACCGAGUUAUCGGCAAUUGGCAGGAGACAUAUGGUUGUCGCUUUAUUGUAUGAGAUGCAUGUUGGGGAACGUAGUAAUUUCAAAAAAAUUCCUACGCACACGCAAGAUCAUGGUGAUGCAUAGCAACGAGAGGGGAGAGUGUUGUCCACGUACCCUCGUAGGCCGACAACGGAAGCGUUAUCACAACGCGGUUGAUGUAGUCGUACGUCUUCACGAUCCGACCGAUCAAGUACCGAACGUACGGCACCUCCGAGUUCUACACACGUUCAGCUCGAUGACGUCCCUCGAACUCCGAUCCAGCCGAGUGUUGAGGGAGAGUUUCGUCAGCACGACGGCGUGGUGACGAUGAUGAUAUUCCACCGACGCAGGGCUUCACCUAAGCUCCGCAACAGUAUUAUUGAGGUGUAAUAUGGUGGAGGGGGGCACCGCACACGGCUAAGAGAUCUCAAGGAUCAAUUGUUGUGUCUCUCGGGUGCCCCCUGCCCCCGUAUAUAAAGGAGCAAGGGGGAGGCAGCCGGCCAAGGGGAGAGGCGCGCCAUAGGGGGGAGUCCUACUCCCACUGGGAGUAGGACUCCUCCUUUCCUUGUGGGAGUAGGAGAAGGGAAGGGGGAAGGAGAAAGAAGGAAGGGUGCGCCCCCCUUCCCUAGUCUAAUUCGGACCAGACCAUGGGGAGGGGUGCGGCCACCUUUUGAGGCCUUUCUCUCCUUUGCCGUAUGGCCCAUUAAGGCCCAAUACGAAUUCCCGUAACUCUCUGGUACUCCGAAAAAUACCCGAAUCACUCGGAACCUUUCCGAAGUCCGAAUAUAGUCGUCCAAUAUAUCGAUCUUUACAUCUCGGCCAUUUCGAGACUCCUCGUCAUGUCCCCGAGCUCAUCCGGGACUCCGAACUCCUUCGGUACAUCAAAACUCAAUAAAACUGUCAUCGUAACGUUAAGCGUGCGGACCCUACGGGUUCGAGAACUAUGUAGACAUGACCGAGACACGUCUCGGGUAAAUAACCAAUAGCGGGACCUGGAUGCCCAUAUUGGCUCCCACAUAUUCUACGAAGAUCUUUAUCGGUCAGACCGCAUAACAACAUACGUUGUUCCCUUUGUCACCGGUAUGUUACUUGCCCGAGAUUUGAUCGUCGGUAUCUCGAUACCUAGUUCAAUCUUGUUACCGGCAAGUCUCUUUACUCGUUCCGUAACACAUCAUCCCGCAACUAACUCAUUAGUCACAAUGCUUGUAAGGCUUAUAGUGAUGUGCAUUACCGAGUGGGCCCAGAAAUACCUCUCCGACAAUUGGAGUGACAAAUCCUAAUCUCGAAAUACGCCAACCCAACAAGUACCUUUGGAGACACCUGUAGAGCACCUUUAUAAUCACCCAUUUACGUUGUGACGUUUGGUAGCACACAAAGUGUUCCUCCGGUAAACGGGAGUUGCAUAAUCUCAUAGUCAUAGGAACAUGUAUAAGUCAUGAAGAAAGCAAUAGCAACAUAUUAAACGAUCGGAUGCUAAGCUAACGGAAUGGGUCAAGUCAAUCACGUCAUUCUCCUAAUGAGGUGAUCUCGUUAAUCAAAUGACAACUUAUGUCUAUGGAUAGGAAACAUAACCAUCUUUGAUUAACGAGCUAGUCAAGUAGAGGCAUACUAGUGACACUCUGUUUGUCUAUAUAUUCACACAUGUAUUAUGUUUCCGGUUAAUACAAUUCUAGCAUGAAUAAUAAACAUUUAUCAUGAUAUAAGGAAAUAAAUAAUACUUUAUUAUUGCCUCUAGGGCAUAUUUCCUUCAGUCUCCCACUUGCACUAGAGUCAAUAAUCUAGAUUACACAGUAAUGAUUCUUACACCCAUGGAGCCUUGGUGCUGAUCAUGUUUUGCUCGUGGAAGAGGCUUAGUCAACGGGUCUGCAACAUUCAGAUCCGUAUGUAUCUUGCAAAUUUCUAUGUCUCCCACCUGGACUAAAUCCCGGAUGGAAUUGAAGCGUCUUUUGAUGUGCUUGGUUCUCUUGUGAAAUCUGGAUUCCUUUGCCAAGGAAAUUGCACAAGUAUUGUCACAAAAGAUUUUCAUAGGACCCGAUGCACUAGGUAUGACACCUAGAUCGGAUAUGAACUCCUUCAUCCAGACUCCUUCAUUUGCUGCUUCUGAAGCAGCUAUGUACUCUGCUUCACAUGUAGAUCCCGCCACGACGCUUUGCUUAGAACUGCACCAACUGACAGCUCCACCGUUCAAUGUAAAUACGUAUCCGGUUUGCGAUUUAGAAUCGUCCGGAUCAGUGUCAAAGCUUGCAUCAACGUAACCAUUUACGAUGAGCUCUUUGUCACCUCCAUAUACGAGAAACAUAUCCUUAGUCGUUUUCAGGUAUUUCAGGAUGUUCUUGACCGCUGUCCAGUGAUCCACUCCUGGAUUACUUUGGUACCUUCCUGCUAGACUUAUAGCAAGGCAUACAUCAGGUCUGGUACACAGCAUUGCAUACAUGAUAGAGCCUAUGGCUGAAGCAUAGGGGACAUCUUUCAUCUUCUCUCUAUCUUCUGCAGUGGUCGGGCAUUGAGUCUUACUGAACUUCACACCUUGCAACACAGGCAAGAAUCCUUUCUUUGCUUGAUCCAUUUUGAACUUCUUCAAAACUUUGUCAAGGUAUGUGCUUUGUGAAAGUCCAAUUAAGCGUCUUGAUCUAUCUCUAUAGAUCUUGAUGCCCAAUAUAUACGCAGCUUCACCGAGGUCUUUCAUUGAAAAACUCUUAUUCAAGUAUCCCUUUAUGCUAUCCAGAAAUUCUAUAUCAUUUCCAAUCAGUAAUAUGUCAUCCACAUAUAAUAUCAGAAAUGCUACAGAGCUCCCACUCACUUUCUUGUAAAUACAGGCUUCUCCAAAAGUCUGUAUAAAACCAAAUGCUUUGAUCACACUAUCAAAGCGUUUAUUCCAACUCCGAGAGGCUUGCACCAGUCCAUAAAUGGAUCGCUGGAGCUUGCACACUUUGUUAGCUCCCUUUGGAUCGACAAAACCUUCUGGUUGCAUCAUAUACAACUCUUAUUCCAGAAAUCCAUUCAGGAAUGCAGUUUUGACAUCCAUUUGCCAAAUUUCAUAAUCAUAAAAUGCGGCAAUUGCUAACAUGAUUCGGACAGACUUAAGCAUAGCUACAGGUGAGAAGGUCUCAUCGUAGUCAAUUCCUUGAACUUGUCGAAAACCUUUCGCAACAAGUCGAGCUUUAUAGACAGUAACAUUACCAUCAGCGUCAGUCUUCUUCUUGAAGAUCCAUUUAUUUUCAAUGGCUUGCCGAUCAUUGGGAAAGUCAACCAAAGUCCAUACUUUGUUCUCAUACAUGAAUCCCAUCUCAGAUUUCAUGGCCUCAAGCCAUUUUGCGGAAUCUGGGCUCACCAUCGCUUCUUCAUACUUCGUAGGUUCGUCAUGGUCUAGUAACAUAACCUCCAGAACAGGAUUACCGUACCACUCUGGUGCGGAUCUUACUCUGGUUGACCUACGAGGUUCAGUAUUAACUGUUGGGAAUCGUAGCAUAAUUUUAAAAUUUUCCUACGCUCACCAAGAUGCAUCUAUGGAGUAUACUAGCAACGAGGGGAAAGGAGUGCAUCUACAUACCCUUGUAGAUCGCGAGCGGAAGCGUUCCAAUGAACGUGGAUGACGGAGUCGUACUUGCCGUGAUCCAAAUCACUGAUGACUGAGUGCCGAACGGACGGCACCUCCGCGUUCAACACACGUACGGUGCAGCGACAUCUCCUCCUUCUUGAUCCAGCAAGGGGGAAGGAGAGGUUGAUGGAGAUCCAGCAGCACGACGGCGUGGUGGUGGAUGUAGCGGGAUGCCGGCAGGGCUUCGCCGGGCUUAUACAAGAGAGAGAGGUGUUGCAGGGGAGGAGGGAGGCGCCCAAGGCUGUGUAUUGCUGCCCUCCCUACCUCACCCUUUAUAUAGGCCCCCUGGGAGGCCGAAACUUGACUUCCUAUAUAUAAUUCUUCACCUCCGGACCAUUCCGGAACCUCUCGUGACGUCCGGGAUCUCAUCCGGGACUCCGAACAACUUUCGAGUGGCCGAAACUUGACUUCCUAUAUAUAAUUAUUCACCUCCGGACCAUUCCAGAACCUCUCGUGACGUCCGGGGUCUCAUCCGGGACUCCGAACAACUUUUGGGUUUCCGCAUACACAUAUCUCUACAACCCUAGCAUCACCGAACCUUAAGUGUGUAGACCCUACGGGUUCGGGAGACAUGCAGACAUGACUGAGACGCCUCUCCGGUCAAUAACCAACAGCGGGAUAUGGAUACCCAUGUUGGCUCCCACAUGUUCCACGAUGAUCUCAUCAGAUGAACCACGGUGUCGAGGAUUCAAUCAAUCCUGUAUGCAAUUGCCUUUGUCAAUCGGUAUGUUACUUGCCCGAGAUUCGAUCGUCGGUAUUCCAAUACCAUGUUCAAUCUCGUUACCGGCAAGUCUCUUUACUCGUACCGUAAUGCAUGAUCCCGUGACUAACGCCUUAGUCACCUAGAGCUCAUUAUGAUGAUGCAUUACCGAGUGGGCCCAGAGAUACCUCUCCGUCACACGGAGUGACAAAUCCCAGUCUCGAUCCGUGCCAACCCAACAGACACUUUCGGAGAUACCCGUAGUGCACCUUUAUAGUCACCCAGUUACAUUGUGACGUUUGGCACACCCAAAGCACUCCUACGGUAUCCGGGAGUUGCACGAUCUCAUGGUCUAAGGAAAAGAUACUUGACAUUGGAAAAGCUCUAGCAAACGAAACUACACGAUCUUUUAUGCUAUGCUUAGGAUUGGGUCUUGUCCAUCACAUCAUUCUCCUAAUGAUGUGAUCCCGUUAUCAACGACAUCCAAUGUCCAUAGUCAGGAAACCAUGACUAUCUGUUGAUCAACGAGCUAGUCAACUAGAGGCUCACUAGGGACACGUUGUGGUCUAUGUAUUCACACAUGUAUUACGAUUUCCGGACAAUACAAUUAUAGCAUGAAUAAUAGACAAUUACCAUGAACAAAGAAAUAUAAUAAUAACCAUUUAUUAUUGCCUCUAGGGCAUAUUUCCAACAAUAACUUGAUCUGAAGUUUCAUGAUCAUCAUCAUUAAUUUCCUCAGUAAUUGGUGUAGGUGUCUCAGAAACUGGUUUCUGUGAUGAACUACUUUCCAAUAAGGGAGCAUGUAUAGUUACCUCAUCAAGUUCUACUUUCCUCCCACUCACUUCUUUCGAGAGAAACUCCUUCUCUAGAAAAUUUCCGAAUUUAGCAACAAAAGUUUUGCCUGCGGAUCUGUGAUAGAAGGUAUACCCAACAGUCUCCUUUGGGUAUCCUUUGAAGACACAUUUCUCCGGUUUGGGUUCGAGCUUAUCAGGUUGAUGUUUCUUCACAUAAGCAUCGCAGCCCCAAACUUUAAGAAGCGACAACUUUGGUUUCUUGCCAAACCACAGUUCAUAAGGCGUCGUCUCAACGGAUUUUGAUGGUGCCCUAUUUAACGUGAAUGCAGCCGUCUCUAAAGCAUAACCCCAAAACGAUAGCGGUAAAUCAGUAAGAGACAUCAUAGAUCGCACCAUAUCUAGUAAAGUGCGAUUAUGACGUUCGGACACACCAUUACGCUGUGGUGUUCCGGGUGGCGUGAGUUGCGAAACUAUUCCGCAUUGUUUCAAAUGUAGACCAAACUCGUAACUCAAAUAUUCUCCUCCAUGAUCUGAUCGUAGAAACUUUAUUUUCUUGUUACGAUGAUUUUCAACUUCACUCUGAAAUUCUUUGAACUUUUCAAAUGUUUCAGACUUAUGUUUCAUUAAGUAGAUAUACCCAUAUCUGCUUAAAUCAUCUGUGAAGGUGAGAAAAUAACGAUAUCCGCCACGAGUAUCAACAUUCAUCAGACCACAUACAUCUGUAUGUAUGAUUUCCAUCAAAUCUGUUGCUCUCUCCAUAGUUCUGGAGAACGGUGUUUUAGUCAUCUUGCCCAUGAGGCACGGUUCGCAAGUACCAAGUGAUUCAUAAUCAAGUGGUUCCAAAAGUCCAUCAGUAUGGAGUUUCUUCAUGCGCUUUACACCGAUAUGACCUAAACGGCAGUGCCACAAAUAAGUUGCACUAUCAUUAUCAACUCUGUAGCUUUUGGUUUCAAAAUUAUGAAUAUGUGUAUCACUACUAUCGAGAUUCAACAAAAAUAGACCACUCUUCAAGGGUGCAUGACCAUAAAAGAUAUUACUCAUAUAAAUAGAACAACCAUUAUUCUCUGAUUUAAAUGAAUAACCGUCUCGCAUCAAACAAGAUCCAGAUAUAAUGUUCAUGCUUAACGCUGGCACCAAAUAGCAAUUAUUUAGGUCUAAAACUAAUCCCGAAGGUAGAUGUAGAGGUAGCGUGCCGACCGCGAUCACAUCGACUUUGGAACCAUUUCCCACACGCAUCGUCACCUCGUCCUUAGCCAAUCUUCGCUUAAUCCGUAGCCCCUGUUUCGAGUUGCAAAUAUUAGCAACAGAACCAGUAUCAAAUACCCAGGUGCUACUGCGAGUAUUAGUAAGGUACACAUCAAUAACAUGUAUAUCACAUAUACCUUUGUUCACCUUGCCAUCCUUCUUAUCCGCCAAAUACUUUGGGCAGUUCCGCUUCCAGUGACCAGUUUGCUUGCAGUAAAAGCACUCAGUUUCAGGCUUAGGUCCAGACUUGGGUUUCUUCUCUUGAGCAGCGACUUGUUUGCUGUUCUUCUUGAAGUUCCCUUUCUUCUUCCCUUUACCCUUUUUCUUGAAACUGGUGGUCUUAUUGACCAUCAACACUUGAUGCUCCUUUUUGAUUUCUACCUCCGCAGCCUUUAGCAUUGCGAAGAGCUCGGGAAUUGUCUUACUCAUCCCUUGCAUAUUAUAGUUCAUCACGAAGCUCGUGUAGCUUGGUGGCAGUGAUUGAAGAAUUCUGUCAAUAACGCUAUCAUCCGGAAGAUUAACUCCCAGUUGAAUCAAGUGAUUGUUAUACCCAGACAUUUUGAGUAUAUGCUCACUGACAGAACUAUUCUCUUCCAUCUUGCAGCUGAAGAACCUAUUGGAGACUUCAUAUCUCUCAAUUCAUGCAUUUGCUUGAAAUAUUAACUUCAACUCCUGGAACAUCUCAUAUGCUCCAUGACGUUCAAAACAUCGUUGAAGACCAGGUUCUAAGGCGUAAAGCAUGGCACACUGAACUAUCGAGUAGUCAUCAGCUUUGCUCUGCCAGACGUUCAUAACAUCUGGUGUUGCUCCUGCAGCAGGCCUGGCACCCAGCGCUGCUUCCAGGACGUAAUUCUUCUGUGCAGCAAUGAGGAUAAUCAUCAAGUUACGGACCCAGUCCGUGUAAUUGCUACCAUCAUCUUUCAACUUUGCUUUCUCAAGAAACGCAUUAAAAUUCAACGGAACAACAGCACGGGCCAUCUAUCUACAAUUUACAUAGACAAGUAAAAGACUAUCAGGUACUAAGUUCAUGAUAAAUUCAAGUUCAAUUAAUCAUAUUACUUAAGAACUCCCACUUAGAUAGACAUCCCUCCAAUCCUCUAAGUGAUGACGUGAUCCAUAUCAACUAAACCAUGUCCGAUCAUCACGUGAGAUGGAGUAGUUUCAACGGUGAACAUCACUAUGUUGAUCAUAUCUACUAUAUGAUUCACGCUCGACCUUUCGGUCUCCGUGUUCCGAGGCCAUAUCUGUUAUAUGCUAGGCUCGUCAAGUUUAACCUGAGUAUUCCGCGUGUGCAACUGUUUUGCACCCGUUGUAUUUGAACGUAGAGCCUAUCACACCCGAUCAUCACGUGGUGUCUCAGCACGAAGAACUUUCGCAACGAUGCAUACUCAGGGAGAACACUUAUACUUUGAUAAUUUAGUGAAGGAUCAUCUUAUAAUGCUACCGUCAAACAAAGCAAGAUAAGAUGCAUAAAGGAUUAACAUCACAUGCAAUCAAUAUAAGUGAUAUGAUAUGGCCAUCAUCAUCUUGUGCUUGUGAUCUCCAUCUCCGAAACACCGUGCUUGUGAUCUCCAUCUCCGAAGCACCGUCAUGAACACCAACGUCACCGGCGCGACACCUUGAUCUCCAUCGUAGUAUCGUUGUCGUCUCGCCAACUAAUUGCUUUUACGACUAUCGCUACCGCUUAGUGAUAAAGUAAAACUAUUACAUGGCGAUUGCAUUUCAUACAAUAAAACGACAACCAUAUGGCUCCUGCCAGUUGCCGAUAACUCGGUUACAAAACAUGAUCAUCUCAUACAACAAAUUAUAUUACAUCAUGUCUUGACCAUAUCACAUCACAACAUGCCCUGCAAAAACAAGUUAGACGUCCUCUACUUUGUUGUUGCAAGUUUUACGUGGCUGCUACGGGCUUAGCAAGAACCGUUCUUACCUACGCAUCAAAACCACAACGAUAGUUUGUCAAGUUGGUGCUGUUUUAACCUUCGCAAGGACCGGGCGUAGCCACACUCGGUUCAACUAAAGUGAGAGAGACAGACACCCGCUAGUCACCUUUAAGCAACGAGUGCUCGCAACGGUGAAACCAGUCUCGCGUAAGCGUACGCGUAAUGUCGGUCCGGGCCGCUUCAUCUCACAAUACCGCUGAACCAAAGUAUGACAUGCUGGUAAGCAGUAUGACUUAUAUCGCCCACAACUCACUUGUGUUCUACUCGUGCAUAGCAUCGACGCAUAAAACCAGGCUCGGAUGCCACUAUUGGGGAACGUAGUAAUUUCAAAAAAUUUCCUACGCACAUGCAAGAUCAUGGUGAUGCAUAGCAACGACAGGGGAGAGUGUUGUCCACGUACCCUCGUAGACCGAGAGCGAAAGCGUUAUCACAACGCGGUUGAUGUAGUCGUAUGUCUUCACGAUCCGACCGAUCAAGUACCGAACGUACGGCACCUUCGAGUUCUACACACGUUCAGCUCGAUGACGUCCCUCGAACUCCAAUCCAGCCGAGUGUUGAGGGAGAGUUUCGUCAGCAUGACGGCGUGGUGACGAUGAUGAUAUUCCACCGACGCAGGGCUUCGCCUAAGCUCCGCAACAGUAUUAUCGAGGUGUAAUAUGGUGGAGGGGGCACCGCACACGGCUAAGAGAUCUCAAGGAUCAAUUGUUGUGUCUCUGGGGUGCCCCCCUGCCCCCGUAUAUAAAGGAGCAAGGGGGAGGCAGCCGGCCAAGGGGAGAGGCGCGCCAUAGGGGGGAGUCCUACUCCCACCGGGAGUAGGACUCCUCCUUUCCUUGUGGGAGUAGGAGAAGGGAAGGGGGAAGGAGAAAGAAGGAAGGGUGCGCCCCCCUUCCCUAGUCUAAUUCGGACCAGACCAUGGGGAGGGGUGCGGCCAACUUUUGAGGCCUUUCUCUCCUUUCCCGUAUGGCCCAUUAAGGCCGAAUACGAAUUCCCGUAACUCUCCGGUACUCCGAAAAAUACCCGAAUCACUCGGAACCUUUCCGAAGUCCGAAUAUAGUCGUCCAAUAUAUCGAUCUUUACGUCUCGGCCAUUUCAAGACUCCUCGUCAUGUCCCCGAUCUCAUCCGGGACUCCGAACUCCUUCGGUACAUCAAAACUCAAUAAAACUGUCAUCGUAACGUUAAGCGUGCGGACCCUACGGGUUCGAGAACUAUGUAGACAUGACCGAGACAUGUCUCCGGUCAAUAACCAAUAGCGGGACCUGGAUGCCCAUAUUGUCUCCCACAUAUUCUACGAAGAUCUUUAUCGGUCAGACCGCAUAACAACAUGCGUUGUUCCCUUUGUCACCGGUAUGUUACUUGCCCGAGAUUUGAUCGUCGGUAUCUCGAUACCUAGUUCAAUCUCGUUACCGGCAAGUCUCUUUACUCGUUCCGUAACACAUCAUCCCGCAACUAACUCAUUAGUCACAAUGCUUGCAAGUCUUAUAGUGAUGUGCAUUACCGAGUGGGCCCAGAGAUACCUCUCCGACAAUUGGAGUGACAAAUCCUAAUCUCGAAAUACGCCAACCCAACAAGUACCUUUGGAGACACUUGUAGAGCACCUUUAUAAUCACCCAUUUACGUUGUGACGUUUGGUAGCACACAAAGUGUUCCUCCGGUAAACGGGAGUUGCAUAAUCUCAUAGUCAUAGGAACAUGUAUAAGUCAUGAAGAAAGCAAUAGCAACAUACUAAACGAUCGGAUGCUAAGCUAACGGAAUGGGCCAAGUCAAUCACGUCAUUCUCCUAAUGAGGUGAUCUCGUUAAUCAAAUGACAACUUAUGUCUAUGGAUAGGAAACAUAACCAUCUUUGAUUAACGAGCUAGUCAAGUAGAGGCAUACUAGUGACACUCUGUUUGUCUAUAUAUUCACACAUGUAUUAUGUUUCCGGUUAAUACAAUUCUAGCAUGAAUAAUAAACAUUUAUCAUGAUAUAAGGAAAUAAAUAAUACUUUAUUAUUGCCUCUAGGGCAUAUUUUCUUCAAUGCAAUCACCAUGUAAUAGUUUUACUUUAUCACUAAGCGGUAGCGAUAGUCGUAAAAGCAAUUAUUUGGCGAGACGACAACGAUACUACGAUGGAGAUCAAGGUGUCGCGCCGGUGACGAUGGUGAUCAUGACGGUGCUUCGGAGAUGGAGAUCACAAGCAUGGUGCUUCGGAGAUGGAGAUCACAAGCACAAGAUGAUGAUGGCCAUAUCAUAUCACUUAUAUUGAUUGCAUGUGAUGUUAAUCCUUUAUGCAUCUUAUCUUGCUUUGAUUGACGGUAGCAUUAUAAGAUGAUCUCUCACUAAAAUUUCAAGAUAAAAGUGUUCUCCCUGAGUAUGCACUGUUGCGAAAGUUCUUCGUGCUGAGACACCACGUGUUAAUCGGGUGUGAUAGGCUCUACGUUCAAAUACAACUGUUGCAAAACAGUUGCACACGCAGAAUACUCAGGUUAAACUUGACGAGCCUACAUAUACAGAUAUGGCCUCGGAACACAGAGACCGAAAGGUCGAGCGUGAAUCAUAUAGUAGAUAUGAUCAACAUAGUGAUGUUCACCAUUGAAACUACUCCAUCUCACGUGUUAAUCGGACAUGGUUUAGUUGCUUUGGAUCACGUAAUCACUUAGAUGAUUAGAGGGAUGUCUAUCUAAGUGGGAGUUCUUAAGUAAUAUGAUUAAUUGAACUUAAAUUUAUCAUGAACUUAGUACCUGAUAGUAUCUUGCUUGUCUAUGUUAAUUGUAGAUAAAUGGCCCGUGCUGUUGUUCCGUUGAAUUUUAAUGCGUUCCUUGAGAAAGCUAAGUUGAAAGAUGAUGGUAGCAAUUACACGGACUGGGUCCGUAACUUGAGGAUUAUCCUCAUUGCUGCACAGAAGAAUUACGUCCUAGAAGCACCGCUAGGUGCCAGGCCUCCUGCAAGAGCGACGCCAGAAGUUAUGAACGUCUGGCAGAGCAAAGCUGAUGACUACUCAAUAGUUCAGUGUGCCAUGCUUUACGGCUUAGAACCGGGUCUUCAACGACAUUUUGAACGUCAUGGAGCAUAUGAGAUGUUCCAGGAGUUGAAGUUAAUAUUUCAAGCAAAUGCCCGGAUUGAGAGAUAUGAAGUCUCCAAUAAGUUCUAUAGCUGCAAGAUGGAAGAGAAUAGUUCUGUCAGUGAGCAUAUACUCAGAAUGUCUGGGUGUAAUAAUCACUUGAUUCAACUGGGAGUUCAACUUCCGAAUGAUUGCGUCAUUGACAGAAUUCUUCAAUCACUGCCACCAAGCUACAAGAGCUUCGUGGUGAACUAUAACAUGCAAGGGAUGGAUAAGACAAUUCCCGAGCUCUUCGCAAUGCUAAAGGCAGCGGAGGUAGAAAUCAAAAAGGAGCAUCAAGUGCUGAUGGUCAGUAAAACCACUAGUUUCAAGAAAAAGGGCAAAGGGAAGAAGAAAAGGAACUUCAAGAAGAACAGCAAGCAAGUUGUUAUUCAGGACAAGAAAUCCAAGUCUGGACCUAAGCCUGAAACUGAGUGCUUCUACUGUAAGCAGACUGGUCACUGGAAGCGGAACUGCCCCAAGUAUUUGGCGGAUAAGAAGGAUGGCAAGGUUAACAAAGGUAUAUGUGAUAUACAUGUUAUUGAUGUGUACCUUAGUAAUACUCGCAGUAGCACCUGGGUAUUUGAUACUAGUUCUGUUGCUAAUAUUUGCAACUCGAAACAGGGGCUACGGAUUAAGCGAAGAUUGGCUAAGGACGAGGUGACGAUGCGCGUGGGAAAUGGUUCCAAAGUCGAUGUGAUCGCCGUCGGCACGCUACCUCUACAUCUACCUUCGGGAUUAGUUUUAGACCUAAAUAAUUGUUAUUUGGUGCCAGCGUUGAGCAUGAACAUUAUAUCUGGAUCUUGUUUAAUGCGAGAUGGUUAUUCAUUUAAAUCAGAGAAUAAUGGUUGUUCUAUUUAUAUGAAUAACAUCUUUUAUGGUCAUGCACCCUUGAAGAGUGGUCUAUUUUUAAUGAAUCUCGAUAGUAGUGAUACACAUAUUCAUAAUGUCGAAGCCAAAAGAUGCAGAGUUAAUAACGACAGUGCAACUUAUUUGUGGCACUGCCGUUUGGGUCAUAUCGGUGUAAAGCGCAUGAAGAAACUCCAUACUGAUGGAAUUUUGGAAUCACUUGAUUUUGAAUCACUUGGUACUUGCGAACUGUGCCUCAUGGGCAAGAUGACCAAAACACCGUUCUCCGGAACUAUGGAGAGAGCAACAGAUUUGUUGGAAAUCAUACAUACAGAUGUAUGUGGUCCGAUGAAUAUUGAGGAUCGUGGCGUAUAUCGUUAUUUUCUCACCUUCACAGAUGAUUUGAGCAGAUAUGGGUAUAUCUACUUAAUGAAACAUAAGUCGGAAACAUUUGAAAAGUUCAAAGAAUUUCAGAGUGAAGUUGAAAAUCAUCGUAACAAGAAAAUAAAGUUCCUACGAUCUGAUCGUGGAGGAGAAUAUAUGAGUUACGAGUUUGGUCUACAUUGAAACAAUGUGGAAUAGUUUCGCAACUCACGCCACCCGGAACACCACAGCGUAAUGGUGUGUCCGAACGUCGUAAUCGUACUUUAUUAGAUAUAGUGCGAUCUAUGAUGUCUCUUACUGAUUUACCGCUAUCAUUUUGGGGUUAUGCUUUAGAGACGGCUGCAUUCACUCUAAAUAGGACACCAUCGAAAUCCGUUGAGACGACGCCUUAUGAACUAUGGUUCGGCAAGAAACCAAAGUUGUCGUAUCUUAAAGUUUGGGGUUCCGAUGCUUAUGUGAAGAAACUUCAACCUGAUAAGCUCGAACCUAAAUCGGAGAAAUGUGUCUUCAUAGGAUACCCAAAAGAGACUGCUGGGUAUACCUUCUAUCACAGAUCCGAAGGCAAGAUAUUCGUUGCUAGGAAUGGAUCCUUUCUAGAGAAGGAGUUUCUCUCGAAAGAUGUGAGUGGGAGGAAAGUAGAACUUGAUGAGGUAACUGUACCUGCUCCCUUAUUGGAAAGUAGAUCAUCGCAGAAAUCAGUUUCUGCGACACCUACACCAAGUAGUGAGGAAGUUAAUGAUAAUGAUCAUUAAAGUUCAGAUCAAGUUAUUACUGAACCUCGUAGGUCAACUAGAUCAAGAUCCGCACCAGAGUGGUACGGUAAUCCUGUUCUGGAGGUCAUGUUACUAGACCAUGACGAACCUACGAACUAUGAAGAAGCGAUGGUGAGCCCAGAUUCCGCAAAAUGGCUUGAAGCCAUGAAAUCCGAGAUGGGAUCCAUGUAUGAGAACAAAGUAUGGACUUUGGUUGACUUGCCUGAUGGUCGGCAAGCCAUUGAAAACAAAUGGAUCUUCAAGAAGAAGACUGACGCUGAUGGUAAUGUUACUGUCUAUAAAGCUCGACUUGUUUCGAAAGGUUUUCGACAAGUUCAAGGGAUUGACUACGAUGAGACCUUCUCACCCGUAGCGAUGCUUAAGACUAUCCGAAUCAUGUUAGCAAUUGCCGCAUUUUAUGAUUAUGAAAUUUGGCAAAUGGAUGUCAAAACUGCAUUCCUGAAUGGAUUUCUGGAAGAAGAGUUGUAUAUGAUGCAACCGGAAGGUUUUGUCGAUCCAAAGGGAGCUAACAAAGUGUGCAAGCUCCAGCGAUCCAUUUAUGGACUGGUGCAAGCCUCUCGGAGUUGGAAUAAACGCUUUGAUAGUGUGAUCAAAGCAUUUGGAUUUAUACAGACUUUUGGAGAAGCCUGUAUUUACAAGAAAGUGAGUGGGAGCUCGAUAGCAUUUCUGAUAUUAUAUGUGGAUGACAUAUUACUGAUUGGAAAUGAUAUAGAAUUUCUGGAUAGCAUAAAGGGAUACUUGAAUAAAAGUUUUUCAAUGAAAGGCCGUGGUAAAGCUUCAUAUAUAUUAGGCAUUAAGAUCUAUAGAGAUAGAUCACGAUGCUUAAUUGGACUUUCACAAAGCACAUACCUUGUCAAAGUUUUGAAGAAGUUCAAAAUGGAUCAAGCAAAGAAAGGGUUCUUGCCUGUACUACAAGGUGUGAGAUUGAGUAAGACUCAAUGCCCGACCACUGCAGAAGAUAGAGAGAAGAUGAAAGAUGUUCCCUAUGCUUCAGCCAUAGGCUCUAUCAUGUAUGCAAUGCUGUGUACCAGACCUGAUGUGUCCCUUGCUAUAAGUUUAGCAGGGAGGUACCAAAGUAAUCCAGGAGUGGAUCACUGGACAUCGUUCAAGAACAUCCUGAAAUACCAGAAAAGGACUAAGGAUAUGUUUCUCGUUUAUGGAGGUGACAAAGAGCUCAUCGUAAGUGGUUACGUUGAUGCAAGCUUUGACACUGAUCCGGACGAUUCGAAAUCGCAAACCGGAUACGUAUUUACAUUGAACGGUGGAGCUGUCAGUUGGUGCAGUUCUAAGCAAAGUGUCGUGGCGGGAUCUACGUGUGAAGCGGAAUACAUAGCUGCUUCGGAAGCAGCAAAUGAAGGAGUCUGGAUGAAGGAGUUCGUAUCCGAUCUAGGUGUCAUACCUAGUACAUCGGGACCAAUGAAAAUCUUCUGUGACAAUACUGGUGCAAUUGCCUUAGCAAAGGAAUCCAUAUUUCACAAGAGAACCAAGCACAUCAGAAGACUCUUCAAUUCCAUCCGGGAUUUAGUCCAAGUGGGAGACAUAGAAAUUUGCAAGAUACAUACGGAUCUGAAUGUUGCAGACCCGUUGACUAAGCCUCUUCCACGAGCAAAACAUGAUUAGCACCAAGACUCCAUGGGUGUAAGAACCAUUACUAUGUAAUCUAGAUUAUUGACUCUAGUGCAAGUGGGAGACUGAAGGAAAUAUGGCCUAGAGGCAAUAAUAAAGUAAUAUAUAUUUCCUUAUAUCAUGAUAAAUGUUCAUUAUUCAUGCUAGAAUUGUAUUAACCGGAAACAUAAUACAUGUGUGAAUACAUAGACAAACAUAGUGUCACUAGUAUGCCUCUACUUGACUAGCUCAUUGAUCAAAGAUGGUUAUGUUUCCUAGCCAUAGACAUGAGUUGUCAUUCGAUUAACGGGAUCACAUCAUUAGGAGAAUGAUGUGAUUGACUUGACCCAUUCCGUUAGCUUAGCACACGAUCGUUUAGUAUUCUGCUAUUGCUUUCUUCAUGACUUAUACAUGUUCCUAUGACUAUGAGAUUAUGCAACUCCCGUUUACCAGAGGAACAAUUUGUGUGCUACCAAACGUCACAACGUAACUGGGUGAUUAUAAAGGUGCUUUACAGGUGUCUCCGAAGGUACUUGUUGGGUUGGCGUAUUUCGAGAUUAGGAUUUGUCACUCCGAUUGUCGUAGAGGUAUCUCUGGGCCCACUUGGUAAUGCACAUCACUUAAGCCUUGCAAGCAUUGCAACUAAUGAGUUAGUUGCGGGAUGAUGUAUUACGGAACGAGUAAAGAGACUUGCCGGUAACGAGAUUGAACUAGGUAUUGAGAUACCGACGAUCGAAUCUCGGGAAUGUAACAUACCGAUGACAAAGGGAACAGCGUAUGUUGUUAUGCGGUCUGACUGAUAAAGAUCUUCGUAGAAUAUGAGGGAGCCAACAUGAGCAUCCAGGUUCCGCUAUUGGUUAUUGAUCGGAGACGUGUCUCGGUCAUGUCUGCAUAGUUCUCGAACCCGUAGGGUCCGCACGCUUAAAGUUCGAUGACGGUUAUAUUACGAGUUUAUGUGUUUUGAUGUACCGAAGGUAGUUCGGAGUCCCGGAUGAGAUCGGGGACAUGACGAGGAGUCUCGAAAUGGUCGAGACGUAAAGCUCGAUAUAUUGGAAGACUAUAUUCGGUCAUCGGAAAGGUUCCGAGUGAUUCGAGUAUUUUUCGGAGUACCGGAGAGUUACGGGAAUUCGCCGGGGAGUAUAUGGGCCUUAUUGGCUUUAGGGGAAAGAGAGAGGAGAGGCUGAGCGCCCCCCCCCCCUGGCCUAGUCCGAAUUGGACUAGGGGGAGGGGCUGCGCCCCCUCCUUUCUUCGCUUCUCUCUCCCCUUUCCUUGACUCCUACUCCUACUACUUGGAAGGGCGGGGAAUCCUACUCCCGGUGGGAGUAGGACUCCUCCUGGCGCGCCUCCUCCUGGCCGACCGCACCACCCCCCUGUUUCCUUUAUAUACGGGGGCAGAGGGGCACCCCCAAAGACACAACAAUUGAUCGUUUGAUCUUUUAGUCGUGUGCGGUGCCCCCCUCCGCCAUAGUCCACCUUGAUAAUACUGUAGCGGUGCUUAGGCGAAGCCCUGCGUCGGUAGAACAUCAUCAUCGUCACCACGCCAUUGUGCUGACGAAAAUCUCCCUCAACACUCGGCUGGAUCGGACUUCGAGGGACGUCAUCGGGCUGAACGUGUGCUGAACUCGGAGGUGCCGUGCGUUCGGUACUUGAUCGGUCGGAUCGUGAAGACGUACGACUACAUCAACCGCGUUGUGCUAACGCUUCCGCUUUCGGUCUACGUGGGUACGUGGACAACACUCUCCCCUCUCGUUGUUAUGCAUCACCAUGAUCUUGCGUGUGCGUAGGAAAAUUUUGAAAUUACUACGUUCCCCAACAGCCACCACCACCACCACUAUGUCGACUGUGCUAGUCAAGGUGCGCCAGCAGCCUUGCAACUAGCAAGCUGUUCGGCAUCUACUUCCAGCCGAGUUUUCGUCAUGCGGCGGUAAGAAAUUAGAUGAAAUGUAACAACUAUUUUAUUUUUAGUGUUGGCAUUACUGCAUUGUGUCAUUGUGCUUUUUUUACACAGAUCGUCCCAUGCAAUGUGAGGUUGAAAUUCAACAAGCUGACAGGAGACACUGUGACAUUUCAGGCUCCUGGGGGGCCGUACACUAUGGAGGUCGAGAAAGGACGCAAUAUGUCUUUGAUUGGUGGAGAUGGAUGGGCCUUUUUCCACGCCCACAUGCGUCUUACUGGUGGUGAGUUGAUCAGCUUCUCCUUCAGAGAAGAAAGACCCAAGCUGGUUGUCAUUUAUCUCAACCUGGUGGAAGAUGAUGAAGAUGAUGAAGAUGAUGAAGAUGACGAAGAUGAUGAAGAUGACGAAGAUGAUGAAGAUAAUGAGGACCCACUCGAUGAAGAUGAUGAGAACCCACUUCAUGAAGCCAUCGUAGCUCAAAGAAUGCUUUAUUGUUAUACUUACAAAUGCAAAUUAUUCGAUGAUAUGCUUAGUGUAGAGUCCAAUGAUAUGCUUUGUGGAAUCUAGUCGAUGAUAUGCUUUAGUGUAGAGUCUGAUCACAUGCUCUUAUUAGUGUAGAAUCCAAGGAACUAUUAAUAGUGUAGAUAAUCCAUAUAUAUACAUAUUACUGAAUUCAUGAUUAGUUAGUAUAAAUGCGUAGUAGUGUGUCUUUUGAUAGUGUAGAAAUCUAGAUUUAAUAGAAAUAUAUUUGCAAGGGUAUGUGCGAGGCUAUUUAUUAAUUGAUACGUUUUUCUUAUUCAGAAAUUACCAAAGAACCUAUUUGUGAGUUGUGAUAUCGAGCCUGAUGAAGAAGGCUCAGCUGGACUACGCCUUACCGCAAGGGGCUCCGUCACCACCUGUACUUACCGCAUGGACACAGACGGUCGCACACACUUAAACUCGGUUGGGUGGAAGAGAUUCCUCGUUGACAAGAAUCUUCCUGUUGGACAGGCCGUCCUAAUUACUAUCAGGAACACCCACCGCCCAGGCUUGAGGAUGAUGAUCGUCAUCGAUAUCAUCUAGAACUACAUAUGUGUGUGUGUGGCUAUAUCAUCUAGAACUACAUAUGAUGAUUCGAUAUCAUGUAGAACUACAAAUGAUGAUCGUCGUUGAUAUCAUCUAGAACUACAUAUGAUGAUUCGAUAUCAUGUAGAACUACAAAUGAUGAUCGUCGUUGAUAUCAUCUAGAACUACAUAUGAUGAUCGUCGUCGAUAUCAUCUAGAACUACAUAUGAUAAUCAUCGUCGAUAUCACCUUGUACUGUUGAGGAUGCAUGUUGAGUAUAUAUGAAAUUGUUAUCUAGUACUCCCUCCGUUCCAAAUUACUCGUCAUGGUUUUAGUUCAAAUUUGAACUAAAACUACGACGAGUAAUUUGGAACCGAGGGAGUACUAUCUAGUACCUAUAAUGCUUUAUGAAACUGAUAUCUAGUAGUACCUAGUAUCUGGAAAUUGCAGUUUAUGGAAGCUGAAAUGGGGUAGGAAGCCGGGGGGAAAUGAUGAAAGAUAUAGCAGUAGCGCGGGGCCAGGAAAUCGCUACAGCUAAUUAAUAGUAGCGCGUUCCGGAAACGCGCUGCUGAAAUAGUCCAUAGUAGUAGCGCGGUCUAGUCCAUAGUAGUAGCGCGGGUACAGACCGUGCUACUACUAACAGUUAGCUGUAGCGCUUUAUUGGUAGCGCAGUUGCCCGCGCUGCUGAUAGCCUCAAAACCCGCGCUACUACUAGGUUUUCCCUAGUAGUGCAGUGCUGGCUUUGCACAGACCGGUGCUCGUCGAUGCUAGCCUCCCUCCUUAGCCGCGGGGUCGGUGAGGUGGCACCUGUGUCGCGGGUCUCCUCGGUGGAGGCCGAAGCCAUCGAUCUUCUUUAAUCUUGGCAGCCUCCGUCAGAUCUUGCCCUUAGUAGCCUUUUGUCACCAAAGCUGGUCCUUUAUGCACCAGGAGAAAUCUAAGAAAAGCUGUGCCGAUCACGACGGCCGCCACACCCAUUGGUGUCGGCCCGCUUCUUGUAGCUGUCAUCUAGGCUAUCCCCUUCCUCCUCCUCAUCCGCUCUUCUUGUGUACCAGGUGAAAACCUAGAUCCUCUCCGAAUUGGGGGGCAACGGUGCUACGGGCAUCGUCAUCCCCCAUGGGUUCCAUCAGAGGAAGGUGGAUGUGUGUUUUUUGUAUGUAUGGAGGUGGAUGGUGUGGCUUGGUUGGAGCCCACGUACCAGUGUCUCUAUGUGCAAGGUCGCUACUGUUCGACCUUUUUUGGUGCUCCUUGGCCAUUUGUGGAUGGCAAAGCUCUAUGCUUUCCUGGCAGACUAGAUAUUGCCUCUGAGCUCCGUCUCGACAUCCUCCCUUUCUUUGAUGAUGUGUCUUUAGUCACCCCAUCGUGCUUUGCCUUCUUCUCAUGUGUUGACCUAUAUGAGUGCCUAAGUCCCUUUUGUUGUGCUCGUUGUGGCAUGGUGUUGGUGCUCCAAUUUGUUCUUCAGGAUGGCAAUGGCGUUGGUGCAAUCUUUAUCUCCCGGGGGAGCGUCUCCAUCUUCCGAGGGAGCAGCAGCUUUUGUGCUAGCGAUAGGGGCAGGGACCCCCUCGCCCCCCUCUCUCUCAGUGAUGGAGGAGGAUGCCACCGUGUUGUCCAGAUACCAUGGAGAUUACGUGAGCGCCUUUCCACCUCUUGCUUCUUUCCAUCAAGGGCGUGAUGUCUCAGUUGGCUAAUUGUUCACACUUGAGGGCUUCAUCGUCCAAGCUAUUGCGUGCCAUAGUUUUCCCAUAUUUGCUUGUAGAUUGGGUGGAGCCUAUUAGUACUGCUUAGGAUCUUGUAUCUUUUCGCCCUUUUUUGUUUCUUUUUCUUUGUAAGCCGUAGGUGGUAAUCUCCUGGCUGAUUGAUGGCUUUGUUAACAAUAGAUAUGUAGUUGAAACAUGCAAUGAGCUAUAUAAUCAUCAUAUAUACAAUCAGGGAAUGCUAUGAGGUACAAAGUAUGCUUGAGCAGACGCACAAGCCAGCGAGCAUCUCCUAUCCACACACACAAUACCAAACCAAAGUAACUGUCCAGAUCAUGUUCAUUCUAGCUGUACGGCACAAACAAAACAUCGGGCUGCAUAUACUCCCUCCAUUCCAAAAUAUAGUGCGCCCGCGCUUCCCGAGGUCCAACUUUGACCAUAAAUUUAAACAACGAGACCGACUGUGGAGGGAGAAAAAAUUAGAUAAUUGAAAACUUCUUUUGAAACAAAUUCACUGGUAUAACUUUUGCUCCCGCCGCAGUCGGUCUCGUUGGUUAAAUUUAUGAUCAAAGAUGAAGCACGUGAAUAGAGGAAACACUAUAUUUUAAAACGGAGGAAGCAUAAAAGAAAUAAAAACCCACGAAGAUUCCAUGGACCAACAAAAUAACUCUCUAUGGUUAAACACUUGUAGGAGAGGGGCUUGUUCCAGCGGAGUCCGAAACAAACUAAAGCCUACUUUUUAGCACUACUAACAGUAGAAGAUCGACCCCCACGGUCGUGGUCAUUGAGCCGAUGGCCACGAGCUCAAAGGUAGCAAGGAACCAGAGGCGGGAACUCACCAUGGGCAUUGUGUACUCGAUGCCGAGCAGUCAGCGGGUGCGUCCAACGGAAGAGGCUAGUGCCACAGACCUCCUGGAUGAACCCCUUGUCCUCUAUUAGAAUCUUGAAUACCAUAGCAGAACAACCUCAUUAGAUAGCAGGCGACCAUGAGGAACUACACACACAUCAUGCAGCAGGAGUAAAUACAAGCUUAGGAAGCACAUGAGCUUUUAUGUAGGGACAAAUGUUUUGAUUUCUUGCAAAAUUUCGUCAUGGAAAGACAUUCGUGGACGACAUGUCAAAAAACAAUGCUUCAAAAACCGCUGUCAUCCGUCGUUGUGGCCGUCGGCUGCCGUCCUUUGCCAUCGCCAUAUACCGCCGUCGCCAUCCUCCGGGCUAAUGACGUUGCAUGGCGAGAGUCGAGACCCGAUGCUGGAGUCUCAUGACGUUGUCCUGUACGUCGGACUCGUCUUUUCUAAAACAUGUUUUUAGGAAUAACGUCUCAAGACCUGGUUUUUCCAAAAACGCCUUUUUCAAGGAUUAGGAGAACCAAGUUUUAAUUAUCCAUAAAUUAGUUAUAGGCUUGCCAGUAAUGUUUUAGUUUAAUUUGUUAGACCCUGAAAAGAGUUUGUACAUAUAUAACGAGUUCUCUAGAAAAUAGCGAUCGAAACAAUAACUCAAGUCUAUCUAGAUAUACAAAGCAAAUCCUAUCUAUACAAUGCGCGUCCCUGCCUUGUGUACUCUUGUAAGUGCCUUCAUCAAAAUCGAGGGACCGUAGGUCGCGAGAAAGAGAUUCCAAAACCAACACAAAUCCUUAGUUGGAGCCGAAUUCAACCAGGUACUCCUAUCAGCACGUAGUCCGCGUACGUAUGCGCGCCUAUAAAAAUAAAUACGAGAGCAAGCACGUCCCUCCACAGGAAAACCAUCGAGCCCGGCCACGGCGAGAUCGACAUCUCAUCGGCAGGUUCGGUCGCCGUCUCGUCGUCAGGGAGAGCGCAGCAACACCGUCGACCAUCGCGCGCCAUGGAGAGGCAGAGCACAGCAACAACAUCACCCACGCUGUCCUUGGAAGAAUCCGUUGCCGAUAUCGAGAUGUUGGAGGCCGUGGCCCAUAUCGAGAGGUUGGUGACAAAAUUAUUUGCCUACGCUGAGAGGGCCAUGAAGGCCUUCUGUGUGCAGGAGGGCAAAGGCGAAUGCCUGGACAAGGUCGGCGCCUGGGCUGCUGCGUGCUCGGGGCCGGACAUGAUGGCGUGCACUAGCGCGGAGGCGGCGCUGGACAAGUGCAUGCAGGGCAACUCCAGCUGAUUGAUUCAUCCACGCCUGCAGGCCACGUUACCUAAUUAAUUAGCCAUGUCUAGUUUCACUAUGGAUAUCUUAGGUAGAUUAAUUUCGAUUUUUUAUGAGUAACUACUUUCAGAUUCGUGUUAGUUGUUUCGGUACUGUCAUCUUGCACUCUUGUAAGCACUUUCGCAGUUACUAAACUAUAUGAUAUUUGUUCAGAAUUUUUAUUUGAAAUUUUCAAAAAUAUAAUAGUAGGAAUUUCUUCAUGCAGUGUAAUUUUUUUUAAAUAGUGAGGGGAGUAGCUAGAGUUAGCAGUUAAAUUCCUGCUUCCUGGCGUAAAAAAGGUCUACAGAAAUUCAAAAGACUCCCCUACGUCCCCCCUCCGGGAUGACUCAACAAACUCAACCCUAGUGCCGGCUACUGCGACAACAAUCCCGACUCACCUCCUUGUCUCCACUCGAGGGAUCGUGCUGGUGCAUCUCUCUGUUAGAAUAAAUCUGAGGCGCUCCGUCGACCUAACGAGGACCAAGCAAUCACACGAACCACGACACCGGAAUUUGUUAAUGAGGUUCGCCAAUAUCCUACAUCCCCAGGGCCGACUAUGGGCGCUCCUCCCUGUGACACCAUCACAGUACCGCACACCAGUCACCCGGGCGCCGGCACACGCCGCCGGCCCCCGUGCGUACUUGUGCUAUUAUGUUGGCAUAGGUUAUAUCGUGUGUCUACCCUCACUAUAUAUGAGAGACCUGUGAUAGAAGUGUCCUACCAGGACAUGACUUCAUACCUUGUCUACACACCGUACGACUCCAAGUCCAACUAUAACCUAACUGGUACAAUAAUAUUCGACACAACUCUAACAAACUCCACCAUGGUGAAUAUUCUCCACCAUUUUGGAUUCAUCCAUGCGUCGAACCUCCAUGUACAUUGGACUUGAGUUACGUCAUGAGCACCGCUGCUACUCCCAGACUCCACGUAACUCCACCUGCAACUGUAGUCCCUUCUCGUCUUCUUCAUAGUCAACGCUCGAGCAAAAUUAAGUUCAUCAUUACUCUACUUUGUGAUCCCAACUUCCGGAGAAUCGGUUCAAUGUCAUCACACACUGAUAACUUAUCUGCGUGAAAAUGAACAACUCACAUAUUGGACAUCACAUAUAAGAGUUACCUGGACUCAACAUCAUUGCUCUUUCUUGACCGUCUGUCUGAAAUUUGAAGGAAUUUCACUAUCGCCCUGUGUCACCCCGAGUCAAAUUUGCAGUUGUCUCACCCUUCUUCCGGUUAGUCUCUGGCAUUUCCCACAGCUAUAGCACUCUGCCUCCUUCUGUGUUCUUCCGAUCGGGCCGAUCCGAUCCGCCAUCUGCUUGUGCCUUGCGCGCGCCUGCACACGCGAGACCUACCGAGACCAUCCGCAGCCUCCUCGUAACCUUGCUCAUGAUAUCACUUGUUAGAAUAAAUUCGAGGCGCUCCGUCGAUCUACCAAGGACCAAGCAAUCACACUAGGCACGACACCGAGAUUUGUUAACGAGGUUCAUCGAUAUGGCUACAACCCCGGGGCCUGACUACGGGCGCUCCUCCCCGUGACACCGUCACAAUACCGCACAUCGGCCACCCAGGCGCCGGCACACCCCGCCGCCUCCCCUGCGUACCUGUGCUAUUAUGUUGGCAUAGGUUACAUCGUGUGUCUAUCCUUGUUAUAUAUGAGAGACCUAGGAUAGAAGUGUCCUACUAGGACACGACUCCAUACCUCGUCUACACACCGUAUGACUCGAAGUCCAACUGUAACCUAACUUGUACAAUAAUAUUCGACACAACUCUAACACUCACGGUAGCUCAGGAAGGUAGCAUUGAGGAUCUAGCUGCUUUGUACUUGGACGGGGCACCAAUAAAUCCAUGGCGGCAGCCUCGGCUGGUGGAUCAACGCUUUCUCUACAGUGACCGGUACUCGUCGAUUCCGCCGUCCUCCUCGGACGUGGGUGCGGCGAAGUGGUCAUGGUUUGUGCUUGUGCUGUGGGUCUCCUUGGGGGAGGCCGAACCCGAUCUAGAGCCGUCCAUCUUCUUCAACCUUGGCAGCCUCCACCCAAUCUUACCUUUGGUGGCCUGCGGUCACCGAAGCCGGUCAUUUAUGCACCAGAGAAAUCCAAGGCCAGUUGUGCUGACCACGACGACCCUGCUUCAUGUAGGCGUCGUCCAGGUUGUCCCCUUACCCCCUCCUCAUUCCCACUUCUCGUGUAGAAGGUGAAAACCUAGAUCUUGUCCAAAUUGGGCGGCAACAGAGCUCCGAGUGGCGUCACCCUGAUGGGGGUGCCAUCAUUGGUGCGCAUGGGGUGGAUGUGUACUUUUCUUGUUGUAUGGAGGUGGAUGGUGGCUUGGUCUUAGCUCUGUGUAAGCUCGCUCUUGUUCGUCUUCUUUUGGUGCUCUGUCCCCCUCCCCGCUCAUCCGUUUGUGUUAGGAUCUACGGUUGUUGUGGCUUCUGAUCCGGCGUGCAUCGUUCGCUAGGUUUCUGUGGGUGCAACCCAGCCAGCCCUACUUUGCAUGGACCUGCUCCUCGUGGGCGAUGUGCCCUGUUCGGUUGGGUCGGUAUCCCGGCCUCUCGGUUGAUUAAGUCAUUCCGGAAGCACUUUUUGUGUUUUGCAGAUACCAACUGAUUCUAGUUAACAAUGUAACAUGCAAAUUGAACUAUUUUCAAUCAUGUGGCUAUUCUACUGGUGUUUAGUUUUGAUUGCUUGUUAAUGUACGUUGUAGUCAUGCGUACCAUCACCCCACUACAAAGUAAGAGCAGAGAGUAGUCAAAGUUCAGUAGAGUAGCAUGUCGUUUCCUUCCCUGUUCAGUCUUAUUUAGCCUAACUUGCUUGUUUUUUUUUCUUUUUGCUGAGCUCCUCUAUACUGGUGCAUGUUCGAUGAAAAGAAUGUGUGAAGUGAGAAUCAAAUAACUUUAGCUAAGUUAACUCCGCUUUUCAGGUUAGCAUAUCAUAGCAAAGAAACCUAGACAAGAAAAAUUGAGAAAAUAGAAGUUUGUAUAGGUAAAUUACUACUCCCUCCUAUCUGUAUUAAUUGUUGCAGAUUUACUACAGAUAGGAGGGAGUAAUAGCUAAUGAUUUUCACUGUAGAAAUUCAAACCAUUUGUCAUUGUGAAGCAAACGAGUAGUUUGAGGAAGGCUCUAAAGCAAGUCUCUUGACCAAACAAGUCUCCACUGCACGAAACUGUAAUAAUCUAUGUGUCACGGGAGUGCUACUAUUCUGAAACAGAACAAUGUGGUGUGGUAAUAUCUUGUGAAGUACUCCCUCCGUACCAAAAUAUAUGAUAAUUUCCGGUUUAAAUGGAACUGCAAAACCGUCUUAUAUUUUGAUACAGAGGUAGUACUACUUUUCAAUCGUGAGGGAGGCUGGAAGUAAACAUGGUGUGGUAACAUCUUGUGAAGCACAUUUAUCUAUUUCCCUGAAUUCAAAUGUUGGUGAGGCACAAUCCUACUAGAGCAUGUACAAUGCACAUGUUUUUUCUACUGUGAGUGCUAGAGAGAAUCUUUUUUUCUUUGUUGUAUCAGAAUUUCUCGGUACUGAUUUCCUUCAUCUUUUUGCCUUCCCAUUAUACCCAACUAGUAUUACCGCCUUUUGCAUUUGAGAACAAAAAUGGUCACAUGAGUGCCUAUUGUGCAGCUAAUUUUCCAUGAAGCAUAUGUAAAGGGAUUUUCCAUUUGAGAGAAUGAGUUGUAAAAAAAUCCUCAUCGCUAGCUCUGCUCUAUUUUGAGACUCACUUGAAUGCACUUUGCUUCGCGUGUGUGUGCCCUUACAAGUUCAAAGCGCAGUGCUUGUGUAACUGCAAGUCAGGAAAGAAGGAGCAUUACAGGCUUAAUUUUGUGGCAAACAUUGAGAGUAUCAUGGCCCAUGCUUUGUCACCCAAAUAAUGUUGGAGAGUUUCUAGUCCUGCAAAAUAUCGUGCAACCUUUAAAUAUGAUGGCAAAACAUGAAACUGUAAGUAGACAUCGGGAAAGGAAACUGUUAACCUUUGGAACUAUCCACUCUCGAGAUUGGCCAGGACACCGCAUCGGCAAUGGGAUCUGGAAUUAAGAAAAGCUUUUGGACGUGAGUAUCUAAGAAAAUAGUAGUUGGAAACAACACUCUAUUUUCAGUGUCACGAGCCAAAAUAGAUUUACAGUCAGUAAAUGUUACCAUGGUAUUUUUGUUUUCCUCCAAUAUUGUGGACGAUUUGAAGUUGGAUAAAGAGAUAAACAAAUUAGUAUUCAUAUCCCACUCACUUAAUUGGGUAUCCUAAGGCAGAAGGUAUAUAUAGGACUCCCAUACAGAAUCAUGUGGUAGGUGUGAGCUAACCAUCCAGGAAACAUUGUUCACAUCAUUUGCUACACGAGAGUGCGCUACAAAAUCAUGCAUGUGGCCAUUUAACUUGUAUGUUUAGUUAUCGAUCCAUUUCCUAGGAAGUAUGGCUAUGAACAGAGUGAGUAGAAACAUUGUGUUUGAUUGGAGGAUAAUGCAACACAUGUUCACGAGAUAUAUACCUGUUGCAUCAACUGAGGAAAACAGGAUUGAGAUUAGCCUAAACUGCGGAGGAGAACCAUCAACUGAGGCCGGAAUUAUGAAUGGUAGAACAGAUUUGCCGAAACAUCCACUGCAUGUAACUGACUUUUGAAAAAAGGAAACUGCUAUAAUGUCUUCGUCUAGCGAUUCACGAAGCAAUGUUGCGCGAUCGAGGUUCAAAUUUACACAUAUGUUGAAUGUGAAAAUUGACACACAUCAUUGCUCCAAAGUUUAGACAACUGGAGAUAAGAAUGCAUCUCUCACAGAUGGUUAACUAAUUACCUACCAUGGCACCGUUUUCCUUAGCAUCUUUUGCCAUAGACAGAGUAUCCCAACUUGUACAAAAUUUGGGGGAAUGGUGAAGGAGAUAAUACACCCACAUUACAACAUAUCUGAACAAGAAAAAAACGUGAAGUUCACCAAAGCCGAUAAUAAUCAUGACACAGCCUAGUGCAUUAUUUAAAGCAAACACAUUUUUUUCCAUUUCCAUGCGGUAUUCGUCCUAUUUUCCUCCUAUAAAAAUAAUCUGAACAAGAUUAUUUGAAGCAAAACACAAUUCCCCUUUCCUGCAUCAUAAGGAGAAACAUUUCAGACACCCCAAACGGAUCAAGUGUAUUUCAGACAUCGAUGACAUACUUUUAACUAAUAACAUGAAGAUAAGAAUGCAUGCACUGUGUUCUACUCUACAGAAGACAACCCGAUAAAGUCUGUCAUGCUAGUUAGUUAAACAGUAUCCAAAUGCAUGCAAUGUGUUCUACUCUACAGAUGAUGAUACCUAAACAUACUAGAAAAAAUGGUUAAACAGGAGCUGACACCGCUGGUGCUUCACGACAAUUAAUUGAACAAACAGGUCACGGCCUGACGUUAAGUAGCUGCCAGUACAGGCAUAUAAAGCAGAGGAACAUGGCUCUCCUCUCGGGUGGCCGUCUUUGGCGGCAGCUUGCCACAGCUACGGCUAUGGCUACUUUGUGGAGCAUUACAAACAAGACAAUACUAUAAAGCCAGAAGUAAUCAUACUAUAAAUCUCAAUCACGCCUAGUCUGAUGUAACUUAAACGCUGGUUCAGGAAUAGCAGGGCACAUCACUGACCGACCCACUGACUACUGGAGGCUGUUCUGUAAAGAAACGGGGCUAUAGAAGCAUGUUAGCUAAUCUAGUCGCUGUAGUUUUUCUUCAGUUAGUUUGCUUUCGUCAGACAUAACGUAGCCAGGCGCAUGAGCUCGCGAGUCGUUGUGCGAGCCACGCGCGUAGGCGAUCUGGGUACGAUCGAUGCCCGAUCGAUCGGGGUGGUCAGCCACGAAACCCACUCGUGGGAUGGCACGAGAAUUCGGGAUCAUGGCGCUAGGACCGGGCCACUCUUUCUCUCUGUAACAGAAUAAGUAGAGGAGAUCAAAAACAGAAAAGUCACAAGGUUGUCCGUGACGCAAAAACUCCUGUCUCUCCUCUCAGUGAUCGCAAGCUGUGAGAGAUCGAGCAACCCUGACAAUUGGCAUCAAAGCCGGUUUAAGGUGAUCCCGACGCCCAUGGCUGACACCGGAGCUCAGCCGGACCAGGCGGCGGCGGCACCCCGCAACGGUGGCGGGGGUGGGAGCCGCUCGCGCACUCCACCACAGGAGCGCAGCCGCGGACGGAGCCACGUGAGAAGGGAGUGGCGGGUGGUGAUCCACCAGGCGGUGGCCAUGGAGCGCGCGCCGCUUGUGCCAAGCGCGGGCACCAUGUUCCCGACGCUCACAUCCACGAACUACAUCGAGUGGUCUCUCGUGAUGAAGGUGCACCUGGAGUCUUGGGGGCUCUGGGACGCGAUCGAGGGUAACGCACUGCAUGUGCGUGACGACAAGACGGCGCUCGGCGUCCUGUUCCGAGUCGUCCCCCUAGAGAUGCUUGGCGUCCUCGUCGUCAACGAGACGGCGAAGGAGGCCUGGGACACGAUCAAGGUCAUGCGCAUGGGGAUGCACCGUGUGCGCGAGGCCACCACGCAACGCCUGCGCGCGGAGUUCGAGCAGAUCACCUUCCGCGACGGCGAAACUCUCGACUCCUUCGGCAUGAGGAUCACCGCCCUCGUCAACCAGCUGCGCACGCUGGAGGACAACGUCGAAGAGGUACGCAUGAUCCCGAAGAUGCUCCGUGUCGUCCCCGCCCGCUAUGCCCAGAUCGCAGUCGCGAUAGAGCCCCUCCUUGAUCUGACCACGAUCUCGGUCGAGGAGCUGAUCGGUUGACUGCGCACCGCUGAGGAGCGCUGCGGUGGCGGGGCGGCUCAAGCCAGCGGCGGCGGUCGGCUGCUCAUGUCGGAGCAGCAGUGGGAUGCCUGGCGCCGCGAGCGCGAGCAGGGCCAGGGGUCCAGCUCAAACGGCGCCGGCAACGGGAACCGCAACGGGGGCGGCGGCAAUCUCCGCCGUGGCAAGCCGCAGAACCAGAAGUGCGGCAACGACACUCAAAGCCAAGGCGGCGGCAACGGCCGCGACAGCGCCGGCAACGGUGGGCGCGACAUGUCUAAGGUGAAGUGCUACAAUUUUCUCAGCGCUGGACACUGGUGUGCGCGGCGCCGUGAAACUCGGCGACGGCUCGGUGGUUCAGAUCGAGGGGAGAGGAACGAUCCUCUUCCAAUGCGGCAACUGUGAGCUCAUGGUCCUGUCUGAUGUGUAUUACAUCCCAAAACUUUGCAGCAACAUCGUCAGCAUCGGACAGUUGGACGAAAUCGCCUACGAGACCAAUAUUAGUCACGGGGUGCUCCAGCUCCGUGAUCCCAGUGGGCAGACUCCUCGCGCGAGUGCAACGUAACCAGGGGAGGCUGUACGUGCUGCAGCUCACGCCGGCCCAGCCAGUGUGCUUCGCGGCGCAUGCUGGCGAGGAUGCAUGGUGCUGGCAUGCGUGCUACGGCCACGUGGACUUCCGGGCUUUACGUCAACUCGCCCGGGACGAACUGGUGCACGACCUCCCGCUAUUUGACGAGGCGGAUCGUGUCUGCGAGGCGUGCCUCGCCGGCAAGCAGCGUCGAGCACCCUUUCCUUAGCAGGCUCUCAGCAGAGCCGACGAGGUGCUGGAGCUCGUGCACACGGACCUCUGUGGUCCAAUCUCCCCUCCAACGCCAGGAGGGAAGCGUUACUUCCUGUUGCUGGUUGAUGACAAGAGCAGGCACAUGUUGGUGUACCUGCUCGCGACAAGGACGAGGCGCAGCCCGCUCUGAAGCGCUUCCAGGCGAUGGCGGAUCUCGAUUUCGGGCGGCAGCUCAAGUUGCUGCGCACGGACCGCGGCGGGGAAUUCACCUCUGCCAGCCUCGGCGAGUACUACGCCGACAAGGAGGUCAAGCGCCAGCUCACGACGCCCUACACGCCCCAGCAGAACGGCGUGGUCGAGUGCCGAAAUUAGACGAUCGUGGGCAUGGCGCGCAGCCUGUAGAAGACAAAGGGUGUGCCGGCGCAGUUCUGGGGGGAGGCCGUGAUGACGGCGGUCUACCUCCUGAACAGGUCUACGACCAAGAGCGUGGCGGGGUCGAUUCCGCACGAGGCCUGGUGCAGGCGGCGCCCAAACGUUGAACACCCGCGCGUGUUCGGAGCGUCGCGCAUGUCAAAGUGACGCGUCCGAAUCUGUCGAAACUCGACGACGGGAGCACGCCCAUGGUAUCCUGGGCUACGAGCCAGGAUCGGCGGCUUACCGCGUCUACCACCCGCCGUCGAACCGUGUUCUGGCCUCCAGGGAUGUCGUGUUCGACGACGAAGCAGCGUGGGACUGGUCUCAGGUCGCGGCGACAAACAAGGAGCCGUGCUACCUCUUGAGCAUGCAUUGGUUUUCCCUUAAAGAGGAAAGGGUGAUGUAGCAAAGUAGCGUAAGUAUUUCCCUCAGUUUUUGAGAACCAAGGUAUCAAUCCUGUAGGAGACUACAUGCAAAUCGCCUAGUACCUGCACGAACAAUCAAGAACCUUGCAACCAGCACGAUAAAGGGGUUGUCAAUCCCUUCACGGUCACUUGCAAAAGUGAGAUCUGAUAAAGAUAAUAAGAUAAUAUUUUUGGUAUUUUUGUUGUAUAGAUUGGAAAAGUAAAGAUUGCAAAAUAAACGGCGACAGAAAUUGGCAAGUUGACGGGAGAUUAAUAUGAUGUAAAAUAGACCCGGGGGCCAUAGGUUUCACUAGAGGCUUCUCACAUGAUAGCAUAUCUUACGGUGGGUGAACAAAUUACUGUCGAGCAAUUGAUAGAAAAGCGUAUAGUUAUGAGAAUAUCUAGGGAUGAUCAUGAACGUAGGCAUCACGUCUGUGUCAAGUAGACCGAAACGAUUCUACAUCUACUACUAUUACUCCACACAUCGACCGCUAUCCAGCAUGCAUCUAGAGUAUUAAGUUCAUAAGAACACAGUAACGCAUUAGGCAAGAUGAUAUGAUGUAGAGGGAUAAACUCAAGCAAUAUGAUAUAAACCCCAUCUUUUUAUCCUUGAUGGCAAUAAUACAAUACGUGUCGGUUCCCUUUCUGUCACUGGGAUCGAGCACCGCAAGAUUGAACCCAAAGCUAAGCACUUCUCCCAUUGCAAGAAAGAUCAAUCUAGUAGGCCAAACCAAACUGAUAAUUCGAAGAGACUUGCAAAGAUAUUAAAUCAUGCAUAUAAGAACUCAGACAAGAAUCAAAUAUUGUUCAUAGACAAACUUGAUCAUAAACCCACAAUUCAUCGGAUCUCGACAAACACACCGCAAAAUGUAUUACAUCGAAUAGGUCUCCAAGAGAAUCGAGGAGAACUUUGUAUUGAGAUCCAAAGAGAGAGAAGAAGCCAUGUAGCUAAUAACUAUAGACCCGUAGGUCUGUGGUAAACUACUCACACAUUAUCGGAGAGGCUACGGUGUUGAUGUAGAAGCCCUCCAUGAUCGAUUCCCCCUCCGGCAGAGCGCCGGAAAAGGCCCCAAGAUGGGAUCUCACGGGUACAGAAGGUUGCGGCAGUGGAAAAAGUGUUUCGUGGCUCCCCUGGAUGUUUUCAGGGUAUAAGAGUAUAUAUAGGCGAAAGAAGUAGGUCGGUGGAGCUGCGACGGGCCCACGAGGGUGGGGGCGCGCCUCCCUGCCUCGUGGCUUCCUCGCUGCUUCCUUGACUUCCACUCCAAGUCUCCUGGAUUGCGUUUGUUCCAAAAAUGAUCCUCGCGAAGGUUUCAUUCCGUUUGAUAUUCCUUUUCUGCGAAACACUGAAAUAGGCAAAAAAAUAUCAAUUUGCACUGGGCCUUCGGUUAAUAGGUUAGUCUCGAAAAUAAUAUAAAAGAGCAUAUUAAAGCCCAUUAAACAUCCAAAACAGAUAAUAUAAUAGCAUAGAACAAUCAAAAAUUAUAGAUACGUUGGAGAUGUAUCAAGCAUCCCCAAGCUUAAUUCCUGCUCGUCCUCGAGUAGGUAAAUGAUAAAAACAGAAUUUUUGAUGUGGAAUGCUACCCAACAUAAUUUUCAAUGUAAUUUUCUUUAUUGUGGCAUGAAUGUUCAGAUCCGAAAGAUUCAAGAUAAAAGUUUAAUAUUGACAUAAAAAUAAUAAUACUUCAAGCAUACUAUUUAAGCAAUUAUGUCUUUUCAAAAUAACGUGGCCAAAGAAAGCUCAUCCCUACAAAAUCAUAUAGUUUGGCUAUGCUCCAUUUUCGUCACACAAGAAUGCUCUCAUCAUGCACAACCCCGAUGACAAGCCAAGUAAUUGUUUCAUACUUUAGUAUUCUCAAACUUUUUCAACUUUCAUGCAAUACAUGAGCGUGAGCCAUGGACAUUGCACUAUGGGUGGAAUGGAAUAUGAUAAUGGGGGUUGUGUGGAGAAGACAAAAAAGGAGAAAGUCUCACAUUGACGCGGCUAACCAACGGGCUAUGGAGAUGCCCAUCAAUUGAUGUCAAUGCAAGGAGUAGGGAUUGCCAUGCAAUGGAUGCACUAGAGCUAUAAAUGUAUGAAAGCUCAACAAAAUAAACUAAGUGGGUGUGCAUCCAACUUGCUUGCUCACGAAGACCUAGGGCAUUUGAGGAAGCCCAUCGUUGGAAUAUACAAGCCAAGUUCUAUAAUGAAAAAUUCCCACUAGUAUAUGAAAGUGACAAAAUAAGAGACUCUCUAUCAUGAAGAUCAUGGUGCUACUUUGAAGCACAAGUGUGGAAAAAGCAUAGUUGCAUUGUCCCUUCUUUUAUUUUCUUUUUUAUAUAUUUUUUUGGGCCUUCCUUUUUUUAUCUGGCCUUUCCCUUUUUUUAUUUGGCCUUUUUUUUCAUGGGACAAUGCUCUAUAAAUGAUGAUCAUCACACUUCUAUUUAUUUACAACUCACUGAUUACAACUCGAUACUAGAACAAAAUAUGACUCUAUAUGAAUGCCUCCGCCGGUGUACCGGGAUGGGCAAUGCAUCAAGAGUGACAUGUAUAAAAAAUUAUGCAAGGUGGAUUUGCCACAAAUACGAUGUCAACUACAUGAUCAUGCAAGGCAGUAUGACAAUGAUGAAGCGUGUCAUAAUAAACGGAACGGUGAAAAGUUGCAUGGCAAUAUAUCUCGAAAUGGCUAUGGAAAUGCCAUAAUAGGUAGGUAUGGUGGCUGAUUUGAGGAAGAUAUAAGGGGGGUUUAUGUGUGAUAGAGCGUAUCAUAUCACGGGGUUUGGAUGCACCGGCGAAGUUUGGACCAACUCUCGAGGUGAGAAAGGGCAAUGCACGGUACCGAAGAGGCUAGCAAUGAUGGAAAGGUGAGAGUGCUUAUAAUCCAUGGACUCAACAUUAGUCAUAAAGAACUCACAUACUUAUUGCAAAAAUCUACAAGUCAUCAGAAAACAAAGCACUACGCGCAUGCUCCUAGGGGGAUAGAUUGUUAGGAAAAGACCAUCGCUCGUCCCCGACCGCCACUCAUAAGGAUGACAAUCAAAGAACACCUCAUGUUUCAAAUUUGUUACACAACGGUUACAAUACGUGCAUGCUACGGGACUUGCAAACUUCAACACAAGUAUUUCUCAAAUUCACAAUUACUCAACUAGCAAGAAAGAUGAAUCUAGUAGGCCAAAGCAAACUGAUAAUUCGAAGAGACUUGCAAAGAUAUUAAAUCAUGUAUAUAAGAAUUCAGAGAAGAAUAAAAUAUUGUUCAUAGAUAAUCUUGAUCAUAAACCCACAAUUCAUCGGAUCUCGACAAACACACCGCAAAAAGUAUUACAUCGAAUAGAUCUCCAAGAGAAUCGAGGAGAACUUUGUAUUGAGAUCCAAAGAGAGAGAAGAAGCCAUCUAGACAAUAACUAUGGACCCGAAGGUCUGUGGUAAACUACUCACACAUCAUCGGAGAGGCUAUGGUGUUGAUGUAGAAGCCAUCCGUGAUCGAUUCCCCCUCCGACGGAGCGCCGAAAAGGCCCCAAGAUGGGAUCUCACGGGUACAGAAGGUUGCGGCGGUGGAAAAAGUGUUUCAUGGCUCCCUUGGAUGUUUUCAGGGUAUAAGAGUUUAUAUAGGUGAAAGAAGUAGGUCGGUGGAGCUGCGAGGGGCGUGCCUACCCCCUGGGGCGCGCCUCCCUGCCUCGUGGCUUCCUCGUUGCUUCCUUGACUUCCACUCCAAGUCUCCUGGAUUGUGUUUGUUCCAAAAACGAUCCUCGCGAAGGUUUCAUUCCGUUUGAUAUUCCUUUUCUGCGAAACACUGAAAUAGGCAAAAAAAAUAGCAAUUUGCACUGGGCCUUCGGUUAAUAGGUUAGUCCAAAAAUAAUAUAAAAGACCAUAUUAAAGCCCAUUCAACAUCCAAAACAGAUAAUAUAAUAGCAUGGAAGAAUCAAAAAAUUAUAGAUACGUUGGAGACGUAUCAAGCCGCAGUGGGACACCUUCUCCAUCGAUCUCGAACCGGUGCCCGCCAAGGUGGUCGGCGGCACCCCAUGCAGCGCAACAUCCCCUGAGGCGUCGAGCUCUCCUACCAUGCCGACAUCGACGCACACGAGUGCGGCCAGGACACGGCCCGCGAUGCUGAUCUGUGCCACACCAAGCCCAGACCGCUCUGGCAUGCAAUUCAUGUCUCCACUGCCGGGGGCGUCAGUGCCGCCGCCCGACAAGGAGGCUCCGCGGCGGUACCGCACCUUGGAGAAUCUGUGAGACACCACUGAAGAAGGGACAAGUGAUAACAGUCAGUACAGUUACCUGUGUCUCUUCGCAGGGGAGGAGCCGACCUCCUUCAAUGAGGCGCAGAAGGAGGGAGGAUGGAGAAACGCCAUGAACGAGGAGAUGCAGAGCAUCAUCGACAACGACACGUGGGAGCUGUGCGAGCUCCCUCCCGGGCACCGAGCGAUAGGCCUCAAGUGGGUCUACAAGCUCAAGAAGGACGCCCACGGCACGAUGGUGAAGCACAAGGCGCGGCUGGUGGCAAAAGGCUACGUCCAAGUCCAAGGAGUGGACUUCAAGGACGUGUUCGCUCCGGUGGCACGCAUGGAAUCGGUGCGCGUGCUGGUCGCGCUCGCCGCGCACCACGUGUGGCCAAUUCAUCACAUGGACGUCAAGUCCGCCUUCUUGAACGGGGACCGGCAGGAGGAGGUCUACGUUGUUCAGCCACCCGGGUACGUUGAGCUCGGCGACGAGGGGAAGGUGCUGCGUUUAUGCAAGGCACUGUAUGGGCUACGCCAAGCCCUGAGAGCUUGGAACGCCAAGCUGGACGAAAGCUUGCGUUCUCUGGGCUUUGAGCGUUGCCCCUCGGAGCACGCAGUCUACCGACGCGGGGAGGGCGACAAGCUCCGGCUCAUCGGUGUGUACGUCGACGACCUUGUCAUUACAGGGGCGGACAAGACGGAGAUCGACGCAUUCAAGUGUCAGAUGACCACGCUCUUCCGCAUGAGCGACCUCGCCGAGCUCAGCUACUACCUGGGCAUUGAGGUGCGCCAGGAGCGCGACCGCAUCACACUCUACCAAGCGGCCUACGCAAAAAGCUGCUGGAGCGUGCUGGGCUCAAAGAGUGCAACACCGGCAACGUGCCGAUAGAAGCUCGACUGAAAUUGAGCAGGGACAGCAAGGAGAGGCCGGUGGACAGCACUGAGUACCGCAGCAUCAUUGGAGGGUCGCGCUACCUCGUGCACAUGAGGCCGGACAUCUCCUUCACCGUCGGCUACCUGAGCCGUUUCAUGGAGGCACCGACUUCAGAUCACUACGCGGCUGUGAAGCGUCUGCUAAGGUAUGUAGCAGGCACUCUGGACCACGGUUGUGCCUAUGUCCGGGGGAAGGGCACGCCGGAGCUGGUGGGGUACAGCGACGCGGAUCACGCCGGUGACAUCAACGACAGGCGGAGCACGACGGGAGUGCUCUACUUCCUCGGCACGGCGGCAGCCCAGUGAGUUGGCAGUCGCAGAAGCAAAGGGUGGUGGCACUCUCCUCAUGUGAGGCGGAGUACGUGGCUGCCACCACCACCGCUUGCCAAGGGAUUUGGCUGGCUGGGCUGAUCGGAGAGAUGCUGAACAUCGACGUCUGGCCACCACGACUUCUGGUCGAUAACAAGUCAGCAAUGUGUCUCCAAGAACCCCAUCUUCCAUGAUCGAAGCAAGCACAUUGAGAUACGAUACCACUUCAUUCGUGAUUGUGUGGAAGAAGGGCGGAUCGACAUCGACUACAUCUGCACCAACGAUCAUCUUGCUGACGUCCUCACCAAGGCACUUGGACGACUCAAGUUUCUGGAGCUUAGGGGGAGGAUCGGCAUGACAGAAAUAAUUCGGCGGCGAUGAGCUUAGAGGGAGAUUUGUUAGCUAAUCUAGUUGAUGUAGUUUUCCUUCAGUUAGUUUGCUUUCGUCAGACAUAACGUAGUCAGGCGCAUGAGCUCGCGAGUCAUGCGAGCUGCGCGCGUAGGCGAUCUGGGCAUGAUCGAUGCCCGAUCGAUCAGGGUGGUCAGCCACGAAACCCACUUGUGGGAUGGCACGAGAAUUCGGGAUCAUGGCGCUAGGACCGGGGCACUCUUUCUCUCUGUAACAGAAUAAGUAGAGGAGAUCAAAAACAGAAAAGUCGCAAGGUUGUAGGUGACGCAAAAACUCAUGUCUCUCCUCUUUGUGAUCGCGAGCUGUGAGAGAUCGAGCAACCCUGACAAAGCACAUGACGCCUAUAGUCCAUUGUUAAUUCCUCUCUGUACCUAAUCUUGUUAAUUUCCCACACCAAAGAUGCUAAUCAACUGGCAUUCUAAAACUCUCCUAACAAGUAACAACAGCCGCGCCUAUGGACGAUCGAUCCCACCAGUGGCAACCAAUGGAGGUGCCAACGGUGGUGAUGCAACUUGUUUCCAUGUACAACAACUACGGCAAUCCGUCCUCUCCUACCUGCAUUGUCCUCGAAGGAAUGGAAGCGGACGAGAGAGAGCGUCGACCUGACUUAUAACAUUUUUCUUUCAGCAAUCUCUACAAAAAAUCAUGCCUCUCUUGACUUGGGGUCAAUAGCUCCUGUGCGACAUCUUUCGUGGGAAUUGGACAGAGUGCGACAUUGUUGACGAAAAUGGCUUUGGGGCGACACUUUUGAGCGACAAAAUAGCCCAGACACGACAUGGCCCUUAAACUGAUCUGAUGCCCUCAUUAGCUGUUAUGGGCUGGACCCACAACUUAUCCACGUAAGCGCGGGACCCACCAUUUGUCCAGUAAGCGCGGGACCCACAACUUAUCCACGUCAGCAUGGGACCCACCACUUGUCCAGUAUGCGCGGGACCCACCUCUUUGCAGCUAGAAGAGAUGACUGAUGACCCACAAGUGUAGGAGAUCUAUCGUAGUCCUUUCGAUAAGUAAGAGUGUCGAACCCAACGAGGAGCAGAAGGAAAUGACAAGCGGUUUUCAAUAAGGUAUUCUCUGCAAGCACUGAAAUUAUAGGUAACAGAUAGUUUUGUGAUAAGAUAAUUUGUAACGGGUAACAAGUAAUGAAAGUAAAUAAGGUGCAGCAAUGUGGCCCAAUCCUUUUUGUAGCAAAGAACAAGCCUGGACAAACUCUUAUAUAGAUAAAAGCGCUCCCGAGGACACAUGAGAAUUAUUGUCAAGCUAGUUUUCAUCACGUUCAUAUGAUUCGCGUUCGGUACUUUGAUAAUUUGAUAUGUGGGUGGACCGGUGCUUGGGUGCUGUCCUUACUUGGACAAGCAUCCCACUUAUGAUUAACUCCCAUUGCAAGCAUCCGCAACUACAAAAGAAGUAUUAAGGUAAACCUAACCAUAGCAUGAAACAUAUGGAUCCAAAUCAGCCCCUUACGAAGCAACGCAUAAACUAGGGUUUAAGAUUCUGUCACUCUAGCAACCCAUCAUCUACCUAUUACUUCCCAAUGCCUUCCUCUAGGCCCAAACAAUGGUGAAGUGUCAUGUAGUCGACGUUCACAUGACACCACUAGAGGUGAGACAACAUACAUCUCAUCAAUAUAUCGAACGAAUACCAAAUUCACAUGACUACUAAUAGCAAGACUUCUCCCAUGUCCUCAGGAACAAACGUAACUACUCACAAAGCAUAUUCAUGUUCAUAAUCAGAGGGGUAUUAAUAUGCAUAAUGGAUCUGAACAUAUGAUCUUCCACCAAGUAAACCAACUAGCAUCAACUACAAGGAGUAAUCAACACUACUAGCAACCUACAGGUACCAAUCCCAGGCUAUGAGACAAAGAUUGGAUACAAGAGAUAAACUAGGGUUUGAGAGGAGAUGGUGCUGGUGAAGAUGUUGAUGGAGAUUGGGCCCCUCCCGAUGAGAGGAGUGUUGGUGAUGACGAUGGCGAUGAUUUCCCCCUCCCGGAGGGAAGUGUCCCCGGCAGAACAGCUCUGCAAGAGCCCUAGAUUGGUUCCGCCAAGGUUCCGCCUCGUGGCGUCGGAGUCUCAUCCCGAAAGCUUGCUUAUGAUUUUUUCUCAGAUGAAAGACUUCAUAUAGCAUAAGAUGGGCACCGGAGGGCCACCAGAGGGCCCACGAGGUAGGGGGCGCGCCCCCACCCUCGUGGCCAGGGUGUGGGCCCCCUCUGGUAUUUUCUUCGCUCAGUAUUUUUUAUUAUUUCCAAAAAUAACUUCCGUGGAGUUUAAGGACUUUUGGAGUUGUGCAGAAUAGGUCUCUAAUAUUUGCUCCUUUUCCAGCCCAGAAUUCCAGCUGCCUGCAUUCUCCCUCUUUAUGUAAACCUUGUAAAAUAAGAGAGAAUAAGCAUAAGUAUUGUGACAUAAUGUGUAAUAACAGCCCAUAAUGCAAUAAAUAUCGAUAUAAAAGCAUGAUGCAAAAUGGACAUAUCAACUACCCCAAGCUUAGACCUCACUUGUUCUCAAGCGGAAGCCGAUAAUGAUAAAUAUGUCCACAUGUUUAGAGGUAGAGGUGUCGAUAAAAUAAAAUACGGACAUGAGGGCAUCAUGAUCAUUCUUAUAACAGUAACAUAUAUGGAUAUUGUCAUAUUAUUUCUUAUGAUAAAGUAACAAUCUAUCCACAAUGUCAAGUGUGAAUCAGAAACUUCAUUGAGAACUAACAAACGAUAAUCUCAGUCAUUGAGGCAAUUGCAAUUUAUCAUAACAUCAUAAAGAGUCUAUGUAAGAGCUUUUCAGCAAGUCCACAUACUCAACUAUCAUUUAGUCUUUCACAACACUCACGCAAUACUUGUGGUUAGGGAGUUUUAAUCGGACACAGAGAAAGAUAGGGGCUUAUAGUUUCGCCUCCCAACCUUUUACCUCAAGGGUAAUGUCAACAAUAAUAGUUCAUUCUAAUUUGCAUCCAAUUAUAUAUAUAUAUAUAUAUAUAUAUAUAUAUAUAUAUCAGGAUCUUUCCAACACAAGGUGCUUGCCAAAGGAUAUAAAAUGUAAAAAGGAAAGGUGAAGAUCACCAUGACUCUUGCAUAAGGUAGAAAAUAAAAGUAAAAGAUAGGCCCUUCGCAGAGGGAAGCAGAGGUUGUCAUGCGCUUUCAGGGUUGGAUGCACAAAAUCUUAAUGCGAAAGAACGUCACUUUAUAUUGCCACAUGUGAUAUGGACCUUUAUUAUGCAGUCCGUCGCUUUUAUUUCUUCCACAUCACAAGAUCGUAUAAAGCUUAUUUUCUCCCACACUAAUAAGUCAUACAUAUUUAGAGAGCAAUUUUUAUUGCUUGCACCGAUCACAACUUACUUGAAGGAUCUUACUCAAUCCAUAGGUAGAUAUGGUGGACUCUCAUGGCAAAACUGGUUUUAAGGGUAUUUGGAAGCACAAGUAGUAUUUCUACUUGGUGCAAAAAAUUGGCUAGCAUGAGGGAGAAAGGCAAACUCAACAUGUUGGAUGAUCCAUGACAAUAUACUUUAUCUCAGAUAUAAGAAAACAUGACCCAUUAUGUUGUCUUCCUUGUCCAACAUCAACUCUUUAGCAUGUCAUAUUUUAAUGAGUGCUCACAAUCAUAAAAGAUGUCCAAUAUAGUAUAUUUAUAUGUGAAACCUCUCUUUCUUUAUUACUUCCUAUUAAUUGCAACGAUGACCAAAACUAUGUUUGUCAACUCUCAACAACUUUUAAUCAUCAUACUCUUUCUAUGUGAAGUCAUUACUCUCCAUAAAAUCAAUAUGAUCUCUUUUUAUUCUUUCUUUUUCUUUUAUUCACUCAUAAUCAUAGCAAGAUAAUCAAGCCCUUGACCCAACACUAAUCUCUAUUAUAUAGCUCACGGACUUGAUUACAUAGAGGGAUCAUAAAGCAAAACUCAAAACUAAAUCAUAUUAAAACUUUAUUCUACUAGAUCAAGAUAUUACCAAAAGGAUCGAACUAAGAAAAACGGUAAAGAUAGGAGUGUGAUGGUGAUACAAUACCGGGGCACCUCCCCCAAGCUUGGCAGUUGCCAAGGGGAGUGCCCAUACCCAUGUGAUUAUAUCUCCUUUGCUGGCGAAGGUGAUGGUGGAGUUGUUGAUGAUGUGGGCUUGUCGUCCAUCGAGCGUAAGAGGUCCUCCAACUUGCAGAUAAUGCCCUUGAGUGCGAUUUUAUAUGCUCCCUCAACAAAAUAUUUUCACAUGUGAGAUACUUCUUUUUUAUACGAGCUAACUCAAUCAUCUUGAAAGCUUCGAUCUCAGUUGGGGUAAGAAGAUUGUGAUCAAGUUGAAGGAUGUCUUCUGCUGCCGGAGCUUGGUCCUCUGUGGCCUUAUUGAUCCCUUCAUCUUUGUUGAUCUCCAUGGGUUCUUCCCUCUUCAGCUCUAUCUUCAUUAGCCAAGCAUCGUUGUCACCAUUGUUGGAGGAGGAGGACGACAUGAUGCCUGGCCUAGACAACCCUGACAGAAAAUAAUGCAACUCGAAACAAGAACAGAGGAUAAUUGCGUGAUACGGGAGUCAAAAUCUUCGGGAGUUUAUAUAAUGAAUUUUUACCGACCGAAAGAAGUAUCGUGCAAGAAAACGGAGUCCGGAGAGCACACGAGGUGCCCACGAGGCAGGGGGACGCGCCCAGGGGGUAGGGCGCGCCUCCCACCCUCGUGGAAGCCUCGUUUCCUUCCCGGACUGCUUCUUAUUUUCCUAUUUUUCUAAAUAUUCCAAAACAGAGAAAGUUUGCAAUUAGAACUGUUCUGUAGUCGGUUUACUUACCGUACCACAUACCUAUAACUUUUCGGGGUCUGAAACGUUCUAGAAAGUGUCUCUUAUGUAUUCCUCCGGUGUUACGGUUUCAACAACAUUAGUUUCAACAUUUAUAGGGUUACCUGAGAUAUAAUGUUUGAUUCUUUGACCGUUCACCACCUUCGGACUUGUGCCUUCAAAGUUGUUGAUUUUUAUGGCACCGGAACGAUAGACCUCCUCGAUAACGUAAGGACCUUCCCAUUUAGAGAGAAGUUUUCCAGCAAAAGAUCUUAAACGAGAGUUGUAUAACAAUACAUAAUCACCUACAUUAAACUCAUGCUUUUGUAUCCUUUUUUCAUGCCAUCUUUUAACUUUUUCCUUAAACAAUUUGGCAUUCUCAUAGGCUUGGGUUCUCCGUUCAUCAAGUGAGCUAAUGUCAAAUAACCUCUUCUCACCAGCAAGUUUAAAAUCAUAAUUGAGCUCUUUAAUGGCCUAGUAUGCCUUAUGUUCUAGUUCGAGAGGUAAAUGACAUGCUUUUCCAUAAACCAUUUUAUACGGAGACAUACCCAUAGGAUUUUUAUAUGCAGUUCUAUAGGCCCAUAAUGCAUCAUCAAGUUUCUUGGACCAAAUCUUUCUAGAUCUAUUAACAGUCUUUUGCAAAAUUAAUUUGAGCUCUCUAUUACUCAAUUCUGCUUGACAACUAGACUGUGGGUGAUUAGGGGAUGCAAUUCUAUGAUUAACAUCAUACUUAGCACGCAUUUUACGAAAAGCACCAUGAAUAAAAUGUGAACCACCAUCGGUCAUUAAAUAUCUGGGGACUCCAAACCUGGGAAAAAUAACUUCUUUAAGCAUCUUAAUAGAGGUGUUAUGAUCAGCACUACUAGUCGGAAUAGCUUCUACCCACUUAUUAACGUAAUCAACAACAACUAAAAUAUGUGUAUACCCAUUAGAGGAAGGAAAAGGUCCCAUAUAAUCAAAGCCCCAAACGUCAAAUGGUUCAAUAACAAGUGAAUAAUUCAUAGGCAUUUCUUGACGUCUACUAAUGUUACCAAUUCUUUGACAUUCAUCACAAGAUAAGACAAACUUACGAGCAUCCUUGAAGAGAGUAGGCCAAUAAAAACCGGAUUGCAAUAACUUAUGUGCAGUUCUAUCUCCAGCGUGGUGCCCUCCAUAAGCCUCGGAGUGACACUUGCGUAGGAUCUGUUCCUGUUAAUGCUCAGGUACACAACGCCUAAUAACACCAUCUACUCCUUCUUUAUAAAGAUGUGGGUCAUCCCAGAAGUAAUGUCUUAAAUCAUAGAAAAACUUUUUCUUUUGCUGGUAUGUGAAACUAGGUGGUAUAAAUUUAGCAACAAUGUAAUUAGCAUAAUCAGCAUACCAUGGAGCAGUACGAGAAGCAUUUAUAACAUUUAAUUGUUCAUCAGGAAAGCUAUCAUCAAUAGGUAGUGGGUCAUCAAGAACAUUUUCUAACCUAGACAAGUUAUCUGCAACAGGGUUCUCAGCUCCCUUUCUAUCAAUAAUAUGUAAAUCAAAUUCUUUUCGCAAGAGAACCCAUCUAAUAAAUCUAGGUUUAGCAUCUUUCUUUUCCAUAAGAUAUUUAAUAGCAGCAUGAUCAGUGUGAAUAGUUACUUUAGAAUCAACAAUAUAAGGUCUGAACUUAUCACAAGCAAAUACAACUGCUAAAAAUUACUUUUCAGUAGUGGCAUAAUUUCUCUGGGCAUUGUCUAGAGUUUUACUAGCAUAUUGAAUAACAUUUAAUUUCUUAUCAACUCUUUGCCCUAGAACAGCACCUACAGCAUAAUUGCUAGCAUCACACAUAAUUUCAAAAGGUAAAUUCCAAUCAGGUGGCUGAACAAUAGGUGCAGAAAUCAAUGCUUUCUUAAGUAUUUCAAAUGCUUCUACACAAUCAUCAUCAAAAACGAAAGGUAUAUCUUUUUGUAAGAGAUUAGUCAGAGGCCGAGAAAUUUUUUAGAAGUCCUUAAUGAACCUCCUAUAAAAACUAGCAUGACCAAGGAAACUUCUUAUACCUUUGAUGUCCUUGGGACAUGGCAUCUUUUCAAUAGCAUCAACUUUAGCUUUAUCAACUUCACUACCUCUUUUAGAAAUUUUAUGCCCCAAGAAAAUACCUUCAUUAACCAUAAAGUGGCACUUCUCCCAAUUCAAGACAAGGUUAGUUUCUUCACAUCUCUGCAAAACUCGAUCAAGGUUGCUCAAGCAAUCAUCAAAAGAGGAUCCAUAAACGGAGAAAUUGUCCAUGAAAACCUCACAUAUCUUUUCACAAAAGUCAGAAAAUAUAGCAAUCAUGCAUCUUUGAAAGGUAGCAGGUGCUUUACAUAAACCAAAAGGCAUACGUCUAUAAGCAAAAGUACCGAAAGGGCAAGUAAAAGUGGUAUUUGCUUGAUCAUCAGCUGACACAGGUAUUUCAGAGACACCAGAGUAACCAUCUAGAAAGCAAAAAUGUGUAUGUUUGGAUAAUCUUUCUAGCAUUUGAUCAAUAAAAGGUAAGGGGUAAUGAUCUUUUUAGUAGCCUUAUUUAAUUUGCGGAAAUCAAUUACCAUCCUAUAACCUGUAAUAAUUCUUUGCGGAAUCAAUUCAUCUUUAUCAUUGGGAACGACAGUAAUACCUCCCUUCUUAGGGACACAAUGGACAGGACUUACCCACUGACUAUCAGCAACGGGAUAAAUUAUACCUGCCUCAAGGGGCUUUAGUAUUUCCUUUCUUACCACUUCCUUCAUCUUAGGAUUCAGACGUCGUUGAUGAUCAAUAACUGGUUUGGCAUCUUUCUCCAAAUUUAUUUUGUGUUGGCAUAGAGUGGGACUAAUGCCAUUAAGAUCAUCAAGAGUAUAUCCAAUAGCAGCACGGUGCUUCUUCAGAGUUUUCAGUAAUUUUUCUUCCUCCUUCUCUGAAAGGUUAGCACUAAUAAUAACAGGAUAUAUCUUCUUUUCAUCAAGAUAAGCAUAUUUAAGAGUAUCAGGCAACGGUUUAAGCUCAAACACGGGAUCACCCUUGGGUGGAGGAGGACCCCCUAGGAUUUCAACAGGAAAAUUGUGUUUCAUAAUAGGUCCAUGUUUAAAGAAUACUUCAUCUAUUUCCCUUCUUUCAUUCAUAAACAUAUCAUUCUCAUGGUCUAGCCAAUAUUGUUCUAAAGGAUCACUAGGAGGCACGGCAAUAGAAGCAAGACCAAUAAUUUCAUCCUUACUAGGCAAUUCCUCAUCACGCGAGGUUGUCUACGAAAUUUAGAGAAAUUAAACACAUGAGACAUAUCAUCCAAACCAAUAGUAACAACAUCCUUUUCGCAGUCUAUCUUAGCAUUAACAGUGUUCAAGAAGGGUCUACCAAAUAUAAUGGGACAAAAGCUAUCUUGUGGGGAACCAAGAACAAGAAAAUCAGCAGGAUAUUUAGCCUUCCCACACAAGACCUCAACAUCUCUAACAAUCCCAAUUGGUAAAAUAGUAUCUCUAUUGGCAACCUUAAUGGUAACAUCGAUAUCUUCUAUCUCAGCCGGUGCAAUAUCAUGCAUAAUUUCUUUGUAUAAGUAAAUAGGUAUUGCACUAGCACUAGCACCCAUAUCACACAAGCCAUGAUAACAAUGAUCUCCUAUUUUAACAGAAAUAACAGGCAUGCCUACCACAGGUCUAUGUUUAUCUUUAGCACCAGGUUUAGCAAUUCUAGCAGUAUCAUCACAGAAGUAUAUAACAUGCCCAUCGAUAUUAUCAGACAAGAGAUCUUUAACAAUAGCAAUAUUAGGUUCAACUUUAACUUGCUCAGGAGGUGUAUAAGUUCUAAUAUUACUUUUACGAACCACAGUUGAAGCUUUAGCAUGAUCCUUUAUACUAACAGGAAAAGGUGGUUUCUCAACUUAAGCAGUAGGAACAAUAGGAUCAUUAUAAGUGAUAGUCUUUUCUUCAACUUUAAUAGGUUCAACUACUUUUACUUCUAUGGGAGGAUGAUAUUUAAACCACUCUCCUUAGGGAGAUCAACAUGAGCAGCAAAAGAUUCACAGAAAGAAGCUACUAUCUCAUAGUCAAGUCCAUAUUUAGUGCUAAUAAAUUUACGGAAAACAUCGGUAUCCAUAAAAGAUUUAACACAAUCAAACUUAGGUGUUAUACCCGACUCCUUACCUUCGUCGAGAUCCCAAUCUUCAGAGUUGCGUUUAAUUCUUUCCAGUAAAUUCCAUUUGAAUUCAAUAGUCUUCAUCAUAAAAGAGCCAGUACAUGAAGUAUUGAGCAUGGAGCGAUUAUUGUGAGAAAGCCGAGCAUAAAAAUUAAUAAUCAUUUCUCUUGAGAGUACAUGAUUGGGGCAUGAAUAUUACAUUGACUUAAGCCUCCCCCAAGCUUGAGCGAUGCUUUCUCCUUCGCGAGGCCAAAAAUUAUAUAUAUAAUUACGAUCACGAUGAACAAGAUGCAUAGGAUAAAACUUCUGAUGGAAUUCCAAUUUCAACCGUUUGUAGUCCCAUGAUCCCAUAUCAUCACAUAGCCGAUACCAUGUCAAUGCAUCUCCCUUCAAAUAUAAAGGGAAGACCUUCUUAUUGAUAACAUCAUCGGGCACACCUGCAAGCUUAAAUAAUCCACGAACUUCAUCCACAUAGAUUAAGUGUAAAUCGGGACGCAAUGUUCCAUCUCCUGCAAAAGGAUUAGCCAGUAGUUUCUCUAUCAUACCCGAAGGAAUUUAGAAGUAAACAUUUUCAUUUUCAGUAGGUUCAGUAGGUUGAGGAGCAACUCUUUGCUCUACUGGUCGAGGUGAAGAUACCCCGAACAAGCCCCUCAAAUGAUUACUUUCCAUAGUAACAAGUGACAGUAAAUUUCAGCACACUAUAUAAAAUUUUCAUUACCAAAUUCCACCUACCAAAGGCGCUUCACUCCCCGGCAACGGCGCCAGAAAAGAGUCUUGAUGACCCACAAGUUUAGGGGAUCUCUCGUAGUCCUUUCGGUUAGUAAGAGUGUUGAACCCAACGAGGAGCAAAAGGAAAUGACAAGCGGUUUUCAGCAAGGUAUUCUCUGCAAGCACUGAAAUAUAGGUAACAGAUAGUUUUGUGAUAAGAUAAUUUGUAACGGGUAACAAGUAAUGAAAGUAAAUAAGGUGCAGAAAGGUAACAAGUAAUAGAGAAAAGCGCUCCCUGAGGACACAUGGGAAUUAUCGUCAAGCUAGUUUUCAUCACGUUCAUAUGAUUCGCGUUCGGUACUUUGAUAAUUUGAUAUGUGGGUGGACCGGUGCUUGGGUGCUGUCCUUACUUGGAAAAAUAUCCCACUUAUGAUUAACUCCUAUUGCAAGCAUCCGCAACUACAAAAGAAGUAUUAAGGUAAGCCUAACCAUAGCAUGAAACAUAUGGAUCCAAAUCAGCCCCUUACGAACCAACGCAUAAACUAGGGUUUAAGCUUCUGUCACUCUAGCAACCCAUCAUCUACUUAUUACUUCCCAAUGCCUUCCUCUAGGCCCAAACAAUGGUGAAGUGUCAUGUAGUCGACGUUCACAUGACACCACUAGAGGAGAGACAACAUACAUCUCAUCAAAAUAUCGAACAAAUACCAAAUUCACAUGACUACUAAUAGCAAGGCUUCUCCCAUGUCCUCAGGAACAAACGUAACUACUCACAAAGCAUAUUCAUGUUCAUAAUCAGAGGGGUAUUAAUAUGCAUAAUGGAUCUGAACAUAUGAUCUUCCACCAAGUAAACCAACUAGCAUCAACUACAGGAGUAAUCAACACUACUAGUAAUCCCAGGCUAUGAGAAAAAGAUUGGAUACAAGAGAUAAACUAGGGUUUGAGAGGAGAUGGUGCUUGUGAAGAUGUUGAUGGAGAUUGGCCCCCUCCCGAUGAGAGGAGCGUUGGUGAUGACGAUGGCGAUGAUUUCCCCCUCCUGGAGGGAAGUGUCCCCGGCAGAACAGCUCUGCCAGAGCCCUAGAUUGGUUCCGCCAAGGUUCCGCCUCGUGGCGGUGGAGUCUCGUCUUGAAAGCUUGCUUAUGAUUUUUUCUCGGACAAAAGACUUCAUAUAGUAGAAGAUGGGCACCGGAGGGCCACCAGGGGGCCCACGAGGCAGGGGCGCGCCCAGGGGGUAGGGCGCGCCCCCCACCCUCGUGGCCAGGGUGUGGGCCCCCUCUGGUAUUUUCUUCACUCAGUAUUUUUUAUUAUUUCCAAAAAUAACUUCCGUGGAGUUUCAGGACUUUUGGAGUUGUGCAAAAUAGGUCUCUAAUAUUUGCUCCUUUUCCAGCCCAGAAUUCCAGCUGCCGACAUUCUCCCUCUUUAUGUAAACCUUGUCAAAUAAGAGAGAAUAAGCAUAAGUAUUGUGACAUAAUGUGUAAUAACAGCCCAUAAUGCAAUAAAUAUCGAUAUAAAAGCAUGAUGCAAAAUGGGCGUAUCAACGACCGCCCGUCCCCGUCGGCCCGCCGCCACCCAUUGCUUCCCCUUUCCCCAUUCUUCCUCUUCUCUGGCGAGCUGGUGCAGAUGUCCACCUCCUCCGCCACGCACUGAAAAUGGCGUCAGUAUGGUCCAGUGCCGCUCACAAGGUGCCCUGACUGCCCACGCCCAGAGCCUCUAAAACGGUGGGUCAGUAGAACUGAUGAGAAUGGAAAUCUUGGGCGGGAAUUUGUGAAGUGCUUGAGCAAAACAAUGGCAGAAAGGGAUGGCAAGGUUAGAUCUCAGUUCUUAGCCCAUUCUUUCACUGUCGUUUGCUCUGAUUUAUCCAUAUUUUGUUUUUUUCCUCGAAUUUGGAAUUUAGGGUUCAUGUUGUUGUUUUUUCCUCGAAUUUGGAAUUUAGGGUUCAUGUUGUUGAUUUAUCCAUAUUUCAUGUUGUUGAGAGGAUUCAGUUCGAGGGCUACAUUGAUUCGAGCGGGGCCGCAACCUGGGAGCUCAAUUUGGGGGGAGGGGUGCCGCAGAUGGAGAAUUUGGGGUCGAGCUUGGACAGAGGGGCGGGCAGAGUCGUGUCGAUGGCUAGGUAUGCGCGCAAUGCUGAACUGCACUUGGAGUCUGAACUAACCGAGGAACUGAAGAUAAUCAAGAAAUCAAAUGGAGAUGAUCAAUCUGCAGAAGCAAGCAAAUAUCAUGGCAGGGGGGGUUCUAUUGUUGUGUCAUUGCUCUGUUUUUGUUUUACUUGUUGUUCAUCCGUCAUUAGAGGGAGCAUUUAGGUCUAUCAGGGCAGAGGAUGCGAUCUGUGCGCCAUGCCAAGUUCAUGUAACUGAAUCGAAGCAGAAAUAUUCUAUGUUGAUGCUUUGUUCUUGUUCUUCAGUUAACAGAGUGCACACCCCCCAAAUUCAGUUUCUAGUAAGAAAAUCUUGCUGCCGAAUAGAUGUUGGGCCAUGAAAAAACAACGAGGCCCAAAUAGAGACAAGCCCACCCGCGUAGGGGCACCAGCCCAGUUUUAUAGCAUAGAGGCACCCAUGUUUAAAAAAAAUGUUCGACUAAAAACUCAAAAUAAAAUAUUGCUUCGGCAAAUAAACCUUUAACAAACAUAUACUUCUUUACAUAUUUGUUGCUUGUCCACGCUUGCACAAAAUAUUGGCCAGAGGUAAAAUUCAAACUAAUAUUUUUAGGAGCACAGAAAUAUUUCUUUUGUGACCAAUAAUUGUUUGCAUGAACUAAAAUAGUUGCAUUUCCAUGGUUGCAAAAAAAAUUGCACCGUACACCUAAUAGCUAGGGUGAUCCUAUUUGCAUGAACUAAAUUAGUUGCAUGUCCAUGGUUGCACAAAAAUUAUCACCGUACACCUACUAGCCAGGGCCUAGAUACAUGCAAGCACACAUGCAUCACACCAAGAUAUGAAAAAAAAUUGCAAAAAAAUUUGGGUACCCAUACACUUGCAUGUCCGUAGUGGAAGCUACCUUUUAUUAGUAAGACAUAGAUCAAAUAGGGAUCCAAUCAACUAGAUAUAACAUGGGUACCCAUAGAACAUCAAGCACCAUAUAUAUCAACUAACCAAUAUCAACUAGAUAGAAAAAAAUAACAGAUAGAACAUAGUAGCAUAAGUAGUAGCAUUGCAUAGAUAAGGGUAGCACGACAUAUAUAGUACCACUACAACAUAGAUAAUUCAUAGUUCAACCCAACACGACAAUAAUAAAACACCACCAGCUUGUUUGCUUGCUUGCUCAAAGGCCAAAUCCUCCAUGGCCAACUCCUUCACUCGUCGCCGUUGGUGGGGUACGGGAGGGUGUGCAUGCGCUCAUCGGCGGGGAAGGCACUGUCGAAGUCCGUGAAGAUGUUGUACAUGGUGAAUGCGAUGAACUCGCAUCCACAUCAAAAAACACGACCGAGGAGGUAGUAGGCGUCGAAGGGGUUGGUGAACCUCACGAUGAGCCCGAUAGGAUGGCCACUGCUACUGACCUCUUUGACACGGAACAUGGCCGGAGAGCCCCUCGGGAGGUGCCGGUAGCCGGCGGAGAGGAAGAACUCGGUCAGCCCCCUUGCCCCCCUCCACCUCGAGAUCGCCCACACCCGUAGGGUGUUCUCCACCCGGACUCCGGUAGGGUAGAGCCUCUCAGGGAAGGUGCGCGGCACACGGUAGGUAGCCCCGGUGAACUGCAUCUUGCUUGCUAGCUUUGAGUGGAUCUUGGAAGAUGGGAGAUGAAGGAGAGUGAGAGGAAGAUGUGGGUAGAGGAAGAUGUAGGCUUGGGUGUGCUUAAAUAGCCGAGGUGCAGUGUUUUAACGUUUUGUUUUCCUCUCCCUCGUAAUGGCAUGGGAAACGAGCAAUGUGGCAUCGAGUCACCCGAGCCAACCCGUGUGUACACGCGCAUGCAUUGUGGUAGUAAUGCCAAUGACCCGCGUAGCACUCUAGCAAUAAAAAUGCGUCGAGAGAUGAGCUCGAUGCCAUGCAUGCAGCGGCUAGCGGUCGGGCAUCUAGACCCAUCUAGAAUGGGUAAAUAGCCAUAAUGCUACGAGGGUGUCGGCGGGCAUGCUCGCCCGCGAUGCCAUCCAUGCAACGUCGAACGCUGAGAGGGCGGCCGCAGGAGGGCUACACGCGCGUGCAUGCUUUUCAGGCCGAAUGCAGCGUCGUGUCCAUCGGUCCAAUGGGUGGGCCGCUUUAAUUAAGCCCAACAACACAUGGCAGGCCUGCUUAGUCUUACAAUGUAAAAAAUGGGCUAAAACGACCAGCCAAUGAAAGCGCAACACGCGGAUCUGUGACGUGGCUCCUAAUCCAGACUGUUGCUUAUGUUCACAUCCAUCCAAUGGUCCAGAAUGCUACGUGUUAUAAUAUUCAGCAUCUUCGAAUCAGCCAAUCAGAGUGCUGCCUGCAGAUCGCUGACGUAGCCCUGGUGCCUGAUCCAGACCGUCCAUUCAUAGCGAUCCAAUGGCCGAGAGGAGUGUGGGGUUUCAAUGGGGUUUUGAGUGGUUUUCAGCGGUUAGGGUUGAGCAUAACUAAUUCAAAAAAAUCAAAAAAACUAUAAAACUUGUGUCGAUCAUCGUUCUAUGUGACUAAGUAUCUAGGAAAAAUAAGAAACUUGUACUACGGAUAUUUUCAUGAAAAAACCUUCACAAAAGAUGGCUAUCAAGAACGACCUUGUAGGGUUUUGAAGAGAAGUGAGCUAGGGUUUAGUGUCAAACAUGUCAUACUUUAUCGAAACAAUCCAAUAUCAGGAAGGACUCUUAUAUACACACACUAGAUGUCAAGUUUCCUUUUUGGGCUCAUUUAGAGAAGGUCGAAAAAAGCUUGCUUACAAAUGGGUCUGUUUUCCCUAGCUUUGGAGGGGUUUUGGAGGUCAUGUGGAGCACAUUUUUCAUGUCCAGAGUUUUACAUAAUAAAAGUGCUCCGAUUAAUCAACUAACAUGCAUAAUAGUCCAGAAAUCAUUGUAACACCAACACCACAGACCAAAUAACUUCAAAUUUGAAUUUUGUCUCAAAUUUGAAUUUUGUCUCAAAUUUGAAUAGUAUUACACAAAUACACAUCAUAUCAAAGUACAAAUAUCAUUACACAAAUUCAGGCAAGGUUUUAUUACUACAACAUACUAGCAAUACACAAGUUUCAACAAAUUUUCACUUCUGCUUCUUCCUACCACUCGAUUUGUUCUUCUUCUUUUUACCAAUGCUUGUUUUUGGUUGUACAACACCCAGUUCACUCAAGCUCUUGAUUUUCUUCACUGGACUUCCUGGAACACAAGCUUCAUUUCGCACCACAACAGUUGCAGUAUCAUCGGACCCAAUAUCACCAGUUGGCAACACAACUUCCAAUAUAGGCUCAGUUGGCACCACAUCAACUGGAAUAUCUUUAGUUGGCAACUCAACUUCCAACAUAGGCUCAGCUUGCACAGCAUCAGCUGGAAUAUCUUCAGAGGUACCCAUAGCUUCAGUUGGCACCAGAACAUCAAAAUCUUGCUCAUCUUGCAGCAGCACAUCCAAGUCUUGCUCAUUUUGCACCACACCAUCCAAGUCUGGUUGAAUGUGUAUUGUUUCACCAAAACUUCUCUUUCUUCUAGAGCCAUUGCCUCUUGCUUUUUUCUUUGGCCAGCACACUUCAACAACAAGGGGCUCACCUGCACGCUUCCUCCUAAAAAGAUAAAGCAUGUCAACUGGUUAGUAAUUGAAAAAUGCAACAAAAUAGUAAACAAUGCAAACAUAUGCCCACAUACUUUGGCCAUUCAUGAGUGUAACAACAUUUGGGAGAUCCAACUCGGUGCCCAAGUUCCUGGCACAACUUGCCUCUAUUUUUUUUUACCUUUUUGGGACCUUUUUGGCUUUGCAUUCUUCUUUCCCUUGCCCUUUUUACUACUCCCACCUUUCUCAAACCAUGCCUUGAAUCUACUUUCUUUAGGCCUGCCAGCCUUUCUUUUUGUUAGGGGAGGACCCAUGGAAAAUUCAAUUUCAACUUCAGGCCACUGAGACUGAUCUGUAAGUGCUAGAAUUGGAGUUGCAUAUGCAGCCUUGAAUCUUGCUACUAAGUAAUAUUCGUGCAAAUAUGGGUGCAUGUUUAUCUUCGGUCGGGAGGCCAAGAAAAGUAUGGCAUGACUCACAUGGUUUCCCAGUGUGCUGCCACUCCAAACAAGUGCAAUCAUGCAUUUCAGUGUUAACAACAUGCCUUCUACCAGUUUUGGUAUCUCUAACUUCAACACCCCACACAGAAGAUUUUUCAACAGAUAAAUGUGUAAGAUUUAUGCUCCUGUUGACCACCUGGUGUACCACUGCAGGAAGCUUAUCCCCUUGUAGACAAUCACCAAUCCUUCUUCUCAAUUCCCACAAGCGCAUGAUCAUGAUCCUGAUUUGGUCAACCAUGUCAUGCACAGGAAAAAAAUUUAACUGCUUCACCCUGUUGUUAAAACUUUCUGCCAAGUUGUUGUUGAUAUGAUCACACUUGAUGGCAGUGUUAAAUCCCGACCUAUACCAUAAUAGAGAAUGGUACGUGUUCACCCAUGGACCAAACUCAGGACAUGAUGUCAUUAUCAUACCAAGAUGAUAUUAAUGUGUUUGUUUAGUGUAAGAUCUUGCUGCUGGCCACAUACGACCAAAUUCUUCCCCUUUGAAUUUUUUGAUCAAAUUCAUCCACAUAUGGCCGAAGCACUCCCUCUGCUCACAAUGGGGGAAAACAUUCUUCACUGCGUUUUCUAGCCCUUUGCAUGCAUCUGUGUGGACUGCCAAAGGUGACACUGGACCUAUGCAUCUUUUCAACUGCACCAUGAACCAUGUCCACGAGACCUCUAUCUGUGACUGAAAUAAGCCAAUAGCAAUAGGGAACAUCCAGUUGUAUCGAUCCAAAGCAUUGCAAGCUGCCAAUUGACCAAUUGAAAGUGCACCUAUGCCUAGGUGGUUUUGGUAAUUCCUAACAACAUAUAGCUCAUUGAGCUAAUGAUAUCUCAAGAUAAAUAUUUCAGGAAAGCACAAUGAUUGGCAUGGCAUGGAUUAGAAAUGUGACCCCUCAGAAUACCAAGGACAAAAGAAUGGCUCAAGCUCUAAAGCUCAAGACUCUACAUUUUACUUUUAGUGAUCCAAGAUCACAUUGAGUCCAUAGGAAAAGCAAAUACUAUUAAAAGGGGAUGAGGUGUUGCUUAAUGGGUUGCUUGCUCAAAAUGCUUAGUGAUAUGCUCCAAAAACCCUCAACUACUUUCUCAUAUCCACAUAUGUCCCAAACCAGAAGUCAAACUCGGCCCCACCAAAACAUCCUAUCUGGCACCACCGAGUUCUCUUGACAUAGCCACUGCCACAAACCCUAGUCACUUUGGUCUCACCGAUAGGGAUCUCGGUAUCACCGAGAUGGGAUUGCAAACAUCUGUUUCCCUUCCUAACGUUUCGGUCCAACCGAGAUGAGCGAUCGGUCCCACCGAGUUUGCAAUGCAAACUCUCUGUUUCCCCUUCGUAACGUUUCGGUCUCACCGAGAUGAGCAAAUCGGUCCCACCGAGUCUGCCUCAUCAACUCUCUGGUUAGCUUAUCACCAAAAUCAGUCCCACCGAGUUUGUGUAAUCAGUCUCACCGAGAUUACGUUAUGCCCUAACCCUAAUGAAAUCGGUCCCACCGAGUUGACAUGUCGGUCCCAUCGAAUAUCCUAACGUUCACAUUUUGAACUAAAUCGGUCCGACCGAGUUUCAUUAUUCGGUCCCACCGAGUUUGAUGAUUUGUGUGUAACGGUUAGAUUUUGUGUGGAGGCUAUAUAUACCCCUCCACCCACUCUUUAUUCGUGGAGAGAGCCAUCAUAACAUGCCUACACUUCCAGCAUACAUUUUCUGAGAGAGAACCACCUACUCAUGUGUUGAGGUCAAGAUAUUCCAUUCCAACCACAUAAAUCUUGAUCUCUAGCCUUCUCCAAGUUGCUUUCCACUCAAAUCGUCUUUCCACCAAAUCCAAAUCUGUGAGAGAGAGUUGAGUGUUGGGGAGACUAUCAUUUGAAGCACAAGAGCAAGGAGUUCAUCAUCAACACACCAUCUAUUACCUUUUGGAGAGUGGUGUCUCCUAGAUUGGUUAGGUGUCACUUGGGAGCCUCCGUCAAGAUUGUGGAGUUGAACCAAGGAGUUUGUACGGGCAAGGAGAUCGCCUACUUCGUGAAGAUCUACCCUAGUGAGGCAAGUCCUUCGUGGGCGAUGGCCAUGGUGGGAUAGACAAGGUUGCUUCUUCGUGGAACCUUCAUGGGUGGAGCCCUCCGUGGACUCGCGCAACCGUUACCCUUCGUGGGUUGAAGUCUCCAUCAACGUGGAUGUACGAUAGCACCACCUAUCAGAACCACGCCAAAAAUCUCCGUGUUUAUAUUGCGUUUGCUCCCUCCAAACUCCUCCCUUUACCUUCAUGUGCAAUGUUUUACAUUCCGCUACUAUACUCUUAGACUUGCAUGUGUAGGUUGAUUUCUUGACUAGUGCUAAGUUGCUAAAAUCUGCCAAGACUUAAAAUUGGGGAAAGGCUAGAUUUUUAUUUGGUCAAGUAGUCUAAUCACCCCCCCUCUAGACAUAAUUUCGAUCCUACAAGUGGUAUCAGAGCUACGGUCUCCAUUUGCCUUGAUUUCCAUAGCUUUUGGUGAUCAUAGCCUUGGUUUCACAACCUAGGAGACUAUGGCGUCUAGCAAGGGAAAUUACCACCAUAGAGGUCCUUACUUUGAUGGUACUAAUUUUGCUACUUGGAAGCACAAGAUGAAAAUGCAUAUUCUUGGACAUAACCCCGCCGUUUGGGCUAUUGUGUGUAUUGUCUUGCAAGGUGAAUUCUUUGAUGGGAGAGAACCGAACCGUGAAGCUACUGCGGAAGAGUUGAAGAUGCUACAAUACAAUGCUCAAGCUUGUGAUAUUCUCUUCAACGGAUUGUGCCUCGAAGAAUUCAACAAAAUCAGCCGUCUUGAGAAUGCAAAGGAAAUUUGGGAUACUUUGAUUGAUAUGCAUGAGGGUACCGACUCCGUCAAGGAAUCCAAAUUGGAUGUGCUUCAAAGUCAAAUUGAGAAGUUCAAAAUGAAGGAUGGUGAAGGUGUCACUGAAAUGUACUCUAGGCUUGCUCUCAUCACAAAUGAGAUUGCCGGCUUAGGAAGUGAAGAGAUGACCGAUAGAUUCAUCAUCAAGAAGAUCCUAAGAGCCUUGGAUGGAAAAUAUGAUACCGUGUGCACAUUGAUCCAAAUGAUGCCCAAUUACAAAGAUCUCAAGCCAAAGGAAGUCAUUGGAAGAAUUGUUGCUCAUGAGAUGUCACUUAAGGAUAAGGAAGAGCUCCACAACAAGUCAAGUGGUGCUUACAAAGCCUCAUGUGAUGCUCCUACACCAUCAAGUGAGAAACAAACCUUUAAUGAAGAAUUGAGCCUAAUGGUGAAGAAUUUCAGCAAGUUCUACAAGAGUAGAAGCAAGGAAAGAAGUUCCAAGUCAAGAUCCUACAAUGACAAAAGAUCUUCAAGUCGUGAACGAAAUUGCUACAAUUGUGGAAGACCCGGACACUACUCCAAUGAGUGUACGGCUCCCUACAAAAGAAGAGGAGAUUCUCCCAAAAGACGAAGUAGAAGAGAAGAAUCAGCACCAAGAGAGAGAAGGAGUAGAGAUGAUUGUUAUGAACGAAGAACCUCUCGGAGAAGCAAGGAUUCGGAAAGGAAGGACAAAUCAUCAAAGAGCUACACAAAACGAAGACAUCAAUCUCACGUUGGUGAAUGGGUAUCCGGCUCCGACUCCGACCAUUACUCCGAAAGAAGUUAUCACUCCGACUCCGACUAUACUCAAGAAGAAGGUGUUGCCGGUCUAGCACUUGCGUCAACCAACUCCUACAACAUAUUUGACUCACCAAAUGAAGGAAUUGGAAGAUGCUUCAUGGCUAAAGGCCCCAAGGUAUCACACCCCGAGUUUGUUGAUUUCAAUAGUGAUGAAGAUGAUUUGCUAGGAGAUGAUGAUUUACUUGUUGACAACUCCAGUUAUGAAAACUAUGAUGAACUUGCUAUUAGUCAUGCUAAUCAAGAUAAAACGAAUGACGAUGAUAAGAAGGAGAUUGAGCGUCUAACUAAAGAAUUAAACACUCUUAAAUUAGCUCAUGAAACUACCAUGGAAGAUCAUCGAGAACUUUUAAAGACUCAUGAGAAGCUACGCUUUGAAAGGCUCAACCUUGAGCAAGAGCAUGGGUUCUUAAAAGCAAUCAAUGAUGAUCUUCGCAGGAAAAAUUCUUCUUACAUUGCCAAGCGUUUACUCUUGUCUACUUACAUGCCACAAGUAGAAUCUAGCAACAAGAGUAAGAAAGAUUCUUCAUCUAGUAGUAACAAUAAUCAUGCUAAAUCCAAUGUUGUUGCUUCUAGUAGUUCUCUUGAUUCCACUAAUGAUUCUCUUAGCCAAGUUACAAUUGAGCAAGAAAAUAGCUUAUUGAAGGGAAUUAUAGAGAAAGGUGUUUACAAGAGCCUUGUCGGAAGUAAGCAAUUUGAGGAAAUUGUACGCAACCAAGGAAGGCACCGGAAAAAUCAAGGUGUUGGUUUUGAACGAAAGUUCAAUGCCAAUGGAGUUGAGUGGGAAGAAGAUCAAUACCCCAAGACGAAGUUUGUUCCUCAACAAGAGAAGUAUGAUCCUACUUCCUUCCAAGGAACACAAGCUCAAGAUGAUCUUCCACCACAAGACCACAAGCAAAAAGGCAAGGACAAGCUUCAAGAGGAGAUUGAUGCAUUUUAAGAAGCUCCCAAGGCCUUGGUCGAGUGGGUUCCCAAGACUACAUCAAAUACGACUACAACUCCAAGGAUUCCCAUCAAGAUGAUGUGGAUCCCGAAGAAGAAGAACUAGAGAGUUCUUGAGGGUGACUCCGCCAACAUACUUCACUCAUAUCUUUUGGCAAGGACAUGUGAGAACAACUUCCACAUAUUGCACUAGUUCAAGGAGUCACAAACCCUCUUGUUUGUAAGACAAGGGACAAGGUAACCUAAUGCUUUCAUGGACAUCAUCUUGUGUGUACAUCACUCUAUGUCUAUGGAUAUCCUUGUUUGUUCCUUGUGGGACUAACCAGUGUAGGUAUUGGAAGUGCAACUCACUCCAAUGGAUUGCUCCGAAUGAUCUACAUCAACAUUGAGCAUCCACAUCUUCAACACCUACAUGAAGUCAUCAUCGACAAAACCCAAGGUUAGUUCAUCCCUCUUAGGGGGAUAUCACAUCUAGGGGGAGCUUUACUCUAAUAAAUUGAGCUAAAGCAACUCUAAUGGUGUGAACACAACAAUGCUUUAUGUGAAAGUGGUAACCCCACUUAUGCUUAAACGAUGAGUAUGACCUAUGAUCAAAUGUUCUCAUUUGACUCCUAAGUCAAUAUACUCAUAUAUAGAUGACCUAGUCAUCGCCAAUUGCUUGAUAGAUGCUAGAGUCUUUGUGCAUGCUUUGUCACAUAUUUCGUUUGCCAUUUUAUUGUGUGAGCAUGUUAAUUGCAUAUUUUACUCAUUCGAGGACAUCCAUUUGUUGCUUUGAUUGUUUGGCUUUUUCUCUUUUGCCAAAUGGAUGGACAAGAAUGCCUAAGAACUCCCUCUAGCUAUCUAUGCUUUUCUCGUCUCAAACUCUAUUCAUGCUACAUCACAAAGUUUGAUCAAGUCAGGUUCGAACCACUCUGUGUGAGGAGCACUCGGAGUCCCCGAUUCGUCAUAGACUUAAACUUCCAAAACCUCUUUGUGCAUUUCGGUAUGACCGAUUCAUCCAUUUUGGUCACACUGAGUUCACUAAGUUGAUCUAGGUUUUCCAUCUCGGUGCAACCAAUUUGAACUUUUCGGUCACAUCGAGUUGCAGUAACCGCUUGCGAUUCUGCAUCUCGGUGCCACCGAGUUGUUCCACUCGGUAACAUCGAUAGGGUCGGGAUAUAUAAACCCACAGGUGAGAUUUUGGAAAUUUCUUCAAACUCCUCAGCCCGCGUGUGUCCUGCUCUGCCUCCUCGGGUCUCCGGAUCGUCUCCUCGCCGCCAGCGACCUCCCGCCGCUGGUUUCCGUUGCUGUCAACGGAAUUCUCCUCUGCCGUUGUCGCCAUAGCGAACUCCCGCCGAACUAGGGUAUGGGUUCGACUCUUUGUGCUAUUUCCCUACUCCAAUUUGUAGCACAUUUCUUUUCCAUGAUCUUUACCACGUAUGAAAAUAAUCUAUCGAGAGAAAACAUCCUUUAGGUUAGAUUUGAUUCAAAAAUUUAGGGUUAGGUCUCCGCCGAACUCAUCUCAGACCAACCGAGUUGUAGAAAUCGGUCUCACCGAUUUGGCUUAGGCCAUUGCACAUGCUUUUUGGUCUGACUGAAAACGGCAAAUUGGUGCGACCGAUUUCGAAUCUCUGUGAAACCCUAGCAAUCUCGGUGCCACCGAACUGUGACUCGGUCUGACCAAGUUCACUAGUUUAGGUUCCAAAAGUUGCUUCGGUAUCACCGAGUUUAACAAAUCGGUAGCUCCGAAAUGCUUUCUGUGGAGAACUAUAACUAAGUUUUUGAGUCAUCUGUUUUGCAAAAGCUCUGCACUUUGUGAUGCUCAUCCACUCUACCUCAUCUAUAUCUAUUCACAGGGUUUGCUGUCAGUGUGAUUGCCAAGAUGUCUGAUCAAAGUGACAGCCAGAACAGAUCUGAAGAGCAAGUGCAUAUGAGUGAGGGCACUAAUCCCUCAAGCAGCUAUGAUGAGGGCAGCAGAAGCACACCAAGUAACUUGCCCAAGGUAGCCACUAGAACAAGGAAGAAGAGAACCUCAGACUCCGAGGAUGAGGACUAUGUGGCCAUUGAGGAUGAGGCCACCUCAAGGAAGAAAGUGCUGAAGAAAGAGUAUGGCAUAGCUGCUGCAACUAAGCCAGGGUUGCAUAAGAAGGCAACAGCAAAGAGAGUCCCAAUGUCAAAGCCAACGAAAGUUCCAACAGGAGAAACCAUGAAAUUCACAAUAUAAUCAGAUGAUGGUGAGGCAGUUGGUGAUGGCAAGAAGAAGAAGAGGGCAAGAACCACAUCUGCAAAAGUUCUUGGAAAAUCAACUAUGGUAAGAGAUUCAGAAGAAGAGGAAGAGGAAGAGGAUGCUGCACCAGCACCCAAGUCUCAGAAGCUUAUGGGAGAUGCUAUCAAGUCAGGGGCUGCUCCAUCAAAGCCCAAGACUGCUCCCAAAGCAACAGCUCAAACUCAGAAGCCCUCUAAGCCCAAGAGAAGCACCAGAAACAUUCCUGCAGAAGAGAGGAACAAGGCCUCAGUGCCUAAGGUUGAAGAAGAGGAUGAUGAAGCCCUAGUGCUAAGAAAACUGAAACCCAAGAUUCCAGACCACAAUGACACUCAUCCAGUGGCUGAGGACAUGCACAUCAGGAAAGAUGCAGGAUUGAGACUUUGGAGACAGUCUGAUCCUUAUGCUGCGACAAGGAGAACUGUUGUGGACUACAUGUUCCACACCAAAGAACAACAAGACUUCUAUGAGACUAUUCUGCUUGACAAGAAGCCAAUUGUCUGUGAAAUGAGAUGGGUUGAUUGGGAAUACAUCAAAGAGAAUGAAGAUCACUUCCCAGGUGUACCAGACAGCUUCAAAGCAAGUGGAGUUGAUAAGUUUGUAGGUCAGAAGCCCACCAAAUGGAAUGAUGAGCUAAUCAUGCAGUUUUACUCCACUGCUCAUUUCUAUCCAGAUGGGAGAUAGUGGGGAUGUCUGAAGGUACAAGGUACCAAUCAACUGUAGAAAAAUGGGCCAAGUUGAUCAAUGCCCCAGAAGAGUAUGAGGAUGAUUUGGAUGUGUAUGCCAAGAAGAAGAAAGACCACAACUCUAUGGCAAAUAUGUACAAAGAGAUCCCUGAUAAAGCUUUGGAGACACACAAGCUUGGAUCUGUGCACUAUUUGUUGUCUGGUCUACCCACUAUCAACACUAUCUUAAGGCAUACUCUGGUACCCAAAUCUGGAGAUCACAAGAUGAUCAGAGGACAUUCCAUCAACUUGCUGCAAAUCUUUGAUGUCCCUUAAAAAUUCAAGGUCGUGAGUCUGAUUGUUGAGACAAUCAAGAGGACAGCUGCUGACCAGAAGAGAUCUUGUGGGUAUGCUCCACACAUUCAGGUGGUCAUCAACUCAAAGAUGGGCACAGGGACUUACAUGUUGGACAAAGAACAUUUACCCUUGUAUCCAGAUUUUGAAGAUAAUGAAGUUGUCAUGAAUGAGAAUGAACCUUCAUCAGCACAAGCACAAGAGAAGAGAGCUAAAGCAAAGGCAGAAAAGGCUGCAAGGAUGCCAAGUGCCGAGGAAGCAUCUCAGGUGUCCCUGAAGAGCAAGAAAGAUCAGCUUAUAUCUGAUUCAAGCUACAUUGAGGAUUGAGAAGGGCUUGGCCACCCUGACUCAGAAUCAGGAGAGCUUGGAGAGGAUCAUAGAGACAAAAUAUUAUGAUCUUGAUCUGAAGGUCACUGAGAUACAGAGAGCAGUUGAGCAGCUCCAGGAGGAAGCAGGAGAGAGGAAAGGGAAGGCAACUACAGAUGCUUUUCGGCGAGUGCCAAGAGGUCAGAGGUCUGCUGCAGUGCCAGUAUCAGAUACUAGAGCUACAUCGUCAGCACCAAUAGCUACAGCUUCAGUGCCACCUCCAGCAGCCACUCCACCAGCUCCAGCUACAUCCACUGAUGCCUUCGUCCUUGGAGUUCUCUCUACUCCACCUCCUGAAGACCAAGCCUGAGAGACGCAUAGCACUAUGCAUUUUCGAACUUUUUGAUAACUUGUUGCCAAAGGGGGAGAAAUGUAUAGAUCAUAGGCUUCGAGAGAGAGUGUUUUGCUUCUUUGUCUCUCUUGAUUUUGGUUGAACUUUAUGGUGUUCUUGGUUGAUACUCUAUGUCUGUGUGAGAUACUUGUUUGAUCAUGGGUUUGAUCAUAUGCUACUUUAAUGCUUGCUUGGAUGGUAUUAUCUCUUAUAUCCCAUAUAUGUUCAUUCACUUUGCUUGGUGAUGAAUGCUUUCUUUUAAUUUCCACGAUCCUAAUUGAUUGUGCAUUUGCAUUCAAAAGAUGUAUGUGACAUGGAAGAGUAACCCAUGAUCCUAAUCGAUUGUGCAUUUGCAUUCAAAAGCCUAUUUUUAAUAAUGCACAAAUUUAGGGGGAGCUCUUGCUUAUCACAUACUUCUCAAAGCGACGAUGUAUUUCAAUCUUAUGAUCAUUUGUCAAAGCUUUGAUCUAUAUGUUUUCAUCAAUUAUCAAAAAGGGGGAGAUUGAAAGUGCAACUAUCCCUGGGUGGUUUUGGUAAUUCCUAACAACAUAUAGCUCAUUGAGCUAAUGAUAUCUCAACAUAAAUAUUUCAGGAAAGCUCAAUGAUUAGCAUCGCAUGGAUUAGAAAUGUGGACCCCUCAAAAUGCUAAGGACAAAAUAUUGGCUCAAGCUCUAAAGCUCAAGACUCUACAUUUUACUUUUAGUGAUCCAAGAUCACAUUGAGUCCAUAGGAAAAGCCAAUACUAUUAAAAGGGGAUGAGGUGUUGCUUAAUGGGUUGCUUGCUCAAAAUGCUUAGUGAUAUGCUCCAAACCAAAAGUCAAACUCGGCCCCACCGAAACAUUCUAUCCGGCGCCACCGAGUUCUCUUGACAUAGCCACUGUCACAAACCCUAGUCACUUCCGGUCUCACCGAUAGGGACUCGGUCUCACCGAGAUGGGAUUGCAAAAUCUUUGUUUCCCUUCGUACAUUUCGGUCCAACCGAGAUGAGCGAUCGGUCCCACCGAGUUUGCAAUGCAAACUCUCUGUUUCCCCUUCGUAACGUUUCGGUCUCACCGAGAUGAGUGAAUCGGUCCCACCGAGUUUGCCUGACCAACUCUCUGGUUAGCUUAUUACCAAAAUCAGUCCCACCGAGUUCGUGUAAUCGGUCUCAUCGAGAUUACGUUAUGCCCUAACCCUAACGAAAUCGGUCCCACCGAGUUGAAAUGUCGAUCCCACCGAAUAUCCUAACAUUCACAUUUUGAACUAAAUCGGUCUGACCGAGUUUCAUUAUUCGGUCCCACCGAGUUUGAUGAUUUGUGUGUAACAGUUAGAUUUUUUGUGGAGGCUAUAUAUACCCCUCCACCCACUCUUCAUUUGUGGAGAGAGCCAUCAGAACAUGCCUACACUUCCAGCAUACAUUUUCUAAGAGAGAACCACCUACUCAUGUGUUGAGGUCAAGAUAUUCCAUUCCAACCACAUAAAUCUUGAUCUCUAGCCUUCUCCAAGUUGUUUUCCACUCAAAUCAUCUUUCCACCAAAUCCAAAUCUGUGAGAUAGAGUUGAGUGUUGGGGAGACUAUCAUUUGAAGCACAAGAGCAAGGAGUUCAUCAUGAACACACCAUCUAUUACCUUUUGGAGAAUGGUGUCUCCUAGAUUGGUUAGGUGUCACUUGGGAGCCUCCGUCAAGAUUGUGGAGUUGAACCAAGGAGUUUGUACGGGCAAGGAGAUAGCCUACUUCGUGUAGAUCUACCCUAGUGAGGCAAGUCCUUCGUGGGCGAUGGCCAUGGUGGGAUAGACAAGGUUGCUUCUUCGUGGACCCUUCGAGGGUGGAGCCCUCCGUGGACUCGCGCAACCGUUACCCUUCGUGGGUUGAAGUCUCCAUCAACGUGGAUGUAUGAUAGCACCAUCUAUCGGAACCACGCCAAAAAUCUCCAUGUCUACAUUGCGUUUGCUCCCUCCAAACUCCUCCAUUUACCUUCAUGUGCAAUGUUUUACAUUCCGCUGCUAUACUCUUAGACUUGCAUGUGUAGGUUGAUUGCUUGACUAGUGCUAAGUUGCUAAAAUCUGCCAAGACUUAAAAUUGGGAAAAGGCUUGAUUUUUAUUUGGUCAAGUAGUCUAAUUACCCCCCCCCCUCUAGACAUACUUUCGAUCCUACACCAUUCCACUUGCCAGUCAAAAAUGAUGAGUCUAUGCUCAAAUAUGGACGACACCCUACCUUGAAGCCAUCAAUGCUAGGCUUCAAAGCCAUAAUAAACGUAUAGAAAAGUACUCUUCCAUCCUCUGUUACCUCAGUAUCUAUCUCCACAACACUCCCAGGUGACCUCUUCUCCACCUCUGCUUUGAAAUUAUAAAGCAUCCUAAAAGUAUUUGCCCAGUCACCAUAUAAUUGUUUCAUUGCCCUUUGUUUUGCCUUCCACACCGUGUUAUACUUCUCCUUAAUGGGGUAUUGCUUUCCAAGUAUACUUUAAGUUUCUUUGCAGUGGUGUUUGGUUUCUUGGCUAGAAUAGGAGUGAUCUUUUCUGCAAUCCAAAGCUGUGAUGUCAUGGUUGAUACUCUCGGUGAACUUGUAAUACAAGUAUGUUGGUGAGGGAUUUGAUUCACCCUAAUGGUACUUCCAUCAGGUUGGCGUCUAGCAGAUAUGUACUACUUGCAAGGCUUGACACUUCCAUCAAAACCUCUACACCUUGCAUAAAACUUCUUUCUAUCAGUCCACUUAGUCUUGGCACCAAACUCAUGUUUGACUGCAUAUGUCUUGAAACACAUCCUAAACUCAUCCAUGUUUGGGAACAACAUCCCCACUUCAAUAACAGGGUUUUCCUUGUCAUACACAUUUACCAACUCAUCAUCAUGUGCAUCAUCUACAUCAUCUGCAGCAUCUUCCAUCAGCUAUCCAUCCAGAUCUUCAGUUCUAUCUUUGUUAGCAUCAGUAUCAGUAGGCAUACUAGAUUCACCAUCCUUCUCCUCCUUAUCUUCAUCAGCUACUGGAAUGCCAAAUUUUUUGGCCAUCUCAGUGUCAUCCAUUGGUGCAAUGACUAAAUCAGUUGGGUCAUUUAAUUCUACUGAAUUCCAAUCAACAUAAACAACCCUUCCAACACCCUCAGAGCCAUCUUCUGCAUCACCCCCCUCAGGUAAUACUGUCACUUCACCUGUACACAUGGGCAUUAUCUGCCUCUCUGAAGCCCAAUCAUCAUCUACCAUUUGUGAAGCUAACUUUGAGGGCACAUAUCCAACCUUAGAAUCUGAUUUCAGAUCAACAAGCUAUGCAUGAAACAUAGUUUGUUUGGUUGUCCAGCCAUCUUGUUGAUCAAUUUCAUCAACCAUGUCUUCACCAUCCUCAAUUCUCACAUACUCUCCUUUCCAAUUAUCAAACCGUAACAAUGCUACCUCUUGCUCUGGACCCCAAAAAAUGCUCUCCCCAAUUUUUUUCCACCACAUUCUUCAUGGCCUUCUCUUCCAUGCUCUGUAGUUCUUGUGGAUCAAUCUCUGCAAAAUCAAUCUCCGGAUGCUACCAUCACCUAUGUCCCGCAUGCUACCAUCACCUAGCUUCGCCUUAGAAGGAAGGAAUUCCGCAGUGAAUUUGAACGUCCGAGCAACAUCCCCCCUAUUUCGGGGCAGUGUGAGGUGAGCUACCGGAAGCAGACGAGGCACAAAUCGCAUUCCUUGGAAAGGAUGCACAUUAAGGGAUUACCUUCUAGAUGUUGUUGUCUCUGGCGGCUCCAUCGCGUGCAGGCCCCCCUCCCACCCACCCAAAUCUGGAUCAAAUUGACCAAAAACACCAAAAAACAGAGGGAAAGAGAGGCGGUGAGAUCUAGCUCGACACGGAGGGGAACGGGAUAGGGUUCCUGAUUCACUCAACACAGCCGCCGCCGUCGCCGAGAACGAAAGCUCCUCUGCGCUGCUAUCACCGAGAACAAAAUCUCCGGCGCCGGCGCCGGCUCACCGCCAAGAACAAAGAGGGGGGGUACACGUUCAGAUAGGCAUGGGGACACGUUUCACCUGAUGCACUGCCAAGUGGGGCCCGCAACUAGAUGCACUGCCAAGUGGGAUCCACAUGUCUUAAACAUAACCUCACUCCCGUUGACGACCAGUUUAAUCGCCCGAGUGGACCUUGGCUAUUUGGGCCUCUGAAACAUAGUACUACAGUUAUUUUCGUCAACUAUGUCGCUUUCCUUCCAUUGCACCUCAAAUAUGUCGCACAGGAGCUAUUGACCCCUUGACUUGUUGCAGCUGGCCAUUUUCUACUACGAAACCAAUUUUCUAGGAGUAAAUAAAUAAAUGAACAACUACAGCAUACAUCAUAUGAGUUUCAGACUUUAUGAAGCCUGAAUGUUGAAAAAAUAAGAAAAAGAGACAACGUAAGGACCUCUGCUCUGUCGUGCCGAUGGAUGACAGAAGCUAAUUGCAGAUGGCCGGAGUUGCGACAUCAGCCUCUUCGAGACACGCGGAGACCUCCGUAUCUCCUCGAGCUCUCCUGCCGCGCGGGGCCGUCAGCGCCCAACAACCUAUGCGGUGCCGCCGCCGUCUGUCUCAUAGGGAACAGCAGAAAGGCCAUUUUCUUUCGGGUGCUUUGAUAAAAAAAAUCAUAUAUUACAGGUGGGUCCAGGACUACUUAUCAACAAUACAUCUCCUUCUCAAUGUAUCCGAAAUGGGGAUUUUGAAAUAUAUUAACCGGAGUCUCUGAAAUCUAACACACUAAAAUUCAGGAACCUAUGAAAACUGGUACAUUUCUUCAUCAACCAUCCUUCGAACCUCAUGUGGCAACGCAGAUAUCAGAGCAUGUGUGUCUUCCUUCUAAGACUUUUGCAUGUUGCCCCUCUAUGCUCCUUUUUUACGGCCAAUGUGUGGAAGGUCAUGUCCAUAACCUCAUUGAUAGUCAAAACAUAGACGAUGAUGAUUGUGAACAUCCGCUGUGGCUUCAGAUUGCGAUGAUGUUGCCUCAUCCCCCAAUUGUGUAGACACAGGCUCCCAUUACACAAAGGGAAUGGUGGGGCGAAUAGACUCGUACCUCUGAAGAGCGAGGAGAAGAUACAUGUAUUUGUUUUCCUCCAAUAUUUUAGAUGGGCCUAGGACAGAUUGAGAGGGGAGCAAAUCCGAAUUUAUACCACACUCACAUUGACAUCCCAAGAUGGUGGAGUAUAUAUAGAACUUCUAUACAUCUUGUUUUUAAUAGCUCAUUUUUAGGAAGGAAAAAAAUAAAUUGUUAUCAUGGGAUAUGUGUUGAGCAGGUCAUUCAAAAAUGUUUAUUUAAUCAUGUGACUGAAUACACCAGAAUCAUGUGAUCAUCCUACUUGCAUGUUUAUGUUAGUCUCCAACUUCCAAAGUAGAACCUAGUAUACAUGGUAUUCUAGUUCUCUCCUGUGUACCAUCACUCCAAGUCCAUUGCAUCAUGAAAGACGUGUGAAACGUGAGAACUGGCAUUGCAUGAUUCUUCUCCAUCUCUAUGUUUCAUCUGGAUAAAGGGUGUCAGAGUAGAUGAUGGGUUUAAUGGCAGAGAGGGGGGGGAGAGGGAGAGGGAGAGAUCUCAUUCUUGUAAAAUGUAAAAAAAAGGAAUGGAAGGAAAGGUCCACACUUAGACAAACUGAUUAGAUCCGUAAACUAAUUAGACCCGCAAAAAAAGAUGACGCUAUAAAUAUCUCAUAACAACAGAGGGAGAGGAAGGCCAUAGCUUUUAUUGUGUAUGGUGAGACCGGCUUUUCAACACCCGGGUGUCAGACACCCGGCUAUCAGGCCGUUCAGGCAAUACCUCUCAUUGGGAUAUGUGUCUGGUCCUGCACCACCAUUUUCAUUAGCAGGCAAGGUGAAUAGUAAAUGGAUGUGACAACAGAGAACGGCCAUAGAGCGGACGAGCUCGCCUGUGUUGAACAGCCUGUCACGUUACACAAGGUGCACCGAAGCAGGAGUAUUGAGCCGCACCAGAAGUCCCAAUAUAUUGGUAGAGAUAAGCUAGGUAGUUAGUUCAUAUCUAUCCUUUGUAACCUAUUCUAUCUCUUCUCCUUCAAGUCUCCUGUAAUAUCUCAACUUCUAACUUGUAUGUGCUUCAGGGAUUGCGCCCCUGCCUAUAACAUGCAACGCGUCCCCUCGCACCGAGGUAAAGACGUUUCCGCAUCUCGCACAUGGUAAUCAGAGCCAUCCUACUUCCCAUCUAGUUUUCUCUCGAUUCCAAUCGUGUCCAAAAAUCAUGUCUUCCUCCUCCGGCAUCUCUCACCCUAGCCUCAGUGGGCAGGUCAUUGAGAAACUCUCCCGCACGAACUACGUGCUAUGGCGCACACAGAUCACGCCACAAUUGCGUGGCGCCGAUGUCUUCAGCUAUGUUCAUGGCACCUCGCCGGAGCCGGCCAAGCUCCUCGCCGCCAAGGACAAGGACGGCAAGGAGACCUUCCAGCCCAACCCUCUCCACCCCAUCUGGGUCAGGGAGGACCAGCAGGUUCUCGGCUACCUGCUGAGCAACCUCUCCAAAGAGGUGCUCCUCAUGGUGACCACGAUCACCACGGCGCAGCCGCUCUGGACGACGCUGGCGGGCAUGUACUCGUCGCAGUCGCUUAGCCGCAUCAACAACAUCCGUACCUCGCUCAUCAAUGCGCAGAAGGGCAACCAGUCCGCCACCGCCUACUUUGCCUCCAUGCGCGGUCUCGCGGACGAGCUGGCAGCGGCCCGCAAACCCAUCCAGGAUGACGAACUCAUCUCGUACAUCCUCCACGGGAUGGAUCUGGAGUACCAGCCCCUCGUCUCCGCCCUCGACACCCGUGUUAGCCCCGCCUCCCUCGACGAAAUCUUCUCCAUGCUCAGCAACUUUGACCAGCGCAUGGCGCGGUUCCAUAGCUCGGGCGGCGGCAGAUUCAAGUCCUCCGCAAACGUCGCUACCCGUGGACGUGGCGACGGCUCUCGCUACCGCGGUCCUUCCCGUGGCAAGGGGAGGUCUGGUGGCGCCAGGACUAGCAGCGGUGGUGGGAUCAGUGGCGGUGGCAGGCGUGGCAACAAGGGUCGCCGUGGUGGCGACUCUGGUAGAACCCGCCCGGACACGCCGCGCUGUCAGAUUUGUGGCAAGCCGGGGCACACUGCCAAAGACUGUUGGUACCGCUAUGAUGAAGACGAGGACGACUCUCAAGAUGAUGGAAAGGUCGCUACGGCGGCUGAUGGCUCCUACGGUGUUGAUACCAACUGGUACCUCAACAGCAGCGCCACUAAUCAUCUCACCGGUGAGCUUGAAAAGGUGACUCUCCGUGAGAAGUACCACGGCAAGGAUGAGAUUCACACCGCCGAUGGUGCAGGUAUGAGAAUCAGUCACAUUGGUCAUUCGGUUAUACAUACCCCUCGUCGUAAAAUUCAUCUUAGGAAAAUUUUGCAUGUUCCUAGUGCCAACAAAAACCUCCUUUCCGUUCAUAGAAUUGCACUUGACAACCAUGUCUUCAUUGAAUUUCAUCCCUUUUUCUUCUUGAUCAAGGAUCAGGCCACGAGGAAAACCCUAUAUCGAGGUAGAUGUGUUCGAGGACUCUACCCGUUGCUUCCGGAGUUUAGAAGACACAAUAAACAAGCCUAUGCUGUUGUCAAGCUUUCUUCAACAUGGUGGCAUGAUCGUCUAGGAUAUGCUUCUUUUUCUUUAGUUGAACAUUUGCUUAGGAAGAAUAAGCUCAUGUUUGUUGGUGAGCGUCAUGUUGAAACUGUUUGUGAUUCAUGCCAAAGAGCAAAAAGUCAUCAAUUGCCUUAUCCUGUUUCUACUAGUGUUUCUACUCAACCUUUGUAAUUAAUCUUUUCGGAUGUCUGGGGUCCUGCUCCUUGUUCGGUUGGUAGACACACAUAUUACGUAAGCUUCAUUGAUGACUAUACCAAGUUCUCAUGGAUCUACCUUCUCAAGAAACGAUCCGAUGUUUUUCAAGUUUUUCAAAACUUCCAAGCACUCGUUGAAAGAAAUUUGACAGCAAGAUCAUUGCAGUCCAAUCUGACUGGGGGGGAUACGAAAAAUUAAAUUCCUUCUUCCAAACCCUUGGCAUACCCCAUCAUGUUUCAUGCCCUCACCCUCACCAACAAAACGGCUCUGCCGAACGCAAGCACCAACACAUAGUUGAAGUUGGUCUAGCUCUCCUAGCCGGUGCUUCCAUGCCCCUCAAGUUUCGGGACAAAGCCUUUCUUACCAUCGUCCACAUAAUCAACAUGCUUCCUAGUCGUGUCAUCAACAACGAAACUCCCAUGGAAAAACUCCUUCACAUCAAACCAGACUACAAGUCUCUCCGUGUGUUUGGUUGUGCUUGUUGGCCCAACCUUCGUCCAUACAACAAUUGAAAGCUCAUAUUUCGAUAAAAACAGUGUGUUUUUCUUGGGUAUAGUGCCCAACACAAGGGUGUCAAAUGUCUAUAUGUAUCCACUGGUCGCAUCUAUAUUUCACGUGAUGUUGUUUUUUACGAGACCAAGUUCCCAUUUGUUGACCUUCACCCCAAUGCUGGUGCACUCCUUCGCAAAGAGAUCCUACUUCUCCCUUCUCAUCUCACUAGUUUUGAUCAAGGGGGCGAUAAUUGUAAUGAUCAAGUGUUGACUGGCCCUCUUAAUACCACAUAUGAGCCUGGUGAUGAUGCAGGAGAAGGCACAGAAAAAAACAGCAGUCAAGAUGGUGAAGAAAUGCGCUCUACAGAGCCAUAUUUCAUGUGUCCAGGUGAAGGGAACAAGUCCCCUUCGGGAUCCGUGCUGCCAGGCGUGUCAGCCGCAUCAUCCUCAGGAGACCGCGCAGACGCGUCAGGGCGGCCACGCGAAUCUGCACCAGAAUCCGCGCCAGCCUCGUCAGGCGUGGUCGGGAGCGAGCCAUCGAGCGGCGACUCCGAGCCAGCCACGCGGCGCCCUGUGGCUGGGGAACACGCCUCCUCUGCUCCGCGCCAAUCACGCAUUUGAAUAUUCAAGCGUUUGAAUAUUUUUAAUAAAGUAUUGCAAAUGUUAAUCAAGCAAUUGAAACUUGUUAAGGCCUUGUUCGGUUUGGCAGGGUUUGAAGAGGUUUGAAAGGAUUGAAGGGGAUUAAAUCUCUUGCAAGUCAAAAUCCUUCUCAAACCUCGCCAAUCCCCUUCAAUCCAUGUGGCAAGGGGAUUAACCGAACAUGGCCUCAAUGUGUAUAGAAAAAAUGGUUGCCAUGUAAACAAAUAAUUAAUAAAAAAUAUACAAUGUGUAGGAAACGAAUGUUGAUGGUGUAUUUAAAAAUGUUGAUAAAUAAUUAUAAAUUUAUCAAUGUAACAAAAUAAAUUUCUCAUGUGUUCAACAUUUGUUAGUGGUCAUAAUACUUUUUGCGCGCACAAUGCACAUUUCUUUUAUAAAUCAAGAACAUUUUUUUACAUUCUUAAUAUUAUAAAAAUACAUAAUUACCUUUCUUAAAUACAUUUUUAUGGUGUCUACUUUUACUUAAUGUGCAUAUUACAUUUUUGUAUAACUGAUCAGCAUUUUUAUAUACACGUUUAACAUUUUAAAAAAUAUGAUCAAUAUUUUUCCAUAUGAACAAAGCAAAGGCAAUAAAAACCAACUAAAACCUAAAUAGAAACAAAUGAAAUAAAAAUAAAAAAUAAAAAAACACCGCAGAAAGAAUAGAAAACAGCAAAAAUCGAGAAAAAAGGAAAAAUGAAAAAAGAAAGACACAAAUAGAAAAUAAAGAAGAAGAAGAAGAAGAAGAAGAGAAAUAAAAGAAAAAACAUCUAAAAACCAAUAAAGAAACAGAAACAGAUCAAAGAAAACAAAGAAAGCUAAAAGAAAUGAAGAAAUACACAUUCACCAGUGACGCGAUCAUGAGCGGGCAUUUUUUUGUUUUGUUUUGAGAAAUGGACCUCCUAGUUGCUACACGAGAGAGUUAUUCCUUCCGGGUAAAGAAGCUACGAACUCGGGUGAAGCAAGACAUAGCUCUCGCGGGAAAAGAGAGCUCCUCGUUGGCGCGUUAAGCGAGGCGCACCUAUGUAUCGCUUGAUACGAGAUGAAACAUGCGACCGCUUAGGGGUCGCAAUACAUGGUUCGGCCCAGAUAGGUUCCAGGUUAGGUCAUCCUUUUUCAUGUGUUUCUACUUUUUUCGAAAAUAUUGUAAACAAAUAUAUACAAAAACAUAAAAAUUGUUACUAAAAAUAGGAGCUGCAAUUUGAAAAUGUUAAUGAAAUGUAUGUUAGCUUAAUUAAAAGAAAUAUUGGUAGCGUACAAAAAAUAUGACAUUUAACAAAUAUUCACGUGUUUCAAAAGUAGUAUGUGACUUUAUAACCAUGUAUUUCAAAAAUCUUAAAUUUGUAUGUAGACUCUUCUUUAUUUACACAAAAAAUGUACAAAUGUGUACGUAAAAAGUAGACAUAAAUGACAUAUAUUUGGAAAAUGACACUUCUGUAUUAGAAAAAUAUUAAAUAUGCAUCCAAAAUGUUCUUGAUGUAUAAUAAAUUGUACAAUACGUAUAAAAAUCUACAUAUAAACAAUUAUUUGAAACAAAAAAAUUAAUCAUGUAAAUUUGCCCGUCUCCGCGAGAUCAAUUUGUGGUUCCGAACAACGAGCUCGCUCAACGCAGAAGCCAUGGCGGUGGUUGAGGCGCUAGACAAGGAGGUAGUGUCAAGGUGUUUCCCUGGUAACAAGAGCAACCAUGGUGGUUCUCUAAAUAAUGGAGGAGGCAGAGUCAACAGAUCCCUCCAAGCAAUUCAAGUGGGCGGUGUUCAGGUCCCUUACCACAAUUUUCCUUGCGUCUGUGGAGGUGGUAAGGGUGUUACCGACAUCAAGAAGCAGUUCGAUGCUGAUUGUGAUUUCAGAUGAGGAGCUUGAGCUGCAGCGGGUGAAGAAGAAGGGCAUGGUGGUGAGUUUCCCACACGGCUCCGCCAGGCUCCAUGCCCUCUCCGCGCAGAGUAGGUGUCUCCCCGGAUGGUAGCUGCUUCUAGUUGGUGGCCGCGGAGGAUUGCGACUAGGCUGAUGCUGGAGAGGGUUGCCCGCCGGAUAUCUCAGGCAUAUUUCUAUCUGCUAAAUAUUUGCAUUCUGCUUCACAUAUUAGUGAUGGUAGAAAUGUUUUGGGUUGGAAUAAAAUUCAAUUGAAACUGAAAAAGAAACAACAUAAAUAAACACGUCCAGCUACAUGAUUCUAGAGUUUGUGAUUGGGAAAAUAAAGUUGAUGAAAAUUCGUCUUCUGUUUGUUAACCAUGUAUAAAAAUAUGCUUAUCAUGUGUAAAACAUUAUUUAGUGGCGCUAAUUGCUUUUGCACGCACAAUGCACAUUUUUUGUACAUCAAGUACAUUUUUUCUUAACAUUUUAUAAAUACAGAAUCAAUUGUUUAAAAAAUAUGCCGUCUACUUUUAUUUAAUGUACAUAGUAUAUUUUUGGUGCAAAUGAUCAGCAUUUUAAUAUAUACAUUUAACAUUUUUUAAACAUGUUCAAUGUUUUCCAUAAGGACGAAAAAGACAAAGAAACCACCUAAAACUGAAAAAGAAUCAAAUGAAAAAAUAAAAAUAAAAAAGAAAGAAAACCACCUCAAAAAGCAUAGAAAACAGGGAAAACCAUGAAAAAAAUGAAAACAGUGAAAACGAAAGAUACACAAAAAAUGAAAAAAAGGAUGAAUAAAUAAAAUAAAAAACAACUGAAAACCAAGAAAGAAACAAAAAAACAUGAAAGAAAACAAACAAGAAUAAUAAUAAAUCGAAUGGAGAAAAAAAUAAAAAUCGAUGGAAAAUAAAUAAACAAGGAAAACAGGCGAAGAAACAAAGAAAAAAAGAAGUAAACGGACCUUGCCAGUUGCUACGCGAGAGAUCUAUUUGUUCAGGCAAGAGAAGCUACGAACUGAAGUGAAGCGAGAUAUAGCUCUCGUCGCACACGAGAGUUCUUGGUCGGCGGAUUAAGCAAGACGGAGCGUGCAAUAGCUUUGGUGUCAGCUAUACAUGGUUCGGCCCAGAUAAGUUCCAGGUUAGUUCGUCCUUUUUAUGUGUUUCUCCUUUCUUUUGUUCUUAUUUUGAAAAAUGUUGUAAAUAAAUAUAUACCAGAACAUAAAAUUUAUUUAAAAAUAUAAAAAUGUUGAAUGUGAAUGUACUAAAUAUGUUAGCUUAAUUCAAAAAAAUAUAGGUAGCGCACAAAACAAUUGUGACAUUUAACAGAUAUUCACGCGGUUCAAAAAAAGUAUGCAACUUUAUAACCAUGUAUUUCCUAAAUGUUAAACGUCUAUAAAAAAACUCUUCUUUAGUUACGCAAAAAAUGUAGAAUUGUGUAUGAAAAAAGUAGACAUCAAUAACAUAUAUUUGAAUUAUGUUACUUUUGCAUUUAAAAAAUGUUAAACAUGCCUAAAAUAUGUUCGUGAUGCCUAAAAAAUGUUGCGAUGAGGAUGGCUGUCAUCUCGCACCCGCCGACUGCUUGAACAGCUAGCGUCGCUGAGCUUGAGGAACCCCUUGUAGGGACCAAAGCAGACAACCUUGACGUUGCUGGCCUCCGUCGGCAUAUCAACAAAGCGCGACGCUUUCACUGUCGGACCAAAUCAGAGAUGGAUUAGGUCUAAAAUAUAUAUUUCUUGGUUAAAGGAAAAACAUGUAAUAACUGAACUCGCACUUAAGAAUUAAUCAACAUGUUGAUUCCACCGAAGCAUGCAUGCCUCCUGGAUGCUGAAACACGACUCACUGACUAUAAAAGCAGAGGACUCACUGACUAAGUACAGGAGCGAGUGACCGACUCUCGGCUCGGGUGAGGAUAAAAAAGAUCACCUGCUGCUGCUGGUUAUUGGUAAAAUCCAUGUGAGUGCUUGAUAAAAAAUUAUGGAACAUUGUAUAUGUUGUUACACAUAAAUGUUGGGAUAAAAAGAAUCAUCUUGGUACACUGCCUAGUCUUUUGGUGGACAGAAGAUUGUAUGGUGCAAGAAGCUAUUCAGAUACAACAACACUGGGCUACAUGACAGGAAUGGUGUACACGCCCCAAGGGCCAGCAGGCAGCAGCAAACCAGGUCAAGAUGAGAUGGUCUGGGCCUAGGAUGUUGAUUCAGAGAUGCCUGACUCGACGCCAAGCAGCAGCCACCCUACACCGCAGGCCCCGGCAGUUCUCGACCGAGAGCGACUGCGGCACAGUUCAGUUGUAGAAGCAAUCACAUGCCAUUCCCCCAGCAGAGCAGAACAGAGCAGAGCAACAAUCAGGGAUCAGGCCUGUCAUUGAAUAGAAGCUGAAUGACCUUCAGCUUCAGCUCCGGCAGGCCUGCCUCCGCUCACGGACUAGCCUCGGUAUUUCCUUCCAUGUCUUCGGUUUCAAUGGUUUGAAUUCCGUUACUGCACAUACCAAAAACGAUGUCAGAAAAAGCUUGCACAAAUUAAUGUGUUAUAUCAAAAUAUAUAGCAUGAUGGCAUUCAAAUAAUGGAGAAGAAACUUCUGCAAACGUGUUAGACCAUUAUGUACAAGGGAUGGAACGGAUGACUGCAUCUGUUUGUUAAAUGUGGCAAAGAUAGAAGGACGUGCUGCAAGCAUACCUUCAUAGCAGGCAUCUAGUCGUUUGCGGCUGAUGCUGCCCAGUUGCUGCUGCAGGCAUCUAGGGAGCUUCUUUAUAGCAGGGCAGCCUCUAAUUUGAAGAUACACGAGAGACCUGUAUACUUGCAGCUCAUUCGGCAGGGAUGCCAGGGUACUGCAUCUGUCAAGAUAAAGGACAUCCAGCGAUGGGGGGUGCUCUCCCGACAGACACUCCAGCGAUGUCAGCCCACUGUUUCCCAUAAUCUGCGGUCCCUUGAGGGGUGCAGGUAGACGGAGAGUCCCACCCAACAUGCCAGCACAGUCCACUAUUACUAGAGAUUCGAGAUGGGGAGGAAGUAAAUGCUCUCUUGCAGUUGGUGUUGCUGCUGCUGGUGGCUGUGGCAUGAUAGGACUUCUGCUUAUGGAGGUAGUGACUUCUGGUUUCUGGAGCCCACCCAGCUGGCAUGAUAGGACUUGAAUACUACUACAGCUAGCAAUACGAAUGUACUUUAAAGACGGAGGAAGGUUCAGAACCGCUGGUAAGCUUCCACAUCCAGAUAAAAGUAGAUCUUCUAGGCAUGGACAAAAGUGAUUCAUGGGUGAGGAUGGCAACUCUGAUACAGCUGCAGCCCUGAUUGCCUCACUGCUAGAAGAUACUUGGACUAACUCUGCCAUGCCCUGCUGCUUGCUGAAUAUGGAGUCAAGCUUAAUGCACCUAUCAAAAUUCAUUUUCUUGAGAGAUGCCGGGACGUUGAACAUCUCUACUAAACUUGGGCAGUUUUCUAAGCAAAGAGACUCUAGACCUCUCAGGUGCUGACUCCUUUCGGACGCCAAUGGCUCAAGAGGAGCUUGUGCAUAUCCAAUCAGAUUUUCACAGUUUGUAAUCGCCAAGCUCCUCAAGGACACCAAGCUUUGGAACACUUUCUCUGGCCAGUGGACGAGCACAUCGCAUCUAUCAAUUUCCAACUUUUCAAGAUCUACAAAAUACUCACACGGCUCUAAUGCACCCGAUCCAAAGAACAAGUUGCAGCAUCUUAGCUCCAUAACUGUAAGAGGGGAUUUCUGGUUCCAUUUCUCCUUGCUGUCCACCAAUACAAUUGAAGUGCACUCAACCUCUGAUGUUGUUUCUGUGUUUUCUAGCUUCAGUAUCAGAUUGGUCAAUGAGGGCAAAUAUCUAUCUACAGAAUCGGAGAUCUCUUGCUUGCCAUCUUCAAUUUCUAAUACACUGAGUUUUGGUGCUUCAGGCAAUGCUACCAGUUUUGGGCAUUUCUGGACUGACAAUUUCUCAAGGUGGGGAAACAAUGUACCUUCGACUGCAUCCCAUCUCUGAAAGCUCCCCAACCAUUUCAUUUUGAGCACCUUUAAGGCAGGAAAGGCUGAACGUACCAAUCUAUAACCACCUUCACUACAUGGUUCUUGAAGCAAUGGUGCUUCAGGUAACGCUGUCAGCUUUGGACAUUUCUCAAUUGAUAGUUCCUCCAGACAAGGAAACACUAUCUGUUCUCCUUGAGUCUCUUCGACUGCAUCCCAUCUCCGAAAGCUCUCCAACUCUUUCAUUUUGAGUACCUUUAGGGCAGGAAACGCUGAGCGUACCAAUGUAUAACCACCUUCACCACAAGGUCCUUGCAGCAAUGGUGCUUCAGGUAAUGCUACCAACUUUCCACAAUUACUAAUAAACAACUUCUCAAGCACAGGAAAUAUUGUUUGUUCUUCUUGCCUCUCAUCUAUUUCCCACCAUCUUACAAAACCCAACAAACGUUCUAGCAUUAGUACCUUCAGUUUUGGAAAAGUGAAGCUUGCACUGCAUCUGAACAAAACUUGCAAUCUUUCACAAUGGAAAAGAUGGAUCUCAACCAUGUUUUGCAGCAUACCCAUGCACUCUCCUCCAUAGGAAUAUAUCUUCAGAACCUGCAACCCACCAUGUGGUUCGAAAUUGUCGAGCACCAUGCUGUCACAAACAGAAUUCCAUCUUAAUGUCAGUUCUCUGAGAUCCUUCUUGUUUCCAAGGUUUGCCACUUUUGCCUCUGCCUCUAUAACAUUCUCUAUCUGACAUAGCUCUAACUGACCACCAAGGUUUAAAUGCUGCAGCUCUGCAACAUCACUGCAAUCAGUGCCAGUAACUGCUGCUGCAAAAAAUGUAAGCGUCUGCAGCUUAGUGAGUUUUCCUAGUUCUGGUGGCAUGCUCUUCAAGUUGCGACAUCCAAGAGUGUAGAGGUGACGGAGGGAAGUCAUAUACUUCAUUUGCCUCGGAAGUCGAUCAAGAUGAUAGCAGUUGGAAAGGUCUAACGUUUGCAGGUUAUAUAGAAUACUUAUAUCUUCAGGAAGUGCUUUGAUAUCACUGUCUGAGAGAUCAAGGUACCUCAGGUGAUACAGAUACAUUGAUUUCAGAAGAAAUGAUUCUGUGCCUCUAAUACAGAGCUUUAAGGCAUGCAAAGAGCUAUAUUUUGAUAGAUGCUUCAAUGAGCUUCGCACAUGGCUAUCACAUAUCAGUGUUUGAAUGGCAGGGGAUUUUUUCUCCAGAGCAUCAUUCAAAAUACCUUCUGUUUCUUCACAUGACAAGAACAAAUGCCGAGCAGUAUCUGGAAGCCACUCGGUUUGCCUUGGUUCCAUAGUUGCAACAACUCAUUCCUCUUCCAUAACAGACAUUGCAAUAUCAUGCAUAAGAUCAUGGAUUUUACAUGUAUUUCUGGAAUAAUACUCCCAGUCUUCUUUACUCUUCUCUAUAUCCAGAAAGAAUGACCUUGAAGCAAGCUCAUCAAAAAUAAGUUGUCCAAUGGUUUCAAGACUAUCUUCCUUGUGUUCAGGGAUAAAGCCAUUUGUGAUCCAUAGUUGGAUCAGCUUUGCUACAUCAAUCUUGUAAUCCUUUGGAAAUACAGCACAAAAAGCAAAGCACUGCUUCAUGUGCGAUGACAAGUCAUUGUAGCUAAGCUUCAAUAUUGGCAAGAUUCCAGUUUCCUCAGUGCAAAUGCUGCUUCUAGAUGCUAUAGCCUUCCAUUCUUUCACGGUGGUCUUGGUACGAAGUACAGAGCCCAGUGCACUUGCAGCUAAAGGAGAGCCACGACAUCUGUUCACAAUCUGAUCAACCAUCUUGACUAGCUCAACAGGCUUUUUUUUUCCGGAACUGAAUGCUCGAGCCUCAAUAAUUUCCUUUAAGAAUAUAUCAUCCAAACGACCGAGAAUGUGGGUAUCUGCACCCAUAAUUUCAGCAACUCCUUUAUCACGAGUUGUUGUCAGCACCGCACUACCCAUGACACCAUGCUUAAGAUGGUCCUUCAGCCUUUCCCACUUAUGGACUUCUCUGUUCCAGACAUCAUCUAAUACAAGGAGAUACCUCUGCCCGGUGACCAAUUUCUGAAGUCUCUCUAGUUGUGGUUUGUUUGUAUGAUAAUUUUUCUUGGGAGAUGCUUCAACUAUACUCUUGGCUAGGGAGUUCACAUCAAAGAUAUCCGAGACACAGACCCACAGCAACAACUGGAAAUGCUUCUGAAUUCUAGGUUCAUUGUAUAUGAGCUGUGCUAAUGUGGUCUUACCAAAGCCCCCCAUUCCAACGAUGGCAACCACUGCGAGAUCAGCACUAUUAGCUUGGCGAAGUAGUCUACCAACAACUUCCACCUUAUCUUUGUCUCUGGAUCUGCUAGCAAUGUCUUGCAGGUCGGUGAUAACAGAAUCCGUCUGCCUCCACUGCUUGGACACGGGUGGCUGUGGUCGGUACUUGAACCUAAAGGCAUGCAUCUCUGCUAUGAGCACAUCAAUGGCCUUCAGGAUCCGGCAAAGCUUGCGACCCAUUUUGUAACGGAACACAAUACAGUUGUGAGUAGGGAAGAGUUUAAUUACAUCGAAGCCGAGCUUGCUGUAGUGCCCCUUCUUCCUGGCUUCACGACGGAGUGCUUCGUACUUGAAUUCGUCAAACACUUCAUUUGCCUCAUAUGCCACCGUCUUGAGCUCCUGGAGCCAGGUUUUGGCCCCAUCUCUAUGCUCCGUCGCCUGCUUCUCGGCGUCGGUCAUGACGUCGAGGAUGGCCGGAAGCUUGCGUUUGAGAAUCUUGUGCUGCUCCUCCAUUCCCUCCAUCACCUUGUACUGGUCCAGGAGGGAGUUGCCCGCCUUGUUCACCAGCAUGGACACCAGCGGCCGGAUGGCCAUGGCGGCCACCACCUCCGCCAUUGGAACGCCCACACGAUUGGCACAGCAACACGAAGCAGUGUGGAAUGGAGAAUGGAAUGGUGUGAGCAAGACGUGCUUGCUUUGCUAGUAAUGAAACUGGAAGCCAAGGUGAGUAUUGACUUUCUGGGAGCGAAGUGGAUGAGCUCGCGUUACGGGAACCAAUCACAACUAUCCAAUCCUGAACAGCUCAGCACUGGGCAUUGUUUUUGGGCUGAUGCAUAAUAGGACAAUCAGCAUACCACAUUAACAGCUGGGGGCAUCUUCAUUUCUUAAUGAGACACAACCAGAGUGCAAGACGACGCGGGCAACCAUAAUAUUGCAAGUAGAUCAUUGUAUUAGGUAUUUGUGUCAGUACAUCCAAUCCAGUUUUUCAAAAGUGACGUUUCACUGGCUGUGACCUUAGCAGAUGGUACGAAUUUCCUUAACAAAUACAAAGAGUUGCAGGAAUGCAAAUUAAAUAAUUACUUCCACUGGCUAGACGUGUGACAGCACACCUACUGCCUAACUACAGCAUAUACUUAUCUCAAGUGCCUGCCGCCCAGGGAGACCAGAAUAAUGGUGUUCUUGGAUUAGUUGAACCUUCAAUGCAUCACUACUUAUCACCGAAGCAUUAUUUUAUUGUUCUUUUUUUUUUGGAAUGGCCUCUAAGUAUGAUUGAGUACAGGAUUGAUCUCAGAGCAAACAUAAUCGGCUGGCAGAGAAUUAUGUCUUGUUCAUAUAGUCUGAUGCAAUUUUGUGGUUACACACUCCUCAGUUUUUAUAACUAAAUACAGAAUUUUAAUCUGUUGACAGAUCAGACAAACGUAGAAACAGUUAGCAAGAGCCCCAAUGAGAUUAUAUGCAGCAUCAUUUUAAUCGGAAAGCAAUUGCCCUCAUGAGAUCAGCAACCAUACACAGUGCCAAUAAAAAAAGGUGGCUCGUACUAACGACGCAGGUUUCAAAUUAAUCAAGUGGCUAAACCGAGGCAUCGACAGCCAUAUGGGACAAUGUGCACUUCAGUUAGAAAAUGAACACUUGCAGGCAGUAAAAUAAUUUAUGUCAGUACACCCACGAUAUUGCAAAUAGAGUAUUAAUUACGUAUUUGUGUCAGUACAUCCAAUGCAGUUUUUCAAAAGUGACGUCCCAUUGGCUGUGACCUUAGCAAAUGGUACGAAUUUUCGUUCUAAGUACUACAAAAAGUUGCAGGAAUGCAAAUUAAACAAUUACCUCCCAUGUCUAGACGUGUGAGAGCACACCUACUGUGCAACAACAAAAUAUAUUUCAUCUCGGGCACUUACCGCACAGGGAGGACCACAAUAUUGGUUUUCGUGAAUCUAAAAUACAUCACAUGCUUCCUGCUGAAGAGGGAAGACCCGGUGGCAAGUGGUUAAUUUCUUGUCCUUUUUUAAUGACACCUCUAACUAACAUUGAAGGGGCAUGAUUGAUCUCAGAGAUGAGCAUAAUAAGCUGGCAGAUGACCAUCCCUUGCUCAUAUGGACAAAUGAUACACUUAAUAUACUGAUAUGAUAAAAUACAACUUGACAAUCUCCUGAUAUUCGACGAUGAAAGAUAUGUAUGAGUAUGCGAUUCAAUUUGGUGGGCUUAAUAUGUUCCGUUAUUGAGAGACAGUGAAAAGCGGAAUAAAGGGCAGGGUGGAAUUCUCUAUAUCAGGUUAAGGAGAUCGUCUUAACUAACUAAAAUCAGAUGAAGCCUAACUUUGCAACCAUACGACGGAAGCAACAAAAAUAAAGACAGGGAGCCAGAACAGAACAAAGAUAAAUUCCAGUGCCCUUUUAUUGAUCACUGCCUAUGGCCAUAUAGAUGAGAUCUGGGACUCGGCCAGCUGAAACAUUCCUCUAGAAAGCACAUUUCCGCUGAUGCACAUAUGAAAUACGACAGUACAAAGCAGAAUAAACACUGAGAUUAUACAGAUGAUUGGACGCUGUAACUAAGUUGGAUAUCGCGGCGCGCAUAGGCGGAAAUGAGAGAGAAACGGAAUGUCCAAAGCCACAAAUGUACAUCGCUGUCAGGCUACCCAGCUGAAUCCUGCUUCCUGCUGACCCUCCUGAUUCACGCAGACGCAGCUAGCAUGGAGAUGGGCACGCCUCUCGAAUUCAUGUGAAUCGAAUCGCUGGAAGAGACGGACGGACAGGAUCAAUACCUUUGUGUCGACGGGGAGGGGAGGCCGGAGUGGCUGCCGUCGACGUACGGCGCGCAGCCGACGGGGGAGCUCCGGGACCUUCUUGUCGACACCAUCUGCAAUGGAAGUAAAAAAGAGCUGUUAGAAGAGGAUACGAGAGAGGCUCACGGUAGGAAGGAAUGGGGAAGGGGGAUGAGUGAGUACCUCGAGCGGCCGCGGUGGUGGUGGGCGGGCGGAUGCGGAGGGUGGGAGGGAGGCUGACACCUCCGCCGCCACAGACGUACGUGGAGCGGCCACGGGCGUUGCGUUCUGGUAGAGGCCACGGGCAGUGGGGUCCGGGAGACGUCGUGCGCCGGCGAGGAGGACGGGGAAGGGGAGACGAAGACGACGCGGAUCGGCGGAGUGUGGGCUGGGCUUGUGACGUUGGGGCCUCCGAAAACUAUAGCCCAGUUCGAAUUGGUGCCCUAACACACACAGCGCUUACGUCGGCUAAAUCCUAUUUGGCGCCUUCAGCGCCCGCUAUAGGUCUUUCGGCCGGCCCAGUUUCGACAUUUUUUCUGUGUUUCCAAAAGGCAAAAAGGGCGCUAGAGCUGGGUAUCGAAAACGCUACAACCACUCAACCACACCCCUUGGUGUGAUUGGUUACAUGUUUUCUCGUCUUUUCUUAUGCUUCUUUUCCUUUUUAUUCCUUUUUUUCUUUCUUUUUUCAAAUUCGCAAAACUGUUUCUUCAUGAAUAUUUUCUGCAAAUCGAUGAACUUUUCUCUUUGAAUUUGAUGAUUUUUUUCGAAAAAUUUGAUGAACGUUUUUUCAGAUCCGAUGAACUUUUUUUUGAAUUCCAUGAACUUUUUUCAAAUUCGAUGAACUAUUUUUCGAAUUCAAUGAACUUUUUCUGAAUUCGAUGAACUUUAUUUCGAAUUCAAUGAACUUUUGAUCGAAUUCGAUGAACUUUUUUAAAUUUGAUGAACUUUUUCAAAUUCUGAUGAACUUUUUGAAAGGACAAGAGUACAUACCGUAGCAAAACGGUUUGUUUUUUCCAAGAAAAUCAGUACACACUGUAGCAUUUUUUGAGCGAGAGAAAUAAAAAAGUGAUCGAGCGGUAGCUAGCGACCGAGCGGCGACAGCAGCGAGCGUUGCUGGGCCAGGCCCAUGCAAGCGACGCAGUGGGCGCCGUGUUCACUCGCUCCACCUCUGCAUUGAUGUCUCUAGCUUGUAGCAAUUGCCAUCCUUUACAUGUAAAGAGGAUUUGAUGAGUCAUGUCAUGCUCUAUAGGCGUCAGUUCAUCUUAUCACCUUAGAGGAAAAUACAAAGUUAGUUUUUCGAAAAGCAACCGAGCCUAGAAGAACCGUACCCUCGACACGCAAGGCUUUAGCAUAUCUUAAUAGCCGAGACACGAUUGCGACUUGGUUCCACACAAGUUUCGUCUUUCUUGUUAAUGGCUGACAGCCCAUACAAGAUUCCAAACUCGGUUGCAAAAGUGAUACUAUCCUGAUAAGUGCGUGACAUGUAAAGUGAAUAAGGUGAUUCAUCUAUAGCAAACUUUAGGAUUUCUAUACUUUGUGUAUAAUCAUAUGCACAACUAAAAAGCAACUUUGAUGAUCAAUCCAAAAGUACGCUUGUAGCUAGUGCAACCUAACACAAUGUACCAAAAAUCCAUUUCAGAAACAUCCAAACAUAAUUAUUAAAGCUGAUGGAAAGAAGGAAAGAGAUGGUGCCCGGGCUACUAUAAAUAGGCAUGAAGUAUCAAGAUCAUCACAGGCACAAUCAUCAAAACCAAGCAAUACUAGUUAACACCAAUCCACCAUGAAGACCUUCCUCAUCUUUGCUCUCCUUGCCAUUGCGGCGACAAGUGCCAUUGCACAAAUGGAGACUAGCCGCGUCCCUGGUUUGGAGAAACCAUGGCAGCAACAACCAUUACCACCACAACAACAACCACCAUGUUCACAGCAACAACAACCAUUUCCACAGCAACAACAACCAAUUAUUAUACUGCAACAAUCACCAUUUUCGCAGCAACAACAACCAGUUCUGCCGCAACAGCAACCAGUUAUUAUACUGCAACAACCACCAUUUUCGCAGCAACAACAACCAGUUCUACCACAACAACCACCAUUUUCACAACAACAACAACAACAACAACAACAACAACCACCAUUUUCGCAGCAACAACAACCAGUUCUACCACAACAACCACCAUUUUCACAACAACAACAACCACCAUUUUCGCAGCAGCAACAACCAUCUUCACAACAACCACCUUUUCCACAACAACACCAACAGUUUCCACAACAACAAAUCCCUGUUGUUCAACCAUCCGUUUUGCAGCAGCUAAACCCAUGCAAGGUGUUCCUCCAACAGCAGUGUAGCCAUGUGGCAAUGUCGCAACGUCUUGCUAGGUCACAAAUGUGGCAACAGAGUAGUUGCCAUGUGAUGCAACAACAAUGUUGCCAACAGCUGCCGCAAAUCCCCGAACAAUCCCGCUCUGAGGCAAUCCGUGCCAUCGUCUACUCCAUCAUCCUGCAAGAACAACAACAGGGUUUUGUCCAACCUCAGCAGCAACAACCCCAACAGUCGGGCCAAGGUGUCUCCCAACACCAACAGCAGUCGCAGCAGCAGCAGCAACUCGGACAGUGUUCUUUCCAACAACCUCAACAACUACAACAAUUGGGUCAGCAGCCUCAACAACAACAGAUACCACAGGGUAUAUUCUUGCAGCCACACCAGAUAUCUCAACUUGAGGUGAUGACUUCCAUUGCACUCCGUACCUUGCCAACGAUGUGCGGUGUCAACGUGCCGUUGUACAGCUCGACCACUAUUAUGCCAUUCAGCAUUGGCACUGGAGUUGGUGGCUACUGAUAAGAAAAGAUUUCUAGUAAUAUAUAGUCGUUAGAUCACCGUUGUUUAGUCGAUGGAUAUGUCGAUGUAGCGGUGACAAAUAAAGUGUCACACAAACGUCAUGUGUGACCCGCAAACUAGUAGUUAAAUUCUGGAAUAAAAUACAAAUAAAGUUUUCUCUAGACAAUGUUCAUACCGGCGUUCUGUGGACGUCGAUGUGACUACCAUGCUUGCAAGUUCAUAAGUUCGUCUUGUCUGGUCACAAACCUGGUGCGUUAAUUUAUUAUUCAUGUAUAGAAAUAAUCAAAAUUUAAAUAUAAUAGUGUUAUUGUAAAAUUUUGGUUGAGUUGAAGCAAGGACUAACAUACAACUCUUUAAUGGUUGGAGAUUCAAGAUCUUAUUUUUAUUGGUUUGUAUCUGGUUCCAACUACCACCAUGGUCUACAGUGACAACCACAACUGGUUUGAUCGUUAACUCUCUUUGCUUGGUUUUUUUGCAAAUAUGUUCAUUGAUUCUUUGCACAAUUUUUUUGUCAAGAAAAAGGUCAGCUUUUGCUUGAACUUCACACACACACACCACUACAUAGUUAAUUCGAAAUAAGUUGCUGGUGAUGUCCUAGACCAGCUAGCACAGUCAGUGUGUGUGGGGAGGGGGAGUUGUUGCAUGCGUAUUCUUCGCGCAUUAUUUUAUUUUGUUCUUUUGAUGCUCUUACACCAUACCACAUUUUUACUUGAUGGAAAGCAAAAUAAACAACGCAGCUAGAAACCAUAGAACUUGAUACUGGGUGUGUGUCAACUUCACAUCCUCCUCCUUACGUCAUUUCAAUUGGAAAGCAAUAGCCCUCAUGAGAUCAGAUAUCCAUACAUAAUGCCAAAAUAAACAAGGUGAUGGCAUUAACGAUGCAAGUUUUAAAUUAGUCAAAUGGCUAAACUGAGGCACCGGCAGCCAUAUGAGACAUCCACGAGCAUGUAAUCCAUCUUAUUGCAAGUAGAGCACUGUAUUAUGUAUUUAUGUCAGAACAUCCAGUGCAGUUUUUCAAAAUGACGUUCCAUUGGCUGCAACUAGCAAAUGAUACGAAUUUUCUUUCCAAAUACUACAAAAAGUUGCAGGAUUGCAAAUUAAACAAUUACCUCGACUGACUAGACGUGAAACAACACACCUGCUGUGCAGCAACAACAGAUAAUUCAUCUCAAGCACCUACCCAGCAGGGAUUAGUUCUCGUGAAUUCAUGGAAUUUAGAAUGCAUCACAUGCUUACUGCUGAAGAGACAAGACCCAGAAGCAAGUGGUCACUUUCUUGUCCUCUUUAAAUGACACCUGUAAUUAAGAUUGAGUACAUCAUCGAACUCAGAAGUGACCAUAAUCUGCUGGUAGACCAUUAUUUCUUGUUCAUAUGAACAUACAUAAUACUUAAUAUACUGACAUGAUACAAGGCAACUUGACAAUCUCCUGUUAUUCGAAGAUGAAAGAUAUAUAUGAGUAUGCGAUUCAAUUUGGUGAGCUUAAUAUGUGCCGUUAUUGUGAAACAGUGAAAGACUGAAUAAAGGGACAUAUGGAAUUCUUUUUAUCAUAAUAACGAGUUUCUAAACACAGAACGAAAGCAACAAAAAAUAAAGACAGAGCGCUAAAAUUUCAGAGAAGUUUUUGAAGAUAUAAAAUGCAGUGCCCUUUUAUUGAUCACUGCCUAUAGCCAUAUAAAUAAGGUCUGGGACUCGGUUCGCUGCAACAAGCCUCUAGAAAGCACAUUUCCUCUGAUGCACAUAUGAAAUUUGAGAGUAAAACAUAAAAACGCCGAGAUAUACGGAUGAUUUAAUGAUGUAACUAACUUGGAUAUCCUUCUAGUGACCACGGAAUGGACAAAUUUUCUUCCGAGACGUCGAAAAGGGAUGGAACCUCCACACCCACUGCUUCUCCUUCACCUGCAUAGCGUGCGUAGGCGGAAAUUUGAUGAGUAUUUGAAGUGACAUCCACAUAGAGCAGGAGUUAUUCGGCUAGCAAAGUGCAAAUGUACAUCACUCUCAGGCUACAAGACUGAAUUCUGCUCGAUGAUCUUCCUGAUUCAUGCAGCGGAUAUGCAAAUGGGCGUGCCCCUUAAAUUCAUGUGAAUCAAAUUGCAGAAGAGACGGACAAACAGGGUUAAUAUAUACCUUAUUUCUUGUGUUGACGGGAUGGCUGGAGUGGCUGUCGUCGAUGUACGGCCCGCACUCGACGAAGAGCUUGAAGACCCUCUUGCGAAGACCAUCUGCGAGAGGAAGCAAGAGUUGAGGUCAGAAGAGGGUACAGUAGAGGUUGAGGGUGGGAAGGAAGGCAUCAACACUAGUAGAAAAAGGGCCUAAUGUGAAGCACAUUAGUCCCGGUUUGUAACAAAACCGGCACUAAUGUGUCCAUUAGUGCCGGUUCCAACGGCUAGGCGGGUGGAGCUAAAUUAGACUGAAUUGAACUUGUUCUUUAUAACUAGCUUGGGACAGAAAAAUUACUAUGAAAUGCACUUGAUUAUACUUGAUUUUAUGGGCUACAAAAAAUAUCAUCCAAAAAUGCUCUAAAAAACACGUUCUAAAGUAGGUUUGGCAGGAGAUGCGGCACAUUAUCAUUCAGAAAUUAGACCAAGAUAAAUGUGGAGUUGGCGGCUCAACACUCUAUAAGACUGUAACAGGUUGUCCCAGUGUCUCAGUCCUUUAGGACAUAGAUCCAGAAAAUGUAGAACUAACAUAUUAGCGGUUAGGAUCAUAUUUGCAAUGUGGGAACUUGGUGCGCUCGCUCCAACAUGCCUAGUGGAAGCAUGUGUCCUCUGAUGCACAUAUGAAAUAUGACUGGUACAAAACAUAAGAAACACUGAGAUUAUACGGAUGAUUGGAUGCUGUGGCUAACUUGUGCGUCGCUCCAGUCAACUGAGUGGACGAACUCGCUAAGAGCUUUCUUCUCGGAGAUCAAAGGGGACGGAACUUCCUAAGAGCUUUUGAUUCAACCUCCAUGCUAACUAACUACUUCUCCACCUGUUUAGUGGGCGUAGGAGAAAAUUUGAUGAGUAUUUGAAGUGACGUCCACAUAGAGCACAUAGCUAUAUUCAGUUAGAAAAGCCACAAAUGUACAUCACAUCCAGAUUAAUGGAGGUGGAAUGUGAAUGUGUGUGCCCUUAAAUUCAGGUGAAUCAAAUCGCAGAAGAGCCAGACGAAUAGGAUAGAUACCUUGAGUGGACGUGGAGGACGGAGUGUCUGCAGACAAUGUAUGGCCCACACCUGAAGGAGACCUUCUUGCCGAAAGCAUCUGCAAGAGGAAGUAAGAACAUGGUUGUUGACAUCAGAUUUUGGCAUGGUACAAAAAGCAAUUAAGAUUGCCCCAAAUGGAGAAGUGAUUUACAUGAAAAAGUUCCAUUUUGUCGACCUGAACAUCUUUGAAGUUUGUGCCAUCGCCAUCUAAUCUCAUCUCGAAGGCCAAAGUUAUGUUCGAAAUACUGAGAUUUUGUAUCCAGAGCACUGUUCGGCCGAUUAUGCCUCAAGGGAUGGUCACUUUCUACAUGAAUUGUCUUCGUCUCAUCAAAACGGUCGAUUUUGAUAAAAAUUCAUGUCAAUCCGAGGUUGUAUGUAAAAGUUAGAGCCACCCGAGUGCGGUCAUGAGCCAAAAGUGGCGAGUAAUAGUCUAUUUUGCACGAGCAAUUCGUCCCUGAAGUUGGCAUCUAUUCGAAACAUGUUUAACAUGAAUGUUGUUCGUCUCGGUGAAACGGUUAAAUUUGGUUCUUACACGAUUUUGAUCUGAGGUCAUUUACUACCCAAAAAAUGACCCGCAAGGUGAAGCCAAUUUUUAGAUCGAAUAGUUUUGGGAAGUUCGGAUCGAACAAUCCGAAUAGGAAUCAAAUUAGGGUUUUGGACAUGAAUUCUAACCUUUCCUUGCACGGGAAGUCCAUCCACCUCUUAUAUACAUGAGGGGUGACGGCCGAUUGAGAAACAACACACAAUCGCAAAACCCAUCUACAAACUUUCAUCUCCUAUCCUACUUUUCUGCUUCUCGUUCAUCAGUGUUCUUUGCUUCGGAGAGCUCUGAUCUAUGAAGUCCUAGGGGUGGGCGAACCAACCUAGGGCAGCCCAGCACUGUCGUGCGGCCAGACAGGGUCUCUUCCGACCGCGUGGGGUUUCGGGUCUUCAAAAGCGCUCGCCGGAUUGUAUUGCGUACCACUCUUCCGGUGAGCCUCCUUCGGCGAUGUGUCUUGCGUAUCGCGCUCGACGCCGAGGGUACACGGUGACGUGUUUGUGUGUGAACACACUUUUUGGCGACUCCGCUGGGGACCAAAGAGCAAUCAUCAUCAUCCAUCAUGGUCAAUCUUCCCAAGCCAUCUGAAGUGGAUGCCGAUAACAUCAACAAGCCCAAUUUUGAGGAAUUAUCGGCAGAACAUCGCCAAGCUUGUGAGUAGUACAAGAAGGCACGUGAAGGGAAGGAGAUGCAGGAGUUCCUUGCUAAGUUCAAAAAGGAUCGCCAAGGCAACAUCACUUCAAUUGAAGAAAUCAAGUUUCCUCCUCUUCACAAUGAGUAGGUAGAGUCGGCUGAAAUCACUACUCUUAUUGCUCAGAAUAAUGAUCGAAAAAAUACUCCUCAAUCAUCUAAUGGUAGAAAAUAAUACUGAUCGAAAAAAUACUCCUCAAUCAUCUAAUGGUAGUGGUAGUAUGUCUGCUGGUGUGGAAAACUUUAGUCCAAAUUUACCUAUUCCAGCGGUGCUGCCCAUGCCAUUGAAUUCUUAUCCCAGUCAGACAAACCAACUUGUUGCUCCACCAUUUAAUCCAGCCAGGAAUAUGCCAAGUUCAGUGAAUCCAACUGCAUUGCUAGGUUAUGGUUCGGCAAGUCCAAGUGGAUUGCUGCCGAACUAUGGUAUAACAUACACACCACCAUCUCUUCCGACUAGCACUAUACCAACUAGUAGAAAUCAUAUUCACCAUGCGCCACAACCACACGCAACGCCGCUCAAUACGAGUGAUAUUUUGGCUAAUGUCAGAGAGGAGAUGUCGAGGGUGUUCCGAGAGCAUUGCGGGAUUGAACUACCUCAACCACGAAUUUCUAGGAAACCAUAGCUAGAAAUUUUUGAUGUCGUGCCAUGUCCUCCCGGAUAUAAAGUUCCAGAUUUUGUUAAAUUUAGCGUAGAGGGAAGAAAGACUACAUGGGAGCAUGUUAGUCGGUACUUGGCACAAUUAGGUGAGGCAAGUUCACGAGACGAGUGGAAAGUACGUUAUUUUCCUUUAUCUUUAACCGGUACUGCUUUCCCGUGGUUUUCUGCAUUACCACCCGGUUCUAUUACUGCAUGGUUUCACUUGGAGCAAAAGUUUCAUGACCACUUCCAGAGUGGUGACAAUGAGCUUAAACUAUCCCAUCUUACAUCGGUUAAGCAAAAGCAUGAUGAAUCAGUCUUCGAUUAUGUCAAAAGAUUUAGAGAUACAAAAAACCGGUGCUAUAGUUUGGUGAUAACCGAGAGAGAUGUGGCUGAUCUCGUGCUUAGUAGUUUGAGAACUCACAUUAGAGAGAAGCUGGAAGGCUAUGAGUUUUCAAGUAUCAACCAUGUCUUAGAAAAGGGCUUUGGCUCAAGAAAGCCAAAGCAAAGAGUUUAAAGAGGUGCAUAGGUAUAACACUGAUCAUCCUAAGAUAAAUAUGAUUGAGUAUGAUGGUGAGCACUCGGAUGAUGAGGGUGAUAUUUAUGAUACUGAAUUUGUUUGGCCAUCUAAGGCCAAACCAUUUACUUGCAAUGAUAUAAAGCCAAUUUCAUAAGAAUCGUGAUGAAGAGAUGAAAAUUACUUUCAACAUUACUAAGUGUGAUAGAAUAUUUGAUGCUUUGUUGCAAGCGAACAUUAUUAGAAUAUCUCAUACUUUACCGCCGUUUCAAGAGCUGAAACGGCGUGCUUAUUGCAAGUAUCAUAAUUCUUUUUCUCAUGCCACUAACGAUUGUAAUGUUUUUCAACGACAAAUACAGCCGGCCAUUAAUAACGGACGAUUGAAAUUUUCUCAGAUUCCACUUGAUAAGCAGCCCUUUCCAAUGAACACCAUGGAUUUGGAGGGAAAAAGAUGUUAAUUCGGCCCGAUAUAGCCGAAUCAGCUAAUAAAAAUAAGAUUGUCAUUGGUGAGCCUCAGAAAAGCAAGGAAGACGACAAGGCCUUGGGGAGACAAGUUGUGCUUGACAAGCGACCCGGUGGCAAGGAGAUCAUUAAGAUCACCAUCAAGAANNNNNNNNNNNNNNNNNNNNNNNNNNNNNNNNNNNNNNNNNNNNNNNNNNNNNNNNNNNNNNNNNNNNNNNNNNNNNNNNNNNNNNNNNNNNNNNNNNNNNNNNNNNNNNNNNNNNNNNNNNNNNNNNNNNNNNNNNNNNNNNNNNNNNNNNNNNNNNNNNNNNNNNNNNNNNNNNNNNNNNNNNNNNNNNNNNNNNNNNNNNNNNNNNNNNNNNNNNNNNNNNNNNNNNNNNNNNNNNNNNNNNNNNNNNNNNNNNNNNNNNAAAUUUGUUAAACCAAAGAAUCCAGAGGUUGGCAAGUGGAAGACGAAUGAAGCUAAAGUACAACGCAAGAGAAUCAAGCCAACUUUUGUUAUGUUGCUAUGCAAAUGUGCCAAUCAAGCGGCCAAUUCUAGCUCUAACCGGUCAUCAAAUUUAAAGCUCUCCAGGUCACCUCCUCGACAAGAAUUUCAUCAUCAUGCAAGGCCAUAUGGGUCUUGGGCACCUUGACCAUCGAUGGCACCACCCCCCCUAUGUGUCAUACUACAUGGGAAACUUUAAUGGAGGAUGGGGGCAACCUCCAAUGACCCCUUAUGCUUUUCAUCCGGGUUGGGUAGAACCAAGGAGGCCCGUUUGUGAGAGGCUUUCUUACCCUAUACAUGGCCGUUUGAACAAUGGUGUCAAUCGGCCAAUGCAGGAUAAUCAAAAAAGGUUCAGCAAUCAAGUGUGGCGAGCUAAAUCACCAAGUGCUGAAAUUUCAGAGGCUAGCAACCAAAAGGAGAAGAGUACUAGUGCUGAAACUAUUAUUGUAGGCACUAAAGAAUUAACAAUCAAAUAGCCGAUUAUUGUUGAUAAUGCAGCUAUUUCUAACAAGGAUGUGGCUGCUGUCCAACAAGGUCCCGUGGCUAAUGAUCAUGAAGCUAGCACAAGCAAGGCCAAGCUGAGGGAUCCAAAAUAUACUUAGCCUAAGUGGUGUCCCUCCGGUCUGACCAAGGCACAAAAAAGUAGGUUGCAGCACAUGAGAAGCCACGAGAAGGAGGGAUAAGAAGCGGAGAGGCAAAGGGAUAAACUGUUCAAUGAAACCCGUCCCAUGAUGUCCGCAAAACAAGUGUGGAGGCCUAAGCAAAAGGAAAACAUAGUAGCUUCUGCAUUGGUAAUAACAGCACCUACACCACCAAUGGAGGACGAUGCGACUGCUAUUACAUCGUCCACUUCACCUAUUACUUCCUCUUCACUAGGAGAUAUUUCGGAGUCGAUGGACAUGCUUCAGGAUGGAGAUGGUAUUUUGGAUUAUGAGUCUACACCGGUUCAUGAAGGUAUUGAUAUUAAUAUGGUGCACUACUUACCCGCUGAAUUCCGUGCUAUAUAUGAAGAAGGGCAAGUACCUCAGUUGGAUUUUGGUCCUAAAAAUGCUAUAAUCGAGAAGCCAAAAGAAUGGGUGACGCACCUGAAGCCAUUGUUCCUUAAAGGUCAUAUUAAUGGAUCGCCGAUUGCUAGAAUGCUUGUUGAUGGUGGUCCUGUGGUGAAUCUUAUCCCAUAUUCAGUCUUAUAAAAAAUGAGGCUGCGUGAUGAAGAGUUGAUAAAGACCAACAUGGUGCUCAACGGAUUUGAAGGUAAAGAGAAAAUUGAAGCCAAAGGUGUGAUGUAUGUGGAGCUUACGGUGGGAAGCAAAACUUUGGCUACCGCAUUCUUUGUCGCCGAGGUGCAAGGUAACUCCAAUGUGAUAUUAAGCCAUGAUUGGGUUCAUGCAAACCAAUGUGUGCUAUCUACUAUGCACCAGUUUUUGAAUCAAUGAGUUGAUGAUGAAGUGGAAGUCAUUCAUGCGGAUAAUUCGAUCGGCUUGUGUUGCUUUGGCCGAUGAAUCGGUGGAUUGGCAACAUCCCAAUGCUACUUGCUUGACGGGGCGCGACUUAUCAGAAUUUGAUUUUCUUAGCGCUACAAAAUUGGUUUCGUGCCCCUUUCUAUAAAGCCGGUUGGCGAUAAUCGGCUCCAAGGUAUGAUGUAUUUAAAUGGAUCCUAUCUCAGAGUGGUUUCAAAAGCGUCUUGUAGAAUAUCGGUCCAAUGAGAAUGAUAUGUAUGAGUCCAUAGAAGAGUUAGAUGAUAUGGAUAAAUUAGGACAAGGUUUUACAUCGGCGAUCCAUUAGAAGAGAUAGAUAUAGCAGAUGGUUCAUUUCUUAGGCCGACAUUUGUAAAUAAAAAUUUAAGAGUCGAUCAUAAACUUAAGUUGAUCGAGCUGUUAAAAGAAUAUAUUUGUUGCUUGGCAUGGGAAUAUCAUGAGAUGCCCGGUUUAAGCCGAGAGCUAGUGGAGCAUCGAUUACCUAUAAAGGCUGGUUUUUGACCGUAUAAGCAAUCGACCAGAAAGUUUAAUCCAAAAACAUAUGACCGGAUCAAGGAAGAGAUCGGUCGUUUGCUGAAAGCUAAUUUUAUUAGACCUUGCAAGUAUGCCGAGUGGAUUUCUAACAUUGUACCAGUGAAGAAGAAAGGCUCGGGCAAGUUGAGGGUGUGUAUUGAUUUUAGAGAUUUGAAUAGAGCUACACCCAAAGAUGAGUAUCCCAUGCCCAUAGCCGAUAUGCUUAUUAAUGAUGCCUCUGGACAUAAGGUCAUUAGCUUUCUUGAUGGUAAUGUGGGGUAUAAUCAAAUUUUUAUGGCCGACGAUGAUAUGACCAAAUUAGCUUUUCGAUGUCCCAGUUUCCUUGGUUUAUUUGAGUGGACAGUGAUGACCUUUGGUUUAGAGAAUGCCGACACCACGUAUCAAAGGGCUAUGAAUUUAAGUUUUCAUGAUUUACUUGGUGUUAUACUUGAAGUCUAUAUUGAUGAUAUUGUUGUCAAAUCGGAUGCUUUUGAAUCUCAUCUAGCUGAUUUGUGCUUAGAUUUUGAGAGAAUGAAAAAAUAUUGACUAAAGAUGAAUCCUUUGAAAUGUGCUUUUGGUGUAUCGGCUGGUAAGUUUUUGGGUUUCAUUAUUCAUCAACAUGGCAUAGAAAUUGACCCAAAAAGAUAGAGGCUAUACAAAAGGUGUGGGCUCGAACAUGCAAGAGAGAUAUGCAAAAAUUCCUUGGCAAAGUCAAUUAUUUGAGGAGAUACAUAGCCAAAUUGUCAGGGAAGGUUGAUACAUAGCCAAUUAUUUGUGCACUUCUCUAGUGUUGAAAGCCCCCAAGCAUAGAGAGCCCUUUAGGCUUUAUAUUGCGGAGGAGAAAGCCCCCAGGCAUAGAAAGUCCCCUCAAGAGACCGAAGGAAAGGAGCAUGCUAUUCUUAUUUGAGUCGACGCUUAUUGGAUGUCGAGAUAAGGUAUACAUUGAGAAAUUAUGCUUAUGCUUAUAUUAUGCUUGCACAAAAUUGAGACAUUACCUAGUGCCUAGUACAUGCAUUAUAGCUUUUCAAACUGAUGUCAUCAAAUACAUGUUGCAUAGGCCAAUUCUUAGUGGUAGAAUUGGCAAGUGAGCUUAUGCUUUAAUUGAAUAUGAUUUGGUUUAUGAAUCUCUGAAAUUCAUGAAUGGGCAAAUCGUUGUUAAUUUUGUUGUUGAGCAUCGGAUUGAUGACAAGCAUGAUAUUGAUCUUAAACUUGUCUAUUAGUACCAUGGAGAUUAUAUUUUGAUGGUUCCGUUUGUAGCAAUGGACAAGGUGUUGGUAUUGUUUAUAUAUCUCCUCAUGGAGCUAUUUUUCAAGCCUCAUGCCGCUUAGAGUAUUUUUGUACAAAUAAUUAGGCCGAAUAUGAAGCAUUUUUACUCGGUUUAGAGAUGUUGCUUGCCAUAGGCGCUACACAUAUUGAGGCUUUUGGUGAUUCGUUAUUAGUAGUGCAACAAAUAUCCAGAGUAUUUCAAUGUUUUCAUGAAUCACUUAAUGUUUAUCUUGAUAAAUGUCUAGAUAUAAUUUCUACUUUGGAUUAUUUUAGCAUUCCUCAUAUAUCUAGACAUGACAAUUGGAGAGCAAAUCAGUUGGCACAACAAGCAUCUGGCUAUCAUGUUAAUCAUGACAUGUUUCAUAUUUACCAAAGGCCGAUGUCUAUUCUUGCCAACGUAGGGGAGGCUGAACCGGAGCCCACCGUUUCGGUCACAAAUGAAAAUUUUAAUGUAGAAAAUCUGGACUAGAGGAAAGCCAUUAUUGAUUAUUUGCGUGAUUCUAAUAAAAUUUUGGAUGAGGACCAAGCAAGAGUUGCUAUGAGAGAGGUUCAUGAAGGAAUUUGUGGGACUCAUCAGUCGGCUCCCACUAUGAAAUGGUUAUUGCGACAGGCUGGGUUUGAUUGACCAACGAUGAUUAAUGAUUGCUUCAGGUAUUAUAAAGGAUGUGCAGCUUGUAAAAUGUCUGGUGAUAUUCAGCUAGCUUCUGCUGCUAUGUUACAUCCUAUUAUUAAGCCGCGGCCUUUUAGAGGUUGGGGAUUAUACUUUAUUGGAGAGAUUCAUCCUUCUUCUUCAAAGGGGCAUCAGUUUGUGUUGGUGGCAACUGAUUAUUUCACUAAAUGGUCUGAAGCAAUACCGCUAACAAAUAUGACGCAUACGGAGGUAAUUCAAUUCAUAACUUAGCACAAUAUUCAUAGAUUUGACAUUCCUCAAAUGUUAACUACGGACCAAGGUUCAUCUUUUAUGUCAGAUCAAGUUAGAGAAUUUCCCGAAUCAUAUAAGAUAAAGUUGCUCAAUUCAUCUCCGUAUUAUGCCCAAGCCAAUGGACAAGCUGAGUCUAGCAAUAAAAUAUUAACCAACCUCAUCAAGAAGAAGAUUGAGGAUAAUUCAAGGAGAUGGCAUGAGCUAUUGUCCGAAGCUUUGUGGGCACACAUAAUCUCAAGGUAUGGUGCUACAAAGGUAACUCCAUAUGAGCUCAUAUAUGGUAAAGAGGCCGUUUUACCAGUGGAAGUGAAUUUGAAUGCUUUGAGAAUAGCAAAACAAAAUGAUUUAUCGGCGGUGGACUUUUAUAACUUGAUAAUGGAAAAUAUUGAUGAAGUCGCUGAUAAAUGUUUUGUUGCUUUGAAGGCCAUAGAGAGAGAUAAUUUGAGGGUGGCAAGAGCUUACAAUAAGAAGGUCAAGUUGAAGAAUUUUCAAGUUGGCGAUCUCGUGUGGAAGGUGAUUCUACCAAUUGGUUCGAAAGACAUAAAAUUCGGGAAGUGGUCUCCAAGUUGGGUAGGUCCUUUUAAGAUUACAAGGGUAGUUCCCAGAAACUUAUAUUUAGUGGAAUCCGUACAAAGGACAUUGUUACCUCGAGCUGUCAAUGGCAAAUAUUUGAAGAAGUACCACCCAAGUGUGUGGCAAGAAGCCUAGAUAAUCAAUGGCCGAUAUACGACUAUGGCCCUUAGCAUAAACAUGGCCGAUAUAUAAUUAUCGCACCGAGAAGUAUAAAUGACACAUGGAGUGUUGACAUCGUCCUUAGAAUAAACGCGAUGCAAAUUAUUUUCCGGCAUUCAAGCUCUGCCCAAAACAGAGGAUAAGGGUUGACACCAGAUUUUAGCAUGGUAGGAAAUGCAAUUAAGAUGGUCCCAAAUGGAGAAGUGGUUUACAUUAAAAAAAAGUUCCGUAUUGUCGACACAAACAUCUUCGAUGUUUGGGCCAUCGCCAUCCGAUCUCAUCUCGAAGGCCGAAGUUGUGUUCGAAAUACUGAGAUUUUGUAUCCCGAGCACUGUUCGGCCGAUUACGCCUCAAGGACGGCCUCAAAUGAGAAAACUUUCGACAUGAAUUGACUUCGCUUGGUCGAAACAGUCAAUUUUGAUAUAAAAAUCGUCUCAAUCCAAGGUCGUAUGUAAAAGUUAGUGUCUCCUGAGUCCGGCCCUGUCACGAGCCAAAAGCUACGCGAGUAAUAGUCUAUUUUGCGCGAGCGAUUUGGCACUGAAGAUUAUAUCGAAUCGAAAACUGUUCAACAUGAAAGUUGUUCGUCUCGUCGAAACAGUUAAAUUUGCUUCUUCCGCGAUUUUGAUCCGAGGUCGUUUACUACCCCAAAAAUGACCCGCAAGGUGCAGCCAAUUUUUAGACUGAACAGUUUUGGAAAGUUUGGAUCAUACGAUCCUAAUUGGACUCAAAUUAGGGUUUUGGACAUGAAUUCUAACUUUUCCUUGCACGGGAAGUCCAGCCCCCUCUUAUUUACAUGAGGGGUGAUGACUGCCCCUCCUAGAAAAAACCAGACUGGGAGGACAUUUUUUUCCUGUCCGAAAGCCGUUUCCGCCUCUUGGAAGAAGAAGAAGAAAAAAGAGAAAACACGUUUUUUUUCGUUUCCGAGAGCCUCUCGCGGAAACAAAACAAUGCCGCUCAUGGAAGAAAAACAAAAAAAUGCAUUUUUUCACGAAAGCAAAACCGUGCCUCUCGUGAAAGAAAGAAAAGAGAAAACACAUUUCUUGUCCUUUUCGUGAGGCACGGCAGUGCCUCUCGCGGAAGCAAGACCAUGCCUCUCGCGGAAGCAAAACCGUGCCUCCCGCGGAAGAAAAAUACAGGGAAAACACGAUUUUUUUUCGUUUAUGAGAGGCACGACUGUCUCGCGGAAGCAAAGCCAUGCCUCCCGCCGAAGGAAAACCGUGCCUCUGGUGAAAAGGGAAAAAAAGAAAACGUGUUUUGUCACAGGAAAAAAAUUAAAAAAAAUUGGUCCAAAACCUAGGGAAGACCGGUGAACAACCAAAAAGCCGGAAAAUUAAAAAAAAAAACAUCUAAAAUACCAGAUGGAGGUUGAGAGUGCACCAAGUGACGCGCUCUCGGCCCAUCCACAAAUGACCCUUGGGAAGGGUGGGAACGAGCGCUCUUUAGUAUUAUUUUUUGAGGCAAACCGUUCUUUAAUUAGUUGCUCCGGGGAAGGGGAAUGGAAGACGCAGAUCGGCAACGUGUGGGCUGGGCUUGUGACGUUGGGGUCUCAGAAAAUAUAGCCCAGUUCGAAUUUAGUGGUCUCAGCAAGUAAAACCAGCGCUUAUGUUGGGCCUAAUCACUCACUCCAGGCUGUGGGCCUCGCUAGCAGCCCCAUCUUACCAUUCCCCUCGUUCUCUCUCUCUCUCGCAAAAAAAAACCAUCAUUUCCGUCAAAAAGAAAAGACAUCUACCCGUCUCGCCGCCAAGAGAUCCAGGAACCCCGGGGUCGUUCCAUUGUUUUGCAUAGCGUGUAGAUUAGGUUUUCUCUGUUAGUUUUAUGUGUUCUUAGUGGCGAUGGCUUGACGGUGAAGGCGAGAGUGAUGAUGGUCUCUCGGCUCCAUUCCUGUUCUGAUUAUGCGUUCCCGGCUAAGAAGGCCAUCAAACAUAACAUAAAUGGGGUGCUUUCUUUUCUUCUUACCGAUCUCCUCCUAGUUUACCGGCUCAAGGUGUAUCGGCUCUACAAACAUCUUGUAUCCACCUCACGUCCUGGGAAAUUACUGUCGGUAACUUUCAUCGUAUUGCGAUAACAAUAUUUUCUUUCAAGAACCCGCCUUCCUUGAAUUUCGUACAAAGUUAAUUGUCAAUGUCAUAACUAAUUGCAAGACCAGGUACAGCUCUUCUCUACAGGAAGUUACAGUUUCUAAAUUGCAUGACCCUGUAUCACUUUAUGAAGCAAGCACAUCACCUUCAGCUCCUCAUUUGCAAACUUAGGACCCAUUUGGACCACAUAAAUUUUACAAUAUGUUUGCUGCAUUUCACAAGAAACCAUCGAUUUUGUGAAGAAAGAAUUACAUUGUUUCAUCGCCGUUACAACACAACAUUAAUCAGAUCACCUUAAUACCUCCCACUGCGUUUUUUUUUGGAAAAAUACACAACAUACUGAUUGACCUUAAAGAAUGAAGGAGGCCAUAAGGUCUUGUACAAUGCUAGGUGUUUAGAAAGAUAAACCGGAUUUUACUGAUACACCGGUGCCUAUUUCUACCGGAGAGACGUCUAAUUAAGCGUAUACCCUGUACAAAUAAGUAUCAGUGCUUAAGGAAAGCCUGGUUUAUUUCUCGAAGCACCUCUCCUAAGCACCUUGCAGUGUACAAGGCCGAGAAGAAAGCUCUGACUUCCUAUUGUUGCUGCAUCAGCAGGAAAAGUAGUCUUCAUUUCAAAAAGAAGCUGAAAGUGCUAGAGUGAAAAAUAUCAUAUGUACAGAAGCUGGAUAUAUAUUACCAGCAAGGUGGAGAAGUGGGGAAAAAAAUGCUCAAAUGUGGUUAUCAAUCUUUUGAAAUGCAAGCAAGUAAGCGGAUGGGUGUUUGAGCUAUCUUUGUGUGAUCAGAACAAAUCCAUGUCCAUUAAUUAGUCUUAAUAUCAUCUUCACAGUACCAGGGACUCCCGGAUACUAAGAGUGCUUAAUAAUCUUAUAAUUAGGUGGAGACAUUUUCAUUACCUGCAUACAAAUGCGUACGAAUGAUGAUAUUUUAUAUUUUUUUCUUUGCAACUUCGGAGUGCCCACAAAGUGAAAUAGAAGGUGUAAACAUAACUUCUUUCAACCUCCAGUAAAAGUAACAAUUCUCUCUCCAUGUACCACUCUAUACCAACUUCUUCAAUACCUGUUGACUCUCAUGUUUUUGUUUUCCUUCAAUAUUUCAGACGUUCUAAAGCUCGGUCGAAAUCACUCGAGCUGGUCAACCCUGCCCCCGUGUCGCCCGCAACAGACGAUACGGGGAAAACUUUCGUCGCCGCCGGUAGCCUUCCUCCGCCAGUGCCCCUCCCCCCCCCCCCACAUCGCUGCCGCAGGAGGGUCGGCCAGCGAAGUCGCGCCGCGCUCGGGGAUGGCGGCGGCGGGGCGGUUUCGUACCCUCCCCCCCGAUGCGCUGCCCCAACAACCCCUUCGCCGCCAUCACCUCCCCGCGCCGCUGCUGCCGCGUCGCGCCUGAGGGUGGGGGCGGCAGGGCAGCUUCAUUCCCUUCAUGCUGUAGCUCCUCGUCCCCAACCUCCUCGCCCCCCAGAUCCAAUCUGGUGCGCCGCGGGCUCCCCUACCCUCCAACUGCUACUGUGUUCGUCCUGCCUGUCCGACGAGGUGGCGCGGCCGUGCCCGUCGUGCACCUCCCCAGUCUACCUCUUUCACCUUGCUGGCGCAGCUUCCUUCUUGUUGUUGUUCGCUGGGGCAUGCGAGGACUCGUGUGGAGGUCACGGGCUGGCCAAGGCUCGGUCUUGCCCCGUGUUGCAGACCACCCUUCGUCUCUGAUGGCGUCUCCUUCUAGUUACGGCGGCGACCUCUGCCCGUGUGUGGUCAAGGUGUUGUUUUGGGCAGCGGGAUGAAGCUUCGCGGUGGGUCCUUGCCGACACUGCUCCGGUCCCAGCGGCCAUCGACCAGCGUUCUUCGGCCUCCCUACCGCCGUGAAUUCAGCCCCAACACUCCGGUCGCUGCGUCUCCUUCCGGCAUCUUCGGUUUGCCGGUGUUCUGGUGGUUCCACCUCCGGCAGCUCGGAGUUGUGCUCCCUUCCGCCUCCAGCUUGUCAGCGGCGCCGGUCACCAUCCCACCCUCCAUGCCGGCUUUCUACCAUGCUGCCUUCCCGACCCUGUCGACACCCGCAACAUGUCAUUUCCAAAGCUCGUGUUCUUUCGGCAGCAGGUGCAGCCCCACCACCUCCGUACCGGGAUGGUGGUUGACUAGCGGAUUGUCUUCCUCAUCUUCGGAUCCUGAUUUGGCAGCUAUGGCAUUGCUCAGACUAAGGCCAGGCGAAAUCCAUGCUCUGCUUGCCAAUGUUGGCAGAGGCGACACUCGUGAGUGCUUUGCCAUGGCCUUUAUCCGGGCCCCUCUUCGAGCGCUGGGGGAAACCCUAGGUCCGGUUCUUCGGAUCGGAUGGUGGCGGUGUCACGAUGUCGCACCCCUUCCUGAAGGCGCUAUCUUGUUCGCCCCCGGUGUCCCUGUUUGUUUGAUUUUGAGAUGUUCGACGUCGUGCUUGUUCGGCCUGCCUCUCUGUUUAGGAUUUGUGGGUGUAGUUGUGUCAUUUCCCCUGUUCGGGCUGAGCACCCCUUGUCUCUCUGCUCCGGGUUCCAUGAUCAUGCCUCUUUGGGUUCAUGCCAUGUGUUGUAUCCUCUGUUGUACGCAUUCUCUUUCUUCUAUCAAUAAAGGAUAUGCAAGCUUUGUGUAUUCACAAAAAAAAAGACGUUCUGAAGCUCUGAAGCUAAAGAUGUAAAUAAAUCUGAACUCUCGCACUCACUUUUAAAUCGUGGGGCAGUAUACUCUAAUCUAUCCAGCUCUUCCUGUAAAACAAAUAUACUGUCAGCAUGUGAUUUAUCAUUCAUGAAUCGUUUAUCAUGCCAUUUUUAGAAUGUGACUGGCAAAAUGGUGUGACUGUACAAUUCUACUUUUUUCGAAAAAGAGGAUUACCCCUAGUAUCUACAUAGAGCCAUGCACACAACCAUUUUAUUAUAUUAUUUAACGGAACCAAACGAAACAAAUAUAUGGAUCAAGCCAAAGCCACCUCCCUAGAAACUAUUGUCGUUACACGUACAAGCUUUAAUGGCGUGCCCUGACCACUUAUCAACACACAUCAUAUAUUCCGGUCGCCUCACCAAGAUGCCUGCCGGCAAUUUGAGAGCAUCUACCGGUCUAGCUAGACCCUCUGCACGCACAUCAUGCACACGCUUUAGAUUCAGCCACCGCCAUGUUCCGCGGUCCCACCUUCAAGAGCGAUCAACGUAUUCAUCUCGCUAGGCCAUCUCGACACCAGAUAGCUCCACUAUCCAGCGCGGGCGCCCGUCGCCGACACUCCGCCGUGCCACGCCACCGAGACCCUGUGUCGUCCUUUCGGUAGAUGUAACACCGCUCCUCCACUUGUCUCUUCCAGUCGGCUCCUACUCGAGACAAUGCCCCUAGGAGGGAGAACGGCGCUGAAGGCACCAUCAUCGUCCGAUCCGGGAUACCCAGAACUAGAGUUUCCCCCGGAACAACCCGAGCGUAGUGACACAACUUACAAAUGACGAUGCCUCGAAAAAGGAAACAACGUUAGAGACGCCACCAUCUGCCAUGACCGCAGUUAGCACAAUUUCACCGGAAGUCGCGUCGACAUGGAGACGUAAGCUGUCGCCGGAACGUCGGCAUAGGGCCUCCAGUCGCCCCUGACCUGUCCCUGCACGCAUCGCCUGCCGGCCAAGGCCACGCCAAGAUGGAUCUGGAUGGGACGCUAGUUCCGCGGCCACUGCCGCCACCCAUCACAUGGUCGGCCAGGUCAACGACUAAUCCCACAGCCAUGGACAAACCGGUCGCCGCCGCCAGCCCGGGUCACCACCCUGACCGCACCGGCUGAAGACACAGGUGUCGUCGCGAGAUUGAUACGGUGAACAAGGCCCGAAUCCCUCGUGCUCGACCUUGAUCAGCCACACACAAGCAUCUCUCCACGCUGACGAGGGGUCCACUAUGGGAUCCAUCGCGCCGACUUCCGCCACCGCGCCGCGGGAAUAGACUGCCCUGAUGCUGCCGCCCACUGAGGCGGGCUUCGCCUGUUCGGCCUCCUCCAACAGCGUCCGGCCGUGGGCUGCNNNNNNNNNNNNNNNNNNNNNNNNNNNNNNNNNNNNNNNNNNNNNNNNNNNNNNNNNNNNNNNNNNNNNNNNNNNNNNNNNNNNNNNNNNNNNNNNNNNNNNNNNNNNNNNNNNNNNNNNNNNNNNNNNNNNNNNNNNNNNNNNNNNNNNNNNNNNNNNNNNNNNNNNNNNNNNNNNNNNNNNNNNNNNNNNNNNNNNNNNNNNNNNNNNNNNNNNNNNNNNNNNNNNNNNNNNNNNNNNNNNNNNNNNNNNNNNNNNNNNNNNNNNNNNNNNNNNNNNNNNUUCAGCCUCUCCACUUGUGGGAACAAUAUCCUUGAAUGUUUAGUUUCUCAUAUCUUUACGAAAACGGAGUAAGGGAAAUAUCGUGUGUGGUUGCAGGGAACUCACAUCAAAUGAUUGGGAGAUGUUCAUAAAUCAGUGAUAAUAGCCUUUGCAAACAGGCUAAUCCCAAAUGAUUCAAUGAAACCAACCUUCAUGUACUCAAUGAACGUAUUAUGCAUGUUAUGCUAGUUCAAGUCAUACUAAAUAUCACUUGUCUGGCAAAUAACAACAGCGUUCUCUGAAACCAUUGCAUCAUGAGAGAAUUGUGUGAAAUGGAAAUUGACACGAUUUAAAUUUUCAGGUUCCUUUCCUGGUGAGCCUAUCAUAGUAAAGAAACCUGGAAGAAAACAUUGGAGAAAGGAAUUCACAAAAUGCGGAAUUAUUAAUACUAAAUGACUGUUGAUGUUCAAAUGCAUGUCAGUUCUAAAUAAAUAAAUGAUUUUCUUCUUCUUUCUGCUCUUCAAUGUUUUCUUCCCUUACAAGAUUCUAGCAGUCUUAACACCAUUAUGGCCACAGAAAAAAAAAACAUCUAUCCCAUUUGUUACACGAGCUAAAAAUAAAAAUAGCACAUGAGCAUGGGCUGCAGAAAUGCACAUUCUUACUUCUAAGAAUAAUGUCAUCAAGAGAAGCAAAAGGCUGGUUUUUUGUGACAAUAAUUUAUUCAAUGAAAAGAGUGAGCCCGGGUUGCACGAAAUAUGAGUUUAUCUAUUUUUCUUCCAACAAAAUAUCUGGUCUACCAUCACUGCACCUUCGAACAUCAGAGUGCACACAGAACAAGAAAUAAAGAAGCAAAAGGGCCCUUGCGUAACUCAUGUAUUUUCAAACAAUGCUACAGAAAAUAUCCCUUAUACUCCCUCCGUCUAGGUUUGUAAGUCAUCUUACGAAAACAAAAUAAUCCCAAAACACUUAGGCGCGGUGCGUUAACUUCUACCUCGUUUCUUGUUUCUUGACAUAUCAACCAAUAAGAGAUAUGGGUGUGCAUGCUUUUAAUGACUUGAGACUACCAAACACGACAUGCAGUGGUUAGUUCAUUGCAUGCAAUGCUAUUAAUUAGCAAAAAACAUUAAGUUCUCUCGUUUUCCCUCCUCCUUGGUCACGGUGCACAACAUAAGAUGACUUAUUCACUUAGACGGAGGGAGUAUCAUGGAUUUGCGCCUGCAUCAAUUGUUUCCGAGUGCUGUCAAAGAGAAAAAUUUACUAAGAUUUCCAUUGUCAAACUGUGAUGUCCGACUAGUGUUGGUGGAAGAAUCACAUAUUGGAGAGGAUAAUUUGGAGUAGGGGAUGAGAAGAAGUUGAAGAACAGAUGAAGAGGGUGAGAUGUAGAACAGAGUAGGUGAGAGUUCAAACAAUUCUCAUUUCAUCGAUAAGUUACGGCACAUGUCUGAUUCACUUGCCCCUUUUAAACACAUAGGCACUCUCUUACAAGUGGGCCCUCAAAUCCACACGCCCAGUGCACUAGAUGAUCUUCCUAUGGCUCACUCCUAAGUUGUCUCUCUCUAGUUGUUGGGCCCUUCGUCCUCCAUAUCCUAGUCCUCCUCAUUCCACUGGACUGGGAUCUUGAUUUCCGUCGAGGGUGUGGUAGAGAGCAGAUGCAUGACACAAUCUUUGUUCCAUUACGCUUCCUCAAAGUCGCCAUUUUAGACAUUGUCAUGUCUACAACACACAAUUAGACGCUUGGUGACCUGUUGCUUCAAAAAUAUAUUUUGAAAUCAUGUGCCUAGAGGUGUUUUGAAUGUAUGGCUACAAAUGUCACUGAGGUUCCUAGUUCCUGUUCCAUCAGCAUACCCUGCCGAAGUGGUAAUCUGACUUCAAGUGGAAUAAGCAAGACAGGAGAAAGAAUUAAGGUGGUAUUCAGCUCGUUUUCCCCUCACCUUUUUGACUCUCACAUUUUUGUUUUCCUCCCAUAUCUUAGAUGGGGUGAAGCUAUAUGCAUAAACAAAUAUGAAUUCAUAUCACACUCACCUCGACAUCUCAGUAGUACAACACAGGGCUUUCGUCACAGGGCAAUUUUCACAUUAGUCCCGGUUCAGUCACGAACCGGGACUAAUGUGAGCAUUGGUCCCGGUUCGUGCGGCUAAGGCAUUAGUCCCGGUUCACCUGGGCCCUUUAGUCCCGGUUGGUGCCACGAACCGGGACUAAAGGGUGCGAUGCCCAUUAGUACCGGUUGGUGGCACCAACCGGGACUAAAGGUCUAACCUUUAGUACCGGUUGGUGCCACCAACCGAUACUAAUGCGCUUUGAGGCAUUAGUACCGGUUCAUGGCACGAACCGGUACUAAAGGGCCCAUUUUCAAACUCUACCCCCCCUGGUGGACCGCCUUUUCAGUUUUAGGAAAAACAAAAGAAAAUGAUGGAAAUGUCAAAAAAAUAAAAUAAAAUAAGUUUCCCAUGUGAUAUGUGGUCUAGUUGUUGGGAAAAUUAACAAAUAUGAAUUUCGACUUUAUUUGCAAAAUCUCUCUGAAAUUUCUUAAAAUGGGCAUAACUUUUGCAUACGAACUCGGAUGAAAAAGUUUUUUAUAUGAAAAAUCAUCUACUCAAAAUCCUCAAAAACCUAACAGAAAAAAAGAUACGGGACUUUUAAGAUCUGGAGAGGCAAAAAAAUUCAAAAAAUUUCAAUUUGUGGUCAAACUGUGGUCAAACAAUAGUCAAACUAAUUAUUCUAGAAUAUUAGUGUUACUAAAUAAUUAUUUCAGUUUUUUUGAAUUUUGGUCAAAUCUGGUCAAACUGUGGUUAAACAGUGGUCAAACAAUGGUCAAACUAAUUAUUCCAGAAAUAUUAGUGUUACUAAAUAAUUAUUGUUUUUAAAAAUAAUAGUUUCAAACUCAAACAGUGAAAUAUGUCACUUCAUGCUCAAGCUAAAUUCCUGAGGGUUAAUAAAAUUGACAUCUUACUAUUGUCAGGAAAACAACAAGUGCAGACUUGGAAACGAGGGAGAAUAGAACCCAGAAGUUAAGCGUGCUCAGGCUGGAGUAGUGAGAGGAUGGGUGACCGUCCGGGAAGUUAGAUGAUUUGAAAUGAUGAGGGGUGAUUAGAGAUUAGAGGAUAAAUUGAGCAGUGAUGAGGGGUGGUGAUUAGAGAUUAGAGGUUAAAAUAAUUCAGAAAUUUGAAAAUCAAAAAAAAAGUUCGCAAAUUUUUUUUUCAAAAAAAAUAUAUCAUAAAAUUCUGCGUCCACGUGGACGGCCUUUAGUCCCGGUUCGUGUCUAAAGGCUUGGGUAUAUAUAGACCUUCUACACGUCUCCAAUCUCUAGUAGCUCUUCAUAUGAUAAAAAUAUAUUGUGAGUAUGGGAUAUGUGUUGAGAAGGCCAUUCAGGAAUCGUUUAUCAUGUGAGUAGACUGCAAAAUGACAUAACCAUUCCACGAGCAUGCUUAAGUUUGAAAACUCUUUCCCGGGAAGUAUCCUAUGUGAUUGAAUGUAACUCAUAAUUAUUAAAGAAUGUAUAGAAGUUUCUAAACGAGCGAGUGGUUGAAUGUCAAAUGCAUCUGAUACUCGGCGAAGACUUAUGUUUGCCAAAUUCGGUACUCGGCAAAGUUUCGCCGUGUUUAUUAUGGGCUCUGCCAAGUUUCUAAGAAGACAAUCCGGGUAGUGAUGGAUGCCUGAUCUUUAACAUGGAAUGUCUGUAUACAUAGUCCUCAAUGUGGGGCAUAAUGUAGUAGCCGGACAAGACGCUUGAUUAAUCUGGUUCUUCUCUACAAUAGAAACUCGCCUUGUACAUGAACAUAUUUUGUUUUGGGUAUAUAUAGACCUUCUACACGUCUCCAAUCUCUAGUAGCUCUUCAUAUGAUAAAAAUAUAUUGUGAGUAUGGGAUAUGUGUUGAGAAGGCCAUUCAGGAAUCGUUUAUCAUGUGAGUAGACUGCAAAAUGACAUAACCAUUCCACGAGCAUGCUUAAGUUUGAAAACUCUUUCCCGGGAAGUAUCCUAUGUGAUUGAAUGUAACUCAUAAUUAUUAAAGAAUGUAUAGAAGUUUCUAAACGAGCGAGUGGUUGAAUGUCAAAUGCAUCUGAUACUCGGCGAAGACUUAUGUUUGCCAAAUUCGGUACUCGGCAAAGUUUCGCCGUGUUUAUUAUGGGCUCUGCCAAGUUUCUAAGAAGACAAUCCGGGUAGUGAUGGAUGCCUGAUCUUUAACAUGGAAUGUCUGUAUACAUAGUCCUCAAUGUGGGGCAUAAUGUAGUAGCCGGACAAGACGCUUGAUUAAUCUGGUUCUUCUCUACAAUAGAAACUCGCCUUGUACAUGAACAUAUUUUGUUUUGUGGAACUUCCUCCGGAUUAAAAAUACUUGAAGAUAGCAACAUAAUUGAUGAACUAAAAAAUGGUACUCUGGUAGCAAUGGGAUAAAACAAUAUUAUGCCUUUCUUUCAUUAGUUAACUAAAAAUUUGUGCUGCAGUAGUAACGGGAUAAAACAAUAUAAGUAGAAACAAUUUUGAUAAGCAAUAACAUUUCCUUUUGCUAGGGCAACGCUAUAGGUAACUCCUACAAACUAUUUCUCCUAGGUGUUGAUUAAUAAAUUAGCCAUAUGCAAAAUUAAACUGCAGUGGAUUAGUAAUACACGGUUGAAGUCAACACUUCCGGUUAAUCUUAUAAAAUCUAGCCUCUUUAGUCUCCAAUCUCACAUUGAGACAUGGUUAAUAGUUGUUGGUAUAUCUAAAUCCUAUGGGAGGACAUCCUCUUAUUCUCAGACACAUGAGCCCAAGUAUCUCCACAAAAAGUUCACCAGACAUACAUAUCAUGUCCUUUCAUAGCCAUCCAAAAAAAGGAAGGUGCUAUGAUGUAGUGCAACAUUGAUGGAAUAAUACCAAAAAAUGUAAAAAGGGUGUUUCAUUCUCAAAAAUAACUUUGGAAGUAUAUCGGUGAACCAUCUAAACAGGAACAUACUAGUAAAUUUGUUGAGGAAAUUGUUAACUGGUAGCAGCUUGGUUGGCUAGGGAGUAGGGGAUUAAUAGGGUGAUCGGCAAGUUUAUUGGCCUAUUAAGCAAUUAAACGGAGGAUUUAUCAGUUUAUUGGCUACAUGGUGACCUUACAAGUAGGGAUUAAUUCCCAAGUUAACUGGUUAAUCAGACGAAUUCUUCAACAGGACCAGUAAUCAUGCUAAUAUGGUACAUGAUAAUCUCUUAUGGUUGAAUGAAUAUGAGUAAUGUCUGUAGCUAUCUUUAACAGUAUUUUAUUGAGUACCUAAAUAUGUAAAGUUCAGUAGUUUGUACUAUCAUGUUAUUGCACAAAAAAAAAGGAAAUCUCUCAUUCCAAUUUUUUUAGCUAAACUAAACAAAAGAUACUAGCAUGUUGCUCAGGAGAUAGGAAUGGUAGCAGGGGUAGAUAGCCAACAAAAACAUUAUGUUAUUACAGUGUGAAUAAUAAAUAAGAUUAUUUGGAUCAUAUGAAGGAUAAAGCCAUCAAUCUCGCCCAUGUGCAAUAAUUUUAAUUUGUCUUUGUGUAGUAUAUAUUGUUGAUUAAUCAUUCGUGAUGAGAUAUGCACCUUCAUAUGGUUUAACAAAUAGAAGAUGGGUGGCGCCAGAAUAAUUUUUCUGACCGUGCAAAGAUAGAGAUCUGCAUUGCUCUCAUCAAUGACCUGCAACGAUUCAUGCAUGCUUCUACUAUGAUCCUUGAGCCUAUCAAAAUUAAUUGCUAUAAUCUUGACUGACCGAGCUACUGAUAUGUGGGCGUCUUGAUGAGUAUGGCGAAUUCUCUUUUAUCUUGGUGGUUGUUCAUUUCAUAGACAUCUCAAUAUAUUGUUUAUUUGGAUGGUUUUGUCUCCUCCUUUAUUUUGGGGUUAUUUUUACAAAGAGAAGUCUAGUUUUCUCCCUAACAAUUUCACAUGGAGAAGUGUCACUCAUAUUUAUUUCAAUCACAUUUACCUCUUGACCUUAAUAUUCACUCACAUUUACCUCCUGACCUUUUGGUUUUGGUUUAAUUUUUCCAUUAAAAUUUCACAAAUGAUAGAAUCCUCCCUGGAAGUUUUAAGAAAAAAAAAAUCUAGUAAAGGCAUAUGUAAUUUUUUUGUAAAGGAGAAUGUAUUAAUAUCAAGCAGAUACCAAUUAUUCCCAGACUCUGCAACAACAAGAUGCCUAAAAACAUCCAGGAUGCACACAGCUAAAAAUUAAAAUAAAAAGGGAAGAAAAAAUGAGAAAAAAUAUCCCGCCACGGUGAUCAAUCACCCGAUGUAGCCGCACUCUAACCACCACCAAAGAUGUCACCCGGACUACAAAAUAGGUUCUCCAAAAGCAAUGCCUCUAGAAAGGAAACAAAACACAAGCAUUGUCGUUGCCCGAUCAAAGAUAUUACGUUUUCACCCUGGAGAAAGAUCAGGUUCCCAACAAUAAUGCCUUCAACAAGACUACCGCCAGGCACAACCAAUAAAGGCCAGACCUUGGGUUUUCACCUUGGAAAUCCUGAUUGGGUACUCAAAGGAGCACCGAAUAACAAAGAAGUCCUCCAAUGCCGCCACCCCCACUUGCGGAGGCUAAUACUGCAAGUCACGCACCAUUAGGCUCACAGGAAUUCACAUCCCGCCUGGACGGGAACAUAUCCUGUAAGCCAUGUCUAAACAACUGCCUAUGAAGCAAAGUCUUCAUCGCAUCCAAGACCUCGCAUUCGCCACUUGCAAGUCCUUCAAUCACGCCAUGGCAUUCUCCGUAUGUGUUGAUCCCAUGGAAAUCUUGGUGCAGACAUGUCCCAAGGUGCCAACAAAAACAGAGCUUCACGAUACCCCGGUAAACCUGGUUAUGCUGAUGUUGCGGGUGCGCACGACAGGCCCCUAUCUAGUCAAGGUGUCCAAAGAGCGCCAUAUGUGCCAGUCCUUUUUUUCCUUCAAAGGAGAAGUCCGGAAAUCGCAGAUGGCCAGAUUGAAGAUCUCAGGUUCUCAAUUGCAUGAGCUUGUGAGCAACGAGAAUGAGCAAGACCGAACAAGGGGAAACCAUCCAAGGACGGGAACACCGUGUGCACAAUAUAUAGGAUCCAAUUUGCACCAGCAAUGUUUAUACAGGAAUAACCAAAAUGUGAGUGUUGCCACGUACAUGUAUUUACUACUGCAGAUAGUUUUCUUUAUUGCACAGGUAUAAAACUUGUUCUUAAUUUUAAUCAAUUCUCUUGCACAAAUUUAUCCACAGAGAGCACAUAUAUGAUUUAUCUAACACUAUGUUUUCAAUAUCACAAGAUAAAAUCUUGUCUUUACAGAGCAAAAUUAUACACCGAUAAAAAUGUGUUGUCUGCCUGCAUGAAAUUACAUAUGCUAUGCAAAACUCUUUACUUCGUAUCGUCAUGAUCAUCCACAAUAUUAAAAUUGUAAAUAAACAAAAAAAGAGGUGCCGGCAAAUAGUUUUGGAUAGAGUAGUUUGGCACAAUAUAUAUGUUAUCCCUGAAAAUAUAACGUCUUCCUGGAUCACACUGUAGCUUCGUGAUAGUUUUGACGGCUAUGAUAACAAAAGCUGCCGACACAUGGCUCUGGAAAUAGUUAUGGCUGUAGGGGUAAAUAUAAUAGCUGACAGCUCUAAAAAAUAUUCCCGCAAAAGAAGGCAGCUCUAAAAAACAAGCCGACAAAAGAAUCAUGAAGCUACAGUGUGAAUUAUACUCUCUCCAUUCACAUUAUUAUGGGAAAACGAAUUGUGCGAGUACAGUCUGCCAAAAUGAGUGGUCGUCCAUGCACCUUGUUUAGGGGCAACUUUAUUUUAAUGUGUCUUUUUGUAGUAUAUAGUGUUGAUUAAUCGUCCGUGAUGAGAUCUGUGCCUUUGUGUGAUAUAACAAAUAGAAGAUAUAUGGCGCCAGACUAAUUUUUCCAUCCGUACGUGCAAAGAUGAGAUAUGAAUGCAUUGCUCUCAUGAAUGACCUGCAACGAUAGACAUAUGCAUUCAUACAUGCUUCUGCUGUGAUCCACGAGCCCGUCAAAAUUAAUUGCUAUGCAGUGGCUUAACUACUCAGAUGAACGUGGGCGUCUUAAUGAGUAUGGUGACUUCUCUCUUAUGUUGGUGGUUGUUCGUUUCAUAAACAUUUCGAUAUAUUGUUUAUUUGGAUGGUUCUGCUUCCUCCUUUAUUUUGGGGUUGUUUUUACAGUGAAAAUUCAAGUUUUUUCACUAACAUAUUCGCAUGGAGAAGUGUCACUCAUAUUUAUUUUCACUGACAUUUACCUCCUGACAUUUAUUUUCACUCACAUUUAACUCCCGGCCUUUUGGUUUUGGUUUAGUUUUCCCAUUCAAAUUUCAUAAAUCAUAGAAUUUUCUAUCGAAGUUUCAAGAUUUGUUUUUCUAAAAAAGGUACAUGUAUGCACUAUAUAUUAGAUCUAAUUUGUACCAGUAAUGUUACCAGCUACAUGAAUUUACUGCUGCAGAUAGUUUUUUUUUGUAUUGCAUAUGUAUAAAUCUUGUCCUUAAUUUUACUCAUUUCUCUUGCACAAAGUUAGCUUCAUAGUGCACAUGUAUGAUUUACCUAAUAUUAUUAUUUCAAUAUUCCAAAAUAUAAUUUUGUCUUAACAGAGUGAAAUAAUACACCAAUAAAAAAACAUUGUCUGUAUGCAUGAAAUUACAUAUGCUAUGCAAAACUCUUUAGUAUGUAUCGUCAUGAUCAUCCACAAUAUGAAAAAAUAGUAAAGAAACAAACAAGAGGAGCAGACACAUGGUUUUGGAUAGAGCAGUUUAGCACAAUAUAUUUUAUCCCUGUUUAUAUAACGUCUUCAUUGCUCACACUGUAGCUUCGUGAUAGUUUUAUUGGCUAUGAUAACAGAAGCUGCUGACACAUGGUUCUGGAAACAGAUAUAACAGCAGGUGUAAAUAUAAUAGCCGCAGCUCUAAAAAAUAAGCUGACAAAAGAAUCAUGAAGCUACAGUGAACUAUACUCCAUCCUCCCUUGUCUAGGGGCAACUUAAUUCGCUUUGCGAAGGAUAAUGCAUCCAUGGCAAACAGUUUCAGGGUUGUCAGAAUAAGAAAUCUUAUGCCUCCCGAUCAAGAUCUAGACAGAUUUUCAGGGCAUGGUGUGGCCGUCCAACUACCUGAUAAAAAAAAAGAUAAUGAAAAGGGCCCACAGCAUCAAACCAAUGACAGAUAUGUUCAGUUUCGAAUCUCUUAAUAUUUAGUUUGAAAGCUGCAGAUUUUCAGGUUGUGAGAGCCGAAACUCUUGGACCAAGCCAUAUGUUCAGUUUCGAAUCUGACCUAGUAGCGUCCUGGAACUAGUUAUCAUCGAUUGGCUGCCAAACUCCCCCAAGAAACUCCGCACACAUCUCUGCAAUCGAACCAGGGCAAAUUAAUUUAGCGAAGGGAACUCACAACGCAGUGUCUCUUGACACAUCAUCCUAUUUAGUGAAAACUAUUUAGAGACAAUGACCCCUAUUCAUUAUAUACUCAACACGUCUCUUAAUAUUUAAAGUAUCUUAUAAAUGUCGUAUCUAAAUGAUAUUCCAUUUAAUUAGUUUAUGGACCUUUUUUGCAUGUCAACAUUGUGGCCUACUCCAGUUGUGAAGACAAAAAUUGUGAGAUAAACCACAAAGGCUCAAAGCGUUAGUCACUAUACGCAGAAAAACAAGUUAAUUAAGAGCCAUAUCUACACUAAAUAGAACAUAGGGAAGCUCAUCGAUCCAUCACCGGCCACACUUCUUGAGUUAGGCGAAUGUUCUCUUUUGGAGACCAUUGAGGACAUGCGCAUUUCAUCGCUCCAUCUGCCUGUCACUACAAGGGAUAAGGCUACACUAGUAGAAAACAGGGUUUUGGUUCGGCCAGAAAAGAGCAUUAAUCCCGGUUGCAUUACGAACCGGGACUAAUGUGAGCAUUAGUCCAGGUUCGAGCGGCUAGGGCACCGUACAUGCAUUAGUCCCGGUUCAAAUGGGACCUUUAGUCCCGGUUGGUGCCACGAACCGGGACUAAAGGGUGCGAUGCCCAUUAGUACCGGUUCGUGGCAUCAACCAGUACUAAAGGUUAGAUCUUUAGUCCCGGUUCGAGCCACCAACCAGUACUAAUGGGGUUUGAGGCAUUAGUACCGGUUCAUGGCACGCCUUUUCAGUUUUGUAAAAAGCAAAAGAAAAUGAUAAAAACUUCAAAAAUUAAAAUCCUUCCAGAUGUAGUUAUGUUACUACAUGUCCUAGUUAGGAAAAUUUAAAAACUUCAAUUUGGACAUGUUUCGCAAAAAGUGUAGGGAAAAUGUAAAACGGCUAUAACUUUUGCAUACGAUGUCAGAAAAAACGUAUAAUAUAUCGAAAUGUUCAGCACGAAAAUCCGCAUCCGAUUUUGACAGCCUACGGCCUGUUUGUAAAUUUUUAGAAUCCUCAAAUUCUAAAAGGGAAAAAAGUUAUGCUAUUUCUGUUUUUUUAAUUUUUGUUAAAUCUGGUCAAACUAUGGUCAAACUACUUAUUCAAGAAGUAUUAGUGUUACUAAAUAAUUAUUCAAGAAUAUUAGUGUUACUAAAUAAUUAUUUCAGUUUUUUUGAAUUUUGGUCAAAUCUGGUCAAACUGUGGUCAAACAAUGGUCAAACUAAUUAUUCAAGAAAUAUUAGUGUUAGUAAAUAAUUAUUUCAGUUUUUUUGAAUUUUGGUCAAAUCUGGUCAAACUGUGGUCAAACUACUUAUUCAAGAAAUAUUAGUGUUACUAAAUAAUUAUUGUUUUUUAGAACAAUAGUUUCAAACUCAAACAGUGAAAUGUGUGACUUCAUGCUCAAGCUAAAUUCCUGAGGGUUAAUAGGAUUGACAUCUUACUAUUGUCAGGAAAACAACAAGUGCAGACUUGGAAACGAGGAAGAAUAUAACCCGGAAGUUAAGCGUGCUCAGGCUGGAGUAGUGAGAGGAUGGGUGACCGUUCGGGAAGUUAGAUGAUUUGGAAUGAUGAGGGGUGAUUAGAGAUUAGAGGUUAAAUUGAGCAGUGAUGAGGGGUGAUUAGAGAUUAGAGGUUAAAAUAAUUCAGAAAUUUGCAAAUCAAAAAAAAAAAUUUAAAAAAAAAAUCAUAAAAUUUCCUUCAGUACCGGUUGGUGUUACCAACCGGGACUAAAGGUGGACCUCACGUGGAGGGCCUUUAGUCCCGGUUCGUGUAAGAACCAGGACUAAAGGGGGAGGCUUUAGUAACGACCCUUUAGUCCCGGUUCCAGAACCGGGACUGAAGGCCCUUAUGAAGCGGGACUAAAAGCCCUUUUUCUACUAGUGCUAGUAGUGGCGCGGUUUAAAGGCAUAGGAGUAGCGCGGGUUGCCUCUCUACUUACAUUAGCAACUAUAUAAAAACUCAUCAUCAUCAUCAUCAUCAUCAUCAUCAUCAUCAUCAUGUAACAACUCAUCAGCGCGUAGCUAACUGGUUCCUAGUAAGACGGGCCAGGCUCGGCUCUAAUACUACUUACAUUAGUAGCAGCGCGGUGUUUGGCCCGUGCUACUAAUAACUAGCUAUAGCGCGAGGCCCCCCGCCACUACUAACUCUAUGUAUUUCCUUUCUACAUAUUAUACUAUAUUAUACAAUAAUUAUACAGAUUUUUAUACACUAGCAACUAUAUAACAACUCAUCAUCAUCAUCAUCAUCAUGUAACAAAUCAUCAUUAUCAAAAUGAUAUAACUCAUCAUCAUCGUAGUGAUAUAACAGCUCAUCAUGAUCAUAAUUAUAUAAAAAUGUCUCAUCAUCAUCGUCAUCAUCACCAUCAGCAUCAUCAUAAGUUAACCACUACUAGCUAAUUGUCAUCAUCCUAGGUAAGUAACUUUCAAGCACAUGACAAGUACUAUGACCUACUCUAGUGUCUUAGGUAAAAUAGAAUAAAACAGAAAAAAUAACUACAUCUCCAUGAUGGACCACAGAGAUCCCCGGUCUCCAAUUUGUUGCCCGCGCUCAUUGACUAUUUGCCUCCAUCAUUCAAUUUUGAGGCAUCCAUUUGAUUAACACUCAGUCAAGUAUGUAUAUUUGAAUCCGAUCUUCAAAGGGCAAAUAAUAGUCAUCUCACUUUUGACGUCCAUCAGCAGAGGCACAACAACAUUUGGGACCUUCCGCUGAAGUACAUAAUAGUAACAUAGUCGAAAUAUGCAGAUAUAGCAAGAAUGAUCCUAAUUUAUUUAGGCAUCACUACCAGUUUGCCCUCAAUGCCUCGAGCGCCAUCUGGCAGAUCAACCAAGUUCCAAACUUGAUUGUCAUCCAUGGACUUUAAUUCGGAUCUCAUGGUCUUAAGCCAUAACUCAGAAUCAGGGCUCUCCGUCGCUUCUGCAUACAUUGCCGACUCGUUGUUCUCCAAGAACAACACAUUGCAGUUAUGCAUAUUGCGCAACCUUUCCGACCUCUGUGGAAUCAGCGUCGACUCCACUAUGGGUUCCUUGACUAACUCCAUGUGGUUCUCGAAUUUCCUCUAGUCGGAUCAUCCUCCCACUAGCCUUCCGAUUGAGAAACUCUUUCUCAAGGAAAACUCCAUGUCGAGCGACAAACACUUUGCCCUCUUCACAGAUGUAGGAGUAAUAUCCCAAGGUUUCCCUUGGAUACCCCAUGAAUAUGCACUUGUCCGAUUUGGGUGUGCGCUUGUCUGACUGGAGUCGCUUGACGUAUGAUUCACAACCCCAAAUUUUUAGAGAAGACAAAGUUUGGCUCUUCGCAGUCCAUAUCUCAUAUGACGUCUUAUCUACAAACUUGGAUGGUACCCUAUUUAGUGUGAAAGCUGCAGUUUCUAGAGCGUAUCGCCAAAAUAACAAGGGUAAAUCCGACUGACUCGUCAUUGAUUGGGCCAUGUCUAACAGAGUCUGAUUCCUUCGUUCCAACACGCCAUUUCUCUGUGGCAUACCCCGAGGAGUCAGUUGUGGAACUAUCCUACGACUCUUCAGAUAAUCAUCAAACUCCUGGCUCAUAUACUCAUUCGCCACGAUCAGAUCGCAGAAGUUUGAUUCUCUUGUCGAGUUGAUUCUCCACUUCAUUCUGAAACUCCUUGAACUUUUCAAAAGUUUCUAACUUGUGCCUCAUCAAGUAGACAUAUCCAAAUCUACUCAAGUUAUCUGUAAACGUCAUGAAGUAUUGGAAACCACCUCUAGCUGGACUUGUUUUACCAUUGUUGAAAUGUCUUGUGCAUCGGGAUUCCGAGUCUGAUCGGAGGGUCUCGAGAUGGAGGAUUGUCUCUGCGGAUCGUGAGCUUGUCAUGGGCAAAGUUGGGACACCCCUGCAGGGUUUAAACUUUCGAGAGCCAUGCCCGCGGUUAUGUGGCAGAUGGGAAUUUGUUAAUAUCUGGUUGUAGAGGACUUGAACUAAACUCAAUUAAAAUACACCAACCGCGGGUGUAACCGUGACUGUCUCUUUCCAGGUGCGUUCGAGAAGAGAAUACGGUUGGGUUAUGUUUGAACGUAAGUGGUUUAGGAUCACUUCUUGAUCACUAUUAGUUUGCGACCGUUGUGUAGAUUCUCUUCUUACUUUUGUACUCGUAAGUUAGCCACCAUACAAAUGCUUAGUGCUUGCUGCAGCUUCACCACUAUCCAUUCCAUACCCAUUAAGCUUUGCUAGUCUUCAUACCCAUGGUAAUGGGAUUGCUGAGUCCUCGUGGCUCACAGAUGACUACAACAAUAGUUGUAGGUACAGGUAAUGCAAUGAUCUGACGUGAGAGCGAUGCUUGAUUGCUUUUGGAGUUCUUCUUCUUCUUCGAUCAAGGGAUUAGGUUCCGGGUCGGGGAGCCUGGGAUUAGUGGGGUGGAUAUUAUUCUUCUUUUUUGUUUGAUUUCAUCCGUAGUCGGAUCCUGCCCUUCUGUGUGCGCUCGAAAUGCGGUUGGAACAGACGAUCGCUAGACAGCGCGCCCGCAUUGCCACCCUCAAAGACGGUGAUGCCAGCUCUGCCUUCUUUCACCGGCAGUGCUCGUUUCAAUGACAGAAAAACCGCAUCUUCUGCCUCUCUGCGAACGGCACGCUACUCACAGACCAUGACGAGAUGGCCGAGGCUGCAUUCCGGCACUAUGACACACUGCUUGGCACGGCGGUCGAACACGACCACUCGAUGGACCUGUCGCAGCUCAUCGAGGGGAGCGAUCUCUCCGACCUUGACGCGACCUUUUGCCCGGAGGAGAGAUGGGAAGCUGUGAAACGCCUCCCCGCGCACAAGGCAGCUGAGCCUGAUGGCUUUAGCGCUGAAUUUCUCCGCGUGUGCCGGAGCAUCAUCAAGCAGGACUUCAUGGAUGUGUUCCAGUAGCUCUUCGAGCUGCGUGGCCGUGGCUUCUGCAAGGUCAACCAGGCCCUUCUCACGCUGCUGCCGAAGCCCAGGAGGUGCGCAACUACCGCCCGAUAUGCCUCAUUCAUAUCGUGGCCAAGGUACUCGCGAAGGCCCUCUCGCUCCGGCUAGCUCCAAAACUUGACCGCUUUGUCAGCCGCAAUCAAAACGCGUUCAUCCUCGGACGGAGCCUACACGACAACUUUAUGCUCGUCAGGCAAUCGGUCAAGCUGCUGAGCCAACUUGGGGGCCCCAGGGUGAUGCUCAAGCUCGACCUCACGCGCGCUUUUGACUCCAUCUCCUGGCCGUUCCUCUUUGAGGUUCUGCGCCAAUUUGGGUUCGGGAAUCGCUUCCUCGAAUGGAUCGCCAUCCUCCUGUCCUCGGCAAGCACUCGGGUGUAGUUGAUUGGUGUCCCAGGCCCACUGAUAUGGCAUAAGGGAGGGCUGCGGCAGGGGGGACUCCUUGUCCCCGCAGCUGUUCGUGCUCGCGGUCGACACUCUCGGCCGGCUGAUUCGGCGCGCCCAUGAUACGGGCAUCCUCCAGCCGCUGCAUCUGCGGAGGCCGAUACCGGCUAUAUCCCUAUACGCCGACGACGUCAUGCUCUUUUGCCAUGCCACGGAGAGUGACGUGACUGUCGUCAAGGAAAUCCUUGACCUGUUUGGUAGAGCGUCCAGCCUCAAGGUGAACUACACCAAGAGCUCGGCCACGGUCUUGCAUCGGGAAUAGGUUGCCUCCGAGAUGAUCACCAGCUUGGGGUGUUCGACUGCCGCGCUCCCGGUCACCUACCUCGGUAUACCUCUGACGAUGCGCCGCCCUUCCGCCGGGCAGUUGCAGCCCCUUGUCGACAAGGUCACCGGACGCUUGCCCACCUGGAAAGCAUGGCUCAUGAACAGAGCCGGCAGGCUCGCCCUCGUCAAGUUCUUCCUUUGCACUAUCCCGGUGCACCAGCGGGUUGCAUUUGCCCCCUCGAAGAAAAGACUGCAGCAACUCGAGAAAAUUCAACGAGGGUUCCUCUGGGCCGGGCGAGCCAUCACCAACGGCGGGCACUGCCAUGUGAACUGGCAUCAUGCUUCCCGCCCGCUCGCGCUUGGCAGCCUUGGGGUUCGUGAUGUCGAGCGCGUUGGACUCGCGCUCAGGCUGCGGUGGCUCUGGCUCUCGCGAACGGACGAAGGGCGCGCCUGGCAGGGGCUGGACCUCCAAUUUUCUAGCAACGAGCGUACACUGUUCUUUGCCUCCACCUACAUGACCAUUGGAAAUGGCAUGAACGCCCUGUUCUGGGAGGAUCGAUGGCUCAACGGGCACUCGGUUGGCGAGCUCAUGCCCCUGUUCUACAGCUGCAUCCCCAAACGCCGGCGCAAAGCUAGAACGGUGGCCGAAGGUCUCAACUGCAACGCAUUGGCCCAUGACAUCCAGGGCGUCCUCGUCAUCCACGAGAUAGGCCAGUAUCUACAGCUUUGGCAACUCACGGAACAGGCUAUGCUCAGCGAUGCUCCUGACCAGCUGAUCUGUAAGCAGACUGCGAGCGGCAUCUAUUCGGCGCAGUCUUGCUACGCGGCUACCUUCCAAGGAUCAGUGCACUCCUACUCUUGGAAGUUGAUCUGGAAGGCUUGGGCUCCCCCUCGACUCAAGUUUUUCCAUUGGCUUGCCAACCUGGAUCGCUGCUGGACUGCCGAUCGACUGGCCUGCCAAAGACUGCAGCAUCAUCUGUGCUGCCUUCUUUGCGAUCAGGCGCCGGAAAUGAUCCGGCACCUCAUGCUUGACUGCCCCUUCUCUAGGCAGGCAUGGCAUGAGACCCUGGCCUGGCUACGCAUACCGGCGUCGAUCCCCAACCAGGAGCCCACCCUCAUGGACUGGUGGCGGCACGCCGCAAGCACAACGCAAGGCCCUGCAAUCCGUAGUGCUACUCGUACCAUGGCUCGUCUGGAAGCAUAUGAACAGCCACGUCUUCGACAGCGCGACGCCCUCCCUAGGCACGCUAGUCGACCGGAUCAAGGAGGAAGCCGACUCCUGGGCUAAGGCCGGAGCAGUAGGCCUUAGAGUAGUCCUACCCCCUUUAUGGGACGUGCACUGAGCAUUGUAUCUGAUCCUUCAUUAUUCAUCCUAGGACGACUGUAACUGACUCCCUACCUUUUCAAUGAAAAGAAACGGAAAGGUCUUUUGCAUUUUCUCGAGAAAAAAAAGAAUGACCUUGAGGCAAGCUCAAUGAAAAUACGUUUUCCAAAGGUUUCAAGACUAUCUUCCUUGUGCUCUGGGAUAAAGCCAUUUGCAAUUCAUAGUCAGAUCAGCUUGUCCACAUCAAUCUUGUAAUCCUUUGGAAAUAUAGCACAAAAGGAAAAGCAUUGCUUCAUGUGUGAUGGCAAGUCAUUGUAGCUAAGCUUUAAUAUUGGCAGAAUCCAGUUUCCAAAGUGCAAAUGCUGCUACUAGAUGAUAUAGCCUUCCACUCUUCGACGCUAGUCUUGGUACGAAGUACAUAGCCCAAUGCAGUUGCAGCUAAAGGAGAGCCAGAACAUCAGCUUACAAUCUCAUCAACCAUCUUGCUUAGCUCGACAGGCUUUUCUUUCUCCGAACUGAAUGCUCUAGCCUCAGUAAUUUCCUUUACGAAGAAAUCCUCCACAAUAUUGAGAUUGUAGGCUCUACCUGCACCCAUAAUUUCAGUGACUUGUUUAUCACGAGUUCUUGUUAACAUUGCACUACCCAUGCCACCAUGUUGAGGACAGACCUUCAGCCUUCCCAACUUAUAGACCUCUCUGUUCCAGACAUCAUCCAAUACAUGGAGAUACCUGUGCCCGCUGUCCAGUUUUUGAAAUCUAUCCAAAGGUAUCAUAGACCUCUCUGGGGGAUGCCCGCUGUACCCAGAGCUGCAACUGAAAAUGAUUCUGAAUUUCAGGUUCAUUGUAUAUGAGUUACGCUAAUGUGGUCUUGCCAAGGCCCCCCAUUCCAACAAUGGGAACUACUGCGAGAUCAGUAUUGCUAGCUUGACCAAGUAGUAUGUCAACGAUAUUAUUCUUAUCUCCGUGUUUGGAUCUGUUGGCAAUUUCUUGUUGGUCGCUGAUGACAUAAUCUGUGUGCCUCCACUCCUUGGACACUCGUGUUUGCCUCAACUGAUUAGACACCAACAACGUCUGCCUCAACAUAAGCGCGACGCGUUGUUGGGCUAGGCCCAGAACGGUGCGCGGGCAGGUGGGGCGUAUUUUUACCGUAGUAACUGUUUCGUCCGCUGCGCUUCCCCACGACCUGCGUUGAACACGCACGUGGAGGGUCGUGCGUGACGUGGGGGUCAUGCGUGGGGCGGUCUCCACACGCAUGCGUCACAUCGCAUUUAAUGGGAAAAGAGGCGGCCCACGCCUUCCCCGUAAAAAGGAAUAACAGCGGGCGCGCUGUUCAUUUACCCCCUGCGUCUUCUUCAAUCUCGGAAUCGCCGUCCCCUUCUUCUUCCUUCUCAAACUCUCGCCUUUGCUCGUUGCCGCCGCAUCUUCGCUGUCCUCCGUCCUUUGCCUCUCGCAGCCGCCAUGGCCCCCAAAACAAGUAAAGGAAAGGGAGUGGCCAAGGAUGCCGGGGCGAAGGAGCCGCCGGAGAGCGAGUUGGUGGCGCGGCGGACGCAUCUCGCCUACUUCCCCUCGACGGUCGACGCGGUCGAACUCCGGGACUACUUCAGGNNNNNNNNNNNNNNNNNNNNNNNNNNNNNNNNNNNNNNNNNNNNNNNNNNNNNNNNNNNNNNNNNNNNNNNNNNNNNNNNNNNNNNNNNNNNNNNNNNNNNNNNNNNNNNNNNNNNNNNNNNNNNNNNNNNNNNNNNNNNNNNNNNNNNNNNNNNNNNNNNNNNNNNNNNNNNNNNNNNNNNNNNNNNNNNNNNNNNNNNNNNNNNNNNNNNNNNNNNNNNNNNNNNNNNNNNNNNNNNNNNNNNNNNNNNNNNNNNNNNNNNNNNNNNNNNNNNNNNNNNNNNNNNNNNNNNNGCGUGUCAUCCCCGCCAAUUGCGCCGAGGCCGCCCCGAAUCGGUAUCCGUUCUUCGUCGAUUACUUUUCUUGCGGUCUCUGCCCCCCUUUCUCCGAUUUCUUCAAUGAUGUCAUGCACACAUUUGGCUUCCACCUUCUGGAUUUCACUCCCAAUGCCGUGGCGUGCAUGGCUCUUUUCGCCCAUCUCUGUGAGGGCUUCGCCGGAGUUCUUCCCAACACAUUGCCCUUCCGCUAUUAGUUUUACCCUCGCAUCCAAAAGGGAGGCGCCAUCUCUGGUUGCGUCGCCUGGAUACCAAGGUCCAAAGGGACGUACCCGGAGGGCGCCCAGAAGGAGAGGUUGGAAGAGUGGCGGGGCCGGUGGUGCUGGAUUGGGGAGGACGACCCGCCGGAAUUUUUCCGGGUUCGUCAGGCGCCGCCGGUUCGCAGGAACGACUGGGGCGAUGUCAACGCCCUGGAUGACAAGCUCAAGGUCGCCACCACCAGGAUUCACCGCCUCACCGUUGCCGGGCUCACCCUGGAGAUGAUUGGGGCGGACUUGAUCCGCCGCCGAAUCGCUCCACUGCACAACAAGGGGAGACCGGCCUGGCUCUUCCAAAACGCGGCUGACAUCAUGAGGCUUCACUCUGGCCUCAACAACAACUUCACGGUGAUGGGGCACGCCCACUUCUGCUAGCGGAUCUUUCAGCUCGACGUGAACCGCGACGGCAGGGCCAAGAGGUCCGGCAAGGCUGCAAAGGCCGGCAAGGUCCUCAAGGGGCCCUUGUUUGGGUUGCCAGCGGGGGUGGUCCCGCUGAGCAACAACUCGCGCCAGACCGACAUCAUCGCCAUGAUGUCGGACUACAAUGCACACGGUCCCGUCCCAAAUUGGUUCGAGCCGCUAGCGGAUCAGGUGCAGGAGUUCUUUGAUACUUUGGCGGAGAAGUAUGUCUGCGACGAGCCGCUGCUCAUCUAGGACACCACCCAAGCAGAGCUGGACUACAUCGCCGCCAGGGCGGCGGAGGCGGAGCUCGCUAGGGAGGCCGGCAGCGCUGGCGGCAUGGAGGACGAGGUCGCAGCAGCCGCAGAGGAGAGGGAGCUCGCCCAGUGGGAGGAAUCCGAUGGGGAGGCCAGCAGCGCCAGCACCGGGGCCCCUCUUAUUGAAGAUGUGGUCGACGAUUCGGAGGAGGAGGAGGUCGAGGCUGUCGAUCCUCCGGUCAUGGGGAGAGGGCGAGUCCUGCGGCGGGCCAGCUCCGGCAAGCCGGUCCAGCCCGGCAGGGCUGUGCAACCGCAGCAGACCUAGGAGGGGUAUGUGCGCCAGACAAGGGCCGCGGUGGCGAGGAAGUUGGUGAAGGCCGUGGUGGCGAAGAAGAAAGCAACAACCUCUUCUUCGUUCAAGCGUGGCCAGACUCCACCUUCUUCCCCUCCUCGGGCAGACGUUGACACGGAGGUCGUCUUCGACUUUGGGUCCCUCAGCCCAAGGAGGAAGAGGAAGGCAUCAGAAGAGGAGGUGGAGGAUGAGUAAGUUUCUUGUUACUUUUUGUCAUCUCCGUCUCCUCAGACUGUGCUGCUUAUCUCGAUUUGUUUUCAUCUUUGCAGGGAUGCGGAGACGCUGGCCCAGAGGGUGAAGAGGGCCAGGUCCUCGGCUGGCGGCCGGCCUCCGGCGGGCACUUCGAGGAUGCCACUAGUGGUGGUGAGCAGCCCGGACAGCAGUCCCCGAAGCAGCCCCCGGCGUAAGUUCCCCACUCGUCCCUCGUCAACGUGUGUUGGGGGUACGAUCCCUUGGCGCUAACCUUGCCGUGAUUGCAGGAGGAGGACAACAGGAGGAGGAGCCACGGAGGGUUACCCCCAACACGCUGCCCCCAUCGACCACGCCGCCCCGAGGGGUGGUGUCUACUACGCAACCUUCUUCUUGUAGACGUUGUUGGGCCUCCAAGUGCAGAGGUUUGUAGGACAGUAGAAAAUUUCCCUCAAGUGGAUGACCUAAGGUUUAUCAAUCCGUGGGAGGCGUAGGAUGAAGAUGGUCUCUCUCAAGCAACCCUGCAACCAAAUAACAAAGAGUCUCUUGUGUCCCCAACACACCCAAUACAAUGGUAAAUUGUAUAGGUGCACUAGUUCGACGAAGAGAUGGUGAUACAAGUGUAAUAUGGAUGGUAGAUAUAGGUUUUUGUAAUAUGAAAAUAUAAAAACAGCAAGCUAACUAAUGAUAAAAGUGAGCACAAACGGUAUUGCAAUGCGUUGAAACAAGGCCUAGGGUUCAUACAUUCACUAGUGCAAGUUCUCUCAACAAUAAUAACAUAAUUGGAUCAUAUAACUAUCCCUCAACGUGCAACAAAGAGUCACUCCAAAGUCACUAAUAGAGGAGAACAAACGAAGAGAUUAUGGUAGGGUACGAAACCACCUCAAAGUUAUUCUUUCGGAUCGAUCUUAUUCAAGAGUUCGUACUAGAAUAACACCUUAAGACAAAAUCAACCAAAACCCUAAUGUCACCUAGAUACUCCAAUGUGACCUCAAGUAUCCGUGGGUAUGAUUAUACGAUAUGCAUCACACAAUCUCAGAUUAAUCUAUUCAAACCAACACAAAGUACUUCAAAGAGUGUCCCAAAGUUUCUACCAGAGAGUCAAGACGAAAACGUGUGCCAACCCCUAUGCAUAGGUUCAUGGGCGGAACCCGCAAGUUGAUCACCAAAACAUACAUCAAGUGGAUCACGUGAUAUCCCAUUGUCACCAGAGAUACGCACAUGCAAGACAUACGUCAAGUGUUCUCAAAUCCUCAAAGACUCAAUCCGAUAAGAUAACUUCAAAGGGAAAACUCAAUCCAUUACAAGAGUGUAGAGGGGGAGAAACACCAUAAGAUCCAACUAUAAUAGCAAAGCUCGCGAUACAUCAAGAUCGUACCACCUCAAGAACACAAGAGAGAGAGAGAGAGAGAGAUCAAACACAUAGCUACUGGUACAUACCCUCAGCCCCGAGGGUGAACUACUCCCUCCUCGUCAUGGAGAGCGCGGGGAUGAUGAAGAUGGCCACCGGUGAGGGUUUCCCCCUCCGGCAGGGUGCCGGAACAGGGUCCCGAUUGGUUUUUGGUGGCUACAGAGGCUUGCGGCGGCGGAACUCCCGAUCUAUUCUGUUCACCUAUGUUUUUAGGGUAUAUGGAUAUAUAUAGGCGAAAGAAGUCGGUAAGGGGAGCCACGAGGGGCCCACGAGGGUGGAGGGCACGCCCAGGGGGUGGGCGCGCCCCCUACCUCGUGCCUUCCUUGUUGCUUCCCUUACGUACACUCCAAGUCUUCUGGAUUGCUUCGGUUCCAAAAAUAACUCUCCCGAAGGUUUCAUUCCGUUUGGACUCCGUUUGAUAUUCCUUUUCUGCGAAACACUGAAACAAGGAGAAAAACUGAAACUAGCACUGGGCUCUGGGUUAAUAAGUUAGUCCCAAAAAUAAUAUAAAAGUGCAUAGUAAAUCCCAUUAAACAUCCAAGAUGGAUAAUAUAAUAGCAUGAAUACUUCAUAAAUUAUAGAUACGUUGGAGACGUAUCAGCAUCCCCAAGCUUAAUUCCUGCUCGUCCUCGAGUAGGUAAAUGAUAUAAGAAAUAAUUAUGAAGUGUGAAUGCUAGCAGGUGCACAAGUUUGAUCAAUGAUAAUUUCAAUCACCUUUUCAAGCAUCAUUAUAUGUCAUAACAGUAGCUCAACUCAUAAAACUUUUCAUGAUCAAGUAACAAGCUAUUCACAUAUUAAAGCAUAGACCAUAAACUUUCUUGAAAACUAACAAACUAUGUUCUCAGUCAUCAAACAAUUGCAAUUCAUCUUAUUUUCAGGAAGGGUCUAUGUAAGAGCUUUGAUUUAGCAAAUCCCACAUACUCAACUAUCAUAUAGUCUUCCAUGAUUGCUACCACUCAAAGCAUAUUUUCGGAACAAAUAGCAUCCAUCGAACACAGAGAAAGAUAGGGGCUUAAUGUUUCGCCUCCCAACUUAUUUAUCAUAUAGAUAAUUGUCAACAAUAAUAAUUCAUGAUCAAAUAUAUUUGAAUGGCCAUAUAUGCUUAGAUCUUUCCAUCACAUGAUGCUUGCCAACUAAAAAGUAGGUUGGAAUGAGAAGGAAUACUACUGACUCUUGCAUAAAAGUAAAAGAUAGGCCCUUCACAGAGGGAAGCAGGGAUUUGCAGAGGUGCCAGAGCUCGAAGCUAAAACAGAGAUGAAAAUAAUUUUGAGAGGUAUGCUUUCAUUGUCAACAUAACGACCAAGAGUUCCCAAUAUCUUCCAUACUACAUACAUUAUAGGCGGUUCCCACGCGGAAAGGUAAAGUUUUUACUCCCCCUCCACCAACAUUCACACUCCACGGCUUGUCCGAAACAAUGGGUGCCGUCCAACUAUCAACAUUCUUGGGGGAGUUUGUUGAAAUUAUUUGUGAAUUUGUUUUUGAUCUUUUGAUCAUAGGACUGGGCAUCCCAGUUACCAGCCAUUUUCUCGUGAAUGAUGAGCGGUGUCCACUCAUCGUGAGAAUAACCCACCCAGCAUGGAAGAUACUGACAGCCCCUAGUCGCUACAUGAGCGAUUCGGGCAUACAAAACAGAUUAUUAUUUGAAGGUUUAGAGUUUGGCACAUGCAAAUUUACUUGGAACGGCAGGUAAAUACCGCAUAUAGGUAGAUAUGGUGGACACUCAUGGAAGAAACUUGGUUCGAGGAAUUUGGAUGCACAAGCAGUAUUCCUGCUUAGUACAGACAUUUUGGCUAGCAAAUGAUUCUAAAUAGCAAGCACCACAAGUUAGAGGAUCCAUAACAAUAUAACUUCUAUACAAAUAUACCCAAGCAUAACUCAUUAUGUUGUCUUCCUUGUCCAACUUCAACUAAUUUGCUCAGGUUUGCUAAUAAUUAAUGGGGCUCACGAUCAUAGAAGAUGUCCAAGAUAGUAUUAUAUGUGAAAUCUCUCUUCCUUCAAUAUUCUUUCAUGAAUUGUUCAAGUGACAAAUACAAAGUUUGCUAACCUUCAAAAAAUUUACCACCUCUACUUCUUAUAUGUGAAGUCAUUACUCCCCAUGGGAUAAGUAUAUGAAACAUAUAUAAUUUCAGAUUUAUAAUAUUCAAAUCAUUCAACUAUUUACUCAUAGGAUAUAAGUGAAGCACACGAGUAAAUGACAAACUACUCCAAAAAGAUAUAAGUGAAGAUCAAUGAGUAGUUAAAUAAUUAUGUAGUUAUCUGAAGACUCUAUCUCAUUUAAGAAUUUCAGAUCUUGGUAUUUUAUUCAUACAGCAAGCAAAACAAAAGAAAAUAAAAUGACGCUCCAAGUAAAACACAUAUCAUGUGGUGAAUAAAAAUAUAGCUCCAAGUAAAGUUACCGAUGAACGAAGACGAAAGAGGGGAUGCCAUCCGGGGCAUCCCCAAGCUUAGGCUCUUGGUUGUCCUUGAAUAUUACCUUGGGGUGCCUUGGGCUUCCCCAAGCUUAGGCUCUUGCCACUCCUUAUUCCAUAGUCCAUCGAAUCUUUACCCAAAACUUGAAAACUUCACAACACAAAACUUAACAGAAGAUCUCGUGAGCUCCGUUAGCGAAAGAAAACAAAACACCACUUCAAGGUACUGUAAUGAACUCAUUAUUUAUUUGUAUUGGUGUUAAAUCUAAUGUAUUCCAACUUCUCUAUGGUUUACAAACUAUUUUACAAGCCAUAGAUUCAUCAAAAUAAGCAAACAACACACGAAAAACAGAAUCUGUCAAAAACAGAACAGUCUGUAGUAAUCUGUAACUAACGCAAACUUCUUGAACUCAACAAAUUCUACCAAAAUAGGACGACCUAGAUAAUUUUAUUAUUGAUCUGAUGCAAUUGGAAUCAGUAUUUUAUCACGUUCUGGUGAUUUUAAACAAUUGUUUUCGUGAACAGAAAGUUUCUGGAAUUUUCAGCAAGAUCAAAUAACUAUCAUCCAAGAAGAUCCUAUAGGUCUUACUUGGCGCAAACACUAAUUAAAACAUAAAACCACAUCUAAACAGAGGCUAGAUAGAUUAUUUAUUGCUAAACAGAACCAUAAAGAAAGAACAAAAAUAAAAAUCGGGUUGCCUCCCAACAAGCGCUAACGUUUAACGCCCCUAGCUAGGCAUGAUGAUUUCAAUGAUGCUCGCAUAAAAGAUAAGAAUUGAAAUAUAAAGAGAGCAUCAUGAAAAAUAUGACUAGCACAUUUAAGUCUAACCCACUUCCUAUGCAUAGGGAUUUUGUGAGAAAACAACUUAUGGGAACAAUAAUCAACUAGCAUAGGAAGGCAAAACAAGCAUAACUUCAAAACUUUAAGCACAUAGAGAGGAAACAUGAUAUUAUUGCAAUUCAUACAAGCAUACAUUCCUCCCUCAUAAUAAUUUUCAGUAGCAUCAUGAAUGAAUUCAACAAUAUAACCAGCACCUAAAGCAUUCUUUUCAUGAUCUACUUGCAUAGAAAUUUUCCUACUCUCCACGUAAGCAAAUUUAUUCUCAUCAAUAGUAGUGGGAGCAAACUCAACAAAAUAACUAUCAUGUGAUUGAAAAUUAAGAUCAAGAUGACAAGUUUCAUGGUUAUCAUUAUUCUUUAUAGCAUACGUGUCAUCACAAUAAUCAUCAUAGGUAGGAGGCAUGCUUUCAUCAUAAUAAAUUUGCUCAUCAAAACUUGGGGGACAAAAAAUAUCAUCUUCAUCAAACAUAGCUUCCCCAAGCUUGUAAUCAUGCUCAUCAUUCAAAUAUUUAGUGCCAAACAUUCUAAUGCAUUCUUCCUCUAGCAAUUGAGCGCAAUUAUCGGAAUCCUUAUUUUCACGGAAGACAUUAAAAAGAUGAAGCAUAUGAGGCACACUCAAUUCCAUUUUUUGUAGUUUUCUUUUAUAAAAUAAACUAGUGAUAAAACAAGAAACUAAAAGAUUCCAUUGCAAGAUCUAAAUAUAUACCUUCAAGCACUCACCUCCCCGACAACGGCGCUAGAAAAGAGCUUAGUUGACGGGGUGUGAGUGCCGCUUACCUAGCCUCCCCGGCAACGGCGCCAGAAAAGAGCUUGAUGUCUACUACGCAACCUUCUUCUUGUAGACGUUGUUGGGCCUCCAAGUGCAGAGGUUUGUAGGACAGUAGCAAAUUUCCCUCAAGUGAAUGACCUAAGGUUUAUCAAUCCGUGGGAGGCGUAGGAUGAAGAUGGUCUCUCUCAAGCAACCCUGCAACCAAAUAACAAAGAGUCUCUUGUGUCCCCAAAACACCCAAUACAAUGGUAAAUUGUAUAUGUGCACUAGUUCGGCGAAGAGAUGGUGAUACAAGUGUAAUAUGGAUGGUAGAUAUAGGUUUUUGUAAUCUGAAAAUAUAAAAACAGCAAGGUAACUAAUGAUAAAAGUGAGCACGAACGGUAUUGCAAUGCGUUGAAACAAGGCCUAGGGUUCAUACUUUCACUGGUGCAAGUUCUCUUAACAAUAAUAACAUAAUUGGAUCAUAUAACUAUCCCUCAACAUGCAACAAAGAGUCACUCCAAAGUCACUAAUAGAGGAGAACAAACGAAGAGAUUACGGUAGGGUACGAAACCACCUCAAAGUUAUUCUUUCGGAUGAUCUUAUUCAAGAGUUCGUACUAGAAUAACACCUUAAGACACAAAUCAACCAAAACCCUAAUGUCACCUAGAUACUCCAAUGUCACCUCAAGUAUCCGUGGGUAUGAUUAUACGAUAUGCAUCACACAAUCUCAGAUUGAUCUAUUCAAACCAACACAGAGUACUUCAAAGAGUGUCCCAAAGUUUCUACCGGAGAGUCAAGAUGAAAACGUGUGCCAACCCCUAUGCAUAGGUUCAUGGGCGGAACCCGCAAGUUGAUCACCAAAACAUACAUCAAGUGGAUCACGUGAUAUCCCAUUGUCACCACAGAUAUGCACAUGCAAGACAUACAUCAAGUGUUCUCAAAUCCUUAAAGACUCAAUCCGAUAAGAUAACUUCAAAGGGAAAACUCAAUCCAUUACAGGAGUGUAGAGGGGGAGAAACAUCAUAAGAUCCAACUAUAAUAGGAAAGCUCGCGAUACAUCAAGGUUGUACCACCUCAAGAACACGAGAGAGAGAUCAAACACAUAGCUACUGGUGCAUACCCUCAGCCCCGAGGGUGAACUACUCCCUCCUCGUCAUGGAGAGCGCGGGAAUGAUGAAGAUGGCCACCGGUGAGGGUUCCCCCCUCCUGCAGGGUGCAGGAACAGGUUCUCGAUUUGUUUUUGGUGGCUACAGAGGCUUGCGGCGGCGGAACUCCUGAUCUAUUCUGUUCCCCGAUGUUUUUAGGGUAUAUGGAUAUAUAUAGGCGAAAGAAGUCGGUAAGGGGAGCCACAAGGGGCCCACGAGGGUGGAGGGCGCGCCUAGGGGGGUGGGCGCGCCCCCUGUCUCGUGCCUUCCUCGUUGCUUCCCUUACGUACACUCCAAGCCUUCUGGAUUGCUUCCGUUCCAAAAAUAACUGUCCCGAAGGUUUCAUUCCCUUUGGACUCCGUUUGAUAUUCCUUUUCUGCGAAACACUGAAACAAGGAGAAAAAACUGAAACUAGCACUGGGCUCUGGGUUAAUAAGUUAGUCCCAAAAAUAAUAUAAAAGUGCGUAGUAAAGCCCAUUAAACAUCCAAGAUGGAUAAUAUAAUAGCAUGAAUACUUCAUAAAUUAUAGAUACGUUGGAGACGUAUCAAGGGGCGUCCCCGGCAAGGGCGCCAAGCACCGAGCCCAUGCACACAGAGGAGGAGGAGGCAGACUUGGGCGCUAGUGGCUCCGCCUCGGUGCCAGAUGUUGGCAGGGAAGGGGCUACUUCUUCCCAGCCCGGCACGGGUACGUCACUUGCCUCCUGUCCCUGCUUUUUCUUCUUCUUUUUGAAUCUUGGUCUUGGCUCCGCCUCAUCCCCUUCUCGAUAUCCAGACCCUCCCUCGGCGGACCGGGAGGACAUAGACACCGUCAUCGAGGAUGUCGCCAAGGACACCGCGGCGGAGGCCGAGAAGAUUGCCGCCGAGGAGGCCGCCAAGGGCGCUGCCGAGGACGCCGCAAAGCGAUCUGCCGGGGAGUCCGGCAUGUCUACUGCCAAAGUGGCCGGCAAGGGGCCUGCCGGGGAGGCCGGCAAGGCCGCUGCCGGGGAGGAGGUGGUUAACGACCAACCUUCCUCCUCUGCUGCCUCUGGUUCCGGCAGGUAUCUGAAGGUGAGCGACGACCUAUUCGUCAACCUCCUAGGGACGGCGAGCACUAGGGCGCCCACCGAGGGAGAGGUGUUCGACGAGGAGGUGCUUGCCGCCGCUGGGCUCGAGGUUGUUGACGAGUCGAGCGCCGGUGGCGACGGUUCCCAGGAAGAGCGGCUCCUUCAGGCCAUGGGCGCCAGCUUUCGGAAGCUCCAGGCGCUCCACCGCGCCCGCCUGGACAAGGCCAAGUCCAGGAUGGCAGCGGUGGAAAAGGCGGAGGCGGACCUCGAGGGUCGCAUCGUCGAGACGCAGGCUUGGUUCCGCCAGGGCUGCGAGGAGCUGAAGACCGCCCAGGACGAGCUGGCCAAGCGCAAGGUGGAGCUCGUCAUGAAGCAGGCCGACAUCGAGAGGGGCCAGGAGUUGGCGAAGAACCAGGCCGCCAAGGACGAGGUCGCUCGGUCCCAGCACCAGGCCGCGCUGAACUCCCAGGAAGAGGACCUUGCCGCUCGCGAGGAGAAGCUCGCCGUGACACUCCGCGGCAAGGACGAGGAGGUCAAGAAGCUUGUCCUGCAGCGGACCCAGGAGUUGGAGCAGAAGCACGAGGAGGCGCUCAAUGCCCAGGCUUAGGUCCACGCCGGCAAGGUGAAGGAGCUGGAGGUGGAGCGGGACGAGCUGAAGAAGCAGGCCCUGGAGUUGACGGCGGAGAGGGACGCUGCCAAAGGUGCCCUGGCCGACGCGCAGGCCGCAGUCCUCAGCAAGGCCGGGCUACUCUCCACGGCCAACGAGACCAUCAAGGACCUGAAGCUGAAGCUGGAGGGCCUUGAGGGGACGCUCUCGGAGGCCAAGGCCCGGGAGGAGACCCUGGCCAAAGAUUUGGAGGCCGAGAAGCAGCUGCGGAAGAACGAAACCGCCAACCACAAGGAUUUUGUGGAGGGCGAGAACCGCUGGAUCAGCCGCCUCAAAGGCGUCGCCGGCAGGAUCACCACGCAGCUGGCUACGAUGGGGAUGCCAAAUGUGAGGUACGCCCCGGAGCCCAAUGUGACUCCCAAUGCCAAGCUGACCCUAUUCUUCGAGGGUGUCCUUGGAGCCCUGGAGCAUCUUCGCUCCAGCAGGGCGGCCUCUUUGGCCGAUGAGGCCCGGAAGCUUUGCCGGGGUGCCAUGACCAAGGUCCUCACCAAGGUGGCGUACUGGAACCCCGACCUCGACUUCGACGCCGCACUAGAGAGCUUGCCGGAGGAUGCUGACCUCGCGGCGCUCAAGGAGCGUAUCAAGCCCAUCAUCAGUCGCGUCGACGGAAUCCAGAGGGUGGAGGGCCAGCGCUGGGAUUAGGCACCCCGUUUCUCAUUGCCGCUGCAGGUUCAUGACCAUGACAAUUUCUAUCUUUAGUUAGAACCGCGGCAACAACUGAUGUAAUAUAACUCUGCAGUACAUUCGUGAUGAUGUAUGUUAUCUUCCUGUUUGAUCUUCCUUUGUAUGUUCACCCUACGUUAAUCGGGUAGGCUUGCCGGCGCGUAAACCCAGGCCGCGGCGCCUUGAGGAUGGAUCCCCAAUGGCCUGCCGGGUAUGCUUGCUGCCAGGCGAACCACCUUACCGCAUUAGUAGAAAACAGGGCUUUGGUUCCGGCCUGGCCAGCCCAUUAGUCCCGGUUCUUCAUGAACCGGGACCCAUGGGGGGCAUUAGUCCCGGUUCAUGAGCCCAGGGGGCCGUCCGGGGCCUCGUGGGCAUUGGUCCAGGUUCCUCUGGAUCCAUUUGUACCGGUUCUAGAGGGCCGCGCUCCUUGCCCACAGCCAUUGGUACCGGUUCGUGCCUAUAACCGGGACAGAAGGGGGGGGGGCUUUAGUACCGGUUCGUGCCACAAACCGGGACAAAUAAGUUGCCUAUAUAUACUCGUCGCCGCAGCAGAGCACUCCACAGUGCUCUGUUUUUUCUGGCCGGCGAGGGGAGGGCAUUUGGGUGCUCUAGCUCACCUCCUAUGCACAUGAGGUGUUUGAUGAAAUGCCCGAGCGACACUAGUUAAGCUUUCUCCUCUUGAAGCUCGACCUCGGAGCUCCAUUUUUCCCAAGAUUUGUCUAGAUUUAGCGGUCCGUCACGCCCCGUCCCCGUUUUCACCGCCGUCAAUCGCCCGUGCCGAUCUCGUCGCCGGCACCAUCGUGGUGAGCCUCUUGUUCUUAUCUUCUUUCUGAUUUGCUUAAUUUAGAUAGAUACUUGUCUGAUUUUCUUACUUUUGACACACAUAAUUAUAUAUAAUGCACGCAGAUGAACCGGCAAUGGAUGUACGGUGACAGACACACCUCCGAGUACAUUAAGGGCGUGCAUGAAUUUCUCGAAGUGGCAGAGGCAAACAAGCAGAAUGGUUUUAUGUGUUGUCCAUGCCCUAAAUGUGGGAAUACGAAGUCUUACUCUGACCGGAAAAUCCUGCACACCCACCUGCUUUACAAGGGUUUCAUGCCACACUAUAAUGUUUGGACGAGGCACAGAGAAAUAGGGGUUAUGAUGGAAGACGACGAAGAAGAAGAGGACGAUGACAACUAUGUGCCCCCUGAAUACGGUGAUGCUGCAACGGGGGGAGCUGCCGAAGAUCAAGAGGAACCAGACGAUGUGCCCGAUGAUGCUGCAAUGGGGGAAGCUGCUGAAGAUCAAGAAGAACCAGACGAUGUGCCCGAUGAUAAUGAUCUCCGCCGGGUCAUUGUCGAUGCAAGGAUGCAAUGCGAAAGUCAAAAGGAGCAGCUGAAGUUCGAUCCCAUGUUAGAGGAUCACAAAAAAGGGUUGUACCCCAAUUGCGAAGAUGGCAACACAAAGCUCGGUACCGUACUGGAAUUGCUGCAGUGGAAGGCAGAGAAUGCUGUGCCUGAGAAAGGAUUUGAGAAGCUACUGAAAAUAUUGAAGAAGAAGUUUCCAAAGGACAAUGAAUUGCCUGACAGUACGUACGCAGCAAAGAAGGUCGUAUGCCCUCUAGGAUUGGAGGUGCAGAAGAUACAUGCAUGCCCUAAUGACUGCAUCCUCGACCAUGGUGCGUACAAGGAUUUGAACGCAUGCCCGGUAUGCGGUGCAUUGCGGUAUAAGAUCAGACGAGAUGACCCUGGUGAUGUUGACGGUGAGCCCCGCAGGAAGAGGGUCCCUGCGAAGGUGAUGUGGUAUGCGCCUAUAAUACCACCGUUGAAACGACUAUUCAGAAACAAAGAGCAUGCCAAGUUGAUGCGAUGGCACAGUGAGGACCGUAAGAAAGACGGGAAGUUGAGAGCACCCGCUGACGGGUCGCAGUGGCGAAAAAUUAAGAGAAAGUACUGGGAUGAGUUUGCAGGUGACCCAAGGAAUGUAUGGUUUGCUUUAAGAGCGGAUGGCAUUAAUCCUUUCGGGGAGCAGAGCAGCAAUCACAGCACCUGGCCCGUGACUCUAUGUAUGUAUAACCUUCCUCCUUGGAUGUGCAUGAAGCGGAAGUUCAUUAUGAUGCCAAUUCUCAUCCAAGGCCCUAAGCAACCCGUUAACGACAUUGAUGUGUACCUAAGGCCAUUAGUUGAAGAACUUUUAUAGCUGUGGAAUGGAAACAGUGUACGUGCGUGGGAUGAGCACAGACACGAGGAAUUUAACCUCCAUGCGUUGCUGUUUGUAACCAUCAACGAUUGGCCCGCUCUCAGUAACCUAUCAGGACAGACAAACAAGGGAUACCACGCAUGCACGCACUAUUUAGCUAACACCAAAAGUAUAUACCUGGACAAAUGCAGGAAGAAUGUGUACCUGUGCCAUCAUCGAUUUCUUCCGACCAACCAUCAAUGUCGAAAGAAAGGCAAGCAUUUCAAAGGCGAGGCAGAUCACCGGAAGAAGCCCGCCAUGCGUACCGGUGAUCACGUACUUGCUAUGGUCAAUGAUUUACACCUAAUGUUUGGAAAGGGUCCCGGCGGACUAGCUGUUCCGAAUGACGCUGGGGGACGCGCACCCAUGUGGAAGAAGAAAUCUAUAUUUUGGGACCUGCCCUACUAGAAAGACCUAGAGGUCCGCUCUUCGAUCGACGUGAUGCACGUGACGAAGAACCUUUGCGUGAACCUGCUAGGCUUCUUGGGCAUGUAUGGGAAGACAAAAGAUACAGCUGAGGCACGGGAGGACCUGCAACGUUUGCACGAAAAAGACGGCAUGCCUCCAAAGCAGUAUGAAGGUCCUGCCAGCUAUGCUCUUACCAAAGAAGAGAAGGAAAUCUUCUUUGAAUGUCUGCUUAGUAUGAAGGUCUCGACUGGCUUCUCGUCGAAUAUAAAGGGAAUAAUAAAUAUGCCAGAGAAAAAGUUCCAGAACCUAAAGUCUCAUGACUGCCACGUGAUUAUGACGCAACUGCUUCCGGUUGCAUUGAGGGGGCGUCUACCGAAAAACGUCCGAUUAGCCAUUGUGAAGCUAUGUGCAUUCCUCAAUGCAAUCUCUCAGAAGGUGAUCAAUCCAGAAAUCAUACCAAGGCUAAGGAGUGAUGUGGCGCAAUGUCUUGUCAGUUUCGAGCUGGUGUUCCCACCAUCCUUCUUCAAUAUCAUGACGCACGUCCUAGUUCAUCUAGUUGACGAGAUUGUCAUUCUGGGCCCCGUAUUUCUACAUAAUAUGUACCCCUUUGAGAGGUUCUUGGGAGUCCUAAAGAAAUAUGUCCGUAACCGCGCUAGGCCAGAAGGAAGCAUCUCCAUGGGCCAUCAAACAGAGGAUGUCAUUGGGUUUUGUGUUGACUUCAUUCCUGGCCUUAUGAAGAUAGGUCUCCCUAAAUCGCGGUAUGAGGGGAGACUGGCUGGAAAAGGCACGCUUGGAGGGGACUCAAUAAUAUGCAGGGACGGAUAUUCUUGGUCUCAAGCACACUACACAGUUCUACAGAACUCUACCUUGGUGACCCCUUAUGUCGAUGAACACAAGAACAGUCUGCGCUCCAAACACCCGGAGCAUUGCGACGACUGGAUUACAUGUGAACACAUCAGGACUUUCAGCAGUUGGUUGGAAACACGUCUCAGAGGUGACAACACUGUUUGUGAUGAGAUGUACUCGUUGUCCAGGGGACCAUUUUCGACUGUAUUGACUUACAAAGGAUACAAGAUAAAUGGGAAUACAUUUUACACGAUCGCCCAAGAUCAAAAGAGCACCAACCAAAACAGCUGUGUCCGCUUUGAUGCAGCAACCGAGAGGGGAAAGGACACAUAUUAUGGUUACAUAGUGGACAUAUGGGAACUUGACUACGGACAUGAUUUUAAGGUCCCUUUGUCUAAGUGCAAAUGGGUCAAUCUGUCAGGAGGCGGGGUACAGGUAGACCCACAGUACGGAAUGACAACAGUGGAUCUGAACAAUCUUCGGUACACUGACGAACCUUUCGUCCUAGCCAAUGAUGUGGCACAGUUUAUCUAUGUGAAGGACAUGUCUACCAAACCGAGAAAAAGAAAAGAUAAGGAAGCGAAUACAUCAUACGAUGAGCCAAAGCACCACAUAGUUCUUUUAGGAAAAAGGGACAUCGUGGGAGUGGAGCGCAAGACAGACAUGUCUAAAGAUUAUGAAAAGUUUCCUGAAAUUCCUCCCUUCAAAGUCAAGGCUAACCCAAGCAUCCUAAUAAACGAUGAAGAUUAUCCAUGGUUACGGCGCAAUAAGCAAACGACACAAGCGAAGAAAAAGUGAAGACUUUCUCUCUACAACUAUUAUGAUGAUGCCUUUGAUCUAGAAUAUCACUGCAAUUACAUGUGAAGAAAUGAAAUGCAUGUUGUAACAAACGAGUUUCCGUGUGAAAUGAUGAUACCAUGCCAAUUUGCAACCUUAUCGGAGUUCAUUUGAAAUGGUUUUCAAUUUCCGGGUCUUAUAGCUCAAAAAAGCAGUAAAUGCAUGAAAAAUAACAAAUGAAGUCAGAAAGGGUUGAAAAUUGAUGAUGUUGCUUUGAAUGGUGCAUUUUGAACACACAAGAAGUCUGGAGUUCAAAUAAGUUCGAAAAAAUGAAAUCCCUUUGUAACAGAUGAGCUUUCGUGCGAAACCCUGAUACUUCGAAAGAGAUUGUCCGUUUUGUACACAAAGUGCAUCUAGUUUUUGCCGUAACCCUCUCAACUUUCUUGCACAUGCUAUGUGGGUGAAAUGAUGAUAGCAUGCCAAUUUUCAACCUUUUCGGUGUUCAUUUGAAAUGCUUUUCAAUUUUCGGGUCUUAUAGCUCAAAAAAGCAGUAAAUGCAUGAAAAAUAAUAAAAUGCAUAAAACUAUAAUAUUUGUUAUGAUCACUAAAAAACUAAAAUCAAUUAAAAUAUUAAAUAGCAGGAAAAAGAAUCACUCAAAAAUCUAUUUUUAUAGUAAAUUUAUUCAUAAAACUAGUGAUUCACAUACAUUUAAAAAAAAUCAAAUUUUAAAACUAAUGGCACUAACAGAAAGUUUAUAAUUUUGUGACCCAAAAGCAAAAAGAAAUCACUAAAAAACUAUAAAAUUUAGUUUUAAGUAGAAAUAAAAAAAUAAAAAGAAAAAAAGGAAAAAAAAUGCCACCUACUGGACCUCCUCGGCCUAAAUACGACUAGAAACCCUACAAUGGGCCAGGAUUCAGGCCCGCAGAAGGCCCAAUAGGCCCAACAGGCAUGGCAAAGUAGAGAUUAGGCCCGUAAGCCUGCAAUAGAGAGGAGCUCGAGAGGGUGGCGGCAGCAAAGCUUAUAAACCACCCCGAGCCCCUCUCAACUAGCGAGGUGGGACUAAACAUCCCACCGCACCGUGCCAGCACAAGGCCUAUGGUCCCGGUUCAUGCCACCAACCGGUACCAUAGGCGGGCAUUCGUACCGGUUCGUGGCACCAACCAGUACCAAUGCCCACCUACGGUCCCGGUCCGUGCCACCAACCGGGACCAUGGGCCUCUGUUUCCCGCCCUUGGGGCUGCCGAAAAGAGACCUUUGGACCCUGUUGGUGGCACGAACCGGGACCAUAGGUAGGCAUUGGUACCGGUUGGUGCCAUGAACCGGUACCAUUGGUUUUGCUAUAUAAGGUAGCACUUGUGAAAAUUUCGCCAACUGCUCCCCCAUUCCCCCCGACGCCGCCAGGCCGUUCCUCGUCGUCGUCGCCGUCGCCGCCCCGAGCCCCUGCCCCGACGNNNNNNNNNNNNNNNNNNNNNNNNNNNNNNNNNNNNNNNNNNNNNNNNNNNNNNNNNNNNNNNNNNNNNNNNNNNNNNNNNNNNNNNNNNNNNNNNNNNNNNNNNNNNNNNNNNNNNNNNNNNNNNNNNNNNNNNNNNNNNNNNNNNNNNNNNNNNNNNNNNNNNNNNNNNNNNNNNNNNNNNNNNNNNNNNNNNNNNNNNNNNNNNNNNNNNNNNNNNNNNNNNNNNNNNNNNNNNNNNNNNNNNNNNNNNNNNNNNNNNNNCCCGACGACGUCGCCGCGCCCUUGACCCGCCGUUGACGUCGUCCUCACCGUCGCCGUCGUCGUCACCGCCCCCGAGCCGCUCCUCCCAGAGCCCUCGCUGUGCGCGUACCCCUCCCCCAAGAGCCCACCGUCCUCGUCGCCGUCAUCGUCACCGGCCUCGUCGUCGUCCUCGUCACCGGCCUCGUCGUUGUCCGGCCUUGAGCCCCCAGUGAGCCCCUUCCAAUCCCGAUCCGUGCACUGCCGCAGCUGCCGCCGCCCCCCCGCGCCGCGCCGCCGCCCCUGUUUUUUAUAUGUAUGUAUGUAUGUAUCUAUGUAUAUGGAUGUAUGUAUGUACGGAUGGAUGGAUAUGCAUGUAUAUGGAUGGAUGUAUGUGUAUGUGUUCAUAGUUUUUUUUUGUUCAUAGUUUUUUGUUGAUAGCAUUUUUAGGCUGUAUAGUUUUAUUUUUGUUCAAUUUUUAUGGUUAGAAGAGGAGAGGAAAAAAUUGUGUUGCUAAAGUUACAUUUAAGGUUAGUUGAUUUAGUUCAUUUUAGGUUAUUAGUUCUACUGUUAGUGCAUUUAAGGUUAGUUUAUUUUUAGUUGAACUAGUUGAUUUAAUAAAACUAAUUUAUUUUACUAUACAUAUAAGUAGUUUAUUUUUAGUAAGUACUACUUUAUUUUAUUUAUAGUAAGUGCUUAGUAGUUGAACUAGUUGAUUUAAUAAAACUACUUUAUUUUACUAUAGAAGUAGUUUAGUUUUAGCAAGAAAAUUAAUAGAAUUAGUUUAUUUUUUAGUUCAAGCAAUUAUUCCCGCAUCGACAUCGACGAUGCCUAUCCCGCAUCCUCGUCGUCGACUCGGCGGAGGAGGCCGACUUGAUCAGAGGGGCCAUGUCCGGGACUGGGCUCCGCCGGGCUGGUAUUGGGAGGUGCUACCUUCCGGGGGGCGUAGGUUGGUGAGGAGCCAGCCCGUCGUUGACCCGAUCCUUGUUUGGUGGCGGUCGCGUGGGCCAGUGACUGUAUCGAGGCUUCCGGACACCGCGGAGGUGGUACGUCACCAUGUCAGCGAGGAGGACGAGCACGCCCGUCGCUACAUGGUUGCGUUGGAGGGCAGGUUCGACAAUACCUGGCAGCUUCUUCAGGGAUCUCAUUGGAGCUAUGAUCAUGUGAUGGUUCCUUCUCUUUGGGCAUCCACCGCCCGCGCCGAUACCCGUCGGGCGCUACGGUUCUAGCUGUACUAGCGAUGCUAUAUGUAUGAUAGUAUUCGAGGUGUAUUAGUGAUAAUAUUCGACGAUGUACGGACGCAAGAGAUGAUGUAGUUUUGCUUAUAAUUGAAUGCAUCCUAAUUUGAAUACUACUUUAUUUUGCGAUCUGAUUUUGCUUAUUGAAUGCUCAAAUUGGAAAACUACUCCUACUUUGAAUGCUAAAAUUAGAGAGCACUAUGCAAGGCGUAUGCAUAUGAUUAGUUGAUAGCUUAUAGUGUUUUUGUUUUCGCAAAAAUAUAGGAGCCCCCAACCAUCAUCCCCGCCGUCGUCCCCGUCACUGACCCCCUCCGACGUCGAGGUGAGACCAGCCAAAUCUCCAUGUCAAUAUGAGUCCUAUAAUAUGAGUCCUCGGGUCGACUUUAAGUCUGUCGAGUCUCCACCAUAUAUGAAAGGACGAAGAAUCAUGACUGUUGUCGUGGGGGUAGCUUCUCCUUCGUUCCCGUGAUGAAUAAUAAUGAUCUAACUUAGGUUUUUAGUACAUAUAUUUAAUUGUAGAUGUUUAAUAUUUGAAUUAUGAACAUAGGAAAUGUCGUACUCAGACUACGAAAGUCUCCCGGGGGAGUGCGACUGGUGCCACGACGACCGAGGUUAGUGCGACCGGCCUCACCUGGACGAAGAUCAGCGCUUCAGCAUUAAGCUGGAGGAGACCUUCGAUGUUGAAACGGUACGCAACGACGACAAGUGUUAUUUUUUCGUAAUUAAGCACGACUUCAAGUAUUUCAACGUGUACUUCUUAUCUUUUACAAUUCGACUAGCUUAUCCCAUGCCAUGCAAGACGCUAUGUCUUGGAGAGGAUGGGUUUUGAAGACCAGGAAAGUUUCGAAACAAAGAAAAUUCAUCUAAGGACCCAUCAUGGUGUGGAUUUUGAAGUAAAGCGGUACAAUUCUGAGAGCGUAACCCAUUUUGGUUGCAAAAAAUGAGAAGCACUUUGCAAGAUGUAUGGUUUUGAUGAGGGUAUGCUUGUCACCAUUGAUCUUGGUGACCCUGAAAUCGAGCAAGACAAUAUGGACAUUUGGGUCCUUGUUGAUACGCCUCCAAUUCUACCGCUAUGUGAGUUUCUCAAACAUAGUUAUUAGCUAAUUUAUAUUGUUUAUUUCAAAAUAGUUGACAACUUAUUUCCAUUGACAGCUUAUUUUGAUUGUUCAAACAAUGUGCGGAACAUGGUAGACAAAACCCACUACACCGAUGGCUCCGAAUUAACUUAUCAGGAGAAAAAUCAUCUGGUCUGAUUUUGUACUGAUAUUGAGAAUUACAAUAUCUAGAAUCAAACUCCUCAACAUUAUUGUCAAUACGUGCCACUAGUGCACGUGUUGAACUACAGUAACUACCAUGGAGAUACCCUGGUAAGAUUUUUUACUAUUACGACAUCCGUGCAUCUUUUGCAUACUUCUAAAACUAGUACAUCAUUGCUAACUAUGAAGUUAUUACUAUGUUUUUCAACAGAGAAUCCCAGAGGAUUGUGUGCCUCAUUUGAUGUAGCAGAAUGGCAGCCUUCGUGUUUUGAACAUAUAUCCAAGUCAUCCAACGAAUCUCAACUGUCCAUACCGGAUUUAUCAAUGAAGUGGAGACAUGCUAAUCAAAAAAUGGAAAAAAUGUAUGGACAGUCGUAAGGAGGUUCUUGGAAGCAAAAGGAAGCGAAGCGUAAGAAUUGGAGACAGGAUGAUCUCCAUUCUCCAUAAUGGAGAGUCAGGGUCUAUAUUGUUUUAUGCUAUUUUACCUUAAAGAGGGUAUUUAGGUCCUACCUAAUACUGAUGAUCAUGUGCUAAGAACAAUUAAGUAGGGCUGGUUCGAUGACUAUGAGGAUGAUGAUCGUAUGACUUGUUAUUAAUAACGAGUAGAAGUUGUAUGAUGAUGAUUAGUAGGACUUGUUAUUAUAUAAGAUGAUGCAUGAUGCGAGCAUGAAGAGUUAUUAUAUAUCAGCGGGUGAAAUGAACAUGGAUUGGAUUGAAGUGAAGGCAACAUGCAUGUGGUGCAUGUCGAAAGUACUACAAUCCAAACUUGAUCAAAGUUAGGAUUAGUAUUACUUUCGACAUGCACCACAUGUUGCCUUCACUUCAAUCUAAGCCAUGUUUAGGCAUAGCAGUAGCGUUGGUAAACCAAGCACGGAGAUAUAAGAGAGGACACUUCUCUCUAUUAUAUUAGCUAGCUAAUAACAACCUAAAUUAACCCCCAAAACCCCUAAAUCAGCCCCUUUAAAAAAACAAAAAGCUCAACUCCAGCCAGCUGCUGACGCGUGGAUGCCUUUUGGUCCCGGUUGGUGUCACCAACCGGGACCAAAGGCCCCCCUGCCUGGGCUGGCCGUAGUGGCCACGUGGAGGCCCAUCUGUCUCGGUUCGUGUAAGAGCCGAGACUAAAGGCCAAGGGCAUUAGUAACGACCUUUUAGUCCCGGUUCCUAAACCGGGACAGAAGGCUCUUACGAACCGGGACAAAUGGCCCUUUUUCUACUAGUGCCGCUCUAAACGCGGCCGCUCGAACUGUUGAGCUUGACUCGAGUCAGAAUCGAGAGCGUUGCCGAUUGCGGAAGGCUAUGUUGCCGUUCUCGACGCGGCCGCUUGAGCUAUUGAGCGGACUCGAAACAGAGUAAGGGCGUUGCCAAUAGCGGAAGGGCCCCUUUGCGUGCAUGUUUUCCAUACAUAGGGCAGGACCUUCGAGUACAAUAACCUUCUAUAUAAAAAGAUAUUGCUUAAAGUUUCACACGACUUAGCUUUUCUGUCAUUGCACGGGCGUCCACCGCAUCUGCAGAUGGUGCCGUCAAGCUUGGUCGUCUUCUAUCUUGGAACGACGGCCACGAUGAAGCCGCUGCUCCGAUCAGACCAAAUUUCCACAACUGCGCCCCCUACCUAGCGCGCCAAAGAUGUCGGGGGAAAUCGACACCUAUGGAAUCACAGGGAUCCCUUCUACGGUUGGCGGGCGCGGGGUUGUGCAAAGAGCAGGUCUGACAGGAAGCACGCAGAUCGUUUACCCAGGUUCGGGCCGCGGAGAUGCGUAAUACCCUAGUCCUGCUAUGGUGGAUGUAUUCGAGUGUUCUUGUGUUCUUGAACUAGCUACGGGGUGUAACUUGCCCAGAAGAUCCGAAUCCCUGUCCUGGAUGCCUCGGGCCUCCUUUUAUAGACAAAAGGGGUUGCCACACUGGCACACAGGAGGUGGAAAGGUGUACAGUGGAUGAGUCUAUCCUCUGGCACCGUUGGACGAACACAUUUAAUGCGCUGCCAACGUGACCCUCUCGCUUUAUCGGGGACGGUCAAGGAAGCUCGUCCCAGCUGUCGCCGCCUCGCCUGGCUUCGACACGCGUCCGAGCUGACGAGGCGUCGUGGCGCCACAUUGGCUGGCUGCUGGGCUGGCGCGGUGGUGGAGCCUUCACGAAGGUCUGCAUGCCACCACGCAGGUGCUUGCUGUGUCGGUGUAGAGGCCGCUCGUCGCCACGCAGGUGCCUGCCCAGCUGGUUGGGCUAGCAGCUGCACGGGGACGGCGGUGGAGUCUUGGCAGGCGCGGGCCUGGCUGUGGCCCCGCUGAUGCCCUUGGCAAGGGUCUUGCCGGGGGCCCGGCAAGGGUCUUGCCGUGGUGCCGCGGUCGUCCCCGGCAAGGCGCUUGCCGGGGGUCUCGUGGAUUUCCUCGGCAAGGACCUCGCCGAGGAUCAUCGUCUUCUGGUCCUCAUCUGAUCUUGUGUAUUUAUGAUCUUCACAAAGAUCAGCAUGCCACCACGGAGGUGCCUCCCGAGCCUUGGUCCCAAUGUGGUUGAUGGCGUUGGAACCCUUGGGCUCAAUGGAGGCGCGCUUCGUUGGCGUCAGGCAAGUUGCCCCGGCAAGGCUCUCGCCGGGGCUGAGGAGGCCGUCCCGGCAAGGGUCUUGCCGGGGGAGUCCACCUCGCCCUCUUGCCCUUUGUGUCUCUGGUCUUGGCAUUGCCAUGGCUGUCUUGUGCUCCGGCUUCCCUCCUCUGCCCUGCUAAGUGUGGCCGUGGGCGCGGCUCUGACUACCAGUGCACAAGUAAAGGGGUCAAAAGGAGAGCCCCUAGUUUUAUACACCGACAUGUAUCCUCCCAGAAUCUCGUAGAAGUACCGUUACUGAUCACAAGCUUUGUCUGAUUGAAAAAAAUGGAUUUAACUCUCAUCAGUCCUUUCCAAAAGGGCUAGUCCAUUGGCCUCACUGUGACCUGGGAUAAAGUUCUGGAAUGAAGGUACUUAUUACGCAGUAUUUGUGCCCAUGUAGCCCCCGUCUCGCUAGAUAGCUUAUACAGCCAUUUGCUGAGAAGACAUAUGUUCUUCACCUUAAGAUUUUUGAUACCUAGACCCCCUUGGUCUUUGGGUCGACAAAUAAUAUCCCAUUUAGCGAGUAUACUUUCUCUUCAGAUCAUCACUUUGCCAGAAGAAACGGGAUCGAUAGAAAUCUAGUCUUUUCCGAACUCCAACUGGUACCUCGAAAAAAGACAAGAGAAACAUGGGCAUGCUCGUGAGAACCGAAUUAAUAAGAAUUAAACGGCCUCCAUAUGACAUGAGUUUGCCAUUCCAGCAACUGAGUUUCUUCUCAAAUCGAUCCUCAGUGCACUUCCAUUCUCUCUUUGUUAGCUUACGAUGGUGAAUUGGUAUGCCCAAUUAAGUGAAAGGCAAAGCCCCCAAUUCGCAUCCGAACAAUUGCUUAUAUGCCUCUUGUUCCUCAUUGGCUCUUCCAAAAUUGUAUAAUUCGCUCUUGUGGAAAUUAAUUUUUAGUCCGGUCAAUUGUUCGAAUAAGCAUAACACCAGCUUCAUAUUUCUCGUUUUUGCCAAGUCAUGGUCCAUGAAGAUGAUAGUAUCAUCGGCGUACUGUAGGACAGACACACCUCCAUCCACUAGAUGAGGUACCACAGGAGAGCACCUGCGAUAAUUAUAUCAUGCCACACGAGUACAAAGGAUGAAGCAUCUUAGACGUUUGGAAUAGAUUUGGGCAUCACAUACGAUUUAUUUUUCCAAAAAGGUAUGCAUGAUUGGGCUCUAUCUGUAGGAGAUAUGCCCUAGAGGCAGUAAUAACAGUUAUUUUGUAUCUCCAAGUUUGUAAUGAAUGUUUAUGAUCCAUGCUAUAACUGCAAUGAUUCUCGAGUCUACAAUAUCCACGAGGCUCGGAGGGAACUCAUAUGCACGUGUGGUAUUAUAAACGGUAAAAUAUAUUCCUAGUCUUGCCUCUAAGACUAGCUCAAGUAUUGCAUGAUGAUCCUGUUUCCUGAUCAUGGGCAUGACUAUGCCGGCAAUUUUGAGGGCACAAGUUUGGUAGAACGCUUGUGUUGAAUCAACCCGGAUUGAUGUUGUGCUAUGAGAUGCCUUCGUCACAAGUUUAUGGUUAAUAUCAUUGAGAUAGUUAAUGUUUGCAUAAUUCCUUAGACCAUGAGAGUAUCAAGUUCCUUCGUGCUUGCUUCGUGAACUUUGGGGUUUGUUAAACGUCAUCCGUAACUUGGUGGCUAUUAUGGCAGCUUUCGGGUUCACGGAAAAGUAUAGGAAGUAACAAGAUAGCUCAAGAUUGGGAUUUGCUCCUCCGACGAUGGAGAGAUAUACUCGGGCCCUCUCAGUGUAACGGUAUCCAUCAUCGUCUGGCCAGACACAUUGUGAUUUGAUCACUGGGAUGCCGGAACACGGAAACGAGAAAAGAGAACAAAACCGGUAACGAGGUAACUUGCAUGGUGGACAAAUUGUUCGUCCAUGGGCAUGCAAUAAAUCUCACCUCGGGUGUUUGUGACAUAUCGCGAAGCAACAGGAAUAGCUCACUACAACUAGAGGUUCACUCGAAUAUUCAUUCGUGUGGGUAUAGGGGUCAAUAUGGGUGUCCACGGCUCCGAUGUUGAUCAUUGAUCGGAAGGGGUUCCAGGUCAUGUCUAUACUUCACCGAACCUAUAGGGUCACACGCUUAGGGGUCAUCUAUCUGUUGAAUACUAGACAGGGAGUCUGAGAGAAAAUCACCGAAAAAGUUUCGGACACCGAAAAGUUUCGGACAGCGGAAUCGUACCGCAGAGAGAGGUCAUCGGAUAAGUUUCGAUGAUACCGAAAAGUUGUUUCGGGAUACACCAUUAAGUCAAAUUGGUUUCGGCACAUGCCUGAUAAUUCUUGGAGGAUGCCAGAAUCAUUCUGGAAGCUUUUUGGAAUUUUCUGACAUAAAAACCGGAAAUGUUCCGGAGCUGCCGGAGCCACUUCAGAUGCGUUUCGCAGAUGAAAAUCACUAAAACCGGAAUUGUUUCGGAACGCGUUGAAAAACAUUUUAGUGGGUACUGGAAAUGUUCUUAGCCCACAUAAAUAUUUUCAGUUCGAUCAGACGCUGAAAAAUGUCGUCGUGAAUAGUGAAAAUCAGCUUUAUGGUUACUUUAUGGAAAGCCACCUUUUGGGGCUUUGCUCCAAAAGAUCUUGGGGAUGACAUGGAUGGAUAGGACCCAUUUUUUGGGCCCCUCAUGGGGGUGUGGCCGGCCACAUGGGGUAUCCCCCCUUGGGGACCCUUUUGUUCAUUGGUUUCACUUCUAGGUCCUUGUGGAAGGACUUCAUUCAUGUGCAUUUUGGGUUUUUGUGUGAAACUACCCUACCCCUUGGGAUUUCCUAUAAAUAGAGGUGGAGGGGCAGCCCUCCACACUCAUCCCUUGCUCUCAUACACAUGCCAUGCAUUAUCUGGCUUCUUCUCUCCCUCCCACGAAAAGAGUUUCGUAGAGCCGUAAGGCUGUCUGGGUUCCGGCAGGAACUAGUUCUGGACGGCGAAGCCCUGCCGGAUAGCUGACACCGUAUGUGUGCAACCCCGUAGAGAGAUUGUAGUUUCGAUCUUUUGCCCGAGGGGCUGUUCGAGUGUCCUCCCGAAGGGCUGUCCGAGUCUCCGUCCGAGUUUCGAGGGUCCUCCCGAAGGGCUGUCCGCGACAUUGUCCGGGGGACUGUCCGACCGCCUCCCGAAGGGCUGUCCGGAGAGGGAGUACAUCCUCGCGGUUGGGAGGUUGUAAAUCCUAGCUGCGGGGAUCUGCACCGACGAUCUACACCGACUCUUCUUCCGCUGCGCUUCGAGUCGGUACGGAUCAGAUCAAACCUUGUAUGCAGUCUCCAUAGUGGUCCUGGGCGUGCUCGCUAUACCGAAAAUUUUCGUUUUCUGUCGCGUUCCCCUACAGUGGCAUCAAGAGCCGUGCUAUGCGUAGAUGCAGGUUACGAUCUAGAAUACAUGGAGAUGUAUGGGUAUUGCAUAAUAUAAUUUUGGAGUAGAUGAGAUGUAUUGCUGAAAAUUAUUUAUGCGGGUGACAGAUGAAAUCUGUUACCCGACGUUCUUGUUGCUUCCCUAGAAUUUGCGUUUGCUCAAUCUCGAGACAGGAUGGUGGAAUUUGACAAAGUUCUGGCAAUCCGUGAUCCUGAUUGAUCAUGGAAGUGCUAUCAGUUCUUUGGGUUCUGCCAUAGUCAAAAGAAAGAUGAAAUUCGCAGAUGAAAGGGCAUUGCAGAUAUGAUCUGCACGGGGGUCAUGCGUAUGACGAAGUUUAGUAUGGGGCUCGAGAUUUAAUUAUCUCGUGUUUCAUACACCCCGAGAUGUUAAUCUAGCAACUUGAAUAAUCAUACUUGAUGAUAAAACGUUGGUAGCUGCGGUUUAAGUCAAAACCUUAGAAGCCACGUAAAAUAAAAUUUUGCAUAAACCGAUUAGAGGCGUCUAACUUGGUUUUGCAGGAUGUGCAUGUGAUGUGGUAUAGCAAUGCUCAUAUUCAAUUUGAUUAUGUAUGAGAUGACUAUAUGAUGUAACUAACAUGACCUGCGUGUCAUGAUUCUGCAUGAUGGCUGGAGCCAUAUGAUUGCACUUUAAUGACCUGCGUGUCAACCUUAAGUAAUGCACUUAUUUUAUUAGCUAUAGAGAUAGCAAUAUUAUCUGGUGCAUCGACAAGGUGGUGGCAAUCUUCGCGAAGGUGAACACCGACGCAAAUGCCGAAGACGAAGAAUUGAAAGACUUCUCCGUCAGAAAGGGCUAUACCAUAUCAUGCUAAUUAUGAAUUGCCUGAGAUGUUUAUCCCCUAUGAUGCACCCUUCUUGAUUGCGCGGUAGUCGCUUUUAUUAGGGUGAUCUCUCACUUAAAAAUAUCAAGUAGAUAGUGUUCUCCCAAGUGUAGCACCGUCACGGCACCUAUCGUUUCGGGGUGCGCCGUGUCACACGGGUACGAACGAUUAGAGAAGUGUGAGGCGGGUGAGUUGAGACCUCGCAGCGAGAUCACUUGGUUGUCUUGACGUUCAGGCAUGACCGUCAUGAGCUCGGAACACACGCAUCGAAAGAUGAACAAGAGUCACAUAGUGAUGUGAUUGGCAAGUUGGCCUACCGGUUAAGAUUUUCGUCAUCAGUGGUGUUACACCAAUGGCGAACAAUCAAGACACGGAUCUUGAAUCACUCAUAAUCAAUUUUGAGAGAUAUUGAUUUGAGUGGGAGUGCAUUUUAGAAUAAAAUGUUUAUUCACUAGUGCAAAUUUCAUUAUAAACAAAGUCUAAGUGAAACUUGUGUCUUCGUUGUAGAUCAAAUGGCUCGCAACACCGCGUUCAACUUAGGCCCGAUGUUAGAGAAAGAGAAGUUAGCUACGACUGGAAACAACUAUGCGGACUGGGCCCGUAACCUGAGGAUUGUCCUCAGGAGCGCUAAGAAAUUGUACGUGCUUGAAACUGCUCUUCCAGCUAAACCGGCGGCAGAUGCACCGGUAGAUGAACAAAAUGUCUGGGCCACUAAGGAUGAUGAUCACAACUUAGUGCAGUGCCUCAUGCUAGCUUGCAUGAGUCCAGGGCUUCAAAAACGUUUUGAAUUCCAUAAAGCCCGUGAUAUGAUCCGGGAAUUGGAUGCUCUGUACAAGGAAACCGCAAAGUCUGAACGAUAUGAUAUCAUGAAGGCUUGGAUGGAUUGCAAGAUGGCUGAGGGUAGUUCAGUUGGCGAACACGUGGUCAAAAUGAUUGGCUAUUCUGAAAGGCUUAAAGCCCUAGAAUUUCCACUUCCACCUGGCCAUAUGAUGGACAUGUUGCUUUCUUCACUCCCCCCGUCUUACGACGGUUUUGUCAUGAACUACAACAUGACAGGGAUGGAGAAGACGCCGAAAGAAGUGCUCGCCAUGCUGAAAACUACAGAAGGAGGACUGCGGAAAAAUCGCAAGUAAGUGUUGCUUGUGAAUAAAACCGCCUGUUUCAAAAAGAAGAAAGGCAAGCCAAAGAAGGGCAAGGGCACCGGUAAGACCGGCUCCCAAAGCAACUCUAAGGGCGGAGCCAAGAAUGAAACUGAGUGCUUCUACUGCAAGGGCACAGGACACUGGAAGAGAAACUGCAAGAAGUAUCUGGAAGAUAAGAAGACCGGGAAAACCGGAAAAGGUAUAAUUGUUAUACAAGUUAAUGUCAUUGACGUUUUGCUUGCUAGCGAAAACUCUAAGUCUUGGGUAUUUGAUACCGGAUCGGUUGCUCACAUUUGCAACUCGAUACAGGGACUUCAGAAGGUGCGCAAGCUAGCAAAGAAUGAAGUCGUGAUGCGCGUCGGGAACGGCGCUGGGAUCGCCGCUCAAGCCGUCGGCAUUAUGCCUCUACGUCUCCCUUCAGGAUUUAUCUUAGAACUAAGUAACUGUUAUUUUGUUCCACUGUUGUGUAGAAACAUUAUCUCCGGAUCAUGUUUGGUACACGAUGGGUAUUCGUACAAGUCUGAGAACAAUGGUUGUUCACUUUAUUGUAAGGAUAUGUUUUAUGGAUUUGCACCCAUUGUUGGGGGCCUUUUCAUACUAAAUCUUGAAUGUGGAAGUGAUGUCUUUAACAUGAAUGCUAAACGCCUUAAGAAGGCUGAUACCACCACCACUUUCAUGUGGCACUGUCGCCUUGGCCACAUCGGUAAGAAACGCAUGCAAAGACUCCAUAAAGAUGGAGUUUUACCGUCCCUUGAUUUUGAAUCAUUUGACACAUGUGAAGCUUGCCUGAUGGGGAAAAUGACCAAGACGCCGUUCACGGGUCAUCCUGAACGGGCGGGUGAAUUAUUGGAAAUAAUACAUAGUGAUGUAUGUGGUCCAAUGAACACAGGCGCACGGGGUGGAUAUUUUUACUUCGUGACUUUUACUGAUGAUUUGAGUAGGUAUGGCUAUAUCUACUUAAUGAAGCAUAAAUCGGAAACCUUUGAAAAGUUCAAAGAAUUUCAGAAUGAGGUAGAAAAUCAUCGUAACAAAAAGAUUAAGUUUCUGCGGUCUGAUCGCGGAGGCGAAUAUCUUAGUCAUGAGUUUGGCCAACAUCUGAGUGAUCGUGGAAUCGUUUCACAGCUUACGCCUCCCGGAACUCCACAGAGAAAUGGAGUAUCGGAACGACGUAACCGAACCUUGUUGGACAUGGUAAGGUCAAUGAUGUCUCUUACAAAUCUUCCAAUAUCUUUUUGGGGUCACGCACUACUUACUGCUGCUCACACACUAAACAAAGCACCGUCUAAAUCUGUUGAGACGACGCCACAUGAGAUGUGGCACGGGAAGAAACCCGACCUGUCGUUUUUCAAAAUUUGGGGUUGUGAAGCUUAUGUAAAACGUUUACAGCCAAGCAAGCUUGAUCCCAGAUCAGACAAAUGUUACUUUGUAGGUUAUCCCAAGGAGACAGUUGGGUAUUCUUUCUACCACGCCUCCGAGAAUAAAGUGUUUGUUGCAAAACAUGGAGUCUUUCUUGAGAAAGAGUUUCUCACUAAAGAAGUGAGUGGGAGGACAAUACAACUCAAUGAGAUUAGUGAAUCUUCGGGAACCGUUGAUAUGGCUAAGGAACCGGAAGAAAUUCCGCUAAUUAUCCCUACAACCGAGCCGGAAGUUGUCGCAUGUGAUGCGGAGACUUCAGACAAUGUUGUAACUGAACCGCGCAGAUCAGGUAGGGCUAUCCAGCCACCUGAGUGGUUUCAUAACGAAAUCUUCAUUCUUGAAGACGAUGAACCUGCGCACUACAAGGAAGCGAUGGCGGGGCCCAGCUCAAAAGAAUGGCACAAAGCCAUGAGAUCCGAAAUGGAAUCCAUGUACGAAAACCAAGUUUGGAACUUGGAAGAACUUCCAGAAGGCAUAAAGCCCAUUGGUUGUAAAAUGGAUUUUCAAAAGAAAGACGGACGCGGAUGGUAACAUUACUAUCCACAAAGCUAGACUUGUCGCGAAAGGGUUCACACAAGUUCCAGGAGUGGACUACGACGAGACUUUCUCGCCAGUAGCUAUGCUUAGGUCUGUUCGGAUAUUGCUAGCAAUUGCUGCUUAUUUCGACUAUGAAAUAUGGCAGAUGGAUGUCAAAACGGCUUUCCUAAAUGGAAACCUCAAAGAGGAUGUAUACAUGAUACAGCCAGAAGGUUUUGUCAUUCAUGAGGAUGCUGGAAAGGUAUGCAAACUUCAGAAAGCCAUUUAUGGUCUGAAGCAAGCAUCAAGGAGCUGGAACAUUCGUUUUGAUGAAGUGGUCAAAGAGUUUGGCUUCAUCAUGAAUGAUGAAGAAUCUUGUGUUUACAAGAAGUUUAGUGGGAGCGCAAAAGCAUUUCUAAUCUUGUAUGUGGAUGACAUAUUGUUGAUUGGAAAUGACGUGAAUUUUCUUAGCGAAAUAAAAGACUCAUUGAAGAAAAGUUUUUCAAUGAAAGACUUAGGCGAAGCGGCAUAUGUAUUAGGCAUCAGGAUCUAUAGAGAUAGAUCAAAACGCCUGAUAGCGCUUAGCCAAAGCACGUACAUUGACAAGGUGUUGAAAAGGUUCAACAUGGAGAACUCCAAGAAAGGCCUACUCCCCAUGUCACCUGGCACAGUGCUUUGCAAGAAUCAGAGUCCUCGGACUCUGGAUGAGCGAGUACAAAUGAAUGAUGUUCCAUAUGCCUCGGCAGUUGGUUCUAUUAUGUAUGCCAUGCUAUGUACAAGACCAGAUGUUUCCUAUGCGCUAAGUGUUAGCAGCCGGUACCAAAGUGAUCCAGGGUUGGAACACUGGGCCGCAGUCAAGGGUAUUCUUAAGUACCUCAGAAGGACCAAGGAUUUACUCCUUGUGUACGGAGGUGAUGAAGAGCUCAUUGUAAGUGGUUACAAUGAUGCAGGCUUCAUGACUGACCCAGAUGACUUCAAAUCUCAAUCAGGCUACGUUUUCAUAUUGAACGGCGGCGCAGUUGAUUGGAAAAGUUCCAAACAAAAGACUGUGGCGGAUUCUACGACGGAGGCGGAAUAUGUUGCUGCUUCAGAAGCCUCCAAGGAGGCGGUAUGGAUCAAACAAUUUCUUGAAGACCUUGGUGUGGUUCGUAGUGCCCAGGACCCGGUGGAGAUCUAUUGUGAUAAUAGUGGCGCCGUGGCUCAGGCAAGGGAGCCAAGUUCGAACCAUAAGACAAGACAUAUUCAACGCAAAUAUAAACUCAUUCGACAUCAUGUCGAAGAGGGUUUAGUGAAAGUACGCAAAGUUCACACGGAUCUGAACGUGUCAGACCCGAUGACAAAGCCUCUACCACGAGCAAAACAUGAGCAACACCGGAUAGCCAUUGGUGUUAGGGAAGCCAUGUAACUGGAUUAUGACUCUAGUGCAAGUGGGAGUCUGUAGGAGAUAUGCCCUAGAGGCAGUAAUAACAGUUAUUUUGUAUCUCCAAGUUUGUAAUGAACGUUUAUGAUCCAUGCUAUAACUGCAAUGAUUCUCGAGUCUACAAUAUCCACGAGGCUCGGAGGGAACUCAUAUGCACGUGUGGUAUUAUAAACGGUAAAAUAUAUUCCUAGUCUUGCCUCUAAGACUAGCUCAAGUAUUGCAUGAUGAUCCUGUUUCCUGAUUAUGGGCAUGACUAUGCCGGCAAUUUUGAGGGCACAAGUUUGGUAGAACGCUUGUGUUGAAUCAACCCGGAUUGAUGUUGUGCUAUGAGAUACCUUCGUCACAAGUUUAUGGUUAAUAUCAUUGAGAUAGUUAAUGUUUGCAUAAUUCCUUAGACCAUGAGAGUAUCAAGUUCCUUCGUGCUUGCUUCGUGAACUUUGGGGUUUGUUAAACGUCAUCCGUAACUGGGUGGCUAUUACGGCAGCUUUCGGGUUCACGGAAAAGUAUAGGAAGUAACAAGAUAGCUCAAGAUUGGGAUUUGCUCCUCCGACGAUGGAGAGAUAUACUCGGGCCCUCUCGGUGUAACGGUAUCCAUCAUCGUCUGGCCAGACACAUUGUGAUUUGAUCACUAGGAUGCCGGAACACGGAAACGAGAAAAGAGAACAAAACCGGUAACGAGGUAACUUGCAUGGUGGACAAAUUGUUCGUCCAUGGGCAUGCAAUAAAUCUCACCUCGGGUGUUUGUGACAUAUCGCGAAGCAACAGGAAUAGCUCACUGCAACUGGAGGUUCACUCGAAUAUUCAUUCGUGUGGGUAUAGGGGUCAAUAUGGGUGUCCACGGCUCCGAUGUUGAUAAUUGAUCGGAAGGGGUUCCAGGUCAUGUCUAUACUUCACCGAACCUAUAGGGUCACACGCUUAGGGGUCAUCUAUCUGUUGAAUACUAGACAGGGAGUCUGAGAGAAAAUCACCGAAAAAGUUUCGGACACCGAAAAGUUUCGGACAGCGGAAUCGUACCGCAGAGAGAGGUCAUCGGAUAAGUUUCGAUGAUACCGAAAAGUUGUUUCGGGAUACACCAUUAAGUCAAAUUGGUUUCGGCACAUGCCUGAUAAUUCUUGGAGGAUGCCAGAAUCAUUCUGGAAGCUUUUUGGAAUUUUCUGACAUAAAAACCGGAAAUGUUCCGGAGCUGCCGGAGCCACUUCAGAUGCGUUUCGCAGAUGAAAAUCACUAAAACCGGAAUUGUUUCGGAACGCGUUGAAAAACAUUUUAGUGGGUACUGGAAAUGUUCUUAGCCCACAUAAAUAUUUUCAGUUCGAUCAGACGCUGAAAAAUGUCGUCGUGAAUAGUGAAAAUCAGCUUUAUGGUUACUUUAUGGAAAGCCACCUUUUGGGGCUUUGCUCCAAAAGAUCUUGGGGAUGACAUGGAUGGAUAGGACCCAUUUUUUGGGCCCCUCAUGGGGGUGUGGCCGGCCACAUGGGGUAUCCCCCCUUGGGGACCCUUUUGUUCAUUGGUUUCACUUCUAGGUCCUUGUGGAAGGACUUCAUUCAUGUGCAUUUUGGGUUUUUGUGUGAAACUACCCUACCCCUUGGGAUUUCCUAUAAAUAGAGGUGGAGGGGCAGCCCUCCACACUCAUCCCUUGCUCUCAUACACAUGCCAUGCAUUAUCUGGCUUCUUCUCUCCCUCCCACGAAAAGAGUUUUGUAGAGCCGUAAGGCUGUCUGGGUUCCGGCAGGAACUAGUUCUGGACGGCGAAGCCCUGCCGGAUAGCUGAAACCGUAUGUGUGCAACCCCGUAGAGAGAUUGUAGUUUCGACCUUUUGCCCGAGGGGCUGUUCGAGUGUCCUCCCGAAGGGCUGUCCGAGUCUCCGUCCGAGUUUCGAGGGUCCUCCCGAAGGGCUGUCCGCGACAUUGUCCGGGGGACUGUCCGACCGCCUCCCGAAGGGCUGUCCGGAGAGGGAGUACAUCCUCGCGGUUGGGAGGUUGUAAAUCCUAGCUGCGGGGAUCUGCACCGACGAUCUACACCGAUUCUUCUUCCGCUGCGCUUCGAGUCGGUACGGAUCAGAUCAAACCUUGUAUGCAGUCUCCAUAGUGGUCCUGGGCGUGCUCGCUAUACCGAAAAUUUUCGUUUUCUGUCGCGUUCCCCUACACUAUCGCAGCCGGUUAACUUGCGUUGUGUGUGAUGGACACCCUUUUCGCACACCUUCACACAGCGAUGCAUCAAAGGUACGUGAGCAAAAGGGGUUUUUAACCGUUUGUGUUGGACUUGCGUGCACUAGUGUGACAUGCGUUACUUAACCUAGCUUUUGUUUAGUUUAGUUAAAUUUCAAGUAGUUUUUUAUGUAACUUGUUAAAUUUUAUCAUAUAUGCAUAUAUGUAAUAUAUCGUACUAGGUUUAUUUUCAUUCGUAAUUCAUUUGAAAUGUGUUCCGAACCGGGGGGUGGUAGUUAAAUGCAGAAAAAACACCACAAUAGCCAUCUCAUUAGCAAAAACAACCACUUUACAAUUUGUGGCAAAAAGGACGACACGCAACAACGGACAGUGGCAAAAGAGCCGGUCGGGACCGGCUCUUUCAAAAUGUGGGGUCCCACUCACCCACUCACUCUCUCACUCACCAGCUCUCGCUCACACUCGACGCCGGUGCCGCUCCUGCUUGACGCUGCCACACAAUGCAUUCAUGGAAUGACGAAGAGGAGAGCAGCAAGGAUGCCCUCAAGUACAGCAGCAUGGAUAUGGAUUUGUGGGUAAGUUUCAGCGCUCAAUAACUAGACGUUUGGAUUAGGGUUAGUGUUUGGAUUUGGGGAUUUAGGGUUUGUGCUCGUUUCCAGCCUUAUUGAAAGGAUUUGUUAGUUAAUUUAGAUAUUGUCAAUGCAGGAGAACCCUGAGACCAUUGUGAAUUCAUUUUACUAUGGGACAGUGGCAUUUUCGGCCAUCAAAUCCAAGCUUUACCAGGCAAGAGCCAAAAAAUCUGUUGGUUUUGGUGACAGACACUAGGAGGAAACUUUAUGGCUGCACUGCACAAGUACUCCCUCCGUCCUAUAUUAAUUGAGCUAAAAUGGAUGUAUCUAGUACAUAUGGAUACUUUCAUUUCAACAACAAUUAAUAUGGGACGGGGCAGUAAUUUUAACUUGCCUUGCUGUUUCACCACUUUGCUCUGUAGCUGUUUGAUUUCGCUGUGUAGUUAUCUAUGUAGUGACGAGUCAUCUGAACUUAGUUGUAUCUUGUUCAUUUUGACUGGAUUAAACUUAGUCUUGCUGCUAUUAAAGGUUAGUCUGUAAUUUAGUAAAUCGAAAUUUAACUGAAUUUUGUUGUUCAAGUUCAGUAUGUAGUUUAGUGAAUCAGAAUUUAACGGAAUAUUGUUUUUCAAGUCCAGUCUGUAGCUUGCUGAAUAUGUAUUGUACUGAUUGUUGUUACUCAAGUUCAGUAUGUAGUUAAGUCAAUCUAAAUUGUAGUGUCAUCAUGUAGUAAAAUAGGUAGUAUAUGUGAAAGAAAUAGGCUUGAUUUAUUGUUGUGUAGUUUUGGAAACAAUAAAUUUUGAGAUACUUUUGUCUGUCUGAACAAUAUGUCACUAGUAGAAAACAGGGCUUUGGUUCGGCUAGAAAAGAGCAUUAAUCCCGGUUGCAUUACGAACCGGGACUAAUGUGAGCAUUAGUCCCGGUUCGAGUGGCUAGGGCACCGUACAAGCAUUAGUCCCGGUUCAAAUGGGACCUUUAGUCCCGGUUGGUGCCACGAACCGGGACUAAAGGGUGCGAUGCCCAUUAGUACCGGUUCGUGGCACCAACCGGUACUAAAGGUUAGACCUUUAGUCCCGGUUCGAGCCACCAACCGGUACUAAUGGGGUUUGAGGCAUUAGUACCUGUUCAUGGCACGAACCGGUACUAAAGGUCCCAUUGUCAAACUCUACCCCCACCCUGGAUCGCCUUUUCAGUUUUGUAAAAAGCAAAGAAAAUGAUAAAAACUUCAAAAAUUAAAAUCCUUCCAGAUGUAUAGUUAUGUUACUACAUGUACUAGUUAGGAAAAUUUAAAAACUUAAAUUUGGACAUGUUUUGCAAAAAGUGUAGGAAAAAUGUAAAACGGCUAUAACUUUUGCAUACGAUGUUAGAAAAAAAGUAUAAUAUAUCAAAAUGUUCAGCACGAAAAUCCGAAUCCGAUUUUGACCGCAUAUGACCCGUUUGCAAAUGUUUAGAAUCCUCAAAUUCUAAAAGGAAAAAAAGUUAUGCUCAAAUUUCUGUUUUUUUUAAUUUUUGUUAAAUCUGGUCAAACUACUUAUUCAAGAAGUAUUAAUGUUACUAAAUAAAUAUUCAAGAAUAUUAGUGUUACUAAAUAAUUAUUUCAGUUUUUUUGAAUUUUCGUCAAAUCUGGUCAAACUAUGGUCAAACUAAUUAUUCAAGAAAUAUUAGUGUUACUAAAUAAUUAUUUCGGUUGUUUUGAAUUUUGGUCAAAUCUGGUCAAACUGUGGUCAAACUGUGGUCGAACUAUGGUCAAACUACUUAUUCAAGAAAUAUUAGUGUUACUAAAUAAUUAUUGUUUUUUAGAACAAUAGUUUCAAACUCAAACAGUGAAAUGUGUGACUUCAUGCUCAAGCUAAGUUCCUGGGGGUUAAUAGGAUUGACAUCUUACUAUUGUCAGGAAAACAACAAGUGCAGACUUGGAAACGAGGGAGAAUAGAACCCGGAAGUUAAGCGUGCUCAGGCUGGAGUAGUGAGAGGAUGGGUGACCGUCCGGGAAGUUAGAUGAUUUGGAAUGAUGAGGGGUGAUUAGGGGUGACAAGUUUUUGAUUACUUGUCCGGUAAGUAUACGAAUUAGAAACCGAGUCGGUUUGGGAUUGUGGUCGCGACACAAUACCGCCUCUGGUCCUAAUAUAUAUACAGCUACCGGCUGCGGCCAGAGACACACCGAAAAACACCUAGGGUUUUGCCUCAUCUCACAACCUGCGCCGCCAUUGUAGUCUACUCCAUCCCAAACGCCGGCGUGCAUCGACGCGUGGGAGAGCAGGUCUCCGGAACCGUUCGUCUUUGCGAUCCUGCACCGGGAGAGGACGAAUUAGGUUUAUGGGAAGCGUUGUGCGCGACUGCUCAAAUUCGUCAUCACGGGUCGUCUUCCGUCCAAGUCGGGCGGUGCUACUCAUCGUCGUAUUCAUCGCCGUCAGCAGCAGAUCGUCACCAACAUCGUCAUCAACACUGUCACACCCUUAAUAGCUAACGAUCAGUACGUCCGACAUCCUCUGUUCAUGUCUGCUUCUACAGCUAUUGUUACGUGUUUGCUGCUGUUAUGCAUGUCUUGCUGUUCUUCUAGUUUGCUAGAUUAUUGCAUGCUAGUAUCUCUUCUAGUCAUGAAUUAUUUACUGGAAUCAAUCAUGAACUUGCCUAAUAUUCCAACAAUCCAAAAACCUAAUUAUAGGCAAUUUCCUGAGUUAACUAUGGCUGGAUUCGCUGAUGCACUGAGGCCGGAUAAGUUUACCGGUGUGCACUUUAAGAGGUGGCAGUUGAAGACCACGCUCUGGCUUACUGGUCUGAAAGUUUUCCACGCUAGUGUUGGUGCUCCAGAGGGAAUGACCGACGAAGAUCGGAGAAAAUUCCAGGAAGCCAAUACUAUGUUUGUGGGAUGCAUUCUGAGUGUUCUUGCUGACUGUCUGUGUGAUGUGUACAUGCACAUAAAUGACGGAAAGAUUCUGUGGGAUGCACUGAAUGCAAAAUUCGGUGCAACAGAUGCAGGCAGUGAACUGUACAUCAUGGAGAGUUUUCAUGACUACAAGAUGGUGAAUAACCGUUCUGUGGUUGAACAAGCUCAUGAGAUACAGUGCAUUGUGAAGGAACUUGAACUCCUUAAAUGUGUUCUACCUGACAAAUUCGUGGCUGGGCGCAUGAUUGCAAAGUUGCCUCCUUCAUGGAGGAAUUUCGCCACAACUCUGAAGCAUAAGAGACAGGAGAUAUCAGUUGAAAAUCUGAUUGCAUCUCUUGAUGUUGAAGAAAAAGCUCGGGCUAAAGAUACUACUGAAAAAGGAGGUGAGGUUCAGCCUACUGCUAACAUGGUGCAGAGGUACCCACAGAACAAGAACAAAGGGAAGAACAAACCUGUUUUCAACAAGCCUACCAAGACUACUACCUUCAAGAAGAAGAAGUUCAACAAGGCUGAGCUAGAGUGCUACGCCUGUGGGAAGCCUGGACACUUUUCCAAGGAAUGCCCUGAACAUGCAGACCGCAGAGGGAAAAUAAGCUCCAAGACUGUCAACAUGGUGACCGCUAGCAAUACUGAUGGGUAUGGUAAUUUACCUAUUGUGCUUUCAGUAUUUCAAUCAUCUUCGUGGUGGAUUGAUUCGGGUGCUAACGUUCAUGUGUGUGCUGACAUCUCCCUAUUUACUUCUUAUCAGGUCGCAAGGGAUUCUUCCGUCCUAAUGGGGAAUGGGUCACAUGCUUCGGGAAAGAUCGUGCAACUAAGGAACGUGCAGCAUGUCCCUACUAUGAACAAGAAUCUAGUUAGCGUCUCCCUUCUAUGUCGAGAUGGAUUUAAGGUAGUUUUAGAGUCCAAUAAAGUAAUCGUGUCAAGAUUUGGACAAUUUAUAGGAAAAGGCUACGAGUGUGGAGGCUUGUUCCGCUUUUCUCUUUCAGAUUUUUGCAAUAAGUCAAUAAACCAAAUUUGUGCUAGUGAUAAUGAUGAUGCAAGUAUUUGGCACUCUCGUUUAUGUCAUAUUAAUUUUGGUUUAAUGUCUCGGCUAUCCAGCAUGAGUUUAAUUCCGAACUUCAGAGUUGCCAAAGGUUCUAAGUGCCAUAGUUGUGUGCAAUCUAUGCAACCUCGAAAGCCUCAUAAGGCCGCCGAGGAGAGAAACUUGGCACCUCAAGAACUCAUACAUUCUGAUCUUUGUGAGAUGAAUGGUGUGUUGACAAAAGGUGGAAAGAGAUAUUUCAUGACUUUGAUUGAUGAUGCGACUAGAUUUUGCUAUGUUUAUUUGUUGCAAACUAAAGAUGAAGCAUUAGACUACUUUAAAAUCUAUAAAGCUGAAGUUGAAAAUCAACUAGAGAGAAAGAUCAAGCGUCUUAGGUCCGAUCAUGGUGGAGAGUAUUUUCCAAAAGUUUUUGAUGAAUUUUGUGAGGAACAUGGUAUUAUUCAUGAGAGGACGCCUCCCUAUUCACCUCAAUCAAAUGGAGUGGCCGAGAGGAAAAACCGCACAUUGACUAACUUGGUGAAUGCCAUGUUAGACACUGCUGGUUUAUCUAAGGCAUGGUGGGGGGAGGCUCUAUUGACUUCAUGUCAUGUCCUGAAUAGAGUUCCCAACAAUAAUAAGGAGAAAACCCCUUAUGAGGAGUGGGUUGGGAGAAAACCAUCACUUUCUUAUUUGCGCACUUGGGGAUGUUUGGCAAAGGUCAAUAUUCCUAUUCCUAAGAAACGCAAACUUGGACCAAAGACAGUGGAUUGUGUCUUUCUAGGGUAUGCUCAACGGAGCAUUGCUUAUAGGGUUUUAGUGGUAAAAUCUGAAGUUCCUGAUAUGCAUGUUGAUACUAUAAUGGAAUCUCGUGAUGCAACAUUUUUUGAGAACAUAUUUCCUAUGAAAGAUAUGCAUAGCAUUGCUAGAUUUUCUUCUGAGAUAAUUCCUGUAUCUAGUACAACUGAUGAAUAUUUCGAACAAUCACAUGAGGAAGUCCUUGAGAAGGAUAACAAUGAAGUUCCUAGAAGGAACAAGAGACAAAGGAUUGCAAAAUCCUUUGGUGAUGAUUUCAUUGUAUACCUUGUGGACGACACACCCAAGACGAUUGCAGAAGCAUAUGCAUCUCCGGAUGUAGAUGAUUGGAAAGAAGCUGUUCAUAAUGAGAUGGACUCAAUUAUUUCUAAUGGAACUUGGGAACUAACUGAUAGACCAUAUGGUUGUAAACCUGUGGGCUGUAAGUGGGUGUUCAAAAAGAAGCUCAAGCCUGAUGGUACUAUUGAUAAGUACAAGGCGCGGCUAGUGGCCAAGGGCUACACUCAGAAAGAAGGCGAAGAUUACUUUGACACCUAUUCACCCGUUGCUAGAAUGACCACCAUUCGAGUGUUACUUUCCUUGGCUGCCUCUUAUGGUCUUAUCAUUCAUCAAAUGGAUGUAAAGACAGCUUUUCUCAAUGGAGAGUUGGAAGAGGAGAUCUAUAUGGAUCAGCCUGACGGGUUUGUGGUUAAGGGUGAAGAGAGAAAGGUGUGCAAGUUGUUAAAAUCUUUGUAUGGUCUGAAACAGGCACCUAAGCAAUGGCAUGAGAAGUUUGAAAGAACUCUGACUUCUGCAGGAUUUGUCAUUAACGAGGCUGAUAGGUGUGUUUACUAUCGCCAUGGUGGGGGCAAUAGUGUCAUAUUAUGUUUGUAUGUGGACGACAUACUGAUCUUUGGUACAAACAUUAAUGCAAUUAAUGAGGUCAAGUCUUUUCUAUCAAAAAGUUUUGACAUGAAAGAUCUGGGAGAAGCCGAUGUAAUUCUAAACAUCAAACUUAUUAAGGAUGAGAGUGGGAUUACAUUAACGCAAUCUCACUAUGUUGAGAAGGUCUUGAACCGAUUCGGUUUUAUGGAUAGCAAGCCUUCUCCAACACCUUAUGAUCCCAGCGUGACACUCAGAAAGAACAAGAAAGAAACGAGAGAUCAAUUAAGAUACUCUCAAAUUGUCGGUUCACUCAUGUACUUAGCUAGCGCUACAAGACCAGAUAUCUCUUUUGCUGUGAGCAAACUGAGUAGGUUCAUGUCCAACCCGGGUGAUGAUCAUUGGCAUGCACUAGAAAGGGUCUUACGCUAUCUGAGAGGUACUAUGAGUUACGGAAUUACUUAUUCAGGGCAUCCUGCUGUGCUAGAAGGAUAUAGUGAUUCAAAUUGGAUCUCCGAUGUUGAUGUACUUUACGCAACAAGUGGGUAUGUAUUUACUCAUGGUGGUGGCGCAGUGUCAUGGAGGUCUUGCAAGCAAACCAUAUUGACGAGGUCAACUAUGGAAGCAGAAUUAACUGCUUUGGACACAGCUACUGUUGAGGCAGAAUGGCUGCGUGAGCUCUUGAUGGACUUGCCGAUUGUUGAAAAACCUGUACCGGCUAUUCUUAUGAAUUGUGAUAACCAAACGGUUAUCGCUAAAGUGAACAAUUCUAAAGAUAAUGCAAAGUCAUCAAGACACGUGAAAAGACGUUUGAAGUCUGUCAGGAAGUUGAGAAACUCCGGAGUAAUAACUGUUACAUAUAUACAAACAGACAAAAACCUGGCAGAUCCCUUUACAAAGGGACUAUCACGAAAUGUGAUAGAUAUUGCAUCGAGGGAGAUGGGUAUGAGACCCAUAGAUGUUACACCAUAGUACUAACCCAACCUUUGUGAUCGGAGAUCCCGUGAAUUAGGAUCUGGGAAGAACAAGCUAUUGGUUAACUGAGGAGAGUAAUAACUUAUGAUCGUCUCCAAGUGAAGAUGCAAAACUCUCAGAGCUGUAAAGCUCAGAUCUGUAAGGCAGGUUGGCAACAUGCCUUAAUGUGGUUCUAUUGGCUAUAAUUAGCAAAGAUGCUGUCCUACAGAGCAGUCUUGAAAGAACACACCUAUAUGAGUUCUGACUGUAAACGUCGCAGUCUAUGAGAUUUGGGUGAUCUCUAGUAAGCUCACGAAGAGACAAGGGAGUAUGACGUAUAAGCUCCAAACCGCGGGGUAGCCUACUGACGUAUAAGCUUCCUUUUGCCGUUUUAUUUUUAUGUCUUGGCAUACAAGUUUUUUAUUACUUGUCCGGUAAGUAUACGAAUUAGAAACCGAGUCGGUUUGGGAUUGUGGUCGCGACACAAUACCGCCUCUGGUCCUAAUAUAUAUACAGCUACCGGCUGCGGCCAGAGACACACCGAAAAACACCUAGGGUUUUGCCUCAUCUCACAACUUGCGCCGCCAUCGUAGUCUACUCCAUCCCAACGCCGGCGUGCAUCGGCGCGUGGGAGAGCAGGUCUCCGGAACCGUUCGUCUUUGCGAUCCUGCACCGGGAGAGGACGAAUUAGGUUUUUGGGAAGCGCUGUGCGCGACUGCUCAAAUUCGUCAUCACGGGUCGUCUUCCGUCCAAGUCGGGCGGUGCUACUCAUCGUCGUAUUCAUCGCCGUCAGCAGCAGAUCAUCGCCAAUAUCGUCAUCAACACUGUCGCACCCAUAUAGCUAACGAUCAUUACGUCCGACAUCCUCUGUUCAUGUCUGCUUCUACAGCUAUUGUUACGUGUUUGUUGUUGUUAUGCAUGUCUUGCUGUUCUUCUAGUUUGCUAGAUUAUUGCAUGCUAGUAUCUCUUCUAGUCAUGAAUUAUUUACUGGAAUUAAUCAUGAACUUGCCUAAUAUUCCCACAGACGCAAUAAUUGUUUUCGGGAUUUUGAAUAAAUCAGAAAAUGAUUUGUUUAAUUCCGAAAAUACUCCAAAAUUUGGAAAAUCAUGGAAAAUAAUCUGUAACUCAGAUGGAGAUAAUUUAUAUAUGAAAAAUUAUCAGGAAAAUAUGAAGAAUCUAUUUAUAGCAUUUUCAUGUAUGUUUGAACAAGUUAAGUUUUCUGUAUAAGACAAUUUGAAUAAAUGUCAUUUUAAAUUCUUAUGUGGAGUUUGAAUUUGAACCUUUGGUUCAAACCAACUUUAUUUAAAUUGUUGCUAGUUGCAUUAGUCCAAACACCAGCAUGCCAUGUCAUGAUCAUGCAUCAUACUGCUGCAUUGCAUUGAUUGUGUUCCCUCUCUGUUGCCGGUGUUUGUUCCUUCUCGAUAGAAGACGAUUCGGACGUUGUGAUCAUUGACACCGAUGAAGAGCUACUAUCUUCAAAGUGUCAGGCAAGCAAAUCCCCUUUGAGCAUUCUGAUACAAUCCCACUCUCUAACUCUUGCUCUCUUUUACUGCAUUAGGACAACAAUGAUUCAACUGUUACAUGUUGUGGUAGUUGAACCCAUUCCUCUGCAUGAUCUGUCUUUGCCACAGUAAAUAGUAAAACCCACUAGCAUGAGUAGGAGUAUUUUGAGCCAUGAUGUGCCUACUCAUUCAUGCUUGCUUGUUAUACCUGCUAUGCUUAGAGUUGUGUCAGGUUUGAUUCAUCUGGGUUGGCUUGGAAUGGUGAUGAACAUGUCCUACUGCUGAGCUCUAAGUGUGUGAACACGAUUUGGUAAAGGUAGCGAUGAGAGGCAAUGUAGGAGUACAUGGUGGGUUGUCUCGUUGAAAUCGUCCUUAGGAACUGAGUUCCGUGUUUGUGAUCCAAGACAGUUACUACCACACAUCGGGUUUCGAUAACUUGACCCCUCUCGACUUACUAAUCGCCUUGAUCUCUAUCUAGGAGUUGUAACUAGUUUCUGGUGUUUGUAGGAUGUGCUGGGGGCUGUACCUAGCGCUGACCGGAGGGGUAGGCUUUGUUACGGUAGGCACCAUGGCACGGUGUAUCAAGCGCAGUACUAUUGGUCGAGGUGGACAUGGGAAUCCUGCACACAUCGUUUGACGCCGUGAUGGAAACUUCGGCCGAACAUCCGUUACGGGUCAGUUCUCAGAUAGGCGAUAAACCUAGACUAGAGUCUUGCGUGGUUAGUCAGGUUGUGGCUGACACCCUCGCUAGGCUUCCGCUUGAAGGUUUCCGAGAUACAUGACGUGUAUAUGGUGUUAAGUGGUGAGAGCGUGUGUGAAGAAAUACACCCCUGCAGGGUAAUAUAAUCUAUUCGGAUAGCCGCGUCCUCGGAUAUGGACUACUUGGAAAGCUUGUAUGGUCCAUAGAUAACCUGAAGUGGAUACUCUAAAUGCGCAAAAUAAGUGUGAGUGCUAUGGAUGGCCUUCUCAUGGGGAGACGGGAGCGGAUCCAUAGUGGUGUAUUGAUAUGGUGAAUAUGUGGACUCACGUGCGCUUUCUCACCUCAAAGAAGUUAUUGGUAGUCAUAGUACAUGAAAGCCACUGAGUCAAAGCUGGCUUGCUGUAGUUAAACUCCACAACCCCAUUGUUGAUACUGAUGCAUAAGUAGAUAGUUCUGAUGUAAGUCUUGCUGAGUACAUUUGUACUCACGUUUGCUUAAUUGAUGUUUUUGCAGAGGAGAUUUCAAUCUCGCUAGUAGUUUCACAUGGGCUUUGACGGUUAGCUUGGGAAUCCCAGACAGAGGUAUGGCUCCUAUGGAGGGUAUUGUAGACAGACAUGCUUCCUAGCCUUCUUUCUUUUCAGCUGUCUAUAUUCAGACAGGUUUAUGCUUCCGCUUGUUGCUUGUAUGACUUUGUAUGUUGGGUCAUGAGACCAAUGUUCGUAAUAUCAUGUUAUGUGUGGCUCUUCAGAGCCUCUUAAAUAAAUACUUGAGUCGUAGAGUUAUAUUGUGACGACAUGUUGUAUCCACACAUAUUUGCAUGUUCUACAUACAUAUGAUGUGUGUUGCAAUGUGUUGGGUCACGAUAAAUCUUCUAUUGGAUUGCUUGAAUCUUUUGAUCUUUUGGUCCAACAAAAUUAUACUGUAAUAAUUAGGUCCAACAGAACAAAUCAGAAAACUUUGCUUGUACCAGACAUGGUUAGGUCCAAUAGAACAAAUGAAUCAUCUCUUCUUGGAGGAUUGUUUAAUUUAUCUUAGAUGUACCAAAAAUGAUCAUUGUGUUGGUCACCAGGAAGCAUCACAAGAUAAUUUAACAUCCAACAUGAAAGAACAUAGAUCUCAAUUCAAACAUCAUGCAAUAACUAACAGACUUCUCAAGUGUAAAUGGAAUCAUCACCACUAUAGCAGCUAUAUUUUGAACACCACGGAAACUCCAAUUUGAAACUGCAUCCUCAUUAAUAGAAACUGGAAAUUAGCUUGUCUAGUUCCAGUUUGAUUUGUUCAUCAACUAAAGAGUUAUAGUUUAAAUGACAAAUUUCACAUCCAAACUACAUAUCACAUCACAAAUUUAGGGUAAUUCAUACAUAGUAUAAAUAUAGGUAGCAUAGUACAGAAGAUCAGUUCCCAUCAAUCAAAUAUAGCAAUAGUCUUUGCAACAAAAUAUAUAAUAUAGACUUUCUUCUUGAGCUCAGCCACUUAGAUCAAUGACAUCAUCCUCUUCAAAAUUCCCUUUGAUAUUUUUCGGCUUGCCCUUGUGAAUUUCCCCAAUUUUAAGAAGCUCAGCUAUGACAUACUCUACCUUCUUAAUAUCUUUCCGGAUAACAUCCAUGUCCUUCAUCAUAGUCUCGAGCUCAUAUAUGUCCUUCUUCAGAACAUCCCUCUUCUUCAUCACAUCAUCCGAAGGGAAAGCUAGCUCCUUCCUAUCCUUUUUUAGGUCAAGGGUCUCCCUCAUGAUCAGAACCAUCUCCUUCUUGAGCCCAUCUUUGUCCACUUUCAGCUUAUCAUUAUCCUUCCUAGUGUUCUUGGUCACUUCUCGCUGAACAACAUGAAUGGCCUUGAGAUCACUGAUUACAUACUGCUUGUUCUCUAGCUGCUUCUGCAGGUCUAUAGAGUCCUCUGACAUCAUUUUUGGUAAUUCUCUUGCCACACCUUUUGGCAUUGCCUGACCCAGUGCUUGUUCCCAUCACUAGCAAACUCAGUGAAUUGGAAGUCCAACUACUUAAUCUUAUCUUUGAGAUUGAGCACUUCCUCUGCAGGAUCAAGCCCUUCCUGGGUUCUAGCAACCAUACACUUUUCAUAUUUUUUCCAGAGCAUGUGAAGUGCCUUUUUCAGGGCUUCGGGCCAGUCCUUCACUACUAGGGAAAACCUUAUACACAGAGGUAUAGCAGUAGCGCUGGUCAAAACAUGGCGCUAUUGCUACUUAUUAGUUGCGCUUGUUACAAAAGCACGCUACAACCAUUGUUGUAGCAGUAGCGCGUCUGCCCGGAAAAGCGCUACUACUAUAAUUCCCUCGUUGGUGCCGGUAGGCUAGGAAUAGUAGUGGCGGUUCUUCCAGAAGCACGCUACUGCUAAAAACUUUGUAGCAGCGCAUUUAUGCUGUAGAGCGCUACUGCUAUGAAAAGGAAAAUAAAUAGAAAAAUAAGUAGAAAAGUAAAUGAAAAUGAAAGAAAUAGAAAAAGGAGAAAUGAAAAAAAGAAAAUGUAAAGAAAACAAAAGAAAAAGAAAAAGAAAACAGAAAGGAAUAGCUGUAGCGCGUUUCGCUGGAAAACGCUAUAGCUAACUUAGCUAUAGCGUGUUUCGGUAAAACGCACUACUGCUAGUUUGACUUAACCCCCAGCCGCGCGGGCUCAAAAUUUUGCUAAGUCCUUCCCCCUCCACUCCCCCCUCUCCCCCAACUGCUCCAUCGCCGUUGUCGCCCUGCCGCCUUCAACCACACCGCCGCCACCCAAGGCCGUCUUCGACCACACCGCCGCCGCCCGAGGCCGCCCUCGACUUCACCGCCGCCGCCCGAGCCAGAGCCUGCCCUCGCCGUCGACCGUAAAGCUCUGCCUCUCCUUUCCCCUACCCUCCUAUCUCUCUUUGCUAGGGUAAUUCAUAUAUAUGUUGACGUUGUGUUGAUGUUCAUAUGAACCCUAGGUGUUCAUAUGAACCCUAGAUUUGUUGAGGGCAGUAGGCAUUUUUUGGCAUUUAGGAAAAAUGAUUGGCAAUUUUUUUAGGAAAUUAGCUAGGGAAAUUUUUUAUGAAAAUGCCUAAACAGUAAUUCCAUUUAGCUUUCAAUUAAUAGAGGGUAUGUAAAUAAUAGUAGCAUUUUGAUUAGAUUAAUAGACGCUAUAAACAAAAAACACUUAGAUAUAAAAAUUUAUUUGGACUAUGGACUUGAAUCUGUUCCAAAUUUCAUUCAAAUGAAAUUUGAAUUAUUUGGACUAUGGACCUGAAUCUGUUCCAAAUUUCAUUCAAAUGAAAUUUGAAUUAUUUGGACUAUGGACCUGAAUAUUUCUGAAGAAAUUGGGUGUAGGUACUAAGCUCUUGCUGCGGAAUUUUUGGUGAGGUCAGAAGGGUUAGAGAAAAUGGAGUUCCUAGACUUUUAGCUUUAGACAAAAAACAAAAGUAUUUAGCUAUAAAUAAAAAACAGUAGCUAUGGCAUUUAGCUAUAAACAAAAAACAGAAUUGUUUUUCUUUUCAAAAACUUGGUUAAACUAAUCGUUGCUAUGUAAACAAAAAACAAGAUUUUUGUUAUAUCAUAUAUGUCAUUGAUGUUCAUUUGCACAUUCCAUUAUUGUUGAUUAUAUCUUUUCAUUGAAGUGGCUAUGUUAUAUGCAAAUUCCUCAAUAGUGUUUGCUCAUGUUAUAUCUUUUCAUUGAAGUGGUUCGAUUGUGCCCAAAGUGGCUUCGUUGUUUCCAGGGAAUGAAGCCGAGUGGCCUAUGUUUUUCCGGAAUGUUGAUUCGUUUCCGUUCCGGCAAAUUUCAGGCUCUCGAUUUGUCCACUUUUUAGCAAAAGUCAUGCCGAAAUUUUCCGUGAAUUUCGGCAUGACUUGUGCUACAAACUAGGACAUAUCGAGUGCCCGGGAUUUGCCGCACAGGGAAGGAGUCAACGUUCCUGCAGAGCAUAGACCUUUUUUUAUGUCAUUAUUCAUUUUAUUAGGUCUAGAAUUAAUUGACUAAAUUUAAUCGUAGGAAACAUGGCUAGCAACGAUGAAGGACAGGGUUCUGGUGACUGCGACAACGUCUACCUGGCAGCAGAAGAAUUUUUUAUGGAAGAUGACGAUCAAGAGUUGAUGUUGCUGGGUCCACCUGUCACAUCAGAGAUUGAGACCGACAUCGAGACCGGCGCUGAGAUAGAGACUGGCACUGAGAGUGAGACCGGCAUCGAGACCGGCACUGAGACUGAGACCGGCGCCGAGACCGGCGCCGAGACUAGCGGAGCCGGUAUAGACCCGAAAGCAAAGAGGCAACUGCUUCCUAACAAGCUCAGGUCUAAUAGACUGGUGGUCACGGAGGUGGACGACGGCAAUUUUGAACCAAACGCGCCCUAGGAAGCGCGCGCGUGCUACGACAAUCAAAUAGGAUGCAUCAUACGGACAACCGCCACCAUCAAAGAUGAGAAACUAAAGAAGAUAGAUAAUAUGAGGCCCUCCCUCCUAAAGAAGUUGCACCUGAUAUUCUUGUUCCCGGGCCGGAAUGAAAAGGAUUAUAAAGAUCCAGAUAAGGACCUGGCAAUGAAGAAGAAAAACAAACACGUCAUGACCAAGUUUAGCGACGCGUUGGCCGCCUGGAAAUCAAGGGUGAAAUAUCGGAUCGUUGACAAAAAGGAACCCUACUCCGAGAUUGUAAAGGAUAAUCCGACAACCAUGGUAGAGCACUUUCAAAUAUUCAAGGCAGCUUGCGAGGCCGAAGCUGCCAAAAAAUAGUCGAAGUACAUGAAGGGGCUUCAAUAGAGGAACAUUGGGUGCCCCCACCUCGGAAGUCGUGGUUACGGCAGGAAGAGGUCCAUAUGGGCCAUGGAGGACGCGGAAGCCGCGAGUCCGGGCAUCCCAGACCCCUUGGCGGAGUUCACCGUCCCGCAGGAGCGUGACAUCCUCAGGGCCCGGCACCGUUGGGAUCCAAUGAAGAAGGUUUUCGAGACGAACGCGGUCACGGCGGAGUUCAUGUGACUGCUGGCAAUUUUAGUUUCUGAUCAAUUCGACUGCACGUUAGUCAUAUUUAUAAACGAUCCUUGUGCCAUUUGCAGAGAGAGCAGCGCAGGAUUGCGGCCGAAAGCGACUCGCCGUCUGAGGCGUUGGCGAGGCCCAAGUGGGACACUCCAUUCAACCGGGCGUUGAACAUAUUGAAAGGACUCCCGGUGGAGACUCGACUGUCGUAUGGACGCGUGCACGGUGUCGGAGAUGGCGCCACGUGGAAGAAGUACUACCGUGAGACCACGGAGGAGAGAAAGGAAAGACGGAGGUUAACUGAAGAAAACAUUGACAAGAAGGUUGAGAUUGCGGUUGAGAAGAAAUCAUCUAAGACAGUCGCAAUAGCGGUAGCUGCCGCAAAACAGGUGCUUGUACAUAUGUCUACUACCUUGGUUCCGGCCGUUUUCAAUUGGAGCAGGCAAAAUCUAGAAAAAAAUGCAGCGGAGUUUCCCCUUGCUGACUUCUUUGGGAGCAGCUCGACUAGCGUUGCACCAGCACCUGCAGCUGCACAUGCUCCCGCACCGGCUCCCGCACCGGCUCGUGCACCUGCUCCCGCACCGGCUCCCGAACCUGCUCCAGCACCGGCUCCGGCACCGGACGUGCUCGGCGGUGCUUCGUCUUUGGCUGAGCUCGACGCCCUCACGGUGUCUGUCACACCGGCCCCCAUCAAUAAAUGUAUUAUCUCCCGUUUUCGUUGCCUUUCGGAUGUCUCACGUCACAGACUUUUCUUUGCAGGCCGACGAAACCCCGUGCACCAUAUUGUACACCAUCGGCGACAAGAAGGUGGACGUGGGGAAGGCGACGAUAAUGGAGCCGAAGGAACCAUUGUUCCACAGCGGCUGAUCCCCCAGGACGUCUUCAAGGUUUCCGUGGCCAGUGUCAAACCGGGCCACGAGAAUUUGACUCCUCUGGUACUAGUGGGGGAUGACAACGAGACCCCACGGCGGCUUGGUAAUUGUUGCAAUGGGUGGGUCCUGUUGUGGCCAAAGAGUCUGCUUCGUCUGGAGGUGGCCGGGAGCACACCCACGAGCACACAGUUAGGUAUGAACAUCAACACCUCACCUACCCAAUUAGCGUCGGCUGUCGUGCUAGGUGAUAGCGGAGGGGGUGAGGAAGAGGCUCCAUUAGUCACUGGUGAUGUCGCCAUAGAUGAGGAUGAGGAUGACGAUGACACUCAACAGUAUGUCAAUACUGGUGCCUACUUAGGGUUUGAGCGUCAUGAGUCGGUGCCUGAAUUGCCGCCUCCGAAGUCUGAACGUAUUAUGGACAACCUUCCGGUAGUAAAGAAGUCUAGGAAGAGACCGAGGAAAGGCAAAAAAGCUGCUUCUAUGAUCCAGCCGCCUCAGCAGCCUCGGGUUCAAGACUGUAUAGAUAUCCCCGGUGCGGCAAAAUGGCAUAUCCAUGGUCAACCAAUCCUACCUAAAGCAGCGCUAGGGGCUAGAUUCGGCGAUUUAAGGAGACUUCAUGACGAUGUGCUGCGGAUAGAGAAAUGGCUCAUCGCCUCAAAAAAUCCAGGAUACCCACUCUACAUGGUUAACGUGCCGCGGCAAUUCUCGUACGUCGACACAUUCCCCGCGGAGAAGUUCUUCCUUCGAUUCGAUUACAUCUUCGACAUGUUUCACUUAAAGAAACUGGAUUUUACGUUUGUCCGCCUUUAUGUCUUGCACAUGAACUACCUCAUCAGGGUUGAGCAGAUACCUCAUAUCUGUGUCGCUAGCCCGUACUUCAUGCAUGAGGGCUUCUUGGGAGUCUGCGCAGAGCACCGUGAAUAAGCAAGGGAAUACAUCGCCAAUUUCAUGCUCACCAUAAGGACAAGGAGGCGAUUCUCGUGCCUUAUCAUCCCCUGUAAGUCAUCUGCGCGGAUAUCCUUCCUUUGAUUUCAAUCAUUCAUUUGCACAGUGGAGGCUAAUUAAUUUGAGGUGUACUUAUUUUUCGCAGCGGCGGGCGCGCCGUCCUCAUCAUCCUCUACCCCCGAUACUCCCACGCUCUUUACUUGGACUCGUCGAAGAACAUUAACAAAAAGGAUUACACCCACAUGAAGUCUGUUCUCGACAGUGCUAUGUUUUACUACGGCGCACGGGGUGGAGAGGUCAAGGACAAGAAGAAAAGGGACGGCAGGCCCGCCUUUGGCCAUAAGACCGACUUCUGCUGCAUCCACCAACCGAGUUAUUCUCUUAAUGAUGGAUUCUAUGUCCUACACCACAUGCUGGAGUACAGACGGGAUCACCAGAACCUUCGCAUGUCACCUAGAUCCGGCGAUGCCCAUAUUCUGCAAUGGGCAAAGAACUUAGGAGAUAUCGAGGAUCAUCGACUUCGAGCUGAGUUCUAUCACAUCCAGCGCAAACUUGCCCAAAUCAUCAUGAAGGAGGUCGUCGAAAAAACAGGGAUUUUCUAUGAAGAAGGACAAAUGUCGCGGGAAGACGUCCGAACACGCGUAGCGGCUCAGCUUCUCGACCUGAAGCCUUUCACUAAGCUUGGGGACUAUCUCCCUGACUUGGAUGCAUGGCACGACAUGUUGGAGUGAUUGUCGAUAUAUGACAAUGUGUCUGUUUAGUCCAUACUAUCUGUAUCACGAAACUCUGAGUUAUGCAUGACGAAACUUUAUUUGUUAUGUAAUUAAACCGUCCUCCUCGACUAGUGAAGAUCACUCUAGUUAGGGCUUUUUGGGUACGAUGAAUUUUGUUAUAUAUGCUUAUGGUAUGUUGCUUCUAUUUUUGCCAAGUCUGUCUCUUUCUGUUGCUCAACUAUAUAUGUUGCAUAUCAUCGACUCAUGUGACGAUGCAGGUGUAUAGAUCAUCGAUGGCGAAGAAGUGCUACGCCAGGAGUAUACGACGAGUGGCCGGAAUGUCAGGCCCAGGUGUACCGGUUUCCGGUUUCCGAGCGACAGCCAGUAGUUAGUUUAGGUUCACGCUAAUGCGAGAGAGGGAUACGAACUCAUGUACUGCAUAGUUCCGCUCUCACUCAAAGUGAUAGCUCUUCUCGCGUAUAUCAUUGUUUAGAUGGAUGACGACGUAGUUGCAAGUAAUCGAGACUUGUAUCGCUAUUUUUGAGAUGAUGACGAGAGACCACUUGUUGUUGGAUGAUGAUUAUGAUGAUGGCAUGAUUUGAUGAGACUAUUUGUAUGUAUAUGCUAUGAUUACAUUUGUAUGUGUAUGAUAUGCUAAAGAUUAUUGUAUAAAGCCUAUUCAAAUACAAAACAAAUAUGCAUAAAAAAAUAAAAACUAAUAAAACUAGCAGUAGCGAGGGGAACAAAGUUAGCAGUAGCGCUCCCUUACCAGUAGCGCUUCGUGCUAAAAAGCGCUGCAGAUAUUAGCAGCAGCGCUCUGCACUAAAGCGCGCUACUGCUAGCCAUGUAUAGCAGUAGCAUGGGAUGACAGGUGCUACUGCUACACGUUAGCUGUAGCGCCUUAUCAGUAGCACGUCGUCCCGAGCUACUGAUAGGCAAAAUACCCGCGCUACUGCUAGGGUUUUCCGUAGUAGUGCUUGUCAACCCAAUGAAUAAAUCUACCGUUUCCUAGUUGCAAUAAGAAACAAUUAGCAUUUAAUUAAUGGACACACAUUAGUCAAUAUAUUUUGAAAUGAGCAAAGUAUAGCAUAACUAGAUGAAAACCAAAUAUAGCAUAAGUGAGCUAGAAUGUUCCACAAACACGACAUGUCACAACUAAGUUACAAUGUUCUACCAACACAGCUUAGCAGCCAAACAAAACAUAGCUAUAAGACAUCCAAAUAUAGCACAAUAUAGUUGAAUUGUUCCACAAAAGUUGUGCAUGGGAUAACUGAAAUAUACAAUGGGUAUUGUCACAGAACACUAACUCUAGUUUAUACCAUUUACAUAUACUUUUUCCAGACAACCAUCACUUACUGAACAAGCAUCCCAUCAUUAGAGUCUGAGAAGAAAUGCAGCCUUCUCAGGGCGUCGAGAUCUGGGCCGUUGGAUUAAGCUUUCAAAAGAAUUGCGACCAUCAGAUCUUCAGAUGGAUCGAUCCGGGCCGUCGGAUCAUAGCAAACACUGCUACAGUGAAUAGUGUUGUUUCUUUUUUAUUUUGGUCUAUUAUUACUAUCUCGCUGACUGAUGGGCCACGCGGUAAGUGGUCCAUUGCUGUUAGUGAGAGCAGAGCACUAAGCGGUCGGUGCUGGUUCGUACAGGCUCAGGGGUCAGGCCAACGCCUGUGAAAUUGGGUAGCCGCUGAGGGCAAAUUCAACAUUUCACGUCAUCGCCCCUGCGUGACGCUCCGUGGAUGGCUAGUCAGCAAGUAAUGGCGAGGGAGCGACCCAUUGGCUAGAAACCUAGCCGCCUCUUCCCCGUCGUGUUCCUAUCUGUGUCGUUUGAGCUGCGGUCGCCAUCGAGGACGUGUCACUCGCACCGCCACUUCCCUGUCGAGCUCAUGCGUCCACUAGCCACACCGUCUCUUUUCCAUGCCUGCUCAUCCUCCGUUCCUCUUCGAUCACCGAGCUCGCCGUCGCUAUCGUCGGGAGGAAGCGAUUGGUGGACCUAGCCCACCGCCAUCAACGGGUGGAGCGCAGGAACCCGCGAUGCCCCUCCAGCGACCAGCACUUAUCCCUCGCCCAGCGACGAGGCCCCAUCGAACUCGCGUGUGGUCGCAGCUGGGAAUCCUCCUGUCCGCUCCUUGCUCCCCGCCGAGAGCCUUGAUUGGAUCUGGAUCCUGAGCUCUCCGUGCCCGCAUCGCCCCACCAUUCAUGGUGCACCACCAGCACGAGCUGCACAUCAUCAUGUCGUCAGAGGGAGAGCGGGAGGAAGUUGGCGCUGUUUAUCCCCACGAGGUGUGCCGUCGACGGUAGGAAGCCAGGCAGGGCGACGGGGAAAUACCGACGUAGUUCAAGCCGCAUCAAAAGGAAUUUCUGGCGCAGUUGCCAGGGAGACAUCAUCAACAUCUAUGAGGUUCCUAAUCACAAAUCCCAUCUCCUUGCAAUUUACAUUAUUUGCCAUUUGCCUCUCGUUUUCAUCUCCCCCACUUCACAAAAAAUUGCCGUUUUAUUCGCCCUCUUUUUCGUUUGCCUUUUUCUGGUUCGAUCUUAUGUUUGUUUGUGUCUCCAUGUGCCUUCUAUUUUGCUUGCAUCUUUUCUUGCUAAAACCUAUUGUUAUGGAUCCACUCAAAGUUUUGUACCUGGAUCUUGUUCGACCCAUAUGUGCUCGUGCUGAAACCCCAACUAGUUUAGUUGAGGGAAAAUCAUUAGAUGAGCAUGCUCUUUUUGCCCGUCAUCGUUUGUCUGAAAAAGGGAAGCUCUUAUGGAAUCAAAUAAAUUGUUUGCUAUGAUAUGCUUGGAAUCAUUAUGAAAUUUGUGAUUUUACUUGUUGCUCUAAGAACCCCAAAAAACACUUCCCCUAUCUAUGUGAGUUUAAUGACAAUGAAGUCUUAUGUUCUUAUGCCAAGGAGGUUUAUAGUUACUAUGAUAUCGAACAAAUUGAACAAUUUGUUGCUUUUAAGGGUGCUUAGAAGUUGCUUAUUUGAUUGAAAAGUAUGAUAUUACUCUCUACAAAUCUGAAAAUUUUGACAUACUUAAAUAUUGCUAUGAAAACUAUGCUCAUAAUGCCUAUGUUAAAGAAUUUAUUGAGAGAAUGUCCUAUGCUUUGAAAGAAAAUAGUGAUAUGCAUGAAGCUAUGGAUAACCAUGAUUCCGUUGAUUUGAUUGAAUUAUCCCCUCUUGAUGAACACGUUGCUAGCUAUUCUUGUGGCCAUGAUGCCAAUAUUAAUGAUGCUUAUGAAGAUGAACUUGCUAUAGUUCUUUAUGUUAAACAUGAAAUUAUUGCUAUUGCACGCACGCUGGAUAGCUCCUUUAAUGAAAAGCAUGAUUGCAAUGAUAUUAUUAUAGAUUCUAUUAAUCUCAAGUUUGUUAGUGAUAUGCAAAACCCCAAGCUUGGGGAUGCUUGUUUUGUUAUGUCCGCUACUUAUUGCAAUGAUCAUGAUUGGGGUGAUGAUGACUUUUAUGAUCUUGAUAGUCUAUUUAAGCCUCAUGAUGAAUAUGUUUGCAAUAAUAUUAAAAGUGGGUUUGGAAGAGUGUCAAAUAUUGAUAAAAAUAAUCCCACAAAUUUGGAGAGUGUUCAAUCUUAUGAUUUUUUUAUAAAAGUGGGCUUGGAAAGGUCAUGACUUUAUUUUAUGGUAAUCCCACUAUUUUGGAAGAGUGUCAACUUUGCAUGCAUGUGGAUCAUGUAGAGAAUAUGUUAUGUGAUAUCUAUAUUAUUGAAUUUGAACAUGAUUCCACAUGUAAUUGUUAUGAGAGAGGGAAAUAUGGUUGUAGAAAUUUCUUGCUACUAAGUCACCUCUCGUUAUGUUGAAUUGUCAAAGUUUUAUUUGUUUCCUAUGUAUAUGCUAGAUAUUUCUUGUUUUGAUAAUUUGUUUGCCUGUAAAAUUCCUAUACAUAGGAAAUAUGUUAGACUUAAAUGUGUUUAUCACAUGUUUUAUGAUCCUCUCUUUGUGUUUCAAUUAUUAUCUUUCAUGUGAGCAUCAUUGAAAUCGCAAAGCCUAUCUUAAUGGCUAUAAAGAAAGAGCUUGUUGGGAGGCAACCCAACGAAUAAAUUUUAUGUUUGCCUUUUUGUUUCUGUACAAUUAUGCCUCUGUUAUGAUUAUGUUUUUUAUGUUUUAAUUAGUGUUUGUGCGAAGCAAAGCCUUUUAGGAUCAUGUUGGGUGAUAGUUGAUUUGAUCUUGCUGAAAAACAGAAAAUUAUGAGUCCAGUAACACAAUUAUUAAAAUUCACAGAAGCGUGAUAAAAUUCUGAUUUUUUUACAGAAGAUUAAUACAAAUAGCGUAUGUUGUCCUAAUUUUUCAGAAUUUUUGCAGUUACAUAAGUAUACGAAGUUUUCAGAUUGCUACAGACUAUUCUGUUUUUGACAGAUUAUAUUUUCUUUUUGUUGUGUGCUUAUUUUGAUGAAUAUAUGGACUUUAUUGGAGGGUAUAAGCUAUAGUAAAGUUCGAAUACAGUACAUAUAAUGCAAAAAUAAAAUAUGAAUGGGUUUGCAACAGUACUUAGACUAGUGAUUUGCUUUGUUAUACUAACGGAUCUCACGAUGGUUUUGUUGAGUUUUGUGUGAUUGAAGUUUUUCAAGUUUUGGGUGAGAUCACGAUGGAUGAAGGAAUAAGGAGUAUGAAGAGACUAAUCUCGGGGAGGCCCAUGGCACCCCAAGUUAUUAUCCAAAGAGGAACAAGCAAUUAAGAUUGGGGAUGCCCCCGAGUGGCAUCCCCUCUUUCUUCUAAUGACCAUCGGUAUUUUACUUGGAGCUAUAUUUUUAUUCGUCACAUAUCAUGAGUUUUGCUUGGAGCAUCUUGUAUUAUAUGAGUCUUUGCUUAUUUUGCUUUUUUAUUUUGUGUCAUCUAUCCUUGCUGGACACACCUAUUUGAGAGGGCCCAAAUUAUGCUAUGGAAUCUUUUUGCUUCACUUAAAUCUUUUUGAGCUAUGGAAUUGAUCUUUGUGCUUCACUUAAAUCUUUUUGAGCUAUGAAAUUGCUCUAGUGCUUCACUUAUAUCUUUUUGAGAACGGUGUGCUUUGGUAUUUUUGAAGAAAUGCUCUCAUACUUCACGUAGAUUUAUUUGAGAGUUAGUAAAUUUUUUAAGAAAUCCUCUCAUGCUUCACAUAAAUUAAUUUGAGAGAAGAAAUUUUUUAUGCUCGUGUUCUUCACUUAGAUUUGUUUGAGCUAUCAAAAGCAACAUAUGAAAUUAGUCCCAAAGUGAUAGAUAUUCAAGAGGGAUAUAAUAAAAACUUUCAUGAAGAUCGUUAGACAAAAUAAACUUGAUUCUUUGUAAUAGUUUUGCGGUAUGACGAUAUAAUAUGUGAGUCAUGUUGAUGAGUUAUUACGCUUUAGUGAGAAUAUUGAUGUUAAGGUUUGUGAUUCUCUAUGUAAGCACGAAAGUCAAUAGUUAUGCAAUGAAAUUACAUCCUACUUGUCGUGCAUUAUUCGGUGUUAGUUCUGCUUAAUUCUUGCUUAUGAGAUUUUUUGUUUCUUGGUUGGAUGCUUCUCAAUAUUUUGCUAGCCUUCAAUUGUACUAAGUGGGAUUACUACUUGUGCAUCCAAAAUCCUUGAACCCAGUUUUUGCCAUAUGAGUCCACUAUACCUACCUAUAUGCGGUAUUCAUUUGCCGUUCUAAGAAAAUUUGUAUGUGCCAUCUCUAAUCUUCAAAAUAACUUCCUUUUUGUGUGCUCGUACCGCUCAUGAAACGGUAGGGGGUGGCUGAUAUUUUUCCAUGCUAGAUGUGUUAUUCUCAAGAUGAGUGUUUAUUCACUUGUCACUGCACGAGAGUAUGGCAAAGUUAUUAGGGAUGCCCAGUCCUGAAAUGAAAAAUGAAUUUACUUUAUGUUGUCAAAUAAUAAACUCCUUGGAAAGUGUUGGUAUGGACGGUACCCGUGGAUUCGGUUCGCCGUGGAAUGUGAAAGUAUGGUGGAAAAAGGAAUAAACUUUAUUUUCUGUUUGGGAACCACCUAUGAUAUAUCUAGCAUGGAAAGUAUUGGGAACUACUCGAUCGUUUUCAUUGACAGGAAAGGCAUGCCACCCAAAAUGUCUUAUCUCUAUCUUUUUCCGCUUUUAGCUCUGGCACCUCUACAAAUCCCUACUUCCCUCUGCGAAGGGCCUGUCUAUUUACUUUAUGAAAUUUUUAUUUUUAUUUCAAGUCUCCAUCUUCUCUUACAAAGCACCAACUAAGGGGCACUACGAUCGUACCAUAGCAUUGGGUGUAGCUAAUAUGCGAGUGUGUUUCAUGAAUGGAUCAAUGAUUGAGCAUAAUGGGCUAGGGAUAAAUUGCUUUAGUGUUGAUAUUUUGAAAGACAUGGUUGCUUGUUGAUAUGCUUGAGUAUUGAAAUCUUCAUAUCAACACUAGACUAUUCCUUUGAAUCAUAUAAAAGUCCAAAUGUCCAUGCUACAAAAGAAAAAGAAUAUGUGAUGAACAUGAUAGGCAACAUUCCACAUCAAAAAUUCUAUUUUUAUCAUUUACCUACUCGAGGAGGAGCAGGAAUUAAGCUUGGGGAUGCUGAUACGUCUCCAACGCAUCUAUAAUUUUUCAUUGUCCCAUGUUGUUAUAUUAUCAUUUUUGGAUGUUUUACAAUCAUUUUAUAACAACUUUAUAUCUUUUUUGGGACUAGCCUAUUGACAUAGUGCCUAGUGCCAGUUGCUGUUUUUUGCUUGUUUUUACACUGCAGAAAAUCAAUACCAAAUGGAGUCCAAAUGCAGCGAAACAUUUUGCAGAAUUUAUUUGGACCAGAAGACACACGAUGGGCCAAUAGAGUACUAGAGGGGGGCUCCGAGGGAAGCACAACCCACCUGGGCGCGCCCUGGUGGGUUGUGCACACAUCGGCUCGCUAUCGUGCCGCCUCUUUGCUCCAUAAAUACCCCGAAAAUCCAAAAACCCUAGGAGUCGACGAACACAAUUCCAGCUGCCGCAAGUUCCACAAAGCACAGAUCCAAUCUAAACACUGAUACGUCUCCAAUGUAUCUAUAAGUUUUUAUUAUUCCACGCUAUUAUAUUAUCUGUUUUGGAUGUUUUAUAUGCAUUAAUAUGCUAUUUUAUAUUAUUUUUGGGACUAACCUAUUAACCUAGAACCCAGUGCUAGUUCCUGUUUUUUCUUGUUUUAGAGUUUCGCAGAAAAGGAAUAUCAAACAGAGUCCAAACGGAAUGAAACUUUGGCGAUGAUUUAUCUUUGACCAGACGAUAACCAGAGGACUUGGAGUACACGUCAAGGAAGCCACAAGGAAUCCCAAGGGGGUAGGGCGGGCCCCCCACCCUUGCGGACCCCUAGUGACACCACCGACCAAUUUCUUCCGCCUAUAUAUUCUCAAAUACCCCAAAACCUUCUAGGAGAGCCACGAAACCACUUUUCCACCGCUGCAACCUUCUGUACCCGUGAGAUCCCAUCUAGGGGCCUUUUCCGGCAUCCUGCCAGACGGGGACUCGAUCACGGAGCGCUCCUACAUCAACAUUGCCUCUCCGAUUAAGCGUGCGUAUUUUACCACAAACCUACGGGUCCAUAGCUAGUAGCUAGAUGGCUUCUUCUCUCUCUUUGAUUCUCAAUACCAUGUUCUCCUCGACGUUCUUGGAGAUCUAUUCGAUGUAAUACUUUUUUGCGGUGGGUUUGCCGAGAUCCGAUGAAUUGUGUAUUUAUGAUCAGCUUAUCUAUGAAUAUUAUUUGAAUCUCCUCUGAAUUCUUAUAUGCAUGAUUUGAUAUGUUUGCAAGUCUCUUCGAACUAUCGAUUUGGUUUUGCCACCUAGAUUUGUUUUUCUUGCAAUGGGAGAAGUGCUUAGCUUUGGGUCAAUAUUGCGGUGCUCGAUCCUAGUGAUAGAAGGGGAACCGACACGUAUUGUAUUGUUGCCAAUGAGGAUAACAAGAUGGGGUUUUCAUCAUAUUGCUUGAGUUUAUCCCGCUACAUCAUGUCAUCUUACUUAAUGUGUUACUCUUUUAUUCAUGAGCUUAAUACUCUAGAUGUAGGCAGGAGUCGGUCGAUGUGUGGAGUAAUAGUAGUAGAUGCAGGCAAGAGUCGCUCUACUUGAUACAGAUGUGGUGCCUAUAUUCAUGAUCAUUGCCUUAGAUAUCGUCAUAACUUUGCGCUUUUCUAUCAAUUGCUCGGCACUAAUUUUUUCACCCAACGUAAUAUUUUCUAUCUUAAGAGAAGCCUCUAGUGAAACCUAUGUUCCCGAGUCUAUUUUCCAUCAUAUAAUCUUCUAUUUUCCAUCAUAUAAGUUUCCGAUCUACAAUUUUAGUUUCCUAUUUACUUUCUUUGCAAUAUUUUGCAUUCCGAUCUAUAAACCAAAAAUACCAAAAAUAUUACUUUACCGUUUAUCCAUCUAUAUCAGAUCUCACUUUGCAAAUAAUUGUGAAGGGAUUGACAACCCGUUUAUCGCGUUGGGUGCAAGUUGGUGUUUGUUUGUGCAGGUAUUCGGUGGCUUGUGCAUUGUCUCCUACCGGAUCGAUACCUUGGUUCUCAAAACUGAGGGAAAUACUUACUCUACUUUGCUGCAUCACCCUUUCCUCUUCAAGGGAAAAACCAACGCAAGCUCAAGAAGUACUGGGAAGAAUUUUUGGCGCCAUUGCCGGGGAGAUCUACGCCAAGCCGAGACAUACCAAGUACCCAUCAUAAACUCUCAUCCCUCGCAUUACAUUAUUUGCCAUUCGCUUCUCGUUUUCCUCUCCCGCACCUCUCACUACUAGGAAAAGGGCUAUAGACAAUAUGCACACUAAUGGCGCACCAGACAUGCGGUGCGCCACUACUAUAUAGCGGUGGCGCACCGUGUGCUGGUGCGCCAUUAGUGUGAUAGACACUAAUGGCGCACCACAACCAUGGUGCGCCACUACUAACAAAUUUUCUUUUUCUUUUUAAAAAAAUACUAAUGGCGCACCGCAACCAUGGUGCGCCACUACUAAUUUUUUUCCUUUUUUCCAAAAAUACUAAUGGCGCUACUUGGCACAGUGCGCCAUUACUAGUUUUAACUAGUAAUGGCGCACCAGUCACCCCGUGCGCCACUACUAUCAUUUUUUUGCAAAACUACUAAUGGCGCACCGCCAGCUGGUGCGCCAUUAGUAACCAGGGUUACUAAUGGCGCAUUUGUUGGUGGUGCGCCAUUAGUAACCUGGGACCAGCUAGAUAUUUUGGACAGCCACCUACACACUCACUUUCCCCACUUCAUUCUCUCCACCUCCUCCUCCAAGCUUGUCUCGGCUGCCUCCUCCUCCUCACCUCAUUUGCACCAUAGAUUCAUCCAAAUUAAGUGGUUAAAUUACCUUUUUUGAUAGGUAAGUAAGGGGAAAGCUUUCUUUAUGUUGUAGAUCUACUUUUUUCUCCCUCCAACAACGUGCACAUGCACUUUUUAUGGCCUAGCUAGAUCUAUGUAUGUUUGUGGUGUUGCAUAUGUUUGUGGUGUUGCAUAUAUGUUUGUGUUUGCACGUACCGGUAUUUGAAAUGCGAUAGUUGCCAAUAUUUUGCCAGAAUGUUGAUUCAUUUCCGUUUCGUCAAGAAUUUUGGCACUAUGCAUUCUUUUUUGUCCUAUUUUUAGGCAAAGUCAUGCCAAAUUUUUUCUUGGUUCUAAAAUAUCGUUUUGCUCUACCCUGCAGGCGACCAUGGUCUGCACGAUGACCGAAGGCAUCGUGAAUAGGUUUUUGAGCUCCGCGAAGGCCGAGAUGCUUCAAAAGAAUGAGACGGAGAUAAGAUGUCCGUGUCGAAGAUGCAAGCUGAGGAGCCUUAUGGACCCGGAUUCCGUACAGGUGCGGGACCACCUGCUCUUGCGUGGUUUCAUGGAUGGCUAUCGGUGGCAAGGUGAUGAAGAUGAUUAUGAAGUCGUCCAUGGGGGCCGGCCGGUAAGAAAUGAGGAAGGGCAGCAAGACAACCGCGGCGAGGGCGGGCGAGAAGACGAAGAAUCUCCAGGACAUGAUCACGAAGUAGAUGCAGUACGCAGUCAUCAUGUAGAAGAUGCCGGACAUAAAGAUGAGGAAGAUGCCGGAGCAGACGAAGGGCAUGAUCAUGAAGAUGAAGAUGCCGGAGCGGACGACGAUGGACCAUCGAUGGGCUGGGUGCAGGACCCUCAUAUUCAAGAGCUGCUUCUCAAGCAGACGGAUAACGCAAGAGCUGCCGCCCGAGAGAAAGCCAAGCUGGAUCAACUGGAGAUAGACGCGGUUACUCCAUUGUAUGAAGGAUGCAGGCCCGAGGAUACCCGCCUGAAAGUAACGCUCAUGGCUCUGGAGAUGAAGGUAAAACACAAAAUGACCGACGCAUGCUUCGACGAGAACAUGUCAUUCUGGCACGAACGUCUUCCCAAGGGGAACAAGUGCCCGACCAGUUUUGAGGAGGCGAAGAAAAUCGUGUGUCCUCUGGAUUUACCGCACGUGAAAUACCAUGUGUGCAUGAACAAUUGCAUCAUUUAUCGGGACGAGCACGCGGAGUCUACCAUAUGUCCGGUGUGCGGCGUCACUCGAUACAAGAAGAGGAAGAAAGCUCCUCGAAAAGCGGUGUGGUACUUUCCGAUCGCUCCUCGUGUGCAGCGGUAUUUCGCGGACCCUAAGGUAGCAAAGCUCUUGCGUUGGCACGCGGAUAGGGAGGAGAAGAAGCGAGAAGAUGACGCAAAUGAUCCGGAGAUAAAUAAAAAAGACAAGAUGCUGAGUCACCCUAAGGAUGGGAGCCAGUGGCAAGCGUUGAACUUCGAACACCCAGAAUUUGGGAACGAUCCAAGGAACAUCGUGCUGGGCGCGAGCACCGAUGGAGUCAAUCCGUUUGGCAGCCAGAGAAGCACACAUAGCACCUGGCCUGUGUUUGUGGAUGUACAACCUUCCCCGCUGGUUGUGCAUGAAGAGGAAGUACAUUCACAUGAGUAUGCUAAUUGAAGGGCCGAAACAACCAGGGAACGACAUCAAUCUGUAUCUGGGGCUGCUGAAAGAGGAGCUAGACACGCUGUGGAAAACGCCAGCCAAUACGUGGGACACCGCAGAGAAAGAAUAUUUCCCUAUGAGAGCCGCUCUGCUCACGACGGUGCACGACUAUCUCGAUUACGGAUAUGUCGCGGGGCAGGUGGUCCACGGAUUUUCUGGAUGCGUCAGGUGCAUGGAUGACACAACAUAUCGCCAGCUAGAUAGAGAUCUCAGGUCUUCGAAAACCGUGUUCAUGGGACAUCGAAGGUGGCUUCGCGACGAUGACUCAUGGAGGAAACGCAAGGAUCUGUUCGAUGGUGAAACCGAAACCCGAAGACGCCCGCGUACGAGGAGCGACAAGGAAAUAGACGAGUUGUUGAAAAAUUGGAAAGAUUGCCCACUGCCGGGAAAGAAGCAAAAGGCACCAGAGCCGGAAAAGAAGCGAAAGGCGCAAGAGCCGCUGCUGAAGGUAUGGAAAAUGAGGUCUGUUUUCUGGGACUUGCUGUACUGGAAGAUCCACCGUGUGCCUCACAGCCUUGAUGUCAUGCAUAUCACGAAGAACGUGUGCGAGAGUCUGCUUGGUACCCUGCUCAACAUGCCGGAGAGGACCAAAGAUGGGCCGAAAGCAAGGGCAGACUUGAAAUCAAUGGGCAUCAGGGAGGAGCUUCACGCUAAUGAUGAUGAUGAUGAGGCGAAGCAGGACACGGAAAGUCGUCGCAAAGGCAAAAAGGCCAAGAAGACCGAAAAUGACUUCCCUCCCGCGUGCUUCACUCUAAGUCAGGAGGAGAUCGAUCAGUUUUUCACCUGCCUCGUAGGAGUAAAACUUCCUUACGGUUACGCGGGGAAGAUAAGCAGAUACCUAGACUCAGCGAAGCAGAAGUUCAGCGGGAUGAAGUCUCAUGACUGUCACGUGCUGAUGACGCAGAUACUUCCAGUUGCAAUCCGUGGGAUCAUGGACGCGCACGUCCGUGAAACGCUAUUUGGCCUAUGCAACUUUUUCGACGUCAUCUCUCGGAAGUCGGUUGGUGUGAGGCAACUCAGAAGGCUACAUGAAGAGAUCGUAGUGAUACUAUGCGAGCUUGAGAUGUACUUCCCGCCCGCAUUCUUCGACGUUAUGGUGCAUCUGCUGGUCCAUAUCGUGGAGGAUAUCAUCCAACUCGGGCCGACGUUCCUGCACAGCAUGAUGCCGUUCGAAAGGAUGAAUGGUGUCAUCAAAGGAUACGUUCGCAACAUGUCACGUCCAGUGGGAAGCAUAGCCAGGGGCUUUCUGACCGAAGAGUGCAUCUCCUACUGCACGAAUUAUCUAGGCAUCGAGAACCCCGUUGGUCUGCCCGCCAACAGGCACCUCGGCAGGCUCGCUGGAUGGGGUCAUCGUGAGGGUUGCCGCGAAAUGCAUGUCGAUUUCGAGGGUCGACUCGCCGACUUUGAAAGAGCAAACCUAGUCGCGCUACAACACAUAGACGUGGUCGAUCCUUGGGUGGUAGAGCACAAAACCUUUAUUGAGAAGACGUACAAUGACCGAGACCAACAGAGGACGGACGGAGAUAUAAUCAAAGAGCACAACUCAUAUUUCACGCGUUGGUUCAAGCAGCAUGAGGAUUCUUCCGCGGAAGAACAACUCAAAUUCGCCUUGUCACAGGGCGCCGAGCACAACCUGAUGACGUAUGAGGCGUACAAUAUCAACGGCUACACAUUCUACACCGAGGGAAAGGACAUGAAGAGCGAUGGUUAUCAGAACUCUGGGGUAACGAUGGAAUCCUACACCGGUAACGAUAAGGACAGAUACUACGGAAGGAUCGAGGAGAUCUGGGAGCUGAGCUAUGCUGGAGAGAAGGUCCCGAUGUUCCGUGUCAGAUGGGCCAAGAGCGUCCUAAAAGAAGACCGGUAUUUCACCACCAUGGUUAUACCCGAAGCCAAAUCCAAGACCGCGGGCGCAAACGACACCGUGAAAAAUGAGCCAUGGGUACUGGCUUCCCAAGUGGACCAAUGCUUCUUCAUUACCGACCCGUCAAAGCCCAGUCGUGUUGUCGUGAGGAGAGGCAAAAGGAAGAUCAUCGAAAUGGAUGGAGUCGCCAAUGAGCAAGACUUCGACAAGUACGGCGACCCGAAGAUGGAACAUGACGACGAUGAUGAAGUACCAGCAUACACCACAAGAAGAAGCAGGACCACCCUACCUAAAGGACGUCCGUUCAAGAGAAGAACUCCAUUUACGAAAAAUAAGGGCAAGAAGAUUGUGAACAGAUAGCUAGCUAAGAUCGAUUGUAUUUAAAUUGUAGCCUUCAUUUCUCGAUUGUAUUUCAUGGGCACUUUUUGAACUCAUGAAUAUUUUUAAAUUUCAUGGGCACUUUUUGAAUUCAUGAAUAUUUUUUCAAAUUUCACCGCCGCCGCCGCCGACCCCCCGCACCCUCCCCCGCUCCACCGCCACCGACGACCCACCGCACCCUCCCCCGCUCCACCGCCNNNNNNNNNNNNNNNNNNNNNNNNNNNNNNNNNNNNNNNNNNNNNNNNNNNNNNNNNNNNNNNNNNNNNNNNNNNNNNNNNNNNNNNNNNNNNNNNNNNNNNNNNNNNNNNNNNNNNNNNNNNNNNNNNNNNNNNNNNNNNNNNNNNNNNNNNNNNNNNNNNNNNNNNNNNNNNNNNNNNNNNNNNNNNNNNNNNNNNNNNNNNNNNNNNNNNNNNNNNNNNNNNNNNNNNNNNNNNNNNNNNNNNNNNNNNNNNNNNNNNNNNNNNNNNNNNNNNNNNNNNNNNNNNNNNNNNNNNNNNNNNNNNNNNNNNNNNNNNNNNNNNNNNNNNNNNNNNNNNNNNNNNNNNNNNNNNNNNNNNNNNNNNNNNNNNNNNNNNNNNNNNNNNNNNUCCACCGCCACCGACGACCCCCCGCACCCUCCCCUCUGCCCUCUAUCACAGCGGGGACAACAGGAAGCCGCCGUCGCGCCCCUCUGCACCGGCUGCCCACGGCGCCUCCGUCCCGAAGCCGCAGCCCAAGUGCCCACCACUCUCUGUCCACGGUGAGCCAUCCUCUCUGUCCCAACUCUCUGUUCUUCUUUUUUAGCUAUCCUUUGUUGAAACAGUAGUUGCUGUGUAGCAAAUCUUUGGGAUUAGUGUUCAGUACUUUGUUGGGUGAGCGGCCAUCUGAGACAUCCUGCUUACAUAGUCUCCUUUUUAAAACUCGUCAAAUUGGUUUUAGAUAGAAAUGAUCAACACUCAAUUGGCCAACUGCAUGUGGAAUGAUUUCGAAGGGCGCCAUAACUUAUUGUAGAUGCUGACUACAAUAACAAUACUAAACUCAGUGUAGUCUGUUGUAAAGACACUUGUGCUUCUUUCAUCUGGAAAGGGGUCGUCUGGCCUCCAAAACUGUCAGAUUAGGUUGUGCUGUAACUCCUCACAUGGCCAUGUUUUUGGAAGAUUGGUCGUUUGUCACCGGCCCUUUGGUCACCCAGCAAUGGGACUUGUAUCAUAUUGCCAAUGAGGUUAAUAAAACAGUAGUGCAUCAGUACUUUGUUGGAACAGAAAGUCAGAAAAUCAGAAAAUCCACGGUACUUUGUUUAGAUCUUCACUGUUGACAAACGCAGUCAACUAAAAAUCCAGUUCAGUGCAUAAUUAGUGUUGACAAAUACACUGAUCUUUAUCUGCAGUAAUUCAGUUUAAACUGAAAAUUCAGUGUUGUAGUACAGAAAAUUUAAACUGAAAAUUCAUAGUCUCCUGGUGCAUAUUGAUCUCAGUGUAUGAAUUCAUAGUGUUUCAAAUUACUGAUGCUAUGGUCCAGGAGUAGAAAAAUUUGUACUCCAAGAUCAAUAUGGUUCAAUUUCUACUGUACUGUAAUCAAAGUGGAUAUAAAUUGCAGAGUGUUUAUGUUGGCAUUCGACAACAUCUAAAUUUACCAAAUGAUUGUGAACUCAGUUUAUGUUUGCAACCAAAUGCUUAGUUCAUUGUUUACUCCAAAUGAUUGUGAACUUAUUCAAAGUUUCCAAUAUUGUUCAGACACUACUUGUACUGGAACUGGAACUACUACUACUGAUGCAGCACCCCAUGUAGUUUAAGUUUUCUUUAUCUUAAACUCAGACAGCUCUCUAAUUAUUGGAGUUUAUAUCAUAUAUAUUGCUGGCAUGUAUUUCAUAUGUUCUGUAGCAUUAAGGCUACAUAGCAUUGCUUUUGUCUCUGACCAUCGUGUCGUGAUGAUAUUGUGGGGUGUUGUGGGGUUGCAGAGGCCCUUGAGUUUCAUCGCGAUGAUGCUAAUCGUGAUGACCGCAGCUCUCUUCUAUGUGAUGGUAGUUUAGAUGAUCGAUAUCGACUUGUAAUGUGAAGACAAACUCGCUACUCGCGGUUUCGAGACUUGUAGUGUUCUAACUUUGUUUGGUCUUUUGAAUUCGGAGACUAAUAUGAUGAAUUGUAUUCGGAGACUAAUCUUCUAUUGUAUUCGAUAACUCUGCUGUUUAUAUGUUGUGUGUCUAUAUUCUGUGCAGUAAUAUGUUUUGUAACCUGUGCAAAUAUCAGAAAAGAAAAAAAUCCCUAAUAUUCAUACUAGUGGCGCACCACCCAGAACUUUAGUGGCGCACUGCAAAAUGCAUACUAGUGGUGCAUCAGCAAGCAGUGCGCCAUUAGUAAGCCAGAGACAUGGUUAAAUAUGGCCCCCUGGGAGGCAUUCUAAUGGCGCAUCAUAGGGUGUACUAAUAGCGCACUACAUGGUGCGCCAUUAGUAUCUGAUAUACUAAUGGCACACUUGUGGUGCGCCAUUAGUAAUAAAAUCUAAUGGCAUGGUACUAGUGGCGCACCUGUAGUGCGCCAUUAGUAGGCAAAACAGGUGCGCCACUAGCAGCCCUUUUCCUAGUAGUGUCUAAAACGAUUUUCGAAAAAUUUGUCUUUUCUUCGCCCCUCUUUCGUGCGUCUUCUUCUUUUGCUCUUUGUUCGCUUGUCCGUUUGAUCUUUUAUCUUGCUGUCAUGGCUAGUUUUCCAUCCUUGUUAGCACUCCCAAUAAUAAGGUCCUCAACUUCAAACAAAGGGAAGGAGAAAAUUUAAAAGAUGCUUGGUAUAGAAUUUAUAAUGCUCAAAUUUGAUGAUUACUGCUGGAGAUGACUAACAUCCUAGAUGUUACUCACUAUGUCUAGAUACAUUCGUUUGAGUGUCAACUAAUUCUGAACAUCUUAGGUGUUACUCCCAAGUCUAGAUACAUUUUUUUGAGUGGCAACUAAUUCUGAAUGGAGGAAGUACACAAAGCUAAGCCACAGCCAUGAAAUAUAUAUAGGGCGGGGGGCGCUCGUUCCACAAGGAGCGGCGGGUAGCUUAGCUAUAGCUCGAUCGAUGAAUAUGGCUGUAGAUGGGUUUGGUGAGCUGGGCAUUCGUGUGGUGAGUCGCCGGCUGGUGCUCUGCCUGCCAGCUACUGCUCUGCCUGCCGCUCCACCUCCUUGUCGAUCGCGCCCACCCAAACGGACGUCCAUGACACAUACACCGACAAUGUGCUCCUCCACGGCCACGACUACCCAAGUAGUGGCCACGGCACCUCCUCCACAGGCUCGGGCGUGGGCGGUGCUGGUGGUGGUGGGGGCACGUUGGCCUCCACUCCGGCCGCCAAUUGGGCCAGCGCCUGCGCAAGGCCAGGCCACCUGGCCUUGCUCCUCGCGCUCGGCCUCCACGAUGGCCCUCCAUGUGGCCUCCUCGAGGGACACAACACAGGCCUCCUCGGCAUCCUAAUCCUCCUCCUUCACCACUCCCGGAAGUGGUGGUGGAGUGGCAAGAACGCGUGGUGCACCGGGCGCACACUUGACGCACUACCGGCAAUGUUGGUCGUGCUCGGUGGCAAACCACGCGUCCUAGUUACCGCAUACGUUGGGUCACGGCGGAGGUUGGCUAGGAGUAGAGCAUGGGAUCUCCGUCAGCUGUGCGCGGCCUGAGGCCGGCACCGGAACCCUAGCAAGGUUGAGGUCCCACCCGUGCGGUAGGUUCACACUGGGCUAUGGCGCAGGCACGCCAUACUCCCAAAAGUACUGGUAGCGGUGCAUCGGCAUGUAGUGCCGAAACCAUGGCUGCCGACUCAAGGUCGAUUUAUCUGUUCUUAUAAACUAGCGAAUUAGCAACUAUAUUACCCAAGAGUAACAACCAAGUCAUAUAUACAAUGUACGCUUGCAACCAUUGAAUAAAUUGUACAGAAUACCAAACAAAGAAGAUUGAACGAGGUCGUGGAACAACUCACAUGCACCAUCCACAGGUCAAGUGGAUGAUCCCAAUGAUGAGCGAAUGAUCCUAAUGACGAGCAGUUGGCGAGAUUAUGUUGCUCUUGUGAUGGUUAGUGAUGUCUGCGCUAGAGCUUGCUUACAACCUUGCGAGGUAAGGAGCUACGGCUACAUGCGUAUUAGGUUUUAUAAGCCGUGAAACCUCGAUAAAAGUUGCCGCUAUAAGUUUUUUCUUCAUGUCACUAUAAACCUUAUNNNNNNNNNNNNNNNNNNNNNNNNNNNNNNNNNNNNNNNNNNNNNNNNNNNNNNNNNNNNNNNNNNNNNNNNNNNNNNNNNNNNNNNNNNNNNNNNNNNNNNNNNNNNNNNNNNNNNNNNNNNNNNNNNNNNNNNNNNNNNNNNNNNNNNNNNNNNNNNNNNNNNNNNNNNNNNNNNNNNNNNNNNNNNNNNNNNNNNNNNNNNNNNNNNNNNNNNNNNNNNNNNNNNNNNNNNNNNNNNNNNNNNNNNNNNNNNNNNNNNNNNNNNNNNNNNNNNNNNNNNNNNNNNNNNNNNNNNNNNNNNNNNNNNNNNNNNNNNNNNNNNNNNNNNNNNNNNNNNNNNNNNNNNNNNNNNNNNNNNNNNNNNNNNNNNNNNNNNNNNNNNNNNNNNNNNNNNNNNNNNNNNNNNNNNNNNNNNNNNNNNNNNNNNNNNNNNNNNNNNNNNNNNNNNNNNNNNNNNNNNNNNNNNNNNNNNNNNNNNNNNNNNNNNNNNNNNNNNNNNNNNNNNNNNNNNNNNNNNNNNNNNNNNNNNNNNNNNNNNNNNNNNNNNNNNNNNNNNNNNNNNNNNNNNNNNNUAUAUAUGUAUAUAUAUAUGGGGCAUGAAACUGCAAACUACCACUAUUGUUGCCGGUGGACCUCCCGGCUCCGGUGCACAUCCCAACGUCGCCCUCGUGAAGCAAGCGAAUGGCCCCGCGAGCAUGUGGACGUUGUCCAUGUGGCAUUGGGUUCCCGCUUCUUGAGUGAACCGGAAAAAAAACCCAAAGCUGGUCAAUCUUCGGCUCGAAAGGAAGCCUGGCUUAUGGUUUUGUGUUUUCGCGCCGGCGUAGCCGCUCUCCGUCUGGGUGAGCGAGCGGUGGAGGACUGCCGCAAUGGAGGAGAUGGUGGUCCUUGGGCCCCGAUGCCUUUCGUGGCAUGAGGGCCGUGUCUUGUAUUCGAUGGCCGGGGACGCCAUCCGGAGCAGCUUGAGAAGGCACCGUCGGGGCUUUGCGCUUGCACCCCUAUGCAGCCAUGCCCGGCGCAGCGGGCUGUCCGCUGUGUGUCUUGCGGAGUCUGAGUGCAUCCAUCGGCUGAUUUUUAUUUUAUUCUUUCGAUGAGGAUUAGUAGUCGGAGAGUAGAUAGGUUCUUCCUCGAUCCCAUGAUAUAAAAGCUUGGGUGUUCGUUGACGCUAGCAAUGUCAAAAACGCUCUUAUAAAAUGGGAGGGAGUCCCUCGCAAAGAAAAAAAGAGAGUAGAUAGCUACUUUAUCUUUUAUUUUGAAGGUGGGAGUAGAUUGAUAACUACUUAGUGCACGUACGAAAAGAAAGACACGAUCGCCUAAAAAAAAGAAAUACUAUAUUGAGAUAUAUAUAGGGCGUGCGGGCGCUAGCAGUUCCACAACGAGCGGCGGGUAGCUAGGUUCAACAUCCAUAUAGGUUGAAUAUGGCUGUAGAUGGGUUUGGCGAGGUGGGCAUUCGUGUGGUGAGUCGCCGGCUGGUGAAGGCAUCCGACCCCUCCAUCCAACCGCAGGUGGUGCCCCUCUCCAACCUCGACCUGUACGUCGGCAACGUACAAGUCGCCAUACUAUGCCUCUAUCCCAAGCCUCCGGCGGGCAGGGAUUUCGCCGGCGUGGUGGCCACCUUCGAGUCCUUGCUGCCGGCUUUACUCAACGAGUUCUACCCUUUCGCCGGCCGCAUCGGCACCAACCCAAGCUCAGGCCUCCCCGAGCUGCUCUGCCAGAACCAGGGCGCAGAGCUGGUCGUGGGAGAGGUCCGCGUCGCUCUGGGGAGCCUGGACUACGGCCUGGCGGACAAGUCCCUGAAGAAGCUGAUGCUCCCGUACGCGGAGGACGUCACCUUCUCGGUGCAGCUGCUAUCCUUCGCCUGCGGCAGCUUCUCCGUGCUGUGGGCAACCAACCACCUCGUCGGCGACGGCCAUGACAACAUCAGGUUCCUGCGGAUGUGGUCUGAGCUCGCACGAACGGGCAAAAUCGUCGCCGACGGCGGGGACGGAAAGCUAAGCCACGACCGCUCGGUGUUCCGCCCUCGCAACCCGCCGUCAUACAGAGCCUCGCUCGCCACCGACCUAACGACGUUCGACCCGCGCCGGCUGGUAAACGUCCUGACGGCCCACGACAGCUUCGUCGACCGCCUCUACUACAUCGACGCGGCCGACAUCGCCAGGCUGCGCGAGAUGGCGAGCACCAAGCUGCAGCGCUCGUCACGCGUCCAGGCCGUGUCCGCGUACCUGUGGAAGGUCCUCGCCGGCGUGGUUGCCGCUUCCCGCGUGCCCGAGGAGCGCUGCCGCAUGGGGUGGUGGGUGAGCGCGCGCCGUCGUCUCACGUCGCCUGACCUCGCCUCUGCGAUGCGCAACUACUUCGGCAACGUCACGACCUAUGCCUACGGGGACGCGACGCUGGAGGAGAUCCAGCGCAAGUCGCUCGCGGAGGUGGCGGCCAUGGCGCGGGAGCCGGUCGCCUCCGUCAACUACGACGAGUACAUCCAGGAUCUGGUGGACUUCGUGGAGGUGCACAAGGGACAAGGGCUGAUGGAGACGGCCGUCGUCGGGCUGGGCAGCCCGACCCUAAGCCAGUCCGUGUUCGACUCAUUCCCACUCGACACCGACUUCGGCUUCGGCCAAGCUGCUCUCGCCAUGCCCAUCUCCGACUUCGCCAACCUCUGCUCAGCCUACCUGUCCAUCAGCGCGCGGCCGGCAGGCGACGGCUCCUGGCUCGUCAGUGCCUACAUAUGGCCGCGUCUCGCCGCCGCCCUCGAGGCCGAUGAGCAGCACAUCUUCAAGCCUCUCACGGCGGACUACCUUGGCCUCACAGCCUGCUAGACAACACCCACGCUAUUCUGUGUGUUCUUUUAGCCAACAAUAAAAUUCCUUGGUGUUUUGCUCUUCUUCCAACAAUAAAAUCCUUGUGUUGUGUUGUGUGGUGCUAUGUACUUUGGUUUUUUUCUUCAUCCAACAAUAAAGUUAGGAAGCGUUACUUUUUGAAAAAUAGCACACCUUAUAUAUACAUUUACUUUGAAAGUUAGAGAGGAUUUACUUUGAAAGUCACAGGUUUGCCAAGCACCUGAGGAAAAACACUCGGCAAAGCCAGCCCUUGGUUUCCGUCAGCCAAUAAAAGAUAGAUCACACGCGUGGCCGCCUGCUUAGCUAUAACCAAGGGCUCGCCGCCGCCAUACCCCCUUCACCUCCCCGCUGCCCCCAUCGGCCUCCUAAUUCCGACCACAGCCGCCUCUAUCCCCCACUAGCCGUCCAACUUUCUCCUCUUCAUAGAUCUAAAACUAGGAAUGGGUUGGAGGGCUCAAUGAACUAGAUCUACUAUAUAGUCAUCUUUGAGCUCAGCUAUUGGGCAUCAUUGCUAGUUGCAAGCUCCCAAUUGGUCACAUCACUGCUAUUCAUAUACCAGCGGGAUCAAAUUGGCCUCUACACGAGUAAGUUGGUCCCUACGGUGAAGUACAGCAGUGGGCCCAUAUUGGCACCCACCACUGAUAGGUGGCAAAGUAAAAUUGGCAUGUGAAAAGAAUUGCCAUGUACUGAUAAGAAUUUACCAGUGCGGUCCCACUUUGCACACACCACUGGGAAAAAAAUGAGACCAACCCAAGGGAUAACCCUCGUUGGCAUUUUCUUUAUAGGAGAAACUUCGCGAGCACCACACGUCCAAGCCGAAGCUCGAACUCGCGUGGGCUGGCAGCUACCCCAGCUACCGAGCCGACGGGUCGACGCCCCGUCCUCGCACACACCUAUGUGAUUUGGCUAUAUUAUGAGUUGGUGGGCCAUUAGUGUUUUAUGCAUAUUCCAAAAAAUCACAUUGUUUUACCAAUAUUCUGCGGCAGAAGCUUAUCCUCAAAGUGCACAUAUCCCAUAUUUACGAAAAAUACUCGUUUAUUCGUUUUUCUGCAGACCGCUCGGCGUUAAGGUUGGUUUACAGCCGAGCAAGCCGACUGCUCGGCGGGAUGAAGAUGAAAAGGCAGUGGGCUAAGCCGCGUGUGUUUUAUCAACUACAUGGGCUACAUUUAGGUAUUUCAAAACCAAAGGGCAAUAUAUAAGCCGAGUAAGGCGUUAGAGGACACUCGGCCAAUACCAAGACGUCGUCAUGGAGCCGUCAAGCACGUGGCAAUAGAAACACUGCAGUUGCUUGCGUGAGCCACACGUGUAUGCCGUGGUUUUUCUACAUAAUAUAUCGUGUUCUUUCUGUAGGCCAUGCGUCUUUUUACGUUGUAUUCGGUUUACAUGGAGCUAAGUUGAGGGACCUGCAAAUGCCGUGUGUUUUCAAGAUGGUACUCGGCUUAGGGUCUCUUUGAUUCAAAGGAUUUUGAUAGGAUCUUUGAAGGAUUAAAAUCCUGAGGAAGUUUUCCUAUGUUGGUCGUUUGAUUUGUAGGAUUGAAUCAUGUAGGAUUUUUUUCUAAAGAUGUAUUUGUACUACAUUUUACAGGAAUUCUAACAUCCACUCCAACCUUUUGGAAGAAAUCCUUUGUUUUCUCCAUGACACAAUCAAACAAACUCAAAUCCUAUAGGAAUCCAAUGGACAUGUCAUUCCAAUCCUACGUUUUUCCUAUGGAAAACUAUUAAAAUCAUCCGACUUAUUUUUCACGAACGUAAACCGUCUUUGACGGACGCCACGUGUCCCUGCUGGUCGCUCACUCCUUAUCCUUAUCUUUUCUCCAGAAGAAGCGUGAGCCACUCAUUCCUUUUCCUCCUUUUUCUUCUUCCUUCGAGCAAACAUGCUUUCCCAGGGACGGCUCUCUCCAGCAAUCCCAGUCGCCGCUCACUUCGUGUUGAUGUAGGGCUAGGCUGAGAGGAUGCUCCUUCCAUGGCCGGCGGCGGAGCUGCGUUUGGUGAUGCGCGACGAUGUUGCGGCCACGUUGACGGCAAAGCUGCGUUGGAGCAGAAGGUGCUACGAGCUGCUGCCAUGACCGGCGGCGCUACUGCACAGCAACGGCGAAGCUGCGUUUCAGCAGCAAACAGCUAUGAGCUGCUGCCAUGGCGGGCAGCAGAGCUACAUGGCAGCAUGCAGCAGGCGAUGCGUCAAUGAAACUUGGCCGGAGCUCCAUUGAAGCUUCGCCGGUGCGUCAAUGAAACUUCGCCGGAGCUCCAUUGAAGCUUCGCCGGUGCGUCAAUGAAGCUUGGCCGUAGCUCCAUUGGAGCUUCGCCGGGGCGUCAAUGAAACUUCGCCGGAGCUCCAUUGAAGCUUCGCCAGUGCGUCAAUGAAGCUUCGACGGGGUGGCUCGGUGUUGCUAUGGAGCAGCACCCGGUGGCUCUCGGUGUUGUGAUGCAGCGGUCGCCGGUGGCUCCGGGGACGCGAGGUCGCCGAGGCAGGGUGACAGGGGAGGGUCUGCGUUGCUCUGCAUCAGGAGGAGUUGUUGUGCGCUGCUCUGUAUCAGAUGGCUGGGGAUUAGUGGAGAAAGGCCCAGGUUGUGUCGCGGCGAUCGAACGACCAUCUGUGCGGACCGAACGGCUGGCUGGGCGGAUGAUAUCUCUAGGAAAUCAUCCGCCUGAUUUGUAGCAGCCGCCUCCUAUUCCUGUGUUUUUGCAAUUCUAUGAAUCUGUCUAAGACGAGUAUCCGAGAAAAUACACCCGGCUUACCAAAAAGCACUAAGCAACAUGUCUUUUUCUCGUAGUGGCCUUUUAAGGUUUUUAUUUUACUUCAUAUAGGGCUCAAAGAGCCAACCUCGCCACCAACAUCGCCUACCAAACUUUGCCCAAGACGUCAUGUCCAUGAUCACAGACCAGUCAGGUUUAAACAUGUUUUCAUCUCUAUGAAAUUCACACAAAAAUUCCAAAUUGACUAGGUGUUUAAACUUAUGUUUCGACAAAGACUCAGACACCUGGACAUUUGAAAAUAGGACAAACGUCGACGCUCACAUGGACGCACCUAGACUCACAUCUAUGAACUUAUACACUAUCUCACUAAAUAGCAUAAAACUACUACAAUUCGGACUAGAGUUUCAAAAAACUACUAAAUAUAUUUUUCCGCUCAUAACUACUAAAUCAGGGGUCGGCUGUUUCAAAAAACCCAAAUCAUCGAGUCUUUAGUAAUUGAUCACGAUUAUGACAGUUGGGGCCAAGCGUAAGAUAACCGUUUGUUUGACCGUUUAGUUUGAAUGUUAACUUACAUGUGGGUCCCACAUGUUAGUUUUUUUAAAAGCAAUCAGGUCCCUGUAAGUUUUCUAAAAUAGCAACCGGGUACAUGUGAGUUUUCUAUAAGGUCCCUAAAAGUUUUUGCAAAAAGCAAUAUAAUCAGGUCUCCAGAGGAGCCGCGCCCGCGGCAGCCUGCUCGAUCCCGAGCGCUCUGCCCGAACCACGACGCUGCCUCCAUCGGCCGGCCAGCCGCGCCCGCAACGGCCGAAUCCACGCCGUGCCUCGCCUGCCACCAUGGCGUGACUCGCAUGCCGCCAUGUCAUGCCUCGCUGGCGGCCGCUGCCACGCCGUGCCUCACCUGUGGCUGCCGCCAUCCCCUGCCGCGAGCUCCUCAAGCUAGACGUGGACGGCCUGCGCCGCUGCUGGAGUGCGCACCUCCCAUUGCCGCGGACGAGGUCGCUGUCUGCUAUGCCUCCUCGAAGCCACCGUCACCACCAGGAGCUACGGUGAGCACCUACCACGACCAUGGGGAGGGUGGGAAGGAGAGGGAGGGUCGCCGCCAGCCAGGCCCGGCCCGGAUGGAGGGGUAGGGGGCGGCCGCCCCAGGCCCCCGAAAUUGAGGGGACCCCACGUUCGUGUGCUCUCUGUAUCCAGCCCAUGUGCUCUCUGUAUCCAGCUGAUGAGAAAAAAUGAUUCUGGGCUACUUUUGAUGAAACAGACCUGUACAUGUAGUGGAACUUGUGUUUCCCUCGCGUAGGUCCGCGGAUGACGACAUGAGCGAUCAACCUAGCGAUAUAUCCUACAAGCCCGAGGGAAACCCCGCCGCCGACACAGCCUCCUCCCGUGGAGGCCUCCCCCGAUGAUUUCUCGUCCAAUGGCGGAUCGAGUAAUUUCAUGUUCAUCGCCCUGGACAGGAGUAACAACACCACCGGCCCUGGCAGGCAGUUUUAAACUACAGAGGUCAGGUUAGCAUCUUCCUGAUGCAUCAUCCAACGGAGCUAGCUAGAUUGAUAUGUGACUAGUUGGUGGCAGAAUUAUUAGAUCUAGUGUAUUAGCGGAGAGGAGUAGGACGUAGUUGUCCUUCUGACUAAUUUUUUUAAUGCAAUCCUUCCGAUUAAUUAAUCUGGUCGUGUUGGAGAUCGAUGAAAGAUGAGGGGAGAGGAUGUCUAGAAUCCAUGGGAUAAUGAUAAUUGGCAAGCUGAAAUUAAUUGGAGGAUUCAUGGUCGAUUCAAUAUGAUUAGGUGGCAAAAUUAAUUUUUAGUAGCUAAAAAAAUUAACUUUUAGUGUUGCAAACUAUGAAGCUAUUCUACCUGCAUGCCACCAAGAGCAGUUCAAAUUACUUUUUGUUUGCCAAACUAUGAAAUAUACAAUGCAUGAAACUUCCCUAUCAAAAUCUUAGCAAAAGUGAGAAAUAAUAAUUAUAAUAAUGUAUAAUUAGAACCCGGAACUAGGUCGACCAGCUGGUUUUGCACGCCAUGAUAAAAAAAUUAACAACAAUUCAUGUUUAAAAUUUAUCUAGACAUGCACAUAAUGAUUAUAAUUUUGGAUAUAUAAAGGGCCUCCGAUUGUAUUUUUGCCCCGGGCCCCUGAAAUCUCAGGACCGGCCGUGCCGCUAGCUUGGGAUGGGAGGGGACGGUCGUCGGCUUGGGAGCGGAGGGGAGGGUCGCCGGCUUGGGAGGGGAGAUGGCCUGCUCGGGAGACACCAGAAGAGAGACGAGAAGAGACAAAGAGGAAGAAGAAAGAGAAUAGCAAGAGGAAACUUACAUGUAGGCCCCACAUGUAAGUUAACGGCCAAACUAAGGUCAAACUGACAGUUUGUUUAGGUGCGGGCCCAACCUGUCGUGACCGUGAUCAACCGAUAAGGACUCGGGGAUUUGGGUUUUUUGAAACAGCCGACCCCCCGGCUUGGUAGUUAUCAGCAAAAAGAAUUUGGUAGUGUUUUGUAACCCUAACGUGAAUUGUAGUAGUUUUAUGCUAUUUACUCAAACGAUCUCUAUGAGCAUUUUCAAGAUACUGAACCGGCACAUCAUUUUGAGAUUGGUGAACACCACAGACGUCUUCAUAGUUGACAGAAACGUCUCCUCCCAAUGAACGAACAUCGCAAAAGCCUGAAAUAAAUCCCAAAAACUGUCAGCACCAUUACCAAGUUUAAAACUUGAACCCUGAUAGGGUUGGUUCCACCACAAGAAAUCUAACUAUUUGAGCCAUGCACAUCUCAUAGUUUUCCCUGUGGCCAUGGAGGGUGCCACAUAUGUAACCCAUUAAUAUGGGAACCCAUACCUGUAAGCUUGUCAGCAUUUAUAGGCUAUAUAUGCUAAUCAAUUAUAAAAAAAACUGGGAUAACAAGUUUGAACUACACCCAUUAUUCCUCCGCCUAUAUAUUGUCGUGCAUGCAUGCCAGUGCCAUAUACGGAAACAAACCGACCGAGAAGGCCCUUAAUUAACAGCUAGCUAGCUCUCUUGGUCGAAUAUGGUAACUGCUAAUGCUAUUGGCUCCGGCGACCUGAGCAUCCGUGUCCUGAGUCGCCGCCUUGUCAAGGCCUCCGACCCAUCUACCAAGCCGCACGUAGCCGCCUUCUCGAACCUCGACCUCUACCCUGGCAACGAGCAGGCCUCGAUAGUAUGCCUCUACCCCAAGCUCCCAAACGCCGGUGACUUCCCGGCGGUUGUAGCCACCUUCGACUCCAUCCUCCCGUCGUUGCUCAACGACUUCUACCAUUUCGCCGGGCGCAUCCGCACCAACCCAAGCUCCGGCCUCCCCGAGCUGCUCUGCGACAACCAAGGCGCAGAGCUGGUGGUCGGCGAGGCCGGUGUCGCCAUGGCCAGCCUGGACUACGGCCUGGCGGAGCAGUCGUUGAAGAAGAUAAUGCUUCCGUACGCCGAGGACGUCACGCUCUCGGUUCAGCUGCUCUCCUUCGCCUGUGGCGGCUUCUCCGUCGUGUGGGCGACCAACAACCUUGUGUGUGACGGCCAAGCCUUCACCAUGUUCGUCAGGAGGUGGUCCGAGCUCGCCCGAACUGGGCGCAUCGUCGACGGACCGCCCAACCAUGACCGCUCGGUGUUCAGCCCUCGCAGGCCGCCGUCGUACGGAGCCUCGAUCAGGGACAUGUUCGCGACGUACGACCAUGACCGGCUGGUGAACGUGCUGACGGCGCACGACAGCUUCGUCGAGCGCCUCUACUACAUCGAGGCGAGCGACAUCGCUGCCCUGCGGGAGGCGGCAAGCAGCAAGCUCCAGCGCCCGUCGCGCGUCCAGGCGGUGUCCGCGUACCUGUGGAAGGCCCUCGCCCGCGUGGUGGCCGCGUCCCGCGUGCCGGAGGAGCGCUGCUGCAUGGGGUGGAUGGUGGACGCGCGGCGGCGGGUGAAGGCGCCGGAGCUCGUCCGGGCGAUGGGCAACUACUUCGGCAACGUUACGGCCUACGCUCUCGGGGAGGCAGCCGUUGAGGAGAUACAGGAGAAGGAGCUGUCGGAGGUGGCGGCCAUGGUGCGGGAGACCAUCACGUCUAUCGACUACGAUGAGUACACCCAGGAGCUGGUGGACUGGGUGGAGGAGCACAAGACAGAGAGGCUGAUGGAGAAGGGCGUCAUCGGGCUCGGUACGCCCACCUUGAACCAGACGGUGUUCGCGUCGUUCCCGCUCGACACCGACUUCGGCUUCGGCCAUGCCGUGCUGGCAAUGCCCAUGUGCGACUACGGGAGGCUCAGCUCGGGGUACCUGUCGAUCGGAGCUCGGCCGGGAGGCGACGGCUCCUGGCUGGUCAACGCCUACAUAUGGCCUCGCCUCGCGGCGGCGCUUGAGUCGGACCAGCAGCGCAUCUUCAAGCCUCUCACGGCGGAGUAUCUAGGGCUCGUCUAGGCGUACCACUCUGCUGUCUGCCCGGUUUCUUCUUCAAUAAGUCUUUGCUUCGUCUUUUGAGGCAUGAAAGCAGCUCGUGCUUGUUUUACUUCCACCUAUUUUGCAAUACCCCAAAUAAAGCCCUUCUGUGUGGAGGGUAGUUUGUUUGAUCAAUAAAUGUUUGAGUCGUUCAUAAGGUUUCCUUGAUUAGUAUACAAAUCAGUUGAUGACUACGUUUCACAACUCAUGUGCAUGGAGAUGCUAAACCGAUAGUAUGGACUCGGGGAUGGAGACCACGCAGUCGGACAUACCAACUCUGAGACGCAGCGAGAUGUUGUCAUAUGUUAGUGUCAAGCACAAUGUUUAUGCCAUGUCCUAGACCUAAGGUCCUCGCAUGUUCUCGGGAUGAGUAUCGACUCACUUAAGGUCUAUCAAACGCUACUCCAUAACUGGCUAGAUAUAAAUGUAGCUUUUGGGUGGGUGGUGAGAUAUGCCGCGAGACAUGGCCGACCAAGAUGGGAUUUACCCCUCCUAUUUGAAGAGAUAUUUUCUGGACCCUCUCGAGGGAUCGGAUUCGGAAAGCAUGACCAUGCGACUUGGUUAAGUGUUAACCCAGUGCGGGAAUCUAUAUCACGGUGUCAAGAAGAGAGGUCGAGCUACCACAAGGGUGACAAGUACUCACCUUGAGCUUGACAACAUAUAUCGUGAGGCAAAAGGAAUGUUGCAGAUGAUACAUUGUCGAGGUUCUUCGAACGACUUUACACGCACAUGAGAGUUGGCACGUUCAGCGAGGAGCUGCUACCAACUAUCGACUCUGGUCGUGUCCAUGUGUACGUAAACCUAUAGGGUCGCACACUUAAGGGGCUGCAGGCCAUUCGGAUUGGAUUCGAGUGGAAAUGGUUUUACUCCUAGUGGGCCUCAAGUAUUGAGCCUAUCUCGGAGGUCUAUAUAUAGGGGAGUGGCCGCACAACUGAGGUUGAUCUUUUUCCACCAUGGACAGCCUCCAUCGCAACUCCCCACGCCCAUCCCGCGCGACCUAACCUAGAUGCCUACCGCCCGACGCUGCUCCCCGUACGUGUGGAUACCUUGCAGGCAUCGCAUCCGUGGUGCUUGGAUGAACUGUUCGAGGGAACCGCGAGGUGCCGUUCGCGGGAGAUCAACGUUCACAGGUCUUUGUUGUUCGCGGGAGAUCGACGACGCGAGGAGGAGACGCCUCGGGAGAUCGUCUACAUGCAUCUCCAACUCUAUUUUCUGCUGCGGUUACUGCGCGUCUAGUGGUAAACUCGAUCUCAUGAUCUAUUUCCAGCAACUUGAUCUUGGGUGCGUGGUAGAAUUUUUUUUAUUUGGCUCUAGCUUAGCAUACCGCGUGUUUCUACAGUCGUAUCAGAGCCUAUGCUACGUGGUAUUAGAUUCAAGGUAGAAUUUUCAAAUGAUGAUAUGUAGAUUGCUUUAUGUACUGGCCGAUGAGAUCGGUUGUCAAUAUGAUUGACUAUACAUGGUGUCAGGCAUUCGAAAUUGUGAUCUAAUUUUCCGUGAUGAUGUUGUGGAGGUCGUGGCACAAAUUACCUAUACCGGUCGGUUUCGGCCAUCGGGUAAGACAGUGGAACGUAAAGUCGGUCACAACACGCGAAGACCAAUGAGAUUGGUUGAAUCAGAUAGAUGGUCAAAAUAGGAUAAAUAUGAUUUGCCGGUGAAAAUUCCCAUGCAAAAAUGCAUAGAUAUUGCAAGGGCGCUGCCAGUUGACCCCACAGGGGGCAAAGCCCCAUCGACCCCCAUCCUGUUAAUCUCUUAGGGCGGUGGAUAACUUGUUUUUGCAGGUAAUGCUUGUGAUUUGGUACAACCCGGGUAUGUUGCAUGUACGUAAUUAUAUCAUGACCUGCGUGUCGAGAGUACAAUAACUGGUUGGAGCCAUAUGGUUGUCCCAUUAUUGUAUUAAUGACCUUCAUGUCAACAUGAGAAGCAUUGUAUUGUUAUUUACUUUCAAUAGCUAUUAGUUUGUAAUAGCGUAGUAUCUUAUGUAACACUUGGCGGUUGACACCAUGGCGUGGAGAUGAAGAUCUCCACGAGGACAACCAUGCAUGGAGAUGGAGAUCACCAUGGGCAGGCCGUGCAGGUGGAGACGAAGAUCACCAUGCGAUAUCAAAAGGGGCUAAACCAUAUCACACAUAUAAACUGCCUGUGAAAGUUUAUCUCUGUUAUGCACCCUUCUUUUGCAUGGUAGACGUUUCAAGUAGGGUGAUCCCUCAAAGAAUGUCAAGUAAAAAUGCCUCUCCAAAUGUUGCACCAUCACACAUCAAGUAUACUUAGUGGUGGGAUUAUAAAAUUAAGGUGCCAUUUGGUGUCCUUGAAGUGAUGGGUUCGGUUCGGACACUUACAUGCAUAGCAUUGGUUAUCUUGUCGUGGCUAUCAAAACAGUUUUGGGCCUCGAGGCGUAGGAGUUGGUGCGACAUGAGAUGUCCCCAACAACAAGAGUCGUAUGGAGACACGAUUAGCAAGAAAUACUUAUGGAGUGAUCUCGUCUUCUAGCAGUGAUGCAAAUGCUCACUAGUUAACAUGUUGAUCUUGGAUCUUGAAUCACUAAGUAUCAUCUGAGGGAUGUUGAUUUUAUUUGGAGUGAUGAUCUUAUUAAAAUGUUUAAUAUGAAUUACUCUUCAUGAAUACAUGUCUUAGUGUUUUGCAUCUUUCUGUUGGAGAUCAGAGGCACCACCUGCUCAAGUUACUCCUUUUGCGCUGAAAACAAUCCUAGAAAAAGAUAAAUGGAAUGGGACAAACUUUACGACCUGGUAUAGAAAUCUGGGAAUUGUUCUUAGGCAUGAGAAAAAGGACCAAGUUCUAGAAAAUCCGCUUCCAGAUGUACCUGCCAAGAAUGCUAAUGCCACAACCAGGAGUGCCUACCAGAAACCCAUUGAUGAAUAAAAUGAGAUCAUCUAUCUCAUGCCGGCUUCAAUGGAGCCCGAUCUACAGCAGCAGUUCGAAAACAUUAAGGCUUUCGAUAUGAUCGAGAACCUCAAAAGCAUGUUUCUGAUGUAGGCUAGGACCGAAAGGUUCAACGUCUGGCUAUCCUUGAUGGAUUGUAAGUUGAAUGAAAGUGAUCAAGAUGACUAGGUACAUGCAAGCUUUGGAUUGGUUGGGCUUCCCACUUGGGAACGUUCAACUCGAACUACCAUAUGCAUGGGAUGGAAAAGAAGCUCACUGAAUUGCAUGGGAUGCUCAAGGUGGCAGAGCAGGAUAUAAAGAAAGUUACGCAUCGUCAAGUGUUGAUGGUGCAGAACUGGGCUAAGUUCAAGAAGAGAUGUUCCAAGAAAAAGCAUAAGGCAAACGGCCAGGAGGAGAAGGCAACUCCAACUUCUGCCGUUGCGCCUAAGUCAGGGCCAGCCGGGGACCGUUUUCUUUCACUGUAAGGAACACGGCCACUAGAAAAUGAACUGCAACAAGUGGCUUGUCGAGAAGGGCAAGAAGACUGGAAGUGUCACUUCUUCAAGUACACUUAUUGUAUAUGUUAUAGACAUUUAUCUUGCUGAUGUUUCUAGUAGCUCUUAGGUAUAUGUUACCGGAUCGGAUGUUCACAUAUGCAUCUCGAUGCAGAGUCUAAGAAGAACUAGGAAUGUUGGAAGAGAAGUUGACAUACACAUCGUGAAUAAAGCAAGAGUUGAUGCAUUGGCCGUCAGCACUAUGCAACUUAAUUUACCUUCAGGAUUUGGAAUGGAACUUGAUAAUUGUAAUUAUGUUCCUGCUUUGAGUCAAAACAUUAUUUCUGCCUCAUGUUUGAUGAUACAAGUUUAUGAAAUAAGUAUUAAGGACAAUGGUUGUUCUAUGUACUUGAAUAAAAUGUUUCAUGGCUUUCCACCUAUUGUGAACGGGUUAUUAAUCCUAGAUCUUGAAGGUGAGCCAGUCUAUAACAUAAAUGUCAAGAGGCAUAAGCCUAACGAAAUAAACCCGACUUACAUCUGGCAUUGUCGACUAGUACACAUUAGUAAAAGUGCAUGAGGAAGCUCAAUGAUGAUGGAAUUCUAACUUCAUUUGAUUUUGAAUCAUUCGAGACAUGUGAGUGUUGCCUUCUUGGCAAGAUGACUCAGACUCCUUUUGCAAGGAGUUGCGAAAGGACGUCCGAGUUAUCGAAACUCAUCAUAGUGAUGUAUGUGGACCAAUGAGCACGACAGCAGGUGGUUUCCAAUAUUUCGUGACGUUUACAGAAAACUUGAGUAGAUUUGGAUAUGUCUACUUGAUGAGGCACAAGUUAGAAACUUUUGGAAAGUUCAAGGAGUUUGAGAGCGAAGUGGAGAAUCAACUCGGCAAGAGAAUCAAACUUCUACGAUCUGAUCGUGGCGGUGAGUAUAUGAGCCAGGAGUUUGAUGAUUAUCUAAAGAGUCGUGGAAUAGUUCCACAACUGUAUCCUCGGGGUAUGCCACAGAGAAAUGGCGUGUUGGAACGAAGGAAUCGGACUCUGUUAGACAUGGUCCAAUCAAUGACGAGUCGGUCGGAUUUACCUUUGUUAUUUUGGCGAUACGCUCUAGAAACUGCGUAUUUCACACUAAAUAGGGUACCAUCCAAGUUUGUAGAUAAGACGGCAUAUGAGAUAUGGACUGCGAAGAGUCACAGUUUGUCUUCUCUAAAAAUUUGGGGUUGUGAAGCAUACGUCAAGCGACUCCAGUCAGACAAGCGCACACCCAAGUCGGACAAGUGCAUAUUCGUGGGGUAUCCAAGGGAAACCUUGGGAUCUUACUCCUACAUCCGUGAAGACUGCAAAGCGUUUGUCGCUCGACAUGGAGUUUUCCUUGAGAAAGAGUUUCUCAAUCAGAAGGCUAGUGGGAGGAUGAUACGACUCGAGGAAAUUCGAGAACCACAUGGAGUUAGUCAGGGAACCCAUGGUGGAGUCGACGCCAAUUCCACGGAGGUCAGAAAGGUUGCGCAAUAUGCAUGACUGCAAUGUGUUGUUCUUGGAGAACAACGAGCCGGCAACGUAUGCGGAAGCCAUAGAGAGCCCUGAUUCCGAGUUAUUGCUUGAGGCCAUGAGAUCCGGAUUAAAGUCCAUGGAUGGCAAUCAAGCUUGGAACUUGGUUGAUCUGCCAGAUGGCGCUCGAGGCAUUGAGUGCAAACUGGUAGUGAUGCCUAAAUAAAUUAGGACCAUUCUUGCUAUAUCUGCAUAUUUCGACUAUGUUACUAUUAUGUUCUUCAACAGAAGGUCCCAAAUGUUGUUGUGCCUCUGCUGAUGGACGCCGAAAGUGAGAUGACAAUUGUUUGCCCUUUGAAGAUCAGAUUCAAAUAUACAUACUCGACCGAGCGUUAAUCAAAUGGAUGCCUCAAAAUUGAGUGAUGGAGGCAAAUAGUCAAUGAGCUCGGGCCACAAAUUGGAGACCGGGGAUCUCUGUGGUCCAUCAUGGAGAUGUAGUUUUUUUUCUCUGUUUUAUUCUAUUUUACCUAAGACACUGGAGUAGGUCAUAGUACUUGUCAUGUGCUUGAAAGUUACUUACCUAGGAUGAUGACAAUUAGUUAGUAGUGGUUAACUUAUGAUGAUGAUGAUGGUGAUGAUGGUGAUGAUGAUGAUGAUGAGACAUUUUUAUAUAAUUAUGAUCAUGAUGAGCUGUUAUAUCACUACGAUGAUGAUGAGUUAUAUCAUUUUGAUAAUGAUGAGUUGUUACAUGAUGAUGAUGAUGAUGAUGAUGAUGAUGAUGAUGAUGAUGAUGAUGAGUUGUUAUAUAGUUGCUUGUGUAUAAAAAUCUGUAUAAUUAUUGUAUAAAUAUAGUAUAAUAUGUAGAAAGGAAAUACAUAGAGUUAGUAGUGGCGGGGGGCCUCGCGCUAUAGCUAGUUAUUAGUAGCACGGGCCAAACACCGCGCUGCUCCUAAUGUAAGUAGUAUUAGAGCCGAGCCUGGCCCGUCUUACUAGGAACCAGUUAGCUACACGCUGAUGAGUUGUUAUAUGAUGAUGAUGAUGAUGAUGAGUUUUUAUAUAGUUGCUAAUGUAAGUAGCGAGGCAACCCGCACUACUCCUAUGCCUUUAAACCGCGCCACUACUAGCCUUAUCCCUUGUAGUGACGGGCAGAUGGAGCGAUGAAAUGCGCAUGUCCUCAAUGGGCUCCAAACGAGAACAUUCGCCUAACUCAAGAAGUGUGGCCGGUGAUGGAUCGAUGAGCUUCCCUAUGUUCUAUUUAGUGUAGAUAUCACUCUUAAUUAACUUGUUUUUCUGCGGAUAGUAACUAACGCUUUGAGCCUUUGUGGUUUAUCUCACAAUUUUUGUCUUCACAACUGGAGUAGGCCACAAUGUUGAGAUGCAAAAAAAGGUCCAUAAACUAAUUAAAUGGAAUAUCAUUUAGAUACGACACUUAUAAGAUACACUAAAUAUUAAGAGACGUGUUGAGUAUAUAAUGAAUAGGGGUCAUUGUCUCUAAAUAGUUUUCACUAAAUAGGAUGAUGUGUUAAGAGACACUGCGUUGUGAGUUCCCUUUCGCUAAAUUAAUUUGCCCUGGUUCGAUUGCAGAGAUGUGUGCGGAGUUUCUUGGGGGAGUUUGGCAGCCAAUCGAUGAUAACUAGUUCUAGGACGCUACUAGGUCAGAUUCAAAACUGAACAUAUGGCUUGGUCCAAGAGUUUCGGCUCUCACAACCUGAAAAUCUGCAGCUUUCACACUAAAUAUUAAGAGAUUCGAAACUGAACAUAUCUGUCAUUGGUUUGAUGCUGUGGGUCCGUUUCAUUAUCUUUUUUUUUAUCAGGUAGUUGGACGGCCACACCAUGCCCUGAAAAUCUGUCUAGAUCUUGAUCGGGAGGCAUAAGAUUUCUUAUUCUGACAACCCUGAAACUGUUUGCCAUGCAUGCAUUAUCCUUCGCAAAGCGAAUUAAGUUGCCCCUAGACAAGGGCGGAUGGAGUAUAGUUCACUGUAGCUUCAUGAUUCUUUUGUCAGCUUAUUUUUUAGAGCUGCGGCUAUCAUAUUUACACCUGCUGUUAUAUCUGUUUCCAGAACCAUGUGUCAGCAGCUUCUGUUAUCAUAGCCAAUAAAACUAUCACGAAGCUACAGUGUGAGCAAUGAAGACGUUAUAUAAACAGGGAUAAAAUAUAUUGUGCUAAACUGCUCUAUCCAAAACCAUGUGUCUGCUCCUCUUGUUUGUUUCUUUACUAUUUUUCAUAUUGUGGAUGAUCAUGACGAUACAUACUAAAGAGUUUUGCAUAGCAUAUGUAAUUUCAUGCAUACAGACAAUGUUUUUUUAUUGGUGUAUUAUUUCACUCUGUUAAGACAAAAUUAUAUUUUGGAAUAUUGAAAUAAUAAUAUUAGGUAAAUCAUACAUGUGCACUAUGAAGCUAACUUUGUGCAAGAGAAAUGAGUAAAAUUAAGGACAAGAUUUAUACCUAUGCAAUACAAAAAAAAACUAUCUGCAGCAGUAAAUUCAUGUAGCUGGCAACAUUACUGGUACAAAUUAGAUCUAAUUAUAGUGCAUACAUGUACCUUUUUUAGAAAACAAAUCUUGAAACUUCGAUAGAAAAUUUUACGAUUUAUGAAAUUUGAAUGGGAAAACUAAACCAAAACCAAAAGGCCGGGAGUUAAAUGUGAGUGAAAAUAAAUGUCAGGAGGUAUUUGUCAGUGAAAAUAAAUAUGAGUGACACUUCUCCAUGCAAAAAUGUUAGUGAAAAAACUUGAAUUUUCACUGUAAAAACAACCCCAAAAUAAAGGAGGAAGCAGAACCAUCGAAAUGUUUAUGAAACGAACAACCACCAACAUAAGAGAGAAGUCACCAUACUCAUUAAGACGCCCAUGUUCAUCUGAGUAGUUAAGCCACUGCAUAGCAAUUAAUAGAAAGAAAACUGCAUAGAAAUUAAUUUUGAUGGGCUCGUGGAUCACGGCAGAAGCAUGCAUGAAUGCAUAUGUCUAUCGUUGCAGGUCAUUCAUGAGAGCAAUGCAUUCAUAUCUAUCUUUGCACGGAUGGAAAAAUUAGUCUGGCGCCAUAUAUCUUCUAUUUGUUAUACUACAGAAAGACAUAUUAAAAUAAAGUUGCCCCUAAACAAGGUGGAUGGACGACCACUCAUUUUGGCAGACUGUACUCGCACAAUUCGUUUUCCCAAUAAUAAUGUGAAUGGAGAGAGUAUAAUUCACACUGUCGCUUCAUGAUUCUUUUGUCAGCUUAUUUUUUAGAGCUGCCUUUUUUUUUGCGGGAAUAUUUUUUAGAGCUGUCAGCUAUUAUAUUUACCCCUACUGCCAUAACUAUUUCCAGAGCCAUGUGUCGGCAGCUUUUGUUAUCAUAGCCGACAAAACUAUAACGAAGCUACAGUGUGAGCCAGGAAGACGUUAUAUUUUCAGGGAUAACAUAUAUAUUGUGCCAAACUCCUCUAUCCAAAACUAUUUGCCGGCACCUCUUGUUUUGUUUAUUUACAAUUUUAAUAUUGUGGAUGAUCAUGACGAUACGAAGUAAAGAGUUUUGCAUAGCAUAUGUAAUUUCAUGCAGGCAGACAACACUUUUUUAUCAGUGUAUAAUUUUGCUCUGUAAAGACAAGAUUUUAUCUUGUGAUAUUGAAAACAUAGUGUUAGAUAAAUCAUAGAUGUGAUCUUUGUGGAUAAAUUUGUGCAAGAGAAUUGAAUAAAAUUAAGAACAAGUUGUAUACCUGUGCAAUAAAGAAAACUAUCUGCAGUAGUAAAUACAUGUAGGUGGCAACACUCACAUUUUGGUUAUUCCUGUAUAAACAUUGCUAGUGCAAAUUGGAUCCUAUAUAUUGUGCACACGGUGUUCCCGUCCUCGGAUGGUUUCCCCUUGUUCGGUCUUGCUCAUUCUCGUUGCUCACAAGCUCAUGCAAUUGAGAACCUGAGAUCUUCAAUCUGGCCAUCUGGGAUUUCCGGACUUCUCCUUCGAAGGAAAACAAGGACUGGCACAUAUGGCGCUCUUUGGACACCUUGACUAGAUAGGGGCCUGUCGUGUGCACCCGCAACAUCAGCAUAACCAGCUUUACCGGGGUAUCGUGCAGCUCUGUUUUUGUUGGCACCUUGGGACAUGUCUGCACCAAGAUUCCCAUGGGAUCAACACAUGUGGAGAAUGUCAUGGCGUGAUUGAAGGACUUGCAAGUGGCAAAGGCGGGGUCUUGGAUGCGAUGAAGACUUUGCUUCAUAGGCAGUUGUUUAGACAUGGCUUACGGGAUAUGUUCCCAUCCAGACGGGACGUGAAUUCCUGUGAGCCUAAUGGUGCGUGACUUGCAGUAGUAGCCUCCGCAAGUGGGGGUGGCGGCAUUGGAGGACUUCUUUGUUAUUCGGUGCUCCUCUGAGUACCCAAUCAGGAUUUCCAAGGUGAAAACCCAAGGUCUGGCCUUUAUUGGUUGUGCCUGGCAGUAGUCUUGUUGAAGGCAUUAUUGUUGGGAACCUCAUCUUUCUCCAGGGUGAAAACGUAAUAUCUUUGAUCAGGCAACGACAACGCUUGUGCUUUGUUUCCUUCCUGGAGGCAUUGCUUUUGGAGAACCUAUUUUGUAGUCCGGGUGCCAUCUUUGGUGGUGGUUAGAGUGCGGCUACUUCGGGUAUUGAUCACCGUGGUGGGAUAUUUUUUCUUCUCUUUUUAUUUUGAUUUUUAGUUGUGUGCAUCCUGGAUGUUUUUAGGCAUCUUGUUGUUGCAGAGUCUGGGAGUAAUUGGUAUCUGCUUGAUAUUAAUACAUUCUCCUUUACAAAAAAAAAUUACAUAUGCCUUUUCUAGAAUUUUUUUCCUAAAACUUCCAGGGAUGAUUCUAUCAUUUGUUUAAUUUUAAUGGAAAAAUUAAACCAAAACCAAAACGUCAGGAGGUAAAUGUGAGUGAAUAUUAAGGUCAAGAGGUAAAUGUGUUUGAAAUAAAUAUGAGUGACACUUCUCCAUGUGAAAUUGUUAGGGAGAAAACUAGACUUCUCUCUGUAAAAAUAACCCCAAAAUUAUGGAGGAAACAAAACCAUCCAAAUAAACAAUAUAUUGAGAAGUCUAUGAAACGAACAACCACCAAGAUAAAAGAGAAUUCGCCAUACUCAUCAAGACGCCCACAUGUCAAUAGCUCAGUCAGUCAACAUUAUAGCAAUUAAUUUUGAUAGGCUCAAGGAUCAUAGUAGAAGCAUGCAUGAAUCGUUGCAGGUCAUUGAUGAGAGCAAUGCAGAUCACUAUCUUUGCAUGGUCAGAAAAAUUAUUCUGGCGCCACCUAUCUUCUAUUUGUUAAACCAUAUGAAGGCGCAUAUCUCAUCACGAACGAUUAAUCAACAAUAUAUACUACACAAUGACACAUUAAAAUUAUUGCACAUGGGCGAGAUUGAUGGCUUUAUCCUUCAUAUGAUCCAAAUAAUCGUAUUUAUUGUUCACACUGUAACAACAUAAUGGUUUUGUUGGCUAUCUACCCCUGCUACCAUUCCUAUCUCUUGAGCAACAUGCUAGUAUCUUUUGUUUAGUUUAGCUAAAAAGAUUGGAAUGAGAGAUUUCCUUUUUUUGUGCAAUAACAUGAUAGUACAAACUACUGAACUUUACAUAUUUAGGUACUCAAUAAAAUACUGUUAAAGAUAGCUAUAGACAUUAGUCAUAUUAAUUCAACCAUAAGAGAUUAUCAUGUACCAUAUUAGCAUGAUUACUGGUCCUGUUCAAGAAUUCGUCCGAUUAACCAGUUAACUUGGAAAUUAAUCCCUACUUGUAAGGUCAUCGUGUAGCCAAUAAACUGAUAAAUCCUCCGUUUAAUUUCUUAACAGGACAAUUAACUUGCCGAUUACCCUAUUAAUCCCCUACUCCCUAGCCAACCAAGCAGCUACCAGUUAACAAUUUCCUCAACAAAUUUACUGGUAUGUUCCUGUUUAGAUGGUUCACCAAUACACUUCCAAAGUUAUUUUUGAGAAUGAUGCACCCUUUUUACAUUUUUUUGGUAUUAUUCCAUCAAUGCUGCACUACAUCAUAGCAUCUUCUUCUUUUUGGAAUGGCUAUGAAAGGACACGAUAGGUAUGUCUGGUGAACUUUUUGUGGAGAUACUUGGGCUCAUGUGUCUGAGAAUAAGAGGAUGUCCUCCCAUAGGAUUUACAUAUACCAACAACUAUUAACCAUGUCUCAAUGUGAGAUUGGAGACUAAAGAGUCUAGAUUUUAUAAGAUUAACCGGAAGUGUUGACUUCAACCGUGUAUUACUAAUCCACUGCAGUUGAAUUUUUGCAGUUGAAUUUUGCAUAUGGCUAAUUUAUUAAUCAACACCUAGGAGGAAUAGUUUGUAGGAGUUACCUAUAGCGUUGCCCUGGCAAAAGGAAAUGUGAUUGUUUAUCAAAAUUGUUUCUACUUAUAUUGUUUUAUCCCGUUACUACUGCAGCACUAAUUUUUAGUUAACUAAUGAAAGAAAGGCAUCAUAUUGUUUUAUCCCAUUGAUACCAGAGCACCAAUUUUUAGUUCAUUAAUUAUGUUGCUAUCUUCAAGUAUUUUUAAUCUGGAGGAAGUUCCACAAAACAAAAAUGUGAGAGUCAAAAAGGUGAGGGGAAAACGAGCUGAAUACCACCUUCUUUGUCCUGUCUUGCUUAAUCCACUUGAAGCCAGAUUACCACUUCGGCAGGGUAUGCUGAUGGAACUCGAACUAGGAACCUCAGUGACAUUUGUAGCCAUACAUUCAAAACACCUCCAGGCACAUGAUUUCAAAAGAUAUUUUUGAAGCAACAGGUCACCAAGCGUCUAAUUGAGUGUUGUAGACAUGACAAUGUCUAAAAUGGCGACUUUGAGGAAGCGUAAUGGAACAAACAUUGUGUCAUGCAUGUGCUCUCUACCACACCCUCGACAAAAAUCAAGAUCCCAGUCCAGUGGAAUGAGGAGGACUAGGAUAUGGACGACGAAGGGCCCAGCAACUAGAUAGAGACAACUUAGGAGUGAGCCAUAGGAAGAUCAUCUAGUGCACUGGGUGUGUGGAUUUGAGGGCCCACUUGUAAGAGAGUGCGUAUGCGUUUAAAAGGGGCAAGUGAAUCAGACAUGUGCCGUAACUUAUCGAUGAAAUAAUAAUUGUUUGAACUCUCACCUACUCUGUUCUGCAUCUCACCCUCUUCAUCUGUUCUUCAACUUCUUCUCAUCCCCUACUCCAUAUUAUCCUCUCCAAUAUGUGAUUCUUCCACCAACACUAGUUGGACAUCACAGUUUGACAAUGGAAAUCUUGGUAAAUUUUUCUCUUUGACAGCACUCGGAAACAAUUGAUGCAGGCGCAAAUCCAUGAUAUAAGGGAUAUUUUCUGUAGCAUUGUUUGAAAAUACAUCAGUUACGCAAGGGCCCUUUUGCUUCUUUACUUCUUGUUCUGUGUGCACUCUGAUGUUCGAAGGUGCAGUGAUGGUAGACAGAUAUUUAGUUGGAAGAAAAAUAGAUAAACUCAGAUUUCGUGUAACCCGGGCUCACUCUUUUCAGUGAAUAAAUUAUUGUCACAAAAAACCAGCCUUUUGCUUCUCUUGAUGACAUUAUUCUUAGAAGUAAGAAUGUGCAUUUCUGCAGCCCAUGCUCAUGUGCUAUUUUUUCUUUUUAACUAGUGUAACAAAUGGGGUAGAUGUUUUUUUUUCUGUGCCAAUAAUGGUGUUAAGACUGCUAAAAUCUUGUAAGGGAAGAAAACAUUGAAGAGCAGAAAGAAGAAGAAAAUCAUUUAUUUAUAUAGAACUGACAUGCAUUUGAACAUCAACAGUCAUUUAUUAUUAAUAAUUCCGCAUUUUGUGAAUUCCUUUCUCCAAUGUUUUCUUCCAGGUUUAUUUACUAUGAUAGGCUCACCAGGAAAGGAACCUGAAAAUUUAAAUCGUGUCAAUUUCCUUUUCACACAAUUCUCUCAUGAUGCAAUGGUUUCAGAGAACGCUGUUGUUAUUUGCCAGACAUGUGAUGUUUAGUAUGACUUGAACUAACAUAACAUGCAUAAUACGUUUAUUGAGUACAUGAAGGUUGGUUUCUUUGAAUCAUUUUGGAUUAGCCUGUUUGCAAAGGCUAUUAUCAUUCCACCACUCAGUGAUUUAUGAAUAUCUCCCAUUCAUUUGAUGUGAGUUCCCUGCAACCACACACGAUAUUUCCCUUACUCCGUUUUCGGUAAGAUAUGGGAAACUAAACAUUCAAGGAUAUUGUUCCCACAAGUGGAGAGACUGAAAAAGUCGCGCGCGUUGCUCUCCNNNNNNNNNNNNNNNNNNNNNNNNNNNNNNNNNNNNNNNNNNNNNNNNNNNNNNNNNNNNNNNNNNNNNNNNNNNNNNNNNNNNNNNNNNNNNNNNNNNNNNNNNNNNNNNNNNNNNNNNNNNNNNNNNNNNNNNNNNNNNNNNNNNNNNNNNNNNNNNNNNNNNNNNNNNNNNNNNNNNNNNNNNNNNNNNNNNNNNNNNNNNNNNNNNNNNNNNNNNNNNNNNNNNNNNNNNNNNNNNNNNNNNNNNNNNNNNNNNNNNNGAGGCCGAACAGGUGAAGCCCGCCUCGGUGGGCGGCGGCAUCAGGGCAGUCUAUUCCCGCGGCAACUCAUCGCCCUGGACGGCGGAGCCCGCUCGCGGCACGGUGGCGAAAGUCGGCGCGUUGGAUCCCACGGUGGACCCCUCGUCAGCGUGGAGAGAUGCUUGUGUGUGGCUGACCGGGGUCGAGCACGAGGGAUUCGGGCCUUGUUCGCCGUAUCAAUCUCGCGACGACACCUAUGUCUUCAGCUGGUGCGGUCAGGGUGGUGACCCGGGCUGGCGGCGGCGACCGGUUCCUCCAUGGCUGGUGGGUUAAGUCCUUGACCUGGACGACCAUGUGACGAUGGGUGGUGGCAGAGGCCGCAGAACUAGCGUGCCAUCCAGAUCCAUCUCGGCGUGGCCUUGGCCGGCAGGCGAUGCGUGCAGGGACCGAUCUGGGGCGGCUGGAGGCCCUAUGCCGACGUUCCAGCGAUAGCUUACGUCUCCAUGGCGACGCAACUUCUAGUGAAAAUGUGCUGACUGCGGUCAUGGAAGAUGGUGGCAUCUCUAAUGUCGUUUCCUUCUUCGAGGCAUCGUCGUUUGUAAGCUGUGUCACUACGCUCGGGAUGUUCCGGGGGGAACUCUAUUUCUGGGUAUCCCGGAUCAGACGAUGACGGUGCCUUCAGCGCCAUUCUCCCUCCUAGGGGCAUUGUUCUGGAGCAGGUGCCGACUGGAAGAGACAAGUGGAGGAGCGGUGUUACAUCUACCGCAAGGAUGACGCAGGGUCUCGGUGGCGUGGCAAGGCAGAGUGUCGGCGACGAGCGCCCACGCUAGAUGGUUGAGCUAUCUGGUGUCGAGAUGGCCUGGCGAGAUGAAUACGUUGAUCGCUCCUGAAGGUGGGACAGCAGAACAUGGCGGUGGCUUAAUCUAAAGUGUGUGCAUGCUGUGCGCGCAAAGGGUCUAGCUAGACCAGUUGGUGCUCUCGAAUUGCCGGCAGACAUCUUGGUGAGGUGACCGGAAUAUAUGAUGUGUGUUGAUAAGUGGUCAGGGCACGGCAUUAAAGCUUGUAGGUGUAACGACAAUAGUUUCUAGGGAGGUGGCUUUGCCUUGAUCCAUAUAUUUGUUUUGUUUGGUUCCGUUGAAUAAUAUAAUAAAAUGGUUGUGUGCAUGGCCCGAUGCAUAGACUAGGGGUAAUCGUCUUUUUCGAAAAAAAGUAGAAUGGUACAGUCACACCAUUUUGCCAGUGACAUGCUAAAAAUGGCAUGAUAAACAAUUCCUGAAUGAUAAAUCACAUGGUGACAGUAUAUCUAUUUUAUAGGAAGAGCUGGAUAGAUUAGAGUAUACUGCCCCAGGAUUUUAAAGUGAGUGCGAGAGUUCAGAUUUAUUUACAUGUUUAGCUUCAGAGCUUCAGAACGUCUUUUUUUCACGAAUACACAAAGCUUGAAUAUCUUUUAUUGAUAGAAGAAAGAGAAUGAGUACAACAGAGGAUACAACACAUGGCAUGAACCCAAAGAGGCAUGAUCAUGGAACCCGGAGUAGAGAGACAAGGGGUGCUCAGCCCGAAUAGGGAAAUGACACAACUACACCCACAAAUCCUAAACAGAGAGGCAGGCCGAACAAGCACGGCGUCGAACAUCUCAAAAUCCAACACCAGGGACACCACGAGCGAACAAGAUAGCGCCUUCAGGAAGGGGUGCGACGUCGUGACACCGCCGCCAUCCGAUCCGAGGAACCGGAUCUAGGGUUUCCCCCAGCGCUCAAAGAGGGGCACGGAUAAAAGCCAUGGCAAAUAACUCACGAGUGUCGCCUCUGCCAACAUCGGCAAGAAGAGCAUGGAUUUCGCCUGGCCCAAGUCCGAGCAAUCCCAUAGCUGCCAAAUCAGGAUCCGAAGAUGAGGAAGACAAUCCGCUAGUCAACCACCGUCCCAGUACGGAGGUGGUGGGGCUGCACCUGCUGCCAAAAGAACACGAGCUUUGGAAAUGACAUGCCGUGGGUGUCGACGGGGUCGGGGAGGCAGCGUGGUAGACAGCUUGCAUGGAGGGUGGGAUGGUGACCGGCGCCGCUGACGAGAUGGAGCCGGAAGGGAGCACAAGUCCGAGCUGCCGGAGGUGAAGCCGCCAGAACACCGGCAAACCGAAGAUGCCGGAAGGGGACGCAGCGACCGGGGUGUUGGGGCUGAAAUUGAAGGAAAUAUGCCCUAGAGGCAAUAAUAAAGUUAUUAUUUAUUUCCUUAUAUCAUGAUAAAUGUUUAUUAUUCAUGCUAGAAUUGUAUUAGCCGGAAACAUAAUACAUGUGUGAAUACAUAGACAAACAGAGUGUCACUAGUAUGCCUCUACUUGACUAGCUCGUUAAUUAAAGAUGGUUAUGUUUCCUAACCAUAGACAUGAGUUGUCAUUUGAUUAACGGGAUCACAUCAUUAGGAGAAUGAUGUGAUUGACUUGACCCAUUCCGUUAGCUUAGCGCACGAUUGUUUAGUAUUCUGCUAUUGCUUUCUUCAUGACUUAUACAUGUUCCUAUGACUAUGAGAUUAUGCAACUCCCGUUUACCGGAGGAACACUUUGUGUGCUAUCAAACGUCACAACGUAACUGGGUGAUUAUAAAGGUGCUCUACAGGUGUCUCCACAGGUACUUGUUGGGUUGGCGUAUUUCGAGAUUAGGAUUUGUCACUCCGAUUGUCGGAUAGGUAUCUCUGGGCCCACUCGGUAAUGCACAUCACUUAAGCCUUGCAAGCAUUGCAACUAAUGAGUUAGUUGCGAGAUGAUGUAUUACGGAACGAGUAAAGAGACUUGCCGGUAACGAGAUUGAACUAGGUAUUGAGACACCGACGAUCGAUUCUCGGGCAAGUAACAUACCGAUGACAAAGGGAACAACGUAUGUUGUUAUGCGGUUUGACCGAUAAAGAUCUUCAUAGAAUAUGUGGGAGCCAAUAUGAGCAUCCAGGUUCCGCUAUUGGUUAUUGACCGAAGACGUGUCUCGGUCAUGUCUACAUAGUUCUCGAACCCGUAGGGUCCGCACGCUUAAAGUUUCGAUGACAGUUAUAUUUUGAGUUUAUAUGUUUUGAUGUACCGAAGGUAGUUCGGAGUCCCAGAUGAGAUCACGGACAUCACGAGGAGUCCCGAAAUGGUCGAGACAUGAAGAUUGAUAUAUUGGACGACUAUAUUCGGACACCGGAAUGGUUCCGGUGGUUAUCGGAUAUAUACCGGAGUACCGGGAGGUUACCGGAACCCCCUGGGGGUUUAAUGGGCCUACAUGGGCCUUAGUGGAGAAGAGGAGAGGCGGCUAGGGCAGGCCGCGCGCCCCCUCCCCCUCUAGUCCGAAUUGGACAAGGAGGGGGGCGGCGCCCCCCCUUUCCUUCCUCUCUCUCUCCUCUUUCCCCCUUCUCCUAAUCCAACAAGGAAGGGAAGGGAGUCCUACUCCCGGUGGGAGUAGGACUCCUCCUGGCGCGCCCCUCUCCUGGCCGGCCGCCUCUCCCCCUUGCUCCUUUAUAUAAGGGGGCAGGGGGGCACCCCAAAGACACAACAAUUGAUCAUUGAUCUUUUAGCCGUGUGCGGUGCCCCCCUCCACCAUAGUCCACCUCGAUAAUAUCGUAGCGGUGCUUAGGCGAAUCCCUGCGUCGGUAGAACAUCAUCAUCGUCACGACGCCGUCGUGCUGACAAAACUCUCCCUCAACACUCGGCUGGAUCGGAGUUCGAGGGACGUCAUCGGGUUGAACGUGUGCUGAACUCGGAGGUGCCGUGCGUUCGGUACUUGAUCGGUCGGAUCGUGAAGAAGUACGACUACGUCAACCGCGUUGUGCUAACGCUUCCGCGUUCGGUCUACGAGGGUACGUGGACACACUCUCCCCUCUCGUUGCUAUGCAUCACCAUGAUCUUGCGUGUGCGUAGGAAUUUUUUUGAAAUUACUACGUUCCCCAACAGUGGCAUCCGAGCCAGGUUUUAUGCCUAGAUGUUAUAUGCAUGAGUAGAACACAAGUGAGUUGUGGGCGAUACAAGUCAUACUGCUUACCAGCAUGUCAUUCUUUGGUUCGGCGGUAUUGUUGGAUGAAGCGGCCCGGACCGACAUUACGCGUACGCUUACGCGAGACUGGUUCUACCGACGUGCUUUGCACACAGGUGGUUGGCAGGUGUCAGUUUCUCCAACUUUAGUUGAACCGAGUGUGGCUACGCGCGGUCCUUGAGAAGGUUAAAACAGCACUAACUUGACGACUAUCGUUCUGGUUUUGAUGCGUAGGUAAGAAUGGUUCUUGCUCAGCCCGUAGCAGCCAUGUAAAACUUGCGACAACAAAGUAGAGGACGUCUAACUUGUUUUUGCAGGGCAUGUUGUGAUGUGAUAUGGUCAAGACAUGAUGCUAUAUUUUAUUGUAUGAGAUGAUCAUGUUUUGUAACAGAGUUAUCAACAACUGGCAGGAGCCAUAUGGUUGUCGCUUUAUUGUAUGCAAUGCAAUCGCCCUGUAAUGCUUUACUUUAUCACUAAGCGGUAGCGAUAGUCGUAGAAGCAUAAGUUGGCGAGACGACAACGAUGCUAUGAUGGAGAUCAAGGUGUCGCGCCGGUGACGAUGGUGAUCAUGACGGUGCUUCGGAAAUGGAGACCACAAGCACAAGAUGAUGAUGGCCAUAUCAUAUCACUUAUAUUGAUUGCAUGUGAUGUUUAUCUUUUAUGCAUCUUAUCUUGCUUUGAUUGACAGUAGUAUUAUAGGAUGAUCUCUCACUAAAUUAUCAAGGUAUAAGUGUUCUCCCUGAGUAUGCACCGUUGCGAAAGUUCUUCGUGCUGAGACACCACGUGAUGAUCGGGUGUGAUAGGCUCUACGUUCAAACACAACGGGUGCAAAACAGUUGCACACGCGAAAUACUCAGGUUAAACUUGACGAGCCUAGCAUAUAACAGAUAUGGCCUCGGAACACUGAGACCGAAAGGUCGAGCGUGAAUCAUAUAGUAGAUAUGAUCAACAUAAAUGAUGUUCACCAUUGAAACUACUCCAUCUCACGUGAUGAUCGGACAUGGUUUAGUUGAUAUGGAUCACGUGCUCACUUAGAGGAUUAGAGGGAUGUCUAUCUAAGUGGGAGUUCUUAAGUAAUAUGAUUAAUUGAACUUUAAUUUAUCAUGAACUUAGUCCUGGUAGUAUUAGCAUAUCUAUGUUGUAGAUCAAUAGCUCGCGAUAUUGCUCCCCGUUUAAUUUUUAUAUGUUCCUAGAGAAAACUAAGUUGAAAGAUGUUAGUAGCAAUGAUGUGGAUUGGAUCCGUGAUCUGAGGUUUAUCCUCAUUGCUGCACAGAACAAUUAUGUCCUUGAUGCAGCGCUAGGUGACAGACGUAUUGCAGGAGGACAUGCAGACGUUAUGAACGUUUGGCUAGCUCAAUAUGAUGACUACUUGAUAGUUUAGUGCACCAUGCUUAACGGCUUAGAAUCAGGACUUCAAAGAUGUUUUGAACAUCAUGGACCAUAUGAGAUGUUCCAGGAGUUGAAGUUAAUAUUUCAAGCAAAUACCCUAGUUGAGAGAUAUGAAGUCUCCAACAAGUUCUAUAGCUAAAAGAUGGAGGAGAAUAGCUCAAGAAGUGAGCAUGUGCUCAGAUUGUCUGGGUACUACAAUCACUUGAAUCAAGUGGGAGUUAAUCUUCCAGAUAAAGAUAGUGAUUGACAGAAUUCUCUAGUCACCAUCACAAAGUUAGUAUAACUUCGUGAUGAACUAUAGUAUGCAAGGGAUAACGUAAACGAUUCCCGAGCUUUUCAUGCUGGUGAAAUCAGAAAUCAAGAAAGAGCAUCAAGUGUUGAUGAUUAACAAGACCACUAGUUUCAAGAAAAUGGCAAAGGGAAAGAAAGGGAACUUCAUGUAGAACGGCAAGCAAGUUGCUGCUCAAGUGAAGAAGCCCAAGUUUGGACCUAAGCCUGAGACUGAGUGCUUCUACUGCAAAAGGACUGGUCACUGGAAGCAGAACUACCCGAAAUAAUUGGCGUAUAAGAAGGAUGGCAAAGUGAACAAAAGUAUAUUUGAUAUACAUGUUAUUGAUGUGUACUUUACUAGUGUUUAUAGCAACCCCUCAGUAUUUUAUACUGGUUGGCAACCUCUGCUUGCCUCUGCGAAGGGCCUAUCUUUUACUUUUAUGCAAGAGUCAUGGUGAUCUUCACCUUUCCUUUUUUUCAUUUUAUCCUUUGGCAAGUACCUCGUGUUGGAAAGAUUCUGAUAUAUCCAAUUGGAUGUAAGGCAUCAUGAACUAUUAUUGUUAACAUUACCCUUGAGGUAAAAGGUUGGGAGGCGAAUCUAUAAGCCCCUAUCUUUCUCUGUGUCUGAUUAAAACUUUGAACCCAUAAAUAUCGCGUGAGUGUUAGCAAUUGUGAAAGACUAAAUGAUAGUUGAGUAUGUGGAGUUUGCUAAAUCAAAGCUCUGACAUAGACUCUUCCUGAAAAUAAGAUGAAUUGUAAUUGUUUGAUGACUAAUAACACGGCUUGUUAGUUUUCAAGAAAGUUUAUGAUCUAUACUUUAACAUGUGAAUAGCUUGUUACUUGAUCAUGAAAAGUUCUAUGAGUUGAGCUACUGUUAUGACAUAUGAUGAUGCUAGAAAAAGUGAUUGAAAUUAUCAUUGAUCAAACUUGUGCACCUGCUAGCAUUCACACUUCAUAAAUUCUUUCUUUUAUCAUUUACCUACUCGAGGAUGAGCAGGAAUUAAGCUUGGGGAUGCUGAUACGUCUCCAACGUAUCUAUAAUUUAUGAAGUAUUCAUGCUAUUAUAUUAUCUGUUUUGGAUGUUUAUGGGCUUUAUUGAACACUUUUAUAUUAUUUUUGGGACUAACCUAUUAACCUAGAGCCCAUUGCCAGUUUCUGUUUUUUGCUUGUUUUUGAGUUCUACAGAAAAGGAAUACCAAACGGAGUCCAAUGGACGUCCCAAUUUUUGACGAUUUUUUAUGGACCAAAAGGAGACCCCGGAGCAAAAGGGUUGGGACAGGAGAGUCCCGGGCUGCCCACGAGGGUGGGGGGCGUGCCCUCCCCCCCUGGGCGUGGGCCCCUGCCUCGUGGACAACCCGGAGACCCCCCUGACAUGAGACCUACGCCAAAAAAUCCUAUAAAUACUGAAACCUCCAGAAAGCAGAAUAGAUCGGGAGUUCCGCCGCCGCAAGCCUCUGUAGCCACCAAAAACCAACCGGGACCCUGUUCCGGCACCCUGCCCGAGGGGGUAUGUCGGUGUCAAAACCGGCGGAUCUCGGGUAGGGGGUCCCGAACUGUGCGUCUAAGGCGGAUGGUAACAGGAGGCGGGGGACACGAUGUUUACCCAGGUUCGGGCCCUCUCGAUGGAGGUAAUACCCUACUUCCUGCUUGAUUGAUCUUGAUGAUAUGAGUAUUACAAGAGUUGAUCUACCACGAGAUCGUAGAGGCUAAACCCUAGAAGCUAGCCUAUGGUAUGAUUGUUUUUGUCCUACGGACUAAACCCUCCGGUUUAUAUAGACACCGGAGGGGGCUAGGGUUACACAGAGUCGGUUACAAGGGAGGAGAUCUGCAUAUCCGUAUUGCCAAGCUUGCCUUCCAUGCCAAGGAGAGUCCCAUCCGGACACGGGACGAAGUCUUCAAUCUUUUGUCUUCAUAGUCCAACAGUUCGGCUAAAGUAUAUAGUCCGGCUGUCCGAGGACCCCCUAAUCCAGGACUCCCUCAGUAGCCCCUGAACGAGGCUUCAACGACGAUGGGUCCGACGCGCAGAUUGUCUUCGGCAUUGCAAGGCGGGUUCCUCCUCCGAAUAUUCCAUAGAAGAUUUUGAACACAAGGAUAGUGUCCGGCUCUGCAAAACAAAUUCCACAUACCACCAUAGAGAGAAUAAUAUUUCCACAAAUCUAAUCUACUGACACAUUCUGCAGCAUGACAUCACACCAUGGCCCGGUCAUUAUUCGGACCGUUUUUCUUAACCAGCCACUGCACAUAUCGCGAGGCGGUUUUCUUGGCACGUCUUGUCGAAGCAGAGAUCGUGUCCCCCUAUCACGGGAUUGUCAUCAAUACGGGUGUGGGUAACCUAACCGCGCCAUCAAUUACAGCUCUUGGGGAAUAAGCGAGUUUACCAGGCAGGUGGGGAGGCGCAUAGUUCCUUCCGCCCUUAUAAAGAGACAAGGAUUCAUCUUUUUCACCCACGCCCUCUUCCUCCUUGCUCAUCCGUUCUUGCGCACUUGAGCUCCAACACCCAAGUUCGCAUUCUCUCCUCAAACCACUCCAAGCAUGUCCGGAGCAGGAGGCAAGUGGAUGGUCUCCUCCGUUACGAAGGAGGACAUCACAAGGCUAUGGGGAGCCGGAUACCUGGCCGCGGAUAUCGCGCACCGGCUACAAGAUGCGGGGCAGAUCGUCCCUACUCCAGAACCCCAUGAGAGGGUGAUAUUUCUUACCCACUUUGUCCGCGGACUGGGAUUUCCCCUCCACCUGUUUGUCCGCGGGCUCAUGUUCUACUACGGGCUGGACUAUCACGAUCUGGCCCCCAAUUUCAUCCUCAACAUCUCGGCGUUUAUCGUCGUGUGCGAGGCCUUCCUCCGCAUCAAGCCCCACUUCGGCCUGUGGCUGAAGACCUUCAACGUUAAACCGAAGGUGGUGGCCGGCCAGCAAGCGGAGUGCGGAGGCGCCAUGGUGGGCAAAAUGCCCAACGUCACCUGGCUAGAAGGCUCCAAUGUGGAGACCGUAAAGGGGUGGCAAUCGGGGUGGUUCUACAUCACCGAGCCGCGCGACACCAACUGGGUAGCGGCCCCCGAAUUUUUAUCCGGAAUCCCCAUGCGGCUCACCUCCUAGAAAGAGAAGGGCCUAUCCUGGGGUUCCUCGGUAGAGCUGACCGGACCCCAGACCUGCGUCAAAAACAUGAUGAGCAAGAAAAUCAAGCUUGUCAACAUGGUCCAAGUCAUGCUCUUCCGCCCGAUCCUCCCGUGUCAAAGACGGGCAUUCAAUUUGUGGGAGUUCGACCCGGCCGAGCACCAGACGCUGCGAGAGCUCUUCGACACGGCGCACAAGGACGUCUGGAAGGUGAUGUUCAAGGGCGCUGAGGUACCUCCUCCCCUUACCAAGGACCGCGGACUCAGCGCAAAGCGCCCUGCCAAUCCGGUAUGUCUUUUAUAUUUCAUAAGAUGUUCUUUUCCCCAGUAUAACCACACGCGGGAUCUAAGCCCCCACGCCAUUUAACAGGACUGGGUAGCGACAGCGGAGCAGAUCGAUUGUCCAGCCCCCCUGCCUGAAGAUCCAGCGGAUGCUCUCCUAACGGAGAUCCUGGUUUCGGCGCCUUAUGAGGUGCCGGAGAAGAAGGCCACGGGGACCAGGAAGGGUCUCCGGCGCAAGGUUAUAUCGGACUCAUCGUCCGAAAACACCGAGGCGCACUCCUCCCACGAAAACGGGGAGGAAGAGGAAAGUUCUCCCCCCCAGCCAGGGGGGACAGGACAAGGAAGGCUGCCCCAUCAGGGGAGGCCGAAGGGUCCAAGAAGGGAAGGACCCUCCUCCCGGACUGCUCCACAAAGGCCGCUUUUAGCGACGAGGAGUGGUUACCCAGGGACAAGCCCCUGGCAAAGUCGUGAGUAUCCGGAUACCAUAAUAAUUCUUGGUACGUCUUAUUGUACUGUUUCUUAUCACGCCGCGCAUGAUUAUGCAGUCCGUCCCGAGCCCAUAUCGACGUAUCUUCGUCGGAUGAUUCUUUGGGCCCGUCAGAUAUGAAUAGCGAUUCACUCCCGACUGCCUCCUCCCCCCGCCCUACGGACGACGCCGAGGUGUUGUCUCAAAGGGAACUAAACCAAGGGGAGACAGUUCCGGAGGCGCCCCAAGGCGACAUUCCAGGCGCUAGGUGCACGAGGGGCAAGACUCCCCUAGGCCCUAACACCGGGGGCAGUAAGUCUAGCCCCAAGCCGAAUACGGCGCCGGAACCUCCAGUGGUUCCGGAUUCUGUCAGGCAACCCCUCGCUAAGGGGGGUAAGCCGUCUGUGCCGAUGGCCUCUGUCCAUCCAGAGGCAUCGGACAACUUGCUAGAAGUGCUUCGCGGCGCUUCCAUUGACGAAGAGCACCGCACUAUUAUGAGUGCGGUAGUUAAGAAGGUUCAGUCCGCUAAGAGCGGACUGACUGAAGCCUGUGCCAACCUCCUAACCGGCUUUGAGGUAAGUAAUCAAAUUGUAAGAAAAUGUUACAGCAUAGACAGUAGCCCCUGAUGCUCUGUUUGGCGUUCGCGGAGAAAGGCCGAAUAGAGGAUCAAAUAAUAAUCGCAGGAGUCUAAUCAGAAUGUGUCUAUGUGAAUAAGCGGGCUUCACUGCUGGCCGCCGCCGCUCGUACUGCGGAGGUCACCGCACUGAAGCGGGACCUUGAGCGGUCCAAGGAAGAGCUCGGCCUUACCAAGAGGCAGCUCGAAGAGAACAAAGGUAAGUGACACCCCGUCUGAAUAUUGGUAAAGAAAAAUUUGGUUUUGGAAUAAUAGGAUCCUCAUGAAUUUUGCUAGGGGCCACGACCGAAGUGGCGGCCCUGCAGAAGGCGCUAUCUGAGGCCGAAGACAAAGCGGCCAAGGAGCACAUCGAGCGAGAGAAGCAAGAGGCCCGAGUAGGCGAGGUGCGGCAAGAGCUCCAGGCUCUCGUCAAGAAACACGAGUCCUUGGAGCUUGACUCUAUGACGCAAGGGUCCGAGCUUGCGAAGGCCCUCGAAAGCGCACAACAUGCCAAGGCCAAAGCCCAAAAGGCCCUCCAGGAAAUUUAGGCGGUUAAGAAGAUAGCGGCGGGUAAGGCAUUCAUUAUGCAAAGCAAGCAUGUGAAGGAAACUUUCUUUUUACUUACCCGAGUUCGGAGUUCUCCAGAAGCGUUCGCAGAUCUACCCCGCAGUGUGUCGGAUGCCACGGAGUUCUACCGGGCCGAGGAGGGGAGCUCGGCGGAGAAGUUGUUCUGGUCUCAGUAUACUGGGACCGAACAUCCAAUGCCCUUGAGCGACCAGUUGAAGCAACUGGUCGAGCUUCACAAGGCGGCCGAACAGGCCAUGAAGGGUCUUAUGGUCUGGAUGUGGCAUGGCGACCCCUGCCUGGUAGCUACUUCGGUCUGGUGAGGCGGCUUGUGAAUGCCUGCACACGGUUUGAAGUCAUAAAGCGGUCCGUCUGCAUUGAGGGUGCGCGCAGGACUUUUGCCCGGGCGAAGGUGCACAGGGCGAAGCUGGACGCCGAAAAGCUGGUGAAGGAGGGGCCGCCGGAGGGCAAGGAGCAUCGCCACCCCGAAAAGUAUUAUGAUAGUGUCCUGAAGGGUGCUCGCCUUGUGGCGGAGGAAUGUGCUAAGGAUGUAAUAUUUGAAUGAAUGUACUCAUGUGAUCCUGUAAUAUGAAACGAGUUCAUUUGCGUACGCAAUGCUUGUUAAUUUAAAAUAUUACCUUCUAUGCGGCCGUUUAUAAAAUCUGAGAGUUGGCCAGUCGUCGGCUUCUGCCCCCAUGUAACUAGUACUAAGGUGUUCGGGGUAAACCUGAGCACUCUUUAUCCCAAUUUUGGGUCCUUCGAAGGAGGUGUUUAGCACAAUGAACCAGGCAAUCGGACUAUAAAGCUUUAUCACUCUCACUUAGCCAUAGAAGUCUACAAUUUUAAAUUUUGGCGAAGCCCCUAGUAUUUCGAAGGCCGAAUUUGGGGCACUAUAUACGCCUAAGUCGGGCAAGACGACUCCUUGCCCGAAGCGGAAAGAGACUUUAAGGACUUGAGACCUCUCGAACAGCGACCAGCUCUCGCCUCAUUAUGACAGUCAGUUUUCGGCUUUCUCUACUGAGGUGCUCGUCCGGAAGAACCGGGACACAAUCGCAGUAGUUCUCCCAAGGCUACCUUAGCCGAUAUUGCGGAACGUAAGGUACCAAAACAUGGGAGCCGGGCAAACCCAACUAUUGACCCAAGACAUGAUUCGGAGCUGGUGCAUAUAAUUCUAUAAGUUCGGGGUGCCGCACUGUCGAAAGUGUUCGGACUUCUCACACUGUAUUAUGGGGUAUACUAAAGCCCCUGGCGCACUGGUCAUACCAGGAUGUACGGGUGCAAUUUGUCGUAAAUAAGCAGACAAGGAAAAAAAAGAAAGGGGAAUGCAAUAAUAGACUAACGAUAUGCAUUGUUAUUAAAUAAUACGUCAAAGCGACGGAUACAAGUAGUGCAAUAAGCAAAAAAUAAGACUAUUUGACAUGUCCUAUCCAAGGGCAAGCUGCGUAUGGGUAUGUAAAACAGGUAUUUCGAUCGUUAUCAGAGACCACCUAGGGAUUCCCUUGUACGUCAGAGCGUCUUGCUUCCUUGGUAUUUCCUUACCGCGAUGGGUCCAACAAUUAGAUUGCCGAAAAGGGCUUCCAGAGAGUAAGGUCCUGAAAGAGAGAAAAUGAUAAAGGUAUAUGGCCCCUGGGGCGGUUGAGCCACCUUGUGGGACGUGCCGUAGCUGUGCCUCCGCCUAUGCCCAUGGUAUCUUGAGUGCGUAGUUAUGUACGCGCGGCGCAAAUUUCGCCACUUGACUGGGACUAGGACGGAGGCCGAAUUGCUAGGCGAGCUCAAAACGUGCAUGGCGAUCCUCCUGCGGGGUACCCCGGACUCGCUUGAAGGUGUCCGGGGUCUUUUUCGCCGAAUUGGCGGUUUGCCUAUUAAGGCUGCUUUGCGCUUCUGCUGCGAGGGCUGCAGUGUGCUCCUCCGUGCGGAGCGAGCGCUCUGUGUUUCCAUUAACUGUUAUAACCCCGCGUGGUCCUGGCAUUUUGAGUUUGAGGUAUGCAUAAUGCGGUACCGCAUUGAAUCUGGGAAAUGCGGUUCGUCCGAGCAGUGCGUGAUAGCCGCUGCGAAAGGGGACGAUGCCGAAGAUUAACUCCUCGCGUCGAAAAUUGUCCGGAGAUCCGAAGACCACUUCCAGUGUGAUUGAGUCCGUGCAACAGGCCUCUACACCUGGGAUUACACCUUCAAAGGAGGUUUUGGUGGGUUUGAUCCUCGAGGGGUCUAUGCCCAUUUUGCACACUGUAUCCUGAUAGAGCAGGUUCAGGCUGCUGCCACCGUCCAUAAGGACGCGAGUGAGGUGAAAUCCGUCAAUGAUGGGGUCAAGGACCAAUGCGGCAGAUCCGCCAUGACGGAUACUAGUGGGGUGGUCCCUGCGAUCGAAGGUGAUCGGACAAGAGGACCAUGGGUUCAACUUUGGGGCGACUGGCUCCAUAGCAUAGACGUCCCUUAGUGCACGCUUCCGUUCCCUCUUGGGAAUAUGGGUUGCGUAUAUCAUGUUCACCGUUUUCACUUGUGGAGGGAACCUCUUCUGUCCUCCAAUGUUCGGCGGCCGAGGCUCCUCCUCGUCGUCGCUAUGGAGCCCCUUGUCCUUGUUUUUGGCAUUUAACUUGUCGGCCUGCUUGAAUACCCAGCAUUCUCUGUUGGUGUGAUUGGCUGGCUUAUCGGGGGUGCCAUGAAUUUUAACGAGCAAUCGAGUAUACGGUCCAAACUGGACGGGCCCGGAUUGCUUGUUUUGAACGGCUUCUUCCGCUGACCGGAUUUAGAGCCACUGAAUCCGGCAUUGACUGUCGUGUCUUCGGCGUUGUCGCCGUUGUUGUGGCGCUUGUGUCUGUUGCGACGUGGUCUGCCAAUAGUAUCUUUGGCGUCUGAAUUGCCGGGAUUUCUUGAUGUGCUGUUGCUGCGAGCUAGCCAGCUGUCCUCGCCCGCGCAAAAGCGGGUCAUGAGUGUCGUGAGGGCUGCCAUGGACUUCAGCUUCUCUUGGCCGCGGUGUCAGGCGAGCCACUCGUCCCGGAUGUUAUGUUUAAAUGCCGCUAAGGCCUCGGCAUCCGGACAGUCGACAAUUUGGUUCUUUUUAGUUAGGAACCGAGUACAGAAUUUCCUGGCCGAUUCCCCUGGCUGUUGGGUUAUGUGGCUCAAGUCAUCAGCAUCUGGUGGUCGCACAUAAGUGCCCUAGAAGUUGUCAAGGAAUGCGUCUUCCAAAUUCUCCCAACUGCCAAUGGAGUUUGCUGGCAGGCUAUUCAGCCAAUGUCGAGCUGGUCCUUUGAGUUUUAGUGGGAGGUACUUGAUGGCAUGUAGAUCGUCAUCGCGGGCCAUGUGGAUGUGGACGAGGAAAUCCUCGAUCCAUACCGCGGGGUCUGUUGUACCAUCAUAUGACUCAAUGUUCACGGGUUUGAAUCCUUCUAGGAAUUCAUGAUCCAUUACUUCAUCGGUGAAGCAUAGUGGGUGUGCAGCGCCUCUGUGCCGGGCUAUGUCACGACGCAGUUCAUACGAGUCUUGUCUGCUGUAUUCGGCCCCGCCGGAUUUGCUUUUAGUGUAUCCGGCAUGACGAUCAUCAUCACACAUUGGGGCGCGACCCCGUGAUCCGUAGAUCGAUCUUGUUUGUCCUGCUCUGUUUUCCUAUACGUCUCGCAGGUCCCGCGUGUUGCCCCAGGCCUUGGUAUUUAUGUUUGAAUGGCGGCGGGGUGCGGGCUGGACUUCGGGCUGAUAUGCCCCUCUGUCUCGGCCACGAGGUGGCCGAUCAGCCGCAUCAUACGCUGGUGAUGUAGGUUUUAAUGCUUCCUCCUCGAUUUGGGGUAGCAACCUGCGCUUUGGGUAACUCUUGGUUGGGCGCUCGAGUUCGUAUUCCUCUACCUCCAGGACUUCAGUCCAUCUAUCCGCUAGCAGAUAUUGAUCAGCUCGAAGCUGUUGUUGCUUUUUCUUCAGGCUGUUUGUUGUAGCUAUAAGCCGACGCUUGAAGCGCUCCUGCUUGACGGGAUCCUCAGGCACGAUAAAUUCUUCGUCGCCGAGGCUCACCUCGUCUUCGGAGAGAGGCAUGUAAUUGUCAUCCUCUGAUUCUCCGUCUGCUGCCUAUUCCGGAGGGCUAGCUUGUUCAUCCUCUCGCUCGAGGUCUGGCUGGAGGGGAUUGUCGUCGUCUUUGGCACUAUCCGGAGCGUUAUUGUCUCUUGUGCCGGUAUCGCUGCUUUUGCUAUGGCGGGACUUAGAGCGGCGCCGCUGACGUCGGUGCUUGGGUUGCUUCUUGGAGGGAUUAUCCUCGGUUGUCUUAUCGCCGUCGCCUUCUUUGGGGGUGUCCACCAUGUAUAUAUCAUAUGAUGAGGUGGCAGUCCAGCGCCCUGUGGGCGGUGGUUCCUGUUCGUCUCCUGUAUCGUCGUCCAUACCGUCGAUGUUUUCGGAGCCGAAAUCGAGCAUGUCGGUUAAAUCGUCGACAGUGGCUACUAAGUGGCUGGUGGGUGGGGAGCGAAUUUCUUCGUCGUCCGCAUCCCAUUCUAGCCAGACAUAGUUCGGCCAAGGGUCUCCUGACAAGGAGAGAGACCUCAAUGAGUUCAGCACGUCGCCCAGUGGUGAGUGCUGAAAGAUAUCCGCGGAGGAAAACUCCAUAAUCGGUGCCCAAUCAGAUUCGAUAGGCACAUACGCAGGCGGCUCAGAGCCCGUGGCCGGGGAUGAAUCCAGGUGUCCGGCGACACAGGUCUCAUAGGAGGUGAAGUCAGUAUUCGGCUCUAUCGCCACUCAGUGUGUGGCCUCCGAGGCGGGGUCCAUCCACCCGUCCUCGGACGGCGCAAUCGACUCCGGAUCUAGGGCCGGAGUAGCCAUGGGUGUGAUCUCCCGAACACCGUCCGGCGGCAGAGCUAAGUCGUGCUCGUCGUGACUGUGCGGCGCACCUGACAUGGGCUCGAAUCCGUCAAAGAUAAAGUCUCCGCGGAUGUUGGCACUGUAGUUUAAAUUUCCAAACCUGACCUGACAGCCAGGGGCGUAGCUCUCGAUCUGCUCCAGAUGGCCAAGCGAGUUGGCCCACAGUACGAAGCCGCCGAAUACAAAGAUCUGUCCGGGGAGGAAAACCUCACCCUGGAUCGCAUCGUUGGCGAUGAUUGAAGGAGCCAUCAAGCCUUUAUCGCGACGGCAGAGUGGAACUCUCAAUGAAAGCACCAAUGUCGGUGUCAAAACCGGCGGAUCUCGGGUAGGGGGUCCUGAACUGUGCGUCUAAGGCGGCUGGUAACAGGAGGCGGGGGACAUGAUGUUUACCCAGGUUCGGGCCCUCUCGAUGGAGGUAAUACCCUACUUCCUGCUUGAUUGAUCUUGAUGAUAUGAGUAUUACAAGAGUUGAUCUACCACGAGAUCGUAGAGGGUAAACCUUAGAAGCUAGCCUAUGGUAUGAUUGUUGUUGUCCUAGGGACUAAACCCUCCGGUUUAUAUAGACACAGGAGGGGGCUAGGGUUACACAGAGUCGGUUACAAGGGAGGAGAUCUACAUAUCCGUAUUGCCAAGCUUGCCUUCCACGCCAAGGAGAGUCCCAUCCGGACACGGGACGGAGUCUUCAAUCUUGUGUCUUCAUAGUCUAACAGUCCGCCUAAAGUAUAUAGUCUGGCUGUCCGAGGACCCCCUAAUCCAGGACUCCCUCAGGGUAUCCCUCACCGGUGGCCAUCUUCAUCAUCCCGGCGCUCUCCAUGACGAAGAGGGAGUAGUUCACCCUCGGGGCUGAGGGUAUGUACCAGUAGCUAUGUGUUUGAUCUCUCUCUCUCUCUCGUGUUCUUGAUUCAGCACGAUCUUGAUGUAUCAUGAGAUUUGCUAUUAUAGUUGGAUCUUAUGAUGCUUCUCCCCCUCUACUCUCUUGUAAUGGAUUGAGUUCUCCCUUUGAAGUUAUCUUAUCGGAUUGAGUCUUUAAGGAUUUGAGAACACUUGAUGUAUGUCUUGUCGUGCUUAUCUAUGGUGACAAUGGGAUAUCACGUGAUCCACUUGAUGUAUGUUUUGGUGAUCAACUUGCGGGUUCCGCCCAUGAACCUAUGCAUAGGGGUUGGCACACGUUUUCGUCUUGACUCUCUGGUAGAAACUUUGGGGCACUCUUUGAAAUACUUUGUGUUGGUUGAAUAGAUGAAUCUGAGAUUGUGUGAUGCAUAUCGUAUAAUCAUGCCCACGGAUACUUGAGGUGACAAUGGAGUAUCUAGGUGACAUUAGGGUUUUGGUUGAUUUGUGUCUUAAGGUGUUAUUCUAGUACGAACUCUAUGAUAGAUUGAACGGAAAGAAUAGCUUCAUGUUAUUUUACUACGGACUCUUGAAUAGAUCGAUCAGAAAGGAUAACUUUGAGGUGGUCUCGUACCCUACCAUAAUCUCUUCGUUUGUUCUCCGCUAUUAGUUACUUUGGAGUGACUCUUUGUUGCAUGUCGAGGGAUAGUUAUAUGAUCCAAUUAUGUUAUUAUUGUUGAGAGAACUUGCACUAGUGAAAGUAUGAACUCUAGGCCCUGUUUCCUAGCAUUGCAAUACCAUUUACGCUCACUUUUAUUAUUAGUUACCUUGCUGUUUUUAUAUUUUCAGAUUACAAAAACCUAUAUAUACCAUCCAUAUUGCACUUGUAUCACCAUCUCUUCGCCGAAUUAGUGCACCUAUACAAUUUACCAUUGUAUUGGGUGUGUUGGGGACACAAGAGACUCUUUGUUAUUUGGUUGCAGGGUUGUUUGAGAGAGACUAUCUUCAUCCUACGCCUCCCACGGAUUGAUAAACCUUAGGUCAUCCACUUGAAAGAAAUUUGCUACUGUCCUACAAAGCUCUGCACUUGGAGGCCCAACAACGUCUACAAGAAGAAGGUUUUGUAGUAGAUAUCAGGGGGAGGGGGGUGAAACCGCCCCGCCGCCGCCGUCCCCGAGCGCGGCGCGGCUUCGCUGGCCGGCCCUCCGGCGGCAGCGAUGCGGGGGGAGGGGGGCACUGGCGGAGGAAGGCUACCGGUGGCGAUGAAGGUUUCCCCCGUAUCGCCUGUUGCGGGCGACGCGGGGGCAGGGUUGACCAGCUCGAGGAUUUCGGCUGAGCUGUAGAACGUAUGAAAUAUUGAAGGAAAACAAAAACAUGAGAAUCAACAGAUAUUGGAGAAGUUGGUACAGAGUGGUACAUGGAAAGGAAAUUUUACUUUUACUGGAGGUUGAAUGAAGUUAUGUUUACACCUUCCAUUUCACUUUGUGGGCACUCCGAAGUUGCAAAGAAAAAAUAUAUAAAAUAUCAUCAUUCGUACGCAUUUAUAUGCAGGUAAUGAAAAUGGCUCCACCUAAUUAUAAGAUUAUUAAGCACUUUUAGUACCCGGGAGUCCCUGGUACUGUGAAGAUGAUAUUAAGACUAAUUAAUGGACAUGGAUUUGUUCUGAUCACACAAAGAUAGCUCAAACACCCAUCCGCUUACUUGCUUGCAUUUCAAAAGAUUGAUAACCACAUUUCAUCAUUUUUCCCCACUUCUCCACCUUGCUGGUGAUAUAUAUCCAGCUUCCGCAUAUAUGAUAUUUUUCACUCUAGCACUUUCAGCUUCUUUUUGAAAUGAAGAGUACUUUUCUUGCUGAUGCAGCAACAAUAGUAAGUCAGAGCUUUCUUAGGCCUUGUACAAUGCAAGGUGCUUUGAGAAAUAAACUAGGCUUUCCUUAAGCACCGAUACUUAUUUGUACAGGAUACUUUAUUAAUUUUUCUCACAAGAUCUUACAAAGUCAUACAACAGUAAGACUAAAGCCGCCGUCUAAGCAACAAACUGUCGCUACACCUAUCCAGUUGAUGAAGGGACGCAGAUAGCCUGGGCCUAAUACCAAACAGACAUCGCAUCCAAGCCUAACAUCUAAGACCUGAGACCCCAACCUAGCCACUUGCCGGGUCUGGGGCACACACUGGUCCGGCGUGCUCUCAGAGGCCGCCGCCGCCAACUGCCACCGCUCCAUCUUCAGAAUUGUACUGAUGCAUCAACCUUACUCGGUCUAGCUAUCGUCGACGCCACCACUGCGCCCAGCGGCACCUCCUCCCUGCCCGCAAACAACUGAGCACAUCGCGGUCGCCACUGAUACACCUCAGCACCAUGCUGCCAAGUACCACCAGCUGACACAGCUUGAAGUCCUUGGAAGAUCUUUCAUGCGUAGCACCUGCCGACCAAGUAUGACAAAGUGUAGCACCUGUCGGUCAGGCAUGACUUGACAUCUCCACCGAAGCUCCGUGCAAGACGAAGCCGCUCCACCUCCUGCCUCUGACUUCCAGCGCUGCUCCACAAACGAUGCUCCCAAGAGAGAAACGAGACAGCGGUGCCACAAUCGUCCGAUCUGGAACACCAGAUCCUAGAGUUUCCCGUGGAGCAGCACGAGUGGGUCGACAGUAGUUACACGAUGAUGCCUCCAUCAAGGUAACGACGAGAACGCCGCCAUCGCCUACCGUCGGCUCGAUUUUCACCGGCAACCAUGUCUCCCCUACUCGCAGUCGGGACUAGAUGAUGGAUCUCGAGAUCCGAUCACCAAGCCUCUGGCCGGCCAUCUCUGGAAGAAGAUGACCACCACGUCCACCAGCGUCACCACACCGGGCACGCGUUGCCGCCGGCACCCCCAUGGUGCCUAGAGGCCGACAAGCCCCGACGAACACCACGCCUCGCCAGCCGCCAUAGCCCAGGCCCAAGCACCACCAGAUCCAGAUCAGAUCGGGGUCAAGGGCCCCAAGCCGCAGCCGUCGCGGAGGCAGCACCACUAGACGGUGCCCUGCCCUCCACCCCGCUGUAGGAUCGAGUCAUCGCCGGAGCUCCGCCACGCCACGCCGCCAAGACGCCGCCGGAAGAACUCGCGCCGCCGCUAGGGGAGAGAGAGACGCGCUAGGGAGAGGCCCCGCCGCUGGCACUGCCUUGGCUUUGCCCGGCUGUGUCCCUCGGCGGCGGCGAGGGGGGAGGGAGGGUGGAGGAGGGCCGGCGGCGGAGGGGGCUAGGGUUCCCCCGAGUCGCCUCAGAGAGGGACGCAGGCGACGGGGUGAGAAAACUGAGAGAGUGGAUAUGGCCUUUACUCGAGCUCAUGGGGUGGCCCGACUGCUGGUGAGUGUUCUCGAUAUUGAGUUCGUGCCUGAUGUGGUUAAGUGGACAUAUAGGGGACAGAUUUUCAACCUCGAGAUUGAGUUUGAGGAUGCCGCUCUCUUCGCUGAGGCUAUCAAUGGGACUGAUGUAGAUAUGCACGAGGGUGAUGACAGCUCGGGUGCUAAGGAGGCACCGGUUGAUGAUGUUGGACGAGAGUUGUCCAACUAAUCGGGGCCCGUUCCUCAGACGCCCAGGGACGGGACGGCACCAUCCUCUUCGGUGCCUAUGAGUUCUCUGAGAUUUGGGUCGUUUGAGCCAGCUUCUGCUCCUCCCAGACUCUGGAGUGACCGGGUGGAGUCCGAUGACGUGUUUGAGCGCACGCUACCUACCCUGGAUUUUGUUGCUGCUGAUAGUCCCGUGCUUGGAGGUUUGGAGGGGAUUAUCUCUGUGCAGACCUCGGUAAGGGGAGGGGAGGCGGAGCUUGGGCAGGUGGCCCCUCUUUCCCCCGCUCUCCCUGCGGUGUCACCUCGGGAGACGGAGUCGACUAUGGAGGCUGUCCCUAGGGAGGGAGUCCAUGGCAGGUGGCCUCGGCUCCUUCUUCUCUUCUCGCGGUGCCGGAGCUGCAGAUGGCGGUUGUGCUUAGGGGAGGCGGUCCAGGGCAGGUGGCCUCGGCCCCCUCUUCACCUCUGGCGGCUAGGGAGGCCACACCCCCUAUGGCGCCGGAGACCUCUUCUAGCCAGAGGGCUGGGGCGGGAGGAGCGUACGGGCAGGCGGCCCACGCGCUUCCCUCUCCCGGCGCGCCAACGUCCCAGGGCCUCGGUUCGAGGUGGACGUCAGUGGGGCCGGGGAGGUCCCCGCCGCUGCCCCCGGCAGCUCCCGCCGACUCUUCGACGUGUGCAGCUUCGCGGUGUGCUGGGGGUGAGGCCGGUGGCUUUACUCCGAGCGGGGUCACUCGGGAGGAGGUCAUCGCCUUUGGAGGGAUUCUAGAUCCUGUCUCUGCGGGGCGACGGAUGAGCUGUCGUCUCUAGGAUCAUCCGGAGGUUGAUGACAUGCAGCAGCGGUGCGCCAUGAGGGCGGCCAAGCUUCGUGACAUUGAGGUCACUACUGGUAUGUCGGUCAACACUUCUAAUUCCAUUCUGCAUUUUUCUAAUAAUGAGAUUAUUAAUAAUUCAAAUCAAUUGGGAGUUUCACUAGGUAGUAAUGAUAGUGAAAUUUCUAACUUUGUAAAUGAUAUCCUGGAUUUGGAAGCGGAACGCGCUUUAGAAAUGAUUCAAAACUUAGCAGCGGUUAAACCCAUGAAUGAUGCAGAUAUCGAUGCGUUGGGGGUCAGGGUGCUCGAUAAUUUUUGUGCAGAUCUUGCACCAUCCAUUCCUGAGUCAGAGGAAGAGGAUAACACUUUUGAGGCUGCCGUAGAUCGAUCCAUGGAGCCCGGUUGUGAGGACUGGGUGGAGGAUCAAAACAAACCUAAACGCAAGUGGAAGCGGAAGAUCUACCCUGCUUCGGCGGUGCGUAGGAGUGCUAGGAUCCGUACUAUUAAAACAUUUCAUGAUGAAAUAUGAAAGGAAUCUUUUGGAAUAGCAGAGGUCUGAAAGACUUGGCUAAAAGAAGGUUUCUUGCAGAUGCGUCUAUCGAGCAUAGGUUGGAUUUUAUCACUCUCUCGGAAACUGGUAGAGAUAAUUUUUCGCCCCAGUUUCUCAGUACUUUAUCGGGAGGUGUUGAUUUCAAUUGGCACUGCCUGCCUCCGAGAGGAAGAUCGGGUGGGAUCUUACUUGGAGUGAGAUGCGAUUCGCUAGAAGUCUGAAGUGUAGUGAUGGGAGAUUUCACAAUUAAGUUCCGGGUUAGGUCGAAAGCCAACGGGUUUAAUUGGGCUCUGAUGGCGGUUAUGCUCCCGCGCAGCCCGAUCUCAAACCAGAGUUCUUGGCGGAUCUUGUUCAAAUUUGCGGCUCUGAGCAGCUCCCAAUCCUGGAUGGGGGUGAUUUCAACAUCAUUAGGAGGAGAGAGGAAAAGAAUAAUGAUAAUUUCGACGGCAGGUGGUCGUUUAUGUUUAAUACCAUUAUUGAAAGCUUGGAUCCUAGAGAGAUAGAGCUUUCGGGUAGAAAAUUCACCUGGGCUAAUACUUUGCCAAAUCCGACGUUUGAGAAGCUGGAUCGAGUCCUAGUGAGCGUCGAAUGGGAACAGAUAUUUCCUUUGGUAACGGUCCAGGCUCUUUCGCGUGGUAUUUCUGACCACACGCCUUUAUUUGUGGACUCUGGUGAGCCAACCCACAUGGGGAACAAAAACUCCUUUUCUUUCGAGCUGGCAUGGUUUGAACGAGAAGGCUUCUUGGAUAUGAUAGCCAGGGAAUGGGCUAAGGAUGCAGGAGGUAGGACUUCGAUUGAGCGCUGACAGAAUAAGAUAAGGCACUUGAGAAGUUUCUUGCGUGCGUGGGCUAAGCAUCUUAGUGGGGUUUAUAAGGUCGAAAAGGAAAGGCUCCUUACACUUAUUCAGUCUCUAGAUUUAAAAGCCGAGUCCACAAUUUUGCAAGCCACAGAGCUUCAUGAUAAACUGGAGGCGGAGAUGAGAUUGAAAGAGCUUCUCCGUGAAGAGGAAUUAAAGUGGGCGCUGCGGGCUAAGGUUCGCAAAGUUGUCCAGGGGGACGCGAAUACUCAAUUCUUUCACAUGAUCGCUAAUGGCAAGCACAGAAAGAAUAGAAUCUUUCAGCUUGAACCAAGAUGAAGGAACGAUUUUAGGACAGGAAAACCUAAAAUUAUACAUAACCGAAUACUACAAGCAGUUGUUUGGGCCUCUGGAGGAUAAUUGUGUAUCCCUGGAUGAGUCUAGGAUUGAGGAUGUGCCUCAACUUACUGCUGAUGAGAAUGAUAUUUUGAUUGCCCCUUUUUCGGGGAAAGAGGUGUUUGAAGCCAUUACACAGAUGAAAAACAAUAAGGCUCCAGGGCCGGAUGGAUUUCCGGCGGAAUUCUAUAAAAAGUGUUGGCAUAUUAUUAAGGGGGAUUUGCAACCAAUGUUCCAUGAUUUAUUCUCUGGACAGCUUCAGUUAUUUCACUUGAACUUUGGAAUGAUAACAUUGCUUCCUAAGAAAACAAAGGCUGUGAGAAUUGAGCAGUUCAGGCCGAUCUGUCUUCUCAAGGUUAGUUUCAAAAAUUUCACAAAGGUUGGGACUAAUAGGCUCACGCAGACUGCGCAUUCUGUGGUGCAGCAUUCCCAAACUGCUUUCAUGCCGGACAGAAACAUCCUAGAAGGGGUUGUGGUCCUUCAUGAAACGCUCCACGAAAUUCACACGAAAAAACUAGAUGGAGUUGUUUUCAAGGUGGAUUUCGAGAAAGCGUACGAUAAAGUCAAAUGGCCUUUCCUUCAACAGGCCUUACAUAUGAAAGGUUUUGAUGAAGCCUGGCGACGCCAGGUAGAAUCUUUCACGCAAAAAGGGAGUGUUGGAAUUAAAGUGAAUGACGACAUAGGUCAUUAUUUCCACACACAUAAGGGCCUGAGACAAGGGGUUCCGAUGUCUCCUAUUUUGUUCAACAUUGUAGUUGAUAUGUUGGCAAUUCUAAUAGGAAGGGCUAAGGAGGUUGGUCAGGUGGGUGGCUUGGUGUCUCAUCUAGUUGAUGGAGGUGUGUCUAUCCUACAGUACAGCGAGAAAUAUGAAGCUGGUGUUAUGCUUAUUUGAACAAUUGACCGGGUUAAAGAUUAACUUUCACAAAAGCAAAUUGUUCUGCUUUGGAAGAGCCAAUGAGGAACAAGAGGCUUAUAGGCAAUUGUUUGGGUGCGAAUUGGGGACCUUACCAUUUACGUAUUUAGGUAUACCAAUUCACCAUCGUAAGCUGACAAACACAGAAUGGAAGUGUAUCGAGGAUCUCUUUGAGAAGAAACUGAGUUGCUGGAAGGGCAAGCUCAUGUCAUACGGAGGCCGAUUAAUUCUGAUUAAUUUGGUUCUCACGAGUAUGCCUAUGUUUCUCUUGUCUUUGUUCGAAGUCCCAGUUGGAGUUAGGAAAAGGCUGGACUUCUAUCGAUCCCGAUUCUUCUGGCAGAGCGAUGAACUAAAAAGAAAAUACAGACUCACCAAAGGGAUAUUAUCUGUCGACCGAAAGACCAAGGGGGUCUUGGCAUUGAAAAUCUUGAGGUCAAGAACAGAUGUCUUCGCAGCAUGUGGCUGUCUAAGUUAUCUGUAGAGAUCGAUGCCACAUGGGCGCAGAUUCUUAGUAGUAAGUAUCUUCAUUCCAAAACUUUGUCCCAGGUGACAGCGAGGCCGACAGACUCACCUUUUUGGAAAGGGCUUAUGAUAGUCAAAUUAGCCUUUUUUAAUAGGACAAAGUUUAUUAUCGUCAAUGGCGCUAGCACGCGAUUCUGGGAGGAUACUUGGCUCGGAGAGACCCCCUUGCACUUCAAUACCCGUCUCUGUAUCGUAUUGUUCAACGACGUGAUGCUUUCGUUGCAACGAUACUUCAAUCCAUCCCCCUUAAUAUUUAGGUCAGGAGGACGCUAGCCGGUAAUCGUUGGGAAGAGUGGCUCCAUCUAGUGAGUAGACUGAUGGAGGUUCAGCUGUCUCAACAGCCCGAUCAAUUACGCUGGAAACUUACUAGGUCUGGAGAGUGUACAGUUAAAUCAAUGUAUCUCGAUGUGAUCAAUUCUAGCUCUAUUCCUAGUUCCAAAUAUGUUUCGACAGUCAAAGUUCCAUUGAAAAUUAAAGUGUUUACGUGGUUUGUACAUAAACAAGUCAUCUUAACCAAGGACAAUUUGGCAAAGCGUAACUGGACAGGACCUACUAAGUGUAGUUUUUGUGAUCGGGAUGAAACUAUCAAACACCUUUUUCUUGAUUGCUCGAUGGCCAAAGUUCUAUGUCGGACAGUCCACAUAGCCUUUGACAUUUCCGAGUUCUGUUAGCACGUUAUUUGGAACGUGGCUUAAUGGGAUAGAGUCCGAAACAGCGAGACACAUUCGCGUAGGAGUAUGUGCUUUAUUGUGGGCAGUCUGGAACUGCAGAAAUGAUUUGGUUUUUAACAGAACAACAAAUAUUCAUUUUUUGCAGGUUAUCUUCCAAGCCACUGCGUUGAUCCGUACGUGGUCACUACUCACUCCGACGGAGGCCAGGGAGCGUUUGGUUACUGGAUCUAUCCGGUGGGAGAUGGUAGCACGGGAUAUCUUCAACCGGUUUGAAUGGCGGUCAUGUAAUAGGAUAGGCAAUUAGUUUACCUAUCUUUCUUAUGCCGGCCGAUUGUGGCUUUUUGGCUAGUUUGUUAUUGGCCCUUUGGCUCUUUAUGAGCUUUCCUUUACUUUCGUUUGAGACUUUAAGACCUUGUUAAACCUAUUUGCUUUUUUAUAAAGUUGGCCGUAUGCAUCGUUCUGAUGCAGAGGCCGGGGAGCCCCCACUUUUCGAAAAAAAACCUCUUGUUAUCUUGUAUUCUUGUGUGACAAUGCUCGAAGAAUAUAAAAGGGCUAGGUGGAAAGACCCCCAUAUCGAAAACUUGCCUACCUACGAGUUUUAUAGACACAGAGCCUCAUUGGAUUGUACUAGAUGGAGCCUCCAGUGAGAGCUGAAGACGAGGCGAUGAGCACGGAGGAGCUGCUCCAAGCCCAGACGGAUCUCUACCACCACUCCCUAGCCUACAUCAAAUCUAUGGCGCUCGGUGCCGCCACAGAACUCAGCGUCGCCGACGCCAUCCACGGCCGUGGCGGUGCCAUCACCUUGUCUGACCUUGCGGCCGCGACCGGCGUCCACCCGACGAAAGUCCAACACUUCGGGCGGCUGAUGCGCGCGCUUACCGUCACUGGUGUCUUCACCUCGGAAGAAAAAGAAGGCGGUGGUGGUGCCCUGUACAAGCUCACUCGGAUUUCACGCCUCCUUCUCGGAGUCGGCAAGCGUCGGCUCUCCCCGAUGGUGCGUAUGCUUGUCAGCGAGGUCAGUUUCACUACUCCCAUGAGCAUCUGCGAGUGGAUCACCACUGAGACGCCGGCCAGGGCCAUGUUCGAGGCCCAUUUUGGCUCUACGCAAAAUGGGUUGUGGGAGAAGGACGACGCGUAUGGUGCCCCCUUCUACUCAGCAAUGGCUGCGGACAGCCGUCUCGUCAUGGAGGUUCUGCUGAGAGAGUGCAGCAGCGUCUUUGAGGCCGUUGCCGGCUCACUUGUCGAUGUCGGCGGCGGCAGCGGAGGAGUCGUGGCUGCCGCCAUUGCCACAGCGUUCCCUCACAUCAAGUGCUCCGUGCUGGACCUCCCCAACGUGGUAGCCGCGGCUGACGACACCACCAACGUGCAGUUUGUCUCCGGCGAUAUGUUUGACUACAUUCCACCAGCGGAUGCCGUUCUACUCAAGGUACGUACUUACAUAGUACUCCCUCCGUAAGGAUAUAUAAGAGCAUUUAGAUCAUUAUUAUUUUAGUGAUUGAUCCAAACGCACUUAUAUUUCUUUACAGAGGGAGUAGCACAUACAAAUGCAGCAAGCUAUCCAUUUCUUAUAUAUAUAAUGAACCAAAUUAAUCAACCAAUCCUUCCUAUAAAUUUUGUAGUGGAUUUUGCAUGACUGGGAAGACCAAGACUGCGUCAAGAUACUGCGCAAGUGCAGAGAGGCCAUCCGCACAAGAGGUGCUGGGGGGAAGGUGAUUAUAAUCGAUUUCGUCGUCGGUGCUGGUUCUUGCAAGGAGACGGAGACACAGGUUCUGUUUGAUCUUUACAUGAUGAUGGAGAAUGGGGCUGAGCGGGACGAGCAAGAGUGGAGCAAGAUUUUCUUUGAAGCUGGAUUUAGUGACUACAAGAUCAUGCCAGUCUUAGGCGCUCGUUCACUCAUUCAAGUAUUCCCAUGAAUUCUGGCGGUUUGAUGUCCAAAUGUACUUCCUGUUUCCAAAUGUUUGUUUGCUUUCACAUCAGAAUAAUGCCUAGGACUAUACUAUAUAGUCUCGACUUUGAAUCUGAAUAAUGAAACUGUUUGUUAUCCUACGUGUUGUUUUCGUUCAUAAUUCAUAUGCUCACAAUGAAAUACAGUCUGCUAUUUUUGUUUACAUUAAAUUAUACUUUACCUAGCAAUAUGGUAAACAGGCUCACUUAGCAGAGGCUGGCUUGUUCGCUUAUUCGCCGCCCUAGGAAUGCGAGCUCCUUGCCGAAAUGAAAUUCUAGUAGCACUGGUUACUAUCGGGUCCUGCAUGUUCGUCAUUUGUGCAAGUAAACACAAUGCAUACGAGUACUCUACUGAAUUGAACUUUUUUGUAUUGUUUUCAUUGGACCAUCCACUGUAUAGUAACAGAGUAUUUAUUGCACACAGACUAUUUUAUUCUUUCAACCCAUAGUUCAUCCACCCACACUUUUAGUCUGAUUCUAAAAUUUGUAACACUUUUAAAUUUUGAACUUGUUCUGAACAAGUAAAAUUCCAAAUUUGACACCAUAAUGAAACUUAUGUCAAAUGUGAGAUCAUAUGAAAUGAAACUGAAGUGAACCAAUAAUAAAAAAUGCAAAAAUAAUUUAAUAAACCAUAAUAAAACUUAUAUCAAAUUUGAGAUGAAACAUAGACGAAUUGUGGAUUGAAACAAUAACGAAAACAAGCUAAGGGGAAUCUAUGAAUAAAUAAUGAGAACAUGUAAAAUUACGAUGACACGGAAAUGAUAUCGUAUGGAAAAUAUGCUAAGAGAACACUUUCAUUGGCCAGCCCAACCAUGAAAGGUAAUUUAACAAAAUGAUAUGAAACUUAUUUGAAAGCUCGAAAAAUAGAAAUAAAACCAGAAUGAAAAUAAUAAUGAAACAUGUAAAAAUACGAUGAAACACAUAUGUAAAAAUAAGGCCGCGAGAUCGUCGUCCUCUGAGUUGGAAGUUUAUGGUGAAGGUGACGUGGGAUCCAUUGCAGGCGCGCCCGGGGUCUGGUGUGGUUGUGGAACACAUAUGUGGAGAUCAUAGUAGCGGUGAAUGACGAACGUGAGCGCUCCGAAGAAUAUGGUGCAGGAAGGAGAAGUCGGUCUGUUAGUGUAGAACCGGCCUUCUGCGAUGAAGGUGAGGAAGCCGAUGGUUAAGCCGUGAGAUUGCCAGCCGUUAUUGAGGAUCUGAUCUAGAGUCGGUCCCCAGCUGACAUAGCCCCUUCCUGUGCUAACUGAUGGUAUGGGAAUUUGCGAGUAUCCUUUGUAGGGUGGCGAACAUGUCCGGAAGUACAAGAAGGGAGUUCGCCAAGGGGGUUUUCCAGAUUUGCGCCCUCAUGGCGAGGAAAUACCUUACGUCCUGCUAUUUGUUUUCUAUUGAUGAUGGAGAACGUUGAGCGAGGGGUUACAAGGGACAUAAAUAUGGCCAUAGGAGUAUAGUCUACGGGAGUAGAUUGGAAUCGCUACCCCUAUCCUCACCUUAUAUAGGUGACGGGGCUAGGUUUUACAUGGCGCCUACAUGAUCUCACACUGCCAUCAUCUUGGCUUCCACCCAAGAUGGUCUUCUGGCUUCCAGGACCCCCGGGCUGUCUCUUGAUGCCAGACCUCCUUCAAGACUUUUGGGCCCGAAGGCCGGCCCACUAUUGGGUUCAUAUCUAGUGUGCCAUCCACGUUGUAAUGCACCAUCACCAACCCCGAUUUCUGGGGCCUUAAGAGUGAAGCGAUUCCUAAUUCUUCUUGGUAACAUGCCAAAGUGUUGUGUCCCAAAGGCUCGACUGGGUAUUUUCGUCAUUGCGGUUGAUAUGGAGAAGGGGUGGGUCGCAUGGAGGCAGAAAUGGGUAAAUGAAGACAGAAACGAGGGGCUGGCCUGACAGUGGUUCAUGUAGACGACGAGCAAGAGCAUGUGGCCAAUUUUUCCGCAAGCGUUAGAAGCAUAGCCAUAAUUCCAGAAAUUUUAGUGGCGGCAACUGAAUUUGCCCUAUUAUAAGAAGGUAUUGCCCCACAACGGUGCGCACACGGGUGACCUUCCUCUUGGUCCAAUGACAGGUGGGCCAUGGACUCGCCGGGGGCCAUAUUAAUGGGACAUUGUCUAUCGUGCUCUUGUGAUUUCUCUCUCGGGUGAUGGGCGGGCUAGACCCACCUGUCGGUUUUUUCGGACACCGUUGGGCUGGCUCAGGUGUGCCAGGGGGCCAGGUCAGACUGUGGUGGGCCUAGACCCCGGCGGGUGUGCGUCGUUCAGGAUGGCCGGCCACGCGGGUGUGCCAUGCUGUUUGAUCGCGAGAGCUGGCAAAGCACGGGCACCAGGUUGUUCGGCUUGUGUGAGCGAAACAGGCGACGGUGAGUCUAUCGUCCAAGAGACGGGCCGAAUAUACCGACAGGCGGAUCAGGCUUCCUGCUCUUGUGCAAUACGAUGAGAAAGGGUUCUCGCGGGAGCACCGAGGCCGCUCCAUGAGAGUGGCCCUGCACGCACCCGCGGUCCACCCGUCAUGGACCCCCGAGUGCACGUCCACUAGUUGAAAACGGAGUUUUAUCACCGGUUCGUAAGGGCCUUUAGUGCCGGUUCUGCAACCGGCACUAAAGAGUGGGGACUAAAGGUCCCCCUUUAGUACCGGUUUGGCACGAACCGGCGUAAACGUGCCACCACGUGGCACGAGCCAGGCCUGGGUGCGUGUAGGACAUUAGUACCGGUUGGUAACACAACCGGUACUAAAUGUUUGGGUGUGUUUUGGUUUUAAUUUUUAUUUUUCCUUUAGUUUUGUGUUUUCAAUUUAAUUUAGUGAUUGUUUUACAUUAUAAUGAGUUGUUAAAUCAUUAGGUGAAAGUACCGCAGAUUAGUUUCGACUGGAUGCAUGUGGAUCCUAGCUAAGUGAUAAAGUAUAUGCCAUAUCCAUAUUACUUAGAUCUAAGUAAUAUGGAUAUGGCAUAUAGUUGAUCACUUAGCUAGGAUCCAUCCAGUUGAAACUAAUAUGCGGUUUCUUUCAUAAAUGAUAUAAUAACUCAUCAUCAUCAUCAUCAUAUUAAUAUAAAAACUCUUGCAUCAUAUCAUCACCAACAACAGUAUAUACUAGCUAGCAAAGAUAUCAUCGAGUUCAACAUGGUCAUGAUAUUAUAAGCAUUCAUAACACCACAAAAGCAAAUCACUCUUUGAGAUUAAGUUCAUGACGAAGAACACGGACACGCAUGAGAGGACAAGAAGUACUAAGAGCAUGAUAACUAGCUAAAUCACUCCUGCUGCUCUCUCUCAGGUAAAAUAGCAUAGAACAUGUAUAGCUCUCCUGAUUCAUCAUAUUGGAUCAUGCAGAUGAACCUGUCUCCUAAUCGUGGGCUGCGCUUCUGAUUGCUGCCCCCUAGUACUUCUUUGCGAUCGUUAACAAUUUUGCUCCAAUCUUUCACUAUUAAGCAUUCAUCGCUUUCAGAAAUUCUGAAUGCACUCAUGUGCACUGUAGGAUAUCUUGGCCGUAAGCUAACAAUUGACAUGCGACCUUUAGUCUUGAUCCACUGAGGCACAACUAUUAAGCAUUCAUCGCUUUCAGAAAUUCUGAAUGCACUCAUGUGCACUGUAGGAUAUCUUGGCCGUAAGCUAACAAUUGACAUGCGACCUUUAGUCUUGAUCCACUGAGGCACAACUGUCAUCGGGAGUCCCUGUUGAAGAACAUCGUAUAGUAAUUAAUAUACUUAGCAAUGAAAGUUUAGCUUGAAAAAUAAUGUAUGCAAAAGAUGCACUGAGGACUAAUAGUAAAAAUCUUACCAUCUUUCCUAAAUACAUGUGACCGUAGUUCAAUACGAUCACUAUUGGUCGCACGUUUUGAGUACUAAGAUUUUCAAAUUCAGGAAAAUGAUUUCUCUUAACAGCAUCAAGAUCCUCAAGCCAUGAAACAUAAUGACUUAUCUCCUCGCAGUUUAGUUCAGCCCCGGGACAGUGGAUGGUCCUGUCUACCAAGCGCCGAACAUGUUUGCUUGAAUCAAAAUAAGCUGUCAAUAGAAAUUACUUGUCAACUAUUUUUGAAUAAACAAUAUCGAAGACAUAAAUAUGGUUGAGAAACUCACAUAAUGGUAGAACUGGAGGCAUCUGCACAUCGACCCAGAUAUCUCUAUUACCUUCAAUAUCAUCUUCCGGACGAAUAUCAAAGGUGAUAACCAUAUCAGGCUCAAAUGCAUAAGUCUUGCAUAGUGCUUGCCAAGUUUUGCAUUCAAAAUAGGUGUAUGUGUCUGCAUUGUAUAAUUUGACGUUGAAAGUAUAACCAUGCUCGGUCUUCAGGUAAACUCUCUUUGCCUCCAUAGUUUCCAUAGCACUGAAACCUAUCUUAUCCAAGACAAAAAUUCUUGCAUGGCAGGGGAUGCGCUACUACAAUAGUGAAAAUUAAAAAUUAUAAGUUGAAGCAAAUGAAGCAUAAGUCAUGCUUAAUUAUGAAAAAAGACUUGUCGUUGUGACUUACUGUAUCCACUUCGAAGGUCUCAUCCAGCUUGAUGCUGAAGCGCCUAUCAUCAACAAGGAAAUUUCUGUCGCACAGGCCGCGCUGGUCUUCACAGUAUUCGCACUUAAUGAAAUCUUUUUCGUCGUCAGACGACAUUUCCUAUGUUCAUAUAGGUGAAACAUUAAACACUUACUAGUUCUAUUAAUUCAACUAGUUCAACUACUUCUAUUAAUUCAACUAGUUCUAUCAAUUCAACUAGUUCUAUUAAUUCAACUAAUUCAACUAAGCAUUUACUAAAAAUAAACUAGUUCUAUAUAUAUAUAUAUAUUAAUAUUUUAAUUAGAUCAUCAAAUCUCAAAUACCUAAAUUUUCUUACUAAAAAUAAACCAGUUCUAUUAAUUCAACAAAUUCAACUAAGAAUUUACUAAAAAUGAACUAGUUAUAUUAAUUUUCUUACUAAAAUAUAUAAAGUAGCUAUGUAUAGUAAUAUUUUAAUUAGAUCAUCAAAUCUCUUAUACCUAAAUUUUCUUACUAAAAAUAAACNNNNNNNNNNNNNNNNNNNNNNNNNNNNNNNNNNNNNNNNNNNNNNNNNNNNNNNNNNNNNNNNNNNNNNNNNNNNNNNNNNNNNNNNNNNNNNNNNNNNNNNNNNNNNNNNNNNNNNNNNNNNNNNNNNNNNNNNNNNNNNNNNNNNNNNNNNNNNNNNNNNNNNNNNNNNNNNNNNNNNNNNNNNNNNNNNNNNNNNNNNNNNNNNNNNNNNNNNNNNNNNNNNNNNNNNNNNNNNNNNNNNNNNNNNNNNNNNNNNNNNNNNNNNNNNNNNNNNNNNNNNNNNNNNNNNNNNNNNNNNNNNNNNNNNNNNNNNNNNNNNNNNNNNNNNNNNNNNNNNNNNNNNNNNNNNNNNNNNNNNNNNNNNNNNNNNNNNNNNNNNNNNNNNNNNNNNNNNNNNNNNNNNNNNNNNNNNNNNNNNNNNNNNNNNNNNNNNNNNNNNNNNNNNNNNNNNNNNNNNNNNNNNNNNNNNNNNNNNNNNNNNNNNNNNNNNNNNNNNNNNNNNNNNNNNNNCUGGGGCGGCGAUGGGGGCGGCGACGACGGCGGCGACGACGACGGCGACAGGAUGGGCUGGGGCGCGAUAGGGGCGGCGACGGGGGCGAAGAACAAACUGAAACGAACUGAAAAUAUUCGUAAGUGGUGCUUAUAUAGCGGUGGCCAUUAGUACCGGUUUGAUACUAAAGGCCUAUUUUGGCCAGGCCAAGAGGCGGGAAGAGCAGGCCUUUAGUACCGGUUGGUGGCUCCAACCGGUACUAAAGACCCACCUUUAGUACCGGGUUGGGCUACCAACCGGUACUAAAGGGGGUGCGCUGCCACCCGCGGUGUAGAAAGUUUAGUCCCACCUCGCCGGGCGAAGGGCAGCCGCACUGGUUUAUAAACCCAGCCGCGGCUGCUACUUUGAACUCCCUUGUAAAGCAGGCUUCUGGGCCUAACUAUGGCACGCUGCCCUGUGAGCCUGCUGGCCCUUGUGGGCCUGAAUUUCCACGCCCGUGGUCUUGUAGGCCCAUUGGGAAGCGCCCCAAUAAUUUUUUAUAUAGUUUGUUUCUUUUCUUCUUUAUUUAUUUUCUUCUAUUUAUUUCUGAGUAGUUUUUUAUAUAGUUUUUUCUUUUCUGCUUUUUUUUAUUUUCUUCUAUUUAUUUCGGAUUAGUUUUUUAUAUAUUUUUUUCUUUUCCCCAAAUCGGUAAAUGACUGAAAAAUAGCAAAUGUUGUCAGAAAGUGUUGAAAAUUGAUGACGUCGCUUUGAAUGGUGUGUAUGGAACGCAAAAAAGUCUGGAGUUGUAAUAAGUUUAAAAAAAUGAAGUGCCCAUGUAACAGAUGAGUUCUCGUCAGAAACCCUGAUACUACAAAAAAGAUAGUCCAGUUUGUACACGAAGUGCGUCCAGUUUUUGCCAUAACCCUCUCUACUCUUUUGCACAUGCUAUGUGGGUGAAAUGAUGAUACCAUGCCAAGUUUUGACAUUUUCAGAGUUUAUUUUGUAGUGAUUUUCAAUUUCACGGUCAUUUAACUCUCUAAACAAAUCGGUAAAUGACUGAAAAAUAGCAAAUGAUGUCAGAAAGUGUUGAAAAUUGAUGACGUCGCUUUGAAUGGUGCGUACGGAACGCAAAAAAGUCUGGAGUUGUAAUAAGUUUAAAAAAAUGAAGUGCCAGUGUAACAGAUGAGUUCUCGUCCGAAACCCUGAUACUCCGAAAGAGAUUGUCCAGUUUGUACACGAAGUGCGUCCAGUUUUUGCCGUAAUCCUCUCUACUCUUUUGCACAUGCUGUGUGGGUGAAAUGAUGAUACCAUGCCAAGUUUCGACAUUUUCAGAGUUCAUUUUGUAGUGAUUUUCAAUUUCACGGUCAUUUAGCUCUCUAAACAAAUCGGUAAAUGACUACAAAAGUGCAAAUAAUGUCAGAAAGUUUUGAAAAAUGAUGACGUCGCUUUGAAUGGUGUGUACGGAACGCAAAAAAGUCUGGAGUUGUAAUAAGUCUGAAAAAUCGAAGUGCCAAUGUAACAGAUGAGUUCUCGUCAGAAACCCUUAUACUUCGAAAGAGAUUGUCCAGUUUGUACACGAAGUGCGUCCAGUUUUUGCCGUAACCCUCUCUACUCUUUUGCACAAGCUAUGUGGGUGAAAUAAUGAUACCACACCAAGUUUCGACAUUUUCAGAGUUGAUUUUGUAGUGAUUUUCAAUUUCACGGUCAUUUAGCUCUCUAAACAAAUCGAUAAAUGACUGAAAAAUAGUAAAUGAUGUUAGAAAGUGUUGAAAAUUGAUGACGUCGCUUUGAAUGGUGCGUACGGAACGCAAAAAAAGUCUGUUGUUGUAAUAAGUUUAAAAAAAUGAAGUGCCAGUGUAACAGAUGAGUUCUCGUUCGAAACCCUGAUACUCCGAAAGAGAUUGUCCAGUUUGUACACGAAGUGCGUCCAGUUUUUGCCGUAACCCUCUCUAAUCUUUUGCACAUGCUAUGUGGGUGAAAUGAUGAUACUAUGCCAAGUUUCGACAUUUUCAGAGUUCAUUUUGUAGUGAUUUUCAAUUUCACGGUCAUUUAGCUCUCUAAACAAAUCGGUAGAUGACUAAAAAAUAGCAAAUGAUGUCAGAAAGUUUUGAAAAUUGAUGACGUCGCUUUGUAUGGCGUGUACGGAACGCAAAAAAUUCUGGAGUUGUAAUAAGUUUAAAAAAAUGAAGUACCCAUGUAACAGAUGAGUUCUCGUCAGAAACCCUGAUACUCCAAAAGAGAUUGUCCAGUUUGUACACGAAGUGCGUCCAGUUUUUGCCGUAACCCUCUCUACUCUUUUGCACAUGCUGUGUGGGUGAAAUGAUGAUACCAUGCCAAGUUUCGACAUUUUCAGAGUUCAUUUUGUAGUGAUUUUCAAUUUCACGGUCAUUUAGCUCUCUAAACAAAUCGGUAAAUGACUAAAAAAUAGCAAAUGAUGUCAGAAAGUGUUGAAAAUUGAUGACGUCGCUUUGAAUGGUGCGUACGGAACGCAAAAAAAGUCUNNNNNNNNNNNNNNNNNNNNNNNNNNNNNNNNNNNNNNNNNNNNNNNNNNNNNNNNNNNNNNNNNNNNNNNNNNNNNNNNNNNNNNNNNNNNNNNNNNNNNNNNNNNNNNNNNNNNNNNNNNNNNNNNNNNNNNNNNNNNNNNNNNNNNNNNNNNNNNNNNNNNNNNNNNNNNNNNNNNNNNNNNNNNNNNNNNNNNNNNNNNNNNNNNNNNNNNNNNNNNNNNNNNNNNNNNNNNNNNNNNNNNNNNNNNNNNNNNNNNNNNNNNNNNNNNNNNNNNNNNNNNNNNNNNNNNNNNNNNNNNNNNNNNNNNNNNNNGACUAAAAAUAGCAAAUGAUGUCAGGAAGUGUUGAAAAUUGAUGACGUCACUUUGAAUGGUGCGUACGGAACGCAAAAAAAGUCUGGAGUUGUAAUAAGUUUAGAAAAAUGAAGUGCCAAUGUAACAGAUGAGUUCUCGUCAGAAACGGUGAUACUCCGAAAGAGAUUGUCCAGUUUGUACACGAAGUGCGUCCAGUUUUUGCCGUAAUCAUCUCUAUUCUUGUGCACAUGCUGUGUGGGUGAAAUGAUGAUACCAUGCCAAGUUUUGACAUUUUCAGAGUUCAUUUUGUAGUGAUUUUCAAUUUCACGGUCAUUUAGCUCUCUAAACAAAUCGGUAAAUGACUACAAAAGUGCAAAUAAUGUCAGAAAGUUUUGAAAAAUGAUGACGUCGCUUUGAAUGGUGUGUACGGAACGCAAAAAAGUCUGGAGUUGUAAUAAGUCUGAAAAAAUGAAGUGCCAAUGUAACAGAUGAGUUCUCGUCAGAAACCCUUAUACUUCGAAAGAGAUUGUCCAGUUUGUACACGAAGUGCGUCCAGUUUUUGCCGUAACCCUCUCUACUCUUUUGCACAUGCUAUGUGGGUGAAAUGAUGAUAUCACGCCAAGUUUCGACAUUUUCAAAGUUGAUUUUGUAGUGAUUUUCAAUUUCACGGUCAUUUAGCUCUCUAAACAAAUCGAUAAAUGACUGAAAAAUAGUAAAUGAUGUCAGAAAGUGUUGAAAAUUGAUGACGUCGCUUUGAAUGGUGCGUACGGAACGCAAAAAAAGUCUGUUGUUGUAAUAAGUUUAAAAAAAUGAGUUGCCAGUGUGACAGAUGAGUUCUCGUUCGAAACCCUGAUACUCCGAAAGAGAUUGUCCAGUUUGUACACGAAGUGCGUUCAGUUUUUGCCGUUACUCUCUCUACUCUUUUGCACAUGCUAUGUGGGUGAAAUGAUGAUACUAUGCCAAGUUUCGACAUUUUCAGAGUUCAUUUUGUUGUGAUUUUCAAUUGCACGGUCAUUUAGCUCUCUAAACAAAUCGGUAGAUGACUAAAAAAUAGCAAAUGAUGUCAAAAAGUUUUCAAAAUUGAUGACGUCGCUUUGUAUGGUGUGUACGGAACUCAAAAAAUCUGGAGUUGUAAUAAGUUUAAAAAAAUGAAGUGCCCAUGUAACAGAUGAGUUCUUGUCAGAAACCCUGAUACUUCGAAAGAGAUUGUCCAGUUUGUACACGAAGUGCGUCCAGUUUUUGCCGUAACCCUCUCUACUCUUUUGCACAUGCUGUGUGGGUGAAAUGAUGAUACUAUGCCAAGUUUCGACAUUUUCAGAGUUCAGUUUGUAGUGAUUUUCAAUUUCACGGUCAUUUAGCUCUCUAAACAAAUCGGUAAAUGACUGAAAGAUAGCAAAUGAUGUCAGAAAGUGUUGAAAAUUGAUGGCGUCGAUUUGAAGGGUGCGUACGGAACGCAAAAAAAGUCUGGAGUUGUAAUAAGUUUAAAAAAAUGAAAUGCCAGUGUAACAGAUGAGUUCUCGUCCGAAACCCUGAUACUCCGAAAGAGAUUGUCCAGUUUGUACACGAAGUGCGUCCAGUUUUUGCCGUAACCCUCUCUACUCUUUUGCACAUGCUAUGUGGGUGAAAUGAGGAUACCAUGCCAAGUUUCGACAUUUUUAGAGUUCAUUUUGUAGUGAUUUUCAAUUUCACGGUCAUUUAGCUCUCUAAACAAAUCGGUAAAUGACUAAAAAAUAGCAAAUGAUGUCAGAAAGUUUUGAAAAUUGAUGACGUCGCUUUGAAUGGUGUGUACGGAACUCAAAAAAGUCUGGAGUUAUAAUAAGUUUUAAAAAAUAAAGUGCCCAUGUAACAGAUGAGUUCUCGUCAGAAACCCUGAUACUUCGAAAGAGAUUGUCCAGUUUGUACAGGAAGUGAGUCCAGUUUUUGCCGUAACACAAGAAGUCCGGAGUUGUUAUAAGUUAUUAAAGAUAAAAAAGAGGCACAAUGCUCGUUAAUUAGCUUCAAGCCUUUCGGAAUAGUGCAAACUGCACUGCACAUAGCUCCGUGCAGUCUACACUAUUCCUCAAGGCUUAAAGCUAAGCAACGUGUAGAUGAGCAUUUCACGGUCAUUUAGCUCUCUAAGCUAAUCUAGUAGCCAUGUUAAGUCGAUAAUGACGUGGAAUUGUUAUAUGACAUGCAAAUACCUUCUGAGUUAAUGGCACUAGUCAUCAACCCGUGCAACUGCAUGGGCUAGUUUUUUAAACGGUUCAUAGUUACAAUACUUUUCAUGACCACUUGUUUCUUUGCAUCCAGCAAGAAUAUAAAUUUGUUGUGUGUGAACCAUUAAAUGAACAAUUAAUAUGAAAAUAGAAAACUUAUAUCCUGAAAGUUUACAAUCUUCAUAAAAUAUUUAUAUUUUAUUUUAAGACAAACGGGAAAUUAAAAAUCCUACUUAUAGAGAUCCUGAAACAUAAUUCAAAUGUCGCAUAAAUUACGUAAUUUUGAAUGAUAAGUACUAAAAAUGUAAUAAUUUGUUUAGUUAAUAUUAAUCCUUUUUUUAUUUGGGAGUCUACUUAAUCAUGGGGUAUUUUGCAUAAUGCUUAGGCUUGUCAAAUGAAAUAAGCAUUUCAUAACAACAGUGUACCUCCCUACAGUUUAAUAACAAACUUACUCUACAAACACCGAAAACCGAACCAAAGACUGAAGAAGCAAUCAUAAGUGUCAUACUUCUUAAAUUCUCCUUUUUUUUCCCGGCACCACCCAUGGAGUAGUCUUUCCACCGUGUUUGACUCUCGUUGUGGUAGCAAAUGAUGGGUCCAAGUUUUCGCAUAGUAUUGUCCGUUUGUUUUAUCAUGAUAGAGUACUCCAUUAGUUGGCACCGCUCUUAUAUUUGUGUGUGAUCUUUUAGCAGUUCAACAUUAUAGUUCUUCCACCCAUAUGUUCGCAAUGUUAAAUCUAUGGAGAAAAAGAUUCAAAUCUUCACUAUUGUACCACAAAAGCAAGUCACAUGAAUAGCUCGCAAUUAUUUAACUACUGGUGGUUGGUGCCAGGUAUAUUAGCGUUAGGAAAGUAAAUGUACAUACUGAACAUUUGACUGUGGAAGAAAAUGAAUUUUCUUAUUUACUCUUAUUGAAUUCUAAAUAUAUUUUGGAUAUUUGUUUUCAGUAAUACACCUAAUUUUGGAAAAUCUAUUUCAUAGCCUUGUAUUUUUGAAAUAUUUUACAAAACAUGACACAAAUUGUUGUGUUUUUUCACAUACAUAUUUAUAACAUUAAUACACUCUUUAUAUGUAAUGUGAUAUUUAUUAUAUAAUUUUUUAAUCAUACAUAACUAAAUUCUUAUUAUUUUCAAAUCACAAAUUUUAAAUGAUAUGAUAACUUACAUUUUAAAAGCUCUAUUUCGGGACAUUAUAACUAAAAACUAUCUGAGCGAAUCGGGCACCAUAAUGUAUUUGGUGUCUACACUUUGUCGCAUACAUAGCCUUUUUUAUUUUUAAUGUAAUUGCUAAAAUAUGUAAUUAUGUAGAACUUAAUAUUACAUUCUAUUACACAGAUUGGACUUAUAUAGGUUGGAAAAGAAUUAAAUCUAUGCUGUCAAACCUACCGAAUAGCAUUCCUCCGGCACAUUGUAUAUCUGGCAUUUAUUAGUAAUGUGUCUAAAUCAGUUCGGGAUAAAUUCACUCUACAUCGUCAUAAUGGCUUGUUGUUAAAAUUUGGCAUCCUGACGCAUUACUUGGAAUUUUUAUAAACUCAGUGUAAACAGUUAUGUUAUCUUUUUAAACAUAAGUUAUUUAGUUCAAUUCGGAGUACUAUAUAGUAAUUUUCAACAGUAAAUCUAGCCUAUUUCAACUCGGUCAUUAUAAACAAUAAAUCUAGCCUGUUUCAACUCGGCCAUUAUAUUUAACUUAUUUAAGACAUAAGGUAAUCUAACUUUUGAACAAUCUUUAGAAAUCUACAUAUGUAGAGGUCAAGUAGGACAUACAUAUGUGAAAUUCCUUAAAAUAAUUUGAUAAUUGUUAUAUUAAAGAAAAUAAUAUUAUAAUUUAUUAUCUGUACUUACUAUAAUUGCAAUACUUUUUGAUAGCAUGUUCCCGUUGCAUAGUGUCGCUUACUGCACAAUAUCUUAAUUUGUUAUGUGUCUCGGAUAGAAAAAUAUUGUAUUUCCGCGUAUGUAUAUGCAUGUCUAUAUAUGUUUCACACACAUGAAAUUUUUUUAUAUAUUAAAAAAUGAUUUCGCCUGAGUUACAUCCAUGCAUGCUAAUUUCCUGUCUAUCAUUGGAGUUUAGAUCUAUGCAUGUAUGUGCUUGACUAAGCUCUGCACAUAUAUACGUGCCGGUCAAAUCAUAUACAUGAACGUACAUCACUCUAUUCUACUAUUAAGGGAUUCGUUGAGCACCUCGUCAAAGAAACAAACCUUUCAGAUCAACUUGUAAAUUUUCUUUUUACAUAUUUGCAUUUUUUUAGCAUAUUUGCAUUUCUUUCCUAAAAUAUUGCAAUAUUUGCAAAUAUCUGAAUCAUAUUCUUUUGAUUGACAAUAACACAAUGGCUUACCAGCAGAUCAAAACAGAUAUCUAGCUAGUGCGAAGGUUGUGCCACCUCUUGAUUGUUUCCUCCAUGAGCAAGCAAGCUUCUGGUAACGGUAACAGUCAUGGCGACGGAACAUGAUGUGCCGGCGAGCCGCAGACAUUAGAAAGAUCUGAAAAGAAGCAGAUAGGCAUGAUGCAUAAAUCUGGAAAGGAAGAAGAAUAUGCAUAACUCAAAAGCAUUGAAGCCGUCGGUUUUUGCAUUGCUCUACGAUCAGUUAAUGUACGCAUGCAUCGUAUAUGUACGCAUCCAGCCGCCGGAAUUUACUUCUCCUGCCUUCGUUUGUCAAGGGCAAAAAUACUGGCCAGCAGCACAAAUUGAAGACCAGCUUUCGGCACCUCCAUAACGCUCGUAGAAAAGUUCUCAAUGACUUGCAUCGGGAAUAUCUCUCCAGACCAGGGCAUGCGCCAAUUAAUGCUUCUUGCCGUGUCAUGUAUGCCGGGUCAUGUAUCUCUACGGGGACAACAAAAUUCAACUUGUUUAUUUUUGGAUAAUCAUUGGGAGAUAGAGACCCAGCACAGGACGUCUCCCAUGCGUGGGACAACCGAGGUUUUUUUUUUCAAUCUUAGGCUUCAUCAACGGCUAAAAUAUAUUAUAUUUUAAUCUGACGGAUGUAAAUCUUUAACUUAUAAAAUUGACGUGAAUCCUCGUAUGGCUCUUCCAAUUAGUAAAUAUAUAAGAUAGUAGUAGACGUGAAGAAUAAAGGGGCAGUAAUGGGAUAUUAAAUGUGGCAGCUAACUUGCUAGGCCUUCGAGUUAUAUUUUGUUCAGCAUUAAGUGGAAAACAUAUUUUGGCAUCCUUUUCCUCCUCUCGACUCUGACAAAAUGUUAGUGAUAUUCAAAUGGAAAAGCUUAGGCAAGAAAUAUUCCGAGGAAAAAUAAUGCAUCUACUCUAAAAUAUAUUUUCAUCAAUAGUAGUCCACUACUACCAUGAGCCAAUGGCCAUGGUUCUAUUCAAAAUUUUAAUUUAUCAAGAUCAGGCGUAGACUUGAUGUUGACAUCAAUGGCUAUCUAGGCUUAGAGAGAUGAGAGGAGUGAAGAACAAAAAAGGAGCGCCAAUAAUGGUUAUAACCCAUAGGGGAUAAAAUAAGGACGCCGCUAGUUGGCAUGAAUUGAUACAGGUAGACAUCACUUACUCUGCGUCCCUGAAUAGAGGCCAUAAUUUGUGUUGCUCUAGGGACCCAUAAUUUAUGAAUUCUGCUCACAAGAGAUCCGACUGUUGUGGGGAUCAAACUUUAGCACGCUGCCCUUAGAGCAACUCCAACGCGUCAACCCAAAUGGACGGCGAUUUUGUUAUAUUUUCGUCUGUUUGUGUCGACCGUCCACUCGGUGUCCGCCUAAUUUUCUUUUUGGGUCAGCAGUGCGCCCAAUGCCAGCGACUCAUUUCAUGUCCGUGCACAAAUUUUAAAAAGGCCCGCGGCUGUAGAUCAUGGCAGCGGCCAAGCCGUCACCCAAAGUUCAUGCCGGCACCAUGCCAGCAGCCGACAUACAAUGCCAGCUCCAAAAAAGCACCACACAGUUUGUGUUGGCGCACUUGCCAGCGACUGGCAUAGAUGCCAGCAAACAAAAAAGGGGCGGGAGUUCGACCACGCCAUCGCGACCGUAGUCAUGCCAACACACUUUUCGGCAUGCAAAAAAGGAUGGCGCUUUCCGCCAUAAAUCACUCGUCGUCGAACUUGAGCAUGUCGGCUUGCAUCUUGUCGAACCACGACCUCUUCCUCGGCGACAUGGUGUUGAGGUCCACCUUCAUGAUCUCCACACCCGUCAUCAUGCUAGCGAGAACCACUUCUUUCGCCUUGGUCUUGACAUUUGCGGCAUCGAUAUCUAGCAUCUUGGCUUGCACUGGUGCAGAACCGGGCUUUAGCACCAGUUCGUAAGGCCCUUUAGUGGCGGUUCUUGAACCGGUACUAAGGGGGGGGGGGCUUUAGGGAUUUUGGUUUUAUUAUUUAUUUUUCCUUUAAUUUUGUAUUUCCAUUUAUUUUAUUUUUCAUUUGCUGGUAUUUUACGAACUACAUAUUGUACACGUUAUGCAUAUAUAUAAAUAUAAUUUCUCGUAGAACCGAUCAUAUANNNNNNNNNNNNNNNNNNNNNNNNNNNNNNNNNNNNNNNNNNNNNNNNNNNNNNNNNNNNNNNNNNNNNNNNNNNNNNNNNNNNNNNNNNNNNNNNNNNNNNNNNNNNNNNNNNNNNNNNNNNNNNNNNNNNNNNNNNNNNNNNNNNNNNNNNNNNNNNNNNNNNAGCUAAUCAUUGAUAUAUACUACAUACUAAACGUACAUACUCUCUAUUUUGACGGAUACUACAUACAACAUACAAAAUGCAAGUGGUGGUAAUUACCACCGCUUGGAGGAAGCAUUUGAGGCACCACCAUUUGAAGCACCGCCAUUCACACAUAGAGCAGAAAAGAGUACCGGUUGGAGCGACCAACCGGUUUAAAGGGGUGUGCUGGCCCAGGUGCGAUGCACAAAGUUUAGUCCCACCUUGCUGAGCGAAGGGCGGCCGCACUGGUAUAUAAACCCAGCCGCGGCUGCUCCUUUGAGCUCCUCCCUAACGCAGGCCUUCUGGGCCUACUUGUGUUGCGCUGCCCUGUUGGGCCUACUAGCCUUGCGGGCCUACCUCCUGGCCCGACUACAGGUUGGGUUUCUAGUCGCAUGCAGGCCGCUGUGGCCCAGUAGGCGGGCUUUUAAAAAAAUAUUGUUUGCUUUAUUUAUUUUCUUUUAUUUAUUUCUGAGUUGUUUUUCCUGUAUUUCGAAUUUCUUUGUGAAUAUUUUUGCUUUAGGUACAAAAAAUUACAAAAUUUCUGUUAGUGCCAGUAGUUUUCAAAUUUGAAUAGUUUAAAUUUGUCUCCUUUAUUUAUUUUUAAGUUGUUUUUUGCUGUAUUUAGAAUUUCUUUGUGAAUAUUUUGCUUUAGGUAAAAAAAAUUACAAACUUUAUGUUAGUGCCAAUAGUUUUCAAUUUUGAAUAGUUUAAAUUUGUCUGCUUUAUUUAUUUUCUUUUAUUUAUUUGUGAGUUGUUUUUUGCUGUAUUUAGAAUUUUUUGUGAAUAUUUUUCUUUAGGUACAAAAAAUUACAAAAUUUCUGUNNNNNNNNNNNNNNNNNNNNNNNNNNNNNNNNNNNNNNNNNNNNNNNNNNNNNNNNNNNNNNNNNNNNNNNNNNNNNNNNNNNNNNNNNNNNNNNNNNNNNNNNNNNNNNNNNNNNNNNNNNNNNNNNNNNNNNNNNNNNNNNNNNNNNNNNNNNNNNNNNNNNNNNNNNNNNNNNNNNNNNNNNNNNNNNNNNNNNNNNNNNNNNNNNNNNNNNNNNNNNNNNNNNNNNNNNNNNNNNNNNNNNNNNNNNNNNNNNNNNNNNNNNNNNNNNNNNNNNNNNNNNNUAAGUUGUUUUUUGCUGUAUUUAGAAUUUCUUUGUGAAUAUUUUUGCUUUAGGUACUAAAAAUUACAAACUUUCUGUUAGUGCUAGUAGUUUUCAAAUUUGAAUAGUUUAAAUUUUUCUGCUUUAUUUAUUUUCUUUUAUUUAUUCCUGAGUUGUUUUUUGCUGUAUUUAGAAUUUCUUUGUAACUAUUUUUGCUUUAGGUACAAAAAAUUACAAACUUUAUGUUACUGCCAGUAGUUUUAAAAUUUGAAUAGUUUAAAUUUGUCUGUUUUAUUUAUUUCUGAGUUGUUUUUUGCUGUGUUUAGAAUUUAUUUUUGAAUAUUUUUGCUUUAGGUACAAAAAAUUACAAACUUUCUAUUAGUGCCAGUAGUUGUCAAAUUUGAAUAGUUUAAAUUUGAAUUAUUUGAAAUUUUUGUGAAUAACUAGUUUCGGAAUAACUUUACUUUAAAAAUAGAUUUUUCAGUGAUUCGUUUUUCUUAUGUCUAACAUUAGUGUGUUUUAUCAUUAUAUUCAAUUUGGUAAUACUUAGGUUAUUUAAAAAAUGAAAUGCCAUUGUAACAGAUGAGUUUUCGUCUAAAAACUCUGAUACUUCGAAAGAGAUUGUCCAUUUUGUACACUAAGUGCUUCCAGUUUUUGCCAUAACCCUCUAUACUUUUUUGCACAUGCUAUGUGGGUGAAAUGAUGAUACCAUGCCAACUUUCAACCUUUUCAGAGUUCAUUUGUAGUGCUUUUUAAUUUCAGGGUCAUUUAGCUAAAAAAAUCAUUAAAUGCAUGAAAAAUAGCAAAUGAUGUCCGAAAGUGUUGAAAGUUGAUGACGUGGCUUUGAAUGGUGCAUACUGGACGCACAAAAAGUAUGGAGUUGUAAUGAGUUUCAAAAAUGAAAUUCCUUUGUAACAGAUGAGUUUUCGUCCGAAACCCUGAUACUCCGAAAGAGAUUGUCCAUUUUGUACACGAAGUGCAUCCAGUUUUUUCCAUAACCCUCACUACUUUUUUGCACAUGCUAUGUGGGUGAAAUGAUGAUGCCAUGCCAACUUCCAACCUUUAAGAGUUCAUUUGUAGUGUUUUUCAAUUUCAGGGUCAUUUAGCUAAAAAAUCAAUAAAUGCAUGAGAAAUAGCAAAUGAUGUCAGAAAGGUAUGAAAGUUGAUGACGUGGCUUUGAAUGGUGCAUACUGAAUGCACAAAAAGUUUAGAGUUGUAAUAAAUUUAAAAAAUGAAAUGCCUUUGUAACAGAUGAGUUUUCGUCCGAAGCCCUCAUACUUCAAAAGAGAUUAUCCAUUUUGUGCACGAAGUGCAUCCAGUUUUUGCCGUAACCCUCUCUACUUUUUUGCACAUUAUAUGUGGGUGAAAUGAUGAUACGAUGCCAACUUCCAACCUUUCAGAGUUCAUUUGUAGUGCUUUUCAAUUUCAGGGUCAUUUAGCUAAAAAAAAUCAGGAAAUGCACGAAAAAUAGCAAAUGAUGUCAGAAAAGUUUGAAAGUUGAUGACAUGGCUUUGAAUUGUGCAUACUGAACGCACAAAAAGUCUAGAGUUGUAAUAAGUUUAAAAAAUGAAAUGCCUUUGUAACAGAUGAGUUUUCGUCCGAAACCCUCAUACUUCGAAAGAAAUUGUACAUUUUGUACACGAAGUGCAUCCAGUUUUUGCCGUAACCCUCUCUACUUUUUUGCACAUGCUAUGUGGGUGAAAUGAUGAUGCCAUGCCAACUUUCAACCUUUGUAGAGUUCAUUUGUAGUGCUUUUCAAUUGCAGGGUCAUUUAGCUAAAAAAUCAGUAAAUGCAUGAAAAAUAGCAAAUGAUGUCAGAAAGUGUUGAAAGUUGAUGACGUGGCUUUGAAUGGUGCAUACUGAAUGCACAAAAAGUCUGGAAUUGUAAUAAGUUUAAAAAAAUGAAAUGCCUUUGUAACAGAUGAGUUUUCGUCCGAAACCCUGAUACUCCGAAAGAGAUUGUCCAUUUUGUACACGAAGUGCAUCCAGUUUUUGCCGUAACCCUCCCCUACUUUUUUCCACAUGCUAUGUGGGUGAAAUGAUGAUACGAUGCCAACUUCCAACCUUUUCAGAGUUCAUUUGUAGUGCUUUUCAAUUUCAAGGUCAUUUAGCUAAAAAAUUAGUAAAUGCAUGAAAAAUAGCAAAUGAUAUCAGAAAGGUUUGAAAGUUGAUGACGUGUCUUUGAAUGGUGCAUACCGAAAGUACAAAAAGUCAGGAGUUGUAAUAAGUUUAAAAAAAUGAAAUGCCUUUGUAACAGAUGAGUUUUCGUCUAAAACCCUCAUACUUCGAAAGAGAUUGUCCAUUUUUUUCUACACGAAGUGCAUCCAGUUUUUGCCGUAACCCUCUCAACUUUUUUGCACAUGCGAUGUGGGUGAAAUGCUGAUACCGCCAACUUUUAACCUUUUGAGAGUUCAAUUUUAGUGCUUUUUAAUUUCAGGGUCAUUUAGCUAAAACAAUCAGUAAAUGAGCUAAAAGUAGCAAAUGAAGUCAGAAAAGGGUUGAAAAUUGCUGAUGUGCCUUGGAAUGGUGCAUAUUGAACACACAAAAAGUCUGGAGUUGAAAUAAGUUAUUAAAAAUAAAAUCCUUUUGUAAUAGAUGAGUUUCGUCCGAAACCCUGAUACUUCGAAAGAGAUUGUCCAGUUUGUAGAAGAAGUGCAUCCAAUUUUUGCCGUAACCCUCUCAACUUUUUAGCACAUGCUAUGUGGAUGAAAUGAUGAUAUCAUGCUAAGUUUCAACCAUUUCAGAGUUGAUUUGUAGUGCUUUUCAUUUUCAGGGUCAUUUAGCUAAAAAAAUUCAUUAAAUGCAUAAAAAUAGCAAAUGAAGGCAGAAAAGAGUUGAACAUUGAUGAUGUGACUUUGAAUGGUGCACAAUGAACACACAAAAAGUCCGGAGUUAAAAUAAGUUAUAAAAAUGAAGGAGAGGCGCAAUCCUCACUGGCACAUUGCUUAGCUUCAGGCCUUGACAAACUACACAUAGCUCUGUGCAAUCUACACCAUUUCCUCCAGGCAUGAAGCUAAGCAACGUGCAGGUGAGCAUUGCGCCUCUCCUUCAUCGUUCCUCGUCUCUGCACUCAGGGCUUAUAAACCGCUGAUACGUCUCCAACGUAUCUAUAAUUUUUGAUUGUUCCAUGCUAUUAUAUUAUCAAUCUUGGAUGUUCUAUAAUCAUUUUAUAGUCAUUUUUUGGUACUAACCUAUUGACAUAGUGUCAAGUGCUAGUUGUUGUUUUCUGCAUGUUUUUUACAUUGCAGGAAAUCAAUACCAAACGGCGUCCAAAUUCAAUGAAACUUUACGGGGAUUUUUUAUGCACCAGAAGACACCUAAUGGGCCAAGGCUGCGCCUAGGGGGUGCUCCGAGGAGAGCACAACCCACCAUGGCGCGCCAGGAGGCCCGGGCACGCCCUGGAGGGUUGUGCCCACCUCGGGUGCCCCUCGGGCCGCCUCUUUGCUCUAUAAAUAUCCCAAUAUUCCAGAAACCCUAGGGGAGUCGACGAAAAUCAAUUCAAGCCUCCGCAGAGUCCAGAACCACCAGAUCCAAUCUAGACACCAUCACGGAGGGGUUCACCACUUCCAUUGGUGCCUCUCCGAUGAUGCGUGAUUAGUUCUUUGUAGACCUUCGGGUCCGUAGUUAGUAGCUAGAUGGCUUCCUCUCUCUCGCCAAACUCUCAAUACAAUGGUGUCUUGGAGAUCCAUAUGAUGUGACUCUGUUUGCGGUGUGUUUGUUGGGAUCAGAUGAACUUUCAGUUUAUGAUCAGAUCUAUCUUUUUAUAUCCAUGAAAGUUAUUUGAGUUUCUUUGAACUAUUAUAUGCAUGAUUUCUUAUAGCCUCGUAUUUCUUCUCCGAUAUUUGGGUUUUGUUUGGACAAAUUGAUCUAUUUAUCUUGCAAUGGAAAGAGGUGCUUUGUAGUGGGUUCGAUCUUACGGUGCUUGAUCCCAGUGACAGAAGGGGAACCGACACGUAUGUAUCGUUGCUACUAAGGAUAAAACGAUGGGGUCUAUCUCUACAUAGAUAGAUCUUGUCUACAUCAUGUCAUCAUUCUUAUUGCAUUACUCCAUUUCCCCAUGAACUUAAUACACUAGAUGCAUGCUGUAUAGCGGUCGAUGUGUCGAGUAAUAGUAGUAGAUGCAGGUAGGAGUCGGUCUACUAAUCUUGGACGUGAUGGCUAUAUAUUGAUCAUUGCCUGGAUAUCGUCAUGAUUAUUUGGAACUCUAUCAAUUGCCCAACAGUAAUUUGUUUACCCACCGUUUGCUAUUUUGCUCGAGAGAAGCCACUAGUGAAACCUACGGCCCCCGGGUCUCUUUCUCACAUUAUUUGCCUUCGCGAUCUAUUUUAUUUGCCUUUUGUUUGCAGAUCUAUUAAACCAAAAAUACAAAAAUACCUUGCUGCGUUUUACUCUUAUUUAUUUUAUUUGGUGUUCGAUCUAUCAAUCUACUACAAUUAUCUCACGUCUGUUUGCCAAUUUCUGGCGCCGCUACCCGAAAGGGAUUGACAACCCCUUUAACACGCCAGGUUGCGAGGAUUUGUUAUCUGUGUGCAGGGGCUAUUUACAUUCUAUUGCUAGGUUCUCCUACUAGUUCGAUAACCUUGGUUUCAUAUCUGAGGGAAAUACCUACCGCUGCUAUGCUGCAUCAUCCCUUUCUCUUUGGGGAAAUACCGACGUAGCUUCAAGCCGCAUCAAAAGGAAUUUCUGGCGCCGUUGCCGGGGAGGAUCUUCAACAUAUACGAGGUUCCGAAUCACAAAUCUCAUCUCCUUGCAAUUUACAUUAUUUGCCAUUUGCCUCUCAUUUUCCUCUCCCCCACUUCACAAAAAUUUGCCAUUUUAUUCGUCCUCUUUUUCGUUCGCCUUUUUCUCGUUUGAUCUUUUGUUUGCUUGUGUUGCCAUGUGCCUUCUAUAUGCUUGCGUCUUCGCUUGCUAAAAAUAUAUUGAUAUGGAUCCUCAUCCACUUGCUAAUCUUUUUAAAAGAUCCAAUCAUGUUGAACCAGUUGCUAGUGAGUUGAGUGCACUAGAUUAUCUUUAUGAAGUUUUUCUUGAGAUUCGUGAAUCUAAAAAUUGCGAUGAAGAAAUUUAUGAAGUGAUUCAUGAUAGCUCCUUGAAUGAAAAGCAUGAUUGCAAUGAUUUUACUAUAAAUCCUAUUAAUGUCAAUUGUGCUAAUAAUAUGCAAAACCCCAAACUUUGGGAUGCUAAUUUUGCUAUGUCCACUACUUGUUGCAAUGAUCAUGAUUGGGGUGAUUCUUCUUAUGAGCUUGAAAUUUUAUUUAAACCUCAUGAUGAAUAUGAUAUUGAUAAUAAUGUUUGCAAUAAUAUUGAAAGUGGGUAUGGAAGAGCGUCAACUUUAGGUAAAAAUAAUCCCACAUAUUUGGAGAGUGUUCAAUCUUAUGAUUUUUUUUAUGAAAGUGGGUUCGGAGGGGUCAUGACUUUAGUUGAUGUUAAUCCCACUAUCUUGGAAGAUUAUAAGACUUGUAUGCAUGUGGAUCAUGAAAAGAAAGUUUUAUAUGAUUGCUAUAUUGUUGAAUUUGAGUAUUAUCCUACAUGUAAUUAUUAUGAGAAAGGAAAAUAUGGUUGUAGAAAUUUUUAUGUUACUAAAUUACCUCUCGUUAUGUUGAGAUCGUCAAUGUUUUAUUCCUCUUCUUUGCAUAUGUUAGAUGUUUCUUGUCUUGAUAUUUUGUUUUCUUAUAAAAUUCCUAUGCAUAGGAAGUAUGUUAGACUUAAAUGUGGUUGUCAUAUGUUUCAUGAUGCUCUCUUUGUGUUUCAAUUAUUAUCUCUCAUGUGAGCAUCAUUGAAAUUUUAUGCCUAGCUAGGGGCAUGAAACUAUAGCGCUUGUUGGGAGGCAACCCAAUGAAUAAAAUUUGUUUUUACCUUUUGCUUUCUGUUCUUGAAUGUUUGCACAAUUAUGCUAAUGUUAUGAUUGUGUGUUUUGUGUUUUAAUUAGUGUUUGUACCAAGUAGAACCUAUAGGAUCUUCUUGGGUGAUAGUUGUUUGAUCUUGCUGAAAAAACAGAAACUUUUGCGCUCAUGAAAACAAUUCUUAUUUUUUACCAGAGCGUGAUAAAAUGCCAAUUAUUUUUGCAGAAGAUUAAUAUACAAAUUUCUUAGGUCUUCCUAUUGUUUUAGAAUUUUUGGAGUUUCAGAAGUAUUCGAACAAUUCAGAUUGCAACACAUUGUUCUGUUUUUGACAGAUUUUGUUUUCUUUGCGUUGUGUGCUUGUUUUGAUGGCUCCAUGGUUUUCUUUGUUGAGUUUUUGCCAUAGAAAAGUUGGAAUAUAUUAGAUAUAAUGCAAGAAUAAAAUAUGAAUAGGUUGCAACAGUACUUAUAGUAGUGAUUUAUUUUCUUAUACUAAUGGAUCUCACGAAGGUUUUGUUGAGUUUUGUGUGAUUGAAGUCUUCAAGUUUUGGGUUAUCUUACGAUGGAUGAAGGAAUAAGGAGUAAGCAAAGCCUAAGCUUGGAGAUGCCCCGGCAACCCAAGCUAUUAUCCAAAAGAUAGCAAGCAAGUAAGCUUGGGGAUGCCCCGAGUGGCAUCCCCUCUUUCUUCUAACGACCAUCGAUAUUUUACUCGAAGCUAUAUUUUUAUUCGUCACAUACUAUGUGUUUUGCUUGGAGCGUCUUGUAUGAUAUGAGUCUUUGCUUGUUUUAUUUUGUGUUUUAAGUCUUGAUUCCUUGCGGGACACACCUAUUUGAGAGAGCCAAAAUUAUGCAUGACUUAUUAGAAUUGCUCUCUAUGCUUCACUUAAAUUUUUUAUGAGCCAUGGACUUGCUCUAGUGCUUCACUUAUAUCUUUUUGAGCACGGUGUGCUUAGUUAUUUUUUAAGAAAUGCUCUCUUGCUUCACUUAGAUUUGUUUUAGAGGUAGUAAAUUUUUCAGGAAAUUCUCUCUUUCUUCACUUAAAUUAAUUUGAAAGAAAGAAAUAUUAUGCUCAUGAUCUUCACUUAUAUUUGUUUGAGCUUAUCAAAAGCAACAUAUGAAAAUUAGUUCCAAAGUGAUAGAUAUCCAAGAAGGAUAUAAUAAAAACUUUCAUGAAGAUCAUUGGACAAAAUAAACUUGAUUCUUAGUAAUAGUUUUAAGAUAUGAUGAUGUGAUAUGUGAGUCAUGUUGAUGAGUAAUUAUGCUUUACUAAGAAUAUUGGUGUUAAGGUUUGUGACUCCCUAUGCAAGCACGAAAGUCAAUAAUUAUGCAAUGAAAUUAUAUCCUACUUGUGGUGCAUUAUUCGGUGUUAAUUAUGCUUAAUGCUCGCUUAUGAGAUUAUUCGUUUCUUGGUUGGUUGCUUCUCAAUCUUUUGCUAGCCUUCAUUUUGCACUAAGUAUGAUCUCUACUUGUGCAUCCAAAAACCUUUAAACCAGUUUUGCCACAUGACUCCACUAUAUCUACCUAUAUGCGGUAUUCUUUUGCCGUUCUAAGCAAAUUUGUAUGUGCCAUCUCUAAUUUUGAAAAUAAACUUCUCUUUUGUGUGUUCGUACCGCUCGCAGAGCUGUGAGGGGUGGCUAAUAUUUUCCAUGCUAGAUGUGUUAUUCUCACGAUGAGUGUUUAUUCACUUGUCAUUGCACGAGAGUAAGGCAAAGGUAUUAGGGAUGCCCAGUCCCGAAAUGAAAAAUGAAUUUACUUUAUGUUGUCAAAUAAUAAAUUCCUUGGAAAGUGUUGGUACGGAGGGAAACCGUGGAUACGGCUAGCCAAGGAAAGUGAAAGUAUGGUUGAAAAAAGAAUAAACUUUAUUUUCUGUUUGGGAACCGCCUAUGAUAUAUCUAGCAUGGAAAGUGUUGGGAACUCUAAGUCGUUUUCGUUGGUGGGAAGGACACACCUCCUGAAAUGUUCUUAUCUCUAAGUUUUUUCGCUUUGAGCUUUGGCACGUCUACAAAUCCCUACUUCCCUCUGUGAAGGGCCUUUGUUUUACUUUAUGCAAUUUUUAUUAUUGAAUUUGAAUCUCCUUAUAAAAGCACCAACUCGGAGGCACUAUGAUCUUACUUGAGCAUUGGGUGUAGCUAAUAUGCAAGUGUGUUUCAUGAAUGGAUCAAUGAUUGAGCAUGAUGGGCUAGGGAUAACUUAUUUUAGCGUUGAUAUUUUGAAAGACAUGGUUGCUUGUUGGUAUGCUUGAGUAUUUAAGUUAUCAUAUCAAAACUAGACUAUUGCUUUGAACAAUAUAAAAGUCCAAAUGUCCAUGCUAUAAAGAAAACAAUAUGAUAUGACAUGUUACGCAGUAUUCCACAUCAAAAAUUCCGUUUUUAUCACUUACCUACUCGAGGACGAGUAGGAGUUAAGCUUGGGGAUGCUGAUACGUCUCCAACGUAUCUAUAAUUUUUUAUUGUUCCAUGCUGUUAUAUUAUCAAUCUUUGAUGUUUUAUAGUCAUUUUAAAUAAUUUUUUGGUACUAACCUAUUGACAUAGUGCCAAGUGCCAGUUGUUGUUUUCUGUAUUUUUUUACAUCGUAGGAAAUCAAUAUCAGACGGAGUCCAAAUGCAAUGAAACUUUACGGAGAUUUUUUUAUUGACCAGAAGACACCUAAUGGGCCAAGGUUGCGCCUGGGGGCGCUCCGAGGAGAGCACAACCCACCAGGGCGCGCCAGGAGGCCCAGGCGCGCCCUAGUGGCUUGUGCCCACCUCGGGUGCCACCCGGACCACCUCUUUGCUCUAUAAAUACCCCAAUAUUCCAGAAACCCUAGGGGAGUCGACGAAAAUCAAUUCCAGCCGCCGCAGAGUCCAGAACCACCAGAUCCAAUCUAGACACUAUCACGGAGGGGUUCACCACUUUCAUUGGUGCCUCUCCGAUAAUGCGUGAGUAGUCCUUUGUAGACCUUCGGGUCCGUAGUUAGUAGCUAGAUGGCUUCCUCCCUCUCGCUAAAUUCUCAAUACAAUGGUCUCUUGGAGAUCCAUAUGAUGUAACUCUUUUUGCGGUGUGUUUGUUGGGAUCAGAUGAACUUUAGUUUAUGAUCAGAUCUAUCUUUUUAUAUCCAUGAAAGUUACUUGAGUUUUUUUGAUCUCUUGUAUGCAUGAUUUGUUAUAGCCUCGUAUUUCUUCUCCGAUAUUUGGGUUUUGUUUGGCCAACUUGAUCUAUUUAUCUUGCAUUGGGAAGAGGUGCUUUGUAGUGGGUUCGAUCUUAUGGUGCUUGAUCCCAGUGAUAGAAGGGGAACCGACACGUAUGUAUCGUUGCUACUAAGGAUAAAAUGAUGGGGUCUAUCUCUACAUAGAUAGAUCUUGUCUACAUCAUGUCAUCGUUCUUAUUGCAUUACUCCCUUUCCCCAUGAACUUAAUACACUAGAUGCAUGCUGGAUAGCGGUCGAUGUGUGGAGUAAUAGUAGUACAUGCAGGCAGGAGUCGGUCUACUAAUCUUGGAUGUGAUGCCUAUAUAUUGAUCAUUGCCUGGAUAUCGUCAUGUUUAUUUGUAGUUCUAUCAAUUGCCCAACAGUAAUUUGCUUACCCAUCAUUUGCUAUUUUUCUCGAGAAAAGCCACUAGUGAAACCUAUGACCCCCGGGUCUCUUUCUCAUUUUAUUUGCCUUCGCAAUCUAUUUUAUUUGCCUUUCAUUUUCAGAUCUAUUAAACCAAAAAUACAAAAAUACCUUCUUGCGCUUUAUUCUUUUUUUUUUAUUUGGCGUUCGAUCUAUCAAUGUACUACAAUUAUCUCACGUAUGUUUGCCAAUUUCUGGCGCCGUUACCCGAAAGGGAUUGACAACCCCUUUAACAUGUCGGGUUGCGAGGAUUUGUUAUCUGUGUGCAGGGGUUGUUUACGUUGUGUUGCUAGGUUCUCCUACUAGUUCUAUAACCUUGGUUUCAUAUCUGAGGGAAAUACCUACCUCUGCUCUGCCGCAUCAUCCCUUCCUCUUUGGGGAAAUACUGACGUAGCUUCAAGCCGCAUCAACCGCUGCGAGUCCCUCUUGCUAGGCGAGGUGGGACUAAAUUUUAGCCAUUGCCAGGACAAGGCCUUUAGUCUCGGUUGAUGGCUCAAUUAAAAUAUUUUGUUAUGAUCCACUUAUAGAAAGUUAUAAUAUUCUUCAAUAGCAAAAAGAAUCAACUAAAAAUCUCUAGUACCGGUUCGUGGCAUGAACCGGUACUAAAGGUGCUGGUGGGGGGCCCAGCCUGACAACAGCCUGCCACCACCUCUUUAGUACCGGUUCGUGGAACGAACUGGUACUAAAGGUUCGCCACGAACUAGUACUAAUGAGCACCGCCCGCCUAGCUGUUGGAACCGACACUAAUGGUCACAUUAGUGCUGGUUCAGUUACAAACCGGGACUAAUGUGCUUCACAUUAGGCCCUUUUUCUACUAGUGUUGCUUCUCCGCCUCCAUCUCAAGCAUCCUCAUUUGCUUCUCUGCCUCCAUCUCAAGCCUCCUCCUUUAGAUCUUCAUGAAGGCGUUCAUUUGUUCUUCCUUGUCUUGUCGGCGCUUCUCCUCCCUUGAGUCCUUCUUAGUCAUCAUGCCCUCCAUGGUAGCGAUCAAGGCAUUGGACGCCGCAUCCCUCUUGUCCUACUUCUUGGAGUUGGUCUUCCCCCACGGCCGUGGCUUCUCGCCCUCCCCAACCUCCUCCACGACUUUCUCUCCCCCACGCAACAUGAGGGCGGCAUAUUGCACCUUGAACUUCUCCUCGUCUUUGAUGACCCUCCAACAAUGAGAGAGGUUGAAGGACUUACCAUCAUGUUGGACCUUGAAUGCCUCCAAAGCUUGGAAUGCCUACAAAUGAAAUGCAUGCAAGCAUAUUGGCAAAUGGAUAUGAAUAUGGACUUGCAAGAAUAAACGGAAGAGGGGCGCAUGCAUGCAUACCAUAUCUUGCAUGCCGAUGCCGCUCACCGGGCGUGACUUGAUGCUCUCAAAGGUGGCACAAAACUUGUCAUGCUCUUGUUGGAUCACCUUCCAUCGGUUCGAAAUGGACACCCACCCGCGCAUGCUUUAUAUCUGGUACGGCAGAAACUUCUUGCGUUCGUGGAACUCACGAUGGACACGAGUCCAAAAGGUUGAUUCCUUUUGUUCGGCACCGACCAUGGGGUCUUGCCCAAUGUCCCUCCAAAACUCACAAAGGAGCUUGUCCUCGACCGUGGUGUAUGCCUUCGUCCGCCUGCUCUUGUGCUUUGGCUUCAGCCCGGCGGCUUGGCUGGCGAGCCCGUCCUCUUCCUCAAGGCCGUAGUCCUCCGGAAACUCGUGGUCGAACAGGAAGUCGUCUAGGUCCAGGCCGAAGUGAUCUUGCAUGAAGGCGUCCUGCAUGCUAUCUUGAUCAUAGGUCGACGGCGUGAACGGCCCUCAGCCGUCCUGGCUUUGUGUCUCCUCUGAAUCGUAGGCAGCCGCGGCGGCACCACAGGCGGCCGACGUACCACCCUCGAAGAUGAUGCUCACCAUGAAACGGUCGGCCGUCUUGUCUUCGCCGGAUGACGAGGCACCGACUACCGGUGUGGCGUUGAGAUCGAUGGGCGCGGGCGCGGGCAUGGAAUGCGCCACCACGCUCACCUCCAGCGAGCAUUCCCUGAAGAAUUGGGAGGCUUGCAAGUAGACGUGGAAGCCGGGAAUCGAGUAAGACGCCGACGCGCGAGGCGACUCUGGGAGCACCAUCCGAGGAAACGCGGACGAGUCGGAGCUGGCCACGGCCACAGCGGCGUUGACGAGCCCGUGCUGGCCAGGGUUUAGCCCUAGGUAGAUUAGCGCCUCCCUCAUUGCCGCGGCGACGUGGGCGGCGGUGUCCUCCUGCUGCGCGGCGGCGGCCAUGGCGAUGGCAGCGGACGCUGCUUCGUCCCACGCGUCCGCCGCGUGCCUUCGGCCCUUUCGCUUCGGUGACUCCGCGGCCCGCUCCUCGGACGUCAGCUGCUUCUUCUUCUUGGGCACGGUGGCAGUCUUGCGGGAGGCGCGCGGCUUGCCUUUGCCGAAGGGGGCGGCUGUGAUGCUGGACGAGGCAAGGGCGACGAGGCCGCCGACAGUAUCGAGGUCCUCAUCCAUGGCGUGCGGCCGGGAGCGAGCACGGGCGGAAGGUUUUUGAGAAAGUGGACGAAAAUGUUGGAGGCUUUGCCACCAAUUGGCAGGUCAGGGGUAGUUGGCACGCAACGCGCUUCUCCGUCUCGUGUCGCGCGCCAACGCAAAUGAGGCUCAAAAUUGGGCUGAGAAUGGGUCGGCAGGCGAACGAAAAGCGGACACGCGUCCAUUUGGGUCGGCACAUUGUGCCGACUUUUCUGUCCGCACCGACCCAAAUGAACGCGCGCGAACGAAAUGGGUCGUCACGUUGGAGUUGCUCUUACGUGGCACUGUAACAAGAAAUGAGGACCAGUGGAAACCAGCAUAUGCACCUAGAAGAAUCGUAUGGAUCUGCAUAUGUAAUUGAUCUAUAUCAUACGGACCCAUAAAUGAUAGGAAGGUCCUAGCUACCAGGUACCAGCUAUCCUGGUUACUCCAUUUGCUGCCCCUCCAACCUGGGUUCCGGUCAUGUCCUCGGGGUCUGUCGGUGGUUCCGUGUUCUUGUUCUGGACGGACGCUUGUAAGAUCAGGUUUUCGAUCGGGAGCCUUCUGUUGACAUUAUAAAAGUGCGUGUAUUCAAAGGAGAUGUAUGCAUUUCUCCGUGACAAAGCAAAUUAAGUUCUGCUGCUAGCUAUUUUCAAAAAAGAGUCUUGCCCCACCACUUGCGUCGUUUGCAAAGCCCUUAAAUAUACUGAUAUGUUAUACACACACACAUAUACACAUGAGAUUUAAUUUUAAAGAGCACACGGACAUGUUCGUUCUCGUGUUAAUGAAAUCCUAGAAAAUCUCAUUAAUUAACCAUGGGAUCUAUAAUUCCGAGAUCUUUAGCUGUUGGAUGUAUGUAAUGCCUUAAGAUGCAUUAAAACAAAUAUACGUGAGAUUUAAUUUUAAAGGCCUUAAGGUGCAUAAAAAAUACGCAUGAGAUUUAAUUUUAAAUAGCACAAGGACAUGUUCAUUGUCGUGUUAAUGAAAUCCUAGAAAAUCUCAUUAAUUAACCUUCGGAUCUGUAACUCCGAGAUCUUUAGCCAUUGGAUUUACAUAAUGCCUCAACCUGCAUCAAAAAAAAUAUACGCAUGAGAUUUAAUUUUAAAGGCCUUAACCUGCAUAAAAAAAUAUACGCAUGAGAUUUAAUUUUAAAGAGCAGACAGACAUCUUCAUUGUCGUCCGCUGGCUGUAUGAAUUAGAAUAACAUAUAUUUACUUAGUUGGAUUAGAGAGAAGAGAAAAGAGAAGAGAAGUGGGCUCUGGAUUAAAGCAAGUACAAUAAAAUGACGUAGGCGGGCUAUAAAAGAUGUCAUCUUAAAUUUGUGCUUUUUUAGUUAACCUUAAAUUUGUGCUUAGUUGAAGGAGAGAGAAGCGGGCUACAAGUGUGACAAAAGCCUUUUUCAGUAGGCAGGCUACAAACUUACAAUCGACUGUAGCACGAGCUCAAACAACCUUUGUAAGAAGAUAUGGGCCAUAUAUUAAUUCACAGUGUGACUUAAUGUUGACAUGAAUUGAUACAGGUGGACAUAGUUAGAGCAACUCUAGCAGACCCCGCAUCCCGCCCCGACUGUUAAAAUAACCGCCAAAAUGCGGGUCGGGCAGGAAAACCAGCCCGAUCAGACCCCGCAUCCCGCCCCCGCCCGCAAAAAAAUUUAGGGGGCGCGGCAAAAUCCCAACCCCAACCCGGGAAAACGCGGGUUUCCCUCUCGCGGCUGCGGUGCCCUGCAUAUAGGAGGAAGCGGCUGGUGAGGGGACAUUUCAUGCCGCGCUUUCUCCCACCAACCACCUCUCCUCUCCCCCCUCGCGCCGCUGCCGGCCGCCGCCCAAGAUUCUGGCGAAAGCAGCCGGCAGGAGCACGCCGGAAGGCCGCCACGCACACGAGGCCUCCCCUUCCUCCCCCUGCGUCGGCGGGCCACCGGAUUUGCAGAUUUGCAGCACUUCAUCGCGGGUCGCCGGAUUUGGCUUUUUCCGGCCGCCGGUUGCUGUCCCAAGCUAUGGAGUGGUCGGGGAGCCUCUCCCACAGCCCAGGCAAGGGCGCAUUGCCGCAUGCAGGUACGGGUUCGUCCGCCCGCCGCCGCCGAAGGUUUGCGGGCUUGGACUCAUCCGGCCGUCCACCGGGCUCGGCGCUCACGCAGCGUCUUUGUGGCAUGCCGAUGCCGCUCAUAGAGUGUGACGACUGCACGCGGAAAGUGCUGCGGCUCACUUCGGGCACGCCGAAGCACCCUGGGUGGGUGUUCUUCAAAUGCGAAAAUGACGGGGUACGUGCACUUGCGGUAGCUCGUUUCAUAGUUCAUUCUUUAGUUCAACUGCGGUAGCUCACUUCGAGCUUGCUCACUCUUUUGUGUAGGACGAUGGAUGCUCAUUUUGGUUUUGGGAAGGCCAAUACAUUUAUUUGUUGAUAGAAAGAAACUUAAUAGAUGUUAGUGCACUCCUUAGUACAAUCGAAGGCAAUGAUGCGGCUGCAUGUGCAAAUAGAGGGGAAGCAACGUCUACUUCUUUCGAACCAAAGAUGAAGAAAGAAGAAUGCAAAAUCAAGAAUCCACAGAUCAACAACGAAUGCAUGGAGAAGAUAUUAGUCCAACUAGUGGGGGCAGUUAUGGAAGUUGGAAAUCUUCUAAAAUGCAUACUUGUGGUUCUUAUUUUCUUUGGUCUUGCUAUUCUAGCAAAGAUUUGGUGAUGUCUUUUGUAUCCAAUGUUGUUGAUAAAGCAAAGCAAUGCAAUAUGCUAGAUCAAAUUAAGGUGCAAAUUUAAGUUUUGCGGGCCGGGAGAAGUUGCACCAGAUCAGACGCGGCAACCCAACCCGUAAAAAAGCAUAUUCCAGGAAUAUCGUUUUUACGGAUCCAUUAUGCGGGGUCUGCAACUGCGGCCGUCCGCGCCGGCCCGCAAAGCCGUUUUCCCGCGAACUGCAAAAACGUUUAGCGGGUCGGGAGGAUGUGGGGUCUGCUAGAGUUGCUCUUACUCUGCGUCUGUAAAUAAAGGUCAUCAUUUUUAUUGCUCUAGGGACCCAUAAAUGAUAGGGACUGUCCGCUACCAGCUACCAGCUAGUAGCUACCCUGGUGACUACAUUUGCUGCCCCUCAAACAUGGGUUCCCGACAUGUUCUCAGGGUCUGUCGGUGGUUCCAUGUUCUGGCCUUUGGGGUUGGUUUAACUAGUGGUAUGGGGGUUCUUGCAUCGCCCUGUACUCUCGAUCGGGACCCUUUAAUUCUAGGUGACAUACAGUGCGUGUAUUUAAAGCCGAGGCAUGGAUCCUCCGUGCCAAAGAAAAUUAAUUCAGCGGCUACUCGGGGAGAGUUGUGGCAGCAUAUCCGGGAUGCCAGCUUUUUAUUUUGGGUUUUGAUUGUCAAAGUUUUAGAUCUUAAAAAAAACUAAAAUUAAGUGCUGUUUUCAUAUUCGUGUUUCUCGUGACCAGCGCCUUGAAAUAAUAUCCAUUUUGAAUAUAUUUUGACGACUUUGAAAAAUGUUAAGUUUCAAAUGUUGAAACUUAGUAUGAGCAACCAAUAAAAAUCAAUUAUUUUGUACCUACGCCUGACAGAAAAAUGCUUACAGUUAUAUCCCUGAAACUUGCUGAAACUUUGCAUUUUUCAUCAUUGAAACUUAAAACUGUUUAAGGGAUUUUCUUUUUUACUGUGCCCUCAUGUGGGAUUCAACUACUCUUUUCUCUCCGUGAGAUCCACAUAAAAAAAGCACAAAUUUAAGAUGAGUGCCCUGCACUUACAUGCCCCUGCGAAUUUCCGCAGCUACUAGCUAUUUUUGGAAGAAAAAAAUCUUGCCCCGCCACUCCCAUCAUUAGCAGAGCCCUUAAAUAUACUCACAUGUACCAAAUUACGAGUCAGAAUCAAACAUGCGUUGGCAUCAUUACCUACGAACUCUACUAAACAAUGUUCCAACUAUCCUGCGAGUCAAAUCUAAUAACUCUUGUCUUGCACGUUGCAUUGUCCAUUGGCAGAUCUUUUUAAGAAUUUUACGUCAGAUCUAAUUUUAUUUGAACGAAUGAAAGAUAAGCAAGUAGUAGUAAAAUCGACCCAAUUUGCACAGCCGAAAUGUGGACCAGACAAUUUACUCUUUGUUACGGGACUAAGAAAUUCGGACCGGCUAAUNNNNNNNNNNNNNNNNNNNNNNNNNNNNNNNNNNNNNNNNNNNNNNNNNNNNNNNNNNNNNNNNNNNNNNNNNNNNNNNNNNNNNNNNNNNNNNNNNNNNNNNNNNNNNNNNNNNNNNNNNNNNNNNNNNNNNNNNNNNNNNNNNNNNNNNNNNNNNNNNNNNNNNNNNNNNNNNNNNNNNNNNNNNNNNNNNNNNNNNNNNNNNNNNNNNNNNNNNNNNNNNNNNNNNNNNNNNNNNNNNNNNNNNNNNNNNNNNNNNNNNNNNNNNNNNNNNNNNNNNNNNNNNNNNNNNAUGUCUCCCAUUUCUCAAUCCCAUCCCGACGGUGUGUCUACCAUGUUUAGAGGGCGCAUGGGGGAGUUACUCCAUUGGUUCUCGCGGGAUUUGAUCGAUGAUGGUUUUCCGUGGAUUUCCUUGAAUCCAGUUUUUGUUCAUCCUCAUCCGUGCGUUUAAAUAUCCCAACAAGGCGAAGAUUUGGUUGUGCACAGGCAACUGAGGAGGUGACCUACUUCUUUACUGUCUCCUAUGUCCCUUGUUACCCACUGAUCCUAGAUCCACAGCUCGAGACCCCCUACCCUGAGGUCUACCAGUUUUACCACUGACAACCGGCCACAAGGGAGAAAUCCCUUUGAAUUUAGAGAUAAGAUCUUAUCUCUAGAUUUAACCCUUUAAAUUUAGAGAUAUGACCUUAUCUCUAGAUUUUAAAGACAUGGAACUUAGGGACGAUGCGGCCAGCCCAUGUGGGUUGUUGCCCCACCCCUCGGUCUAUGUGGGGACUUUUCGGGUCGUUGGGCCCCAUGGUGGAACCCCGGAACAUUUCCGGUACUCUACCAAAUAUUCCCAAACUUUUCUGGAACCCAUAAAACCACUUUCCUUACAUAACUCUUUACCUCCAGAGCUCCUCGUGAUGUCCCGGAUUCUAUCCAGGACUCUGAACUACCUUCAGACUUACCACUAUGAAUGUCCCAAAACUAUCCAAUAGUGGUAAGUCUGAACGUUAAGUGUGUGACCCUGCGGGUUCGAGAACAUGCAUAAAUGACCGAGACACCUCUCCAAUCAAUAAUCAAUGAACAUCUUUAUCGGUUUGAACCACGAUGUCAAUGAUUCAGUUAAUCCCGUAUACAAUUCCCUUUGUCCAAUGAUUUGUUAUUUGCCCGAGAUUCGAUCGUCAGUAUCGCCAUACCUAGUUCAAUCUCAUUACCGGCAAGCCCCUUUACUCAGUCCUUAAUACAAGAUCCACGUGACUAAACACAUUGGUCACAUGCUUCCAAUCUAUUCACGAUGUUGUAUUACCGAGAGGACCUAGAGAUAUCUCUCUGUCAUAUGGAGUGACAAAUCCUACACUCGAUCUAUGUAACCCAACAAACACUUUCUGAGAUACCUAUAGAGCACCUUUCUGAUCACCCAGUUACGAAGUGACGUUUGUUUACCCAUAAUGUAUUCUUCCAGUAUUAGGGAGUGGCACGAUCUCAUGGUCUAAGGAACAGAUUCUUGACAUGAAGAAAGUUGUAGAAAAUAAACUAAGUGAUACGAUCUGAUGCUAAGCUUAUGGUUGGGUCUGUCCAUCACAUCAUAAUCCUAAUGAUGUGAUCCCAUUAUUAAAUGAUAACUCGUGUCUAUGGUUAGGAAACCUUAACCAUCUUUAAUUAAUGAGCUAGCCUAGUAGAGGCUCACUAGGGACACGUUGUCUAUUUAUGUAUCCACACAUGUAUUUAAGUCUCUGGUCAAUACAAUUCUAGCAUGCAUAAUAAAUAUUUAUCAUGAACACGGAAAUACGACAAUAACAUCUUUCUUAUUGCCUCUAGGACAUAUUUCCUACAGAUUAGUAGGAUAAAAGAUCAAGGUGGCCUUGGCAUUCAUGGCAUGAAGGUCAAGAAGGAUGCCUUACAUAGGAAAUGGUUAUUCAAAAUACUUACUAGGGGUGGCGUUUGGCAAACCUGUUGCGAAAGAAGUAUCUAAUACUAUGCCAAAAACUUAUCUCUCACACAUAUUGGAAAGCUGGUGACUCACACUUUUCGGGUGGUGUCGUGGAAUUCUCACGGCAGAUGUCCUAGUGUGAGGACUUAGUCGUGAGGCCAACGCAUCUAUGUGGUAGCUUGAGAGGGGUUGAUUGGGACGAGAGACGCAACACACAAGACAAGAAUUUAGACAGCUUCGGGCCCCAGGAAACAUCAUCCAAUAAUAGCCCUACAUGCUGUUUGUGGCUAGGUCUCAUUAUGAUCAUGAGAGAGUCAUCGGUAAGCCGGCUCUUUGUGUCUAGCCCUAGAGAUUGUUUCUUGUUUCUUGUCCCUCUUGGGGUGCCCUGCCCCUCCUUAUAUAAGUUAGAGGGGCGGGUUACAUAUGGAGUCCUAGUAGGAUUAGGACUAGUCUAUCUUUCUUUACAAGUUGAAUACAAGUCCGGGUCUUGCUUCCUUGUGAAGGAAAUAAUCCUCACGCCUUUCAUCUUAAACCGGCCCACCAAAGUAUAAGCCAGCCUGCUGGGCCUUGGGCCUUGUCGUCCGUCUGAUCAGCCCGCCGGGUCUCCAGUGAAUUACAAUGUCCAGGCGGGUUACCCUGUGAACCGCCAUGUUCGGGCGGAUCGCCAGUGAGUCGCCAAGCUCCAGCCAGGUCUCUGGUGAGUCGCCAAGUCCGGCCGGGUCAUACCGCGGGGUAUAUCCCCGACAUUAGCCCCCAGUUUAAUUUGGAUUUAUCCAUGUUAAACUGAUCCUGCAACAUAAACACAAGAACAAAUUUGACAGGUUGUGCUCCGGGUUAAAUAUUCUUGUAAGCCGGCACCUGAUCAUCCUUAAGUCCUUGACAUUUUCUCCUGAAAUAUCCGGGUCAAUAUUGGUCUUGAAAUAUCCAGCUUCAUAAUCCAUUUGCUGACAUUGGCUCUUGUAAAGAAAUAUUAUAAGAAAUAAUCCAUUUGAUUCGGCCUUCAAUGCUCUGAUUUGACAAAAAUAUUGCUCUUGAAAUAUCCAACUGAUAUUCAGCCGGCUUAAAGAUGUAGAUUCUUGCCGACGAUUGCCACAAUUGUCGGGUUAGAAAUAAAUGAUGCCGGGUCAUGAUUGUUGCAGACACCGGGUUAAUCUGGUCUACUCCAAACUGAGAAUUUGAAGAUUUUUUUCUCCCUUAUAUGCAUAUUACCUGUAGCCCCUAAGUCUUAAGGGGAGAACAUAGUGAUAACUUAAGACUUGCUUCAAUAUAAGUGUUGCAACCUUGAAGAAAUCCGGUUUAUUCAUCUCAAUCAUUAGUCAUAAGCUGAAUAUUCCACAUUCCACAUAUGUAGCCCCCAAGUGCCGAGUUGUCAUGCUUGCAGCAACCUGGGACUUGUAAUUGCCUUAUGCUCAUAAAAACUUCAACUAGUGUAGCCCCCAAGGGCCGGGUCAUUAUGCAAUAAUGAGCAGGGACUUUGUAAAUAUGAUCAUGUAAACUUGACCAGCAACGUGUAGCCCCCAAGGGCCGGGUCAGUAAGAUAUUACCGAGCUGGGACUUUGUAUAUGAUUCAUCGAUAAUAACAGCAUAUGAUGUGAUCUCCACCAUGGGGUUUGAACCCACGUCCAUAAGGUUAAGAGCUUUGUACUCUACCAACUGAGUAGUGGAUCUUUCAAUAUAAUGGAUUAAGGCUUGUGUACCUUGAAUUUUCGACAAGAGCAAUUGGUAGCCCCCAAGGGCCGGCUCAUUUAGAAUGUGAUGAGUCGGGUCUUCAAUAAGUUGAACAAAAAAUGACUUUGCAUUAGCCCCCAAGUGCAAUGGUACAUGCUGGCAGUAACAUGGGACUUGCAUAUUCGAUGUAAUAUCAAUUUGAAUAAUGUAGUCCCCAAGUGCCAGGUCGUAAGCCUGCAGCGACUCGGGACUAUUCCUUACAUUAUAGAAUAAAUCAUAUCCAUCGAUAAAAUAAUAGCCAUUGCGCCAAAGCGACUUUGAAUACCUCAUCUGUUGAUAAGUAAAUCCGGAGUUUAAAUACCCGGCGGCUCUUGGCCGAUGGCGAUUUAAUACGCCUCCAUUGUAAGCCGGAAUUUUUAUAAUCCGGCGGCUUAUAGCCUUUCAGAACAUCAAGAAUUGAUAACCCUUCUGAGACUCCAAUUUCAAUCUAUGAUGAUGGGCUUGAACUUAAUCAUUUAUGUAAGUCAUAGCUCUGCAAAUCCUGCAUAGAGUUUAAACAACAUAUGCCCUGGCGACUUAACGUCAAGCCAGGGCGGGUAACCACCCAAAUGUAGUAUCCUGCACACAAGUAGAUCACAAGAUCCCUUGGCGGUUUACCGCAGGGCGGGUCAUAAUAUCUCACUGUUGGAAAUAUGCCCUAGAGGCAAUAAUAAAAUGGUUAUUAUUGUAUUUCCUUGUUCAUGAUAAUUGUCUGGUGUUCAUGCUAUAAUUGUAUUAACUGGAAACCGUAAUACAUGUGUGAAUACAUAGACCACAACAUGUCCCUAGUAAGCCUCUAGUUGACUAGCUCGUUGAUCAAUAGAUGGUUAUGGUUUCCUGACCAUGGACAUUGGAUGUCAUUGAUAACGGGAUCACAUCAUUAGGAGAAUGAUGUGAUGGACAAGACCCAAUCCUAAGCAUAGCACAAGAUCGUGUAGUUCGUUUGCUAGAGCUUUUCUAAUGUCAAGUAUCAUUUCCUUAGACCAUGAGAUUGUGCAACUCCCGGAUACCGUAGGAAUGCUUUGGGUGUACCAAACGUCACAACGUAACUCGGUGGCUGUAAAGGUGCACUACAGGUAUCUCCGAAAGUGUCUGUUGGGUUGGCACGAAUCGAGACUGGGAUUUGUCACUCCGUAUGACGGAGAGGUAUCUCUGGGCCCACUCGGUAAUGCAUCAUCAUAAUGAGCUCAAUGUGACUAAGGAGUUAGCCACGGGAUCAUGCGUUACAGUACGAGUAAAGUGACUUGCCGAUAACGAGAUUGAACAAGGUAUUGGGAUACCGACGAUCGAAUCUCGGGCAAGUAACGUACCGAUUGACAAAGGGAAUUGUAUAUGGGAUUGAUUGAAUCCUCGACAUCGUGGUUCAUCCGAUGAGAUCAUCGUGGAACAUGUGGGAGCCAACAUGGGUAUCCAGAUCCCGCUGUUGGUUAUUGACCGGAGAGUCGUCUCGGUCAUGUCUGCAUGUCUCCCGAACCCGUAGGGUCUACACACUUAAGGUUCGGUGACGCUAGGGUUGUAGAGAUAUUAGUAUGCGGAAAUCCGAAAGUCGUUCGGAGUCCCGGAUGAGAUCCCGGACGUCACGAGGAGUUCCGGAAUGGUCCGGAGGUAAAGAUUUAUAUAUGGGAAGUCCUAUUUUGGCCACCGGAAAAUGUUCGGGAAUUUUCGGUAUUGUACCGGGAAGGUUCUAGAAGGUUCCGAAGUGGGGCCCACCUGCAUGGGGGACCCACAUGAACGUGGGUAGUGGGGGCAAGGCCCCACACCCCUGGUCAAGGCGCACCAAGAUCCCACCUUAGAAGGAAUAAGAUCAUAUCCCGAAGGGAUAAGAUCAAGAUCCCUAAAAAAGGGGAUAACAAUCGGUGGGGAAGGGAAAUGAUGGGAUUUCUUUCCCCCACCUUUGCCAACGCCCCAAUGGACUUGGAGGGCAAGAAACCAGCCCCCUCCACCCCUAUAUAUAGUGGGGAGGCGCAUGGGAGCAGCAACCCAAGCCCUGGCGCCUCCCUCCCUCCCGUGACACCUCUUCCUCCCCGCUUGCGCUUGGCGAAGCCCUGCCGGGAUCCCGCUACUUCCACCACCACGCCGUCGUGCUGCUGGAUCUCCAUCAACUUCUCCUCCCCCCUUGCUGGAUCAAGAAGGAGGAGACGUCCCCGCUCCGUACAUGUGUUGAACGCGGAGGUGCCGUCCGUUCGGCGCUAGGUUCAUCGGUGAUUUGGAUCACGACGAGUAUGACUCCAUCAACCCCGUUCUCUUGAACGCUUCCGCUCGCGAUCUACAAGGGUAUGUAGAUGCACUCCUCCCCUCUCAUUGUUAGCAUCUCCUAGAUUGAUCUUGGUGACACAUAGGAAAAUUUUGAAUUUCUGCUACGUUCGCCAACAGUGGCAUCAUGAGCCAGGUUUAUGCGUAGAUUCUAUGCAUGAGUAGAACACAAAGUAGUUGUGGGCGACGAUUUGUUCAAUUUUCUUACCGUUACUAGUCUUAUCUUGAUUCGGCGGCAUUGUGGGAUGAAGCGGCCCGGACCGACCUUACACGUACUCUUACGUGAGACAGGUUCCACCGACUGACAUGCACUUGAUGCAUAAGGUGGCUAGCGGGUGUCUGUCUCUCCCACUUUAGUCGGAUCGGAUUCGAUGAAAAGGGUCCUUAUGAAGGGUAAAUAGCAAUUGGCAUAUCACCGUUGUGGCUUUUGCGUAGGUAAGAAACGUUCUUGCUAGAAACCCAUAGCAGCCACGUAAAACAUGCAACAACAAUUAGAGAACGUCUAACUUGUUUUUGCAGGGUAUGCUAUGUGAUGUGAUAUGGCCAAAAGGAUGUGAUGAAUUAUAUAUGUGAUGUAUGAGAUUGAUCAUGUUCUUGUAAUAGGAAUCACGACUUGCAUGUCGAUGAGUAUGACAACCGGCAGGAGCCAUAGGAGUUGUCUUAAUUUGUUGUAUGACCUGUGUGUCAAUGAAAAACGCCAUGUAAUUACUUUACUUUAUUGCUAACCGUUAGCCAUAGUAGUAGAAGUAAUAGUUGGUGAGACAACUUCAUGAAGACACGAUGAUGGAGAUCAUGGUGUCAUGCCGGUGACGAAGGUGAUCAUGCCGCGCCUCGAAGAUGGAGAUCAAAAGGCGCAAGAUGAUAUUGGCCAUAUCAUGUCACUUUAUGAUUUGCAUGUGAUGUUUGUCAUGUUUACAUCUUAUUUUCUUAGAACGACGGUAGCAUAAAUAAGAUGAUCCCUCACUAAAAUUUCAAGAGAUGUGUUCCCCCUAACUGUGCACCGUUGCGAAGGUUCGUUGUUUCGAAGCACCACGUGAUGAUCGGGUGUGAUAGAUUCUAACGUUCGCAUACACCGGGUGUUGACGAGCCUAGCAUGUACAGACAUGGCCUCGGAACACAAGCAAAACACUUAGGUUGACUUGACGAGCCUAGCAUGUACAGACAUGGCCUCGGAACACAAGAGACCGAAAGGUCGAACAUGAGUCGUAUAGUAGAUACGAUCAACAUGGAGAUGUUCACCGAUGAUGACUAGUCCGUCUCACGUGAUGAUCGGACACGGCCUAGUCGAUUCGGAUCAUGUAUCACUUAGAUGACUAGAGGGAUGUCUAUCUAAGUGGGAGUUCAUUAAAUAAUCAAAUGAACUUAAUUAUCAUGAACAUAGUCAAAAGGUCUUUGCAAAUAAUGUCGUAGCUUACGCUUUAGUUCUACUAAGAUAUUUUCCUAGAGAAAAUUUAGUUGAAAGUUGAUAGUAGCAAUUAUGCGGACUAGGUCCGUAAACUGAGGAUUGUCCUCAUUGCUGCACAGAAGGCUUAUGUCGUUAAUGCACCGCUCGGUGUGCUGAACCUCGAGCGUCGUCUGUAGAUGUUACGAAACAUCUGACAUACAUGUUUUGAUGACUACGUGAUAGUUCAGUGUGUGAUGCUAACGGUUUAAAAUUGUGGCACCAAAGACGGUUUUGAAAUGUCGCAGAACAUAUGAGAUGUUCCAAAGACUGAAAUUGGGAUUUCAGACUAAUGCCCACGUCAAGAGGUAUGAGACCUCUGACAAGUUUCUUAAGCCUGCAAACUAAGGGAGAAAAGCUCAAUCGUUGAGCAUGUGCUCAGAUUGUCUGAGUACUACAAUCACUUGAAUCGAGUGGGAGUUAAUCUUCCAGAUGAGAUAGUGAUGGUUCUCCAUAGUCACUGCCACCAAGCUAUUAGAGCUUCGUGAUGAACUAUAACAUAUCAGGGAUAGACAUGAUGAUCCUUGAGCAACUCGCGAUGUUUGACACCGCGAAAGUAGAAAUCAAGAAGGAGCAUCAAUUGUUGAUGGUUAGUAAAACCACUAGUUUCUAGAAGGGCAAGGGCAAGAAGGGAUACUUCAUGAAACGGCAAAUCAGUUGCUGCUCUAGUGAAGAAACCCAAGGUUGAACCCAAACCCGAGACUAAGUGCUUCUGAAAUGAGGGGAACGGUCACUGAAGCAGAACUACCCUAGAUACUUCGUAGAUGAGAAGGCUGGCAAGGUCGACCGAAGUAUAUUGGAUAUACAUUAUAUUAAUGUGUACUUUACUAGUACUCCUAGUAGCACCAGGGUAUUAGAUACCGGUUCGGUUGCUAAGUGUUAGUAACUCGAAAUAAAAUAUGCGGAAUAAACGAAGACUAGCUAAAGGUGAGAUGACGAUAUGUGUUGGAAGUGUUUCCAAGGUUGAUGUGAUCAAGCAUCGCAUGCUCCCUCUACCAUCGAGAUUGGGGUUAAACCUGAAUAAUUAUUAUUUGGUGUUUGCAUUGAGCAUAGACAUGAUUGGAUUAUGUUAUCGCAAUACGGUUAUUCAUUAAAGGAGAAUAAUGGUUACUCUGUCUAUUUGAAUAAUACCUUCAAUGGUCUUGCACCUAAAAUGAAUGGUUUAUUGAAUCUCGAUCGUAGUGAUACACAUGUUCAUGCCAAAAGAUAUAAGAUAGUAAUGAUAGUACCACAUACUUGUGGCACUGCCAUUUGAGUCAUAUUGGUAUAAAACGCAUGAACAAGCUCCAUGUUGAUGGAUCUUUGGACUCACUCGUUUUUGAAAAGAUUGAGACAUGCGAACCAUGUCUAUUAGUAUAUAUGCAUGAAGAAAGUCCAUACAGAUGGAUCAUUUGGACUCACUUGAUUUUGAAUCACUUGAGACAUGCAAAUCAUACCACAUGGGCAAGAUGACUGAAAGGCCUCGUUUUCAGUAAGAUGGAACAAGAGAGCAACUUGUUGGAAGUAAUACAUUUGAUGUGUGCAGUCCAAUGAGUGCUGAGGCACGCAGUGGAUAUCGUUAUGUUCUUACUUCACAGAUGAUUUGAGUAGAUGCUGAGAAUAUUUACUUGAUGAAACACAAGUUUGAAUUAUUGAAAGGUUCAAGUAAUUUCAGAGUGAAGUUGAAGAUCGUCGUGACAAGAGGAUAAAAUGUCUGUGAUAUGAUCAUAGAGGUGAAUAUCUGAGUUACGAGUUUGGCACACAAUUAAUAAAUUGUGGAAAUUGUUUCACGACUAAUACCGCCUGGAACACCAUAUUGUGAUGGUGUGUCCGAACAUCAUAACUGCACCCUAUUGGAUAUGGUGCAUACCAUGAUGUCUCUUAUCGAAUUACAACUAUCGUUUAUGGGUUAGGCAUUAGAGACAACCGCAUUCACUUUAAAUAGGGAACCACGCAAUUCCGUUGAGACGACACCGUAUGAACUAUGGUUUAGAGAAACCUAAGCUGUCGUUUCUUAAAAGUUUGGGGCUGCGACGCUUAUGUGAAAAAGUUUCAGGCUGAUAAGCUCGAACCCAAAGCGGAUAAAUGCAUCUUCAUAGAAUACCCAAAACAGUUGGGUAUACCUCCUAUUUCAGAUCUGGAAGCAAAAGUGAUUGUUUCUAGAAAUGGGUCCUUUCUCGAGGAAAAGUUUCUCUCGAAAGAAUUGAGUGGGAGGAUGGUGGAGACUUGAUGAGGUCAUUGAACCGUCACUUCAACUAAUGUGUAGCAGGGCACAGGAAGUUGUUCCUGUGGCACCUACACCAAUUGAAGUGGAAGCUUAUGAUAGUGAUCAUGAAACUUCAGAUCAACUCACUACCAAACCUCAUAGGACGACAAGGAUGCGUACUACUUCAGAGUGGUACGUAAUCCUGUCUUGGAAGUCAUGUUGCUAGACAACAAUGAACCUACGAGCUAUGGAGAAGCGAUGGUGGGCCCGGAUUCCGACGAAUGGCUCGAGGCCAUAAAAUCCGAGAGGAUCCAUGUAUGAAAACAAAGUAUAGACUUUGGAAGAACUACUUGAUGGUCGUAAGGCUGUUGGGUACAGAUGGAUUUUAAAGGGAAGACAAACAAUGAUGGUAAGUGUCACCAUUAAGAAAGCUCGACUUGUCGUUAAGAUGUUUUCCGGCAAGUUCAAGGAGUUGACUGCGAUGAGACUUUCUCACUCGUAGCGAUGCUAAGAGUCUGUUAGAAUUAUAUUAGCAGUUACUGCAUUAUUUAUGAAAUCUUGCAGAUAGGAUGUCAAAACAUUGUUUCCUCGACGAUUUUCUUGAGGAAAGGUUGUAUGUGAUACAACCAGAAGGUUUUGUCAAUCCUGAAAGAUGCUAACAAGUAUGCAAAGCUCCAGCAAUCCUUCUAAGGAUUGGAGUAAGCAUCUCGGAGUUGGAAUGAACGCUUUGAUGAGAUGAUCAAAGAUUUUGGGUUUAUACAAAGUUCAUGAGAAACUUGUAUUUCCAAAGAAGUCAGUGGGAGCACUAUAGAAUUUUUGAUGAGUAUAUGUUGUUAACAUAUUGUUGAUCAGAAAUGAUGUAGAAUUUCUGGAAAGCAUCCAGGGUUGUUUGAAAAGUGUUUUUAAUGGAAAACCUAGAUUAACCUACUUGAACAUUGAGCAUCAAGAUCUAUAAGGAUAGAUCAAAAAUGCUUAAUAGUACUUUCAAAUGAAUACAUACCGUGACAAGAUUUUGAAGGAGUUCAAAAUAGAUCAGCAAAGAAGGAGUUCUUGGCUGUGUUACAAGGUGUGAGUAUUGAGUAAGACUCAAGACCUGACCACGGCAGAAGAAAGAGAAAGGACGAAGGUCGUCCCCUAUGCUUUAGACGUAGGCUUUGCAAUAUGCUAUGCUGUGUACCGCACCUGAAGUGUGCCUUGCCAUGAGUUAGUCAAGGGGUACAAUAGUGAUCCAGCAACGAAUCACAUGACAGCGGUCGAACUUAUCCUUAGUAUCUAGUGGACUAAGGAAUUUUCUUGAUUAUGGAGGUGGAAAGGGGGUUCGUCGUAAAGGGUUAUGUCGAUACAAACUUUGACACUAAUCCGGAUGACUCUGAGUAGUGAACCAGAUUCGUAUAGUAGAGCAGUUAUUUGGAAUAGCUCCAAGUAGCGCGUGGUAGCUGCAUCUACAAGAUGACAUAGAGAUUUGUAAAGCACACACGGAUCUGAAUGUGGCAGACCCGUUGACUAAAACCUCUCUCGUAAGCAUAACAUGAUCAAACCCUAGAACUCAUUGACUGUUAAUCACAUGGUGAUGUGAACUAGAUUAUUGACUCUAGUAAACUCUUGGGUAUUAGUCACAUGGCGAUGUGAACUUUGAGUGUUAAUCACAUGGUGAUGUGAACUAGAUUAUUGACUCUAGUGCAAGUGGAAGACUGUUGGAAAUAUGCCCUAGAGGCAAUAAUAAAAUGGUUAUUAUUGUAUUCCCUUGUUCAUGCUAUAAUUGUAUUAACUGGAAACCGUAAUACAUGUGUGAAUACAUAGACCAGAACAUGUCCCUAGUAAGCCUCUAGUUGACUAGCUCGUUGAUCAAUAGAUGGUUAUGGUUUCCUGACCAUGGACAUUGGAUGUCAUUGAUAACGGGAUCACAUCAUUAGGAGAAUGAUGUGAUGGACAAGACCCAAUCCUAAGCAUAGCACAAGAUCGUGUAGUUCGUUUGCUAGAGCUUUUCUAAUGUCAAGUAUCAUUUCCUUAGACCAUGAGAUUGUGCAACUCCCGGAUACCGUAGGAAUGCUUUGGGUGUACCAAACGUCACAACGUAACUCGGUGGCUGUAAAGGUGCACUACAGGUAUCUCCGAAAGUGUCUGUUGGGUUGGCACGAAUCGAGACUGGGAUUUGUCACUCCGUAUGACGGAGAGGUAUCUCUGGGCCCACUCGAUAAUGCAUCAUCAUAAUGAGCUCAAUGUGACUAAGGAGUUAGCCACGGGAUCAUGCGUUACGGUACGAGUAAAGUGACUUGCCGGUAACGAGAUUGAACAAGGUAUUGGGAUACCGACGAUUGAAUCUCGGGCAAGUAACGUACCGAUUGACAAAGGGAAUUGUAUACGGGAUUGAUUGAAUCCUCGACAUCGUGGUUCAUCUGAUGAUAUCAUCGUGGAACAUGUGGGAGCCAACAUGGGUAUCCAGAUCCCGCUGUUGGUUAUUGACCGGAGAGUCGUCUCGGUCAUGUCUGCAUGUCUCCCGAACCCGUAGGGUCUACACACUUAAGGUUCGGUGACGCUAGGGUUGUAGAGAUAUUAGUAUGCCGAAAUCCGAAAGUCGUUCGAAGUCCCGGAUGAGAUCCCGGACGUCACGAGGAGUUCCGGAAUGGUCCGGAGGUAAAGAUUUAUAUAUGGGAAGUCCUAUUUUGGCCACCGGAAAAUGUUCGGGAAUUUUCGGUAUUGUACCGGGAAGGUUCUAGAAGGUUCCGAAGUGGGGCCCACCUGCAUGGGGGGACCCACAUGAACGUGGGUAGUGGGGGCAAGGCCCCACACCCCUGGUCAAGGCGCACCAAGAUCCCACCUUAGAAGGAAUAAGAUCAUAUCCCGAAGGGAUAAGAUCAAGAUCCCUUAAAAAGGGGGAUAACAAUCGGUGGGGAAGGGAAAUGAUGGGAUUUCUUUCCGCCACCUUUUCCAACGCCCCAAUGGACUUGGAGGGCAAGAAACCAGCCCCCUCCACCCCUAUAUAUAGUGGGGAGGCGCAUGGGAGCAGCACCCCAAGCCCUGGCGCCUCCCUCCCUCCCGUGACACCUCUUCCUCCCCGCUUGCGCUUGGCGAAGCCCUGCCGGGAUCCCGCUACUUCCACCACCACGCCGUCGUGCUGCUGGAUCUCCAUCAACUUCUCCUCCCCCCUUGCUGGAUCAAGAAGGAGGAGACGUCCCGCUCCGUACGUGUGUUGAACGCGGAGGUGCCGUCCGUUCGGCGCUAGGUUCAUCGGUGAUUUGGAUCACGACGAGUACGACUCCAUCAACCCCGUUCUCUUGAACGCUUCCGCUCGCGAUCUACAAGGGUAUGUAGAUGCACUCCUCCCCUCUCGUUGCUAGCAUCUCCUACAUUGAUCUUGGUGACACGUAGGAAGAUUUUGAAUUUCUGCUACGUUCCCCAACACUCACAUAUAACCACUAUGAUAUUGAAUUUGUACUGCCGGUUUACAUGACCUGUGCAAUAAGGGUGAUAACCCAAUCUUUAGAAAUCAAGACUUCCAAAUGUUUAUGAUUGUCAUAUGAUGGCGACUUAUCAACCAAAGUCAAGCCGGGUUAAUCGAAGCCACAUAUAUACUUCAGAUAUGAUCAAAAGAACUUCAAAUAAAAUACAAAAUUUUGUUUGCAAAAAGAGACUUCAAAAAUUUUGAGGCUUCUGAUUCGAAUACUAUCAGAAAACCGUCCCAAAGGGGUUAAGCUAAGAUUCGAAUACGAUCAUAUAGCCCCCAGUGGCUUUGGCGUUGCCGAUCAAGAGGGUACCGACAGCUAUGUUCUCUUUGGUUCGAAUACGACCUAUGUUUGAACAGGAAGCCCCCAAAUGACCUGGAGAGUUGUUUAACGACGCUGAUUCGAAUACGAUCCAUGUCGGUUCCCAAAAGGGGUUGAGCUAUGAUUCGAAUACGAUCAAGAAGCCCCCUAGUGAGCUCAGCAGUGUGCCGAUCAAGAGGGUACCGACAGCUAUGUUCUCUUUGGUUCGGAUACGACCUAUGUUUGAACAGGAAGCCCCCAAGUGAUCUUGAGAAUAUUUAACGACUCUCAUUCCAAUACGAUCAGGGUCACACCAAAAGGGUUAAGCUAAAUUUGAAUACGAUCAGCUCCCAACGGUCAUUAAAGCAGGUAGUUAUGUUUGAGUUGUGCUUUGUAACAGACUCUCCUUGGUCCCUUUAAUUUUUCUUGAAAACUUGAACUUUGCGAGAGAUAAAAUCUUUUUAAAACCGGAAGUUCUUAAACCGGAUAUUAAGAGUUUCAAAGCAUGGUGAUAGACAAAUUUACCUUGAACCGGGUUUUGAACCGGAUUUGAGAUCUUCAAAGCAUUGUGGCAGAUAAAUUUCAUUUGAACCGGAUUUUAAACCGGACAUUAAGAGCUUCAAUGCUUUGUGGGAGAUGUCAAGUCUCUUGAUAAGGAUCUAAACCGGAAUCCUUCUUUUUAAGCCAGAUAUUUUUCUGACGGUCUUUAAAUUUUUACCAAUAUGGCGGUAGCCUCCGGGACCGGGUUAUUUUUUUCCUCCAAUGACCCAGAGUUCUUGAAUGCAUUGAAACCGACCAAUGUUGCCGAGUCAUAUCAUUGUAACCCCUGAGUCUCAAAACGACUCAAGGAGUUGGCUUUGAGAUUCUCCAUAUUGACCAUAGCAUAAGGUGUAUAUCAUUGGUGUUGAUAGUGCGAUGUGAAUCCACAGAAGGUUGAGGUGACUGCGGCGGAUUAUAAAUGAUCAUGUAUGAGCCGUGUCAGCAACUCGGCCAAUGGUCCCUUCCAACUGGCUGUUUGAAGUUAACCAAACUAUAGUGGCGGCGACUUGUGCGCCUGCCCAUUUAAACCAUCCAGUGUAGACGGCGGCUGAUAAUACAUGAUAAUUUGCCUCCAAUUUUGUUGGAAGAAAAACCAGGCUUCCCAAGCAGUGACUUGCUCAUACUCGAUGAUCAGCUCACGCAGACAGGUGCGGCCCGGUAUGUUGAUAUAGACCAGGCCGCAAGAGACAGAUGGUAAAAACAACCGUGGCAUCAAAGGUGGUACAGACAGAUGAGUUGGUCACGACGUUGUAAACCGGUGUGGUCGGGCGAGUCAAUCGCCGGCGCGGUAAGCCGCGCGGAUGGGCGAGUCAACCACGUCGUGUUGAUGUAGUGAACAAUUGUCCUACAUCAAAAACAUCGCAAGCAAGAGUAAUUGCUCUUUUUUAAAGAAAACAAUAUAUAAUAUAUAAAAAUUUACUGGAUUGAUUUCACCUGAUAUGUUAGGCCAGAAAAUAUCCACCGCGGAGUUGAUCAUCACGACGGUGAAGCUGAAAUCAAUCACGGCCGAGUCGGCCGCGGGAACAGACAGACGGGUCGGCCGCGGCGUUGUAAGCCGGUGCGGUCGGGCGAGUCAAUCGCAUGAGCGAUAAGCCACGCGGACGCUGAGUCGGCCGCGGGGGCGGACAGGUAAGUUGUCCGUCACAUUGUAAGGCGGCGCGUUGAUGUAGACCGGACCACAGGGGCGGUGGCUUGCGCCCACCUGUUGACCAGUAAGCGGUCGCAGAUGCCGUUGCAUGAUGAUGCUACCGCACACUCCAUGGAUACGGCAUUACACCAUCUUUAUGAUGAAUCCUUGUCCUGCACAUAAAAGUGUACAUAGCAAAGCGAUUGUUUUUUGACAAAAAACAAUAUGCGCUUAAUAAAAUAAUCUUAGAUGGAUAUCACCUGAUUUGUUCGGAUGACCGAUGAUCCAUUCAAUGCAACAAAAAACGGCUCUGGUAGACCGGUAACCCAUGGCGAGUCAACACAGCAGAAGCGACUCAACGCAGCCCCGGCAGCUCGAGGCACGGCGGGUCUCAGCUCACGGCGGGUUGAGGUGUGGCGGUUCAAGGUCACAGCGGGGGGACUCGCAGGCUCAGGCGAGGCCGUUUUGAAGAUGGUUGGCAGCGGCGCGGUGACUCGCCACGGUGCGCCGAAAUAGCAGCAGCGUAGUGGGAGAAACAGCCGGUCUGUUGAUUUUGACCGUGAUGUGAAGCUCGCGGGGCAGCCACGAAGGCGCUGGGACGGAGUGGCUCCGAUGUGCGAGACGUGCCACCACAAGGACGCACGUAGGAGAAGACCAGAGGGGCAUCGAAGUCGGGUCCGCGGCGGCUCUGGAGAUGACAAGUGUGCGGGAGGCAAGGCCGUGCUGGCCAGCAGAAAACGGCGAGGUGCCGGCGACUUAGCGUAAAACCGCGGGUCAGAGGCGGCUCGGAGUUGAGUCCAUGUCCUGCUCUGGUCGUUGUUGGUUUGACAAUUCCCUUUAAGUGCUCCUUUAAAAUUUCCUUCAUCACACGUGGUGUCGUGCCAGGCAACAGCAUGGCCGGACUAAAAAUCCACUAGACCUUGAUUUUUAAUGCUCCUGUAGAUCUUGGGGACUGCGUGUGAGCUGACUAUUAAAACCUUCAAAUUCAUGCACGUACAGUGGCUGUACUAGUUGAUGCUACGUGCAGAAGGUAAGGUAAUCUAUCAGGCUUUGUUUUUCGCGUUGAUCAGCACUUGGACCCUUGAUCAACAGUUGGCUUGAUCCGGAGACUUCACAGGGCUGAAGCAAACUGUCUUGAUCGCCGCUGUACCAACAGAUGGCGCUCGUGACGCGUGUUUGGCUGUCUUUGAUCACCUCGGACUUGGACAGCUAUAUAUGGACCAGCAGAAGCGACCUGGCGAAUCGGACACGGCGGCUAGAUUUGACAGCGGCACAGUAGAAAUUCGAGUCGGCCUCGGUGUACUGCUGCAGCAGAAACUAACCCGGACUCGACGGAUCAUCUAAUUGUGGCGGCGCUCACCAUGCAACUCUAAUCUUUCUUGAAUUCAGACCUCGUACGAGUAUUAGAUCUGACUGCUCGCUUUGGAGACAAUGUAAAUCCUUCCGCGACGAUUCUUCUUUCAUCCGAAGAAAUUGUCAACUUCUCGACCCUUGAAAGAGAUCCCUCCAAGAACUCAUCACCACCGUGCGCAGCCCCACGGUGGGCGCCAACUGUCGUGGAAUUGUCACGGCAGAUGUCCUAGUGUGAGGACUUAGUCGUGAGGCCAACGCAUCUAUGCGGUAGCUUGAGAGGGGUUGAUUGGGAUGAGAGACGCAACACACAAGACAAGAAUUUAGACAGCUUCGGGCCCCGGGAAACAUCAUCCGGUAAUAGCCCUACAUGCUGUUUGUGGCUAGGUCUCAUUAUGAUCAUGAGAGAGUCGCCGGUAAGCCGGCUCUUUGUGUCUAGCCCUAGAGAUUGUUUCUUGUUUCUUGUCCCUCUUGGGGUGCCCUGCCCCUCCUUAUAUAAGUUAGAGGGGCGGGUUACAUACGGAGUCCUAGUAGGAUUAGGACUAGUCUAUCUUUCUUUACAAGUUGAAUACAAGUCCAGGUCUUGCUUCCUUAUGAAGGAAAUAAUCCUCACGCCUUUCAUCUUAAACCGGCCCACCAGAGUAUAAGCCAGCCUGCUGGGCCUUGGGCCUUGUCAUCCGUCUGAUCCGCCCGCCGGGUCUCCAGUGAAUUACAAUGUCUAGGCGGGUUACCCUGUGAACCGCCAUGUUCGGGCGGAUCGCCAGUGAGUCGCCAAGCUUGUCCGGCCGGGUCAUACCGCGGGGUAUAUCCCCGACAGGUGGUCUAAUACGGGUAAAGAAACGCAUUUUUCGCUUUGGAUCCUUUACAAUAAAAGAUGGGUCAAAAAUUCGAUUCUGGGAAGACAAGUGGCUAGAAAAUGCUUGGAUCCAAUAAAAAUAUCUAUCUUUGUACUGCAUCAUUCAUCACAAUAAUGAUACUCUUGUGCUAGUGCUUAUUUCUUUCAUGCCAGAUAUUUCUUUCAGGCGAGAUUUGAUUGGCCUAUGUCUUAUGUGAUGGUAAAAUCAUUAUCCUGAUUGGAUUUAAUUAACCUGACACAAGGGCGGGGAUGUGUUUCAUUGGAAUCUCUCUACAUAUGGGUCCUUCAAGUCAACUUUAUGUACCAUGCACUAACGCAUUCAGAGGUCCUAGUGGAUAAUAAAAUAAUAGAAGAAGAUAUGGGCCAUACUCCCUCCGUCCAGUGAAGAGUGAAAUCUAGAGAUUUUAGGACAAAUUAUGGAGUAAAAUAGAAAAUGCAUUGGAAAGGUGCAAGCCACCAUCUUUCUUCUCUUUAAUUAUCCAAUCCCUAAUGUGUUUAGUGCAUGUAAAAAUUAAGAAGACCAUGUGUAGAUUGUUAUUGGUCUUGGUUACCAUGUGAUGAGAGAGAAAUAUAUUUUUUUCUACUUUAAAGUGCAUUGAGAAGAUAGAAGUACACUCUUUUGUGGACAAAUUUUAAAGCCAAACGUACACUCUUCACCGGACGGAGGGAGUAUAUUAAUUCCUAGUGUGACUUAAUGUUGACAUGAAUUGAUACAGGUGGAUAUAGUUACUCUGCGUCCGUAAAUAAAGGUCAUCAUUUUUGUUGCUCUAGGGACCCAUAAAUGAUAGGGACUGUCCGCUACCAGCUACCCUGAUGACUCCAUUCGCUGCCCCUCAAACAUGGGUUCCCGACAUGUUCUCAGGGUCUGCCCGUGGUUCCAUGUUCUGGCCUUCGGGGUUGGUUUAACUAGUGGUAUGGGGGUUCUUGCAUCGCCCUGUACUCUCGAUCGGGACCCUUUAAUGCUAGCACUUCUGGUGACAUACAGUGCGUGUAUUUAAAGGCCAGGCAUGCAUCCUCCGUGCCAAAGAAAAUUCAUUCGGCGGCUACACGGGGAGAGUUGUGGCAGCAAAUCCGGGAUGCCAGCUUUUUGUUUUGGGUUUCGAUUGUCAAAGUUUUAGAUCUUAAAAAAACUAAAAUUAAGUGUUGUUUUCAUAUUCGUGUUUCUCGUGACCACUGUUUUGAAAUAAUAUCCGUUUUGAAUAUAUAUUUUGACGACUUUAAAAAAUAUUAAGUUUCAUAUGUUGAAACUUAGUACGGGCAACCAGUAAAAAUCAAUUAUUUUGUACCUACGCCUGACAGAAAAAUGCUUACAUUUAUAUCUCUGAAACUUGCUGAAACUUUGCAUUUUUCAUCAUUGAAACUUAAAACUUUUUGAGGGAUUUUCUUUUUUACUGUGCCCUCAUGUGGGAUUCAACUACUCUUUUCUCUUCCGCGAGAUCCACAUGAAAAAAAGCACAAAUUUAAGAUGAGUGCAGGGCUUGGCAGAUGAGUGCCCUGCACUUACAUGCCCCUGCGAAUUUCCGCAGCUACUAGAUAUUUUUGGCAAAUUUAUUGUUUGCUCUUUUACAGGUGUGCCACUUAAGUAUUUAAACCUAUAAGGAUUUCUGCACUGGUGCUAAACUCACUUAUGAGAGCAUACCGGAUUUUCUCAUAUGAGCUAACAAAGAAUCAAACAUAGUUAUAUCUUGUAUUAUUUUCUCAUUAAUUACUUACCCACUGGGCUGAAGCAGUUAUUGUAGCAUAUCAUGCAACACUCAUGGUUUUCCAACAUGUUUCCUUAAGGGGUCUUAAUCAAGAUGAUUUACAUUCAAAAACAAUCAUUGAGUAUGGAUCAUUAAGAAUAAUUUGAUCCUACUUAAUCCAUGCUUAGGAAAUAAGAAAAUGGUUACUCAAUGAGCAAACGCUGCCUGUUGCUGCCUCCUCACCAACAAACUUUGGUUCUUCACAUCCCUUACCGAAGAGGCACCUUUACAUUGCAUCCCUUGUAUACUACUAUAUAUAUGUGAUCUUCAUAAAGAGUUCAGCGAUUUCUCCAUUGUUGAGUUCCUUACACUCAAUAUUCAAUAAUAGUUAUUUCCAAAUUCACAUAAUCAGUUGGCAGGAUGGUCACCAAAGUACAUUCAUCCAUCGAAAGAAACACACAAAAGAAAACAGUAACAGCACCAAAAAAACUACACGUUGUCCAAUUAUGAAUAAUGUUUCGUCCGUGUAACAAGAGCUUCGACGGUCAUUUUCUUAAGCAUAAUUAAAUAAAAAACUAAUCAUAGACUCUGAUUGUAAAGCAUUCCAAAAGAAAUUCAUAUGUCAGUUCUUCAACGCUUAUUGUGUUGGAAGCCUGUCCUCAAAUAUUCUCUCCUUCGCCUUGUCGGCCUGCAAAUAAAUAUCAGUUAUUUUUUCUUACUAUCCUUGGUACCAGUGCUUAGGGUUUUGAUAGACAGGUCGCUAGUUAUUGAAAUGAAACAUUUAAGACAAGGAGAAGCAUGCAUUAGGGCAACUCCAACUAUGUGCAUCAAAUCGGACACAUCUAACAUUCAUGGGCACGUCCGGACGUGUCCACAAAGAGCAUAUAGGGGGCGGCCAUCCAAGCCUAUGCACCAAAUGUCCGCACCUUUUCAAAGAAAAUAAAAUAAAGCUAGACCAAAUGUUGGCUCACUUUAAAUCAUCGAUCGAUAGCAAUUCAAAAGUGUUGGAUGAAAGUACUUCUCGAAAGCAGCCUUCAUUACAUACUUUCUCUCCUCGAGUUUGCACUUCUUCAUUACAAAUGUUGUUCAUCCAGAUGUUGUGCCCUUUGAGCUUCAUCCAACAGUGCAUAAAUGCGAAGAACUUGCCCUCCGUCCUUUGGUAUAGCAUGGGCUGCGCGUCUGGGCUAUACAAUGACGUGAUCAUCAAGUGUAACAUUGAGCAAUUUGCCAUUUGUGCUUGCUUCAUGUUAAACAAGGAGAAAGUCAAAGAAAUUCUCAAUGGUAUUUGGCCGAACACUUGCCGGGGUUGGCCUCCAUUAUGGAGGGCAUCGGCAAGGGGGCGGCCAAUGCAUGGGCUGCCGCCGGAUACUGGGUGCAACCGCGGCGAAGUACAAUGCGCCUGGUGGAGCAAUGGAGGUCUAGCAAGGCCUAGGCGCGGGACGGAGUGGUAUAGCAGCGGCGGUCUUGGUGGGUGCGGAUACAGAUUAAGAGUGGGACNNNNNNNNNNNNNNNNNNNNNNNNNNNNNNNNNNNNNNNNNNNNNNNNNNNNNNNNNNNNNNNNNNNNNNNNNNNNNNNNNNNNNNNNNNNNNNNNNNNNNNNNNNNNNNNNNNNNNNNNNNNNNNNNNNNNNNNNNNNNNNNNNNNNNNNNNNNNNNNNNNNNNNNNNNNNNNNNNNNNNNNNNNNNNNNNNNNNNNNNNNNNNNNNNNNNNNNNNNNNNNNNNNNNNNNNNNNNNNNNNNNNNNNNNNNNNNNNNNNNNNNNNNNNNNNNNNNNNNNNNNNNNNNNNNNNNNNNNAUAGUCCGACCAGGCGGGCGUCCGGACUCCCAAACCUCCAAUGAGUUUGCUUCCGGUUUGGCUGAUGUUGGACGUCCGGAUUAGGCCGCGGGCAUUUGAUGCAUGGCAGUGGAUGGCAAAAAAUGUACAGGCAGCGCAGUCCGGACCUUGCGGGCAAUUUGAUGCAUGGCAUUGGAGUUGCCCUUAGCAAUACCUAAGGCAUGUUCUGAUCACGAAUCAUCAGGCAUAAAAACUGAGAAAGGACUUACCAUCUUGUUCCAGUUUGUGGUAGCCGUAAUAACAGACAGGAGAGUGACCUGUGUGGCUCCACCAGCCAGUAUGCCAAUCCAAAACCCCUUUGCUCUUAGUUGCAUUGCAAAACCAAAGUAGAGUGCAACGGGGAUACCAACAAGAUAGAAGGCACCCAGGUUAACAUAAGCCCCUAGAUGCUGCCAUCCACAGCCCCGAGACACACCUGAGUGGUGCAAUGGAAGCAUUCAGUCUAUUAGUUUAAUUUAGUUUAUGAUGCUAUAUGCCAAAAGAAAGACAUGUGGAUACCUUGAAGGACUGCCAUGAGGCUGUCUGUAAUUGCUGAAAUGGAAAGUAGGGGUACCAUUCUUGUGACAUAACGCCUGACCUCUUCCUCAUUGCUGAACGCAAUUCCAAUAAAGUGGCGCAGUAAUAGAAGAGUUGUGCUCACUAAGAAUGCUGAGCAGACCACAAUAGACAAGGCAACACACACCACCAAGCGGGGACCUUGUGUGUUGCCGGCGCCUAAUUCAUUUGAGACGCGCACACUGGCACACGGACAACAUAUAUACGUAGCAUGUUAAAUUCUGUAGAAACAGGUGAUACUGACGAUAUAUAGCAACAAAUGCACUAGCUAGUAGCUACCCACCUGGUAGCUAUUCCAAUGCCGUAAGGAAGGUUGGCCAACAGUAUCAUUGUAGAUACGCUGUUCCAAAAGGACAUCAGUAUGGUAAACUUCAUAGAAUAUGAUGGAUUCAAGUAUAAUCUUAUUUAGGGUUCUACUAAUGCAUACCAUAUAGAAAGCACAGAGGUUUCCAGUGCAGGAUUUGGUAACAUCCCGGAAAGCAGAACAAGCAGCUCGUAAGACCACCACUCCAGACUGUGGUCAAGGAAAGCUAGGUUAAUAUUCAGAGGUUUCCGGGAUGUUUUGAUGCUAGAGAAUACAUAAUUAGAAGCUAAACUUAAAGUAAUAUAUGUGCAGAAAUUAUCCAGUUCAUUUCAAGAGGAGAGGGAAGAAUAUAUCCAGUGGUAUUGCGAGCGGGUGGCAAAAAAACAAAAGGUAUCUGAUCAGGAUCUGCUCACAACAAAGGCGAAGACGAAGACGGACUUUCUUUUGUUGAAAGAUGUCUUCACAACAAAGACGAAGAGGAAAACAAACUUGAUUUGGACAAUCAAUCCGAGACGAGCCGACAUUUCAAAUUUUCAAAUGGUUUGUAAAAGACCAUCAUCCUUUUCUGACAGUAUUCUAACAGACCAAUCAAGUGUGCAAGGGUGCUGUGGCAAGAACAACAGAAAAAUAGUAUUUCCUCCAUCCGAAAAUAAGUGUCGCUCAAAUAGAUGUAUCUGGACGUAUUUUAGUGCUAGAUACAUCCGUUUGAGCGGUACUUAUUUCCAGACGGAGGGAGUAGGUAUGAACGAACAUAAGUAGAAAGAGAUAUAAAAAAUAGCAACAAUGCUUGGAUCUUAUGGGCUGCAAGUGCACCACUAUUAAAAAGGUUUUGCCACGUACUUGUUAUUAUUAAUAUAUUUUUUGAGAGGAACGUACUUGUUAUUUUCCAUGCUGACACCUUUAGAAACGUUGGCUACUGAUACACAAACUAUAUAGAUUUGUCACAUGAAGAUACCAUUAGUGUUAUGAAUGAUCACAUCAUUAUAAUUAUAAUCUUAAUUAUUUGCCAAAAGGUGCACGUUGGAAACUAUAUUAAUGUCCACAAGAACAAGUAAAAGUGAAUGAAGAGUGCAUAAGAGUUUGCUGUAUUGGACAAUAUUUUGCUUGCCAAAAUAUGAAAUACUAGAUAAAAUAGCAUAUGUUAUUUUUUGUGCUAGAGGUUAAAACAACAUCAUUAUAGAAACAUGGCAAAUAACAUUUACUUACCAAAUCAUAAGAGCCGAUGGUACAGCCAAACGCAUGAAACUGCCAAUCCCUCUAAAAGCUUCCCACGAUGGUGGAGCGCGUGUUUUCUCACAAGAGGGUGAGAACUUAAUGUAAAGGCCAAGAAAAGUCACUUCAACCCAAUCACAAAUGCUAACGGAUAAAGCAGCUCCAGCAUUACCCAUCCCAACUUUGUAAACCAUGAACCAGCAAAGAGGAAGAAAUACCGCAAUUGUAAUCAAGGAGCUAAGAACCAUUGGAAAUAUUAGGCUUUGACAUUGCAGAAACUUUGAAAAGCAUUGAGUAACACCGAAGGCAAAUAAACCAGGGAUAAGCCAUAAUGCAUAUUUGCCAGCCUCAUUUGCAAUUUGUGGUUCCUGGCCCAUGAGAGGAAGUACUUCCGGGAUGAAACACCAAACAAUGGAGAUGGGCACACUCACAACAAGAAGUGCAAUGAUGGACCUGUAGGUACAUAAAGAUAAUGUAUGAUAUUGUUCUGCUCCAUAGGCCUGCCCACAAAGAGUUUCCAAUCCGCCUGCCAGUCCAAUCUAAAAGGGAAACUGCAUCAGUAACAAAUUAUACAUAUUGUUGCUGAAUAAAUGGAAGUUAAACUAGGAUAAAGUGCAUCGACAUUACUGAAAGAAGAGUUUUGCUACACCUACACAUUAAUCUUAUGGAAUUAAAUUUACAGGAUGAGGUGGCAACAUCUGAUUGGAAGGGAGGAGACUCAUAGUAAAUUCGGGGAAGACGGGUUACUUGGAGGUUAGGGGGGAGGGGUGGCAGUCCAUACGGGUCGCUCAUAAGUUUGGAUUUUCGCUGAAAGAAUAUCAAGAAUAACAAACGUGGCUUGUGCAAGGUGGGCAACAGUUGCUAUGAAGAUUUUGUUUCAAUCAUCACUGCAAAGAAUGCGAACAUCACCCUGGCCGAAUUUUCUCAACACCCAACUCAGUCGGAUCAAGUGACUGAUUAUAUUUUUCGCGGGAAUAUAAUAGAUCGAUAUUGCCCACCGAAACUAGCUAUAUGUACAGCGGGGUGGGGUGAAUCAAGCACCACAGGUCCAUUGUAAAAAAGAUUAAUCGAACGACCUAGCUAGCCGCGUGCGGUCGGCGCUAAUCAGAAAGGUUGAGAAAUGGAACCAUCUGAUUUGAUUCAUUCCCAGUAGUCAUGAGAUGAUCAUUUUUUUUUAGAAAAGAGGGGAGAUCCUGAAUGAUCCACACAACCUUUUGUUUAUCAUAUCAAAGUACAUCAUCUGACCAUAACAAAGUUCAUCUUGCCAACGGAUGCUUCUAUUACACUCGUGGUCUCUAAAAGAUGAGAACCCACUAUGUAGCAUCCACAUCAAUAAUUCAAGCAUUUAUGUCCUUAGUACGAUUCUUUGUAGGAACUAUCCGUAAUAACAAAGAACAUCAGAAGUAGCAGAGAUCUCCGCACGAUGCAACUGGAUAAAUGGCGGUCGCAUGGAGGGAGAAGACACUGAGACAUCUGGACCGGUCGCCGAUCUUGUACACAUCCGGAUGGGAUUCAGGGGCUGCUCUAACGGAAUUGAAAGUACCAAUAGCUAAACAUAAACGAAAUAAAUUAAUGUGCGCUGCAUGCUUGCUCACAAGGACGCUGAAGCCGGAGACGUUGGUGAGGGAGUUGGCGAUGGCCGCACCGGCGAGCGCGACGUCGCCGAGGUGCCCCACCAUGACGGUGGAGAUGAACUGCAUCGUGACCUGCAGCAGCAUCACCACCACCAUCGGCGCCGCAAGCCCCGCCAGCUGCGCGGCUUCCCUACACCAGCGCCGGCUGGUACUGCCGGGCUCUUCCCACCUCGCGGCCAGCAGCGGCGCAUCGGAAGAAGAGUCCAUGGAUCCCCCCGACCAAAGCUCUGCCCAAGCAACGUGGGUGUGGUUAAUGAAAAUGGUAAAUGCGGGAGCUACCAUCCGUCUAGCUGUCUCCCUUUGCACAAUGCAUGGAGCUCGAACUAUAUAUAGAGUAUUACUCCAGUCGUAGUAGCUACGGAAACUAUUUCCUCUGUCCAGAUUUAUUAGUUUUGUCAGAGCAUCGGUAAUUGAGGAGCUAAUUUGAUUUCAUAUACAUCCACUGACCCGUCUUGGCGCUGUUCAGGCAUAUUCACUUAAGCCCACAUUUAUCUGUGCACGCAGUGGUAACCCCACUUUUCUCCCUAUUAUAUGCCCGAUUACAUGCAUAUGAAUGGUAGGGACAGAACCUCAAAAAAAAAAGAAUGGUAAGGACAAAAAAAGAAAAUAAAAGAAAAUAGUGAAGGUGAAAAAGUGGUCCGGACUCUGGAGUGUGCCAAAUUCGACGUGGCAGACUGCUCAGACAUACCACAACAUCUCAUACCCUUUCCACGUAUGGGCUCGGUAUAAGGGGUGCCAGAAAGCCCGCGCCCAUGUAUAUAGUUUUGAGUUAAUGAUACUCCCUUUCAUCCAUAUUACUUGUCACACGGACGUAUUUAGACGUUUUUCAGUGCUAGAUAAAUUCGUUUGAGCGACAAGUACACUAGUAGAAAAAGGACCUUACGUGAGACACAUUAGUCCCGGUUCAAUUUUGGCUCGGUACUAAUGGUAUUAGUCCCGGUUCAAACGGCUAUGCAUUAGUCCCGGUUCAUGUUGAACCUUUAGUACCGGUUCGUGCCACUAACCGCUACUAAAGGGGUGGUGGCAGGCUGGCGUCAGGCCGGGGCCCCACGAGCCCCUUUGACUAAAGGGGUUUAACCUUUAGUCCCGGUUGGAGACACAAACCGGGACUAAAGGGCAAUUAUCAAACUCUACCCCCCUCCCCUCUCCCUGUCUAUCGCCAUUUCAGUUUUGAAAAAAACAAAACAAAAUGAUAAAAACUUCAAAAAUUAAGAUCCUUCGAGAUGUAGUUAUGUUACUACAUCUACUAGUUAGGAAAAUUUAAAAACUUAAAUUUGGACAUGUUUUGCAAAAAAAUAUGAUGAAAAGGUAAAACAACUAUAUCUUUUGCAUCCGAUAUCGGAAAACAACGUAUAAUAUAUCAAAAUGUUCAGCACGAAAAUACGCAUCCGAUUUUGACGGCUGUAGGCCGUUUUGCAAAUUUUUAGAAUCCUCAAACUCUAAAAGGAAAAAAGUUAUGCUCACAUUUCAGUUUUUUUUUUGAAUUUUGGUCAAACUGUGGUCAAACUACUUAUUCAAGAAAUAUUAGUGUUACUAAAUAAUUAUUUCAGUUUUUUGAAUUUUGGUCAAAUCUGGUCAAACUAUGGUCAAACUACUUACUCAAGAAAUAUUAAUGUUACUAAAUAAUUAGUGUUUUUUAGAAUAAUAGUUUCAAACUCAAACGAUGAACGUGUGACUUCAUGCUCAAGCUAAACUCCUGAGGGUUAAUAGGAUUGACAGCUUAAUAUUGUUAGGAAACAACAAGUGCGGACUUGGAAACUAGGGGGAAUAGAACUCAGAAGUUAAGCGUGCUCAGGCUGGAGUAGUAAGACGAUGGGUGACCGGCCGGAAACUUAGGUGAUUUGGGAUGAGUGAUCCACACUUGAGCAGUUAUGAGUGGUGAUUAGAGACUAAAUCGUCAAAUAAUUAAGAAAAUUGAAAAUCGGGAAAAAAAUCAAAGUUUUUUCCAAAAAAUUCAAAAAAAAAACCUUUAGUCCAGGUUGGUGUUACCAGCCGGGACUAAAGGUCCCGCAUACCACGGCGCGGGCUCGUGCCACGUGGUGGGCCUUUACUGGCGGUUCGUGUUGAACCGGGACUAAAGGGGGGGCCUUUGGUCUCCAACCUUUAGUGCGGGUUCCGAACCGGCACUAAAGGCCCUUAAGAACCGGCAUGAAAGCUCCGUUUUCUACUAGUGGUAAUACAUAUCAGAUGGAGUAGUGGAUUUAACUAGACGGGGAAGCAACGGAUGGGCGGCGGCUUUCAGAUAUGACGAUGGUGGUCCUACCGGGGUGGCUUGUUCGGCGGAGCGGGUUGGGAUGGCACGGGCCAGAGGCUGCUUCGCUGCCUCCCAAAGGUGGUGGUGGGCUGCGGGUGUAUGCGACAACUCAGAUCCGUCGUGGAUCAUCUGGUUGAUGCGGGAUCGACUCUGGCCUACCUUGGCUUCUCUGACGCGGCUCUGGUGGGCGGAGGGCUAGGUCAUGGCAGGGAGCUCCCCCUGCCUUGGUCUUGUUCGGCCGUCAUGGCAGCGAGCUCCCCCUGCCUUGGUCUUGUUCGGCCGUCAUGGCAGGGAGCUCACCCUACGCGUUUUGGCUCACGGGCUCAGAUGAGUCCGGGAAUGAACAAAAAAUCAUUAAAAAUUACUAAAUAAAUUCAAAAAAAAUCUGAAUUUUUUUUGUGCAGAAAUAUAACUGAGUGUCUGAUGUUCGUACCGAAUUUCAGAACACUUGAAUGUUUGAGUAGCUCUCAGCAAAAAAGGACGAAUUUAAUGUAUGUGAAAAAGGUUACUAUUUGUGCAUUGUCUGGACCCUUUUUUUACUGAGAGCUAAUCCGAUGUCCAAAUGUUUUGAAAUUUGGCACGCACUUCACACACUAAAAUAUCUUCCAUUCAAAAAAAUAGAUUUUAAAAAAAAAAUCUAUUUUUGCUGAAUUUACUGUUCACCAGGUGGAGCAGCGUCGAAGACCACAGACAUGGUGUCGGGCGAGCGCGCUCGGAGACAGAUGUCUGUAGUUGUGUCUCCCCCGGUCCACCGGGACUGGCUGGAGAUGCAGGCGUGGGUGCCUCCUACCAUGGAGGCAUCGAUCCAGACUAUGUGGCUGAUGUAUGGCUAUGAUUGUAAGGGGACGCCAUUUGCUUCUCCUACCGUGGUGGGUGCACCGUGAUGUGGGCGGUUGGUGGUGUCUCUGAUAUGGAUGUCGAGGUGGCAACCCUGGAUGGCGGUCUGAUGGUUCGCUCUCUAGCGGGCCCCAUGGCAGCAGUGAUAGGUGGAGCGACGGGUGGCUCGGGUGUGCUCUUUGUCUCCGGCAGUGGUGACACCUAGAUCCAGAUCUGGAGGUCUGAACUCGUCGUGCUUACCCUGGAGACCUCGUGGUGUCAUGGGGGAGCUGUCGAGUAAAGCCCCAUGCUUUGCCGUCAACGAGGGUGAUGCUCGCGGGUGCCGCUUUGCUCUUAAAGAUAUCACCGUGGUGCUCUUCUUCUUGUCUGGGCUCGGAGUAAAAACCUUUGUUCGGUGUGGACUCAACAACGCUGACACUUAGGGCUAUUCGCUCUCCUAAGAGUGUUGUCGUUGAGCUUAGAUGUUAUAGGGCAUAGUGUGACGUUGCUAUCGGUUCUUCCUAUGCUCACUUUGGUAGUAUAGCUGCAUGCGUUCUGUGUGAUCCGGUUAUCCUGGGAUCUAUUAGAAUAAUCCGAGGCAUACCGUUGAUCAUCCGAGGACCAAGGAACCACACGAGCACGACACCGAGAUUUGUUAACGAGGUUCACCUUGGCUACAUCCCCGGGGCUUGACUAUGGGCGCUCCUCCCCAUGACAUCGCUACAAUACCGCACCCCGUCGCCCUGCACGCCGGCACAUGCCGCCGGCUUCCCUUGCGUUCCUAUGCUAUUAUGUUGGCAUGGGUUACAUCGUGUGUCUACCCCCAUUAUAUAUGAGAGGCCUAGGAUACAAGUGUCCUAUUAGGACACGACUCUAUAUCCUAUCUAAACACAAUACUACUCAAAGUCCAACUCUAACCUAUCUUAUACGCAAUAUUCGACACAACUCUAACAGGAUCUGCAUUGUAUGAGGACUACCUCAUCACCUUGUAUUGGUCAGCCAUGCACUUUGUUCGGUUGUUGCAUUAUACUCUCUCUGUUCAGAAUUAUUGGUCGCAGAAAUGGAUGUAUCUAGUUAUAUUUAUAUAGUUCUAUAUACAUCAAUUUCUAUUCAUUUUUGAGACAGGUAGUCCCGGACGGAAGGAAUAUAUAAAGCGGGGCGCCUGGUUCAAACUUUAAAGAGAGACAUAACCACAAAGGAGACGUAAGAAGGCAAAUAACUACAGCGCAAUUGAUGUCAUGUCAGCAAGAAAUGUUCUUAAGGGCCACUCCACAGCUUCCCACUACGAACCUAAAUCUUCAUGAAACUUGAGAAAAUCAUACUCGACGAAAAUCAUACGCUUGUUUUAGAUGCCUGUCGUCGUUGGUUGCUACAGAAGAUGGAUUUAAAUAAUUGAAAUUAAGUUUUUUUUUAGCACUCUCUCUGAGCCAAAUUAAUUAACAUAGCUCUAGUACAACUUUUUCUUUUUGAGUUUGGACUUGGUUUGGCUGUGUGCAUCUUUUUUUUUGAAAUGUUGGCUGUGUGCAUUUUAGUUAUGCAGAAGCCAGAUAAUACUUAAAAACUUUGUAAGCAAUAAAGCGCCCCUUAUCGAACAAUAGAAUUAUGCAGAGGACUAACACUUAACUCUCGAGUAGUAACUGGUUGAAACUUACCAGCUCUACGUGGUUGAUGUUGACAUCCAAUUUCGAAUACAGAACAUAUUUCCCAAACCAUUCAAAAACAUCACAUUGCCAUCUUGGUUAUUACCCUUUAACCUCCUCACAGCAGAUUCCAUCUGCAUACACUCAGUGUAAGAACGCAGCAGAUCCAUUAAAACAUGUAGUACGAAUUAUCACGUUAUACUAAAAUUUUAGAAUCAACAAGACAUUAGCUACAUAUUGACUUCUUUAAUUAUUUAUGAAGACUGCCUCUAGAGAAUUGUUGGCAUGUCUAUGACGGUAAAUUUGCAGCUCAGUUAAAGUGUGCUUGGUUGGUUAAACAAGGUAUACUAGAUGAUUUUCCCGCGCGUUGCUGCGGGAUUUUAAAGAUUAAUUUUGGAUAUAUUAUAUAAGAAUGAAAUGAUCUAAAUCAAAAGCUAUUAUUUUCAAAAGUAAUUAUAUGUGAACAAAGAGUAUGCAUGUACGUUGGACCAUUGGAGAUGGAACAAUUAAAUUGGAGUAUGCAUGUGCUACAAAAUAAUUCUAGUGGGUGAUGAUAUGUGGAGGGCUGCAUGUUGAGAUAAUUAGACUUAAUGGGAUCAACUAUAUAUUUAUUAUAGAUGGGAUAGGUUGUUUGCUUGGUUGGGUGGAUGGGAGUAUCAAAAAAGAUUAAUUAGCUAAAUGAUACCUCCUAACUUCUACAUUAACACCAUCAAGACCUAGUGAACCUACUUAAGUCAAACCAGAAAAACAUGUACCUGUUUCAGAUAAUCAUCCAUGAACAUGAUUGCAUGGUCAUCAUGCCCAGUACUGAGUUUGAAAACAUGAAGUACAUUGUCUUUCUUCAAUGACUGCAAAAAUGAUUUCUAUAUAUGUUCAGAUUUUCAUCAAAGCAAGGAAAAUUUUCUCUGGUGCAGUUGAAGAUUACUACACAUUGGUAAACAAUAAUCACCAACAGUUUAACACAAGAAUAGCUAGAAAAGAAUCCAAAGGUAAAACACAAACUCAUCAUUGCAUUACAACAGUUGUGUAUACAUAAAGAAUUAUUGCAUAAGUUCAAAACAAUACCUUGAAAUCUCUGGCAGCUUGUGUCCUGUCCUUCACGCUAUUAUAGUUUGGGACUGCAAAAUGAAUGGUUGUGUCACAGCCUACAAGUGAACACAAGAAAAAGGUGAAUUUCGGAUCUGAAUCACCAUUAAAAAAGGAAACAGUUAGAGAAGAAGCACACACUGAGUUUAUAUAACCAUCUUUAUUAUAUAACAACAUGUUACAUGGGAGUAUUGUUACAUCCCUCCAUUAAGAGGAGGAGCAAACAUAAGUACAAGAGUUUAAUAGUGGCCGUGUCCCCCAACCCACAAAUAACUUUGGCACAUGCACGCACAGACCAGAAUUUUGCAACAGAAAACAUCACUAACCUAUGCACACGGUGGCUCUCGCAGCCAGUGAUGGUAGGCCUGAAUCGUCGCUCCACCUCUGCCUUGAUGUUGUUGGCCAUUGUCUGAAGGUCCUGGUUCUCUCCCUCGAACACCAGGUAGCUAUGUUCUCUCCAAAAUCCCUACGGGCCAAAUUUGUACAAUCACUAUCGAGUCCAGGUCUUUUUGCCGAUCUUUUGGCAGUGCUUUUCACCUAGACAGCCACCAAAUUCACCUGAAGUGGCGAGCUGUUCAUUUUAAAAUGACUUGCCACAGUUAUGUCAACCAGGAUCAUUGCUCUCUUUCUCGGCCUCCCGCAGAACUUCACAAGUUAUGAGUUUGCUGUAUGAGUAUAUAACUGAAUGAAGUAGUCUUUGAACCUGCAAACAGAGCACUUAAUCUACUUCUCAACGCACUGGAAUUUUUUGCAAUGUCUCUCUGUACUAAUUGUCCACUGCUACCCUACCACGAAGAAGUAGCGAUUUCUCCACCAAUCCAGCUCGCAAUCGGAUUAAACACUAGGCAAAGAAAUUCCUCUCUGCAACUAUAUAUCCAUACAAAAGUACCAUUUACUCCUGGAUCGAGCACUAAGCCACUAACUGACGGACGGAGAAUGGAUGACUAACCUUCUAGUUGCAACCGCAUGACCUCUGACCUGCCCUGCCGGCGGCUCACAGCGAUGGAUAGCGGACUAGCCUGCCAUCUAGGGUAAUUGCAGACGGCCAGAGUUGCAACGGAGGCCUCAUCGUGAUACACGACGACCUCCGUAGCUGGGAUCAGAUGUAUUUUCUAAUUUGAAUUGAAUAUGUAGUGUCACCAUUCCAGAUUUUUGGUACAUAUGAACAAAAAUAAAUUUAUUCAUGGGCCAUUCAACACUUUUCAACUCAUCGGAUACUGGCUCAGAUCGAGUUCACAUAUCAUUAACAUAUUUCGAACCAAAUCCAUAAUCAUAAAAUCCUCUGGUUUUAUUCAAACAAGCGGUGGAGAUGCCCCAUCCCUCCUAGCAUUGUUUUUCCUUAUCAUUUAGGAUCUCUUCAUUCAGCCUUUAAUAGAUUAAUAACAAAAAAACAUAAGUAUGGCCUAGAUAUAUAAGAUGCUUCAGAAUAGCUGGGCACAAACAAGUUGGCAUGAAACGGUCUAGAACUUCUUUUGCGGGAAAAAAUCUAGACCUUCUCAAAAUCCAACAAAUAAAAUAUGCUCGUUGUCCAUGAUCUAGGAGGGUAUCUACGAAUAGGUACUUAAGGUUUGUUCAUGAAAAGUAUUAAAAUAUUUGGCAAUUUUCCUUUUGGGUAGACAAAGUACCUAGAAAUAUGUAAAUUCAUGCUUAUACACCUGAACAUGCACCAUAGUAGACCAAAUUAUGUUGCCAAAGUAUAACGAACAUAUUAUAUUUUUGAAUAGGUUAUCUGUGUAAAUGGUCUACACAAUUCAAAUAAGUAUCAACUUCAUGCCCAAAAGAUUUAGUAAAAGGUACCGGGUGGUCCCAAUGAAAUAUUUACAUAACAUUACAAACUUAGUCCACCAAAAGAAUGAUUUGAUCCAGAAAAAUCCUUCUUCACACAUAGAUCGAACUGAUGAUGACGUAUCUAGAGUUAGGACCGGAUAUAUGCUAGUAACUUGUAAGCAAUUACCAUCCUUUACAUGUAAGGGAAUUCUAUGAGUCAUGUCAUGAUCUAUACCUCUCAGUUCAUCUUAUCAUCUUAGAGAACAAUACAAAGUUAGUUUUAUAAAAAAGCAACCGAGUCUAGACGAACCCUCCACAUACAAGGCUUUAAUAAUCGAGCAUAUCUUAACAGUCCACACACGAUUGCAACUUAGUCCUACACAGGUUUUGCCUUUCUUGUUUAUGGUUGACAGCCUAUACAAGGUUCCAAACUCGGUUGCAAAAGUGAUACUAUCCUGAUAAAUGUGUGACAUGUAAAGUGAAUAAGGCGAGUCAUAUAUACCACACAUCAGGGUUUCUAUAAUUUGUGUGUGAUCAUAUGCACAACUAAAAAGCAACUUUGAUGAUCAAUCCAAAAGUACGCUUGUAGCUAGUGCAACCUAACACAAUGUACCAAAAAAUCAUUUCUGAUGCAUCCAAAUAGAAUUAUUUAAGUUGAUGCAAAGAAGGAAAGAGGUGGUGCCCGGACUACUAUAAAUAGGCAUGAAGUAUAAUGAUCAUCACAAGCACAAGCAUCAAAACCAAGCAAAAGUAGUUAGCACCAAUCCAUCAUGAAGACCUUCCUCGUCUUUGCCCUCAUCGCCGUUGUGGCGACAAGUGCCAUUGCACAGAUGGAGACUAGCUGCAUCUCUGGUUUGGAGAGACCAUGGCAGCAGCAACCAUUACCACCACAACAGUCAUUUUCACAACAACCACCAUUUUCACAACAACAACAACAACCAUUACCUCAACAACCAUCAUUUUCGCAGCAACAACCACCAUUUUCGCAGCAACAACCAAUUCUAUCGCAGCAACCACCAUUUUCACAGCAACAACAACCAGUUCUACCGCAACAAUCACCAUUUUCGCAGCAACAACAACUAGUUUUACCUCCACAACAACAACAACAACAACUUGUGCAACAGCAAAUCCCUAUUGUUCAGCCAUCCGUUUUGCAGCAGCUAAACCCAUGCAAAGUAUUCCUCCAGCAGCAGUGCAGCCCUGUAGCAAUGCCACAACGUCUUGCUAGGUCACAGAUGUGGCAGCAGAGCAGUUGCCAUGUGAUGCAACAACAAUGUUGCCAGCAAUUGCAGCAAAUCCCCGAACAAUCCCGCUAUGAAGCAAUCCGUGCCAUCAUCUACUCCAUCAUCCUGCAAGAACAACAACAGGGCUUUGUCCAACCUCAGCAGCAACAACCCCAACAGUCAGGUCAAGGUGUCUCCCAAUCCCAACAGCAGUCGCAGCAGCAGCUCGGACAAUGUUCUUUCCAACAACCUCAACAGCAACUGGGUCAACAGCCUCAACAACAACAACAACAGGUACUACAGGGUACCUUUUUGCAGCCACACCAGAUAGCUCACCUUGAGGCGGUGACUUCCAUUGCACUCCGUACCUUGCCAACGAUGUGCAGUGUCAAUGUGCCGUUGUACAGCGCCACCACCAGUGUGCCAUUCGGCGUUGGCACCGGAGUUGGUGCCUACUGAUAAGAAAAGUUGUCUAGUAAUAUAUAGUUGGACCACCGUCGUCUAGUCGAUCGACAUGUCGAGGAAGCGGUGACAAAUAAAGUGUCACACAACGUCAUGUGUGACCCGCCCAAAGUAGUAGUUAAAUUCUGGAAUAAAUACAAAUGAAGUGUUCUCUAGACAAUGUUCAUAUCGGCGUUGUGUGGACGUCGAUCUGACUACCAUGCUUGCAAGUUCAUAAGUUCGUCUUGCCAGGUCACAACCUCAACUUGGUGUAUUAAUUAAUUAAUCACGUAUAGCAAUAAUCUAGAUUUAAAUAUAAUAGUGUUAUUGUAAAAUUUGGGUUGAACUGAAGAAAGGACAAACAUACAACUCUUUAAUGGUUGGAGAUUUGAGAUCUUGUUUUUAUUGGUUUGUAUGUGGUUCCAACUACUACCAUUGUCUACAUGACAAUCACAACCGGUUUCAUAAUUAAUUCUGUUUGCUUGUUUUUUUCUUUUGCAAAUACUUCAUUGAUACUUUGCACAUCCACUUAUUUUUCAAGGAAAAACAGCUUUUUCUUGAAUUUCAUAGACACCACUAGAUAGUUAAUUUGAAAUAAGUUGUUGUUCAUGCCCUAGACCAGCUAGCACAAUCUGUGUGGGGGGGAGGGGAGGGGGGUUGUUGCAUGCGUAUUCUUUGCACAUUAUUUUAUUUUGUUCUUUUGAUGCUCUUAUACUAUACCACAUUUUUACUUAAUGGAAAGCAAACUAAGCAACGCAGGUAGAAACCACAGAACUUGAGACUGGGUGUGUGUCAACUUCACAUCCUCCUCCUUAUCUCAUUAAUUGGAAAGCAAUAGCCCUCAUGAGAUCAGACAGCCAUACACAGUGUUAAAGUAAACAAGAUGAUGGCAUUAACGAUGUAGGUUUUUAAUUAGUCAAAUGGCUAAACUGAGGCACCCGGCAGCCAUAUAGACAUCCAUGAGCAUGUAAUCCAGAAUAUUGCAACUAGAGCACUAUAUAUGUAUUUAUGACAGAAAUCCAGUGCAAUUUUUCAAAAUGACGUUCCAUUGGCUAUGACCUUAGCAAAUGAUGUGAAUUUUCUUUCCAAAUACUACAAAAAGUUGCAGGAUUGCAAAUUAAACAAUUACCUCCACUGACUACACGUGAAAAAACACAUCUGCUGAGCAACAACAAAAUAUUAUUAUCUCAAGCACCUACCUGGCAGCGAUUAGUUCUCAUGAAUUCAUUGAAUCAAGAACGCAUCACAUGCUUACUGCUGAACACUAGUAGAAAAAGGGCCAUUUGUCCCGGUUCGUAAGGCCCAUUUGUCCCGGUUGUGGAACCGGGACUAAAGGGUCGUUACUAAAGCCCUAGGCCUUUAGUCCCGGUUCUUACACGAACCGGGACAGAUGGGCCUCCACGUGGCCGCUGCGGCGAGCCCAGGCAGGAGGGCCUUUGGUCCCGGUUGGUGUCACCAACCGGGACCAAAAGGCAUCCACGCGUCAGCAGCUGGCAGGAGCUGAGGUUUUUGUUUUUUUAAAGGGGGUGGUUUAGGGGUUUGGGGGGUUAAUUUAGGUUGUUAGCUAGCUAAUAGAGAGAAGUGUCCUCUCUUAUCUCCGUGCUUGGUUUACCAACGCUACUGCUAUGCCUAAACAUGGCUUAGAUUGAAGUGAAGGCAACAUGUGGUGCAUGUCGAAAGUAAUACUAAUCCUAACUUGAUCAAGUUUCGAUUGUACUACUUUCGACAUGCACCACAUGCAUGUUGCCUUCACUUCAAUCCAAUCCAUGUUCAUUUCACCCACUGAUAUAUAAUAACUCUUCAUGCUCGCAUCAUGCAUCAUCAUAAUAAUAAGUCCUACUAAUCAUCAUCAUACAACUUCUAUUCGUUAUUAAUAACAAGUCAUACGAUCAUCAUCCUCAUAGUCAUCGAACCAACCCUACUUAAUUGUUCUUAGCACAUGGUCAUCAGUAUUAGUUAGGACUUAAAUACCCUCUUUAAUGUAAAAUAGCAUAAAACAAUAUAGACCCUGACUCUCCAUUAUGGAGAAUGGAGAUCAUCCUGUCUCCAAUUCUUGCACUUCGCUUCCUUUUGCUUCCAAGAACCUCCUUACGACUGUCCAUAUAUUUUUUCCAUUCUUUGAUUAGCAUGUCUCCACUUCUUUUAGAAAUCCGGUAUGGACAGUUCAGAUUCGUAGGAUGACCUGGAUGUAUGUUCAAAACAUCAAGGCUACCAAUCUGAUACAUCAAAUGAGGCACACAAUCCAUCGGGAUUCUCUGUUGAAAAACAUAGUAAUAACUUCAUAGUUAGCAAUGAUGUACUAGUUUUAGAAGUAUGCAAAAGAUGCACGGAUGUCGUAAUAGUAAAAAAUCUUACCAUGAUAUCUCCAUGGUAGUUACCGUAGUUCAACACGUGCACUAGUGGCACGUAUUGACCAUAAUGUUGAGGAAUUUGAUUGUAGAUAUUGUAAUUCUCAAUAUUAGUACAAAAUGCGAUCAGAUGAUUUUUCUCCUGAUAAGUUAAUUCGGAGCCAUCGGUGUAGUGGAUUUUGUUUACCAUCUUCCGCACAUUCUUUGAAGAAUGAAAAUAAGCUGUCAACUAUUUUGAAAUAAACAAUAUAAAUUAGUUAAUAACUAUGUUUGAGAAAGUCACAUAGCGGUAGAAUUGGAGGCGUAUCAACAAGGACCCAAAUGUCCAUAUUGUCUUGCUCGAUUUCAGGAUCACCAAGAUCCAUGGUGACAAGCAUAUCCUCAUGAAAACCAUACAUCUUGCAAAGUGCUUCCCAUUUUUUGCAACCAAAAUCGGUUACGCUCUCAGAAUUUACAGUUUUACGUCGAAAUCCAUACCAUGAUGGGUCCUUAGGUGAAUUUUCUUUGUUUCCAUACUUUCAUGAUCUUCAAAACCCAUCCUCUCCAAGACAUAGCGUCUUGCAUGGCAUGGGAUAAGCUAGUCGAAUUGUAAAAGAUGAAAAUUACACGUUGAAAUAGUUGAAGUCGUGCUUAAUUACGAAAAAAACACUUGUCAUCGUUGCGUACCGUUUCAACAUCGAAGGUCUCCUCGAGCUUAAUGCUGAAGCGUCGAUCUUCGUCUAGGUGAGGCCUGUCGCACAGACCUCGGUCGUCGUGGCACCAGUCGCACUCCCCCGGGAGACUUUCGUCGUCCGAGUACGACAUUUCCUAUGUUCAUAAUUCAAAUAUUAAACUUGUACAAUUAAAUAUAUGUACUAAAAAAACCUAAAUUAGAUCAGUAUUAUUCAUCACGGGUUGACUAUCGGUCUGUCGAGUCUUUUCUUGAAAACUCUCAGCUCACGUGGUGUACAUAUUCGACCGUCGGUGAUGGUAGCUCCUCCUUUCAUUCCCGAGUGCAUCCCACCAAAUUGUCUAGCACACGGGAAUGAAGGAGAAGCUACCGCCACGACAACAGUCGGGAUUCUUCAUCCUCUCAUAUAUAUAUGGUGGAGACUCUCCCUCACUGAUUCCUCUCUGACAUUUGCGACUGUCGGUGAUGGUAGCUCCUCCUUUCAUUCCCGAGUGCAUUACACCAAAUUGUCUAGCACACGGGAACGAAGGAGAAGCUACUCCCACGACAACAGUCGGGAUUCUUCGUCCUAUCAUAUAUGGUGGAGACUCGACAGAUUUAAAGUCAACCCGAAAUAUCGUUUAAUUAUCUUUCUAAAAAAGGACAUAUCGAGUGCCUGAAAUUUGCCGGAACGGAAACAUACAUGUUUUUAUCUACAUCAUAUGAGCAUUCAAAUUUGAUGGCCAUUACAUUUCAAUGGUUGAAAAUAUGAGCAAAAGCAUUUCAAAAUAUCUUAUAGGACUCAUAUUGACAUGGAGAUUUGGCUGGUCUCACCUCGAGGUCGGAGGGGGGUCGGUGACGGGGACGACGGCGGGGAUGAUGGAGGGGGCUCCUAGAUUUCUACAAAACAAAAACCCUAUAAGCUAUCAAACUAAUCAAAUGAAUACGCCUUGCAUAGUGCUCUCCAAUUUUAGCAUUCAAAGUAGGAGUAGUUUUCCAAUUUGAGCAUUCAAUAAGCAAAACCAAAUCAUAAAAUAAAGUAGUAUUCAAAUUAGCAUGCAUUCAAUUAUAAGAAAAACUACAUCAUCUCUUGCGGCCGUACAUCGUUGAAUAUUAUCACUAAUACACCUCGAAUACUAUCAUACAUAUAGCAUCGCUAAUACAGCUAGAACCGUAGCGCCCGACGGGUAUCGGCGCGGGCGGUGGACACCCAAAGAGAAGGAACCAUCACAGGAUCAUAGCUCCAGUGAGAUCCCUGAAAAACUUGCCAGGUAUUGUCGAACCUGCCCUCCAACGCAACCAUGUAGCGACGGACGUGCUCGUCCUCCUCGCUGACACGGUGACGUACCACCUCCGCGGUGUCCGGAAGCCUCGGCACCGUCACUGGCCCACGCGACCGCCACGAAACAAGGAUCGGGUCAACCACGGGCUGGCUCCUCACCAACCUACGCCCCCCGGAAGGUAGCACCUCCCAAUACCAGCCGACGGAGCCCAGUCUCGGACAUGGCCCCUCUGAUCAAGCAGGCCUCCUCCGCUGAGACGACGACGAGGAUGCGGGAUAGGCAUCGUCGACGUCGAUGCGGGAAUAAUUGCUUGAACUAAAAAUAUAAACUAGUUCUAUUAAUUUUCUUGCUAAAAAUAAACUACUUCUAUAGUAAAAUAAAGUAGUUUUAUUAAAUCAACUAGUUCAACUACUAAGCACUUACUAUAAAUAAAAUAAAGUAGUACUUACUAAAAAUAAACUACUUCUAUAGUAAAAUAAAGUAGUUUUAUUAAAUCAACUAGUUCAACUACUAAGCACUUACUAUAAAUAAAAUAAAGUAGUACUUACUAAAAAUAAACUAGUUUAACUAGUUAUAUUAUUUUUCUAACUAAUUAUAUUAAACAAUUUCUAAGUAGUACUUACUUAAAGUUAUCGGGGAGGGGGGGUAUAUCGACAACGACAUACCCGAUAAACAAUAAGAAGAGGAAGAAGAAGAAAAAAAAAGAGGAGAAGAAGAAGGGAAUAGAGGAGGAGAUCGAAGAAAAAAAGAAGAAAAAAAGAGGAGAAGAAGAAGGAAUAGAGGAGAAGAAGAAGAAAUAGAAGGAACCUUCUAUUUCUUCUUCUCCUCUAUUCCUUCUUCUUCUCCUCUUUUUUUUUCUUCUUUUUCAUCUUCUUAUUUACUUCUCCUCUUCUUCUUCUUUUUCUCCUUCUUCCUCUUCUUAUUUUCCUUUUUCCUCUCCUGCUUUUUCUUCUAAAUAUGAACAUAUACAUAAAUGAAUUUGAUCAUACACAAUUUUCCUAUACAUACACAAUAUGAACAUAUACAUAAAUUGACAAAGAAAAUUCUAUGAACAACAAAAAAAUCAUAAAAAUUCUAUGAACAAAAUUACAACAGAAAAAUCAUAAAAAUUCUAUGAACAAAAUAAAAAUUCUAUGAACAAAGUUACAACAGAAAAAAUCAUAAAAAUUCUAUGAAAAAAAUUGACAUAUUCUUUGCAUAUGAACAUACAAACAUUUGCAUAUUCAACAAUAAUAUCACCAAAAAAAUCUAUAAACAGAAAAAAAUUCUAACUUUUGCAUAUUCUUUUAUGAACAAAUUACAACAACUAAACAUCUAAAUUAAUACAACUACACAUCUAAAUUAAUACAACUACACAUCUAAACUUAAUUAGCUAGAAAAUGCAUAUGCAGAUAGGGCGCCCGGCGACGAGGAGAAUGAGCUCACCGCAGGGGGGCGGCGACGAGGAGGCAGGGCAUGGGGAUGGCGACGGUGACGAGGAAGCAGGGCAUGGCGACGGUGACGGUGGGGUAGGGGCGCGGCGACGGGCGACGAGAGGAGGCAGGGCUGGCGGCGUCGGGGCAGGGGUGGCGCGGGGCGGCGACGGCGUCGAGGCGGCGCGGGACGGCAUCGGAGGCAGGGCUACGACGACGGCGGCUAGGCAGAGGGGCAGCCUGGCGGCAUCGUCGAGGCGGGAUCGAAGAACUAAACGAAAAUUUUCACAAGUGCUGUAUAUAUAGACGGAGCAUUGGUCCCGGUUCGUGCCACCAACCGGGACCAAUGCCCCCUUUAGUCCCGGUUGAUGCCACCAACUGGGACCAAAGGUCUCUUUUCAGCAGCCCAAAGGACGGGAAGCAGAGACCUUUGGUCCCGGUUGGUGGCACCAAUCGGGACUAAAGGGUGGGCAUUGGUUCCGGUUGGUACCAUGAACUGGUACCAAUGCACACAUUUAGUCCCGGUUGGUGGCACCAACCGGGACUAAAGGCCUUGUGUUGCCCGCGUCGCGGCACAAAAGUUUAGUCACACCUCGCUAGUUGAGGGAGCUCGAGAGUGGUUUAUAAGCCCCACUCCCGCUACCCUCUCGAGCUCCUCUUAAAUGCAGGCUUACGGGCCUAAACACACUGUAUCUGCUUGUAGCCCUACUGGGCCUUCUACGGGCCUGAAUCCUGGCCCAUGGGUGGGUUUCUAGUCGUAUUCAGGCCGUGGUGGCCCAGUAGGUGGCUUUUUUUAUUUUUUUUUCCUUUUUUUGUUUUCUUUGUUGAUUUUUUUUCUACUUACAACAAAAUAGUUACUGUUGCUAUUUUUAUUUAUUUUAUGAAGGUUUAUUUAUUUUAUUUUAUUAUAGUUUAUUUAUUUUAUUUUAUUAAAGUUUAUUUUAUUUUAUUUUAUUUUGUUUCUACUUAUUUAUUUUAUUUUGUUUCUACUUAUUUAUAAAAGUUUAUUUUGUUUAUACUUAUUUAUUUUAUUUUAUUUUUUGCUUUUUGUAUUUAUUUUAUGAAAAUUCUUUUUGCUUUUAAUGUUUUGAACAGAAAAUACUUCGAUAAUUUUAGUUGCAUAAAUUCUAUAUAAUUUUAGUUUCAAUAAUACUAGAGGUUUAUAAAAGCUUUUUAGUUGAUUCCUUUAGUACCGGUUCUAAGGCUGUUACAAAGGCAUUUCAUUUGGUACCGGUUAUAAGGCUGGGGCCCCACGAGCACCUUUAGUAACGGUUCAUGGCAUGAACCGGUAAAAAAGUUUUUUAGUUGAUUCUUUCUGCAACUGUUUUUUAGUCCCACCUCACCAAGAGGGAGGCACUCGCGGCGGUUUAUAAGCCCUGAAUGCAGAGACGAUGAAGGAGAGGCGCAAUGCUCACCUGCAUGUUUCUUAGCUUCACGCCUUGAGGAAGUGGUGUAGACUGCACGGAGCUAUCAGGGUUUCGGACGAAAACUACACAUAGCUCCGUGCAGUCUACACUAUUUCCUCAAGGCCUGAAGCUAAGCAACGUGCAGGGGAGCAUUGCGCCUCUCUUUCAUUUUUAAUAACUUACUACAACUCCGGACUUCUUGUGUGUCCAAGAUACAACAUUCAAAGCCAAAUCAUCAAUUUUCAACCCUUUCUAUCUUCAUUUAUUAUUUUUCAUGCAUUUACUGAUUUUUUUUAGCUAUAAGACCCUAAAAUUGAAAAACAAUUCAAAUAAACUAUGAAAAGGUUGAAAGUUGGCAUGGUAUCAUCAUUUCACCCACAUAGCAUGUGCUGAAAAGUUGAGAGGGUUACGGCAAAAACUGGAUGCACUUCGUGUACUAACCGGACAAUCUAUUUCGAGAUAUCAGGGUUUCAUACGGAAACUCGUCUGUUACAACAGGCAUUUCAAAUGAACUACGAAAAGGUUGAAAGUUGGCAUGGCAUCAUUAUAAUAGUUGUGGAGAGAAAGUCUUUACUUGUUCUUCGCUUGUGUCCUUUGCUGAUUGCGCCGUAACCAUGGAUAAUCUUCAUCGUUUAUCAGGAUGCUUGGGUCAGCCUUGACUUUGAAGGGAGGAAUUUCAUGAAACUUUUCAUAAUCUUCAGACAUGUCUGUCUUGCCCUCCACUCCCAUGAUGUCCCUUUUUCCUGAAAGAACUAUGUGGCGCUUUGGCUCAUCGUAUGAUGUAUUCGCUUCCUUAUCUUUUCUUUUUCUCGGUUUGGUAGACAUGUCCUUCACAUAGAUAACCUGUGCCACAUCAUUGGCUAGGACGAAUGGUUCGUCAGUGUAUCCAAGAUUGUUCAUAUCCACUGUUGUCAUUCCAUACUGUGGGUCUACCUGUACCCCGCCUCCUGACAGAUUGACCCAUUUGCACUUAAACAAAGGGACCUUAAAAUCAUGUCCGUAGUCAACUUCCCAUAUGUCCACUAUGUAACCAUAAUAUGUGUCCUUUCCCCUCUUGGUUGCUGCAUCAAAGCGGACACCGCUGUUUUGGUUGGUGCUCUUUUGAUCUUGGGCGAUCGUGUAAAAUGUAUUCCCAUUUAUCUCGUAUCCUUUGUAAGUCAAUAUAGUCGAAGAUGGUCCCCUGGACAACGAGUACAGCUCAUCAGAAACAGUGUUAUCACCUCUGAGACGUUUUUCCAUCUAACUGCUGAAAGUCUUGAUGUGUUCACAUGUAAUCCAGUCGUCACACUGCUCCGGGUGUUUGGAGCGCAAACUGUUCUUGUGUUCAUCGACAUACGGGGUCACCAAGGUAGAGUUCUGUAGAACUGUGUAGUGUGCUUGAGACCAAGAAUGCCCGUCCCUGCAUAUUAUUGAGUCCCCUCCAAGCGUGCCUUUUCCAGUCAGUCUCCCCUCAUACCGCGAUUUAGGGAGACCUAUCUUCUUAUGGCCAGGAAUGAAGUCAACACAAAACCCAAUGACAUCCUCUGUUUGAUGGCCCAUGGAGAUGCUUCCUUCUGGCCUAGCGCGGUUACGGAUAUAUUUCUUUAGGACUCCCAUGAACCUCUCAAAGGGGAACAUAUUGUGUAGAAAUAUGGGGCCCAGAAUGACAAUCUCGUCGACUAGAUGAACUAGGACAUGCGUCAUGAUAUUGAAGAAGGAUGGUGGGAACACCAACUGGAAACUGACAAGACAUUACGCCACAUCACUCCUUAGCCUUGGUAUGAUUUCUAGAUCGAUCACCUUCUGAGAGAUUGCAUUGAGGAAUGCACAUAGCUUCACAAUGGCUAAUCGGACGUUUUCCGGUAGAAGCCCCCUCAAUGCAACCGGAAGCAGUUGCGUCAUAAUCACGUGGCAGUCAUGAGACUUUAGGUUCUGGAACUUUUUCUCUGGCAUAUUUAUUAUUCCCUUUAUAUUCGACGAGAAGCCAGUCGGGACCUUCAUACUGAGCAGGCAUUCAAAGAAGAUUUCCUUCUCUUCUUUGGUAAGAGCAUAGCUGGCAGGACCUUCAUACUGCUUUGGAGGCAUGUCGUCUUUUUCGUGCAAACGUUGCAGGUCCUCCCGUGCCUCAGGUGUAUCUUUUUUCUUCCCAUACACGCCCAAGAAACCUAGCAGGUUCACGCAAAGGUUCUUCGUCACGUGCAUCACGUCGAUUGAAGAGUGGACCUCUAGGUCUUUCCAGUAGGGUAUGUCCCAAAAUAUAGAUUUCUUCUUCCACAUGGGUGCGCGUCCCUCAGCGUCAUUCGGAACAGCUAGUCCGCCGGGACCCUUUCCAAAGAUUACGUGUAAAUCAUUGACCAUAGCAAGUACGUGAUCACUGGUACGCAUGGCGGGCUUCUUCCGGUGAUCUGCCUCGCCUUUGAAAUGCUUGCCUUUCUUUCGACAUUGAUGGAUGGUCGGAAGAAAUCGACGAUGGCCCAGGUACACAUUCUUCCUGCAUUUGUCUAGGUAUAUACUUUCGGUGUCAGCUAAACAGUGUGUGCAUGCGUGGUAUCCCUUGUUUGUCCGUCCUGAAAGGUUACUGAGAGCGGGCCAAUCAUUGAUGGUUACAAACAGCAAGGCGUGCAGGUUAAAUUCCUCCUGUUUGUGCUCAUCCCACACACGUACACCGUUUCCAUUCCACAGCUGUAAAAGUUCUUCAACUAAUGGCCUUAGGUACACAUCAAUGUCGUUGCCGGGUUGCUUAGGGCCUUGGAUGAGAACUGGCAUCAUAAUGAACUUCCGCUUCAUGCACAUCCAAGGAGGAAGGUUAUACAUACAUAGAGUCACGGGCCAGGUGCUGUGAUUGCUGCUCUGCUCCCCGAAAGGAUUAAUGCCAUCCGCGCUUAAACCAAACCAUACAUUCUUUGGGUCACCUGCAAACUCAGCCCAGUACUCUCUCUCGAUUUUUCUCCACUGCGACCCGUCAGCGGGUGCUCUCAACUUCCCGUCUUUCUUACGGCCCUCUCUAUGCCAUCGCAUCAACUUGGAACGCUCUUCGUUUCUGAACAGACGUUUCAACCGUGGUAUUAUAGGAGCAUACCACAUCACCUUCGUAGGAACCCUCUUCCUGGGGGGCUCGCCGUCAACAUGACCAGGGUCAUCUCGUCUGAUCUUAUACCGCAAUGCACCGCAUACUAGGCAUGCGUUCAAAUCCUCAUACGCACCGCGGUAGAGGAUGCAGUCAUUAGGGCAUGCAUGUAUCUUCUGCACCUGCAAUCCUAGAGGGCAUACGACCUUCUUUGUUGCGUAUGUACUAUCGGCCAAUUCGUUAUCCUUUGGAAGCUUCUUCUUCAAUAUUUUCAGUAGCUUCUCAAAUCCUUUGUCAGGCACAGCAUUCUCUGCCUUCCAUUGCAGCAAUUCCAGUACGGUACCGAGCUUUGUGUUGCCAUCUUCGCAAUUGGGGUACAACCCUUUUUUGUGAUCCUCUAACAUGCGAUCGAACUUCAGCUUCUCCUUUUGACUUUCGCAUUGUGUCCUUGCAUCGACAAUGACCCGGCGGAGAUCAUCAUCAUCGGGCACAUCGUCUAGUUCCUCUUGAUCUUCAACAGCUUCCCCCGUUGCAGCAUCACCGUAUUCAGGGGGCACAUAGUUGUCAUCGUCCUCUUCUUCUUCGCUGUCUUCCAUCAUAACCCCUAUUUCUCCGUGCCUCGUCCAAACAUUAUAGUGUGGCAUGAAACCCUUGUAAACUAGUGUGGCUCGGGCAUUUCAUCGAACACCUCAUGUGCAUAGGAGGUGAGCUAGAGCACCCAAAUGCCCUCCCCUCGCCGGCCACAAAAAACAGAGCACUGUGGAGUGCUCUGCUGCGGCGAUGGGGUAUAUAUAGGCAACUUAUUUGUCUCGGUUCGUGGCUGGAACCGGGACUAAAGCUCCCCCUUCUGUCCUGGUUUGAGUGACGAACCGGGACCAAUGGCUGUGGGCCAGGAGCGAGGCCCAUUGGUCCCGGUUCGUGCCUAGAACCGGGACAAAUGGGUCCAGACGAACCGGGACGAAUGCCCACGAGGCCCCGGCCGGCCCCCUGGGCUCACGAACCGGGACGAAUGCCCCCCAUGGGUCCCGGAUCGUGCAGAACCGGGACUAGUGGGCUGGCCAGGCCCGAACCAAAGCCCUGUUUUCUACUAGUGGAAGAGAGAAGACCCGGAAGCAAGUGGUCACUUUCUUGUCCUUUUUUAAUGACACUUGUAAUUAAGAUUGAGUACAUGAUCAAAAUCAGAAGUGAUCGUAAUCUGAUGGUAAAUGAUUAUUUCUUGUUCAUAUGAACAUACAUAAUACUUAAUAUACUGACAUGAUAAAAAGGCAACUUGACAAUCUCCUUUUAUUCGACGAUGAAAGAUAUGUAUGAGUAUGUGAUCCAGUUUGGUGAGCUUAAUAUGUGCCGUUAUUAUGAGACAGUGAAAGACGGAUAAAGGGACAUAUGGAAUUCUUUUUAUCAUACUAACGAGUUUCUAAACAUAGAACGGAAGCAACAAAAAUAAAGACAGAGCGCUAAAAUUUCAGUGAUGUUUUAGAAGAUACAAAAUGGAGUGCCCUUUUAUUGAUCAAUGCCUGUAGCCAUAUAAAUGAGGUCUGGGACUCGGUUCGCUCCAACACGCCGAUAGAAAGCACAUUUCGUCUGAUGCACAUAUGAAAUUUGAUAGUGCAAAAAAGAAAAACGCUGAGAUAUACGGAUGAUUUAAUGUUGUAACUAACUUGGACAUCCUUCCGGUGACCACGGAAUGGACAAAAAAAUCUCAGGCAUCAAAAAGGGAUGGAACCUCCAGACCUACUGCUUCUCCUCCACCUGCAUAGCGUGCAUAGGUGGAAAUUUGAUGAUUAAUUGAAGUGACAUCCACAUAGAGCAGGAGUUAUUCAGCUAGAAAAGCACAAAUGGACAUCACUGUCAGGCUAUAAGACUGAAUUCUGCUCCACGGCCUUCCUGAUUCAUGCAGCUGAUAUGCAAAUGGGCGUCCCCUUAAAUUCAUAUGAAUCGAAUCGCAGAAGAGACGAACAAACACUCUAUAAGACUAUAACAGGUUGUGACAGUGUCCAGUCCUUUAGAACUUAGACGAAGAAAAUGUAGAACUAACAUAUUAGUGGUUAGGAUCAUAUUUGCAAUCUGGGAACUUGGUGUGCUCUCUCCAACAUGCCUAGUGAACGCAUGUGUCCUCUGAUGCAGAUAUGAAAUAUGACGUUAUACAAAACAAAAGAAACACUGAAAUUAUACGGAUGAUUGGAAACCGGACUGCAUGUCGUCAAUGUACGGCCGGCACACGACGGAAAGCUGGAAAUCAUCUUGCUGAGACCAUCUGCAAUGGAAGUAAAACGGGUGGUCAGAAAAGGAUGCGAGAGAGGUUGAGGGUGGAAAGUGAUACGUCUCCAACGUAUCUAUAAAUUUUGAUUGUUCCAUGCUAUUAUAUUAUCUGUUUUGGAUGUUUAAUGGGCUUUACUAUGCACUUUUAUAUUAUUUUUGGGACUAACCUAUUAACCGAAGGCCCAGUGCAAAUUGCUCUUUUUUUGCCUAUUUCAGUGUUUCGCAGAAAAGGAAUAUUAAACGGAGUCCAAACGGAAUGAAACCUUCAGGAGAGUUAUUUUUGGAACAAAUGCAAUCUACGAGACUUGGGAUGGACAUCAAGAAAGAAACGAGGAGGCCACGAGGCAGGAGGACGCGCCCAGGGGCGUAGGCGCGCCCCCCACCCUCGUGGCUCCACCGACCUACUUCUUUCGCCUAUAUAUACUCAUAUACGCUGAAAACAUCCGAGAGCACCACAAAACCCUAUUUCCACCGCCGCAACCUUCUGUACUCGUGAGAUCCCAUCUUGGGGCCUUUUCCAGCGCUCCGCCGGAGGGGGAAUCGAUCACGGAGGGCUUCUACAUCAACACCAUAGCCUCUCCGAUGAUGUGUGAGUAGUUUACCACAGACCUUCGGGUCCAUAGUUUUUAGCUAGAUGGCUUCUUCUCUCUCUUUGGAUCUCAAUACAAAGUUCUCCUCGUUCUUCUUGGAGAUCUAUUCGAUGUAAUUCUUUUUGCGGUGUGUUUGUCGAGAUCUGAUGAAUUGUGGGUUUAUGCUCAAGAUUAUCUAUGAACAAUAUUUGAUUCUUCUCUGAAUUCUUGUAUGCAUGAUUUAAUUAUCUUUGCAAGUCUCUUCGAAUUAUCAGUUCGGUUUGGCCUACUAGAUUGAUCUUUCUUGCCAUGGGAGAAGUGCUUAGCUUUGGAUUCAAUCUUGCGAUGUCCUAUUCCAGUGACAGCAGGGGCAGCAAGGCACGUAUUGUAUUGUUGCCAUCGAGGAUAAAAAGAUGGGGUUUAUAUCAUAUUGCUUGAGUUUAUCCCUCUACAUCAUGUCAUCUUGCCUAAUGUGUUACUCUGUUCUUAUGAACUUAAUACUCUAGAUGCAUGCUGGAUAGCGGUCGAUGUGUGGAGUAAUAGUAGUAGAUGCAGAAUCGUUUCGGUCUACUUGUCGCGGACGUGAUGUCUAUAUACAUGAUCAUGCCUAGAUAUUCUUAUAACUAUGCGCUCUUCUAUCAAUUGCUCGACAGUAAUUCAUUCACCCACCGUAAAUUAUGCUAUCUUGAGAGAAGCCACUAGUGAAACCUAUGGCCCCCGGGUCUAUUUUUCAUCAUAUUAUUUUCCUAUCAAUUGAUUUUGCAAUCUUUACUUUCCAAUCUAUAUCAUAAAAAUACCAAAAAUGUUUAUCUUAUUAUCUCUAUCAGAUCUCACUUUUGCAUGUGGCCGUGAAGGGAUUGACAACCCCUUUAUCGCGUUGGUUGCAAGGUUCUUAUUUGUUUGUGUAGGUACGAGGCGACUUGUGUGUAACCUCCUACUGGAUUGAUACCUUGGUUCUCAAAACUGAGGGAAAUACUUACGCUACUUUGCUGCAUCACCCUUUCCUCUUCAAGGGAAAACCAACGCAUGCUCAAGAGGUAGCAAGAAGGAUUUCUGGCGCCAUUGCCGGGGAGGCUAACGCCAAGUCAAGACAUACCAAGUACCCAUCACAAACUCUUAUCCCUCGCAUUACAUUUUUUGCCAUUUGCCUCUCGUUUUCCUCUCCCCCACUUCACCCUUGUCGUUUUAUUCGCCUUCUUUUUCCGUCUCUUUUCGCUUGCUUUUUGCGUGCUCGUUCUUUGUGCAAUUUGCUGCCUUCAUGCCUGAAACUGGGGAGGUUAUCGUUAAUAAGGAUAGUAGUAAUAACAUGGAAAACUUUGAUGCUUUUGAUGAUCCUCAUGAAGAUCCUACUAUUUUACACACUAAAAAGUUUCGGAUUGAUAGUGGUAAUAUUAUUGGAAAAGGAGUUAUUCAAGAUUUCUUUACUUGUGCCGGUGCCCUGCCCUCUAUGGGUGGGUCUAUUCUUCAUAGAACUAGUAGUCUUGCGGAUGCUAUAUCCUUGCUCGUAGUUGAACUUGAAAGACAAUUUAUUCAUAUGCAUCCUUGCAUACAAAGGAUUUUUCUAGAGUUUUCCAAUAUCGAGCAUUCUUCUGUUAAGCGAGCAGCUACUAUCUUUUUGGCACAUGAGUUCAGAUUUAUAAUGAAAGAGGCCAAUGAAAUUUUUGCGCAUUAUAGGGUGAACGCGGGUCGUCCUCCCAUAGAAGCUAUACUUUUUAAUCAAGAAGACUUAAUGCGUUUACGAUCUUUAGAUCAUGUUGGUUACAAUGAAAACCUUAGAAAGAAGGUUCCUACCGAUGUUCUAGUUGAUAAAUUUUCUGAACUCAAUGAUGAAUUUGCUAUUCAAAACAACGGGUUAGGUUUUUCUCUUGAACAAAGGUUUAUGACGUAUUGCCAAAAGAAUGCUUAUAAUGAUGAAUUUUUUGUGCAAUACAAGGGGCCAAAGGAGGAACCCAUACCUCCCGAGCUUGAUCUUGGGGACUUUUGUCCCAUUAAAUUUAGCCCUUUUGAUUACUUUUGUUUGCCACAAAGGAAACUUUCUGCUGAACGUAGGGCAUAUGAGAUGAGUUCCCGCAAUUUGCCCUGCCAUUAUUAUGAUAAUACUUAGAUCUAUUCUUGCCUUUAUGCCUAGCUAGGGGCGUUAAACGAUAGCGCUUGUUUGGAGGCAACCCAAUUUUAUUUUUGUUUCUUGCUUUUUGGUUCUGUUUAGUAAUAAAUAAUUCAUCUAGCUUCUGUUAAGAUGUGUUUUCAUGUUUUAAAUUAGUGUUUGUGCCAAGUAGAACCUUUGGGAAGACUUGGCUGAAGUCUUUAUGAUCUUGCUGUAAAAAACAGAAACUUUAGCGCUCACGAGGUUAGCUGCCAUUUUUUACUGUAGAGUAAUUUUAGGUUGAUUCUUUCUGCAGAUGAUUAAUAGACAAAUUCCUCACGUCCACCAAUUUAUUUCAGAAUUUUUGGAGUUACAGAAGUAUACGCUUGAUCCAGAUUACUAAAGACUGUUCUGUUUUUGACAGAUUCUGUUUUUCGUGUGUUGUUUGCUUAUUUUGAUGAAUCUAUGGCUAGUAUCGGGGGGAGGGGGUAUGAACCAUAGAGAAGUUGGAAUACAGUAGGUUUAACACCAAUAUAAAUAAAGAAUGAGUUCAUUACAGUACCUUAUGGUGGUGAUUUGUUUUCUUAUACUAACGGAGCUCAUGAGAUUUUCUGUUGAGUUUUGUGUUGUGAAGUUUUCAAGUUUUGGGUAAAGAUUUGAUGGAUUAUGGAAUACGGAGUGGCAAGAGCCUAAGCUUGGGGAUGCCCAAGGCACCCCAAGGUAAAAUUCAAGGACAACCAAAAGGCUAAGCUUGGGGAUGGCCCGGAAGGCAUCCCCUCUUUCGUCCUCGUCUAUCGGUAACUUUACUUGAGGCUAUAUUUUUAUUCAUCACAUGAUAUGUGUUUUGCUUGGAGCGUCUUGUAUGAUUUGAGUCUUUGCUUUUUAGUUUACCACAAUCAUCCUUGCUGUACACACCUUUUGGGAGAGACACACAUGAAUCGGAAUUUAUUGGAAUACUCUAUGUGCUUCACUUACAUCUUUUGAGCUAGAUAAUUUUGCUCUAGUGCUUCGCUUAUAUCUUUUUAGAGCACGGUGGUGGUUUUAUUUAUAGAAAUUAUUGAUCUCUCAUGCUUCACUUAUAUUAUUUUGAGAGUCUAUUAGAACAGCAUGGUAGUUUGCUUUGGCUAUAAAAUUAGUCCUAAUAUGGUGAACAUCCAAGAUAGGUAUAAUAAAAACUAUCAUAUAAAGUGCAUCGAAUACUAUGAGAAGUUUGAUAAUUGAUAAUUGUUUUGAGAGAUGAAGAUGGUGAUAUUAGAGUCAUGCUAGUUGAGUAGUUAUGAAUUUGAGAAAUACUUGUUCUAAAUUUUGUGAUUCCCGUAGCAUGCACGUAUGGUGAACCGUUAUGUGAUUAAGUCGGAGCAUGAUUUAUUUAUUGAUUGUCUUCCUUAUGAGUGGCGGUCGGGGAUGGGCGAUGGUCUUUUCCUACCAAUCUAUCCCCCGAGGAGCAUGCGCGUAGUACUUUGUUUUGAUAACUAAUAGAUUUUUGCAAUAAUUAUGUGAGUUCUUUAUGACUAAUGUUGAGUACAUGGAUUAUACGCACUCUCACCCUUCCACCAUUGCUAGCCUCUCUAAUACCGCGCAUCUUUCGCCGGUAUCAUACACCCACCAUAUACCUUCCUCAAAACAGCCACCAUACCUGCCUAUUAUGGCAUUCCCAUAGCCAUUUCGAGAUAUAUUGCCAUGCAACUUACCACCGUUCCAUUUAUUAUGACACACUCCAUCAUUGUCAUAUUGCUUUGCAUGAUCAUGUAGUUGACAUCGUAUUUGUGGCAAAGCCACCUUUAUAAUUCUUUCAUACAUGUCAGUCUUGAUUCAUUGCAUAUCCCGGUACACCGCCGGAGGCAUUCACAUAGAGUCAUAUUUUGUUCUAGUAUUGAGUUGUAAUUCUCGAGCUGUAAGUAAAUAAAAGUGUGAUAAUCAUCAUUAUUAGAGCAUUGUCCCAAGUGAGGAAAGGAUGAUGGAGACUAUGAUUCCCCCACAAGUCGGGAUGAGACUCCGGACGAAAAAAAGGAGGCCAUAAAAAAAGAGAAAAGGGCCCAAAUGAAAAAAAGAUGAGAGAAAAAAGAGAGAAGGGACAAUGUUACUAUCCUUUUACCACACUUGUGCUUCAAAGUAGCACCAUGAUCGUCAUGAUAGAGAGUCUCCUAUGUUGUCACUUUCAUAUACUAGUGGGAAUUUUACAUUAUAGAACUUGGCUUGUAUAUUCCAAUGAUGGGCUUCCUCAAAAUGCCCUAGGUCUUCGUGAGCAAGCGAGUUGGAUGCACCCCCACUUAGUUUCUUUUGUUGAGCUUUCAUACUCUUAUAGCUCUAGUGCAUCUGUUGCAUGGCAAUCCCUACUCACUCACAUUGUCUAUUGAUGGGCAUCUCCAUAGCCCGUUGAUACGCCUAGUUGAUGUGAGCUAUCUUCUCCUUUUUGUCUUCUCCACAACCACCAUUCUAUUCCACAUAUAGUGUUAUGUCCAUGGCUCACGCUCAUGUAUUGCGUGAAGAUUGAAAAAGUUUGAGAACAUCAAAAGUAUGAAACAAUUGCUUGGCUUGUCGUCGGGGUUGUGCAUGAUUAAAUACUUUGUGUGAUGAAGAUAGAGCAUAGCCAGACUAUAUGAUUUUGUAGGGAUAACUUUGUUUGGCCAUGUUAUUUUGAGAAGACAUGAUUACUUUGUUAGUAUGCUUGAAGUAUUAUUAUUUUUAUGUCAAUAUUAAACUUUUGUCUUGAAUCUUUCGGAUCUGAACAUUCAUGCCACAAUAAAGAAGAAUACAUUGAGAAAUAUGCUAGGUAGCAUUCCACAUCAAAAAUUCUGUUUUUAUCAUUUACCUACUCGAGGACGAGCAGGAAUUAAGCUUGGGGAUGUUUGAUACGUCUCCAACGUAUCUAUAAAUUUUAAUUGUUCCAUGCUAUUAUAUUAUCUGUUUUGGAUGUUUAAUGGUCUUUACUAUGCACUUUUAUAUUAUUUUUGGGACUAACCUAUUAACCGAAGGCCCAGUGCAAAUUGCUGUUUUUUUGCCUAUUUCAGUGUUUCGCAGAAAAGGAAUAUUAAACGGAGUCCAAACGGAAUGAAACCUUCAGGAGAGUUAUUUUUGGAACAAAUGCAAUCUAGGAGACUUGGAGUGGACAUCAAGAAAGAAACGAGGAGGCCACGAGGCAGGAGGGCGCGCCCCCCACCCUCGUGGCUCCACCGACCUACUUCUUUCGCCUAUAUAUACUCAUAUACGCUGAAAACAUCCGAGAGCACCACAAAACCCUAUUUCCACCGCCGCAACCUUCUGUACUCGUGAGAUCCCAUCUUGGGGCCUUUUCCAGCGCUCCGCCGGAGGGGGAAUCGAUCACGGAGGGCUUCUACAUCAACACCAUAGCCUCUCCGAUGAUGUGUGAGUAGUUUACCACAGACCUUCGGGUCCAUAGUUUUUAGCUAGAUGGCUUCUUCUCUCUCUUUGGAUCUCAAUACAAAGUUCUCCUCGUUCUUCUUGGAGAUUUAUUCGAUGUAAUUCUUUUUGCGGUGUGUUUGUCGAGAUCUGAUGAAUUGUGGGUUUAUGCUCAAGAUUAUCUAUGAACAAUAUUUGAUUCUUCUCUGAAUUCUUGUAUGCAUGAUUUAAUUAUCUUUGCAAGUCUCUUCGAAUUAUCAGUUCGGUUUGGCCUACUAGAUUGAUCUUUCUUGCCAUGGGAGAAGUGCUUAGCUUUGGAUUCAAUCUUGCGAUGUCCUAUUCCAGUGACAGCAGGGGCAGCAAGGCACGUAUUGUAUUGUUGCCAUCGAGGAUAAAAAGAUGGGGUUUAUAUCAUAUUGCUUGAGUUUAUCCCUCUACAUCAUGUCAUCUUGCCUAAUGUGUUACUCUGUUCUUAUGAUCUUAAUACUCUAGAUGCAUGCUGGAUACGGUCGAUGUGUGGAGUAAUAGUAGUAGAUGCAGAAUCGUUUCGGUCUACUUGUCGCGGACGUGAUGUCUAUAUACAUGAUCAUGCCUAGAUAUUCUUAUAACUAUGCGCUCUUCUAUCAAUUGCUCGACAGUAAUUCAUUCACCCACCGUAAAUUAUGCUAUCUUGAGAGAAGCCACUAGUGAAACCUAUGGCCCCCGGGUCUAUUUUUCAUCAUAUUAUUUUCCUAUCAAUUGAUUUUGCAAUCUUUACUUUCCAAUCUAUAUCAUAAAAAUACCAAAAAUGUUUAUCUUAUUAUCUCUAUCAGAUCUCACUUUUGCAUGUGGCCGUGAAGGGAUUGACAACCCCUUUAUCGCGUUGGUUGCAAGGUUCUUAUUUGUUUGUGUAGGUACGAGGCGACUUGUGUGUAACCUCCUACUGGAUUGAUACCUUGGUUCUCAAAACUGAGGGAAAUACUUACGCUACUUUGCUGCAUCACCCUUUCCUCUUCAAGGGAAAACCAACGCAUGCUCAAGAGGUAGCAAGAAGGAUUUCUGGCGCCAUUGCCGGGGAGGCUAACGCCAAGUCAAGACAUACCAAGUACCCAUCACAAACUCUUAUCCCUCGCAUUACAUUUUUUGCCAUUUGCCUCUCGUUUUCCUCUCCCCCACUUCACCCUUGUCGUUUUAUUCGCCUUCUUUUUCCGUCUCUUUUCGCUUGCUUUUUGNNNNNNNNNNAGAGACACACAUGAAUCGGAAUUUAUUGGAAUACUCUAUGUGCUUCACUUACAUCUUUUGAGCUAGAUAAUUUUGCUCUAGUGCUUCGCUUAUAUCUUUUUAGAGCACGGUGGUGGUUUUAUUUAUAGAAAUUAUUGAUCUCUCAUGCUUCACUUAUAUUAUUUUGAGAGUCUAUUAGAACAGCAUGGUAGUUUGCUUUGGCUAUAAAAUUAGUCCUAAUAUGGUGAACAUCCAAGAUAGGUAUAAUAAAAACUAUCAUAUAAAGUGCAUCGAAUACUAUGAGAAGUUUGAUAAUUGAUAAUUGUUUUGAGAGAUGAAGAUGGUGAUAUUAGAGUCAUGCUAGUUGAGUAGUUAUGAAUUUGAGAAAUACUUGUUCUAAAUUUUGUGAUUCCCGUAGCAUGCACGUAUGGUGAACCGUUAUGUGAUUAAGUCGGAGCAUGAUUUAUUUAUUGAUUGUCUUCCUUAUGAGUGGCGGUCGGGGAUGGGCGAUGGUCUUUUCCUACCAAUCUAUCCCCCGAGGAGCAUGCGCGUAGUACUUUGUUUUGAUAACUAAUAGAUUUUUGCAAUAAUUAUGUGAGUUCUUUAUGACUAAUGUUGAGUACAUGGAUUAUACGCACUCUCACCCUUCCACCAUUGCUAGCCUCUCUAAUACCGCGCAUCUUUCGCCGGUAUCAUACACCCACCAUAUACCUUCCUCAAAACAGCCACCAUACCUGCCUAUUAUGGCAUUCCCAUAGCCAUUUCGAGAUAUAUUGCCAUGCAACUUACCACCGUUCCAUUUAUUAUGACACACUCCAUCAUUGUCAUAUUGCUUUGCAUGAUCAUGUAGUUGACAUCGUAUUUGUGGCAAAGCCACCUUUAUAAUUCUUUCAUACCUGUCAGUCUUGAUUCAUUGCAUAUCCCGGUACACCGCCGGAGGCAUUCACAUAGAGUCAUAUUUUGUUCUAGUAUUGAGUUGUAAUUCUCGAGCUGUAAGUAAAUAAAAGUGUGAUAAUCAUCAUUAUUAGAGCAUUGUCCCAAGUGAGGAAAGGAUGAUGGAGACUAUGAUUCCCCCACAAGUCGGGAUGAGACUCCGGACGAAAAAAAGGAGGCCAUAAAAAAAGAGAAAAGGGCCCAAAUGAAAAAAAGAUGAGAGAAAAAAGAGAGAAGGGACAAUGUUACUAUCCUUUUACCACACUUGUGCUUCAAAGUAGCACCAUGAUCGUCAUGAUAGAGAGUCUCCUAUGUUGUCACUUUCAUAUACUAGUGGGAAUUUUACAUUAUAGAACUUGGCUUGUAUAUUCCAAUGAUGGGCUUCCUCAAAAUGCCCUAGGUCUUCGUGAGCAAGCGAGUUGGAUGCACCCCCACUUAGUUUCUUUUGUUGAGCUUUCAUACUCUUAUAGCUCUAGUGCAUCUGUUGCAUGGCAAUCCCUACUCACUCACAUUGUCUAUUGAUGGGCAUCUCCAUAGCCCGUUGAUACGCCUAGUUGAUGUGAGCUAUCUUCUCCUUUUUGUCUUCUCCACAACCACCAUUCUAUUCCACAUAUAGUGUUAUGUCCAUGGCUCACGCUCAUGUAUUGCGUGAAGAUUGAAAAAGUUUGAGAACAUCAAAAGUAUGAAACAAUUGCUUGGCUUGUCGUCGGGGUUGUGCAUGAUUAAAUACUUUGUGUGAUGAAGAUAGAGCAUAGCCAGACUAUAUGAUUUUGUAGGGAUAACUUUGUUUGGCCAUGUUAUUUUGAGAAGACAUGAUUACUUUGUUAGUAUGCUUGAAGUAUUAUUAUUUUUAUGUCAAUAUUAAACUUUUGUCUUGAAUCUUUCGGAUCUGAACAUUCAUGCCACAAUAAAGAAGAAUACAUUGAGAAAUAUGCUAGGUAGCAUUCCACAUGUAAAAUUCUGUUUUUAUCAUUUACCUACUCGAGGACGAGCAGGAAUUAAGCUUGGGGAUGCUUGAUACGUCUCCAACGUAUCUAUAAAUUUUAAUUGUUCCAUGCUAUUAUAUUAUCUGUUUUGGAUGUUUAAUGGUCUUUACUAUGCACUUUUAUAUUAUUUUUGGGACUAACCUAUUAACCGAAGGCCCAGUGCAAAUUGCUGUUUUUUUGCCUAUUUCAGUGUUUCGCAGAAAAGGAAUAUUAAACGGAGUCCAAACGGAAUGAAACCUUCAGGAGAGUUAUUUUUGGAACAAAUGCAAUCUAGGAGACUUGGAGUGGACAUCAAGAAAGAAACGAGGAGGCCACGAGGCAGGAGGGCGCGCCCCCCACCCUCGUGGCUCCACCGACCUACUUCUUUCGCCUAUAUAUACUCAUAUACGCUGAAAACAUCCGAGAGCACCACAAAACCCUAUUUCCACCGCCGCAACCUUCUGUACUCGUGAGAUCCCAUCUUGGGGCCUUUUCCAGCGCUCCGCCGGAGGGGGAAUCGAUCACGGAGGGCUUCUACAUCAACACCAUAGCCUCUCCGAUGAUGUGUGAGUAGUUUACCACAGACCUUCGGGUCCAUAGUUUUUAGCUAGAUGGCUUCUUCUCUCUCUUUGGAUCUCAAUACAAAGUUCUCCUCGUUCUUCUUGGAGAUNNNNNNNNNNNNNNNNNNNNNNNNNNNNNNNNNNNNNNNNNNNNNNNNNNNNNNNNNNNNNNNNNNNNNNNNNNNNNNNNNNNNNNNNNNNNNNNNNNNNUCUAGAUGCAUGCUGGAUAGCGGUCGAUGUGUGGAGUAAUAGUAGUAGAUGCAGAAUCGUUUCGGUCUACUUGUCGCGGACGUGAUGUCUAUAUACAUGAUCAUGCCUAGAUAUUCUUAUAACUAUGCGCUCUUCUAUCAAUUGCUCGACAGUAAUUCAUUCACCCACCGUAAAUUAUGCUAUCUUGAGAGAAGCCACUAGUGAAACCUAUGGCCCCCGGGUCUAUUUUUCAUCAUAUUAUUUUCCUAUCAAUUGAUUUUGCAAUCUUUACUUUCCAAUCUAUAUCAUAAAAAUACCAAAAAUGUUUAUCUUAUUAUCUCUAUCAGAUCUCACUUUUGCAUGUGGCCGUGAAGGGAUUGACAACCCCUUUAUCGCGUUGGUUGCAAGGUUCUUAUUUGUUUGUGUAGGUACGAGGCGACUUGUGUGUAACCUCCUACUGGAUUGAUACCUUGGUUCUCAAAACUGAGGGAAAUACUUACGCUACUUUGCUGCAUCACCCUUUCCUCUUCAAGGGAAAACCAACGCAUGCUCAAGAGGUAGCAAGAAGGAUUUCUGGCGCCAUUGCCGGGGAGGCUAACGCCAAGUCAAGACAUACCAAGUACCCAUCACAAACUCUUAUCCCUCGCAUUACAUUUUUUGCCAUUUGCCUCUCGUUUUCCUCUCCCCCACUUCACCCUUGUCGUUUUAUUCGCCUUCUUUUUCCGUCUCUUUUCGCUUGCUUUUUGUGUGCCCGUUCUUUGUGCAAUUUGCUGCCUUCAUGCCUGAAAUUGGGGAGGUUAUCGUUAAUAAGGAUAGUAGUAAUAACAUAGAAAACUUUGAUGCUUUUGAUGAUCCUCAUGAAGAUCCUACUAUUUUACACACUAAAAAGUUUCGGAUUGAUAGUGGUAAUAUUAUUGGAAAAGGAGUUAUUCAAGAUUUCUUUACUUGUGCCGGUACCCUGCCCUCUAUGGGUGGGUCUAUUCUUCAUAGAACUAGUAGUCUUGCGGAUGCUAUAUCCUUGCUCGUAGUUGAACUUGAAAGACAAUUUAUUCAUAUGCAUCCUUGCAUACAAAGGAUUUUUCUAGAGUUUUCCAAUAUCGAGCAUUCUUCUGUUAAGCGAGCAGCUACUAUCUUUUUGGCACAUGAGUUCAGAUUUAUAAUGAAAGAGGCCAAUGAAAUUUUUGCGCAUUAUAGGGUGAACGCGGGUCGUCCUCCCAUAGAAGCUAUACUUUUUAAUCAAGAAGACUUAAUGCGUUUACGAUCUUUAGAUCAUGUUGGUUACAAUGAAAACCUUAGAAAGAAGGUUCCUACCGAUGUUCUAGUUGAUAAAUUUUCUGAACUCAAUGAUGAAUUUUCUAUUCAAAACAACGGGUUAGGUUUUUCUCUUGAACAAAGGUUUAUGACGUAUUGCCAAAAGAAUGCUUAUAAUGAUGAAUUUUUUGUGCAAUACAAGGGGCCAAAGGAGGAACCCAUACCUCCCGAGCUUGAUCUUGGGGACUUUUGUCCCAUUAAAUUUAGCCCUUUUGAUUACUUUUGUUUGCCACAAAGGAAACUUUCUGCUGAACGUAGGGCAUAUGAGAUGAGUUCCCGCAAUUUGCCCUGCCAUUAUUAUGAUAAUACUUAGAUCUAUUCCUGCCUUUAUGCCUAGCUAGGGGCGUUAAACGAUAGCGCUUGUUUGGAGGCAACCCAAUUUUAUUUUUGUUUCUUGCUUUUUGGUUCUGUUUAGUAAUAAAUAAUUCAUCUAGCUUCUGUUAAGAUGUGUUUUCAUGUUUUAAAUUAGUGUUUGUGCCAAGUAGAACCUUUGGGAAGACUUGGCUGAAGUCUUUAUGAUCUUGCUGUAAAAAACAGAAACUUUAGCGCUCACGAGGUUAGCUGCCAUUUUUUACUGUAGAGUAAUUUUAGGUUGAUUCUUUUUGCAGAUGAUUAAUAGACAAAUUCCUCACGUCCACCAAUUUAUUUCAGAAUUUUUGGAGUUACAGAAGUAUACGCUUGAUCCAGAUUACUAAAGACUGUUCUGUUUUUGACAGAUUCUGUUUUUCGUGUGUUGUUUGCUUAUUUUGAUGAAUCUAUGGCUAGUAUCGGGGGGAGGGGGUAUGAACCAUAGAGAAGUUGGAAUACAGUAGGUUUAACACCAAUAUAAAUAAAGAAUGAGUUCAUUACAGUACCUUAUGGUGGUGAUUUGUUUUCUUAUACUAACGGAGCUCAUGAGAUUUUCUGUUGAGUUUUGUGUUGUGAAGUUUUCAAGUUUUGGGUAAAGAUUUGAUGGAUUAUGGAAUACGGAGUGGCAAGAGCCUAAGCUUGGGGAUGCCCAAGGCACCCCAAGGUAAAAUUCAAGGACAACCAAAAGGCUAAGCUUGGGGAUGGCCCGGAAGGCAUCCCCUCUUUCGUCCUCGUCUAUCGGUAACUUUACUUGAGGCUAUAUUUUUAUUCAUCACAUGAUAUGUGUUUUGCUUGGAGCGUCUUGUAUGAUUUGAGUCUUUGCUUUUUAGUUUACCACAAUCAUCCUUGCUGUACACACCUUUUGGUAGAGACACACAUGAAUCGGAAUUUAUUGGAAUACUCUAUGUGCUUCACUUACAUCUUUUGAGCUAGAUAAUUUUGCUCUAGUGCUUCGCUUAUAUCUUUUUAGAGCACGGUGGUGGUUUUAUUUAUAGAAAUUAUUGAUCUCUCAUGCUUCACUUAUAUUAUUUUGAGAGUCUAUUAGAACAGCAUGGUAGUUUGCUUUGGCUAUAAAAUUAGUCCUAAUAUGGUGAACAUCCAAGAUAGGUAUAAUAAAAACUAUCAUAUAAAGUGCAUCGAAUACUAUGAGAAGUUUGAUAAUUGAUAAUUGUUUUGAGAGAUGAAGAUGGUGAUAUUAGAGUCAUGCUAGUUGAGUAGUUAUGAAUUUGAGAAAUACUUGUUCUAAAUUUUGUGAUUCCCGUAGCAUGCACGUAUGGUGAACCGUUAUGUGAUUAAGUCGGAGCAUGAUUUAUUUAUUGAUUGUCUUCCUUAUGAGUGGCGGUCGGGGAUGGGCGAUGGUCUUUUCCUACCAAUCUAUCCCCCGAGGAGCAUGCGCGUAGUACUUUGUUUUGAUAACUAAUAGAUUUUUGCAAUAAUUAUGUGAGUUCUUUAUGACUAAUGUUGAGUACAUGGAUUAUACGCACUCUCACCCUUCCACCAUUGCUAGCCUCUCUAAUACCGCGCAUCUUUCGCCGGUAUCAUACACCCACCAUAUACCUUCCUCAAAACAGCCACCAUACCUGCCUAUUAUGGCAUUCCCAUAGCCAUUUCGAGAUAUAUUGCCAUGCAACUUACCACCGUUCCAUUUAUUAUGACACACUCCAUCAUUGUCAUAUUGCUUUGCAUGAUCAUGUAGUUGACAUCGUAUUUGUGGCAAAGCCACCUUUAUAAUUCUUUCAUACCUGUCAGUCUUGAUUCAUUGCAUAUCCCGGUACACCGCCGGAGGCAUUCACAUAGAGUCAUAUUUUGUUCUAGUAUUGAGUUGUAAUUCUCGAGCUGUAAGUAAAUAAAAGUGUGAUAAUCAUCAUUAUUAGAGCAUUGUCCCAAGUGAGGAAAGGAUGAUGGAGACUAUGAUUCCCCCACAAGUCGGGAUGAGACUCCGGACGAAAAAAAGGAGGCCAUAAAAAAAGAGAAAAGGGCCCAAAUGAAAAAAAGAUGAGAGAAAAAAGAGAGAAGGGACAAUGUUACUAUCCUUUUACCACACUUGUGCUUCAAAGUAGCACCAUGAUCGUCAUGAUAGAGAGUCUCCUAUGUUGUCACUUUCAUAUACUAGUGGGAAUUUUACAUUAUAGAACUUGGCUUGUAUAUUCCAAUGAUGGGCUUCCUCAAAAUGCCCUAGGUCUUCGUGAGCAAGCGAGUUGGAUGCACCCCCACUUAGUUUCUUUUGUUGAGCUUUCAUACUCUUAUAGCUCUAGUGCAUCUGUUGCAUGGCAAUCCCUACUCACUCACAUUGUCUAUUGAUGGGCAUCUCCAUAGCCCGUUGAUACGCCUAGUUGAUGUGAGCUAUCUUCUCCUUUUUGUCUUCUCCACAACCACCAUUCUAUUCCACAUAUAGUGUUAUGUCCAUGGCUCACGCUCAUGUAUUGCGUGAAGAUUGAAAAAGUUUGAGAACAUCAAAAGUAUGAAACAAUUGCUUGGCUUGUCGUCGGGGUUGUGCAUGAUUAAAUACUUUGUGUGAUGAAGAUAGAGCAUAGCCAGACUAUAUGAUUUUGUAGGGAUAACUUUGUUUGGCCAUGUUAUUUUGAGAAGACAUGAUUACUUUGUUAGUAUGCUUGAAGUAUUAUUAUUUUUAUGUCAAUAUUAAACUUUUGUCUUGAAUCUUUCGGAUCUGAACAUUCAUGCCACAAUAAAGAAGAAUACAUUGAGAAAUAUGCUAGGUAGCAUUCCACAUCAAAAAUUCUGUUUUUAUCAUUUACCUACUCGAGGACGAGCAGGAAUUAAGCUUGGGGAUGCUUGAUACGUCUCCAACGUAUCUAUAAAUUUUAAUUGUUCCAUGCUAUUAUAUUAUCUGUUUUGGAUGUUUAAUGGUCUUUACUAUGCACUUUUAUAUUAUUUUUGGGACUAACCUAUUAACCGAAGGCCCAGUGCAAAUUGCUGUUUUUUUGCCUAUUUCAGUGUUUCGCAGAAAAGGAAUAUUAAACGGAGUCCAAACGGAAUGAAACCUUCAGGAGAGUUAUUUUUGGAACAAAUGCAAUCUAGGAGACUUGGAGUGGACAUCAAGAAAGAAACGAGGAGGCCACGAGGCAGGAGGGCGCGCCCCCCACCCUCGUGGCUCCACCGACCUACUUCUUUCGCCUAUAUAUACUCAUAUACCCUGAAAACAUCCGAGAGCACCACAAAACCCUAUUUCCACCGCCGCAACCUUCUGUACUCGUGAGAUCCCAUCUUGGGGCCUUUUCCAGCGCUCCGCCGGAGGGGGAAUCGAUCACGGAGGGCUUCUACAUCAACACCAUAGCCUCUCCGAUGAUGUGUGAGUAGUUUACCACAGACCUUCGGGUCCAUAGUUUUUAGCUAGAUGGCUUCUUCUCUCUCUUUGGAUCUCAAUACAAAGUUCUCCUCGUUCUUCUUGGAGAUCUAUUCGAUGUAAUUCUUUUUGCGGUGUGUUUGUCGAGAUCUGAUGAAUUGUGGGUUUAUGCUCAAGAUUAUCUAUGAACAAUAUUUGAUUCUUCUCUGAAUUCUUGUAUGCAUGAUUUAAUUAUCUUUGCAAGUCUCUUCGAAUUAUCAGUUCGGUUUGGCCUACUAGAUUGAUCUUUCUUGCCAUGGGAGAAGUGCUUAGCUUUGGAUUCAAUCUUGCGAUGUCCUAUUCCAGUGACAGCAGGGGCAGCAAGGCACGUAUUGUAUUGUUGCCAUCGAGGAUAAAAAGAUGGGGUUUAUAUCAUAUUGCUUGAGUUUAUCCCUCUACAUCAUGUCAUCUUGCCUAAUGUGUUACUCUGUUCUUAUGAACUUAAUACUCUAGAUGCAUGCUGGAUAGCGGUCGAUGUGUGGAGUAAUAGUAGUAGAUGCAGAAUCGUUUCGGUCUACUUGUCGCGGACGUGAUGUCUAUAUACAUGAUCAUGCCUAGAUAUUCUUAUAACUAUGCGCUCUUCUAUCAAUUGCUCGACAGUAAUUCAUUCACCCACCGUAAAUUAUGCUAUCUUGAGAGAAGCCACUAGUGAAACCUAUGGCCCCCGGGUCUAUUUUUCAUCAUAUUAUUUUCCUAUCAAUUGAUUUUGCAAUCUUUACUUUCCAAUCUAUAUCAUAAAAAUACCAAAAAUGUUUAUCUUAUUAUCUCUAUCAGAUCUCACUUUUGCAUGUGGCCGUGAAGGGAUUGACAACCCCUUUAUCGCGUUGGUUGCAAGGUUCUUAUUUGUUUGUGUAGGUACGAGGCGACUUGUGUGUAACCUCCUACUGGAUUGAUACCUUGGUUCUCAAAACUGAGGGAAAUACUUACGCUACUUUGCUGCAUCACCCUUUCCUCUUCAAGGGAAAACCAACGCAUGCUCAAGAGGUAGCAAGAAGGAUUUCUGGCGCCAUUGCCGGGGAGGCUAACGCCAAGUCAAGACAUACCAAGUACCCAUCACAAACUCUUAUCCCUCGCAUUACAUUUUUUGCCAUUUGCCUCUCGUUUUCCUCUCCCCCACUUCACCCUUGUCGUUUUAUUCGCCUUCUUUUUCCGUCUCUUUUCGCUUGCUUUUUGUGUGCUCGUUCUUUGUGCAAUUUGCUGCCUUCAUGCCUGAAACUGGGGAGGUUAUCGUUAAUAAGGAUAGUAGUAAUAACAUGGAAAACUUUGAUGCUUUUGAUGAUCCUCAUGAAGAUCCUACUAUUUUACACACUAAAAAGUUUCGGAUUGAUAGUGGUAAUAUUAUUGGAAAAGGAGUUAUUCAAGAUUUCUUUACUUGUGCCGGUGCCCUGCCCUCUAUGGGUGGGUCUAUUCUUCAUAGAACUAGUAGUCUUGCGGAUGCUAUAUCCUUGCUCGUAGUUGAACUUGAAAGACAAUUUAUUCAUAUGCAUCCUUGCAUACAAAGGAUUUUUCUAGAGUUUUCCAAUAUCGAGCAUUCUUCUGUUAAGCGAGCAGCUACUAUCUUUUUGGCACAUGAGUUCAGAUUUAUAAUGAAAGAGGCCAAUGAAAUUUUUGCGCAUUAUAGGGUGAACGCGGGUCGUCCUCCCAUAGAAGCUAUACUUUUUAAUCAAGAAGACUUAAUGCGUUUACGAUCUUUAGAUCAUGUUGGUUACAAUGAAAACCUUAGAAAGAAGGUUCCUACCGAUGUUCUAGUUGAUAAAUUUUCUGAACUCAAUGAUGAAUUUGCUAUUCAAAACAACGGGUUAGGUUUUUCUCUUGAACAAAGGUUUAUGACGUAUUGCCAAAAGAAUGCUUAUAAUGAUGAAUUUUUUGUGCAAUACAAGGGGCCAAAGGAGGAACCCAUACCUCCCGAGCUUGAUCUUGGGGACUUUUGUCCCAUUAAAUUUAGCCCUUUUGAUUACUUUUGUUUGCCACAAAGGAAACUUUCUGCUGAACGUAGGGCAUAUGAGAUGAGUUCCCGCAAUUUGCCCUGCCAUUAUUAUGAUAAUACUUAGAUCUAUUCUUGCCUUUAUGCCUAGCUAGGGGCGUUAAACGAUAGCGCUUGUUUGGAGGCAACCCAAUUUUAUUUUUGUUUCUUGCUUUUUGGUUCUGUUUAGUAAUAAAUAAUUCAUCUAGCUUCUGUUAAGAUGUGUUUUCAUGUUUUAAAUUAGUGUUUGUGCCAAGUAGAACCUUUGGGAAGACUUGGCUGAAGUCUUUAUGAUCUUGCUGUAAAAAACAGAAACUUUAGCGCUCACGAGGUUAGCUGCCAUUUUUUACUGUAGAGUAAUUUUAGGUUGAUUCUUUUUGCAGAUGAUUAAUAGACAAAUUCCUCACGUCCACCAAUUUAUUUCAGAAUUUUUGGAGUUACAGAAGUAUACUCUUGAUCCAGAUUACUAAAGACUGUUCUGUUUUUGACAGAUUCUGUUUUUCGUGUGUUGUUUGCUUAUUUUGAUGAAUCUAUGGCUAGUAUCGGGGGGAGGGGGUAUGAACCAUAGAGAAGUUGGAAUACAGUAGGUUUAACACCAAUAUAAAUAAAGAAUGAGUUCAUUACAGUACCUUAUGGUGGUGAUUUGUUUUCUUAUACUAACGGAGCUCAUGAGAUUUUCUGUUGAGUUUUGUGUUGUGAAGUUUUCAAGUUUUGGGUAAAGAUUUGAUGGAUUAUGGAAUACGGAGUGGCAAGAGCCUAAGCUUGGGGAUGCCCAAGGCACCCCAAGGUAAAAUUCAAGGACAACCAAAAGGCUAAGCUUGGGGAUGGCCCGGAAGGCAUCCCCUCUUUCGUCCUCGUCUAUCGGUAACUUUACUUGAGGCUAUAUUUUUAUUCAUCACAUGAUAUGUGUUUUGCUUGGAGCGUCUUGUAUGAUUUGAGUCUUUGCUUUUUAGUUUACCACAAUCAUCCUUGCUGUACACACCUUUUGGGAGAGACACACAUGAAUCGGAAUUUAUUGGAAUACUCUAUGUGCUUCACUUACAUCUUUUGAGCUAGAUAAUUUUGCUCUAGUGCUUCGCUUAUAUCUUUUUAGAGCACGGUGGUGGUUUUAUUUAUAGAAAUUAUUGAUCUCUCAUGCUUCACUUAUAUUAUUUUGAGAGUCUAUUAGAACAGCAUGGUAGUUUGCUUUGGCUAUAAAAUUAGUCCUAAUAUGGUGAACAUCCAAGAUAGGUAUAAUAAAAACUAUCAUAUAAAGUGCAUCGAAUACUAUGAGAAGUUUGAUAAUUGAUAAUUGUUUUGAGAGAUGAAGAUGGUGAUAUUAGAGUCAUGCUAGUUGAGUAGUUAUGAAUUUGAGAAAUACUUGUUCUAAAUUUUGUGAUUCCCGUAGCAUGCACGUAUGGUGAACCGUUAUGUGAUUAAGUCGGAGCAUGAUUUAUUUAUUGAUUGUCUUCCUUAUGAGUGGCGGUCGGGGAUGGGCGAUGGUCUUUUCCUACCAAUCUAUCCCCCGAGGAGCAUGCGCGUAGUACUUUGUUUUGAUAACUAAUAGAUUUUUGCAAUAAUUAUGUGAGUUCUUUAUGACUAAUGUUGAGUACAUGGAUUAUACGCACUCUCACCCUUCCACCAUUGCUAGCCUCUCUAAUACCGCGCAUCUUUCGCCGGUAUCAUACACCCACCAUAUACCUUCCUCAAAACAGCCACCAUACCUGCCUAUUAUGGCAUUCCCAUAGCCAUUUCGAGAUAUAUUGCCAUGCAACUUACCACCGUUCCAUUUAUUAUGACACACUCCAUCAUUGUCAUAUUGCUUUGCAUGAUCAUGUAGUUGACAUCGUAUUUGUGGCAAAGCCACCUUUAUAAUUCUUUCAUACCUGUCAGUCUUGAUUCAUUGCAUAUCCCGGUACACCGCCGGAGGCAUUCACAUAGAGUCAUAUUUUGUUCUAGUAUUGAGUUGUAAUUCUCGAGCUGUAAGUAAAUAAAAGUGUGAUAAUCAUCAUUAUUAGAGCAUUGUCCCAAGUGAGGAAAGGAUGAUGGAGACUAUGAUUCCCCCACAAGUCGGGAUGAGACUCCGGACGAAAAAAAGGAGGCCAUAAAAAAAGAGAAAAGGGCCCAAAUGAAAAAAAGAUGAGAGAAAAAAGAGAGAAGGGACAAUGUUACUAUCCUUUUACCACACUUGUGCUUCAAAGUAGCACCAUGAUCGUCAUGAUAGAGAGUCUCCUAUGUUGUCACUUUCAUAUACUAGUGGGAAUUUUACAUUAUAGAACUUGGCUUGUAUAUUCCAAUGAUGGGCUUCCUCAAAAUGCCCUAGGUCUUCGUGAGCAAGCGAGUUGGAUGCACCCCCACUUAGUUUCUUUUGUUGAGCUUUCAUACUCUUAUAGCUCUAGUGCAUCUGUUGCAUGGCAAUCCCUACUCACUCACAUUGUCUAUUGAUGGGCAUCUCCAUAGCCCGUUGAUACGCCUAGUUGAUGUGAGCUAUCUUCUCCUUUUUGUCUUCUCCACAACCACCAUUCUAUUCCACAUAUAGUGUUAUGUCCAUGGCUCACGCUCAUGUAUUGCGUGAAGAUUGAAAAAGUUUGAGAACAUCAAAAGUAUGAAACAAUUGCUUGGCUUGUCGUCGGGGUUGUGCAUGAUUAAAUACUUUGUGUGAUGAAGAUAGAGCAUAGCCAGACUAUAUGAUUUUGUAGGGAUAACUUUGUUUGGCCAUGUUAUUUUGAGAAGACAUGAUUACUUUGUUAGUAUGCUUGAAGUAUUAUUAUUUUUAUGUCAAUAUUAAACUUUUGUCUUGAAUCUUUCGGAUCUGAACAUUCAGAAGUAUACGCUUGAUCCAGAUUACUAAAGACUGUUCUGUUUUUGACAGAUUCUGUUUUUCGUGUGUUGUUUGCUUAUUUUGAUGAAUCUAUGGCUAGUAUUGGGGGGAGGGGGGUAUGAACCAUAGAGAAGUUGGAAUACAGUAGGUUUAACACCAAUAUAAAUAAAGAAUGAUUUCAUUACAGUACCUUAUGGUGGUGAUUUGUUUUCUUAUACUAACAGAGCUCAUGAGAUUUUCUGUUGAGUUUUGUGUUGUGAAGUUUUCAAGUUUUGGGUAAAGAUUUGAUGGAUUAUGGAAUACGGAGUGGCAAGAGCCUAAGCUUGGGGAUGCCCAAGGCACCCCAAGGUAAAAUUCAAGGACAACCAAAAGGCUAAGCUUGGGGAUGCCGCGGAAGGCAUCCCCUCUUUCGUCUUCGUCUAUCGGUAACUUUACUUGAGGCUAUAUUUUUAUUCAUCACAUGAUAUGUGUUUUUCUUGGAGCGUCUUGUAUGAUUUGAGUCUUUGCUUUUUAGUUUACCACAAUCAUCCUUGCUGUACACACCUUUUGGGAGAGACAUACAUGAAUCGGAAUUUAUUGGAAUACUCUAUGUGCUUCACUUAUAUCUUUUGAGCUAGAUAAUUUUGCUCUAGUGCUUCGCUUAUAUCUUUUUAGAGCACGGUGGUGGUUUUAUUUAUAGAAAUUAUUGAUCUCUCAUGCUUCACUUAUAUUAUUUUGAGAGUCUAUUAGAACAGCAUGCUAGUUUGCUUUGGCUAUAAAAUUAGUCCUAAUAUGGUGAACAUCCAAGAUAGGUAUAAUAAAAACUAUCAUAUAAAGUGCAUCGAAUACUAUGAGAAGUUUGAUAAUUGAUAAUUGUUUUGAGAGAUGAAGAUGGUGAUAUUAGAGUCAUGCUAGUUGAGUAGUUAUGAAUUUGAGAAAUACUUGUUCUAAAUUUUGUGAUUCCCGUAGCAUGCACGUAUGGUGAACCGUUAUGUGAUUAAGUCGGAGCAUGAUUUAUUUAUUGAUUGUCUUCCUUAUGAGUGGCGGUCGGGGAUGAGCGAUGGUCUUUUCCUACCAAUCUAUCCCCCUAGGAGCAUGCGCGUAGUACUUUGUUUCGAUAACUAAUAGAUUUUUGCAAUAAGUAUGUGAGUUCUUUAUGACUAAUGUUGAGUACAUGGAUUAUACGCACUCUCACCCUUCCACCAUUGCUAGCCUCUCUAAUACCGCGCAUCUUUCGCCGGUAUCAUACACCCACCAUAUACCUUCCUCAAAACAGCCACCAUACCUACCUAUUAUGGCAUUUCCAUAGCCAUUCCGAGAUAUAUUGCCAUGCAACUUACCACCGUUCCAUUUAUUAUGACACGCUCCAUCAUUGUCAUAUUGCUUUGCAUGAUCAUGUAGUUGACAUCGUAUUUGUGGCAAAGCCACCUUUAUAAUUCUUUCAUACAUGUCACUCUUGAUUCAUUGCAUAUCCCGGUACACCGCCGGAGGCAUUCACAUAGUCAUAUUUUGUUCUAGUAUUGAGUUGUAAUUCUCGAGCUGUAAGUAAAUAAAAGUGUGAUAAUCAUCAUUAUUAGAGCAUUGUCCCAAGUGAGGAAAGGAUGAUGGAGACUAUGAUUCCCCCACAAGUCGGGAUGAGACUCCGGACGAAAAAAAGGAGGCCAUAAAAAAAGAGAAAAAGGCCCAAAUGAAAAAAAGAUGAGAGAAAAAAGAGAGAAGGGACAAUGUUACUAUCCUUUUACCACACUUGUGCUUCAAAGUAGCACCAUGAUCUUCAUGAUAGAGAGUCUCCUAUGUUGUCACUUUCAUAUACUAGUGGGAAUUUUACAUUAUAGAACUUGGCUUGUAUAUUCCAAUGAUGGGCUUCCUCAAAAUGCCCUAGGUCUUCGUGAGCAAGCGAGUUGGAUGCACCCCUACUUAGUUUCUUUUGUUGAGCUUUCAUACUCUUAUAGCUCUAGUGCAUCCGUUGCAUGGCAAUCCCUACUCACUCACAUUGUCUAUUGAUGGGCAUCUCCAUAGCCCGUUGAUACGCCUAGUUGAUGUGAGCUAUCUUCUCCUUUUUGUCUUCUCCACAACCACCAUUCUAUUCCACAUAUAGUGUUAUGUCCAUGGCUCACGCUCAUGUAUUGCGUGAAGAUUGAAAAAGUUUGAGAAUAUCAAAAGUAUGAAACAAUUGCUUGGCUUGUCAUCGGGGUUGUGCAUGAUUAAAUACUUUGUGUGAUGAAGAUAGAGCAUACACUAGUAGAAAAAGAGGCUUCCAUACGCCCCCAUUAGUCCCCAAAAUAAUCGAACCGCGAUUAAAGGGGUCUUUAGUCGCGGUUCGGGAGGAGGCCCGCGACCAACUAUCUGGGCCCAGCGCGCGCUGGCGGACGGGAGGGGCUUUAGUCCCGGUUGGCCUGGCCAACCGGGACUAAAGGUCCUCAGGCUGGCCCGAAGGCCUUUAGUCGCGGUUGGCCAGGCCAACCGGGACUAAAGGUUAGACCUUNNNNNNNNNNNNNNNNNNNNNNNNNNNNNNNNNNNNNNNNNNNNNNNNNNNNNNNNNNNNNNNNNNNNNNNNNNNNNNNNNNNNNNNNNNNNNNNNNNNNNNNNNNNNNNNNNNNNNNNNNNNNNNNNNNNNNNNNNNNNNNNNNNNNNNNNNNNNNNNNNNNNNNNNNNNNNNNNNNNNNNNNNNNNNNNNNNNNNNNNNNNNNNNNNNNNNNNNNNNNNNNNNNNNNNNNNNNNNNNNNNNNNNNNNNNNNNNNNNNNNNNNNNNNNNNNNNNNNNNNNNNNNNNNNNNNNNNNNNNNNNNNNNNNNNNNNNNNNNNNNNNNNNNNNNNNNNNNNNNNNNNNNNNNNNNNNNNNNNNNNNNNNNNNNNNNNNNNNNNNNNNNNNNNNNNNNNNNNNNNNNNNNNNNNNNNNNNNNNNNNNNNNNNNNNNNNNNNNNNNNNNNNNNNNNNNNNNNNNNNNNNNNNNNNNNNNNNNNNNNNNNNNNNNNNNNNNNNNNNNNNNNNNNNNNNNNNNNNNNNNNNNNNNNNNNNNNNNNNNNNNNNNNNNNNNNNNNNNNNNNNNNNNNNNNNNNNNNNNNNNNNNNNNNNNAACCGCGACUAAUGGCCCGAACCUUUAGUCGCGGUUGGCCAGACCAACCGGCACUAAAGGAGGCCUCAUUUUCAAACUCUACCCCCCCCCCUGGUGGAUCGCCUUUUUAGUUUUAGAAAAAACAAAAGAAAAUGAUGGAAAUGUCAAAAAAAAAAUUAAAAUAAGUUUUCCAUGUGAUAUGUGGUCUAGUUGUUGGGAAAAUUAACAAAUAUGAAUUUCGACUUUAUUUGCAAAAUCUCUCUGGAAAUUCUUAAAAUGGGCAUAACUUUUGCAUACGAACUCGGAUGAAAAAGUUUUUUAUAUGAAAAAUCAUCUACUCGAAAAGUUACAUCCGAAUUUAACACCAUCUAGACCUAGUGAACCUACUUAAGUCAUACCGGAAAAACAUAUACCUGUUUCAGAUAAUCAUCCAUGAACAUGAUUGCAUGGUCAUCCUGCCCAGUAUUGAGUUUGAAUACACGGAGUACUCUGUCUUUCUUCAGUGACUACAAAAAGUAUUUCUAUGUUCAGGUUUCAUCAGAGCAAGGAAAAAUUAUCUCUGAUGCAAUUGGAUAUUAAUAUACAUUAGUCUACGAUAAUCACCAAAAUUUAACACGAGAAUCGCUAGAAAAGAAUCCAAAGGUAAAACACAAACUUAUCAUUGCAUUACAAAAGUGGUGUCCACAUACGGGGCUUUAGAAUCCUCAAAUUGGAACCCCGUUAAACAUUUUUAGAAUCCUCAAAAACCUAACAGAAAAAAAGAUACGGGGCUUUUAAGAUCUAGAGUGGAAAAAAAAUUCAAAAAAAUUCAAAUUGUGGUCAAACUGUGGUCAAACAAUGGUCAAAAUAAUUAUUCUAGAAUAUUAGUGUUACUAAAUAAUUAUUUCUUUUUUUAAAUUUUGGUCAAAUCUGGUCAAACUGUGGUCAAACUGUGGUCAAACAAUGGUCAAACUAAUUAUUCCAGAAAUAUUAGUGUUACUAAAUAAUUAUUGUUUUUUAAAACAAUAGUUUCAAACUCAAACAGUGAAAUGUGUCACUUCAUGCUCAAGCUAAAUUCCUGAGGGUUAAUAGAAUUGACAUCCUACUAUUGUCAGGAAAACAACAAGUGCAGACUUGGAAACGAGGGAGAAUAGAACCCGGAAGUUAAGCGUGCUCAGGCUGGAGUAGUGAGAGGAUGGGUGACCGUCCGGGAAGUUAGAUGAUUUGGAAUGAUGAGGGGUGAUUAGAGAUUAGAGGAUAAAUUGAGCAGUGAUGAGGGGUGGCAGUGAUGAGGGGUGGUGAUUAGAGAUUAGAGGUUGAAAUAAAUCAGAAAUUUAAAAAUAAAAAAAAUAAAAAAAAUUCACAAAAAAACCAGGUUUAAACCUACGGAGGAGGCCUUUAGUCCCGGUCAGCCAUGAAAACCGGGACUAAAGGACGGGCCUUUAGUCCCGGUCAGCCACAAGAACCGGGACUAAAGCCUUUAGUCGCGGUUCGUAAGAGGCGCGACUAAAGGGGGGGGUCUUUAGUCGCGCAUAUUUAGUCCCGGUUGCACAGCCGGGACUAAAGGCCUUUGCGAACCGGGACUAAAGGCCUUUUUUCUACCAGUGAUAGCCAGACUAUAUGAUUUUGUAGGGAUAACUUUGUUUGGCCAUGUUAUUUUGAGAAGACAUGAUUACUUUGUUAGUAUGCUUGAAGUAUUAUUAUUUUUAUGUCAAUAUUAAACUUUUGUCUUGAAUCUUUCGGAUCUGAACAUUCAUGCCACAAUAAAGCAGAAUACAUUGAGAAAUAUGCUAGGUAGCAUUCCACAUCAAAAAUUCUGUUUUUAUCAUUUACCUACUCGAGGACGAGCAGGAAUUAAGCUUGGGGAUGUUUGAUACGUCUCCAACGUAUCUAUAAAUUUUGAUUGUUCCAUGCUAUUAUAUUAUCUGUUUUGGAUGUUUAAUGGGCUUUACUAUGCACUUUUAUAUUAUUUUUGGGACUAACCUAUUAACCGAAGGCCCAGUGCAAAUUGUUGUUUUUUCGCCUAUUUCAGUGUUUCGCAGAAAAGGAAUAUCAAACAGAGUCCAAACGGAAUGAAACAUUCGGGAGAGUUAUUUUGGAACAAAUGCAAUCCAGGAGACUUGGAGUGGACGUCAAGAAAGAAACAAGGAGGCCACGAGGCAGGAGGGCGCGCCCAGGGGGGUAGGCGCGCCCCCCACCCUCGUGGGCCCCUCGUGGCUCCACCGACCUACUUCUUUCGCCUAUAUAUACUCAUAUACCCUGAAAACAACCGAGAGCACCACGAAACCCUAUUUCCACCGCCGCAACCUUCUGUACCUGUGAGAUCCCAUCUUGGGGCCUUUUCCAGCGCUCCGCCGGAGGGGGAAUCGAUCACGGAGGGCUUCUACAUCAACACCAUAGCCUCUCCGAUGAUGUGUGAGUAGUUUACCACAGACCUUCGGGUCCAUAGUUUUUAGCUAGAUGGCUUCUUCUCUCUUUUUGGAUCUCAAUACAAAGUUCUCCUCGAUCUUCUUGGAGAUCUAUUCGAUGUAAUUCUUUUUGCGGUGUAUUUGUCGAGAUCCGAUAAAUUGUGGGUUUAUGAUCAAGAUUAUCUAUCAACAAUAUUUGAUUCUUCUCUGAAUUCUUUUAUGCAUGAUUUAAUUAUCUUUGCAAGUCUCUUCGAAUUAUCAGUUUGGUUUGGCCUACUAGAUUGAUCUUUCUUGCCAUGAGAGAAGUGCUUAGCUUUGGGUUCAAUCUCGCGGUGUCCUUUCCCAGUGACAGCAGGGGCAGCAAGGCACGUAGUGUAUUGUUGCCAUCGAGAAUAAAAAGAUGAGGUUUAUAUCAUAUUGCUUGAGUUUAUCCCUCUGCAUCAUGUCAUCUUGCCUAAUGCGUUACUCUGUUCUUAUGAACUUAAUACUCUAGAUGAAUGCUGGAUAGCGGUUGAUGUGUGGAGUAAUAGUAGUAGAUGCAGAAUCGUUUUGGUCUACUUGUCGCGGACGUGAUGCCUAUAUACAUGAUCAUGCGUAGAUAUUCUCAUAACUAUGCGCUUUUCUAUCAAUUGCUCGACAGUAAUUCGUUCACCCACCGUAAAUUAUGCUAUCUUGAGAGAAGCCACUAGUGAAACCUAUGGCCCCUGGGUCUAUUUUCCAUCAUAUUGUUUUCCUAUCAAUUUACUAUUCCUUCCGUCUUUUAUUUUGCAAUCUUUACUUUCCAAUCUAUAUCAUAAAAAUACGAAAAAAAAAUUAUCUUAUUAUCUCUACCAGAUCUCACUUUGACAAGUGGCCGUGAAGGGAUUGACAACCCUUCAUCGCGUUGGUUGCAAAGUUCUUAUUUGUUUGUGUAGGUUCGAGGCGACUUGUGUGUAACCUCCUACUGGAUUGAUACCUUGGUUCUCAAAACUGAGGGAAAUACUUACGCUACUUUGUUGCAUCACCCUUUCCUUUUUAAGGGAAAACCAACGCAUGCUCAAGAGGUAGCAGAAAGCAAGGGGAAGGUAGGGGAAUGAGUGAGUACCUUGAGCGCUGGCGGUGGUGGGGAGAAGCGGGAUGGGGGCCUGGAGGACGCAGAAGGUGAGAGGGCGACUCGCCCCUCCGCCUCCCUGAACCUACUGCGAGCGGUGGGAUUCGGGACAGGCUGUGCCGGCGAGCGGCUGCGGCCGGAGGCGGUCCGGCCGACGAGGGGGAGGAAGACGCAGAUCGGCCUAAAACCAGAAGAAGAAAAACAGCUCGCGGGAAGAAUGGGCCGCCCAUUUUUCUUAACGACCUGUUAUUUUAUAGGAGCUACUAGAUAUUUUAUCCGCCGAAUCUACAUUGUAUUCCUAUGAACUUUUAUAUAAUCAAUAAAGUGGACUGUGUUUAGACUCAAAAAAUUAUAGAUAUUUAAAUUAAAACCUAUUAAAAAUAGAAACAUGUAUUUUAGAGAAAAAAAAUCAGUAUGUGUUUUAUAAAAGAGUAAUAUGUCUAUAUUGAAAAAAGUUCACCCAUGUAUUAAAAAAUUGUUCAAUAUUUCCGCAAAAACAAAUGUUCAAUAUGUAAUAAUAAAAUGUUUGAUGUAUACAAUAAAAAUGUCCGUCGUAUAUUAAAACAUGUUAGACGGAUGCAAAAAAUGAUCAUUGUAUAUCAUUAAAAAAAUCAGUGUGAAUUCAGAAAGUUCAUCGUGUACUGAAAAAUCACAUGUCAUAAAAGAGAUCAGUGUGUAUAUGUAAACUUUUUACCGUAUACUAAAAACAGUUCAUUGUACAUUUAACAAAUAUUCACUGUAUAUUAGAAAAAAAAUCACCAUAUAUUGAAAAAGAUACAAAAAGGAAAAGGUGCAGAAAGGAUAACAGGAAAAGGAAAAUCUGAAAAGGGACAAGGGAAAAGGGAGAAAGAAAAAAUGAAACAAAAAUAAAUAGAAAAUAGAACAAAAAACGAAAAUAGCAAACCAAUGAAGGACACUUGGGCCGACCGAUUUGCGCUGCCUAUUUGCGGCCUGCGGGUGGAUAUUAGGAUUUGGCCUCGUGGCCAGUACACCUAACACCACCCAACGCUUAUGUUGGGCCUAAUCACUCGCUCUAGGCUGUGGGCCUCUCUCUUCCAACCCCAGCCAUCAUCAUUUCCCUAAAAGGAAAAUUAAAUAAACAUUCACUCUUCUCGAACGUUGUCCAUAGAGAGAUGGGCGAAUUCCAGAUCUUUGCAUGUCAUGUAGAUUGUGAUUUCUCUAUUACUCCCUCCGUUUCAAAAUACUUGACUUCUAUUUGUUCAAAAAUGGAUGUACCUAUAUACUAAAACAUGUCUAAAUACAUCUAUAUUUUGACAAAUGGAAGGCAUGUAUUGUGGAACGGAGGGAGGUCAAGGAGGAAAGGGGAAGAAGAAGUAAGAAAAGGGUGGAAUGUGUUGCUUCAAAGGUGAGGCUACGACGAUGUUGUUGUUAGAAAUGAAUUUGGAUAUCAGCUCAAAGUUUACCUGCAUUAAUUGUAAGGCUCUUUUGUUAUCCUGAAAUUUCCUUCCUUUAGUUAUGGGUGGAAAUUAUUUAAAAAAAAAACAUUCAGUUGGUGCCGUAACAUUCAGUUUGUUAUCCUCUAUGGAAGUUAUGGCAAUCUGAAUUCAACCUGUUCUCCUGUGCAUCACUCUGUUUUUCUUCACUGUAGCCCAUUUAUCUUGUGGCACAAUUCAACCUCUGGACAUGAUUGAAUUAAAUUUUCAUGGUAACAGUAAAAUUAUACAUUGGUUUGUAUAGAUAACUGAUACAAAAUUGUGAAUUGAACUUAAUCUUAUGAGAGAGGUGACGUGUCAAAUCAUAGGAGCGUGUCUUUUAUUUUUUAGUUUGAGUAGUGUUUUAAGGAGCUGUACCUUAUAAUUAUAAUAUUUUACUUCUCUUAUUGGGUUUUGGUUAAAGUGAAUUCUCCUUGCUGUGCAAUUGAGUUGUGAAUAGUGAGCUACAUCUCUUUGUAAACUGUCUGUGAUAUGUCAGACUGUAGACAAAGGCUGAGCCACAAUCUGAGCCAAGCCUGUUAAGCAUCCGUGCUAUGACAUCUUAUCCUGGUUAGAAUGAGAAUGCAAUUGAGAUGUAUGGCCAUAAAUGAGUGACAUUAUUGUCGAUGCUUAUGAAAUAAAUACAGAAGCUUGGCUUGUUAAACGUGUUUUCACUAUGGUUGCAAAGAUCAUGGGGCUUUCUGGGUGGUACUAAUUACUUUGUCACUUGCCCAGCUCACUCUGUUCAUAACUUUUCAGGUGGGUGGGUUUAAGGACGGUGGGAUGAGGGCGUAGUUGAAGCAUAAGCACUUGAAUCACCUUGAUUUUCUGGACUGCUUUUUCUUAGAAGAAGAAUAACUAGCAGAAUGGUUAGCUCAUCUUACUUGAAGAUUUUCCAUGGACUCUGUUUACUCUGCUAGUGGUUCCAGCAUAACUCUAGAGUGCAUCUAUUCACUGAAGGCACUGGAAGUUUGAUAUGCCAAAAUCUCGAAAAAAGUUCAAAGUUGAAGUGAAUAGUAGCUUACAAUUUAUCAAAACAUUCCAGUUGACCAGGCUUAGAGCCAAACCUAGUCUCAAGGAUGGCAUGUCAUCCUGGAUUGAUAAUAUUUAAUUUUCUUUUCUUUUCUCCUUACCUUGUAAUCCUAGACUUCUCUGGUUGUAUCCCCAUCAACCAUUGUAAACCCUUUUAUUUUCCUACCUUAUAUUAAUGAAAAAUGACACACAGUAGGGCUUUUGCCUUACUGUUUUAUGGUAAAAAAAAAUAGUAGCUUACAAUUUUGCUAGCCUACAUGGUGAACAAAAUUUAUGCAUGGAUGAGAUGAAAUGAAGUGUUUGUACAUGCAAAGUCUAGGCUGAGUUGCUCUCAUAUAAAGACAGUUCAAACACCCACUGGCUUACUUGCUCGCAUAUCAACAGAUUGAUAUAACACCUUUGGAUUUUAUUUUGUACUUAUCUAGCUUGCUGGUAAUAUCCAGCUUCUUUAUGGUAACAACACUGGUUUUCCUGCCCACGCAGCAAAAGUACUCGUAGCUGUGUAUUAUUACUUCAUGCAUUCUUUAAGGUCAAUCAGCAGGGUGUAUUUCUGCUUUCCCCUCUCUCUUGGGAUUCUGGUUUUUCAUCUGAUUAAUAUUGUAUAGAAAUGGCCAUGAACCACCGGGAUGUUUUCUAUUACCAAAUGGAUUUGUUUCCUGUGAACAUAGUGUAAGCUGUAACUUUUCUUGCAGCAGAUAAACUUACUGGUAGCAUUUGCCGUUAUGGCCGUUCGGCUUGCUCGUUGGCGCUUCAUGGCCGUUGGAUCUGCUAGUGGUUAAUCUUGUGGUGCUUUACAUUUACCUUGUCACCUGUCUUUUGAAUUGCCCCUUUGUGCAGCCUGAGUCCAACGUGUUUUUGGACCGUUUUUUCAGCAGCCGAAAUAUCAGAUAUGCUCAUGCGUGAUAUUUUUGGGCACACCCAGUUGUUGUGCUCGGGUNNNNNNNNNNNNNNNNNNNNNNNNNNNNNNNNNNNNNNNNNNNNNNNNNNNNNNNNNNNNNNNNNNNNNNNNNNNNNNNNNNNNNNNNNNNNNNNNNNNNNNNNNNNNNNNNNNNNNNNNNNNNNNNNNNNNNNNNNNNNNNNNNNNNNNNNNNNNNNNNNNNNNNNNNNNNNNNNNNNNNNNNNNNNNNNNNNNNNNNNNNNNNNNNNNNNNNNNNNNNNNNNNNNNNNNNNNNNNNNNNNNNNNNNNNNNNNNNNNNNNNNNNNNNNNNNNNNNNNNNNNNNNNNNNNNNNNNNNNNGGUAUGGCUAUAGAGUGGAUGGUGGGCACACUGCAACAAUGACAUGGUGGUGCGCACAGAUCUCUGUUUUUUUUUUGACAAAACACUAAUCAAGUCAAUGUCAAGCCAAUCUGGGUUAUGUUUUGGAUUCUCAGAAAGUUUUGUUACACCAUUCCUUGAAGGUUGGUUACUUGGAUCAAUCAGGAUUAGCCUGUUUGGAAAUGCAUUUGAGGUUCAACCACAGACUCAUUUAGAAACUGCUGUACAUUCUUUAAUUGUUAGUUCCCUUGAUAUUUCCUUGGAAAGAGAUUGGAAACUAAACAUGCAAGUGGAGUGGUCAUAUCAUUCUGCAGUCUACUCACAUGAUAAACGAUUUGUGAAUGGCAUUCUCAGCACAUAUCCCAUGCUCACAAUAUAUUUGUUUCAUAAGAAGAGCUAACAAAGAUUAGAGAUGUGUACAAGUCUUAUAUAUAUGUACCCCUGCUUUAGGAUGUGAAAGUGCGUGAUAUGAAAUCUUAUUUUCCCUUGCAUCUUUAGCUUAUUUACAUCUAAAAUAUUGGAGGAAAACAAAAAUGUGAGAGUUAAGGAGAUGAAGGGAAAAAGAGCUGAAAAGCACUUGCAUUGCGGUACCUUGCUCAGUCCACUUGAAGUAGGAUUACCACUCUACAGGGUAUGCCGAUGGAACUCGGACCAAGAGCCGCAGUGACCUUUCUAGCUCUAGGAAGAACACCCACAAUACAACGAGUACACCUCCAGGCACAUGAUUCCAGAAUCCGUGUCUGAAGCAACAGGUUGCCAAAGGUUUAACUGUGUCUUGUAGGCAUGACAAUGUCGAAAACGACGGCUUUGAGGAGACCCUGGAGCAAUGUUCGUGUCAUGCCUGUGCCCUCAACACACAGGUCUAGCAGAUCCCAAUCCAGGGGAGCGAGCACAAUGAGGAGGACAGGAAUAUAAAAAAUGUCUCAUCCUAAUUAUAACCUGUUAAGCACACUACGGAUGUUUUGAUAUCCAAGAGUCCCUAUCCUUGUGAAGAUGACGGUAAGACUACCGAAUUAGCUUAGAUUUAGUGCACCCGGAGCUCAUGUACUCUUUUCAUCAAAUAAAUUAUUGUCAGAAAACAAGCAUUUUGUUUCUCUUGGUGACAUCAUUCAGAACUGUGAGGAUGUGUAUUUCUGUAGCCCAGGCUCAUGUGCUAUUUUUAUUAACAAAAUUUUGUGUAACAUAUGGAGUAAAUGCCUUUUGCCCCCUGAGACCAUUUUUGUGAGCAUGUUAAGACUGUUAGCCUCUUCCAAGAGAAGAAAAACUGAAGCGCAGAAAGAAUAGAAUGUUCGUUUAUUUAUUCAGAACUGAUGCGCAUUUGUACAUCAACAGUCACUUACUAUUAAUAAUUUCACAAUUUAUUCCUCACUUUCUCCAAUGUUUCAUCCUAGGUUUCUUUGCCAUGAUUUGCUGAUCUCGAAUGGGGCCCAAAAACUUAAGUCGUAUCAAUUUCCGUUUCACGCAAUUCUUUUAAAUGAUGCAAUGGUUUUGGAGAACUCCCUGUUUUUAUUUGCCAGUCGUCUAAAAAAAGUGAUGGUAGGUAUGACUAAAAAUUGCGUAACAUGCAUAAUAAGUUCUUCAAAGAUUGGUUACUUCAGACCAUUUGGGAUUAGCAUGUUUGCAAAUGCUAUUGUCGUUCCACCACUCACUCAUUUAUGGACGCGUCCCAUUCAUUUGGUGCGGGUUCCCUCCCACGCAUGAUCUUCACUUCAUUUUUGACAAGACAUGGGAAACUAAACAUGCAAGUAGAAUGGUACGGUCAGACCAUUUUGCAGUCCAGUCACAUGCUAAAAAUGUCAUGAUAAACGACUCUUGAUUCAUAAAUCACAUGCUUACGAUAUAUUUGUUUCAUAAGAAGGGUUGAAUAGAUCACAUAUGUGUAGAAGUCCUAUAUAUACUUACGUUGCCCUAUGAUGUUAAAGUGAGUGUGAUAUGAGUUCAGAUUUGUUUACGUCUUUAGCUUCAGAACAUCUAAAAUAUUGGAGGAAAACAAAAACAUGAGAGCUAAGGGGGUCAAGGGAAAAGGAGCUAAAAAACACUAGCGAUGUCGUGUCUUGCUUUGUCCACUUGAAGUUGUACUGCCAUUUGAUGGGGACUACCAUGAUGGAACUAGAGUUGAGAGCUGCAGUGAUCUUCGUAGCUCUUGGGAGAACAUCUGUAUGCAACAGUUGCUUAGUUACGAUGAAUUUUAUGAUCAUGUACCAAGUCUGAAUGAAGGUUGCACUGACAACACUAGUCCUCAUCAUCAUUGAAUCUGCCACGUUCUCCUCCGCAUGAGUUUGCGUGCACGUUCCUCAUCAGAGUUUCUAUCAUCACAGCUGGCUUCAUAGUUUCAUGGUGCAGGAGUAGUCGGUAGAGAGUGGUACAUGGGGAGAGAAAUGUUACUUUUACUUGAGGUUGAAAGUAGUUAUGUUUACACCUUGGGUUUUCACUUUGUGGGCACUAUGAUGUUUGGCGCUUCAUAGUUUCAUAGGAAGCAUCAGCCAUGCUUCCUAUGGGUUUUACUAGAACUGGUGUUGGCUAUAUGAUUUCUAUUUUCUUUGUCUUUCCCUUUUUUUUUUUGCUCUUUUACUGUUGCUUGUACAUAUUGGACACCUUUAUUCCAAUACAUAUAUUGUAGAACGAUUGCUCUAUGGGUUUUGGUUCAAGAAAAAGGUGGUCACCACAACCACAACGCAAACACGCUCCGCGACGUCUUUCUCCCACCUGUCGGGGAGACCAACGCUACAGUCAUGAAGAGCGUGAGUACCAUGAUGUCACGCUAGAUUUCAGGGAUGGAACACUAAUCCAAAGCACGACCGCCCACAAUGCAAUAAAGUAGGCCCAAGUUUAGCGGCGACCAAAACAUCAAGUUCUGGAAACCAACAAAUGAAUGAACAUUGGAAAACUGGUGUUUCUUCCACAACACCUCUUCACACUUCUCUCUCAAGUGCGGCAAGUUAGCGGAAUCAUCCCAAUAGAUAGAAAGUCAUAAGAGACAGAUGGGCCACGAACAACGAGAGGAGAACGAAACAAAAUUGCCACCACCGCCUCCCCGGCCUCACUACCCACCAAAUGACGCCACUGUCAACCACAUGUGGGGUGGCUCCAUGUCAUAUGACUUGUGAAGAAAAUUACAAAAGGAUACUACACGAGGUGAUGACGGUGAUGGACUCGCUAGUGCCAUCAACCCUCAAGUGGACUCACGUCCCAAUCACUUUCACUGAAGAUGAUUGUACACCUAACAACCCUUUCCCCGAAAAGUAUCCAUCAGUCAUCUCCCCCGCCAUCAGCAAAGCCAUAGUUCAUCGCGUCCUAAUCGAUGGAGGGAGUUCUUUCAACCUCAUUUCCAUGAGCACCUUGGGUAAGAGCAAGCCGAUCCCUCUCACAUCUUUCCUAUCCGGUGAAAUUUUAUGUGAUCGUACCCGGCCUACAACACCGUCGUGUCGGACAGAUAAGCCUGCCUGUAACAUUCAAACACCAAUAAAACUUCUAUACCGAAUAGUGCACGUUCGAAGUCGUCGACUUCCAAAUGGUGUACAACGCCCUCCUAGGCAGGCCACAAAUUGCACAAUUCCAAGCCAUCCACGACUAUAACUUCACCGUACUUAAAAUGCCCGACGAGUUCGGAGUCAUCUGCGUCCCCAGUUCGUUGCAAACAGCGCUUGAGUGUGAUCGCCGGAGCUUCAAACUUGGUUCUGCUAAAAGACAUGAGGAACAAGACGAUCUCGAUCUUCGCCCACACAAAACUGCAUGCCGCCAUAAAUGACGACACCAAAUAAAGACGGUAAUCAUCGGGUCCAACCUAGACCCCAUAUAGCUCAGAAUAUUUUUGCUGCCUGAGCAAGAAAACAAAGAGAUGUGCACGCCUGACGUACACAAAGAGUUAAGAGGACAUGGUGUCAUCACAAAGAGCUGCCUAGGACUAGGAGGCGGCAUAUGGAUAAACUUGCUCAAUGGUGACGGAUACCCAAAACUCAUCACAGCCAGUUUCAUGUUAUGUUUGUUGUUGUUGCAUGUACCAUUACUCGACUACAAAGUAAGAGGGGGGGUAGUCCGUCCAGGUAUAAGGAGAGACAAGACAGUUACUCCAUUUGUUAUAUGACUUUUUAAAAUGACAAGAGUACAUGAGCCUAGGUUGCACAAAUUAUGUCCAUUGUUGGUCUUGGUGAAAACUGAAGGAGUAAAAAUAACACAUCUUCAGACGUUGCAUUCUCCUUUCUCUCUCUUUUUAGGCCCUGGCGGUAGAACAAUUAUUCUAUGGUAUAUUUUCUAUUAAUAACAAAGUAUAGUACAGGGAGAGAGUUAAAAAAGGAAGGAAACAAAACAAGGAAAAAAGCUAGAAAAGAAGAUUUAUCCUAUCUCUAGGAAACAUCACUUCCAUUCUUGGCCGGACUCAUGGAAUGAUCUAGUUCUCUCUUCAUGUCCAACUCACCAUCAACUGCUCCUACACCAGUAAGGCUGGCAACGUCCUCGCAACUCCCAAUUCUAGUACUAUGAGUAUAAUCUUCCGCAAACGGAAGGGAUACUUUUGCAAGUGGGCAAAGCAAAAUAAGAUAUUGCUGUUGCAUUUUUGUUUUCCUCCAAUAUUUUAUAGGGACUAAAGCUAAACACGGUAAAAUAAAUCUGAAUUCAUGUCACACGCACUUUGACAUCCUUAGGCAUGGGUAUAUAUAAGACUUCUACACAUCUCUAGUCUUUGUUAGCUCUUUUUAGGAAGACAAAAAAAAUGUGUGAGCAUGGUAUAUGUGUUGAAUGAGUGAUGUGACCAUUCUAAAUGCAUAUUUGGUUUCCAAUCUCUUGCUGGAAACAAAAUGAAAGAAAUGUCAUGUUUGGUUGGAGGGAACUCACAUCAAAGGAGUGAGUGACUGGUUGAACAAAAAUUGCAUCUACAAACAGGUUAAUCAUGAAUGAUCUAGAGUAAGUAACUAACCUUCAUGUAGUAGAAUACAUGUUAUGUUACUUACCAUCACGGGAAGUAGACACAGACAUAAAAUUAUUUAAUCAUGAAUGAUUCAGAGUAACCAACCCUUCAUGUGGUAGACCUUAAUAUGCAUGUUACGUUAGAUAUGGUCAUACUUACCAUCACACGAAUGGGAAGUAGAAACAAAGAGUUUUCCAUGUCCAUUGCUUGAAUCAUGAAAGAUGAAUGAAAUGGAAAUUGACCGAUUUAAGCUAAGUUUUUGGCUCCCUUCCAAGAUCAGAAUAUCAUAGCAAAGAAACCUAGAAGAAAACAUUGGAGAAAGCAAUGCACAAAAUGAGAAAUUGGUAAUAGCAAGUGACUACUGUUGUACAAAAUGCACAUCAGUUCUGAAUAAAUGGCCAUUUUUCCUUCUAUAUGCUCUUCUUAGAUCUUCUCUUCUAGCAAAGCACUAACAGUCUAAACAUCAUCGCAUAUCAUCUGGGGCAAAAAUGCCAGUUGCCCCAUUUGUUACACAUGAAUACAUGGAGAUUCCACACUAUGUUGCAUGCUUUCCACAGGAAACAAUUCAUUCGGUACGUAAAAUUUCUAGUAUUUCAUCAUGAUUCCUAUACAACAUUAAUCAGAUCAAGAACAUAAUACCUCUCAGAAAAGAAAAUACACCCUACUAAUUGACCUUAAAGAAUGCAGGAACCAAUAAAAUAAACUCUGGCUACUUUUGCUGCCUGAGCAGGAAAUACUAUUCUUAUCAGAAGAAGCGAAAUCUGUUGAUUCUUUUUUUAUCCAAAGGUGUAUUUAUCAAUCUGUUGACACGCGAGCAAGUAAGCCAGUGGCUGUUUGAACCGUCUUUAUCUGACCAGACCCAAUCAGAUCGCGGAGGUGGAACCGCACGUCAAGAGGUGAUAAUCUUAACCUCGUCUUCUCCAGUGAAGAUAGUAGCAUCUCCUUGUACUUCCGACGGUUCAAUAACGAAAGAACUUCCUUCCUCCCCUGCUCACCAUAACCACAUUUGUCAAGAUAUCAAAACUGUAGGCCCAUUGAGAAGAAUCCGGGAAAGCAGAUGCAAGAAUAAUAAACAAACUAAAGUAAACUAAUGACAGCAUUCAUAAAAUACAUCGUGCGUGGUUCCAGAGUAUGUACAUGGAUUUAACUAUAAAUAUUUGCGCAACCUACGCAAGUUCAUGGACCUAGUUCAGUGACCAGGAGUCAAUGAAAAUUAUGUAGGCAAUGAAGAUUGAAACAGUCAGGAGGGAUGGAAUCAUAGUAGCCAGUCAAUCACUAAAGUGGUGGCUAGAUUACUUCACUCAGCAGAAUCAGCUUUAUAUCUGUUAUUAAUUUAUUAGAACCAUCUUUCAGAUUAACUAACACCACAAGAUUUGAACGAAGGAAUAGAAAAGCCAAGAAGUGCAGACCUGGGUUAGGCCUUUCAAGAUAGGGCCAAUACUUGGAAUAGAAAACCAGUACAUGUUUGGAUCUAUUAGUUGGCGUGUCUGCAAAAAAUCAACACGGCACAAACAGUAAGCAUGAUUAGAUGCAGCUAUUAAUUGGUUGGUAAACAUGAAUCUAAUGAUCCCAUGGAAAAUACUUAAGAAAUGACCAACAUGUGAAUACAAAAACACCCAUGACAAUGAUCCCAUGGAAAAUACUUACUAGGAGACCAGCAUUCAUCAAUAAGGUGAUAUGUUUAUCUCUUGCAUCACCCCCAUGUGAUAACAGUGAACACUGCAAUAAAAAGCAGAAGACAUGAAAAGCCUUAAUACAGCAGUUCUAUUUCUUGAUUUAUUACUGGGUAUUAUUUAAGAAACGAUAUACUAAAACAAAGUGUCAGGUAACAUCCAAUGAUAGAUCAUCGCAAAGCUUCGCAGAAGUUAAAAUUUGGUAAUGAGAUAUUCUAGAGAGAAGGUUAAGAUAGAAUUCUGCAGAGGAUCAACACUUAACUCCAGUACCUGGCUGAAACUUACCAGCUCUAGGUGAUCUAUGCUAACAUCCAAUUUCGAAGGCAGAACAUAUUUCUCAAACCACUCAAACACUUCACUGCAAUCUUGGUUUUUACCCUUUGACCUCCUGACAGCAGAUUCCAUCUGCAUACACUCCGUGUAAGAGAUAAGCAGAUACAUUAAAACUUGUAGUACGAAUAGGUAAAUUUAAUGUGAUGAAUUGUCACAUUAUGACAAACUUUAUUAUCAACAAAAGAUGAGCUACUGUAUAUGAUGGUAAAUAUGCAGUUCAGUUAGCGUGUGCUUGAUUGGUUAAACAAGGUAUAUGGGAUAGGGCCAUCCAGCUUGGUAAGGAUAGGCUUGAAUGAGGUUAAACAAGGUAUAUGGGAUAGGUUGGUUGCUUCGUUGGGUGGACGGGAGUAUCACAACAGAUUGAUUAGCUAAAUUAGACCUCUUAACUUCCAUUACAUUAACACCAUCUAGACCUAGUGAACCUACUUAAGUCAUACCGGAAAAACAUAUACCUGUUUCAGAUAAUCAUCCAUGAACAUGAUUGCAUGGUCAUCCUGCCCAGUAUUGAGUUUGAAUACACGGAGUACUCUGUCUUUCUUCAGUGACUACAAAAAGUAUUUCUAUGUUCAGGUUUCAUCAGAGCAAGGAAAAAUUAUCUCUGAUGCAAUUGGAUAUUAAUAUACAUUAGUCUACGAUAAUCACCAAAAUUUAACACGAGAAUCGCUAGAAAAGAAUCCAAAGGUAAAACACAAACUUAUCAUUGCAUUACAAAAGUGGUGUCCACAUAAAGAAUUAUUGCAUAAGUUGAAAACAAAACCUCCAAAUCUCUAUCAACUUGUGUCCUGUCCUUCACGCUGCUAUACAAUUGGGACUGUAAAAUGAAAGGCUGUGUUACAACCUACAAGUGAAAACAAAAGAAAAGGAUAAAUUUUGUGCAGAAAUGGUACUGAAUCACCAUCAUAAAAGGAAACACUGAAUUUAUAUAAACAUAUUGCAACAUGUUUUUUUUCAAUUAUUACAUGGAGUAUUGCCACAUCUUCCCAUUACAAGGAGGCGAGGAGGAGCAAACAUAAAAACCAAGAGUUUAGCAGUGGGCAGGAAGCACCCCCCCCCCCNNNNNNNNNNNNNNNNNNNNNNNNNNNNNNNNNNNNNNNNNNNNNNNNNNNNNNNNNNNNNNNNNNNNNNNNNNNNNNNNNNNNNNNNNNNNNNNNNNNNNNNNNNNNNNNNNNNNNNNNNNNNNNNNNNNNNNNNNNNNNNNNNNNNNNNNNNNNNNNNNNNNNNNNNNNNNNNNNNNNNNNNNNNNNNNNNNNNNNNNNNNNNNNNNNNNNNNNNNNNNNNNNNNNNNNNNNNNNNNNNNNNNNNNNNAUGAACCUUCGCUUCACCUCUGCCUUUAUGUUGUUGGGCAUCGUCUGAAGGUCUUGUCUCUCUCCCUAGAACACCUAGUUGUGCCUCUCUCCAAAUGGACGAAAUUUGUAGAAUCACUAUCUAGUCCAGGACUUUUCGACAAUCUUUUGGACAGACACCAAAUUCAUCUGGAGCAGCGAGCUCUCCAUCUUAAAAUGAUUUGCCAGUUACCUCAACCAGGAGCAGUGUUCACUGUCUCGGCGUUUUUGGGCAGCUGCGGGCAUUUAAGCUGGCCAACUGUCCAGCAAUGCUGCUGCAGCGUUAACCAGAUGAAGAAAAGGCACUUGACAGGCGCUUUGGCUUUCCGGAGCACCUUGUGGCACGGGAAUACUGUCCAGACACGGAAGAAUGCCCUAUCAGAUAGCUGAGCUAACUGAAGGUCUGGACAUAACUGUUUCCUUUUCUAAAAGCAUGGUGGAUAGUCGAAAUGAUUCAUGUGGAUUGCAUAAAAUAAGUGUCUAGUAGGUUGUUCAAUGAAUUAACAGUUUAAAAUGCUGAAACUCAAACAAUGCAACAAAACGAAACAUGUAUGUAUGAUAUCAUUGUUCUCAAAGUUUAGACAAGAUUAAAAAAAGAGCAUACAAAUACCUUCUCUAGCUUUGGGAACUGUGUGCGCAUCAACUGUAGAGCUAUCAAAGUAUCACUGAAUAUAAGGUUGUCCUCUGCAUCAUAAAAACUGCUAGAUGUUAUAACAAUUUCACAGCUUACAAUAAUAAUUGUCAUUGAGUACGAUGUUUUUCACAUACAAUUUGUAGCAUCUUCUUAACAGAAUAUAAUGUCUUUGUUGUUGACUGUCUAAUGCAACAACUAGAAGUGAUCUAAAAUAGGGAGCAAAUUAUGUUCAAGGUUACUAAACUUAUUCUGAGGGUGUGUCAGCUAGGUACCCGCUCUCCUGACUUGCAAAUUUGGGUCACCAAAACCGUAAAAUCUCCAGUGCCCAAGCUAGUGUGACCAUCCAGGUUCUCUAAUCAUGUUCCCAAUUUUGCAGCAAGCCACAGGACGCCUAUAGUCCAUUGUUAAUUCCACUCCGUGCCUAAUCUUGUUCCAGCCCCAACCCUAUAAAUCUCUCAUAAAAACAGCCACGACUACGGACAAUUGAUCCCACCAGUGCAAACCAUGGGAGAUACCAACAGUGGUAAUGCAACUCUGUUUCCAGCUACAUCAACUACGGUAAUCCAUCCUCUGCUACCUGCAGUGUCUUAGAAGGAAUGGAAGCAAACGAGAGAGCGCGUCUGUAGCAGAUGUGACCUGACAUAUAGCAUUUUGUUCUCAGAAAUCUCUGUAAAAAAUGAAGCCUCUCUUGACUUGUUGCAGCUGUCCAAUUGCUGCCACGAAAGCAAUUUUCUAGGAGUAUAUAACUGAAUGAACAACUACAGCAUACAUCAUAUGAGUUUAUCAGACCUAAAUGUUGAGAAAGAAGAAAGAGACAACGUAAGGGGGCUACAAGCAUAAUUACACUGACUCCUAGUUGUUUAUCUGGUGCGGCAUGCUGGUGGUGAUACGCGACCCACUUGAUUUAGUUUUGACCUAAAUGUGGAAAUUAAGAGGACGGUGACCUAUUUGACACACUUGAGCAAGUUCAGUGACCAGCGUGUAAUUUACUCUAACAGAGGAGAAUAAAUUAGACAGAGAAAGUGGCAAACCAAGGCUUGUGCUGUUCUCGGUUCUGCCUUGUGAACUUGUGGCGUCGUCAUUAGGAGAGCGUGGUCGCUUCUUUUUCCCACGAGAUGAUGAUGAAUACGGUGGCCACGGUUCUGCCAUAUCUCUGUGCUGAUUGUUCAGUCCAAUUUAAGUAGAUGACAUGAGACAAAUAAGACAAAUGUCUGUCCAAUCAGGAGUCAGAUCCUCUAAUUUGCAUCAGUAACCUGGAGCUUCCUUCCACAAGCAGCAAAACGAUAAGACUGGCUACUUGUGAGCUGAAAGUUCAAAAACACCUGCAGUCAGAGGGAUUCCAAUAAGUCUUGAAAAAUCUGGAACAUGGAAAUGGUUUAGGAAACUCGGGGUAGUAAGAAAAAACUGAGAUACAGAAGAAACUCGGAAUUUGGACUGAACUAGAAUGACUUGAAAGUUUACCAUAAAACGGAAGCAGAAAAAUAAACAACACAAGGGGUGGACAAAGUGCACUGAAAUUCCCUAGUAUAAGCUUCCUACAGUUUAGGGGUAUUCGGCAAUUCAGGCACCUUGCUGAAGGGGGAAACUAUCACUUUGCCAAUCCACUGGAACUUUGCGAAACUCGUACGCACAUACUACUAUUUAAUGCGCUGGCUAAUCAAGUGGAACUUCACAAGUCCGAGAAAUUGUCUGCACUAAUUAGUCUCUGAACCUGCAAACAGAGCAUUCAAUCUACUUCUCAACGCACUGGAAUUUUUUCCAAGCUUUGUUGUCUGCACUAAUCCUCCACUGCCGCCCUACGACGAAGAAAUAGUGAUUUCUCCACCAAUCCAGCUAGCAAUAUAUCCAUACAAGUAGAGGCAAAGUACAGGAACGAACACAAACAAAUUUUGUAGUAAUACCAGACAAAGAAUUUCCUCUCCUCUCCUCUCUGCAGCUAUAUAUCCACCCAUUUACUAGAGGAACGAGCGCUGAUUGGCGGGCAGAGAUUGGAUGGAUGCGUAACCUGGUCGCAGCCCGUGGCGGCGGCUCCCCGCCGUCCGGGGUAAUUGCAGACGGCCGGAGUUGCGACGGCGGCCUCCUCUUCGAGACACGCGGCGACCUCCCCCGCCGCGCGUGGCCGUCAGCGCGCAACAACCUACUCGGCGGCGGCGGCGGCGGCGGCGAGGGCUGGGAUCUGUGGCCUGGGGGGCAGGACGAGAGGCCAAUCGGGAUUCCUUUUUUCCGGAGUAAUUUGAUAAAAGGUUUUUUUUCAUACACGUGGGAUCUGGGACCACCUGUCAAUAAUACAUGUGCUUUUCUAAAAUACACGUGGAGUAUAUAUCAGAUUAACGGAGAAAUUUAUGGCACUACAAUUCUGAAAAGAAAAAACAAGGACCGGUAUAUUUCUUCAUUAACCCAUAUACAAAGAAGAAAGACCGUCGUAUGAAAACCUCUCAAAAGCGUUUUUCGCGCCGUGACUUUCUGCUCCUCGACGACGACCAAUGUGCAGAAGAUCAUGACCGGUGAACACGUUGACAAUGAAAGCACGGGUGAUAAUGACAGUGAACAACAUGUGCAUCUUCAGAUUGGGGUGCGAGAGACUCAUCGCCGAUGGCACGGACAUAGGCUCCUGCUGAAUAAUGUGGUUGGCGGGGCAAAUGUACCCGUACCACUGAAGAGCAAGAUGACAGGAGGGCUGAUUACGCGUUAGAAGAUACAUGUGUUUGGUAUCCUCCAAUAUUUGAGAUAGACUCAAGAUGGAUAGACAAAGGAGAUCUAAAUUCAUAGUAUACUCACAUUGACACCAAGACGACGGAGUAUAUAUAGGGGUUUGCAUCUCUUGUGUUUGAACAAGUCAUUCAAGAAACGUUCAUUUGAUCAUUGUGACCGGAUUACAAAGUCAUGUGAUCAUCUUGCUUGCAUGUUUAGCUUAGUCUCCAACUUCUUGGUAGAAUAACUUGGUUUACAUGGUAUACCAGUUCUCUCAUAUGUACCAUCACGCCAAAUCCAGUGCAUCAUGAAAGACGUGUGGAUCUCUCACUGGUUCAUUUUAGCAAUCUUUCUGGCUCCUUUCAAAAACAUCGUAUCAUCCACAUGAUGGUAUUAAGCAAGGUAUUUCGGUGUUGAUUACUUCAUUAUGGGAGUACACUGCGUAAGGCCCAAUAAAUUUGCAGGAGUGAGAAAAAAAAAACUUUCUUGGAUUUUGGCAUUACUUGAUUCUUCUCCAUCUCUGUGAUUCGUCUUGAAAAGGAUGCCGAGAUAGACCGGGCUAAAUUUCCGCAUGCAAAACUAGCCAGGAUAGGUGGCGAACUUAGUGGGAGGGGGGAGGGGCCAGCUCAGAAGCUGAAGAAGGUUGAUAAGCAGGUCUCGUUCUUGGUAACUGAUAAAAAGAUGAAAUGAAAGGAAAGGUUCACACUCAAACAAACUGAUCAUACGCCACGUAAAUGGAAAGGUAGGUGGAAUUUUGUAUCCCCUAAGGGCUUGACCCCUCUCGCGACCCCCGCGUCGCCUCCCCCGGUGGCGGCCGGGGAACCCUCGCCACGCCGCCGCGGCCCCCUUCCCACCUCGCCCCACCUCCUCGCCGCUGCCUGAGGCAGCCACCGGGCAAGCCCGGGGCGCCAAGGAUGAUGGCGGCGGGGUCUCGGCUGCCCUGCCCAAGCGUGGGGAGUCCCAGAUCUGGAGCGGCGGCUCCUUUGGCGAGGCACGGUAGGCUCCGGCAAGCAGCCAUGCGGGCGGUGGAUCUGGCAUCCUGGCCGCGCGGGCGGCAGGAUCCUGGUGGUCGGUGUGCGCGAUCUGGCGCCUCCCCUCCUCCCUGUUCGACAUGCGGGCCAGCCUGGUCGGGCCGCACGUCCCUUGGUCGCCGGUUCUAUACAGGAGGCGCUGCUAGUGGUGGGGAUCUAGUUCGGGCGAAAUCCCUGGCCGACCAUGGCUGGCCGCGCCGACGGCGACGCCUAGGGCGCCGUUCCCCUCCUUGGAGGCGUCGAUAUGGAUUGAUCUCCUCACUUCCCCUUCCCCUAGGUCUCCAGGGCGAAAGCCCUAACUUUGUUGGGCGGCGGCGGCGCUCACGGCGUCGUUCCCUUCUUGAAGGCGCCGCUUUGGGAACCUUGGGGUUGGGUGGCGCUUGUGGGUGGUGGGCGACGGCGGUGGUGCGGACCUAUCCUAGCAUGGAUCUACGUCUGUUGCUUGGAGAUGGACUCGCGUAGGUGGAGGUCGUCGUUUGGCGUGCAUGGCGGAGGACUGCCAAGCUUGACACCUCAAUCUGCUCUAAAGACGGGCCAGUGAAAGAUGGCGGCGUCGACACAUGUGAGUGCGUCGGACCGGUUUGUGCCCCGGACCCGGUAGAUGGCUCGGUCGGGGCCUCCGGCUUUAGAUUUUAGGCUUAGGUGAGAGGUCUGGGUAUGUAGCCCGGCUUGCACCCCUUCAUCAUAUGGAUAGGAGUAGCGGCAGAUGUUGCCAAGAUGGCGGAUUCAGGCAUAUUGUUGUUCUACUUUGUAAGGUCCUCGAGAAUAAUCAAUAAAAUGGCCGCAUGCAUCUCCCAGAUACAAAGGCCGGGGUUCAUCCUCCUUCUCUAAAAAACGUAAAUGGAACGGUCCAAAUAGGUAUCAAGGUCAAAAAUUAAUGCUUGCUAAAUUUUUUGAGGAAGUAUUUUAGGGAAGUUUAAAAAUAUGUUUAUUGUCAUCAAGAAAUGCACAACAUGUAUUUCGAAAAAUGUUACCGUGUAAUCAAAAAGUGCUGAAACAUGGAUUUUUUUAAAAUAUAUAUAAUGUAUUUGAAAAAUGUCCAAAGUUUAUUAAAAAAUAUUACACGUGUGAGCUAAAAAUAUUACUUUGUAUACUGAGAAAAAGUAGACAUGCGUCAAAAAACAAAACCAUUUAAAACCGAAAAGAAAAAAAAUACAAAGAAAAUCAAGAAAGAAACAAAACAAAACCAAACAUAUAAUGAAGAAAUAAAAAAAAGUGAAAACAUAAAGUAUAACGAAGGAAAAAAGAAAACCGAAGAAAACUGAUGAAAAAUUAAAGAAAAGUUAAAGGAAAAGCCAAAGCAGAGCGAGCGAACAUACAGCUAUGCAUGAGAACCGCGAGCGAUUGCACUAAUGGGCCGGCCCAACUCGGCGAAUACAAGCUAAACACUCUCAAGGUUCAAAAUAGACCGGGAUUGAUAAAUUCAGAGUGCCAAUUUUCGGGAUUCAAAGUUCGCGGUUUGAUUUAGCUUUUGUCUAUAAGUUAAGGUUUAUUGGACUUUUUCCUAUCAGAAAGUGACACACAACACGUGGGAUCUGGGACCACGUGUCAAUGACAUAUAACGUUUUCUCUGUAUAUCCAAAAUACAGACUCUGAAAUACUACAUUUGUAAACACUAGCAAUAGCAAAAGAGCCCAUGCGUCCAUGAAAAAAAUGAGCCUAUGCGUUGCAACCGGAGAAAAAAUAUCACAUGUUCCUAACACAACAACCAUGACUGAAGACCCAACAGGUCUAUGUGCAUCCCAUCUGUGUUGCCGUUUAUCCUCCUUCCACCCUCUUCGACGAUGGCCUCCAUGCUCACACAAUCACAAUGUGUUUGAAUGUAGUCAACUGUAAGGCGUCUCUCUCGAUAUAAGAUGAGAAAUGUGCUUUCUUUUUUCACCUGGAAGUUCUGCUGAGGCGUCCAUGUGUGGUUAUAGAUGAUUUUUUUCGUCUCCGAACAGAUUUUGCUGAGGUGUUGAUUUCUAAUCCGGUUCUACAACUAUACGAAACAAAGAUGGAUCGUGCGCUAUGGAUUAAGAUUGCACCAUAAAUAAUUGUUUAAAAGUAUUUAACAGGUAAACAACAUCAUAUUCAGAUUCUACACAUUUUUCUAAUCAAUUUUAUAUAUAACAUGUCAAAAUUGGAGUUGGGGUUUAAAUGAUAUGAAUGUUUUGAAGAAAGCCUUCAAACUCACUUAAAGUAGAACCGCUGGUUGAUUAACCAAAAGAACAGGGGCGUUCUGAAAAACGGUGAACAAUUUUCUCUCUCGCUAAAAUAGGAGCGCGUGUUGAUUUCCAAAAACAACAGGGUUUUUGCAAAUAUCACGACGGGCGGGCAGAAGCACUAAUCCUUUUAUUAGUAGGUAUAGAAAUAUACUUUGAUAAAAUGUAAUAAGGGCAUACACGUGGGAUCUGGGACCACCCGUGAACACUUUUCUAAAAUAUAUUAGCAAUCAUGACUGUGUGUUAGAAGGGAGAAAAAAAACUUCAUGCUCCUGUCUAAUAAGGACAUAUACAAUUGUGGCAUAUGGAUACAUAUGCCCCAUGACAAAAAGUAAUUUCAGGCACCUACGUUAAUUUUCUCUCUCCAAUGCAAGCUAUCACUAGUGGGCCUUAUUAAGAAAUAGAAAAUAAAGACUCUAGUACACAUGCAUCUCUGCUUUUCACUCCAACCUUUUCAGCUUUUGUCAUCGGGCCACACUUUUUCUCUUCAAGCACCUGCCUCCUGGAGAGGAUCCUGCUUCCCUAUCCAAACCUACUUUAAUUCAUAUCCGAUCCUACAUGGCAUGCAAGGCAUCACCUUGAGGCUAUGCAUUGUACAUGCCCUAAGUCUCGCUCAAAACUAUCAAAGGUCCACAUCAUUUAUUUGAACAUGACGCGACACUCGUAUAGUUGCUUAUCCUCUUUCUCGUCUUUGUCGACGGGGCAACAUGAUCAUGCUUUCAUCCUUUCUCUAUUUGCAUUUUUUCACUGGUUUUCUUUACAUAUUUGACGCAUCAUGCACCUAUGUACAACAUGUCUCAAGUCAGGUUCACUGGUGGCAAUCUUUCGUCUUUCCUCUCGUUGUGUAUUUGAUAAAAUGCAUGUCUAGCCUUUGAGUAGCAACACAAUCAUGCUUUCGUCCUUUUUCUUAUUGCAUCCUAUUUGUCUUGUUGUAGGCAUGUCUUUAGUCAUUGUUGUGCUUUUGUAUAUGCAACAUAUGCUAAUCCUAUUUUAUCAGCUCACUGUUUAUUUUCCAAGGCGACUGGUGGCAUUUGUUUGAGAAUGUAUAUAAACUGAUAGUAAUCGAUUUAACUAAGCAAGGUAGGGACUAUUGGCGAAAAAGACGCAUCAUAUACAUGCCUACGCUAGCUAAGCAGAUUUUUGAAUCCAUUGAAAGCUAAGACAAUGUAGGACCACUAAUUUAAAAAAAACUAAAACAACUUACGGGAGGAGGCUCGAUCCUGUGCGAGACAAUGUAGGAUUCUUAGAAAAACAGGAAUAACCCGGGGGGUCGAUCGCAACGUACAAGUGAAGGAACGCAGGCCCGACUGAGCCGAUACGAACCUCUUUUAAUAGCUUAUACGAAACUUGGCUCUACAAAUUAGUACCACCUCAUGUAUCUCACGUAACUUUGUAUCAGAUGCGGGACGAAACCAAGAAUAUCACCUUGCUUUAAUAAUAGAUAUAGAUAUCGGAUUAACGGAUUCUCCUGUAAUUUAUGCCACUAUGAUUCUGAAAAACAAUCCUGAAGGACCGGUAUAUUCCUUCGUUAACCCAUACAAAGAAGAAAGAACGGCAUAUGAAAACUUCUCUAAAGCGUUUUGUGCGCCGUGUCUUUGCGCUCCUCGUCGAUGGCCAAGGUGCGGAAGAUCAUGACCGGUGAUCAUGUUGACAAUGAUAGCACGGGUGAUAAUUCUAGUGAACAACAUGUGUAGCUUCAGAUUGCGGCGGCAAUGAGUCAUCGCCGAUGGCGUGGACAUAGGCUCCCACUGCAUAAAGUGAGUGACGGGGCAAAUGUACGUGUACCGCUGAAGAGCAAGAUGGCAUGAGAGCCGAUUACGCGGGAGAAGAUACAUGUAUUUGUUUACCUCCAAUAUUUCAGAUGGACUCAAGAUGGAUAGACACGGGAACAAAGCCGAAUUCAUAUCACACUCACAUUGACAGCCAAGAAGAUGGAGUAUAUUGUUGGAAAACGUUGCAUGCAAUUUCAAAAAAAUUCAUACGAUCACGCAAGAUCUAUCUAGGAGAUGCAUAGCAAGAGAGGGGAAGAGUGUGUCCAUGUACCCUCAUAGACCAAAGCGGAAGCGUUAGCUUAACGCGGUUGAUGUAGUCGAACGUCUUCGCGAUCCAACCGAUCAAGCACCGAACGUACGACACCUCCGAGUUCUGCACACGUUCAGUUCGAUGAUGUCCCUCGAACUCUUGAUCCAGCAAAGUGUCGAGGGAGAGUUUCGUCAGCACGACGGCGUGGUGACGGUGAUGGUGAUGUGAUCCGCGCAGGGCUUCGCCUAAGCACUACGACAAUAUGACCGGAGGAGUAAACUGUGGAGGGGGGCACCGCACACGGCUAAGAGAACAAUUGAUGUGCUUUGAGGUGCCCCCUGCCCCCGUAUAUAAAGGAGGAGAGGGAGGAGGCCGGCCCUAGGGCGCGCCAUGGGGGGGGCGACUAGGACUCCUAGUCCAAGUCGCCCUCCCUUCCUUCUUUCGGAGGGGGGAAAGGGGGAAGGAGAGGGAGAGGGGGAAGGAAAGGGGGGCUGCGCCCCCUCCCCUUGUCCAAUUCGGACUGCCCAUGGGGGGGGCGCCACCCCUUGUGGGCUGCCCUCUCUCUCCCCUAUGGCCCAUGUAGGCCCAUUACUUUCCCCGUGGGGUUCUGGUAACCUCCCGGUACUUCGAAAAAUACCUGAAACACUUCGGAACACUAUCGUCCAAUAUAUCAAUCUUUACCUGAAACAGUGUAUAUGAUAUGCUGCUUUGUUCCCUAUAUUUGCACUGGUGGCGAACUUUGAUGCCCAGUGGAUGUAAUAUGUGUAAUAGCCGUGAUAGCCUAGCGUUAGUUGCUUACUAAUUUAUUUCCUUGUUGUCUUGUUUAUUUGUUUGCUUGUAGUCAUUGCAGUUCUUUUUCCGUGGUUAGCUAGUGGCUGCAAUAACCUAUUUUUUAAAACUAGGCCACAAUAACCAUGGGCUAAUAUUUACUUUAGUGACACUGGGCCUCCUACUGGCCGUAGAAACAGUGGGCCUUCUACGGGCCGUAGAAACAAUGGGCCUUCUACGGGCCGUAGAAACAAUGGGCCUUAUACGGGCCGUAUGAUCGAUUGGCCAAACAUGGGCCAAACAGACCGCAUUAUGGCCGUAAACGGGCUAGAGUUGGAAUCGUCCGUUCAUGGGCUGACCAUAACGGGCCAUCGUUAAUAGGCCGUAUUUGAUGAUGCUAUGAAAACGGCCCAGGGUAUUAACGGACCACAAACGGGCCGACUGUAACCACGGGCUGAAUUUGGCCCACAAGCAGAAAAUGACAGUAACGGGCCGUAAGUAAACGAAUCCUGAAAAUGAGCCCAAGAAUAAAUGGGCUCUAAGAAGGCCGAAAGAUAACAUGGGCUGGAAACGGCCCAACGAAAUAACGGGCCGUUAAUGGGUAUAAAGUGAUACACUGUUUAUUACGGGCCAGUUUCACCACGGGCCGUUAAUGGGUGUAAAGUGAUACACUGUUCAUUACGGGCCAGUUUCACCACGGGCCGUUAAUAGGCCAAGAGUUACAUAGGGCCUCAUAUGGGCCGAAAGACGUCAUGGGCCAUACACGCGCCAGAAGUGAAAACGGGCUGGAAUCAUAUUGGAUGACCCAGAUGACGCUACUGGGCCUAAUUCGGAUAGGGCGUAACGGGCCUUGGGUUAGCGGGCUGUAAAUGGGCUAUAUGCGAACAGGCCGUUAACAGGCUUUCCAUGGCCGGCCCACCACCUUUUGACCAAGUCAAACGGGCCGGCCUUUUCACAGGAAUAGGCCUCUGUUGGGCCGUGCCACGUGUCGACGUAUCAUAGGCGCCUUCCGUCCAAUGAGUGGAUGACAUCUGUCCCAAAGAUGAGUCGACGCGUGUUUUCUCCAGCCAAUGAUGAUUUUACACGUGAAAAAUCCCCAUUGGUCGGGGCUGUUAACGGGUUAUCGGAUCCAAAACCCGACCCGAUAGCUUAACGGCGUUCCGUUACGGUGGAUGCCACGUGUCGGUCACCCUUGACGAAAGCACUUCUGUGACGCGCGAUUUAUCGUCAUGGAAGUGGACACUUCCGUGAUGAUAAUUUUGGCAAUAUCAUGGAACACUUCUACGACGACACAUGUAUGACUAUCUUGAUUCUGUUAUAAAUUUGUCAUGGAUGUACAUGCAUGACAGAAAACACGACCUACUGUGACAAACACGUAUCAUCACGGAAGUGUAUUUUUUGUAGUGUAAGAAGAGGUACAAUAUCCUUCAUAGGCUCCUCAAACCAAUCCCUAGUGGCUGAAAAUUUUGCUAACCUAGCUAUUUCAUGGGCCACUCUAUUUGCUUCCCUAUUACAGUGUUCAAAUUUGACUAUAGGAAAAUCACAAGCCAAAAAGUAACAAUUAUCAAAAACUGCAGCUGCCGCUCCCGCCGAGUGUCCUCCAUUCUUCAUUAUGUCGAUCACUUCCAUGUUAUCUGAGUUUACAACAAGGCGAUUGCAGCCCGCCUUCUGUGCUAGGAAUAAACCAAAUUUAAGAGCCAGAACUUCUGUUGUUAAUACAUCAUCACACCAGUCAAUUCUCUAGUUUCCUCCAACAAUGAGCCUUCCCUUAUCAUCUCUCAGGACCGCCCCAGCUGCACCUUGAAGAAGAUCAUGAUCGAAAGCGGCAUCAACAUUCAGCUUCACAAAUCCCCUAGGAGGGAUACUCCAUCCCCCUGUUUUGUGCGUUGCCUUAGGGGAGUAUGCAUUGACAUAGUUUGUCGUUAUAGCACGAGCCCCCAUCGAAGUUUGAUUUGCAUCCUGUAACUUUCCUUCAUCGACCAGUUUACGUCUAUCCCACCAUAGAUACCAAGUUGUAAUAGCUAUUAACUCACGUGCGUUCUGGAUGCCCUUAAUGUUUAAUUCUUGAUCUUUCAUCAGGAGUAAGAAUUCUAGUACCGCCUCUCCCGCAUGAUCAACAACAUAGGCUUUAUGGAUCACCUCUUGUAGACCUAAUUUUUCCCAAACUUCUUUCGCCUUCUGACACCGAAACAAGACGUGUUUUUGUAUCCUCCGGUCCAUUCGGGCAUGAAGGGCAAGUGGGUGAAACUUUUAUAUGUCUGUUGGCAAAUGUAACUCGGCAUGGGAGGGUACCAUGCAGUGUACGCCAUAUAAAAAUUUUAGUUUUUGCCGGGCAGGAUAGUUUCCAAAUCUUACCCCAUAUAAGGUUGACAUUGCUUCUACCCAUUCCGUUUGCGUGUUCUAACUUUUUCCAUGAUACAUUGGUUUUACCCAUGUUGUUGGUGCCAUUCUUCCAAAUAAGCCGAUCGAACAAUGAACUUACCAUUUU
rnacentral:lncRNA from 1 species